rnacentral:lncRNA from 1 species
AGUCAGAACAGCUUGAAAAGCUGAAGGUAUUCAAGGUCUGGAGCGCUUGAUAACAUUCUUACAGGUCUCUAAAAACAACAUCACACCUAAUUUCAAGGAGAAAUUGGUUUCUAUGAGAAGCAGAUUGUAGGUUUUCUAAACCCAAGCAGAUACAGGAAGCCUAUUCCUAAUCUACAGCAAGGACAACCUCCCCAACCUCGUAUUCAACCUAUGCAGCAACCCCAAUCUCAACUUCCUCACUUGCAGUGCCAUGAAAAUCAACUGAUUCCCCUGUUGCAAUCAAUGAAUACGCAAGGUUCUGUACCACAGAUGCAGCAGAACAAUAUGUCAAGCUUGCUGCAUAAUUCCCUUUCAACUUUAUCUGGGGAUUCGACGUCACAAUCAAACAUGAUGAAUCCAAUACAACCAGGCUCCAAUUUAGAUUCUGGACAAGGAAAUGCACUGAGCUCAUUGCAGCAGACACGUGUAGGAUCUGUACAACAGAAUCUCGUGAGCAUUUCCCAACCAACCAAAGUUAACACAUUGUCAACACAAAGUGGGGCGAGUAUGCUGCAGCCAAAUAUUCCCCUUCAGUCGAAUUCCAAUAUGAUUCAACACCAGCAUCUAAAACAGCAGCAUGAACAACAGAUGCUACAAACACAACAGCUUAAACGAUUGCAGCAACACCAGAAUUUAAUGCAGAAUCAACAGAUGCAGCAGCAGCAAUUACACCAGCAAGCUCCGUCUCCUAUGCCAGGAGAUUCUGACAAACCAGUUUCUGGUAUUUCCUCACUCUUAAAUACUGGAAAUAUUGUACACCAACCAUCUGUUGCACAAGCACUGGCUCCAUCCCUUGCAAUUGGCACUCCUGGGAUAUCUGCAUCACCUUUGCUUGCAGAGUUUACCAGUCCUGAUGGUGCUCAUGGCGGUGCUUUGACAACUGUUUCUGGCAAGUCAAAUGUUACAGAGCAAUCACUUGAGUGCUUGAUUAAAGCGGUUAGUGAUGCUCUCCUUUUGGUUUUAGUCCACCCCACCCUUAUUUUGGAGGUUUCUGAAAAAGAAAGAAACUUCUUUGUGAAUGAGAUGGUGAUGCUGCAAUUUUUUUUCCCAGGUGAAAUCUCUGUCUCCCAAAGCACUUGGUGCAUCUGUCGGUGACAUUGGCUCCGUUGUCAGUAUGAUUGACAGAAUUGCUGGUUCUGCAGCUGGUAAUGGAUCUAGAGCUGCAGCUGGUGAGGAUUUGGUAGCAAUGACAGGAUGUCAUCUUCUUUCGUUUUUGUCUUUUUUAUUUUUCACGUGUUUCUCACAAGAUGGGAACUCGAGGGAAUAAGAACUCGAGGGAAUAAAAAGUGCUGGGAAGUAAUUUUUGUUGGAACGUCUUGUGUAACAUCUUCUUUCGAUGAUGACCUCUUGGAUGGCUGCAUGAAGCUUGUUCCGCUUUAAAUUUCUAGGUUAAUCUAUUGCUAUGAGCACUGGUGUUUCAAUUUGAAACUUGAGUUGCAACUGAACUUAAAUGAAUAGUGUUGGAUUUGGGGCCUUCUAUUUGUUUUAACUUGUACAGGGUUGAAGUGAUAGUGAUCUUAAAAGUACAAAAGCAGCAGACAAAAAUCAAUUAGCCACGAUAUAUAGUGUAUGGUUUCCUACUUUCUCAGUAUAAAGUAGAAUGUUUUGGUGAUAUCUCUACAUCCAAAAUCUUAUAGACAGGCACAGCUACUGCUGGCACUUGCAGUAGCCAAUGAGCACUGAUAUAUAUUGCAGAGUGAACUCGUUGCAUUUUCAUAAAUUAAAGGGUUUUCUCUUCUUUUCUUUGUCAAUUACAGUGCAUGUGUAAAAGUUUUCUUACUCGGUGUAAAUGCUGUUGUAAUGUUUUCACAGAGACUCCCCUGUUUUGCAACUAAUUCACUUCUGAAUAUAUCUUGGAAACAGAAAGGCAAUCAACAAAGAGUAAGGCAUCUUCUGAUGAAACAAAGAAAUUUAAUACCCUAAACUAAGCAGCAGGUAGAAGGCGAAAACUGAGCACAAAUUUUCAGGAAGGGACAAACGAAAAAAUCCAAAAAGAAAGCAGAGAAAACUACAGACUCAAAUUCACAACACCCAUUUUCUUUCCAUUGGAACACUUUAAAUAGUUUAUUAAAUUUAUAAUGAUCUGAUUUCUAUGCAUAUAAAAAAAUCAACUUAAUGAUCAAUUCUCUAUAAUUUCAGCAUUACUAAAAACAUCCAAACUAAUAAACUAUUAGUUAUUAUAGCCAUUUUAAUAAACAUUUUAGUUAUGAAUUCACCAAUCAUUUUGAACAAUUCAUACUGAUUAAUUAACAUUUAAAUUUUAGAUUUUUUGACUUAUUAGUUCCUUCGUGAGUUACUUUUAAAGUAUGCUAUAUAUUUCUAAGCAUUUUUUUCAAUCAUCAUUCUAAUAUCUUUUUUACAAAAUAAUUUAACUUAUAUUUAUUAAGAUUGUUUCCAUAUAUUACAAAUAUUUGCUUUAUCUAUUUACUAUUAUUUAUUUUAAAUGUUAUUAGACUUUUACUUUAAUUGUUGGGGAAAACAAUCGCCUAAUAAUUUAUUGUAUACAUUUAAUAAUAACUCAAGGAUGGUGGAAACUAAAUGUCGAUAAUCCAAGUCUCCAACUCACAAUGGCUCAUGUUUGAACCCCUGAACACUUGAUUUGUUCACUAAUUUUCAACGAUUCCAUUCUGCAUUUUGUAGUUUAGUAUUUUUUGUCUUUCCAAGACUAAUAAAAAAUUGGCUCUUUUAACAAUUGUAUAUGCGGUAGAACCUCCAAGAGCACUGAAGAAAGCCAUGGAUUGGUCAUUUAAAGCUUCUGCAGAAUAGUAAUUGUCUUGCUGGAUUGUGGAUAAACGUGUGACCUGCACAGUUUUCUGUUGUCUUUCGCAGAUAAAUAUACUCGUCAGAAAUCAAGAAAAUGGACGAAGCUGGCAGCUUAUCACAAAAAUAAUAGAGCUUAAUAUGGGAAUGGAUAUGAAUCUUACUUGUAUGCAAUGUAACUUAAUAAGUAUAUUUGUCAGAAAAAAAGAAAAUGAAUGCAGCUGGCAGCUUAUCACAAAGAUAGUAGUGCUUUAAUAUAUAUGGGCAUGGAUGUGAAUUCUUACCUGAAUGUAAUGUAUCGUCUUCUAUUUUGUAUUGUAUUUCUUUCUUAACAUUUGAGAAUUCAGUUUUUAUGAAGUUAUGUAUAUUUCAGAGACUAAAUUGAAGUUCCCACCAUAUCUUUUAUGCCCAUAUUUGCAUCUUCUGAUGAGAUUGAUUUAUAUAAUUCUACAUCACAUUAGCAAACUACAAAAAAAAAAAAAAAAAAAGAACUGGCCAGGCUCGAGGUGUUAAUUAACAUAUUAAAGAAAGAAUAGUCCUGCAAAUACUAUACUGAGCAUAGAUUAAUUAAUCCACGUUUUUUUUUCAAAGAGAUAGGAUACAAACAAAUCAAUAUCCCUGACGAAUAAAUCCUUGCAAGUGUGGAUUUUAUUUGUUAUCUGGGCUUUGCCCUUUCCUAAAUUAAUGAAUUUUGUUACUGUUUAAAAAAGAACACAAAAAAAAAAAUUCAUGGUAGCUUGACAUACUUAUGGCAUAGACUGAACCAUAUUCACCUAAUCCUCAGAAAAAAAAUGUGUCGAAUUGUCAAGAACACCAGAGUGUUCUGCCUUUGUUGUCGUCUGCACUUGAUGAGAGAACAAAAAUGCCAGUUAUGGCUCUCAGAAAACAAAAAAGAAAACACCCAAAAACAUGCCAGCCCCCACGGUUUUGAUAUGAGCUACAACAUGGGCAGCCAUUGGUUUCCUAACUGGUCAAAAUUCAUGUUUUCACUUGCCCCAGACUCUUUUCCUUGUUGAGUUAGAAAUAGAUGGCAACUUCCUCUUAGUUAGGAAGUCUAUGGAGAACUUCUUUGGCUCAUCAGCACAGCAUUAUAUGUUAGUAAGAGAGUACAAUAAUCCUUCCAUCAUCAAGCCUAUGAUGAUAGUAAAGCUCAACAAAACCAUGAUUUUUUUUUUUUUGAUAGUAAACGAGUGAAUUAUAUAUUAAACAGCCCCAUCAAGUAGGUGGAACUAAACGAAAGAUAAAUACAAAGGGAAUAUAAAAGAAAAGAGAAGACCUAAGCGACGAGGGACCUAAUUAAUUAGUCCAGUUCAUAAUACAUUCAGGAUUUCUAAAAAGAUCUGAGCCUGUAUAGCUGAAAUUUCUAACUGAAGACUUCAACCAGAAGGCCAAACGGUGAAAGGUGAGAUCAAAAAUCAUAUCCCAAUCCGGAGCCUUGGAUUCAAAGAUUAGGCGGUUGCGCGCUAUCCAAAUUGACCAGUACAGACCUUUGCAGAGGAGGGUAAUAGCACGUCGCUGAAAAUUUCCAUUAAUCAAACCGGACCAUUCCUGUAGAUUUUGAUAUGGGUCUUUGUGCAGACAACCUGAACACCCAAACCAGUUCAAGAAACGACCCCAAAGAGACCAUGUUAUAGGACAACAAUGGAAGAGAUGAUUAAUUGUCUCAAUUUCCUUGCAGCAGAAUGGGUAGUGAGAUUCCUCAUAUUUAAUGAUUCUCCUCUCAGCUAAAAAACUCCGUAUACUCAAACUGCCAUGAAGAAGAAGUCAUAUGAACACAUCCACUUUUGAAGGGGCAUAACCAUUCCAUAGCAGAACAGGGGAGUGAUUAUUUUCAGUUGCCGAUAGACUAUCAAAAAGAACGCAACCUGAUUGAGCUGAGUACAUGCUAGAGCUGUGAAAUUUUCAUAACUUGCGGUCUGCACCAUCUGAGAAAAUGAGACCACGCUGCACCUCUGCAAUCAAGCUCUCCCUCAUGCAGUUUUCACGAGGCUGGAGGGGUCUUCUCCAGGAUAGGUUGAAAGAUGUAUCUGUCAAAUCACAUAUAUCUGCAAGGCUGGAUUUUUGCUGCAGGGAGAGGUUAUACAGUCUGGGGAAUAAGAGUUGGAGAGUGGUUAUAGAGCCAAGCCAAGAGUCAGUCCAAAACCGGAUGUUCCUCCCAUCACCCACCUUGAACCCGACAUUUGCAUGUAAAAGAUUGGAUAUGUUUUGUGUUGAGAAGAUCGCCGAAACAAUGCUAUGCCAAGUUGGAGAUAAAGAACCUGUAAACUCAGGGAUACCAUUAAUAAAGCGGGGUCGGUAUUUUAGAAGAAUGUGUUCUUGCCAGCCUCCUACCACUCCAUUAUCCAGAUUCCAAAGCCAUUUAAAUAGCAGAGCUAAAUUUUUGUUGUGGAUGGAUCCCAGCCCGAGACCACUAGAAGAUUUACUCUUUAUUACCUUGUGCCAGGCCACCUUAAAAAUCCCAUGAGAUGUUGAGGUUCCUUUCCAGAGAAAAGACCGGGUUAGAGAAGAGAUGACUUUAAUAAUACCCUUUGGCAUAGCAAAAACUGACAUCUAGAACAAAGGAAGAGAGCAGACUGAUUUAAUUAGACAAAACCAUGAUUUCUUAGCUUAGAUUUGACGUGUUCAUACUUGGCAUUAACCGCUGCAAGAUUGUCGUUUCCAAUGUCUUUAAAAAUGUCCCUGAAAACAAUCUCGAUAAACUGCUCGGACCAUCUGGAGCAGCUGCUGCACCAGACAUCCAUUACUCUAGCAAACAUCAUUUCACUUUUGAUGGGUCGUUGGUGAUUGUAUUAAUUUGGCUACAGCAUCUUCUGUGAGGAAAUACUUUUGUGUCCUAUCUUUUCAUUUAAUUAUUUAUGUAUUGAUUCUUUAUUUGCAUUUUGCACACUUCCCUUGUACUUGAAAAGGACCUUGAUCACUCUAAAUAAAACACUUGUCAAGAAAAUUAACGAAAAGAUAUGAACUUGUACAGAAUGACCAGUGAUGAAGUGGGGACACACUACACACACGUGUGUACAUGCAUAAAUCCACACACUUAUGCAUAUGUAUAUUCAUGUCUAGAGAAUAUUGAAAUUAUUGAGCCUAGCAUUAGCUGAAUACCUGAUCGGUGGCGGCAGUAUAAAUCUUUUCCUCAAACCCUCUUGUAAUCCCUCUUGACCAGAAAACGGAAGAUGCCUCUUUAAUAUCACUAGUCUGCACAUGUAAGACAUUACAUUUAAAUUUUAACGACAAGGCAGGUAUAGAGAAGUUAGCAGCAGUGAGAAAGAACUGUGAACUCAUACACCACACCAAUAUCAGAAAUGCAUACAACGGAAUCAUUGGCAAAAAGUAAAAACAACUAAUGAUAUAGCCGAGUGUCGGUCAAGUAAUAUAUGGCAUCAGAAUACUGACAUCUAUUUUUACUUCCUUUCCCCGUAUUAUUCCAGAGGUACAGGGUAUAGGAGUUCACUUGGCCACCCUUCUGUCUAAAAUUCUAGUUACGAGUUUCAUGGUUAAUUUUCUUGAACUGGAAGAACCUUCCAUUUAUGGCUAUAGCUAUGCUCCAAGAUAUACAAGUGAAAACAUUAUAAUAGCAUUUACUAUGAGUAAGAAAACUUUUAUACAUCAUGCACUGUAAUUGACAAAGAAAAGAAGAGAAAUCCUUUUUAAUUUAUGAAAAUGCGAUGAGAUAACCUUAUCUCACGCUGCAACAAAAAAUUACUUCCCAGCACUUUAUGUUCCCUCAAGUUCGCUUCUUGUGAGAAACACGUGAAAAAUGAAAAAGACAAAAACUUUUAUACAUGCACUGUAUGAUACUUGAGGUUGCCUCAUGGCAGUCUUUUUCCUUCUCUUUUCUUUCAUUUAUAUACAAGAUUUACUAUUUUGCAGCACUUGCACAUAUUAGGAAACAGAUUCUUGCAAUUUUUCAAAAUAAAAACACUGUAAAUUACUCCAAUAUUUUCUCACAUUAUUUUUUUUUCUUGAACACGUGAUUUUUUCCUAUUUCAUUUUUUUGUUUUUUGUAUUUAUAAUUUUUUUAAAUUAUUUUUAUCGAUUUUAUUUUUAAUAUUAAGAUGGUUAAGAAUUUCACUUUGUAUUUUUUUUCUUUUUAUUUUAUCUUUUUAUGUGGUUUGUGAGUUUAUCGAGGUAACUCGAGUUGCCUCAAUUUAUGGAUUUGAUGGGGUUUUCUUUAAUUAAACUUGGUUUUCUAUGGUAUAUUUGUUUUCUCACAUUGUUAAAAAAAAUAGUUUUAUACAAAAACCAUGUUAUUAAACUUUAUGAAAUAACAAAAAUUAAAGGAUGUGGGGGAAACCAUUAUUCACCUAACACCCAUUACACUGUGGAUUAGAAUAGUAAUCCACCAUGUUUUGCUUUCUUUUUUUUCUUUUUGAAUUUUUGCUAUGAUUUUUUUUUCAAAUCUAUUUUUGUCAAUUUUAUCUUUUAAAAUUGAGAUUCGUAAUUUGCUUCUUUUGAUUUUCCUUUAUAUGAGGUUAGUGUAGUUUAUGGGUUUGCCAAAAUAACUUAGGUUGCCUCGGUUUACGAGUUUUGUGGGUUGUAUUUAAAAAAAUUGAACUUGAUUUUUUUUAUAGUCUAUUUUUUUCUUAUAUAGUCCAUUGUUCACCUACACACAUUGCACUGUGAAUGACAAUAGUAGUAAUCCAUAGUAUUUUGCUUUCUUUCAUUUUUCUUUUUGUUUUUGAAUUUUUAUUAUGAUUUUUUUCUCAAAUUUAUUUUUGUUGAUUUUAUCUUUUAAUAUUGAGAUGGUUGAGAAUUUAGUUUUAUAAUUUAUCUCUUUUUAUUUUACAUUUCUAUAAGGUUAACAUGAUUUGUGGGUUUGCUAGAGUAACCUAAGUUACCCUGGUUUACGAGUUUGGUGAGGAUACUUUUUUUUCUAAUUAAACUUGAUUUUUUUUAUCGUCUAUUAUUUUCCUCAUAUAGUUAAAAAUAUAAUUUCAACUAUUUCAACCUUAGAAACCUCAUGAAUACCUUUAUAACACCCACAAACCAUUCCAUCAACUCCAAAUACCUAAAAAAUGAUCUAAAAACCUAAAAUCAAAUCGGUUUAGUUUUAGCUCUCAAAUCUCAUGUAUGGUUUUUCAUGCAACAUCGACACUCUAAACAACCACCAUGAAGCCCUUCUUACCUCAUGGGACCUGUGGACACCAAUAAAACUUAUUUUGGUGGCUGAAAAUGAAAUGAUCGAUGACUUUCUCUCAACGCUGGAAUCGAACAACUUCUCUAUCACAAACCAUCUCACAAACUCCAAAUACCCAAAAAAUGGUCAAAAAAUCCAAAAUCAAAUCAGUUUAAUUUUGGCUCUCUCGGCUCAUCUAGUUUUUUAUGCAUUAUCGAGGCUCUAAACAAUCAUCAAGAAGCUCCUCUCAUCUCAUGGAAUCCGUGGACACCAAUAAAACCUAUUUAGCGGGCAAAAAUAGAGUGAAUUGUGACUUUCUCUCUCAUCGCUAGAAUCCAGAAACCCCUCUAUCUAACCAGGGAUUUAAAAAAAAUCAACUUCUAUACCAAAAUUGAUUUUUUAAAAUCUAAGAAGAUCUAAAUUGUAUACAUUGCGUUAUUUUUAAAGAUCAAGGAUCUAAGUGUAUUUUUCAUGUAAUCUCUAGCAUGUCAUCCAUGUUUAGUGUCUUUUUCAUUUUGAUCUUUCUUCUUUCAAUUUCACUAUUGACUAAGAAUUAAGAUGUAAUUGACUUUGAAUUAGGAUUAAAUCACAAAAAAUAAAACUUCAAGGACCAAAAUGAAUUAUUAAAAAAUACACAGUAUGUCCACACUAUUUUUUGAGUGUAUGAACUGCACGUCACCCGCACGGUGUCGGUUUGGUGAUUUUUUUUGUUUGCCUAGUUGAUUGGUUCAUUGGAGUCGCCACCUAAUAUUUAAUUGAGGACUACUAGGAAACCUAGGUGUACUAGUCUUGUCAUAGAUUCACAGGUAAGGGACUGGUUGUGGUUAGGAAAGGUAUUAGUACCCCUAAUACAUCCUACCCGAGGUAAGCUGAUUCGUAGCUUUGAUGUGUUACAGAAGUUUUAAAAAUUUUAUCUUUUCAUCGGAUAUUAGAAAUAUAACUUACGUGUAAGUAAGGGUGAUCAUUUUCAGUUCGGUUCGGUUUUUAUCAAAAAAAUAACCAAACCGAAAUUUUUUUAAAAAAACCGAAACCGGGUCAAACCGGUUUGGCUCAGUUUUUCCAGUUUGGCUCGGUUUUUUUUUUCGGUUUGGUUUUUUCGGUUAUUUUUUUCCGGUUUUCUCAGUUUAAUCGGUUUUUUUGCUCAUCCCUAUGUGUAAGUUCAUAAUUCUCAACCGUGAACAAAUCAAAAUAUUAAAUUCUUCUUUAUUCUUUGUGAUUUUAUCAUAAAAAAAACACUCAAAAAAAAAAAAAUACAAACAACACAUUCACUUUUACUAUGUUUUUUUGUUUUUUUUUACAUCUACACUACAAAUUAUAAAAAAUUCAAAACUAAACAAAAAUUAUAUUAAGCAAUUUAAAAAUUACAAAAAAUAGCCCCUGAAACUCCAGGAAUUGCAGGGAAACUUUUUGGAAAUUCUGGUUUUUUCCAGUUUCGGUUCGGUUUUUUGCUUAUAAAAUUGAAACCAAACUGGCCGGUUUUUUCAAAAUUUUAAUCGGUUUUUUCAGGUUUUUUUCGGUUCGGUUUUUUUGGUUUUUUUUUUCCGGUUUUCUCAGUUUAAUCGGUUUUUUGGUUUUUUUGUUCACCCCUACAUGUAAGUUCAUAAUUCUCAACCAUGAACAAAUAAAAAUAUUAAAUUUUUCUUUACUCUUUGUGAUUUUAUCUUAAAAAAAAUACUCACAAAAAAAAUUACAAACAAUACAUUUACUUUCAUUAUAUUUUUUUGUUAUUUUUUUACAUCUACCCUAUAAAUUAUAAAAAAUUCAAAACUUAACAAAAAUUAUAUUAAACAAUUUAAAAAAUACAAAAAAUAGCUCCUGAAACUCCAGGAAUUGCAAGGAAACUUUUUUGAAAUGCAGGAACAAUGGUGAGGAAGGCUUCUGGACUUGUGAACAGUGGGGCCACUGUCACUACGGCGCUUGGCUUCACGCGCCGCCGCAAAAAAUCCAGACAGCAGGGGAGAUCCAAAACGACUUCCUCCCUUCUUCUUCGCCGGCGGUGACCUGCACAAACAGCAAAAUCCCAACAACCAGUUGAUUUUAAUUUUUGUUUUGUGCAGAUCCGUUCUUGGAUCUGUUGCUUUAUUCUGGUCUUGUUGUUCGUUCCUUCUUCAAGCGGCGGAUCUGGUGGCUGAGGAAGGAGUGCUGGAGGCCGGAGCUGCAGAUGCAGCCGUGCGUGGGGAGGAGCUGUUGUGGGGCCGGCUUUGCUGCGGGAGGCAGAAGACGGGCAGAUCUGUGGUGUUGGCCAGAUGAGGGAGACCGUAGGUCUGAGGAGACGGUAGGGACAGCUCUGUGGUAUGCUGCUGGUUGGUUGAAGGAGAUGAAGCAGAGAGCGGGGUUGCUGUUGUGUUCGGUCGUUCGGGGAAGAAAGGUUACUGUUGGGUCUGUCGGGUUAAAUUUGGAGGAAUGGCUGUUGAGAGGGAAGGGAACCAAGAAUCCCGAAGGAGGGGGGCCGGCGGCGCUGGCUGGUUCUGGUGAGUUUUUUUUUUGUCAAGGUAGAGAAGGAAAGGAAAUGGCGUUGGGCAGGGGAGAAUGUGGGGCUCCUGGUGAUGAGCUGAAGAUUUGUGUUGAUGAGGAGGGUGAGUGAGAGGCUCUGGUUUGGUUUCAAAGAGAAGGGAGAGUGUGCAGCGGCUGUGGUUUUGGAGAAGAAGCUGAGCCGGUCUGUGGAGAAAUGAGAGGUUGGUUCGGGUGAGGCCAAGGCACCGGAGGGCUCUAAUGGCAGGGGGUCAUUGGCUCUGUUCUGAAAACAACAACCAAGGACCCCGGGGGACGGCGGCUUUUCUAUUGGCUGGGAGAGGGGAGCCUGGUGAGGGAGACGGCUGGUUUGUAUUGGUAGAGAUAAGUUUAGCUUUAAGGUUUUUUAUGUUUUUUUUAAAUGUGUAAAAUUAUUUUUUUUAUGUGUUGAAAAUUAAUAUUUAUAGAUAAAAAUAUUAUUAGGUCUCAAACUUGAUUCCUCAAGUUUUUUUUUGUAAAUUUAAAUUUUUUAUUUUUUUUUAUUUUUCUUAUCAACAUCGACUCGAAUGAGGAAAAUCGGUAAUUUUAAAAUAUAACGCGUUAAAAGUCUAACACGUUCUAAAGAUCUUUAAAAAAUUUAAAUUCUUUUGAGAUAAUGCUGAAAAUGUUAAAAAUGAUGCAAAUAUAUUAAAAAAUAUAUUUUUUAGAUUUUUGUUAUUUCUUACUAUUUUUGAAUUUUUUUAAAAAAUUAUCAAAAAAAUUGAUCAAAAAUUGAAUAACAACAUGAUCAGCUCAACAAUGAUCUUUAGAACCAUCCUGCUCAUGUUUUAAAGAUUUAGCUUUUCUAUCUAGUAAUUCCUUUUAUUUUAAUGUUAAUUUUGAGUUUUGUACUAAUUUUUUUUUUCUGUUUAGCUUGUGAUUGAAUAUGAAAAACUAAUUGAACUCUUUUUCUUUGUUCUUUUUGUUAUUUGAAACUCAAUAAUCAAUUUUCUUUGUUCUUUGUGGGUUUUUCUUUUAGUUUAUUGCUGUUUUCUUUUUCUAGGAUUUGUGUGUUGAAUAAACCUUGUUCCUUCAUGAAGUUAGUUUAGGUGCUACGUGGCACAUUAAAAGCAAAUAGCCAGCUAAUAAACUUACAAUGGGCUAAAACUAGACUUGAGAGAAGGCCACCGUAUAAGACCAAUUAUGGGCUUCUUUUAUUAGGUCAACAAUCUAUGGGCCUCACUAUAGCCAUCAAAAACAAAAAAACAAAAUACGUCCAAAGCAGAUUCAACGAAAUCAGGUCUCUGCCCAACUUGUUUAGACAUUGCCAUAAUCAGUUCCAUUUGAUUAGCAAGAUGACUAGAAGAGCUAAUAUUAAGUGUCAUCAUAGCUUAAGCUUCAGACUCUUUAAUGCUUGCUGGACAUGAGAAGAUGCAAUGAAAAAAGUCUUUUAUGAUCACUUAUAGAGGCCUAUUGAUGCAAUUACACUUGUGAAAACUGAAGUUUCAGAGUAUUUAUAUGAGAAUUUAUCACAGGUAGACUGUGGAUAAUCUAGUAAAUUUUUUUUCUAAAGAAUCAUUGAAACAAGUUUAGGUCCCAAAAAAAGACUUGGAUAUGCUACACUAUAGUAGUGACUAAAAGAGGCUAUAAAAAAAUAUUCAACUAUUGGAUCGAUUUUAAAUUUUUACGAGGUUUUCGAAGCCCAUUUCAAUUGGAAACAUACUUUGUUGAUCAUUCGAAGUUCAGAUCCCGUGAAAUUAGGUUCAUAAAAUCCUGUUUGAGCUAAUUUUGUUAUUUUUCUUUGAUUUUCUUGAAUUUAUUGUUUUAUUUCAGAUUUUAUGUAGUUUGUGUUUAUGCUUUUGGAUUCUAAUUUUGUUUUCAAUGGAGAUAGGUUUUGUAGCAUAUUUAAAUGUUUUAGAAACCUCUUUGAGAGGCAAAAAUCAUUUUUUUUAGAAUAAUAAAUUGCGAAUUUAGAGUUUAAUUUUGCAACCCUGUUUGCUCAAUAAAUCUAUUUUCUUUGUGUUUGUUUGCUGCCUUUCUAGUUUAUGCCUGCAUCACCAACUAUUGCCCCCAGCAGAGUAGUAGAAUAAGGGAGAAAAUGGGUUUAAGAAGGAUAAGAUAAAUUGUUGUGUUGUGAAUCUUUAACAGUUGCUGUUCGUUAUUUUUAUUGUAUUAUAUAUAUAACUCUAAUGAAUUUUAUAUAAUAGAUUUUAAUAUAAUAAACACACAAGAAUAAUACAAAGCAUAGUGGAUCAUAAUGCUUCAAUACAGAGGACCCAUCUGAAUUAUAUUUAAAAGCACCUCAUGGAGGCCUACUGCAUGAGGUAAUUUGCCAGCAGUUAUGCACACAUCAUCGAUGCAAUGUUUACAAUGACAAACUUGCAUUUGUAUUCAUUGUGGUGUUAGGUUCACAGAUUCUGAUCAAAUAGAUAUUUAAUGUUCCAAAAACAUUGUAUACGCAUUUAAUGCUUUACUUCAAUAGAUAGAUCAAGUUAUAUCUCUAGAUAUCAGUAAAUCACAUCUUCAAUAGAUAGAUUAGGGCAUGUUUGAAUUUGAAGAAGACGUGUUUAUUUGCAUCUUCUCUGUCAACGUGUGUUUCCGCAGCAACUAAAAUGAAAACGAAGACCAUCCAUCAUGGUGUGGAACUAACUAAUAUACUGUUCCCGUUAUGGGGUCAAUCAUUACUAUCAGAAGAAAUUAAACCAUUUUGGUGUCCAUUGUUUUGAUGCACUGAAUACCAUCACGACCUGUUAACUGCCAAGAACAUCUAUUUUCCAGGCAAUCAAUUUGAAGAUGAAAACUCGAAUGCACAACUGUAACUGACACUGAUUUUUCAAGAGACCCACUACUAGAAAUUCGCUAAAUACCAACGGAUUUACCGACGGAAUAUUUUAUGUCGGUAUUUUGAGGUCGAAAUUACCGACGGCCAGUUUCCGUCCGUAAUUCAGUCGGUAUUUACCGAUUGAAUUACGGACGGAAAAGUUUCUGAAUUUUAAAAAAGGCGGGCCGCUGACAUGGAGGUUUUGGCGGGUUUUUUUUUUUCACCGACGGAUUCAAAACGACUGCCCGUACAGUGCCCGUAAAGUGAUGUGACCGGUUCGCCGUUUAAAUUUUUGACGGACUCACCGAGGGAUUUGAAAUGGCAGAUCCGUACGGUGACAUGUCUAUGUUUCCGUCAGAAUCACCGGCGUAAUAACCGACGGAGUGUCCGUCGGUAAAACCGUCGGAAAAAGUUAAUAUAUGACAGCUCUGCCGACCCUUUCAUCCCCUAUUUCUCCUUCUUCUUCCUCAUCCCAACUCUCCCCAUCUGCAAACAACCAGCCCCCCCUCCCCCCCCAAAAAAAAAUCCUCAUAGCAGCACAACAAGUUAUAUUUCUUGAAGUUUUGUGGUCACAGCAUCCGCGCGUGUUCUGAUUUACCGACGGAUUUUAUCAAUUUUUGUAAGUAAUUAUAUCUUUUUAAAUGUUAACAUUUAAUUAAAUGUGAUUUUUUUUUUUAGUAUAUGUAUUUUGUUAGUAGAUGUACAUGUUUUAUUGUUAUUUCUCAAACAAACUUGUAGUAUAUGAAUGUAUAAUUUUGUACCUGUUAUGGUUUGUUUUAGAUUUUGUAAGAUUGUAUUUGUUUGUAAAUUGUUAUUUCUUUAUGGAAUUACCGAAUUACAUGUGCUAUUUUGAAAUAAUUACUAGCUUGCUUAAUGGACCCAUUUAAAGUUUUAUCAAUGGUAUUGCGGAGUGGUAAUUUCUGUAAAUUUAUAUUUUUUAAUUCGUAUGGACGUUGAUAAAUGAUAAUGAAUAUUUAAUAUUUAUGAGAAGUUGUGAUUGGUUUGUUGGAUAAUCUCGAGUUAAAGUAAUAUUUGUACAAGUUUAUUUACCUAACUUAGUUAAUUAAUACAUGAUGUCAUCAUAAUUUUAUAGAGGUUCGAUAUAAGUCAUGGAUGAUCGUUCAUGGAUGUAUCGAGAUUCACCCCAAGGAUUGCGGAGGAUGGAUUAUUGUAAUGGGGUUCAGGGUUUUAUUAAUUUCGUAACAUCUAUUCCCAGAAAUUUUACUGGAGGCGGUAUUAGGUGUCCAUGCAGGAAGUGUGAAAAUAAAAAGUAUCUGCAUCCAGAUGUUGUAAUGAUGCAUCUUCUAAACAAAGGGUUUAUGGAGAAUUACCAGUGUUGGUAUGCACAUGGAGAAGUAUUUGUUAGCGAGAGUGAGAGGAGAAUGGAAGAAACGGUGGUUGGGUCUACUUCUAGUGCUAGUAACGUGCAUGAAACGACAAAUGACAACACUAAUCCUUACAGAAUGGUUAUGGAUGCAAUGAGAAUGAAUCAAGGUAAUGGCAGUCAAUGUCCAAUCGUAGAAGAAGAACUUAAUGUAGAUGCAGCUAGAUUUUUUGAUUUGUUGAAAGAUUCUGACGAACCAUUAUGGGAUGGCUGCACGAACCACAGUAAAUUAUCGGCCGUAGCACAGGUGUUCACCAUCAAGUCAGAUCACGGGUUGAGUGAGGCCGGGUAUGACAAGAUUAUUGAAUGGGCAAGAAGCAUUUUACCUGAAGGGAACAAGCUGAAAGAGAACUUCUAUGCUGUGAAGUCCAUGAUGAAACCCCUCGGUUUAGGAUACCAGAAAUUUGACAUGUGCCCUAACUUCUGCAUUUUAUACUACCUUGAAAAUGCUGAGAUGACCGAGUGCAUGACAUGCGGGCAUUCCCGUUACAAACCUAGAACUGGCAGGGAAAGACUCUAGUGGCAUAUAAAAAACUUAGAUACUUCCCGAUCACACCUAGACUGCAGAGGUUAUUCAUGUCACCAAGGACUGCUGAGCACAUGACAUGGCACCAAGCACACCAUGCGGUUGAUGGAGUGAUGGUUCAUCCUUCUGACGGCGAAGCGUGGAAACGCUUUAACAGUGUUCAUCCUCACUUUUCAGCUGAAUCAAGGAAUGUGCGUCUUGGGUUGUGUACAGACGGAUUCAACCCAUUUGGGUCAUUUGCUGCUCCUUAUUCUUGUUGGCCGGUCAUACUCACAGUUUAUAACUUGCCACCGGGAAUGUGUAUGAGGUCGGAGUUCAUGUUUUUAUCUACUGUCAUAUCCGGUCCAAGAAGCCCGGGGCGGAAUAUAGAUGUUUGUCUUCGACCGUUGAUUGAUGAGUUGGCGCAGUUGUGGUCCUCCGGAGCUCUGACUUAUGAUAUAUCGAGGAAACAAAAUUUCCUUAUGAGGGCGGCAUUGAUGUGGACUAUCAAUGAUUUUCCAGCUUAUGGAAUGCUUUCUGGUUGGAGCACGCAUGGGAAACUCGCAUGUCCAUACUGCAUGGAAAACAACAAGGCAUUCAUGCUAGCAAAUGGAGGUAAAGUUUCUUUUUUUGACUGUCACCGUCGCUUCUUGCCACUUCAUCACAUGUACAGAAAGAACAGAAAAGAUUUCUUUGUUGGCAGAGUUGAAAAAGAUGUUGCAUCCCCGCGUCUUUCUGGUGAAGAAUUGCAUGAUGUUGUCUCAGAGUACGGUGACAUUGUGUUUGGCCUUCAAUCAGGAAAGCAAAAGUUUCCUGGUUUUGGUUUGACCCAUAAUUGGGUAAAGCGAAGUAUCUUUUUUGAGCUUCCUUAUUGGAAGACCAAUCUGCUUCGCCAUAACCUUGACGUCAUGCACAUCGAAAAGAACAUGUUUGAGAAUAUUUUCAACACCGUCAUGGAUGUGAAGGGGAAGACAAAGGACAACAUCAAGGCUAGAUUGGAUAUAGCUUUAUACUGUAACCGAAAAAAUAUGGAGUUGGUUUAUGAUGAGUCACGGGUCGCAAAACCAAGAGCAAGCUUCGUGUUAGAGAAAAACGCACAACUACUAGUCUACAAAUGGCUUAAGAGUCUGCGUUUUCCGGAUGGACAUGCAUCGAACAUAUCAAGGCUGGUUAAUAUAGAGGACUGCAGAUUGUAUGGAAUGAAGAGUCAUGACUGCCACGUGUUUAUGCAAACACCCAUCCCAUUAGCUUUUCGUGAUUUGUUGCCAAAGGGAAUAUGGGAUGCACUCACGGAGAUCAGUCAUUUCUUCAGAGAUAUAUGCUCCAGCAAGUUGAAUGUUGAUCACAUUGAGAGGCUUCAAACGAAUAUCGUCGAGACACUAUGCAAACUUGAGAUGAUAUUCCCUCCAUCAUUUUUUGACUCAAUGGAGCAUCUCCCUAUACCUCUACCGUUCGAGGCAAAAGCUGGAGGACCGGUCCAAUAUAGAUGGAUGUACCCAUUCGAACGGUUAGAUAUUACAGUUGCAAUGUAAUUCAUAUAUAAAAGUAUUUUAUAUGUUUUUCUUAAUUGAAUAUACUUGAUUAAUAUUUCAAUGCAGGUACUUGUUUAAUCUCAAGAAAAAGGUUAAGAACAAGGCGCAUGUUGAGGCUUCGAUAUGUGAGGCCUAUAUUGUUGAGGAGAUCUCAACAUUUAUCUCGUACUAUUUCGAACCUCAUAUGAGAACGAGAAUCAAUCGCGUUCCACAGCAUGAUGAUGGCGGUGAAGUGCCUUCCAGUGGGAACUUGUCAAUAUUCUCCAAUACUGGACGACCCACACCUAAAAAUGCCGUAAGAGGAAGAUAUUUGUUGGAAAUAGAGUUCAAACAAGCACACAACUAUGUUCUAUUUAACUGUGAUGAGCUGAGACCUUUUAUUCAGUAAGUUUAUACUAAUUAAACUUUGUUAGUAAUAUACUGUUAAUUAUAUAUUGUAAUAUCAUACACUCAUUAUCACUUGCAGGCAACAUCGUCAAUAUUUGCUCUCCAAUAACUCACAGCUGACUGAAUCCCAGAUCUUUCAAUUACAAGAUGAGCAGUUUGCCACGUGGUUCAGAACACAUGUAAGCACUAUCACAAACUCAUUCUAACUUGCAAAAUUACUGUACGUAUGCAUGUCAUUACGAGAUUCUCGUUCUUUUACUGUUUAUUGAUGUACAUUACAUGCAAGGUUUAUCAAAUGGGAAGGAGUGCACCUAAGUCAUUGUCUUUACUAAGCCUGGGGCCUGAAAGAAAAUGUAAGUGCUACAACGGGUAUUUUGUCAAUGGAUAUGUUUUCCAUACUGAAGAAUACAGGCAAGGAAGAAAGACAUACAACAGCGGUGUUUGUGUUAAGGGAUCCACUAGUAGUGAGUUAGAAGUUGACUACUAUGGUAGAUUAGAAGAGGUUGUCGAACUGCAAUAUCAUAACGAGCAGAAUAUAGUGUUUUUAUUCAAAUGCUAUUGGUAUGACACGACUGACAGAGGAAUCAGAGUUGAUCCGCACUAUGGUCUGGUCGAAAUCAACUCAAAAGCUAGACUCCGCAACAUAAACGAUGUCUUUGUUUUCGCAAAGCAAUGUCAACAAGUUUAUUACACAUACACCCCUUCAUUUAGAAAGGAUCGAUCAAGAGUGGAUUGGUUGUCCGUUUUAAAAACGAAACCCCGGGGUCGUGUCGAGGUUGUUCAGGAUGAGAACGAAGACACAAGUGUGCGAGAUGAAGUCUUUCAAGUUAGUGAGGUGGUUGAACCAUAUCGUGUUGCUCCUUCGAUUGAAUUGGAAGAAAAUUCAAAUUUUCGUGUUUUCGAUGAUAGUCUUGUUGAUGUUGACGCAGAUGAGUUAAAUUUUGUUUUGAGCUCUAACGGACAACCAAAUAUCGAUGAAGAAGAUGAUAUUCAUAUUGAAGAUUGCGAUGAAGGUGAUGACAAUUCAAUUGAUGACGAAGAAGAAGAAAAUUCUGACUAACUACCAAAAUGAAGCCCUAUGUAAAACCCUUUUUUACAUGUAAUUUAGAUUAUGAAUGAUAUAUAUAUUUUGAAACACAAAAUAUUUAUUACUUGAAAUAAUUAGUUGAAAUGCCACACUUAUGAUGGAUGAUAUAUUUUGUGACAUGAAAUAAUUACUUGAAAUGCACCCUAUCACCGACGGCCACACCGACGGACUUAGUCCGUCGGCAUUUCACAGAGAGUUCGAAAAUAAUUACUUGAAAUGCCACCCAAUUACAGACGGCCACACCGACGGACUUAGUCCGUCGGCAUUUCACAGAGAGUUCGAAAAUUAUUACUUGAAAUGCCACCCAAUUACAGACGGCCACACCGACAGGACUAAUUCCGUCGGUGUUUCACAGAGAGUUCGAAAAUAAUUACUUGAAAUGCCACCAAAUCACCGACGGCUACACCGACGAACUUAAAUACGUCGGUAAGUUGUCGGCGGUUCAAUUUUACCGACAACAUUACCGACGGACUGCGCGAAUUUCAAAGGGUUGCGCAUUUAAUGCGCCUCUGACCGCGUAAUAUUGCCGACGGACCACAAAAAAUAUGGAGGGUCAUUAAAAAUUUUAGUGCGAAAUUCAAACUUUGCCGACGGAUUUUUAACAUAUCACCGACGGAAUAAAUUAAAAUAAUAAUUAAUUUUAUAUCCGUCGGUGAAUCCGUCGGUAAAACUGCCAUAUAAGUUCAAGUGACUGCCCGUUCAGUUCAUUUUUUCUUCUCCUUCGUUUCUCACCUUAAGCUUUUGAUUUUUUUCCUCUCCAUUCUUCAAAGCUUUCACCUCCAAUCUCUAGCAAGUUUUCUUCAUCAUCUUCAUCAGUUUAAAAGGUUAGUGUUUUCUCUAUUUCAUUUUACUUUAAUAGUUUUUUUUUUUUGCUAUUUUUUUGGUUAUUUUUUUUGUUUUGGUGUAUUUUUUGUAAUGUAGAUAAAGUCUAUAGUUGUUUUUUGCAUAAUUCAUUGCUAAAGUAUAUAGUUUUUUUUUUUAAUUUUUUGAAUAUUUUUUAUUGUUGUAUUGGCAUAAUUAUUAUUAGUUAAUUUGUUGAAUUUUUAUUGUUAAUGUUGAAUUUACCAUAGAAUUAGUAAUUGAAUAUGUUGGAAUAAUUAUUAAUUUUACUUUAUUAUUGCAUGAUUUGUGUUUAAUUUGUUCCAUUUAUUUUGAUUGUUAUUCUAGAGUUUGGGGGUGGUUAUUUAUUGUUUUGUUGUUUGGCAUAAUUAUUGAAUAAUUACUUGAAUUGUAAUUCUUAAUGUUGAAUUUACCUUAGAAUUAGUAAUUGAAUAUAUUGGAAUAAUUAGUAUAUAUUGGGUAAAUUGGUUGUGGCUAUUGUUAAUAUGUGCAGGUUUGUGGAUUUGGGUAGUAUCCGGUAUAGGGGAGGUGCUGUCGAAUUUUUUUUUUACAUUUGAAUUUAAUUAUAUAAUUAUUUGUAUCAAAUUGUGUAGAUGCGUAGAACGAAAACCAGAGCUGGUCGCUCAGGUGCGGUCGCAGCUAGUUCGUCUAGCAGCGAGGAUGAUAUUUUCUUAGGUGCCUCUCAAGAAGAGGCACCUACGCCACCUGCGCCGUCAACCGAUGCUGCCUCUUCCAGCGGUACUUCACAGCGCAGAGGCGGCGUGCCUUCGCAGCGGAAUCAAUUUACCCGUAAGUACGAGGCACAGUGGAAGGACGACCUUUCAAUGUAAGUUUGUUAAGGUUUUAGUUUUUUUUAAAAAAAAAAUUACAACAUAAUUUAUCAAGUAAUCACUAUUGAAUUUAUUUCAUUUAUUUUCAGGUUCACAAACAUUGAAGCCGCCCGAGUAAUAUCAUCGGCGUUUAAAUCGUCGAUGGAGAUUCCAUUGUUUCAAUGGAGUCAGAUAUCCAAGCAUCCUGAAUAGAUGCCUCAAAUCAAUGCAUGGUUUAACAGGUUUGAGGUUGGUAUUAAUUUAUAAUUUUCAGCUUAUUAAUAUAAUUGUAUUAUUUUUAUUUAAACUUGUUUAUUUAUACAAAGCACAAAUUCUGCUGGGACAUUGAGCAUAAAGCUGUUGUGAGGAGGGUGUGGGAAAAUCACGCGGCAACUAGGUAAGAUCGAAAACAAUACAGGAUUUUUUUUAGACAAAAAUUUAUGUUUCGAAAUAUAAUUUUUGGUUGCGUGAAGCAGGUUGCGUGAUUUUUGGUAUGAAGCACAGAAAAAGGCAAAAAAAACCGCGAGGGAUAGGGGUUUCCAAGGCUGGAACGAUGUUGCGGUUUGGAGGGAUUUCAAACCGAUAUACAUCCUGGAAGAUAUAUGGCCGCACUAUCUUGAGCACGUGACGUCUGAGCGGUUCACACGACGCUCACAGUCCGGUGCUGGCAACCGGAAUCGGCCAAUUCAUGGCGGGGUGACAACUCACACUGGCGGCUCCGUUCCGUUUGCUGCACAUGCGAAACGGAUGGUAAGAUUAAUUUAAAUGAAAUAUAUCGUUAAAUUCAGUUGUUGUUAAUAUAUCUUUUUUCAUUAUAGGCUGUGUCUCUUGGACGUGAGCCGAGCCCGAUGGAGCUGUUUGUGGAGACGCACGUGCGGAGUCAAGACCGCCAGAAGGGGGCGCAACAGUUCGUUGAUAACCGUGCUCAACAUUUCGUGGUAUGUUUGUUCAACCAUUUUAUUUUGUAAGUUAUUAUGUUUAUUGUAUUGAAUAUGAUGAUUACUUUUUUUAUUUUUUAUUUUCAGGAGACCUAUAAUAAUCGGUUGAGGGAGAGAUACGGGGACGAUACUUUGACCCAUCCGGAAUUCGAUCCGGAUUUGUGGAUGGAGGUUGGCUUGUCAGGUGGACCAGAUAAAAAUCGGGUUUACGGGCUCUCCAACACUACGGCCGACAACUUGCGGUCGACCCGUAGUGUUUCAACCGUUGGGAGCUCCCAAUCUAAGGAGUUCGUGGCUUUGCAGCAACUCAACGAGAAAUACGACAACCUACAAGCGGAGUACGCACAACUCAAAGCGUCUCAUGCACAACAAAGAGCGGAGUCUGAGCAAUUCAAAGCGUCUCAAGCACAACAAAAAGCGGAGUAUGAAGCGGCUCAGGAACAGCAAAAAGCAGCUUAUGACCAGCUUUACGAAAUGAUUAUGAAAUUGUCAAAUAGCGGAACAUGUGCGCCUAAUCCUUUUUGGCCGUAUAACCACCAGCCUCCGCCAGGAUCUCCUCCUCCUCCUCAAGCUCCAUCAUCUUUAUAUUAAUUUGUAAUCAACAUUAUUUACCUUUAAAACUUCAUUUAUUAUUUUUCUUGGAACAUAUUCAGUUUGUAAUGAAUAUUAUUUAACUUUGUUUUUUUUUAUGUUUAAUAAAAAUUUUAUUUGCAUAAUUGGUUUGUAUAACAAUUAAUUUAUAUAGUUUUAUAUUAUAUAUCCUAAAUAAUUUUUUAAAAACAAAUUAAGAAAAAAACUAUUACCAAGGAUUUUACCGACGGAUGAAUUCGGUCGGUAUUUUAAACUUUCACCGACAGAAUUACCGACGGAAUUAAUCCGUCGCCAUUUAACAGUAGCUUCCACCAGUACCGACGAAUUUACAGACGGACAUAUUCCGUCGGUAUUUUCAAUUUCACCGACCGAUGUAACGACGGAUAUUUUCCGUCGGUAAUUUCAAUUUCACCGACGGAAUGAAAAUCCGUCGGUAGAUUUCAAGCAGGAAUCUUUUUUUUUGGCGCGCACGUUCCGUCUGUAAAACCGUCGGUAAAUGAUUUUUUUGUUUUUCCGACUGAUAUACCGACGGAAUGAGGAAUCACCGACGAAGGUAAAGCCGACGGACGUAUUCCGUCGGUGAUGACAUCAGUAAAAAAAUCACCGACAAACUUCUAAUCACACACCGACGGAAUUUUGCCGUCGAUAAAACUGUGAAAUCUUGUAGUGGAAUUAGCCGUGGUGAAGUGCAAGAACAGCAGCCUGUAAAAAUCAAAUAAAAAUGGCAAACAUUAGCACAGAGAUUUACUUUCGCCGCUAAUCUUUGCUUGCGAACUUCGUUCUUAUACUUCACAAUUAAUUAACUAACAAAACAAAAUCUCAAUACCUUUACAGGUUCCGUGUUUUGGUUUACAAUUAUACUUGAGCAUAAAUUAAUUUUUAAUAUUUAAUGAAAAAAUGAGUUAGAAAUCAUUUUAUGGUCUUUGGAUAUAUCUAAGAAAAUAAGUUGGAAAAUAAUAUAUUUUGAGUUAUUAACUUUUUUAAAAUAGUAUAAAUUUUAUUUUUAUCAAAUAUUUUUUGGUGCUUGGAGAACAUUGAAAAUUAAUUUAUUUUCUAUGGUAUUUUAAUUUUAUAACACAAUUUAUAUGAUUUAAAAUGUAUAAUUAUUGUACAAUAUAACAUGUUUUGUAUUCAAAUAUAUUUUCUAGUAAUAUUAUCUAAAUUAAAGUAUUAUAUGCAUUAAUAUAUCAAAUUAAUAUACUUUUAUAUUGUAUAUUAAUAUGUCCUUCCUAUAUAAAUAUAUUAGUAAUUUAGUAUAUUUUCGACUCGAGACAACCACAGAUGCAGGCUCGUUUCAUCAAAGACUACCACAGGAUUGUUGACUUCUUGCUGUCAAUAAAGAGAAAGUUGUGUUUGAAAGGGAGGAUGGUUCAUACGAGGAGCCAAUAGGAAGGGAAAGCUUGAGAAGCCUUCCUAUAUAAAUAUACAUUUAUUUGCUUAAAUGCAUUUUGUUCCUUUAUUAGUUUUCAUUUUGGUAUUUGUGUUGAUGAAAAUUAUGCAAUUGGGGUUGAUUUUGUACGGUAGACAAAGUGGUUGAUGGAAUACCAUGUUUUAAUUCUUUUCUAAUUUUUACCAAAGUUGUAAUGUUAUUUUGAUGGUAAUCUUGUAAAUAAUUAUAUAUCUUUUUAUUAAUUUUUUUUUUUGCAAGGAAGUUAAGUGUUAGCAUGCCUAUAAAGUUCAAGAUAUAGAAUAUAAUUUUUUAAAUUAUAGGGUGUAAUCGCAAUGUGAACCAAACUAUAAGGAUGUUAAGGUUAGUUUUUCCAAUAAGAAAACAUUAAAAGGAUUUUUAUAUCCUUCUUUUUUCAGACAUUUUUAUAUUAAAAAAACCACAUUCAUUGAACUUCUUUCGAAAACGAGAAAUCUAUUAACAUAAAUAUUAGUCUUUUUAGUGGUCAAAUGUUGACAUCCAACCAUUUUCUCUCUCCUUAACUUUUUUUGAUGACUUUAUCUUUCAUCUUUCAACACCUAGAAACUAAAGAGUAAAGACAAUGAAGUUUGAUACCAAAAUAUAAAUCUCUAAAACAAUAUGGACCACAUGAUAAGAAAUUCAAAAUUCCAAUUACCAAACUGGAGUUUUUCACACCAAAAUCUAAAUGGGGCAUGUGUUUUCAUUCAUCACAUAUAAUCCUCGUUCUUUAAAUUUGUAUUUACAAUCCCAAUAAAUUUAUGAUUUUGUAAAAUCAAAACGAAAUCUAUCUUAAAACAUCUCUUAAAAGUCACUACGAACCACACAUAAAAGAAACCAUGAUAUUGUAAUUUUAGAGGAUUAAAUUUCAAUAAUUAGAAGUUUGAGGAACAGAAUGAAAAAAUAAAUAGGCAAAUUCACAGUAGUUAAUGCAUGGGUGAACAAUGAAUCACCCAUCUAUAUAUACUAGUUAUUUGACUUAUGCUUUACUGUAGGUUGGAUAAAAUUUUCUUUUUAACACAAAAAUAAAUGUGUAAGGUUAUUAACGUAUUUUUUAAUAUAAAAAAAUUUAACUAUGAAUUGAAAUACUGAUUCAUAAAUAUAUCAAAAUAAAAUGAGAAUUAUAUGUGUUAAUAAAAUCCAAAAAGAGUUGUUAACACAACACCGUCUAUAUAAUCUCAAGUUAAUUUUUUAACAUAGUAGAAAAAUACGCAAUGUUGCUAGUGCAAUUCAACAAACAUAUAUCCUACACACGUGAGAUUUUAUUUUUUUUAUAUGGAAAUAGGAUUGAUCAUAUGUCCUCUUGGAUUUUUUUUUUUAAAAGCAAACUAUGCCUUGUCUUCCUUCCUAGUUUCCAUCUACUAGGAAAUUGGUCAAAAAAUUAGGUAAGGUGUUUUAUGGCUCAAAAAUGCAAUUUUUAACCAAUUUUCACUCUAAAACACCUAUAUGUGAAUAAACCAAAAAAACCCCAAACAAGUUCAAAAACAAAAUCUUCUUUAAAGCUUGAUUUGCUUUUUCAAUCAAUAUCAAGAGAAAAAUAUCUAAAUAAAACUUCUCUGUUAAAUGAAAGUUAUUGACAUUGACACUAAUAUCAACAUUUUUCGUUGUUAAAAUUGAUAUCAAUUGAGACUCUCUUUCUCUUCAAACCAAAUAUGCCAAGUCUUUCUCUUUCUCAUUUUCUCAAACCAGUGAUUAAGAAAUAAGAUAAAUUAAUUUUUAUAUUAAAAUUAGAUUUAACAAAACCCAAUGGAUAAAAAAUGUAUCAAUUUAAAAGUAGAAGGAUCAAGGUGAACUUUUCACAUAAUUUGAAAAUAAAAAAUGCCAUUUAUUUUUUAAGCCUUUUUCACUUUGGUUCUUUUUCUUUCACUGUUAUCCUUUCGUAACAAAUUUACUUAAAUAAGCUAUCAAUUUGAUCCUAUAAAAGGAAAAUAAAAAAAAUUUGAGGAUGAAAACAAAAUAGAGUGCUAAAAAGGAUAUGUUUAAUAAUGUAGUGUAAAGUAUUUCUCAAUUGAAAAUAUAUUAAAAUGAUGUUUAAUUUAUUUUAUUUUUGAUAUUAUUACGUUAAAACAUAUUAAAACUAUUAAAACACAUAUGAAAAAAUAUUAAUUUGAGACUUCUUAAUCAUUUUAAAAAUAUUUUUCAAAUAAAAAACUAUUGCAUUGUAAUACACCUAGAUUAUUGAUCCAAGUGAUAACGAACUAGGAGAUUCAUUUUAGUCUGUGUUCUUAGGUUCUAGGAAUUGUGAAACGCUGACGUGUAUUCGUUUGCUUCAAAUAUUAUUCUAAACUUCAGUUCGAAUAUAAAUAUGACGGGAUCCCUUCCGAUCCACACGAGUAUUAAAGAUUCAAUAUUUUUCUACAUAUUUGUCAUCAUACUAUCUGAACACCACAUUUUUUUAAUUAAAAAUAAUUACCAGCCACGUAAUUGAUUGACUAAUUUUUAUGUGGAAUAUAAUUAAUUAUAUAUACACUCGCGCACGCGCGAGGAUGUUGUAAAGUACAAUGGUUAUUUUAUUUCCAUGGAAUAUAUAAAUAAAAAUAAACAAAUACACUUGCUUUUACAUUAUUAAUUAUGAAAAUCAAUGAUUGGUUUUAUCAUCGUAAGUUGAUAAGGAAAGAAAUUCAACGUGAACAAUGACAACCAUUAAAGCAUCACUGAUCGAUCGUUAUAUAUAUUUUAGGUUAAUUAUAUUUUACCUCCUUGAAGCAUAUAAUAACUAUCAAUUUUUACUUAAAAACUUCUUCUUUUUUUUAUCAAUUACCCCCAACAUUUAUCCAUCUAUCAAUAAGGGCUUUUUGUUUCAUAUAGGAUAAAAUAAAAAUUAACCAACUCAAGAGGAUAAUUGAUAAAGAUAAAUUUUAAAAAGAAAUUGACAAAAUCAUAUAAUUCAAGAGAGUAAAAUAAAAUCAACCCUUAGGUUUAGGAAAUGAGAUGUUCUCACACUCUUAACCAAAAUCGAGGAAAAAAAGGUUGGGAUGGUUCCUAGGUUGUCUUUAAAAAUUGUUUUAAAUUCAAGGAGGAGGAGGAGGAGGAGAGGAGGAGGAGGAUAGUACUAUUUGACACUGCGGUCGGAAAGUGCUUUUGAAAAAAUUAAAAUUUAUUUAUUUAUUUUUUGCUUUAAAUUAAUAUGUUUUUGAUGUUUUCAGAUUAUUUUGAUAUGCUGAUGUCAAAAAUAUUUUUUAAAAAAAUAAAAAAAUUAUUAUUUUAAUGUGUUUUGGAAUAAAAAGCACUUUGAAAAACAACCGCUACCACAUUCUCAAAUAUUCUCGAAGAAGCUGAGAGAGGUUAGAUUUCGAAAAUUUCCACCCUCAAAUUAAAGAUAAAUUUUAAUUUACCUCUUUGAAAUAUAUGGAUUCUAUUGACUCUAAGUUUAUUCUUUAUCAAUUACCCCUAAGAUGAUUAUUUUCAUUUUAUCCCAUGUGGAUAAAAGGAUCUUAUGAAUAAUGGGUGAAAUGUUAGGGGGUAAUUGAAAAACAAAAUAAGAAGAAUUUGAUAGAAUUCAUAUAUUUUAGGGGUUAAAAUGAAAUUUACCCUUCCACCAAUGAGUAAAAAGGUUUCCUAUCCUUAGGUCGGAAAAGACUAUUUCUAAAAAUUAUAUAAAAUAUUUUGAGAAUUUAUUUUUAAAAUAAAUAACAGGAUUACUAUUUCAAUGGACACUUAAUUAAUUGGAUUCAACUGUUUUAUUAAGGAUUUAAAUUAACAUGAAAAUCUUCGAAAGGUGAGAUUAGGGGAUGAGAAUGCCCCAAUUUUAUCAAUUAGAACACUUAAUAAUGUAUUUAAGCAAGCUAUUAAGUACGUAGAGUGUCAUUAUCAAUGGCGCCAAUUUUAUCUUGAAUGUUUUGAGAUUGAUAAUACCAAAGUGGUUAUUAAUUGAUGAUGAAGAGGAAAUUUUAUAUAUUUCCUGUUUGUCCUUUUAUACUUGUACGAUAUUUUCAUGGUGAUCUUCGUCUUCCUCUCUCCCUUUCCAUGUAGAAAUUGCCGCACAAGAAUUAAAAGUAAACUUCUAUUAGAUCUUCUUAAGAAUAAAGAUGUUCGAUGGAAGUGUUAAAUAAAAUGAGAAACUUAGGAAUUCAUUAAAGGGUGUUUGUGAAAGUUAUAAUAGUAAUUUUCUAAAGUAUUUUUUUUCUUGUAAAUAAAUUAAAAUAAUAUAUAUUUUUUAUUUUUUAUAAUUUAUUUUUAACAUUAAUAUAUUAAAUUAAGAAGGAAUAAAUCAAAUUAUUAGGUGAUUUAAGUUAUUGAUUCAACUAAUAAAUUAUUGGUCAAACUGUCAUAAACAAGAAAUGAUAAAGUGGCAAGUAUAUAACUUGCAAAAGCUGCAAAUUUUUAUUAAAAAAAAAAAAACCAAUUCAAUGUUAAACUCACUAGUCUAACUAGACGGGUUUGAUCAAAUCCGUUAAAUAUAUAAUAUUUUACAUCAAUCACGACUGAUUAAAUUACUAGAUCAUUAAGUUUUUAAUUAAAUCGAAUGAUUCAGACUUAAUAAUUUUUUUUAAUUUAAUAAUAAAGAUAUCAUCCUCUAAAUUUACAAAUCAAUUAAGUUAAUGUUUGUUUUUUAGAAUUCACUUUUUAGAAAAUUACUUUCAAAACUUUUAUAUGUUUGUUUGUCAUUAAAAAAAUUGGUCAACGGAAAACACUUUUCAGUCAACAAAAACACUUUUCGGUCAACGAAAAACACUUUCCAGUCAAAGAAAAAUUUGGUUUGGUUUUCAAGAAAGUUUUUUUUUUGGCUGUGUUUGUUUUCCGGAAAGUGGUUUCCGAAAAACCACUUUCCAAACUUUCCCGUGUUUGUUUGUCAUUAGAAAAAAAUUAAUUAAAAAAAAACAUUUUUCAAUAAAAAGAAAAUUUGACUUGAGGGUAGAAAAGUCUAUUUUCAAAUCAUCUUACUGCAUGUUUACGCAUUCGUACAUGUUCAGGGUGUCCUCAGGCCUUGUUUAUCACUAUUUGGAUACGCGAAAGUUGACUUUUUAUUAAGAACAACCCGCAAAUGUUGAUUUCUGGGACACCCACAGUUUGUCUCCUCAACGACAUUACGGUAAAGACCACACCAUGUGUCCCAGCUCCUUCCCUGUUCGAAAGAAAACCAACAACCUCUCUGCCAGGACAAAUUAUCCUUGGCAGGCGGCUUAGCUGAUUCUAGAUCAAUGAUACAAAGAACACGAAAUCAUGCCAGCCUUUUCGUGUUUUUUCAGCUCUCCCCUUUUUUGAUUCGGAAUACACUCACGUUCUCUUGAUCAAUUCACUCUCUUUGAUUUUUCCUAGUGGCACUCGCAACUUCCCCUCCUAUCUUUCACCAUCCCUGCCAUCCUCCCUUUCUGCGACGACCCUCUUGGGGUGGUCUUGUGUUUUACUUUUACAAGCAGUGUUUUCCUUUUCUUUGUAUAUUUUUUUCUUCUCUGGGUUUUGCUUUUAGAGCUUUGUUGACCCUUUCUCAAUAUUUUAUUACGACGACAGCAUUUUUUUCAAGAAAAGGACGCAAUGCAAAAUGAAAAAUAAAAAAUAAAAACCCGAGUAACUCGUCAUCUUUAAAAACCCCUCCUACAUUAUCUUUCCCUCCAACCACCUUACUCUCUUUCUUCCUUCUCUAAAAAAACAAACGAAAAACAUUGUUUCUGUCCCUGAACUACUGCUCUUUUUCGUGUUCUUUGAAUUAUUUUUUUUGGAGAAUUAAUUACCCCACAAUUAGAGAAAGAGUAACUGUGUUCUGCAUGCUUAAAACAUGGCGUUUGUUCAAUCACUGUCAAAGACUGUCUCUGUUUUUGUUUUCGGUUUUGUGGUAUUGAAUUGCUUGGUUGUGGACAAAUUUAGAUCUCAUGCCCAAGGAGUGACUCCACUCUUGCCACAAGAUGAAGGUAAAUGGUCAUAAUUCAACAAUCUCCUUUUUUUUUGUCAGCAAAUCAAAAUAUUUGGCAGAAUAAAUGGUUUUUCUUUCUGGGUUUUCUUCGUGUAAUGGCCAAGUGUUCUUGUUCUUAACAUUAGUUGACAGACAUGCUCUUGUCUUGUUCGUCGGGGGAAACUGCUGUUUUGACUUUCAGAUUUUUCAUUUCUCUUUAAAAACGUUUUUUUUUAUCUCUUCUUGUCAUAAAAAAAUUGUGUUUUAUUUAUUUUUUAAGAUUAAUCGGGGAAAUAUAUUGCAUGAAUUGGGCAAUAAUAGGAAAAGAGGAGGAAUUCGGAAAAAGUAUUUUUGAAAAUGUUACUUAAAUGCAUGAUUUGUAUAGUUUUCUUAAAAAAGAAAAAGAAAAAAACUGUUCAAUUUCUUGUUGCAAUCAAACAAAAGAAAUGAAGAAUAUUAAACAAAAGAAAUAAAGUACAAGAAAUUUGAUAAAAUAUUAAACAAUUCAAGAAGUGAGAAGGUGAUAUUAUUAAAAAAUAUAUUUUUCAUUUCUUCGAUGUGACAUAUUUUUGGUAUGUUCAUCGUUUCAACUUUCAAGGAGCAACUGUUGCUUGAAAGUUGCAUCUGUUCAACACUGCAUUCAUUUAUGGUAGAAAGAUUCUUGCCUCCCUGAUAUAUUUGUUAAAAUAAAGUACAAGAAAUUAUUGAAAGGUGAUAUUAUUAAAAAAUAUAUAUAUUUUUCGUUUCUUCGAUGUGACAUAUUUUUGGUAUGCUCAUCGUUUCAAGUAGCAACUGUUGCUUGAAAGUUGCAUCUGUUCAACACGGCUUUCAUUUAUGGUAGAAAGAUUCUUGCCUCCCUGGCAUAUUUGUUAAAAUAAAGUACAAGAAAUUAUUGAAAGGUGAUAUUAUUAAAAAAUAUAUAUAUUUUUCGUUUCUUCAAUGUGACAUAUUUUUGGUAUGCUCAUCGUUUCAAGGAGCAACUGUUGCUUGAAAGUUGUAUCUGUUCAACACGGCUUUCAUUUAUGGUGGAAGGUUCCUGCCUCCCUGGCAUAUUUGUAUUGUUAGCUAAAUUUAUUUAUGCUAGGUUUUCCAAGUGUGCAAAGUGUUUUUACUAUAACAACUGGGUGGCAUUAUUUUCUCUUGUGUAAUGUGAUCAAGGAGUUACCUAUCACUAUACUUUAGCAAGAUUUGCAGAGGAAAGCUCUGGGAGGCACAUGAAAAAAAAAUGGCUUCUAAAAUAUGUGCGAAAUAUUGGGUGAAAAUCGAGAGUUUCGACCAUGUCCAUGUGAUAUAUCCCAAAAAGGAAAGGUCUAGUAAAGUAAAUCUGUGCAGGUCUAUCUCACCCAUGAACAGUUAUGCUGAUCGACGUGAAAUUAUGAUUUGUUUUACUAGUAAUUUCUAACAUUAUUGUAAGCAUUUUUUCUUGGUGUUUCUUAACAUGUAUUGUUACUAUCUGAUGCAACAGUGCAAAUCCUUCAAACAAUAUCCGACAAGCUGAAAAACAACAAUUGGACGACAAUCGAUCGAACUUCCUGCAGUAGCGCACAGUGGAAGCUGUACAUCAGCGACCCCCCCAAAAAUGACAGAAUUCAAAGCAACGUUACAUGUGACUGUACAUUUGAAAAUAACACCGUCUGUCAUGUCAUCAGCUUGUAUGCACUUGUUUCCUUAUAUCCCUCCUUUUUCUUCAGAUAUAAUAACCACUCAGAUAGAGAUUAGACUCGUCUCAAGCAAUGCUUUGAUUAGAAGAAUAUAUUUGUAGCAAACACUCUCUCUUGGAUUUGGUACUGGUCCAAUUUUAUAUGAACACUGUAUCAAUUCCUAAACCUCAGCUUAUGGUAACGACCGCUUGGUGUUGUACGAAGACUUAUCACCUCUUACCUCUUUCUCUUUAUAAUCAUCUUUUUUUUCUCUUCUUCUGACAGCAAGCUGAAGGGUUUUAAUCUGACUGGAGUUCUACCAGUGGAAUUUCGAAAUCUUACCCAACUGCGCGAAAUGUGAGUGGCAAUUGCGUAUAUAUUUCUUGUUAGUCAAGUUUUUUGUUGGACAGCGGAGAUCAGUUUCUAUCUGGAUUUAUGGAUGAUUUUAAUUAGAUUUCUUAUGAUCUCAGUGAUUAGCUCUCUCCUUCAAUGGGCUAUCAAUGUGCAAGUUUCAAAUUCUCCAGGGUUACAGUGUCUUAGUUGAUAGACUCCUGUCCUGUUUUUUCUUGUUCUUUUUGGUUCUCUAGAAUGGUUUAGUUGCCAAAUAGCCCAUCCACAUUCACUCAGUUUGAUAUACAUUUACGUGUGAAAUAAUUUCCAAGUUUCAAUGCCUCUUUUCUCAAACACAGACAGCCCUGUUCACUCGCAUUUUUGAAGUUUUUUUUCCCCUUUAUUGUUAUCGUCUUAGCAAGAUUUUGUUACAGCUGCAAUGUGCAAUGUAGAAUAUUACCAUUCUUUUUACUCUGUGAGAAUUCGAAUUUUAGAAUGACUGAAAUGAAGCAUCCUGCAUUGUACAGUGAUCUCUCUCGCAACUACUUAAAUGGAUCAAUCCCAGGAAGUCUAGCUGAGCUCCCAAACCUUCAGAGUUUGUAAGUUUGUUUGUUCACUUGUAUUUCUUAUGGAGUUUUCAAUUGUGACAUGGCCAUUCAUGAAUAAAUAACCUGUUCAAUAUUUUUUCUUUUAUACCUUAGGUCUCUUCUGGCAAACCGUCUCUCCGGUUCAAUUCCUAGGGAAAUUGGCAGCUUUGCGACUCUGAAGUCCCUGUAAGUCUCAAAACAAAGUUCUCUACUUGUCCAGUAAAUGAAAUUCUGAGUUGCAAUAAAAUAGGUAUUGCGUCUUGCAGGGUCCUGGAAGAUAAUCUACUAGGAGGGUCUCUUCAUCCAGACCUUGGAAAUUUGAAAAGCUUGGAGAGACUGUAAGACAGAUGCCUUCAUCUUCUAUCUGAGUUUAUUUAUGUAUCUACUUCAUGAUAUUCAAUCUAAGUCUUUUUAUGUAUGGUACCAGUAUUUGAUGCUCACUCAGAAAAAAUUAUUUGUAACUUUGUAUUAUUUACCCCUGCAGUCUUCUUUCCGCCAACAAUUUUUCAGGAACAAUACCAGACACAUUUGGCAAUUUAAAGAAUUUAAAUGAUUUGUAAGUGAUGAUGCGGGUCACAAUUUUUUUUUAUAGUAAUUACUGUGCUGAGCUUAAAUAUUCAUAUGUUUCAUAUGCUCCUGUAGUAGGAUAGAUGGAAGUGAACUGUCAGGGAAGAUACCUGACUUUAUUGGGAACUGGACCAACAUUACGACAUUGUGAGUAUUUACUUUGUUCCAUUUAUCUGCUAAUGUGUCCUCGAGCACAAGCUGAAUGGAAUUCCAUUUUCCUUUCCCUCUUGCAUUCCUAACAAUGGUAUAUUUCUUUUGCAGUGAUUUGCAAGGAACAUCCAUGGAGGGUCCUAUUCCCUCUACCAUUUCACUGUUAAAAAACUUAACAACUUUGUGAGCUUAAGUUCCCAUUCAGUUCAAAGAAUUUUGCCUCGUUGCUUUUCGGUAAGUCUAUAUUUGAGAAAACUGAUUUUUUCUGUUGUCUUGAUUUUUCAGGAGAAUAUCUGAUUUGAAAGGAUCCAGUUCAACUUUCCCUGAUCUGAAAGAUAUGACAAAAAUGGAAAAACUGUGAGUUGAAUGAGACUGAUCAAAUAUAUUGUUACAGCAAUAUUACAUCAGUAAUUGAUUACAUAUUAUUUUUUACUCAGGAUUCUGAGAAAUUGCUCAAUGACUGGUUCAAUCGAAGAAUACCUUGGAAAUAUGGCAGACCUAGAUACUCUGUAAGUUUCUCUAACAGCUACCUUCAUGGCAACGCUUAAUUUCAUGGGCGUCAUAUUAUGUUACUCUGAUUCAAAAUGACAAGAUGUGUAAAGUGAUUGACAUCACUUUACUCUAUCGUUUGGUUUCAUUUAAAGUAAGAUAAAGCAAAGUGAAUCAGUAAAGGUGUAGCAAUAAGUUGAUUCCUUAUUUAUCCUGGUUGAACAAGGAUAUUUCCUAACCAUGAAGCUCCAGCCUUUUCCUCUUUUAAAACCGACAGUUUUGCAUUUCAUUUUUCCUUAUUUUAGAUUCUCAUUGAGUGAGGUCGGGAUGUUUUCAAACCAAUCUUGAUUUGUCAUAUGAGAUGCUGUUGGUGAUGUUCUACAUUAUAACAAUGUAAUAAGAUAAGUGGAAGACAUCUUAACAUUUGGAAGGAGUGGAAAUUCUGCUGUAUAUGUAUGUGUGAGGUUCAUAUGUUCUCUGUGAGCAUGAGCUAGACCUGCAUAUAGUCUGCAUGAUUCAAAAUCAUGAUGGUGGGGGCUCAUGUUUUUCAUAAAAGCCAUGCUGCAGAGGAUGUAAUAGGACCUUGAAUAUUAUUAGUCUGACAACACGGACUGGUCCGACAUUCCGUGAAUUAGAUUGCAGUGUGUUUAUAUUGCCCAGAGCUAAUUUUAUCUAGUGCUUUUUUCACGUGCUUUCAUUAAUUUGUAUAUAUUUCAUUGCAGAGAUCUGAGCUUUAACAAGUUGACAGGCCCGAUUCCUGGCCCAUUAGAGAGUUUGACAAAAAAUAUAAAGUUCAUGUAAGUAAAUAAACGCAUGCUAUCUGAAAGCACAGGAUCAUCGUUUCUAAUAUAUUUCUCAUAUUGACAGCUUGCUGGUUCAUUACCUGUUUAUUAAUGUGUAGGUUUCUGAAUAACAACUUACUAACUGGAGAAGUGCCUGCUUGGAUACUGGGAAGCAGGAAAGACUUGUGAGUCUAUUGUGAAGCUAUACAUAAUUCUUUAUACAUGAAAUACACCAAUCUUUGUUCUCCUCAAUCAACAACUAUAUUACCCCUGCCGUGAAAUUUUAUUUCAGGGAUUUAUCUUACAACAAUUUUACUGGGUCAGCUCAGCCAAGUUGUCAACAGCUACCAGUGUAGGCAUUAUUUUUUCCCGUUACUUGUUUCUUCUCCUUUGUCUCAAGUUGAUUGCUAACUUCUAUUUUGAAAUCAUAUAGGAACUUAGUUUCUAGUCAUGUGUCAACUGGGAGUAACAAGUAAGUUCCUCCUUCACUAAGAUGCCUUUUAAGAAAUCUAGAAAUUUGACUUAUCGACAACCCUCAUUCUUCUCUACAGGAUUUCUUGGUGCUUGAACAAGGACCUUGUUUGCACAAGAAAACCUCAACGUAAGUGUGUAAAAACAGUACUCUGGUGUUUGAUGAAGGUGUAAUUACAUAAAUACAGUACUUGUUGUCCUAGGGAAGGCAGCUUAUGAUAUUAAUACUUCGUUCUACAGACCAUUCCUUGUUCAUAAACUGUGGAGGGAGCAGUGAGACUGUUGGUGAUAAUGAAUAUGAAGACGACACAACUCCAGGGGGGGCAGCUGAUUUUGCAUCUAUAUCAGAAAGAUGGGGUUAUAGCAGUACAGGGACUUAUAUUGGCACUGAUGACGGCGCUUACAAAGCAACAAAUUCUUAUGGUCUGAAUGUGACCGGUGAAGGUUUUUACCAAACUGCUCGCCUUGCCCCUCAAUCACUCAAGUACUAUGGCCUGUGCAUGCUGGCGGGCAGUUACAAAGUGCAGCUCCACUUUGCUGAAAUUAUGUAUUCCAAUAAUCAGACUUUUAGCAGCCUUGGGAGGCGGAUAUUUGAUAUAUCAAUUCAAGUGAGUAAAAUGAUUUUCAAAUUAGCGCAUUUACUUAGGAUUUUUCUUUUUAUCUAUGAUUGUAUUUCUAAAUAACCUCAUGAGACCUACCAUGUGUUAUGGAUCCUUUUCAAGUUUCCAUAGAAAACGGUGGUAACACUCUUUAAAACCUGCAAAAGUCAUGCUCGGAACUUCUUCCUGCAGGGGAAGGUAGUUGAGGCAAAUUUCAAUAUUAUGGAGGAAGCUGGAGGUGUUGGUAUUGGCAUCACUAAGGUAUUUGAUGGUAUAAUUGUUAAUGGUACCACACUGGAGAUACACUUAUACUGGUCAGGCAAAGGUACUACUGCUGUUCCUGACAGGGGUGUCUAUGGACCUCUCAUAUCUGCCAUUACAGUGACUCCAAGUAAGUCUUGACGAAAUCAAGAGGAUUUUUUGUUUCCAUCAACGGUCUUUUUGUUUAAUUCAUUUCUCUCCUUGUAGACUUUAAGGUGGAUAAUGGUGGCGGAUUAUCAGUUGGAGCUAUUAUUGGCAUUGUAGCUGCUCCAUGUGUGCUUGCGGCAUUGGUUUUGCUGGUCCUCCGGAAGAAAGGUUACUUGGGAGGGAAGGACCUUGAAGAUAAAGGUAAGAUUAAUGGCACAAGUAGGAUGUGUCUUAUUUGAUUGUGUGCAUGCUGUAAACUUUUGAUUAUCCUUGUCAUGCUGAUUUUGAGAUUCUGCUCAUCACAGAACUCCGUGCUCUAGAUCUCCAAACUGGUUAUUUCAGCCUAAGGCAAAUUAAACAUGCGACCAAUAAUUUUGACCUUGCAAAUAAGAUAGGAGAAGGAGGAUUUGGUCCAGUUUACAAGGUAUUUAUGAAUGUUCCAGUUUACUAUUUAGUUAGGUUAUGUGCUGACAAAGUGUUCUACUGUAUGGCGCCUUCUUGUAUAAAAUCACAUGCAAAAGCUUGUGAUAAAAGGGAUGUAAUAUCUUUUAAAACAUUCUGAAAUCUCAGUCUAUUUUAUUUCAGGGCAUGUUGUCAGAUGGUUCUGUAAUUGCUGUAUAGCAGUUAUCGGCCAAAUCGAAACAAGGAAAUCGUGAAUUUGUGAAUGAGAUAGGCAUGAUAUCUGCCUUGCAGCAUCCCCAUCUCGUGAAGCUGUAUGGUUGUUGUAUUGAAGGAAAUCAGUUGUUGUUAGUAUAUGAAUACUUGGAAAACAAUAGCCUUGCUCGGGCUCUUUUUGGUAAAUGCUUGACCAACUCCUUAAUGUAUCAGCUUAUAUAUAGUCUGUAGAAUGAGAAUGAGAUUAAAUUGCUUUCCUGUUCCUCUGUCUCGUCUCUAUCAGGUCGUGAUGAACACCAGAUUAAACUGGACUGGCAAACAAGAAAGAAAAUAUUGUUAGGUAUUGCAAAGGGAUUAGCUUAUCUUCAUGAAGAGUCAAGGCUGAAGAUUGUACACAGAGACAUAAAGGCAACUAAUGUGCUGCUUGAUAAGGAUCUAAAUGCCAAGAUAUCUGACUUUGGUUUAGCUAAACUGGACGAAGAAGAAAACACUCAUAUUAGCACGCGGAUUGCUGGGACAAUGUGAGUUCUUUCUCCCCCUUGUUCUUUCAAUUUAAUUUCCUUGCUUGUGGUAAAGGGAUAAAUAAAUUUUUAUUUUUUUUGGUAAUGAUACUUUGAACAAUAUGGAUAUCAAAUGGAAAUAUUGUGAAACGCAGACAUAUUAUUUGAUGGCAUCUCAUAACAGCAGCACAAAUGAUUAUCGCCUUGGACAUGAGAACAUAUAAAUUUAUUCCACUAGCUCAUGGCCAAUACUUACUCUUCUGGUUCUUUCUAAUUUCUCUUCAGAGGUUAUAUGGCUCCAGAAUAUGCUAUGAGGGGUUACUUGACAGAUAAAGCAGAUGUUUACAGCUUUGGGGUUGUUGUUUUAGAAAUUGUCAGUGGGAAGAGCAACACGAAUUACAGGCCGAAGGAGGAGUUUGUUUAUCUUCUUGAUUGGGUAACUUGUAUCAUUUCCUUUCAGAAUUCUGUCUACACAAUUUACAUUUACACUGACCACCAAUGAGCAUGAUUGUAGACUGAUGGAAAAUGCAUGUUACUGAUAAUUGUAGGCCUAUGUCCUGCAAGAGCAAGGAAACCUUCUAGAGCUUGUGGAUCCAAGCCUUGGUUCAAACUACUCAAAAAUAGAGGCAUUGAGGAUGCUUAACUUGGCUCUCUUGUGCACCAACCCAUCUCCCACUUUAAGGCCAUCAAUGUCUUCUGCAGUGAAGAUGCUUGAGGGACAAAUUCCAGUCCAAGCUCCGAUAGUCAAGCGCAGUACCAUGAACCAGGAUGCAAGGUUCAAAGCCUUUGAGCUUCUCUCACAUGAUAGCCAAACAUACGUCUCAAAUGGAUCUCAAAACAGUCAGAUACAGAAGAGCAUAUCAAUGGAUGGACCGUGGAUCGAUUCUGAAUUUUCUAUCGAAAGUAAGGAUGAGAUCAUAGAUUCCUCAUCGACCAAGCUUCUUAAGGAUCUUUACGACGUCAACUUAGAUUGAUCAACGGAAAUUGAUGAAAUAGUCCCUCCUUUUCUUUUGGUCUGGUAGUAUUCUGAGUUUGCAAAUAGGAUUGCUGAGGAAUCAAGAAAUACAUUUUAAAUGAUUUGUUCUGGUAUAUGUUGAUUCUUUUGUUAAAAAAUAAAAAACAUUGGAGAGCUUGGUCUUUCGAAUUGGACAAAUGUUGAUGACAUGAGUAGAAAUUAGACGAAGCAUACUUAUCUUUCUUCGUCCUCCAGUAGUAGUAGUAGUAAUUUAAUUGUUUUUUUUUUUUUGAACUAGUUGAGGUGGUGGAAAGGAAAAGGCAAAUAAAGGGGAAAAAAAGAACUUAGAGGGAGAAGGUAAGGCAGGUUUAGGCCCCGUUUGUUUGCCGGAAAGUUGUUUUCUUUUGGAAAGUGAAUUCUGGAAAAGUGAAUUCUGGGAAAGUGAAUUAUUUUUCGAUGUUUGGUAGUGUAAUAAAAAAUAAGUUGGAAAACAAUUUCUAGUGUUUGGUUAUGUUAUAGAAAAUGAGCUGGAAAAUAAUUAUUAAUGUUUUAUUUUUUUCAAAUUUAUUAAAAUAAUGAGGAACAAAUCUUACAUUUUUAAAUUUUUAAACAAUUUUAAAAGUUUGAAGACCAAAUUUGAUAUAAUCAACAAAUAAUAUGAUAUUUUUAAAUUUUUCACAACUUCUAAAAAAUGUUUUCUGUUUACCAACUUUUCUAAUGACAAACAAAUAUAUAAAAAUUUAAAAAAUAAUUUUUAAAAAAUCACUUUCGAUCAAACAAACAAGACCGAAAGAGAACACAACACUACAAAGUACGGAGCCAUCUUGGCAAGACUCACGUUGCCACACACAUAUAUUUUUCUUAGCUAGUUGUAAGUUUUAGACUCACGUUUGCACAUUGUGUAGCAAGACUCACGUUGCCACACACACACACAGCUAGUUGGUUUGGCAAGAAGGAUUAAAAUUCUAGAGAAGAAAGAGUGGCAGCACAUGAAAAAAUAAGGGAAAACAUGUAGUAAGAUAGGGCAAAAAUCUAAAAAAAUCGGUGUAAAAAAAUAAAUUACAUUAUCGAGAAGAAGAAUAGUGCAUUAGAAACAGGUCAGAAACCAACAACCAACUCAAGAAACAAAGAUAGGAUCCUAGGCAACAUACAUAAUAGGUCAGAAAUAGUUCUAAAGAUAAGAAAAUAACAUGAAAAAUUAGAAAAAAAAAAGGAAUAAAUGCAUUACUAGGACAUCAUCUUUGUACUUUUUCUCAAUCAAUUACAAAUAUUUUGAUUUUUUGAUAUCAAUUUCUUUUUAAAAAUAUUUAUUAUAAUUUAAAAUAUUUUAAUUCAUUAAAUAUAGAAUUAUUUAAAAGGGUACUUUUAUCAAGAUAGAACCACAUUAAAAAAUAAGAUAUUGAUAUAAGUACUAGAUUAACAUAAUAAAAAAUGUUCGUGCACUAAUUUUUUAUUUUUUAAAUUAAAUGUACGUACUCUCGAUUGAUACAAAACCUAAGUUGGUGUACCAAAAAUGGAUUAAGGUCGAAGAAAAUGGAAGGAAAAAUUUGAUUGGAAGUUUUGAAAAAGUUAUAACGUAAUUAGCCCUCAAAUAAGUUAACAAGUAUGAACAGAAAUGAUGAUAACAAGGCAAAGUAUGAACAGAAAUGAUGAUAACAAGGCAAAGAAAUACGCUUAAAAACAAAAGUAAUAAGAUAAUGAUGGAUGGACAGUUGAUGAAGCAGUAAGUUAUUAGCACUCUUUUAUAUAGUGCACUUUAUUUUCAUAACUUAUUAGCAUUUUGUUUUUUCUUGAAUUUGUUUCUUUUUUUUUUUUACACUUUCAGAUUGUUUUGAGUUAUUGUCAAACCAGUUUCAGUAAAUAAAUUCACUUUAGAAUUUGUUGCUUACAAUUCACGCAUAUGAGAUUGAACCUCAAUUUGCAAGUGUGUUUGAAACUGAUCAAAGGUAUAAUUAUCUGUAGAAUGCAACAUCUUCUUCCUAUAUUCAUUCCAGGAUGGAGGAAGUUUUGAUAAAACAGCCCCAACUUGAAGUGAAUCAGGAACUUUGAUAUCCAAAUCACUAAGUUUUGAUUUCAGCAUUUGAAUUUCAUGGACUUGAUCCAUGAUUGCUUUAUUGUCAGUAAUCUCAUACUCAAAAAAUUUUAAAGCAAUAAAACGAUCAGAACUUGAUUUUUCCUGCUUGUAGUGUGUCUCCAAGACAGCCCAAAUUUCUUUUGGCGACUUUAAUUUGGAGAAGAUGUCAUAAAGUCGACUAGUCAGAGUAUUCAAUAUAUGCCCUUGACAAAUCACUUCAUCUUCUUCACGUUUUACUCUUGCAAUCUUAAUAGUGGCAGAUUCAUCUUCUUGUGGUUCAGGUAGUAUAGAUAGAUUCGGAUCAAGAAUGUAGAAAAUCUUUAAUGAAGUAAGCAGGAAUAUCAUCUUGUCCAUCCAUCUUGUGUAAUUUGUACCAUCAAACCGAUCUAGUUGAAUUGACAUCCUUAGCAACUUUGACUCUAGAAUUCAUAUUUGUCUCCAUCAAAAUAAACACCUUAAAAUUGUUAGGAAAAUUUAGGAUGAAACAAAUAUGAAGUUGGCUUAGAGGCAUGAAAACACUAUCUUUAAGGUGUUUAUUUGUCUCACACAAAGACAACACCUUCAGGAUACAACUAAGCCCUCUAAACCUCUAAAAGAAUGAGAAGAUAAGACCAAGAAAAUAAUAUAUGUAUUUUUUGUUGUUUUUCUUUUCUGUAUAGUAACAUGUUUUUAUAGACUUGAAACAUAACGAUGAAACAGUAUGACUGUUCAUCAAAUAAUAUGACUAUUGAUGAAACAAUAUGACUGUUCAUAUUAAGUUCCAAGUUUCAAGUUCCAAAUGCUAUCUUUUGAUAUUAUAAAUAUCCAUAUAAUAACAUUAGGAAGCCAAAUAAGAGAGUUUGUCCACCAUUGUUUAAUUUACUACACAAUAGAAACCCACACUUAGAAACAUUAGGAGGGAGUGUUUCUUUCCAAUGUAGGAUAAACAUCUUUUCUUUAUUUAAUUUACAAACUACACCAACAGUUUGUUCUACCCCAGUAGAAUCUUGAUGGUCCGGCUGGAUCUGUAUCAUCUUAGUAUAUUUUCCCUUCAAUAGUUGCUUCUUUUCCUCCACAAUUUAUGUGGAGGGAAUAGAAUUAUGGUGCCAAAGCAACAACAUAUCAAUCACCAUGGAAUACUAACAUGCACAAAUCAAACUAACAUGGCAAAGAACAACUUAUGUAUGUUGAAAAUAUUAUUGUUACCUUGUAGAAGCUUAAUUUUGUUAAGCUACUAUGUGAAUGCUUCUUUUACAAUUGAUCGUAUUCUUAUGCAAUUCUGUUCCUUUGUAAUGACAAGAACCAUGACAUCAUGGUAGAAGGUAUACUUGAUCUUUUAACUUCCAGAACAAGACUUCUGAUUUAUAGAUAUUUGGUACGUAAAAGGAGCAAAUAAUUUUCUAUAACACAAUCAUAAGCCUGACUUACGUUUUGGACAAUGAAAGCUUCUUAAGCAUGGAACAGUACUUCUGCUGCGAUAUAAAAAGAAAAUAAAAAUAAAAAACAGCAACAUAUCUGAUUAAAAUUUAGAAUAGGAAAGGCCUAGACCAAAUUAUCAAACAUCUCUCUAGAAAUAGAUAAGAUUGAGUUUUCAGGAGUCUAAAAACUUACAAGACGUUGCCCAUUGAAGCGCUGCCAAAUAAGUUUCUGUAGGAAAUCAGAGAAGUGAGAAAAAUUAGCUCUUACGCAAAUUGCAAGUGAAUGCAGGGGAAUGAGGGAUAGAAAAGAAAUGGAGAGCAUAAAACUUCACUUUCUUACACUUUGCACUGUAGACAUGAGCUUUCAUUUCUGAAAUUGUUGUAGGAAAGAUCACUGCCAGAAGAAAGGUAGAUGUCAGUUCAAAAUGUAAAUCAAUCAAACAAUUUGUUGAUCGCAUAGUUGGUUAAGUGUGCCUAAUUAGUCUUAGUGGCUAUGAACCCUUCUGAUGUUCUCAUUAUCCCUUAAUGCAUGGAAAUUUUAGUUUUAGGCAUCAAAUCUAGAAAAAGUCGCUAGAUGACUUGGUUUUCCAAAUGCAAUAGAUCAUCAAUGAGCUGCAAUCGAAACCCCAAACCAAGUUUAUUAUCUUCUGAACACAAUCUAGGGAUGGUAUGGAAUUGUGUUCCUCAAAUGGCUGCGGUAUCAAGAGAACAAUAGGUAAAUUCUGUAGGAUAUUUGUAAAACUAAAUAAGUAACUUUUAGACGUAUCAGAAAUAAAUCUAAUAGGAAAAAAAACCUUGCACAAAUUCUCCAUCCAUAGUUAUCCAGUCUCGUACGAUUCCACUUAGCUUAUUCCCCGUUAAAUAUCUAGAAAGAAGUAGUGAAUCAAUGAAAGUGGAUUUCAAGCAAAGGUAACAAAACCGUAUAGAACAAUUGUUCCUGUAGCUUAUAGAACAGUUGCAAGACUUGGUUUGAAAUAUGAGAACUGCUCGGGAUCUUCAAGCUGAAUGUAAGAAGGAACAAAUAUAAAGCCAUUUGCUUACAUGUAAUCAGCUUUUCUUAGACCACUAAAGCUGCUUGGAAUUUCUCCGAUAAGUUUGUUAAAGCUGAGGUCUCUGCAAAGAAACCAUAAGGAGAGCUCAGCAUAUUACUAGGAAAUGAAGAAAAAUGGUCAAAUAACUAAGAGAACAUCAGUGUAUCACUGCCAAGUACGCAAAUACAAGACAGGGUAAAUGCUAACAAAGUCCAAAACGGUAUAUAAAGAAGCUGACAAAAGGAACUGACAAGGUUGUCAUUUUAGGCAAUUCACCAACAAAGUCAGGUAUUGGUCCAAUAAUAUUGCAACUCCUCAGUAUUCUGCAACAUAAACAUUAAUUUUCAGAAUCACAUAAAGAAGAAACAACAACGCAAAACAAUAAUCACAUGAUGAUUGAUAAGAAAGCAUCUAGCUCACAGUGUCUUUAGGUUUUUCAUAUUAUUAAUGGUGGGAAUGGGGCUUCAGUUCCAUUUCCCUGCAGAUCACUGAUUCUCCUGCAUAUAUGCACAGUUAAGGAUAAGAGCUUUUAUUAUUGUUCUUAUAAAAGUUAUCAAUCAACAGAGCUUUACUCAUAGAUCAACCAUCUUUUCUAGAAGAGCAAUGCCUGAUGGAAUCGGCCCGCUUAGACCACUGCCUUGUAUCACUCUACCAUGCAGUUGAAUAUUGGUUCAAAUAAAUAAUCUGAUAGGCCACACAAACUGUAAAAUAAUUCAUACAAUUACAAACCAUAAAAAAUCUUACAGUUUUUCCAGGUUGGUCCAUUUCUGAAUAAGAUUCGGUAUCUGACCUGUGAAGCUGUUAUCACCAAUUCGGCUGCAAAAAACAAUAAAAUCAUGUCGUUUGAUUCAAAGUUGAACAUUUAAUUUGUGUUAUAAUUAUAAUAAUACUUCAAAAACUUACAAAUCCUUCAUUGUGGUAAGCUUUUCAAAUGUUGCUGGCAACUAUCCAGUAAAGUUGUUAGAGGAUAGAUGUGUUAAAAUAAUUGAGAUCAAAUACAAAAAGAAGGCUAGAAUUCUGAAUAAUAUGUAUAUUAUGAAUGCUUAGUCUUAACCUAAAUACAAAUAAAGUAUAUAUAGGUUAAACUGAAAGUACUAUUCUACCCUUAAUAAAUAAGACUACAUAAAUAUUAUUUAACAUCUCCCCUCAAACUCAUGAUGCGGCAGCUACAAGCAUCGAGAGUUUGCCAACCAGAAAACGAAAACGAGAGAUGGAAUGUGCCUUGGUAAAGAAAUCUGAAAUCUAUAAGGAAGAAGGAACAAAAGGCAAAGCAAUGGUGCCAUGUUUGAGAUGAUGACAAGUAAGAUGACAAUCAAUCUCAAUUUGCUUAGUGCGCCCAUGAAAAACCGAGUUAUGAGCAAUCUGAAUAGAACUCUGGUUGUCACAAUACAUAGGAGUAGGAUAAGAAAAGGAAACUCCUAUAUCAGCAAGUAACCAAUGUAACCAAACAAUCUUUUUGGUAGUAGAUGCCAUGGCACGAUAUUCUGCUUCGAUGGAUGAUUGAGAAACAAUAGAUUGUUUCUUGCUCUUCCAAUAAAUAAGAGAAUCACUUAAAAAGAUACAGAACCCGGUAACAGACUUGCGAUCUAUGGGAUCACUACUGUGAUCAGCAUCAGAGUAUACACGCACCUCCAAGGAAGAGGUGGAUGAAAGUAACAAACUCUGAAAAACUGUACCCCGAAGAUAUCGCAAAAUACGAAGAACAACUGCCCGGUGAAUAGUAGUAGGAGAAGCAACAAACUGACUAACAACAUGAGCAACAUAUGCAAUAUCUGGACGAGUAAUGAUGAGAUAUACCAAACUCCCAACAAUAGUGCGGUAUAAAGUAGGAUCUAUCAAAGGUAAACCAUCAGAAGAAGAGUACCUUGCGUUAACCUCAAUAGGAGUAUCUACAGUCUUGUUAUCAGUAAGUCUAACCCGCUCAAGAAUAUCUGCAACAUAUUUCGACUGAGAAAGAAGGUAACCUCUAGGUGAGUAUGUUACCUCAAUACCCAGGAAAUAUCGAAGAUAACCCAAACCCUUCAUUUCAAAUCGUCUAGCCAACUAUGUCUUCCAAACUGAAAUACCAUCAAUAUCAUCACCAGUAAUAAUCAUGUCAUCAACAUAUAAAGACAGAAUGAUAUGACCUGCAUCAGUGCACUUAAUAAAAAUAGCAGAAUCAUAGCUGCUAGAAACAAAGCCAAGAGACGAGAUCACAAUAGAGAAUUUCUCAAACCAAGUACGAGGUGCUUGUUUGAGACCAUAUAAUACUUUUUUAAGCUUACACACAUAUCCAGAGUCAUGUGAAAUACCAGAAGGGGGUGCCAUAUAAACUUCUUCUUAAAGAUCUCCAUUCAAGAAGGCAUUUUUAACAUCAAGCUGAGAAAUAUGCCACUGAAGAAUCGAAGCUACGACAAUAAGAGUACGAAUAGUAGUCAUUUUUGCAACCAGGGCAAAUUUCUCCUCAUAGUCCAUACCAUAUUGUUGUGAGUAUCCUUUUGCAACAAACCUAGCUUUGUAUCGCUCAAUCAACCCAUCAGAAUUAGUCUUGAUCUUAUACACCCAACGACAACCAACAACACGCUUACUAGGAGGUAGAGGAACCAAAUCCCAAGUAUCUAUCUUAUGCAAAGCAGAAAGUUCUUCAUCCAUAGCUUGCUGCCAAAGCGGAUCAAGAAUUGCCUCUUUAUAGGAAGAGGGCUCAAAGAGACAAUGAAUAGAAGCUAAAAAAGAAGUAAAUGAUGAAGAAUAACAAGAAUAAGCAAAAUCUGGUAGUUUUGUGGACUUAUGAAUGCGGAUGGACUGACGUAGAGGUGGAUCCACAAUCUUAGAUGAAGCUUGAGGGGCUGUAGAUGAGAAUGGAGCUUUAGGUGUGCCAGAGAGUAAAGUACCAGUACCUGCAGAGUUAUGAGUACAAAUUAAUCGAACAUAGGGAGAGGUAUCAUUACCAGAAUCCUCAAAAAAAGGAUUUAUACGAAUAAGAUCAAAUUUUAUCAGGCUAUGAGUAGUGGAUGGAAUAGAAAAGAAAGGUAUAUGCUCAAGGAAGACAACAUGACGAGACACAUAAAGUUUCUGAGUUAUUGGAUCAAAACAACGAUACCCCUUUUUACCUUCACCAUAACCCAGAAAGACACAAAUAGUGGAUCGAGAGGAUAGCUUACUGCGUUCUACAUGAGGACGAAGAACGAAACAAGUACAACCAAAGACUCUAAAUGAGGAAUAAUCAGGGACAUACCCAUAUAACUUUUCAAAAGGAGAUAGACCCGAACUAUGAGAAGAUGAAAUUGUAUUAAUCAAACUUACAGCAAUAAGAACAGCUUCUCCCCAAAGCUCACUAGGAACAAAAGCAGACAACAAGAGAGAAUGAGUAGUUUCGACAAUGUGCCUAUGUUUUCUUUCAGCAACACCAUUUUGCUUAGGAGUAUUUGUACAUGAAGUUUAGUGGAUGGUUCCAUCUAAGGCAAGCAAUUGAAAAAAUUUAUUAGAGGUGUAUUCCCCACCCAAAUCACACCUAAAACAUUUGAUCACAGUAGAAUAUUGAGUUUUGAUAAGAGCUCGAAAAGCUGCAUAUAUCUCAAAGAAUUCAGAACGAUAUUUCAUUAAAUAAACCCAACAAUAACGAGUAUGAUCAUCAAUAAAAGAGACAUAAUAUCGAGACCCUCCUUUUGUGGCAACAGGAGAAGGUCCCCAUACAUCAGAAUGAAUCAAAUCAAAUGGUGAAGAUGAAACAGAAAUACUUCAAUUAAAAGGUAAAGCAGAAAAUUUUCCAGUUUACAUCCACUACAAUCAGAAAUGUCACACGUUUUCAAAUUUCCUCAAGCUCCUGUAGAUGCCAAAAAUCUCAAAUGAGAAGACGAAACAUGACCUAGACGGGAAUGCCAUAAAAAAAAACUAGAAGAUGAAAGACUCAAACGAAAGGAAGACAAAUCAACAGUAGUAGCAGCAGCGGCAACAGUAACAACUGGCACUUUUAACUUAUCCAAAAUAUAUAGUCCAUUCUCCCUGCGACCCGUCCCAAUUAGCUUCUGAGACUGCAGAUCUUGUACACAACAAAAAGAACCAGAAAGCAUGACUAAAUAAUCACCAGAAUCACAUAUUUGACCAAUAGAUGCAAGAUUCAAUUUGAGUUUUGGAAUAAGAUAAACAUUAGGGAGAGACAAAUGAGGUGUGACAAUAGAACCAACACCUGCUAAGGGCAUAAGAGUGUCAUCAGCAGUCAUAACAGGAAUGGAAGACAAAGGGGACACAAAGGUAAAAGAUGAGGAAUCUGGAGACAUAUAAUGGGAAGCACCAGAAUCCAAGACUCAUUCAGAGUGUGACAUACCUGAGGAACUAUGAGCAACUGACCUAUGGAAGAAGCGGACAUUGCUUGUGGCUGCAAGGAGAGAAACUUCUGAAAUUGCUCAGCCAAAGUAUUAGGAUCGGUAAUAGAGCCCAGGGAAGCUACUGCUGCAGUAUUGUGGUGUGGUGGUUUAUAACCCUGAGGUGGUCGAUGAGCAUUAGAUUGUGACUGGCUGCCAGACUUCCAAGCUUGAUUCUGCUGUCUCAACUUAGGACACUGAGCCUUCCAAUGACCUUUCUGCUUACAGAAACUACACGCAUCGAAGCCAACCCUUGUGUAAGGCUUGUUCUAAUGAUUAGAGAAUGGCUUAGAAGGUACUGCUAGUAUAGAAGGAUUUGAAGCAGAAAGAAUUCCCUUUUCAGAAUAAGAUUGAAGAUGUAUUUCUUCAGCCAAUAACUCAUUGACAAUAGAGUCAACAGAAGGCAGUGGAGAACGAUGCAGAAUUGAACCUCUUAAGUCCUUCGAAAUCACUGUAAAGUGCUGUUAAAAAUUGUACCAAUCGUUGCUGCUCUCUACGUUCAAUAUAAGCACCACAUGCUUUUAAUUCUGCCGAUUCUGUAAGAGCCAAUUAAUCCCAAAGAUUUGUCAUGGCAGAAUAGAACUCCUGAAUACUCAUAUUUUUCUGGUGAAGAGCUCGUAUGUCAUUCUCUAACUGAUACUAUUUUGCAAAAUUUGAUUGCGUGAAUAACCGUUGCAGAUGAUCCCUAACCUCCUUUGUUGUCUCAUACUUUGCCAACUGUGUACCUAUAGAAUGCUCAACAGAAUUGUUGAUCCAAGUAAUGAUCUUUGCAUUGUUUGCUUCUCAUGCAUCUAUCGAAGCAGUAUCUCAUUCUUCAGUAUUCUUAGAUACCACAUAAGUUCCACUAACAUAUCCCCACAUCUUCUUACCCUUAAAAAAAAUUCUCAUUACAUAGCUCUCAUAUGAAUAGUUCUUCUCAUUCAACCUCGACUCACAGACUAAAGCGAAUCAUCUCUUUCAGUAGCCAUAAUCAACAGUCACAGAGAACCAGAAUGCAAAAGUAGCGGAAAACAAAAUACCAAAUUGCAGAAACUGAACAGAGAUUGCAGAAACUAAACAAAUAUCUUUUUGAUAAAAUACCAAAAUAAUUGCAGAAACUGAACGCAAAUACCAAAUUGCAGAAACUGAAGGGAAGACGAAAUACCAAAAUAAUUGCAGGAACUGAACGCAAAUAUCAAAUUGCAGAAGUUGAAAGGAAGACAAAAUACCAAAUUUUGCAGAAGCGGAAGACAAAAUAUCACUCUAAAAAGUAACUUAAAAAUUACAUAGUACAUAAACUUGUAGCGAAAGGUCUUACAUUUUUUCUAAGCGAGUCAAAUUUCCAAGCUCUGGUGGCAGAACUCCUGAAAGCUGAUUAAACUCGACAGUGCUGCAUGAUUGUUUCACUUAAAACAUCACAUCCACAAAAACCAUUACUUAGUAAAUAGAUUGAAGGAGGAAAGGAUCGAUCUUGUUUAUCUUACAAGUUUGCAAGAGUGCUGAUGUUUCCAAUUUCUUUUGGGAUUGGGCCGGUUAAUCGAUUUCCUAUAAUAGAACUGCAUAUGAUAUGUAUAAACUCAUUUUUUCAGUUAAUUUCCUGUACAACUAAACAUUGUUCAAGAACUCAUGCAUGUAUAUGAGAGAAAAAGUAUCGUACAUGGUAGCUAGUGGCGUGGCUCCCCAUUCUGCAGGGAUGGUACCGUUGAGGUAGUUGCGUGACAAGUCACUGUAAAGGUUACAACCAUGAGUUUAAUGAUAUUAAUAUUCCAUAUCAUAUGUUUAACAAUGAUUUUGGGCUAAAUUUGGUAAAGAACUUAAGAGGCAAUGCUUACAUUUCUUGGAGGUAAGGGAACCUGCCCAAAUCCUGUGGAAGACUGCCUUCAAGAUCCUGGGUCUUCAGAACUCUGUGCUUCAACAAUAUUUAAAGAUCUUAACCUUUAUUUAAACAAUAUUUUAUUUUAUUUGAGAAUUGAAACCGCGAAAAUAAUUGUUUUAUAAUUUCUCAAUAAUUUAUCAACACGAACAUAUAAUUUCUCAAUAAUUUAUAUACAUUUUUAUACAUGCAAACACAUGCAUGAUGAUUGGUGUUACAUCCAUUAUCAAAUUUGGUUUUUUUCUUAUCAUUAAUUCAUGACCUAAAUCGACUCAACUAAGCCACUAGCUGUUUAUCAUUAAUUGUUUGAUUGUAGGUACUGAAUCACUUAUGAAACUGUAUCUAGAAAUCAAUCUAAAAUAAUUAAAAUACAUUGAUGAUAAGACAAUAAAAAAUUAAAAAAUAAAAUAAACAACUGUUAGGGUGAUGGCAGUAAGAUGAUGGAGAACAUGGGGAUGAGAUUUUCAUGGCGGUGAAAAAAAUGAUAGUAGAGGAAAAGAGAAUGGUAAUAGUUGAAAUAGAUAGAUUAUAUUAUAAAUAAAUUGUUAUUUCUAAAAUUUUAUAAGUUAAAAAUAUUUUUUAGUAAAUAAACUGAGUUUAAAAGUUAAUUAUAAAAUGUUUUUCGUUGAUGAUUUUUUAUAUAAAAUAAUGUAUGGGAUAUUAAAACAUAAAUAUAUUCUUUAGAGAUAAAUAUAGAAGAAUUUAAAAAACAUUUUUCUGUAAAAUAUUUUAUGCGGACCCAAAAGAGAGUGAAUUUUUCUAUAAAAAACCAAAAUAAUUAAUCGUAUUUAUAUAUAUAAAAAAGACUAAGUUGAAAGAAGCUGGAACGUUAAUACCAUAUAUUGUAAGGAAGAUGUAUCAAAAUAAAUUCUUAUUUUGAACCCUAAAACGCCAUCAUAAUUCCCCCGAUAAAUUAAAAUGACAUCACAAAAGCACAAGAGCCUUGUUACUUUUUAAUAAAUAGAACAUGUUUGUUUUUUUGGUUUAAAAAGGGUUUAAAUUUUUUUAAUUAAUAUUUAUUUGAUGUUUUUACAUUAUUUUAAAAUAUUAUGUUAAAAAUAAAUUUUAAAAAAUUAAAAUAAAUAUAUAAUUUUAAUAUAUUUUCAAAAUAAAAAAUACUUUCAAAAAUAUUUAUUACUAAAAUACCAAACCAACUCAUCAAAUCCAUUGUAACGAGAGUAUUUGAGAAGGUGCUGACUUUUUUAUAAUAAUAAUAAAACAAUAAAAAAAUAAAGUGUUUAGUCUUACUUGAUCAAUACCAUGUGUGGUCGAAACGCAAACACAAGACCAUGUCAACAUUCUUACUGGUUGGAUCCAGAACAGCGGUGUGGUGGGAGAUAGUGCAUGUAUCCUUUUGCAGCAGGAAUGGUGUUUUUAAAAUUUUUGAAAAAGUAUUUUUUAUUUCAAAAUAUUUUUUUAUUUUUAAAUUGUUUUGAUUUAUUAAUAUUAAAAAUAAAUUUUAUAAAUAAAAAAAAAUAUUAUUUUAAUAUAUUUUAAAAUAAAAACCACUUUAGAAAAUAAUCCUUAUCCCUUCUCUAUCCGUCACUUGAUCAUUGAGUUAACUAAUAAAUUUUCAUAGCCAUGACUAGCGGUCCACAAAGUUAUUGUUCUUGGCAUCUAAAUUGUAGUGAUCCUCCAAGCUAAGGUUUAGAUUUGCGUAUUACAUAAAAUAAACACAUACAAACAAACUUCGUCUGAUAAUUAUUUACUAUUCAAGGAAAAAAAAAACCCAAUAAUUUCUAUGUAAUGAGAAAAAAUUAACCCAAUUAUAUAGCUUCAAAUUCCUUUAAACUUUGAGAUGAAUAUAUAUAUAUAUAUAUAUAUAAAAGCAAGGAUAGGAUAUGGACUAGCUUGCGUGUAUAUUGAUUAAUUCUCAUGGGUCCUGAAGUUAAUAACCAGAUAAAUAUCCAGUAGCUAUCAAUAUUAGCAACUAUAUGGCUCAAAUUUAAAAUUAUAAAAAGAAUAAAUCCUUUAAUUCUAAACUUUUAUCACUAAAUUAUCUACUUAGAUAGUUAUAAGAUAUAAUAUAAUAUUGCCAUCAUUGGUUGUCAUUUGCAAGUCAAAGUCAACACCAGCGCAUAGGUACAGUACGACUGCAAUCUAAUCCGUUUCUAUAAUUGUGACAGAAAAUAAAAACAAGGAAAAUAAAAUUAAUUACUACACAACUUGGCCAUUGGGCCGACAUAUACAGCCCUCUUCUUUGUUUUGUGUCUCAUUUUUCUUAAUUAACAAUCUGAUUUUGCACAGCCUUCGUUUCACAUGCCCACGUUGUAUUGUCAAGGUAGAUGCUAUCAAGUUUGUUAAUUUUCUUUAGUUUUGUUUGAAAUAAUCAAAUAUAUCAUACUAAUUCAAAAAACAAAACAAAACAAAACAAAAUAAUUUUUAUCUUAUUUCAAAUCUCGAUCCAUUUCAAAUUUUUCAGCUAAAUUUUGACCAAAAUGUGCCGGUUUCAUUUCACAUAUUUCAUUCUGGUCUUGAAAAGCCAUUGAAUCAAAUUGAACCUGGUUCAAUUUAAUUAAUUAAACCAUCCAAAUAUAAAAAACUCUUUUUCAUUAUUAUUUUCAAUAACAAUGAUAUUAAUAAUAAUAUUGAAAAUUAUUAUUACUAUUUUCAUUAACAAUGAUAUUAAUUUUUUAAAAUUAGAUUUAUCACUAAUAUAUAUGAUUUAUAUUCAUGUUGUUUUUUUUCAUGUUUAUACUUUGUAAGAAUUUUAGCAAAACAAGGGAUGCUUUAGAUCUCAUUAGCCUUGAUAACAUUGACCUAGUUUUAUAUUUAAAAUAUUUGUGUUAAAACAUUUUACUUUCAUAAUAUUUUGAUAUUUUGUUUAAGUUGAAUUACUUUAAGUUAAAGAUCUAUUUAAUCUUGACUAUUUAGAAAUAUUUUAAAAUUUGAAAUUAUUUGUGACAUUGUGUUUGUAUUGCAUAAUAUAUAAUUAAUUUAUUUUGAAUUUGAAUUAUGUUUGUUGAUAUAUAUAUAUAUAUAUAUGAACAGUACAACCCCGAAACGGCACGCAGAAACACUCCAAAACUGAAACAUUUCAUUCCAAUUGAAAAAAUAAAACACCUUCCGAAACGGAAUUGACAAUCUUGAUAAAAACCAGAGAAAGGCCAUGACACAAAAGGGAAGAGAGAAAAAACAGAGGAGGCACAUAAGAAUACCAGAAAAAGGACAAAGAGAAACAGAAGGAGACCACAUUAGACGUAUAAAGACAUAGGGGAUAUAGAACAGAGAGAGACUAGGAGGAACUACACUGAAAGAGUAGAGACAUAUGGCAUUCUUUUCUUUGAAUUGUUUAAGGUCGCUGCGAUAAAAAACAGAUCCAUGCUAGUUAUGGAUAAUAAUUUUAUUACUCACUUUAAUAUAAGGAUAAAAAACCUGUAUGAGGUUAAUAUUCAAAAUAUUAUUGUGAAUAAUACAACUCAUUCACUUUUAAUACAAGGAUAAGAUCCGCAAAGAAUUUUAUUUAGAAUAUUAUUUGGAAUGAUGCGAUAGCAAAAAUUCCAGUUUUCCCUAAAAAUAAGCCUCAACAUUAAUUGAGGAUAUUUCACCUUCCCAGACCGAGUUCUUGACCUAGAAAACCAGGGUUUGUUCAUCAUAGCAAACCUACCAUAGUAGGACGGUAGAAAUAGACAUCAUCAGACCAUAGCAAACAAAUAAAAAAAACAAUGCAGAUUACCUUAGGUAAGGCGUACUAGGGAUGUUAAUACAUUUUCUUUACGCAAUCAGUUCCUUACCUAGAAUCUCUAGAAAAAAACAUGUUAGUGUUCCUAGUAGCUGUAGUACUAGGUGGUGACUCCCCGAAAAAAAAAAGAAAAAAAAAUCAAAGACCGUUCUUGACUACCCUGACCCAGAAUGAUGAUCAUUGCGACAAUGCACACGUGCGACGAUAAGAAAAUUCAAGUAUUGCGAUUCCUCGAUCGCAACUACAACAUAAUGGAACUUUUUUUUGCAGUGAACGUAGGAUCUUCUCUACCACACGUGUCUCUUCCAUCUUCUCCCAAUAUCUCUUCAUUUAAUUGUAUAUGACUAAAACUCUAGUAAAGUAAUCUGAAAUAUUCUUCGAUUCAAGUAUAUAUAACUUUUCAAAGUCACCAUGUAACUUUUGUAAACGUACAUUUCUCACAUUGCUAGCUUCUUGGUUUGAUACUUGCAAAAAUUUUCAUGCUUGCUUGGCGGUGGUUGUGUUAACCACCAUCUCAAAAGUGACAUCAUCCAAACAUUGGUGGAUGAUUGUGAGUGCCUGUUGAUCAUUCUUUUGUGUUUUUGCACAACCUCCCUUUGGAUUGAAGUCAACGCUCUCCUUUCAUAGACUCUUCAAAGCCAUUCUCAAUCAUUUCACACACAUCUUGGGAACCUAACCAAGCUUUUACACGAAUACACCAUAUUUCAUAGUUGUUCUUUGUCAAACGAGGACAUUGAAGUGAAAAGUUAGGAUUGGCCAUGGCAAACAAUCAACCUAAACUCUGAUACCACUUAUUGAAGGUAAAACAAGUAUGGUAUGAGAUCAACAUAAUAAUGCAAGAUAAAGAAAAACUCAAGAACAAAUCUAAAGAAUAAGAAGAAGAAUAAGAGAAAUGUUAACUUUAUUGAAGUGUUUCUCUCUUUGAUUUAUCUAUGUAUAUUCACUUAAUAAUGCCUUAUAUUACAAGUCUAUUUAUAGGCAUUAAGUCCUAGACUAUAAAGGAAUUAAACUAAUACAAGGAAAUCUUAAUCCAAGCAAGAACUGUAUUUUGACGAUUGAAUCGGUCGACCGUUUCCGAACUGGUUGACUAGUUCAACUAAUUUCUAGAAAUCAGUUUACUGUCAACAUCAUACACACCUCCUUCCUUGAUAAAGAGUGUAUGAUAGUGGUUGACUAGUUCAACUAAUUUCAUCGAGGCACCAAAAGUUGUUGCUGACCUGUAGAAGCAGUUAUAGAAGCAAUAUAUAUUGAUAAUAAUCACUUUAUUGACAAUAUAUAAGAAAUAUUAAAAAAGCAUCAUGUGGCCAAACCAUAUAAAAUGGGUGAGAAAAAAACCUUAAAGUUAAACUUAUAGGUUCAUACAAGGAAAAUGGAUUAUGGAGGUCUUCAUCAAAGGUCAACCUGUAGGCAAAAGGAGUAUGCCAAGAAGGAAAUAACUCAUAAUAGGGUAUACAAUGGUGUAUUGAAGAAUAUUAAUAAAGCUUUGGAAGGCGAAGAGCACACAUAGGCUAUUAAGGUUUGUUAAAAUAUUGAUUUUAGGGACUGUACUGCAUUUUCAGUUUAGUAUAUAUUUCUAUGUCAUUCAUAUUUUGAAAUCAAAAGAUAUUUUUAUGAAAAUAUCAUUUAGUAUUUUAUUUUCAUUCAUAACUAGAUAAAUGUAACGUUAAAAAAUGGUUGAAUCCAAGGGCAUAUCAAACAAGCGCUAAAUGCAAUCCCCUACCCUUUUAAAACUCAUAAAAACAUUAAUCCUCAAUAUUUUGCAUGAUCUUAUAGCUCUAAUCAAAAUAUUGUGAUCAAAUGGGUGUUGUGAGAAUACUUUGCUAAAACAAUUCUGAAAAAUUAAACUUGCCCUUCUAUUUCAGAAGUAAUUUAAUGUUGGUUUAAAAACGUGUUUUGGCAUCCUGCUCAUAUGAUGACAAAAAAUAAAUAAAUCAAGCAAUUCUAGUUUUAAAAUGACCAACAUACCUCAAUCAAAAGACAUGAAAUUAAAAAACAAAACUUACAGUCACCCACACUCUACUUUUUUAGGCUAUAUUCUAGUUGUAAACAAAAUGGUAUGACCAUACUAGGUCCAUCAAGAUGGUUUAAUUUAAUUAUAUGAUAAAAAAAGGAUAAUAAAUGUAUUGAAUCUAAAAAGAAAAAAUGAUAAUGUCGACGACCUGCAGAAAAAGAAUAUUGCCAAAAGAAAGAAAUUGUUAUAACCCAAUUUUGACCCAUUUGCUUUUUAAUCUAAUUUUAAGGAGGUUAAAAUUUGAAAUUAAAAGAUCAGGUUUUGAAUGCAAAAUUUGGAAACCUUAAGAACCAAAUUGAGAAAUGGUCAUUCGCGGUACAAAACGAUACCGUUUCAAACAUACACUGUUCUUAUUCUUCUUCCUCAGACGCUGAAAGCCCGCUUGCAAAGAAGGAAAGGAAAUUGUGAAAUAUCAGCAUCCUAGUCCAACGAGAACUCAAAUUGCAAAUCUUAUCUGUGUGAAGAUUACAACCCUGGGGAGAUAAGGAUGAAUUUCUCAUGCCCUCAUGCUUAUAAAAGGGAGUCCAACAUGGGCAGGACUGUUGGUGCCCCAAUACAAUAGAAACACAAUGUCCCCGGGCCUUAUCAUGGUCCUAGGGAGGUAAGCAGCAUGGAAGCCUAUAAAAGGUAGAGGAGGAUCUGUAAAAAAAAAAAAAAAACACAAAGAGGAGAAAACAAAGAGAAAAUAAAAAGAAAAAAGAGCAGAAGAGGGAAAAGGACUGGCUUUUGAGAAAGUAGAAAUAUAAAGAAAAAGAAGAGAAGACGAGGAGCAAAAAGGGAAUCCAAGGAGUGCUUCAUCCAGCACUUGCAUCUUGCUACUAGAAAAAGGUAAGUCACUUUCAAUUCUCCCCCUCCUUGCAUUUUAAUUACUCUCCUCCUGUAGCAAGCAUGCGUGAACAGUUCAUGCACGCUUGCAAAUAAAAAAAGGAAAGAAAAGGGAGUUGGGUCAUUGGUCUGAACAAGUAACCCGGCCAGUUGGCUGGGUCUGGCCCAGACCAUACUGCUAGGUUGGACCCAGCCCAAUAUAUAUAAAAAAAAGAGAAACAAGACAAAUCUGGACCUCCAGCCCAGCUGGCCCAAACUGUGCUAGCUAAGGGUGUGUCUGGCAAAACACACCCUUAUGCUUUGUCCAUGUAUGUUAUCUCCUUCUAUUUUGAUAUCUAGCCAAACAAGCCCCGUUUUGAUAUUAGAAAAGAGACGAAGAGAGAAUUGACUGGAGAAGCAGUAAUAGAAGAACAAAAAAGAAAGGGCUGAAGGCAGAAAGGAAGUCAAACAUAGAGGAUCCGCUGACAACCAACACCUGUAGAUUUCAUCCAAACCAAGUAAGUCAUUUUAUUCCCUCCUUUUCACUUUUAAUUACCCUCUUCCUGUAGCAAGCGAGCAUGAUUAGCCCACGCACACUUGCAUAGGAAAAUAUACCAGCCGGGAUACUGGUUUGAACCAGUAACCGGGCCGGUUUGCCUGGAUCUAGCACAAUAAAUAAGCCCUUUUCAAUAUAAAAUUUUUUUAAAAAUAUUUAGGGAUCUUUAUUGAUUUAUUAAUGAGCCCCUCACACUUUGUUUUAUUAUUUUUAUUCUUUGAGUUUUGUAUUUUUUCUGCUAUAUACUCAAUCUGUGGAUCAUUACUUGUCAAAUGCAAACUCUGUUGUGCAACGUUUCUUUUAUUUCCAUCUAAAAAGGACAAACAACAAUAAAGGGUAAACAAAAAGAAAAUGACAUAGAAAAAUUCUUCUUCAAAUUUAAUUUUUUGCAAAAUUAUUUAUUGACGGUAAAGUCAAGAAUGUCGCAUUUUUUUAAGGUUUGUAUGAUAUUUAUCAAUGUUAGAGUUGAAAAUAUUCAUAAGAAUUGUUCAUUGACGCCAGAGUUAGGAACAUGAUGAAAAGAACAAAAAAAGAGAAAACAAAUUCUUAGCAAUUUUAGACAAAAUCACCAUUGCAACCUGCUUUAGAUAGGACGCUUAAGGAGUGAUAGCAUAUUUCUUUUUGUGUAACCAGUCUCAUACCAUAUAAUCUCUGUUGACCAGUUAGGGUUUCUAGAAACCAUAAUAUUAGGUGGCGACUUCUUGAACUAGACCUUCUCCUUCCCCUUCCUCUCAAAUAACAAAAUGUCAAAUAUCUAUUUUUUUUCCAUGAAAUUUUUUUUAUUAGCCGUCACGGUGUAGUGUUGAUAAAUUUAUAAGAUGAAAAAACAAAAUGUUUAUCCUUUUCUUUUUAUCUUUAUAUGGAAUGCUUUUUAGUCAAUUUGCAUGUUAACAAAUACCAAGUUUUUUCUUCGAAGAUUUUUAAAACGCAUCGCUUCUAUCAGGAUUUUAAAACGCUGGUUUUAAAGUUUGGAUUAAAUGCUGGUUUUAAAGUUUGGAUUAAAUAAAAAAAAUAAAAUAAACAUGGCUGCUGAUCCUACCCGUUGAAGUUAAAAUAAUGUAUACCUAAUAGCUAAUCUCUUUAAUUUUCGCUUUUGAGUCAUCUUUGAUUUUUCUCCAGCAGCAACAAUGGACUUUCCUAAGUCAUUAUCCUCAUGCAGCUCUCUCCCUCCCUCCCCCUCUCUCUCUCUCGCUCUAUAAAACACGUUUAUGUUUCACCAACCAACGAGCAGAAAUUUCCAAAAGAACUAGGGGGAGGCAAGCAGGCGCCCAGCCCCUGCAAAACAUUUUAAUUUUAUUUUUAUUUAGUAUUUAAAUAUAAAAUAAUAUAAUAUUUUUUAUUUUAAAUAAAUAAGCUUUUUAAUUAUCAUAUUAUAUUAUUUUUGACAUCCGUCAAAUACUAUCAGCGCCGCCCCCUGCUGUUGAUCAUCUUUAAAAUCUCCUUCCUGGUGUUUUUCUUUCCCUCAAGCAACCCACCUCUCAUUAUUGAGAAAAACACGCCGUUUCUGCUCGUGGUUUGUUGUUCUUUGAUCACCGUUCUAAAUUUCUCCCAGAUAAUAUAGCAAUUACCAAGAGAACGAGUUGUGCUUUGCGCAUGGCGUUGUGGCCACCACUACUGUCGAAGACUUUCUCUGUUUUGGUUUUUGGAUUUGUGGUGUUGAAUUGCAUUGCUGUGGACAAGUUUGGAUCCAAUGCUCAAGAAGUCACUCCACUCUUGCCACUAGAUGAAGGUACGUACGUGCUCCUAGCAAUUCAAUAAUCUCACUCUCUCUUUAGCAUGAUUGAAGGUUCCCUUUUUCCUGGAAAAUAAUUUAUUUGCAGAGAUUAACGCUUCUUAGUUUUAUUUACUAUUCUUAAAUAAAAUCAGAAUCAUUUCAAUUUGUGAUGAUUAGUGAGAGAAAUUAGUAUAUCUACUGAGAAAUAAAAUAAGAAAAAUGGAAAUUGUUAUCCACUUCGUUAAAUUGUGAAUUAUAUUUUUUAUUUUGGAUUAUCCUCUCUCUUUCGUGAUUAAGAAAACUUAUUAUAUGAUGUUGACUACCUUUCCAUUCUAAUCAUUGAGCUUCUUAUAUAAUAUUUUAAAAUAAUAAAGGAGAGCGUUAUUAACGAUUUCUUUGAGGAGUGAUAAUAAUAAUAAUAAUAAUAAUAAUAAUAAUAAUAAUAAUAAUAAUAAUAAUAAUUGGUAUGUUGAUGUCAUCGAAGCAAUUAUUGCUUGAUAUUGCAUCUUUACAAUACUGCCAAGUGACAGAUAAUUUUGGUGGAAAGGUCCUACUACCUUUAUGGUAUAUUAAUUGUACUCGUAACUAGCCAUCUAAACCGCGGGGCCUUUUUUUUUUUUUUUUCAAGAAAACAUUAUAUUCAGCACUUUUAAAAUAGAAAGAAACUUUUGCUACUUUGAUUAUAUAUACUCAACUGGAAAAAAUAUAUUGGUUUUAUUUUAAUUAGAAAAAAUAAAAUAAUUAAUUAUAGUAUAUGGACAUAAUAUUAAAAUUUUAAAAAUGAUAUCAAUAACCUAGAAUUUAUUUUUAAUAAAACAAAUAAUAUAUCUUCAUUCACAACUAAUUAAUUAUUGAAGAAUAAAAUAGGAUAAAAAAACCCUAAAAAAAUCAGUCAUAAUCAACCCGAAUUAGUAUGACAAACCUGUAGUUUUUAUUAAGUAGGGUACUUACCAUACUAGGUUGCGUGGACCCAAAUGUUUUUGAACAUAGGCCAUAUGAAUUAUUUUUUUAACAUUGCACUAAACUUGGUAUAACAUAUCAAAAUUGAAAAAUAUUCUUCACUUAAAUUAUAUGGGAGUUAUCAUGAUAUAACCUUGUCAACUUGACUGGUUCAAAAAAAAUCAAAGAAAAAAAAAACAGCCUAGGUUAACAUACCAAACUCGUAACCUAGGUCAUGGACUCUACUGAAUUCAAUUAGAUUUUUUUUAUCUUAUUAUGUGAUAAAAAAAAUAUAAAAUCAUAGUUAAAAUUAAUCAAUUAUUGAAUGAUAAAAUAAAAAAAUAAAAAAAUAAAAACACCAUGUUAAAUGAUGAGAUUAAAAAAAAAACUAAAAAAACCCAAAGAGAAAAAAAAAAGGACCAAACAUGCUUAUUUUUUUUAAAUGGGCGAGCAAUAUACAACCCGUCUCAAUUAAAAAAAGAAAAAGCAGCGCAAGGCGAUGUAUUGCCUGUUACUGCCCAAAAUCCAGCCACCAUUGUGGUGGCUGGUGAUUCUAAGGGUGGGAUUUUGAGGGUGAAAACCUAUUUUUCAGUCCAUUUUACUUAAAAACACAUAAUAAAAACCACUUUAAACCAUCAAAACCUUGAAAUCACUUAAAAAAAAUCAAUUGAAUGAAAAAAUAAAAACGAAACCAGAUCCUCUUUUUUAGACAUACUUGUAGACAAAACCCAUAAGAAUUCAAAUUCUCUCAUCGAAUAGAACCCUUUAACACCAAAAAUAGUAAAUAUAUUCACCCAAAAGUAUCCAAACUGAUCAUUUUCUAUCUUCUCUUUCUUUUCAUCCGAGUUUCUCUAUUAUCUUUCUUACUCAAGGAUUGAUAAAAAAAAAUUGAAUUUUAGAACCACAAUGAAAAGUGUCUCUAAUGUGAGAUUAACUAUAUGUUUUUUCGUGUUUUACAUUUUAGUUCCAUAUCUUGUAAUUUUAUAUUUUUUUACAUAAUUUGAAGCCUAAUUUAUUCUAAUUGGACUAUAAAAGAUUUUGAUUAAAAACAAAAAAAAACAAAAACAAAAAUUUAAUUUCUUUGUUGUUCAUAUAAAACCAACCACAUCUCUUUUAAUUAUUUUGUUAACAAGCCAUAAUUAUAAUACUGACCUGGUCAGGGAAUCAUCAUAUUUAAUGGAUUAACUUGAUGAUUGAGUUACUUAGGUUCUAGUUAUGGAUUGUUUUUAUUAAAAUGAUAUAAUUUCUAGUUUUUUUUAAAAAAAAUCUCAAAAAACAUAGUUUCAAAAAUUUUAAAAAAUCUUGAUUAAUGCAUCCAACUCACGAUCCAACCUUGAAUCAAAUCAAAUCAAUAUUAGAGUCUAAAAGCCUUAUAAUUAUAUAAUAAGCAAGAGAGCCCCAAUGUUAUAUUGUUCUCGCCUCUUCGCAAUAACCGAUUGUCUUAGACUAUCAGGGCACCAACCAAUCUUGCACUAAAUACAAUAAUUAUUCAAUUACUUAGUUGAGUUGUUUGUGUUUGUUGCUCUCGUACAAAAUUGUCUUAUAUGUAUUUUAAGUCUUUAAAAUAAUAUUGGAAUUACAUGUUUUGCUAAUAAAUUAAUAAGUAUUAAACUCAAUAAUUAUUAAAGAAAACCUUAUUAGCUUAAUUUUAGAAAUUUAAACGUUGUUGAGACUAAUUUUAAGUGCGCUAUUAUAGAUUAACAUUUCACUAUGGAUUUAUAAGUGAAAUAUUGAUUUUACCUUUUGAUGGGCAAACUAACAAGACUUGAAUUUAGAGAUAGGAUAGUUUUUUUCACAUGCAUAUUAGUCAUUACUAGAAAAGAAGGGGUUAAAUUGUAUUUUUAUAUUUUUACUUAAUUGCCCAUGAAAGACAAAAAAAAAAAUAACUUGGAUCAAUGGGCUUUUUAAUCUUUGAUGUAAUUCUUAAAUAAGUUACUUCAUUGCUUUUGAAAAAUAAAAAUAAUUGUCUUUGACAUAGGAAUUCUUUUGUCAUUUAGAUGUGGUGAUUUAAUAGUUAUUGAAUAUUAUUGGGACAGUAAGGGUAAUUUGAUAAAUAAAAAAAUUUAAAAAAAUUCAGAAAUGUGUGUGAAGUGUUCGCUACUUUUGCACAGUGUAUGUGACACCAUUCAGUGGCCAAAACCAUGAUUCCAGAACGGUGAUUGAAGUGUCUUGGUGUUCUCUAUACAAAUAAGUGGUGUGUGUAUCCUAAUGGUAGUAGAGAUGGCUAGAGUAACCUUUUGUUUUUAUUUUUUUCUUUUUCCUACUCAAUUUUUAUUUUGGCCUUAAAAAAAAUCAAAUCAACCCCUAAGAUUUGUUGUAAUUGAGACUUCAUUUUUAUUCUCUUUAAAAAAAUCAAAUCAAUACCUACACUCAUGCUUUAAAAAAAAAAAAAAACCUUCUCAUUCCUUGUAUUUCUCUAACCCUAAAAUACCUUUUCGCCUAUUUAUAAUGGUCAAAACGUUGAUGAACAAUGAAGAAAUAAACUUAGUAACCAAGCUUACAAAGCUUUGAGGUUAUUCCUCUCAUUCUUGGAAGCGACUGCACUCUUUCUUGAUCCCUCUGAUCCAUUACAAUAAACAUUUUCUAACUUUUCCCACAUUAUAGCUACCAAAAUUUCAUAUAUAUCAUUAUUGAUAGUGUUAUCAGCAAUACAAAAUCGAUCCUCCUCCAUGUCCUCUAGCUUCAUAUCCUUCUCUUUCAACGCUUUAUCCAAGACUUAUUGAAUAAGAAUAUUGUCGUUCACCCUUUGUUGCCAAAGAGUAAAUUUUCUUUUUUUUUUAAAUUUAUUUCAUGAUAAAUUUUAGCUUUUUAUCUUUUGUAGACAUUGAUCAUUAUCAAAAGCUGAAUCUCCCAAAAUCAAAUCUUCAUAUCCUAAUUUUAGGAGAAAUUAAUUUAAUACAAUAAUAUAAUUAUGAUUUUUAUGCCUAAAACCCAACCUUGUACACCCACUCUCACUUAAAAAAAUCUUAACAUUUGUGUUUUUCAUACCCUAAAAUUGCUCGUCUUUUCACCUAUUUAAAGAAAAAAAACAUAAUAUAUGAAAAGGGAAGGAACAAAUUUAGAAAACAAAUGAGUCUCAUCACCAACAUAUAUAAUAUUCAAUUAUUCUGAGAAAAAUCUAAUAUAAUUUAAGGAGCAUGUAUCAUAAUUAAAUCUAAAAUGUAUUAUAGUUAUUAAAUUCAUAUGAUACUAUUCAUCAAAAUAUUUAAAUAUUAUUAAAAGUGAUAUAUAUAACUAAUUAUUUGAAUUAAUCAAAAUAGAACAAAUUAAAAACAUAUAUAAAUAAAAGAAAAAUUGAAAAUUUAAAUAAAAUUUUGUCAUUUUGGUGUAAAAAUAUUGGCUUAAAAUUUUUGCGAGUUUUGAUAUCAGACAUACAAGUACUAAAUUGAAUAGUUUAUUUUAGCCUUAAAAAUAAUAAUUUUCUUCCAGUUAAUAAUAAUUUUCUUCCAGUUUUUUGUUUUUUUUAACUAUGUAAUAAUUGUUUUGGUGUUGUGUACUAUUUUAUUUUAAUAAAAAAGAACUAAUUCAUUCCUAAUUUAAUGAGUAUUUAAUUUGUGAUUUUUUCUGUACAGUUAGUAAUUGAAUCAUGUGAAUGCCUAAAUCCUUUCAUAAACUGGAGGAAUUUGUUAGGGCAUUAAGAAUCAUGGUUACAUAUAUCAUCAUCAUCAUUAAUAUCAUCAUUUUCUAGCUGUGUUUUAGCAAGGCCUUCAUUCAUACAUUAUUUUAUGGAUAAAUAAUAUUAAUAUUAUUAUUGUUUUUAUGGAUGAUUGAAGUUCCUGAAUUGUAUGUAACAGUGCAAAUUCUUCAAAACAUAUCCAGUUGAACAUCAGAAACUGGGCCACCAUCAAUCGAACUUCUUGCGAUAGUGCACAGUGGAAGAUCAACGGCAACGAAAUUGAAAGCAAUGUUACAUGCAACUGUACAUUUGAGAAUGGCUCCGUCUGUCAUGUCACUCGCAUGUAUGUAUGUUUUCUUUAUAGGAAAUAUUCAAGAAUCGUAAUUCUUCCCCUUGCAAAAGCCAUGAGAUUUAUAUAUAUCAUUUUCAUAAUAAAUUUUAUGUUUUGUUAAAGAGUAGAAUACAGCUCUUGGAUUAUCCGAUAACUUUUUUUUUUUUUUUUAAUGAGGUCAUGUGAAUUUUUGGUGUUGUGUAGUUUUUAAGCAUGAUAUCAAUUCAUCUUGAAUUGAUAUCAUGGUUAAAAAUAAAUCUGAUUAAAAUACUUAAAUUUAAUCAUGCAUCUUGUAUAUUUUUUUUGUGUAAAUAUUAAAAUAUAUUAAUCAGCAGAUUGGAAUUGAUAUAUUGCUGUUCGUCAAAAAAAAAAAAAAAAUUAAUGGCGAUACGUUCUCCAAGUCUUUGUAUGGUUACAUUUUCUUUUCUUUAUAUUUACUAACCAGUUCUUAUAUUUUGUUUCUGACAGAAGAGUGAAAAGAUUUAAUUUGAAUGGAGUUCUCCCAGAGGAACUAGGAGACCUUCCUCAUCUGCUUGAAAUGUAAGUGAUGAGUUAAUCAAGUUUAUUAAUAUCAUUAUUGAAUAGAGAUCAAUUGCUAUGUAUUUGGGUUUCUUUUCUUCACAUUUCCUGGCACUCCAUGUGCUUCACAGAGGAUUUUAAUUUAUUUAUCAGAACAAAUGAAAGUUUUUAUGAUGAUUCAAAUGGGAAAAGGUCUUUGUCUGUGUGGCUAAGAGAAACAGUGACUUGUAAACAAAAGGAAUUAUGCAAUGACUAAGAUGAAGCAUUUUUCAUUCGACAGUGAUCUGACUCGCAACUACAUUAGUGGAACAAUCCCUCCAAGACUUGCUCAGCUCCCUAAGCUUCAGAUUUUGUAAGUCUUUUUGUGCAUUCUGUUUAUGUGAAGGGGUUUUCAUAUCCCGAUAUGGAAAUUCAUGAACAUGUUAACCGUCUCACCGGCCCAAUUCUCUUCCAUGUCUUAGGUCUCUCAUCGUUAACCGUCUCACCGGCCCAAUUCCCCCGGAAAUAGGCAACAUUACCACACUGGAGGAGCUGUAAGUCACAAAGCGAACUUCUUAAAUGAAACGCUAAGCUAGAACGUUAAAUCUUGAAUUGGAUCUUGCAGGGUCCUGGAAGAUAAUUUGCUAGGAGGGCCUCUUCCUCCAGACCUUGGAAAUUUGACAAGCUUAAGAAGACUGUAAGACAGAUGCCUUCAUCUUCUAUCUGAGUUUAUUUAUGUAUCUACUUCAUGAUAUUCAAUCUAAGUCUUUUUAUGUAUGGUACCAGUAUUUGAUGCUCACUCAGAAAAAAUUAUUUGUAACUUUGUAUUUUUUACCCCUGCAGUCUUCUUUCCGCAAACAAUUUUACAGGAACAAUACCAGACACAUUUGGCAAUUUAAAGAAUUUAAAUGAUUUGUAAGUGAUGAUGCGGGUCACAAUUUUUUUAUUUAUUUAUAGUAGAUACAUAAAUGUUUUUCUUUAUCUAUGCUGAGCUUAAAUAUUCAUCUGUUUCAUAUGCUCCGGCAGUAGGAUAGAUGGAAGUGAAGUGUCAGGGAAGAUACCUGACUUUAUUGGGAACUGGACCAACAUUACGACAUUGUGAGUAUUUACUUUGUCCCAUUUAUCUGCUAAUGUGUGUCCUCGAGCACAAGCUGAAUGGAAUUCCAUUUUCCUUUGCCUCUUGCAUUCCUAACAGUGGUAUAUUUCUUUUGCAGGGAUUUGCAUGGAACAUCCAUGGAGGGUCCUAUUCCCUCUGCCAUUUCACUGUUAAAAAAAUUAACAAUUUUGUGAGCUUAAAUUCCCUAUCUUGUAGAUUCCUAUUCAGUUCAAAGAAUUUUGCCUCGUUGCUUUUCGGUAAGUCUAUAUUUGAGAAAACUGAUUUUUUCUGUUGUCUUGAUUUUUCAGGAGAAUAUCGGAUUUGAAAGGAUCCAAUUCAACUUUCCCUGAUCUGAAAGAUAUGACAAAAAUGGAAAAACUGUGAGUUGAAUGAGACUGAUCAAAUAUAUUGUUACAGCAAUAUUACAUCAUUAAUUGAUUACAUAUUAUUUUUUACUCAGGAUUCUGAGAAAUUGCUCAUUGACUGGUUCAAUCCAAGAAUACCUUGGAAAUAUGGCAGACCUAGAUACUCUGUAAGUUUCUCUAACUGCUACCUUCAUGGCAACGCUUAAUUUCAUGGGCGUCAUAUUAUGUUACUCUGAUUCAAAAUGACAAGAUGUGUAAAGUGAUUGACAUCACUUUACUCUAUCGUUUGGUUUCAUUUAAAGUAAGAUAAAGCAAAGUGAAUCAGUAAAGGUAUAGCAAUAAGUUGAUUCCUUAUUUAUCCUGGUUGAACAAGGAUCUUUCCUAACCAUGAAGCUCCAGCCUUUUCCUCUUUUAAAACCGACAGUUUUGCAUUUCAUUUUUCCUUAUUUUAGAUUCUCAUUGAGUGAGGUCGGGAUUCUUACAAACCAAUCUUGAUAUGUCAUAUGAGAUGCUAUUGGUGAUGUUCUACAUUAUAACAAUGUAAUAAAUUAUGUGGAGGACAUCUUAACAUUUGGAAGGACUUGGAAAUUCUGUUGUAUAUGUAUGUGUGAGGUUCAUUCAUAUUGGGCUCCAAAAGCAUCCAUAUGUUCUCUGUGAGCAUGAGCUAGACCUGCAUAUAGUCUGCAUGAUUCAAAAUCAUGAUGGUGGGGGCUCAUGUUUUUCAUAAAAGCCAUGCUGCAGAGGAUGUAAUAGGACCUUGAAUAUUACUAAUCUGACAACAUGGACUGGCCCGACAUUCCGUGAAUUAGAUUGCAGUGUGUUUAUAUUGCCCAGAGUUAAUUUUAUCUAGUGCUUUUUUCACGUGCUUUCAUUAAUUUUUACAUAUUUCAUUGCAGAGAUCUGAGCUUUAACAAGUUGACAGGCCAGAUUCCUGGCCCAUUAGAGAGUUUGAAAAAAAAUAUAAAGUUCAUGUAAGUCCAUAAACGCAUGCUUUCUGAAAGCACAGGAUCAUCGUUUCUAAUAUAUUUCUCAUAUUGACAGCUUGCUGGUUCAUUACCUGUUUAUUAAUGUGUAGGUUUCUGAAUAACAACUUACUAACUGGAGAAGUGCCUGCUUGGAUACUGGGAAGCACGAAAGACUUGUGAGUCUAUUGUGAAGUUAUACAUAAAUCUUUAUACAUGAAAUACACCAAUCUUUGUUCUCCUCAAUCAACAACUAUAUUACCCCUGCCAUGAAAUUUUAUUUCAGGGAUUUAUCUUACAACAAUUUUAAUGGAUCAGCUGAGCAAAGUUGUCAACAGCUACCAGUGUAGGCAUUAUUUUUUCCCGUUACUUGUUUCUUCUCCUUUGUCUCAAGUUGAUUGCUAACUUCUAUUUGAAAUUAUAUAGGAACUUAGUUGCUAGUCAUGUGUCAACUGGGAGUAACAAGUAAGUUCCUCCUUCACUAAGAUGCCUUUUAAGAUAUCAAGAAAUUUGACUUAUCGAUAACCCUCAUUCUUCUCUACAGGAUUUCUUGGUGCUUGAACAAGGACCUUGUUUGCACAAGAAAACCUCAAUGUAAGUGUGUAAAAACAGUACUCUGGUGUUUGAUGAAGGUGUAAUUACAUAAAUACAGUACUUCUUGUCCUAGGGAAGGCAGCUUAUGAUAUUGGUCCUUCGUUCUACAGACCAUUCCUUGUUCAUAAACUGUGGAGGGAGCAGUGAGACUGUUGAUGAUAAUGAAUAUGAAGACGACACAACUCCAGGGGGGGCAGCUGAUUUUGCAUCUAUAUCAGAAAGAUGGGGUUAUAGCAGUACAGGGACUUAUAUUGGCACUGAUAACGGCGCUUACAAAGCAACAAAUUCUUUUGGUCUGAAUGUUACCGGUGAAGGUUUUUACCAAACUGCUCGCCUUGCCCCUCAAUCACUCAAGUACUAUGGCCUGUGCAUGCUGGCUGGCAGUUACAAAGUGCAGCUCCACUUUGCUGAAAUUAUGUAUUCCAAUAAUCAGACUUUUAGCAGCCUUGGGAGGCGGAUAUUUGAUAUAUCAAUUCAAGUGAGUAAAAUGAUUUUCAAAUUAGCGCAUUUACUUAGGAUUUUUCUUUUUAUCUAUGAUUGUAUUUCUAAAUAACCUCAUGAGACCUACCAUGUGUUAUGGAUCCUUUUCAAGUUUCCAUAGAAAAGGGUGGUAACACUAUUUAAAACCUGCAAAAGUCAUGCUCGGAACUUCUUCCUGCAGGGGAAGGUAGUUGAGGCAAAUUUCAAUAUUAUGGAGGAAGCUGGAGGUGUUGGUAUUGGCAUCACUAAGGUAUUUGAUGGUAUAAUUGUUAAUGGUAGCACACUGGAGAUACACUUAUACUGGUCAGGCAAAGGUACUACUGCUGUUCCUGAAAGGGGUGUCUAUGGACCUCUCAUAUCUGCCAUUACAGUGACUCCAAGUAAGUCUUGACGAAAUCAAGAGGAUUUUUUGUUUCCAUCAACGGUCUUUAUAUUUAAUUUAUUUCUCUCAUUGUAGACUUUAAGGUGGAUAAUGGUGGCGGAUUAUCAGUUGGAGCUAUUAUUGGCAUUGUAGCUGCUCCAUGUGUGCUUGCGGCAUUGGUUUUGCUGGUCCUCCGGAAGAAAGGUUACUUGGGAGGGAAGGACCUUGAAGAUAAAGGUAAGAUUAAUGGCACAAGAAGUAUGUGUCUUAUUUGAUUGUGUGCAUGCUGUAAACUUUUGAUUAUCCUUGUGAUGCUGAUUUUGAGAUCCUGCUCAAUACAGAACUCCGUGCUCUAGAUCUCCAAACUGGUUAUUUCAGCCUAAGGCAAAUUAAACAUGCGACCAAUAAUUUUGACCCUGCAAAUAAGAUAGGAGAAGGAGGAUUUGGUCCAGUUUACAAGGUAUUUAUGAAUUUCCAGUUUACUAUUUAGUUAGGUUAUGUGCUGACAAAGUGUUCUACUGUAUGGCGCCUUCUUGUAUAAAAUCUAUCACACAUGCAAAAACCUGUGAUAAAAGGGAAGGAAUAUCUUUUAAAACAUUCUGAAAUCUCAGUCUAUUUUAUUUCAGGGUAUGUUGUCAGAUGGUUCUGUAAUUGCUGUAAAGCAGUUAUCGGCCAAAUCGAAACAAGGAAAUCGUGAAUUUGUGAAUGAGAUAGGCAUGAUAUCUGCCUUGCAGCAUCCCCAUCUCGUGAAGCUGUAUGGUUGUUGUAUUGAAGGAAAUCAGUUGUUGUUAGUAUAUGAAUACUUGGAAAACAAUAGCCUUGCUCGGGCUCUUUUUGGUAAAUGCUUGACCAACUCCUUGAUGUAUCAGCUUAUAUAUAGUCUAUACUCUAUAGAAUGAGAAAGAGAUUAAAUUGCUUUCCUGUUCCUCUGUCUCAUCUCUAUCAGGUCGUGAUGAACACCAGAUUAAACUGGACUGGCAAACAAGAAAGAAAAUAUUGUUGGGUAUUGCAAAGGGAUUAACUUAUCUUCAUGAAGAGUCAAGGCUGAAGAUUGUACACAGAGACAUAAAGGCAACUAAUGUGCUGCUUGAUAAGGAUCUAAAUGCCAAGAUAUCUGACUUUGGUUUAGCUAAACUUGACGAAGAAGAAAACACUCAUAUUAGCACGCGGAUUGCUGGGACAAUGUGAGUUCUUUCUCCCCCUUGUUCCUUCAAUUUAAUUUCCUUGGUUGUGGUAAAGGGAUAAAUAAAUUUUUAUUUUUUUUGGUAAUGAUACUUUGAACAAUAUGGAUAUCAAAAGGAAAUAUUGUGAAACGCAGACAUAUUAUUUGAUGGCAUCUCAUAACAGCAGCACAAAUGAUUAUCGCCUUGUAUAUGAUUGAUUAUACAAGGAAAAGAACAUAUACAUUUAUUCCACAAGCUCAUGGCCAAUACUUACUCUUCUGGUUCUUUCUAAUUUCUCUUCAGAGGUUAUAUGGCUCCAGAAUAUGCUAUGAGGGGUUACUUGACAGAUAAAGCAGAUGUUUACAGCUUUGGGGUUGUUGUUUUAGAAAUUGUCAGUGGGAAGAGCAACACGAAUUACAGGCCGAAGGAGGAGUUUGUUUAUCUUCUUGAUUGGGUAACUUAUAUCAUUUCCUUUCAGAAUUCUGUCUACACAAUUUACAUUUACACUGACCACCAAUGAGCAUGAUUGUAGACUGAUGGAAAAUGCAUGUUACUGAUAAUUGUAGGCCUAUGUCCUGCAAGAACAAGGAAACCUUCUAGAGCUUGUGGAUCCAAGCCUUGGUUCAAACUACUCAAAAAUAGAGGCAUUGAGGAUGCUUAACUUGGCUCUCUUGUGCACCAACCCAUCUCCCACUUUGAGGCCAUCAAUGUCUUCUGCAGUGAAGAUGCUUGAGGGACAAAUUCCAGUCCAAGCUCCGAUAGUCAAGCGCAGUACCAUGAACCCGGAUGCAAGGUUCAAAGCCUUUGAGCUUCUCUCACAUGAUAGCCAAACACACGUCUCAAAUGGAUCUGAAAGCAGUCAGAUACAGAAGAGCAUAUCAAUGGAUGGACCGUGGAUCGAUUCUGAAUUUUCUAUCGAAAGUAAGGAUGAGAUCAUAGAUUCCUCAUCGACCAAGCUUCUUAAGGAUCUUUACGACGUCAACUUAGAUUGAUCAACGGAAAUUGAUGAAAUAGUCCCUCCUUUUCUUUUGGUCUGGUAGUAUUCUGAGUUUGCAAAUAGGAUUGCUGAGUAAUCAAGAAAUACAUUUAAAUGAUUUGUUCUGGUAUAUGUUGAUUCUUUUGUUAAGAAAUAAAAAACAUUGGAGAGCUUGGUCUUUCGAAUUGGCAUUGUCAGCAGUGUAUGUCACCAUUUUUCCAAAUCUGCAGAUUCUUUUUGUAUAGAAGCACUUUUUCAUGAUCCUAAAGAGCAUUUGAACAAAAACUUGUCUUCCAUUACAUAUUGAGAAGGUGGGGUAUUUCUAGAAGAAAGCACGGCAAUCGAUGGGAAAUAUAGCAAUUAGGUUUGGCCGUGAAUUCUUCUGGUCAAGCUAUGCCUUUCUUAUGCUUUUACGUUUGCUAGCAUCAGGAUUUGUAUUUGGGGGUAUAGUGAUGAGAAACCUGGUUGAGAAGCCUGUUCAGACAACAGAAACCCUGAAUUUCGAUUUCAUUAAGACUACUCCAGUAGCUUUCGCGCCCCUAAUGCCUUUCUCUGGCAUGGGUGAUCUUUCUAGCCUGGUUGCUAAAGACAACGUAGAAGCUGGGAGGCAAGUCGGGGCCUCAUGAUCACAAGCUGCAGCUCACAGUUUCCUUAGUGAUACUCGAGUCUGUAAAAUCAGAAACUUGGCGUAUUUGAGGUAUUACUUCUUUAUCCUUUUUUUCAGCAUUUUGGAAAUUAUAAAUCUUGAAUAUUGCAAUACAUUCAUUGUCUUUCUUAUCAUUGAAUGUUAAACCAAAUAAAAGCUUCUUGAAAUCAAAAGACAUUGUCUAUAUCAUUGGAAACUUUAACAAGCCAUCGUUAUGUUUCUACAGAUUCUGGGUUCCUAGGUAGUUUAUUUUUCCAGAACCCAAUUGCAGUGGUAUUUUACACUUUGUUCUCUUUCAUUUCUUCGGGUGAGGGUUGAGCUCCUGUCAGAAAGGGGUAAAGUCACUUCAAGUUCAAGUCAGCCAUGCAUAAUGCGGUUCAAAAGCCAGCCCAUCCGUGUUGCUGCCGAAAGACAUAGUAUGAGUGGAGUCAGGAUGCUAUUCAGUCAACACCAUAAGGUUCAUAUGGGAGGCCUUUGUGUUAGUCUUGUGGAUCUAGGCAUUUUAGCGUGGUUUGUUAUAGGCAGACGUAAGUCUAUUUAGUUGCGGACAGACGGAUCAUUUAUUGAGGGAUUUUUCAAACAGACAUUUGUCCACACCUGAUGCAUUUGAAGCGGUUGCAUGUCCUGCUUAGUUAGUCUGUUUGAAAUUGUGGUUACAGUUGUAAUUCAAAGUGUUUUAUAUUUAUAAAUAUAUUAAAAUGAUAUUUUUUUUAAAAAAAAUUAUUUUUAAGAUCAGCACAUCAAAACAAUUCGAAAAAUAAAAAAAUUAAUUUUUAGCAAAAAAAUAUUGAAUUUUUGGGAAACGCGGGUUGCACCGCAUUUCCAAACGAUUCUUAAGUUAGCUAGUCAUUUUGUGCAUAGUUUUUAAACCCGGCUCGGUCCAAGGCCCGGGUUCUGGGUUUUGACCGGGUCACCAGGUCGUCCGGGUCAAUUCUUUUUAAAAAAAAAAAAAUCAAAACGACAUCGUUUUAGUAAAAAAACAAAAGUCAACGGGUCGCAACCAGGUCUUGCCGGGUCAACCAGGUCGCUGGGUCAACCCGUUGGGUCACCCUGGGCUUUUCCUUUCCCUAUUUUUUCUUAAACUCGACCCGAUUCCAGCCCCGGGUCGGCCGGGUCCAGGGUCGACCCGCCAGGCCGGGUUUCAAAACUAUGAUAAUGUGUUUCAGGGUGGUCGUGACCAAUGGGACCAUGGAGCAGGUGGUAGAGGUUUUGUGCCAGCGAGUCAAAGACAGGCGCGAGUUUUUGCCCUUACUCAGCAAGAUGCCCACGCAUCCAACAUUGUUGUCUCAGGUACACUCUUUAUAUGUUCUUUUAAAGCUAAAGUUUUGUUUCACACAAGAGCAACUCAUUUUUUCAUUUCAUCAUAUUUUACUUUGAAAUUUAGUAAACAACCUAAUUUGUUAGAGAGACCUUUGUGUGUGGCUACCUCUUCGAAUGAGGUUUUGUUUGAGGAAUAUGUUUAUAUUGAUUAUAAUUGAUUAUAAGGUUAAGGUUCAAGGUAGAAAGCUUUUAGGUGAUUUUAGAAAUAAUAGGUUUUAAUGUGAUACUAGAUAUGGAUUGGUUGUCAAGGUUCCUUGCCAUAAUUGAUUUCUGGAAUAAAACAAUGGUUUUCAAGCCUGAUGAGGAGAUAGAGUUUGCUUUUCAUGGAGAUGGGUUAUCAUCUUCGUCGCGUAUCCUCUCAGCCAUCACAAGAAAGAUGGUACAAAAGGGUAUACAAGGUUUUUGGCUUAUGUGAAGGAUAUGAACAUGGAGGUUCUGAAGAUGGAACAAGUAUCGAUAGUUAAGGAAUUCAUCGAUGUUUUACCUAAUGACUUACCUAGACUACUUCCCAAUAGGGAUAUAAAAUUAUGUAUUGAUCUAGUUUCUAGUACAAAAUUAAUUUUGAUGGCAUCGUAUAGGAUAACGUUAGUGGAAUUAAAAGAGUUGAAGGAGUAGAUUUAAGAUUUGUUGGAUAAAGGGUUUAUCUGUCCAAGCAUGUUUCCAUGGGGAGCACCUGUUUUAUUUAUAAGAAAGAAGGAUGAUUUGAUGAGGAUGUGUAUAAACUAUAGGCAGUUGGAGAAGGUCACCAUUAAGAAUAGAUACCCACCCCCUCGCAUUGAUGAACUUUUUUUUUAGUUACAAAGAGCUCAAUGUUUCUAAAAGAUUGAUUUACAAUUGAGGUAUCACCAAUUGAUGAUUAGGAAGGAGGAUAUUCAUAAAACUGCCUUUAGAACUCAUUAUAAGCACUACGAGUUCUUAGUGUUGUUUUUUGAGUAACGAAUACACCAAUGACCUUUAUAGACAUGAUGAACAAGGUUUUUAGGUUGUUUAUUGAUAAGUUUGUUAUAGUGUUAAUUAAUGAUAUCUUGGUGUAUUCAAGGAGUGAAGAGAAACAUGAAAGGAAUUUGAGAUUGGUGCCUCAAACUAUGAGAGAUCAUCAGUUUUAUAGGAAAGUUCUUGAAAAGUGAGUUUUGGUUAGAGAGUGUUGGAUUUUAGGACAUGUGGUGUUCAAGAAUGGGAUAGAGGUUGAUCCAAAGAAGGUAGAGACAGUUAAGCAGUGGCCUAGACCGACUAUGGUAUCUAAGAGUAAGAGAAGGAUUGCUUUGAUAAUUAUAUGAAUAUCUAUUAUGUCUUAAUAUAGGACUUGUUAGUAACUUCAUGCUAACAAAGAGUAGUUAUUCUAUAUGCACAUAUAUAGUAUUUUGUAUACCUAGCUGGUGAGAGAGACAUUAGCUUGUGGCAACUUAUCCUCCCAUUGUGGUCACCUUCAGAUGUCAUCUGAUCUCAGACAUGUAUUCCACUAUUUUAUGAUAAUAUGCUUAGUAUAUAUAUGUAUAUCAAGAUAAAUCAACUUGCAAACUAUUAAUAUCUAAAAUGUAUAUUAAAUGUUAUUCCCCUACUUAAUUUGUUGAACUCACCUCUUAUUUUUUAUAUUAUUUCAAGUUCUUAGUUUAUGUUAGCAUGUGGACUUUGUUCAGUGUUCCUACUUCUUCAAUUUUGGUCAGUAUGCUUUGCAUGUUUCGCAAGACUUUCCUUUUAGUUUUGAUUUAAUAUAUUAAACACUCCAUUAUUAUUCUGUGUUAAUUAAGUUUGGAUUUUGACAAUGUAAUGAGUAUUAUGAAUUCUUAUUUUUAUUUCAAUUAUCGAUGAGAAGUUUUGAAAUAUUGUGUAUUUUUAAAUAACUUGUUCUUUUGAUAUGUCCAUUCUGAGGUUUAGUAUAAGUGGGGUGUCCCGCUGGCACCUCUCCUACAUUUACCGGUAAUGAACCCGAGAUUCAGGUCGUAAUAGUAUUCUUUUUAAUACACUAUCAAACUUAAAGGGAAUUAGCUUAAUUUAUCCUUGUGUUUUAGAUCUAGUUAGUUUAUAUAAAUCUAAUUGAUUUCAAUAUUAUAUCCUCGUAUUUUACACCAUUCUUCAAUAUAUUCUUCUAGUUAAUAUUUAUAUGAAAAUUGAUAUCACUACCCUUACUCUUACUUGAGAAUUACACUUCCAUCUAAUUUAUUAAGACAUAAUUUUGAAAAAGCAAAAACUAUAUUUUCAUAUUGGUUAAAAAAUUUUCCUUUUUCGUGGCUAUUUUUUUAGUAAAUUAGAUUAGGUUUGAGUUUUUCAUGUAAGAUCAUUUUCUUCUAUAUGGAUGAAAACAUCUAAAAUAAAAUUUGAUUAGAAAAUAAUUUAGACUUGUAAGGGUAGAUUUCAACUAGAAUAAAAUAUAAGAAUAAGAGCUGAUUUUCCCUAAUUUAAUGAGCAUAGAAACCAACCUAAUUUUAAUGAUUUGCAAAUAAAUCAUGUUUUCAAUUUAUUGAUUUAUAUAUAAAGUGUUUACCUUUUUUGGAAAAUCUCUAUAUAAAAGUAUUGUUUUUCUACAAAGACAAAUGUGGGGGGUUGUUAUGAUGGCGUUUUAGGGUUCAAAAUAAGAAUUUAUUUUCCUGCAUCUUCCUUACAAUAUAUAGUAUUAACAUUCCAGCUUCUCUCAACUUAGUCUUUUUUAUUAUUAUUAAUACGAUUAAUUAUUUUGGUUUUUUAUAGAAAAAAAUCACUCUGUUGGGUCUGUAUAAAAUAUUUUAUAGAAAAAUAUUUUUAAAAAAUUCUAUAUUUAUUUCCAAAGAAUAUUUUUGUGUGUUAAUAUCUCAUAAAUUAUUUUACACAAAAAAUCAUUAAUGAAAAACAUCUUAUAAUCAACAUUUAAUCUUGGUUCAUUUGCUAAAAAAUAUUUUCAACUCAUAAAGUUUCAUGUAAUAUUUUACAAAUAAUAAUCCAUUUAUAAUAUAAUCUAACUAUUUCAACCAUCAUCAUCAUCAUCUUGAAACACCCCAUACUUUCAUAUGCAUUUAUAAUUAUUUUCUUAUAAUUUGGUACGUAAAAAUACGAGUGAUUUUUUUUUUUUACAGUUCUCAUAUAAAAGUCUACCGAAAUUUCCACCGAAAUUUUGGCAGAGUCUCCCCUACACCGGGAGGUCCCAAGUUAUUGACAUAUACCAUAUUUACACUUCUAAUAUCUCAUAACUCAAUCACGACUCAAUCGUCCUGGAUCUCAAUCCCACAAACAUCAUCAUCAUCACAACCAUAAUAUUUAUAACAUACAUAUUGAACAAUAAAUAUAAUUAUAGAGGAAUAAAUGAGAUAAACACGUAUACANNNNNNNNNNNNNNNNNNNNNNNNNNNNNNNNNNNNNNNNNNNNNNNNNNNNNNNNNNNNNNNNNNNNNNNNNNNNNNNNNNNNNNNNNNNNNNNNNNNNCAAAAAGCUAGGAUGUACUCCUGUCGUGCAUGCGACGGUCCUGAAAAAAAAAUACAUAUUAUUGAAACAUGAAUAUCACAGUAAGUAUAGUAACACAAAUAUCCAAUAAUUUAAAAAGACAAACAUGUAUUCAUAUUCUAUUCACUUCUCUAUUUUUGUUACCAUUGAAACUCUUUCUCAUUCAACUACUAAAACCAUUUCAUCUUUCAUUUUCAACUUCCAUUCAAGAUUCCAUAAGAUUAACCACAACUAUUUCUGCCUAACUCAUUAUCAAUACCAAUUUCACCGGUAUCAUCAUCACCUCGUAUGCGUCGAUGCUUAGUGAUCCCUUUACCCGGGACCCUAACAUACACUAAAUGUAUGUUAGUCGAUGCAUGGUGAUCCCCUUAUCCAGGAUCCUAACAUACACUAAAUGUAUGCUAGUCCAUGCCCCAUAGGCAUCGAAGAAUGGUGUUCCCCUUACCCGGGAUCCUAACAUACACUAAAUGUAUGCUAGUUCAUGCUAACUUCACCCAUUAAUAUUGUCAUUCUUUGUCUUACCAUAUAGUUAUUAUUACAAAUUUUCAUUUCGAACAUGGAUUGUUUCUUUUCGAAGCUAAGAUAUAAUAUCACAUGUUCCCCAAAGGGAAAGGACCUAUAUUUUCACCCUUUAAUGCGUCUAUGACAAAUAACUUCUUCUCGGAGUUUCUAAUCCAGAUCUCCACCGUUAAUAAUGAAGAGCUCGUCAGUAUAACUCACAUAUCCAAAAUUGAGCAGGAUCCAACGGUGGACGAAUGCAAAAAUGGCUAGCAACCAUGACUGACCUGCAGGUAGAUUUUUCUUGAAAUGUUGCGAGGGCUAUAUCUCUCACACCAAACCAGAACAUUCUGAUCCCAACGGUAAGAUAUUAGAGGGUAGUGAGAACCAUAAUAUAUCCAAACACCAGACAAAUCCAACGGUGUAAUACAGAGAUAUGACUGUUUGAAUGUCUGCUCUCAAGGUACUCUCUCUUUCCCUUUCUCUUUUUUUUUUCCUUUCAUUCGGCCCUCGUAGUUAAUUUCUGCACAAUUUUGCUAUUUAUAUAGCAAAUAUAUCUAUAUUUAUUAAAACACCCUUAUAUCAAGUUUAGGUAUAUUUUCAUUCAACCAAAUGCCUUUUCUCGAUCCGCUUUUAUUUUAUUUUAACCAGCUCAUUCCAUUCUCGGUUCUAAAUUAUCAAUAAUUUUAUUAAUAUCAUAAAAUUUGAUUGGGAGUUUACAAUUUACCACCAUUUUUAUUUUACUUCUCAUUAUUCAAUUCAUCAUGGUGAAAUCUUUUGUUAGGGUUUUACAUAAUUUCCACUGAAUCAUCUCCAUAUCUAAAUUAUAAAUUUUUGGGGUUUCACAUUAGGGGUCAUUUUAUCAUUUGUACAUAAACUCCUAACCUUCUGUUAUUUGAACAUUGACCCCUCUUGGUCUUACGUAUUUAUUUUGUCUCAAUAAUUUUUUCUUUCUAACAAUUUAGCACUAUAUUCACUUUUCAUUUACUUAAUUUCACCAUUUUUAUCUUGAAUUAGGUUUUUUUAAUUUAAUUUAACCCAUUUUACUAUCGGUUAAAUUUCUCUUAUUUUAAUAGCCUAGAAAAAUUAUAACGGGGGUUUACAAUCUUCUCCUCUACUACUAUUUUUUUCAUCAUCACCAAUCAUAACAACCACCUUAUCUUCAUGUUCCCCAUAGUCAAACCACCACUACCCUCACAGUUGUUUAUUUCAAUUAUUAAUUAUUAAUUAUUAAUUAUCUUAUCAUCAUUGUAUUUUAAUUAUUUUAGAUUGAUUUCUCUUUCAUAAGUGAUUCGGUACUUACAAUCAAACAAUUAAUGAUAAAUAGUUGAGUCAAUUUAGGUCAUGAAUUAAUGAUAAGAAAAAAAAAACCAAAUUUGAUAAUGGAUAUAACACCAAUCAUCAUGUAUGUGUGUUUGUGUGUAAAAAUGUAUAUAAAUUAUUGAGAAAUUAUAUGUAUGUGCUAAUAUGUUGGUCACCUUCAACAAUAUUUUUGGUGUAAAUUAAAAGUCAUAGCUAGUAGCACAUUGGAUGGGAGACAUUAUGAAUGGAGUUCCUAAAAAUUGCAACGAGUUUGAAAAUCGUUGUUACAGUUUCAAUUCUUAAAUAAAAUAAAAUAAUGACAAUGUAAAAACCUGGGUGAACCUUUUGAAGGUUAAAAUCUUUAAAUAUUGUUGAAGCACAGUGUUCUGAAGACCCAGAAUCUUGAAGGCAGUCUUCCACGAGAUUUAGGCAGGUUCCCUUACCUCCAAGAAAUGUAAGCAUUGACUUUUAAGUUCUUUACCAAAUUUAGCCCAAAAUCAUUGUUAAACAUAUGAUAUGAUAGCCCAAAUUUAGCCCAAACUCCAACCUUUACAGUAACUUGUCACGUAACUACCUCAACGGUACCAUCCCUACAGGAUGGGGAGCCACGCCACUGGUUACCAUGUACGAUACUUUUUCACUCAGGAGCUUUAGGAAAUUUGAAAAAUUGUGACAUUUCUUAUUGUAGUGGAUCUAAACUGAUAAAAUUUCCCGCUUUACCUUUUAAUCAAAGUAUUUUUGUUUCUUCUUCACCAUUUGACUUGAUUCAUUCUAAUGUAUGGGGACCUUCUCCUGUUGCCACAAAAGGAGGGUCUCGAUAUUAUAUCUCUUUUAUUGAUGAUCAUACUUGUUAUUGUUGGGUUUAUUUAAUGAAAACAUCAUUCUGAAUUCUUUGAGAUAUAUGCAGCUUUUCGAGCUCUUAUCAAAACUCAACAUUCUGCUGUGAUCAAAUGUUUUAGGUGUGAUUUUGGUGGGGAAUACACCUCUAAUAAAUUUUUUCAAUUGUUUGCCUUAGAUGGAACUAUCCACCAAACUUCAUGUACAAAUACUCUUGAGCAAAAUGGUGUUGCUGAAAGAAAGCAUAGGCACAUGUCGAAACUGCUCGUUCUCUCUUGUUAUCUGCUUUUGUUUUUAGCAAGUUUUGGGGAGAAGUUGUUCUUACUGCUGUAAGUUUAAUUAAUACAAUUUCAUCUUCUCAUAGUUUGGGUCUAUCUCCUUUUGAAAAGUUAUAUGGGUAUGCCCUUGAUUAUUCUUCAUUUAGAGUUUUUGGUUGUACUUGUUUCAUUCUUCGUCCUUAUGUAGAACGCAGUAAACUAUCCUUUCGAUCCACUAUUUGUGUCCUUCUAGGUUAUGGUGAAGGUAAAAAAGGGUAUCGUUGUUUUGAUCCAAUAAUUCAGAAACUUUAUGUGUCUCGUCAUGUUGUCUUUCUUGAGCAUAUAUCUUUCUUUUCUAUUCCAUCCACUACUCAUAGCCUGACUAAACCAGAUCUUAUUCAUAUAGACCCCUUUUCUGAGGAUUCUGAUAAUGAUACCUCUCCCCAUGUUCGACCAAUUUGUACUCAUAACUUUGCAGGUACUGAUACUUUACUCUCUGGCACACUUGAAGCUCCAUUCUCAUCUACAGCCCCUCAAGCUUCAUCUGAGAUUGUGGAUCCACCUCUACGUUAGUCCAUUCGCAUUCAUACGUCAACAAAACUACCAAAAUUUGCUUAUUCUUGUUAUUCUUCAUCAUUUACUUCCUUUUUAGCUUCUAUUCAUUGUCUCUUUGAGCCCUCUUCCUAUAAAGAGGCAAUUCUUGAUCUGUUUUGGCAACAACCUAUAGAUGAGGAACUUUCUGCUUUGUAUAAGACAGAUACUUAGGAUCUGGUUUCUCUACCUCCUAGUAAGAGUGUUGUUGUUUAUCAUUGGGUGUCUAAGAUCAAGACUAAUUUUGAUGGGUUUAUUGAGUGAUAUAAAGCUAGGCUGGUUGCAAAAGGAUACUCUCAACAAUAUGGUAUGGACUAUGAGGAGACAUUUGCCCCUGUUGCAAAAAUGACUACUAUUUGUACUCUUAUUUUCGUAGCUUCGAUUCGUUAGUGACAUAUUUCUCAGCUUGAUGUUAAAAAUGCCUUCUUAAAUAAAGAUCUAUCCUCUAACUACUUUACUGGACAGUUGCCAGCAACAUUUGAAAAGCUUACCACACUGAAGGAUUUAUAAGUUUUUGAAGUAUUAUUAUAAUUAUGACACAAAUUAAAUGUUCAGUUUUGAAUCAACCGGCAUGAUUUUAUUAUUUUUUGCAGCCGAAUUGGUGAUAACAGCUUCACAGGUCAGAUACCGAAUCUUAUUCAGAAAUGGACAAACCUGGAGAAACUGUAAGAUUUUAUGUGGUUCGUAAUUGUAUGGAUUAUUUUACAGUUUAUGUGGCCUAUCAGAUUAUUUAUUCGAACCAAUAUUUGACUGCAUGAUAGAGUGAUACAAGGCAGUGGUCUAAACGGGCCAAUUCCAUCAGGCAUUGCUCUUCUGGAAAAGAUGGCUGAUAUGUGAGUCAACCUCUGUUGUUUGAUAACUUUCAUAAGAACAAUAAUAAAAGAAAUUUAAUCCUUAACCGUGCAUAUAUGCAGGAGAAUCAGUGAUCUGCAUGGAAAUGGAGCUGAAGCCCCAUUCCCACCAUUAACUAAUAUGAAAAACCUAAAGACACUGUGAGCUAGAUGUUUUCUUAUCAAUCAUCAUGUGAUGAUUGUUUUGCGUUGUUGUUUCUUCUUUAUAUGAUUCUUAAAAUUAAUGUUUAUGUUGCAGGAUACUGAGGAGUUGCAAUAUUAUUGGACCACUGCCUGACUUUGUUGGAGAAUUACCCAAAUUGACAACCUUGUCAGUUCCUUCUAUCAGCUUCUUUAUAUAUCGUUUUGGACUUUGUUAGCAUUUACCCUGUCUUAUAUUUGCCUACUUGGCGGUGAUACACCUGAUGUUCUCUUAGUUAUUUGACCAUUUUUCUUCAUUCUAUAGUAAUAUGUUGAGCUCUCUUUAUGGUUUCUUUACAGAAACCUCAGCUUUAACAAACUCAUUGGAGAAAUUCCAAGCAGCUUUAAUGGUCUAAGAAAAGCUGAUUACAUGUAAGCAAAUGGCUUUAUAUUUGUUCCUUCUUACAUUCAGCUUGAAGAUCCCGAGCAGUUCUUAUAUUUCAAACCAAGUCUUGCAAUUGUUCUAUUAGCUAUAGGAACAAUUGUUCUAUACGGUUUUGUUAGCUUUGCUUGAAAUCCACUUUUAUUGAUGCACUACUUCUUUCUAGAUAUUUAACGGGGAAUCAGCUAAAUGGAACCGUACCGAACUGGAUAACUAUGGAUGGAGAAUCUGUGUAAGGUUUCUUUUCCUGUCUAGAUUUAUUUCUGAUACGUCUAAAAGUUAUUUAUUUAGUUUUACAAAUAUGCUACAGAAUUUACCUAUUGUUCUCUUGAUAGAGCAGUCAUUUGAGGAACACAAUUCCAUACCAUCCUUAGAUAGUGUUCAAAAGAUAAUAAACUUGGUUUGGGGUUUCGAUUGCAGCUCACGGAUGAUCUAUUGCAUUUGGAAAACCAAGUCAUCUAGCGACUUUUUCUAGAUUUGAUGCCUAAAACUAAAAUUUCCAUGCAUUAAGGGAUGAUGAGAAUAGCAGAAGGGUUCAUAACCACUAAGACUAAUUAGGCACACUUACCAAAUAUACGAUCAACAAAUUGUUUGAUUGAUUUACAAUUUGAACUGAACAUCUACCUUUCUUCUAGCAGUGAUCUUUCCUACAACAAUUUCAGAAAUGAGAGCUUAUGUCUACAGCGCAAAGUGUAAGAAAGUGAAGUUUUAUCCUCUCCACUUCUUUUCUAUCCAUCAAUCCCUCAUUCCUAUACAUUCACUUGCAAUUUGUGUAAGAGCUAAUUUUUUUCACUUCCUGAUUUCCUACAGAAAGUUAUUUGGCAGCGCUUCAAUGGGCAACGUCUCGUAACUGUUUAGACUACGGAAAACUCAAUCUUAUCUAUUUCUAGAGAGAUAUUUGAUGAUUUGGUCUAGGCCUUUCCUAUUCCAAAUUUUAAUCAGAUAUGUUGCAAUUUUUUUUAUAUAUAUCUCAGCAGAUGUAUUGUUCCAUGCUUAAGAAGCUUUCAUUGUCCCAAACGUAAGUUAGGCUUAUGAUGGCGUUACAGAAAAUUAUUUGCUCCUUUUGCGUACCAAAUAUCUAUAAAUCAGUAGUUUCGUUCUGGAAGUUAAAGAUCAAGUGUACCAUGAUGUAAUGGUUCUUGUCAUUUUGAAGGAAUAGAAUUGCAUAAGAAUACGAUCAAUUGUAAAAGAAACAUUCAAAUAGUAGCUUAACAAAAUUAAGCUUCUACAAGGUAACAAAAAUAUUUUCAAAAUACGAUCAAUUGUAAAAGAAGCAUUUGUUGGAAAAGAAUGAUAGGGUGUGAUAGUUAAUUUAUAAGAACAAAGCUAAAGAACAAGAAGAAGAAUGAGAGGAAUGAUGAUUUUAUUAAGAGUUUUCUCAAAAGUUACAACUUUAUAGCUCUUCUCUAUAUCUCUCUCAACUUGUUUUUAAUGCUUAAGAUUACAAGCCUAUUUAUAGGCCUCAAGUCCUAGAUAAUCAAGGAAUUAAACUAUUCAAAGGAAAUCCUAAUCUAACAAAGAUUCUAAUAAACUAAUUUAAACAAGGAUUAUAAUAAACUAGUCUAUUGCAAAUCCUUCUUUAUCGAGGAUUCCUACAUUAACUAGGAUUCUUCUUUUAGCUAAUAUUAAAAACUCUUAUUAACUCUAAAUUCUAUUAGUCUAAAUCCUAGUUGAUAUUGAAUUUCAACACUCCCCCUCAAUAUCAACUGUUAACAUUCUUUUAUCUUUUCUUUCUCUUCAUGAUGUCCUGCCUCAAUAGUAUUGAUGUUGUUCGUAUUCAUCAUUAUUAAAAGGAUUAGUUACCUCAUAUAAGUCAUCAAGGCUCCUCAUCUUUCUUGGUGGAGUGCCACUACUUGAGCUUUCACUAGAAGAAGAAGAAGUUGAGCUUGUUGGUGUUUGUGGAGGUGUGACUAUAGGUUUUUGAUGAUCUUCAUAUUUUUCCUCCUCUUCAUCAAGAAUUGGUAAGAGGUCAUAUUUCUCACCAUCAUUUAAGCAUUUAGGCAUAUCCAUUUCUAUGUUUAGCAAGACCAUUUUAUCAUUUGUCAUGGCUACCUUUGCAAUCAUAUCUCCUUUAGUGUCAAGUAAUGUCAAAGUACGAUCUUUCAUCGUAAUCUCAUACCCCUUCUCCAACAAUUAUCCUAAGCUCAUUAUGUUGCUUUUCACCUUUGGUAUAUAAUAGGCAUCACCAAUAAAUUGAUGACUUCCAUCUUCCAAUUUAAUCAAGAUUGUACAUUUUCCUUUGAUGGCAACCUUUGAAUGAUCUACAAAAGUGACAUUACCUCUAAUUGCUUCAUCAAACUCCAUGAACUUGUCUUUGUCUCCACACAUGUGGUUACUAGCUCAAUUGUCUAGGUACCACAUGUUCUCGUUUUCUUGCAUUUUCUCAUUAUGCACUAAUAGUAGAGUGGCUUCAUUCUCUUUUUCUAUUAUAAGAUUUGCGUUCUCCUCAACCCUCUUGGUUGGACUCCAACAAUCCUUAGCAUAAUGACCUGUCUUUUGACAAUUAUAGCAUUUAACUUUUGAUUUGUCAAACCUGCUAUCAAAUCUAGAUCUUGAAUUGCUAUUGCCAGUUGAAAUGAUCGACCGGUUCUCUUCAUUCUAUCGACUGUUUGAUUUGUUGAGGUUGUCUCGACCUCCUCUUCUAAAUCUUCCUCUUUCUCCUCCUCCUUGGGAAUAUCUAGAACCAUCUUGCUUUGAAAAAAGUGUUUGUGCACCAACAUCCUUUUGAAUCUCAUUGACUCUUUCCUCAUGAGCUUAUAAUUUCCCCAUAAAACCUUGUAGUGAAAGAAAAUCCAUAUUUUAUGACUCCUCUAUCGCGACUACCACAUAAUGAAACUUCUUUUGUAGCGAGCGUAAGAUCUUCUGUACCACACGUGUCUCUUCCAUCUUCCCCCUGUAUCUCUUCAUUUGAUUAUAUAUGGCCAAUAUUCUUGCAAAGUAUUCUGAAAUAUUCUUUGAUUCAAGCAUAUGUAACUUUUCAAAGUCAUCACGUAGUUUUUGUAAAAGUACAUUUCUCACAUUGUCAGCUUCUUGGUUUGAUUCUUGCAAAACUUUCCAUGCUUGCUUGGCAGUGGUUGCGUUAUCCACUAUCUCAAAAGUGGCAUUAUCCAGACAUUGAUGGAUAAUUGUUAGUGCUAGUUGAUCCUUCCUUCGUGCCUUUUGCACAGCCUCUCUUUAGGCUGAAGUCAACAUUGCUUCAUCUAUAGGCUUUUCAAAGCCUUUUUCAACUGUUUCCCACACAUCUUGGGAAUCUAACUAAGCUUUUACUUGAAUACACCAAGUUUGAUAGUUAUUAUUUAUCAAUCUAGGAUAUUGAAGUGGAAAAGUUGAAUCGACCAUGUUAAAUAAUCAAACCUAAGCUCUGAUACCACUUGUUGGAAAAGAAUUAUAGGGUGUGAUAGUUAAUUUAUAAGAACAAGAAGAAGAAUGAGAGGAAUGAUGUUUUAUUAAGAGUUUUCUUAAAAGAUACAACUUUAUAGCUCUUCUCUGUAUCUCUCUCAACUUUUUUUUAAUGCUUAAGAUUACAAGCUUAUUUAUAGGCCUCAAGUCCUAGAUAAUCAAAAAAUUAAACUAUUCAAAUGAAAUCUUAAUCCUAAUCUAAUAAGGAUUCUAAUAAACUAAUUUAAACAAGGAUUAUAAUAAACUAGUCUUCAUUGAGGAUUCCUACAUUAACUAGGAUUCUUUUUUUUUUUUGAUCAAAUGUUAGAAGUAUAUAGAUCAAAAAUUUCAGACUAGCUGGAAAAAGAACCAGCUAGCCAGAGAAACAACUGUACAGAACAGGCUUGUGGGAACAGGCUCCCAGCAAGCACAACCAGAAAAACUGAUCUAACCAGGCCUUCAAUUAUAACCAAAGGAAACACACCUUCAAUUAUAACCAAAGGAGACAGAAAACUAUUACAAGUGAAUUACAUAAAACAAACAGCACCGAGAGCAACAAAAGGAAGGCAGACUAGUGCCAAAACCCCAGCGGCGAGCCAGCCGAGCCGAAAUCAACCAAUCAUGCAGAGACACUUCCAGCUAGGAGGACAGCAACUCUACAGAAGAGACAAAGAGCCCGAUUGUGGAAGAAGACACCAAGCUCAAAAAGCCAGAAUCCAAGCCAAACCAUGGAGAACGAGCGUACCGACAGCCCUUCAAACUAAAAGCAGCUUCAGCCUAACACAUCCAAAAACCUGCAGCACCAUGUGUCCCCCAGCCAAAGAGACACCGACACGCCAACAGCUCAGGAGCCUGUCCAUGUAGGAGCGAGGAUGACAUUGGCCAAUAACAUAUGCCCAGGAGACAGCCAAAACCAAAUUGAAUACCCAAAAACAGAGUUGAUCAAUGCGGGGACGAGAAAUCAUGCAAAAUUCAUGCACAUCCAAGCAAGCAUCCAGUCAAGGCAGAACAACACAACACAAAGGAGACAGCCACAAUCAAUGUCAACUGUUCAUGUAGGCAGACAUUGCUCAACCAGGCAAAGGAAAAAACCAGCCAUACAUACCGAGCCACAAGACAAGCUUCUGACAACCCACAGCGUCAACAAUGGCGGCUAGCCAGCCAAGCCAAGACAGAGAGAACAGCCAAAGAAGGGCAGCUCUUCCAGCCAAGUAAGACAGAGGAGCCAGCCAAGAUUCAACAGCGUAUCAAUGCAAAACAAAGGAUCCAUGCAGACACAGCUCAGCCAUGAAGAGAUAACGCCAGCCAAUCAUGCAAUGACACCGAACUUCCCCCAUGCAGAGAGGAGGACAACCCCAGUAGCUUGAAUCCAGAAUGCAUGAGCCAUGCAGGCACAUAUUGACGAAUCUCAAGGAUAAACCAUGAGCACCAAACACAGGGAGAAUGCAAAAACCAAAGGGGUGGGCCCGACAAGAAGCUUCUUCACGUAAAUUUUCAUGCAUGGCAACAGUACUCCAUGCACGCCCAAACAAUAAACUUCAGCCUAAUGCAAGCCAAGCAAACAAAAGAGGUGGAACAGGCCAAGGAGGAGUGAACAGACAAGCAAAGAAGCUUCAGCACGCCAAUGAGGAACCAGUCAAGAGCAUCAGCCAGCGUGGAUUCCUUAAUGAAGAGAAGUGGACCCAGACCGCAUUGAACAAUCCCAAGCUGUCAGCCCACUUGCAGUAAAGAGUGAUCCCUCUCAUGAAAGUGGAAGAUGACAUAGAACAGGACUUGGAAUCUUCGGAAUACUAUAUUGACAUCUCUUGAAUUCCCAUCAAAUACUCUUCGGUUACGCUCCUCCCAAAUUAAGUAAACCACUAAGCCAAGAGAAACCCUGUUCAUGCGAGCUUGCAUACUCCUCUUGUGAGGGUAUAACCAACGAAGAGCACUAGACAAGGAGUGCAUAGUCCUGCUUAACCGCAACCAGGCUGUGACCAGCGACCACAGACGAUUUGGCCAUCCACAAAGAAAGAAUAAGUGACUGUGAGAUUCUUCCUCCUGUCGACAGAAUACACAGGUGGGGUCAAUGGGGAUGAAUCGUAAGCGAUCCCGAGUGCGGAGUUUUCCCAAAGUAGCCAACCAUAGAAUGAAACUGUAUUUUGGUAAGGACCAUUGCUCUCAAACAACUCGAUGCCAUGAAAUAGGUGCACCCACAGGUCUAAGGAAUUGGUAUGCAUGGGCAAGAAAAGGGCCUGCAUUUGUAUCCCAAGUGGUCAUCAACUGAAUGGUUUCCCUUGUACCGCCACAACGAAGGGAAAGAAGGUCCCUGACCGAAAGAAUGGACUUCCACAGAGGGGAAGAGUGUUGAUGGGGUUGAAUCGUCCAGACAUCUUCAUGGUUUAAAUAAUAGUGAUGGACCCAACGGAUCCACACCGAAUCCGUUUUGAGAUGAAGAUUCCAAAGCUGCUUGGUAAGGAAACUUCUGUUACGAGCUUUAAAGUCAAAGAGACCCAGACCUCCUUCAACUUUAGGCAGGCAGAGAAACUUCCAUGCAACCAGGGCUGAGCCAUUUCUCCCAAUGUUCCCCGUCCAUAAAAAAUUCCUGCAGAUACUGGUGAGGCGAUGAAGAACCACCUCAAAUAGCACUGAUCGAACAAGUUCAAGACGACCUGCAUAUGAGAGAUGUUUGCCAAUCCAGCCUUGAACUGUUAAUUCCAAGGCAUUCAGAAGAGGAGUAAACUGACUAGCCAAUAGCCGGUGAGGACUCAAGGGAACCCCUAAGUAAGUGAAAGGGAAAAUCCCUUCCUUGAAUCCUGAUUCAGUGAGGAUGGUAUGUUUGUGAGCAUCCCUGACUCCACCAAAGAAGAUAGAAGAUUUCUAUGGAUUGAUUACCAGCCCUGAAGUUUGUCCAAAGAGGUGAAGCUGCUGAAGAAGCCAUCUAACCGAAGUUGCAUCACCCCGUGAGAGAAGGAGGAUGUCAUCAGCAAAAGCAAGGUGAGUAAGCCGAUGAGACUGGCAUUUGGGAUGAAACCGAAAUCCAGGCUGUUGAGAGGCUAGUGUUAGCAUUCUGGAAAAGUAUUCCAUACAACAGAUGAAAAGAUAAGGGGAUAAAGGAUCUCCCUGUCUAACACCACUUUUACCCAUAAAGAAUCCAUGAAGAUCACCAUUCACAGCAACAGAAUAAGAGACUGUGGAGACACAUUGCAUGAGAAGAGAAACAAACCGGCCUGGAAACCCAAGCUGCAGGAGGAGCUGCUCUAGAAAAACCCAUUGAACAGAAUCAAAUGCUUUCCUGAAGUCCACUUUCAACAGGCAGCGCGAGGAGGAACGUUUUCUGCCAUAUUGUCUGAGAAGCUCCUGUACAAGAUUAAUGUUAUCACUCAUAAACCGUCCACCCAGGAAGGCAUUUUGUAAAGGGCUGAUAAUGGUUGGGAGUGUACAAGCCAGACGACCAGCCAAAAGUUUUGCAAUGACCUUAUAAAUGACAUUGCAGCAAGAGAUGGGCCUGAAAUCAGAUGGAGAUGUAACAUUAGCCGAUUUAGGGACCAAAGUGAUAAUGGAGUGAUUAGCCUGCCGAAGAAGUCGACCAGAAGUGAAGAAAUCUUGGACAGCAGCACAAAAGUCAUCCGCAACAAUGUGCCAAGCACGCUUAAAAAAAGAAGAAGAAUAGCCAUCUGGUCCAGGAGCUUUGUCAUCCCCUAUGCUGAAGACCACCUUGCGGAUAUCAUCUGGGGUGACCGGAGAAAGCAAGAAAGCAUGAGAGCUUGAGGGGAGACAAGGACCACUGUUAAUAACCUCACUAUCAAGAGGAAUGGUGGGGGUGGACGUUCCAAGCUGUUGCUGAAAGUAAUUGACAAAGACCCUGCCAACUUCCUCCAAGGAGAAGCUUGGACAACCUUGGUCAUUCAUAAUUGCUGGAAUGAAGUUCUUUCUGUGAGUAUGAUUCAGCAAGGCAUGAAAGAACUUGGUGCCUCUAUCACUUUCUUGAAGGAAUUUGCAUUUGAUCUUUUGGCUGAAAAAUUGUUUCUCUGCAAACUUCAGUUGAGAAAACUUAGAUCGGAGAAGCUUUUCCUGGUCCAGUAAGUUGUGAUUGUCUCUAUCCUGGUGGAGAGAUAAUUGAUGAGCUGCCAACUCAUUCUCAAGGCGAGAAACACGUUCUGAAAUGUGGCUGAAGUGGGCCCGAUUGAGCUCUUUUAGAGGCUUCUUAAGAAACUUUAGGCGACGACACAAGAGGUACAUGGGGUGCCAUACAGAUCCGAAAACCAAUGAGAAGAGACAACAUCAAGGAAUUGAUCAUGGGAAGCCCACAUGUUGAAGAAUUUGAAGCUCCGUCUGCCUGAGACAUGAUGAUCCAGACUAACUUUAGCCGGAGAGUGAUCAGUAAAAGCUCCAGGAGGAGCAAAGUGAACCUGCGUCAAGCGCUGUAGGGAAGCCCAAUAUGGAUUUGUCAUAACCCUAUCAAGUUUGCUCCACACCAAGCCAUUGGUCCAGCUGUAGUGACAACCAGUAUAAUUCACAUCCUGGAGGCCAAGGUCUAAACAACAUUGACGAAAAUUAGAGGAUUCAUAAGAGGAGACUGGUUCACCAUUGUGUUUGUCUGCCGAAGAAAGAACUGAGUUAAAAUCUCCAAGAAUCAUCCAGGGGUUUGAUGAGUGCCAGCUUCGUAAAUCCGCCCAUAGAGGUCGCCGAGCAGAAAUAGAGUGAAAGCCAUAGACAAAGGUUAUGUGGAAGCGGUAUUGAGAGAUAAGACUAUGCACAGAGAGAUGUAAAGCUUGAGCAGUAGAAGAGAUCAUAUCAACAGAAACUGUGGAAGGAUUCCAGAAAACAACAAUACGAGCAAUAGAAGCCGUAUCUGCAUUGGAAAUAUAUUUCCAAUCCCGAAGUCUCAACCGGUGAAGGCUGGCAACUCGAGAUAUAGUCAACUUAGUUUCAAGCAGGCCGCAAAUAUCCAUACGAUAUUUCUUCAUGAGGCCAACCACCUCAUGUUGUUUCAGGGGAUUAUUAAGACCCCUGACAUUCCAGCUGUAUAUAAUCAUGGAGAUGCAGGAGAAGGGAUGACCCUUCUACUACCAGGGGUGGUCCUCUUGCUAUGACGCUGCAUAGUGGUGUUAACUGAAGUCCCCAAUAGAGGACGUGCAAAAGGGCUAGGGGCUAGAAUACCAUCACCCAACUGGGGAGGCCGUAAUCUGGGAGAAGCAACUACCAAACCAACCUCUGCACCUACAGGAGAAACCACUUCUACACAGGCAGGUGGAAGAUGUGCUGUGCUGGUAUUGGCAUUAGCAAUGCCAAAAGACGGUGGAGGAACAAUAAAAUCUGUACAGGCAGGAAGUAAAGCAGGAGAAGGAGUAUUACCAGAAACUGCUUCCACGGCCGUCCCCUUAAGAGGAGAUUUGACACGGUUGUGGGACUUUCGUCUAGACUCCACCAUUGUCCAGCCCUCCUCCGAGGCAACACAGGGUUCAACUGGUUGAGGAUCCACUGCAGGGGAGUUCGAUGUAGCCAAAAGAGGAGCCGGAGCUGACGACCGACUCUGUUCUGGUAAAUCUGUGGUUGAGUCCUGCACCUGGUGAAUGUGGGGGCCCAGCCUACUAAAGACUCCCACUUUGCUGGCAUGGGGAUCCGAAGCAACUCCACCCUCUUUACUACUGGAAGCAGCUUUGGAACAGAGGAGACGAGUAUGGCCUAUAGAAUUACAGAAAUUGCAGAAUUUUGGUAAUGAUUCAUAAACUACUUUUUGGUGAAGCACCGGACCUGAUGGUAGAGGCACAGUUACAGAUGCAGGAAGGUCUUCACGAAGAUCAAGCUCAAUAAGCACUCUUGCAUAUGACAGACGAGAGAGUAGAAGUCAUAUGGUCACAUUGAAUGGGCUUGCCUAUAACACUUGCAAUUUUGGAGAGACACACAGGGGACCAGCAGCAAAGGGGGAGGUUGGGGAAUCUCACCCAUACAGGCACCCUCGUCAUCUCCUCAUUGGAGAAGUCAAAGAACUUCGUCAUCGGCUUCAAAAUGAGUGGUUUGCCAUACACGAGAUACGGUCCUCCCCGAAGAACAGAAAUCUUGUCUUCCUCCCGAGUAAAUCUAUAUAUCAGCCAUCCAGAGGCAUGGAUAGUGAGAGAAGCUUCACAUUUCCAAACAGAGGAAAUGAUGCCAUUCAAGGCCCUAUACCCAGGGCUUUUUCCUGAGACAUAACCCACAGCUCAUAAAUUCCAGACCUCAAACUGAGGUUGAAAAUCUUCCGGAGAAAUGGCACACGAUUUGGUAAGGUGAUUAAGGGGAAAAUUUCGUAGUUUUGUGCAGAGAGAGGGUGGUCGAUCUGAAGAAAAAAGGUCACACCAGUUGCGACCACUAGAGGCUGAGGGAGGGGGGGAUGUGCUGUGUCUGCCAAAGGAACAUUCACCUCCGCAGGAGCAACAGGAGGGGACGAGGCACGCACUGGGGAAGCAACAGGUUCUGGAAAGGGGCAUGCAGGGGAAGCAACAGGGGAAGCCCCAGGAUCUAUAAGAGAAGCAGCAGGGACGGAAGGGGCCUCAAAUACUGAGGAGGUGAAGAAUUGAGACCCCCCAGCACAGUCAUCUCCAGAAGAGGCAUAAUCCACUUCCUCGUCAUCAAGAGCAUCAUCGUCAGAAUCCACAAACACAUGGUUGAUAUUGGGGGAUGGAGCAACAUGGAACUGAGGUUGUAAACCGUGAGAAGCGGAGGGGACAUGGGGAUUAGGCCUGGGAAUCUCUGAAAUGAGGCCAGUAGGCGGGGAAGGAUUUGAAUUUGAAAUGGGGGGAACAAUGGCAUGAACAGUACGAGACGGGGCCUCUAAAGCAAGAACAGUGUGUUCAUUCAAAUCAGCCAAAUAUUGCUGUUGAAGCUUAGAUUUAUGGGACCCAACCUUCUUCUUUUUGUUCGCCAUAGACAGAAAAUCAACAGAACAAAGGAAGGACAAGAGCAAACAACAGCAGUAGAUCAAACCCAAGGGAAAAGCGUCAUACAGAAGGAGAGCAUCUCUCUCUAAAUUCUCUCUCAAGAUUUGACUUCUACUAUUACUACAUUAACUAGGAUUCUUCUUUUAGCUUGUCGCACGUCCCCCCUGGCGACGAUCAUGGCAAUUUUUCGUUUUCUUUUGCUUGAUUUAGGUUUUUGAGUCAUUAUCUAAUAUUUAAUUGAAAGUUACUAGGAAACCCGGAUUUACUGGUCUUUAUCAGAGAUUCGAAGGUAAGGAACUGGUUGUGACUAGGAAAGGUAUUAGCACCUCUAACAUACCCUACCUGAGGUAAGCUGCUUCAUGACUUUGAUGUGAUUUUAAAAAUAUUAGUCAAAUUCUUAAAGCUUUAAUAAAUCAGUUAUUAAAUCCACAAAUAUAUAUAGAAACAUGUUCUUAUAUUUUCAUGGAAAAUAUAACAUAAUUUUAUUUAUUCCUUAGAUAUUUAUCCAUAUACCAAUUAAAACAUUUGAUUCUUUUUUCUUUUCCUUUCGAUUUUAUAAUUAGAAAAUAUACAUAAAAAAAAAUACAAUCACACGCAUCUCCUUUACUAUUUUCUCACCCAUAAUUACAUGUUUACAAUGUGAACAGGAAUCAAAAUUACCCAAACAAAACCUUAACAAUUCCAAAAUUACAGAAUACACUCCCCAAAAAUAACAGUAACUGCAGGGAAGCCGUCUGGAAUUUGCAGGAACACUGCGGCGCGUGGACCUCACGCACCACCGCCCCUGGCGGCGCGUGGAUCCACUUGUCAUCGCCGGCUAAGACCAACAAACUAGUAAAUCGGGGUCGUCUCUUCUUCUCCUCCCGCUUGUACCGGCGGUGGAUCUCCCAGCCACCUGCAAGGCAACCCAACAAACACAAGCAGUUUCCGGUUCUCUCCUUUUUUAGAUCUGCUUCUCCACCAUUUUUUAGAUCUGUUCCACCGCAGAUCUUUCUUGGGGUUACGUCUUCGUCUCCUUCACUUCAGGUGGCCGGCGUAGGACCAGAGGGCUGCCGGUCUGCGGGCGCUGCCGGGUUGUUGUUGCUUUUGUCGCGGUGGGACUGAGAGAAGACUGGGAAGAGGACAGCGGGGGCUGCCGCUGUGUUCGGCCUGAGGAAGAAAGGAGCCGCUGUGGGGCUGUUGGGUGGAGGAGCUGGGUCUGCUGGGGGAAGACGGCGCUGCUGCACGGGGAGGGGUCGUCGCUGCUGAAAGAAGAAGAAACCAAAGGGCAAGGGGGGAGCGGCCGGUCUCUGUUUUUGACAGAGGGCAAGGGGGCCACGGCCGGCCGCUGGUUCUGAGAGCCGAGAGAGGGAGACCGUGGAGGCCGGUGUGCAGGGGUGUUUGAUGUGGGUGUGGCCUUGGGUCUGGUCUGUGUUUUGGCCAAAGAGAGAGCAGAGACCGGGAGGUGGUCUCCGGUUUUUCUUUUCAAAGGGAGGGUUUCUCUGGUUUGCUUUUUCGAAGACCAGGGGGGAAGGGGGGUGGCCACUGGCUUGGAGAAGAAAAAUUCAAGAGCCAACGGGGCUCUCUGAUUUGUCUCCCGUCCAAAAGGAGGGGGGGCCUCUUUUUUUUUGUUUCCAAGGGUGGCGGCUGCAGAGAAGAUAGAUUUUUAGGGGUUCUUUGGGUUUUAGGGUUUUUCUUUUACUGUUCCCCCAAAAUUUUCUCGGCCCCAUGCCUGUAAAUUUUUCUCCGCCUCUUCUUUUCUUUCUGUAUUUAAACUUUCUUUGUAUUCCUCCUCUUUUUUUUUUUUUUUUUUUAAUUUUAAUUUUUUUUAUUUUGUUUGUAUUGUUUAAAACGUGCAAUAUUAACAUGGACUUAAAAAUUAGUGAUUGUAAAAUUAACACGUUAAAAAUUGAAUGCAUUUAAAAUACCUUUAAAAAUUUAAAUUCUUCUGAGAUGACGUUAAAAAUACUAAAAAUGAUGCAAAUAUAUUAAAAUGCAUUCUUUUGAGGUUUUUAUUGUUUUUUGCUAUUUUUUUAUUUUUUCUGAAAAUUUAUUAAAAACAUGGGUCAAAAAUUGGAUAGCAACAUAACUAAUAUUAAAAACUCUUAUUAACUCUACAUUCUACUGGUCUAAUAUCUAGUUGAUAUUGAAUUUCAACAGCAUGCACAUAGUAGCUUAACAAAAUUAAGGUUCUACAAGGUAAAAAGAAUAUUUUCAAAAUACAUACGUUGUUCUUUGCCAUGGUAGUUUGAUUUGUGCAUGUUCCUAUUCCAUGGUGAUUGAUAUGUUGUUGCUUUGGCAACAGAAUUCUAUUCCCUCCACAUAAAUUGUGGAGGAAAAGAAGCAACUAUUGAAGGGAAUAUAUACGAAGAUGAUACAGAUCCAGCCGGACCAUCAAGAUUCUACCAGAGUAAACUAACUGGGGAGUUAGUACCACUGGUCACUUCAUGGACGAUGACCGUUCCUCAUAUUCCUACACUUGGACGAAUGCAACCAAACUCUUCGAAAAUACUUCAGCACUUUACAUGGAUGCACGUCUUUCUUCAAUCUCUCUGACUUAUUAUGGUUUCUGUAUGGGAAGUGGGAGCUACACAGUUACCCUUCACUUCGCAGAGAUAAUGUUUACUGAUGACAAGACACAUAGCAGCCUUGGCAGGUGAUUUUUUGAUAUCUAUAUUAAGGUGACUGAACAAAGUUUUAUUCUGUCAUUCAGUAUUAAGGAUUUGAAUGUACAAAAUUUCAUUCUUCUUUCGGUUUUAUUAAUAGCAAUCUGACAACAAAAAUGUAGGAAAAGCUUGUAAAAAGGGAUUUCAGUAUCCAGAAAGAAGCAGGCGGUGUUGGUAAGGCAAUUAUAAAAAAUUUUACUGCCAUUGUAACUGGAAAUGCAUUGGAGAUACGCUUUUAUUGGGCUGGAAAAGGGACAACUGGGCUGCCUGUUAGAGGAGUCUAUGGACCUCUCAUAUCGGCUAUUUCUGUGACACCUUGUAAGUUGAGGAGAUUUUAUGAACUUAAUCAUCAGGAUUCUGUUCGUACAGUACAAAACCAUCAAUGCAGCUUGGUCUUGUCCAAUUUGUGUACCCUCUCCAUCCAAAUGACCAAUAAAUCUGGGGGUGAUCGUACAAAUUUGCCGUUCUUAUUUAUUAUUGAGAUUUGGGAGAUGCAUUUAGCAAUUUUCAUGAGACCAAAUGGAAAGCUUUCGUACUAUACCUUUGCUUACUGAUUUAAUACAAAAAUAAAUUGCUUUAUCUCUAAAAACUGAUAAUGUUUCCUUUUACCGCUAUUUGAAGGUAGUCUGGAUGGUACAAUUUCUGCACUUAUAUACGAAUAAUGUAUUGUCCAACCAAUUUGACUUACAAUGUGAUGUUAUUUGUCUUUCUGUUAUAAACUCUUUGCUUCCUGCAGAUUUUGUACCUCCUUCAGAAAAUAGCAGUAGUAAUGGUAUAUCCGCUGGCACUGUGAUUGGCAUUGUGGCUGCAGUAGUGGUUGUCGUCUUCCUGAUUCUAGGAAUUCUCUGGUGGAAAGGUUGUUUAGGACAGAAGAUCAGUAUGCGUCAUGGUAUUUUCUAAAGAUUUAUCUUUAUUUUCCUAUUUCUGCAUAUGAUUUCUCCAUAUCAACUUUGUAGAACCAUAUAUAUAUAUAAUCAAACCUGUUAAGCUGAAACUGGAAAAAGAAGGCUGCUAUGGCGAAACUGAUUGACAAUGAGAAGUCAAAAGAGAGAGGGAGAGAGAAGUGAAAUUAAUUCCAAGAAACGAAUUCUUUUCUGAAACAAAUUCGCUUCUCCAACAGAUUUGAAGGGCCUAGAAUUAAAAACAGGUUCUUUUACAUUGAGGCAAAUUAAAGCUGCUACAAACAACUUCGAUCCUGCUAAUAAAAUUGGAGAAGGUGGUUUUGGUCCUGUUUACAAGGUAUUCAACAUGAACUUUACUUGGUUUCUUAAUGCAUGGCCUUUGUAACAUUUUUAAGAUUCUUAGCUUGAUGCAAUACUAGUCUUGCGAAAGUUUUUACAUUAUUUCCUUGAUGCAGGGUGUUCUAUCAGAUGGAAACGUAAUUGCUGUAAAGCAGCUUUCCUCCAAAUCAAAACAAGGAAACCGUGAGUUUGUGAAUGAGAUUGGCAUGAUUUCUGCUCUGCAACACCCUCAUCUUGUAAAGCUAACGGAUGAUGCAUUGAAGGCAAUCAAUUAUUGUUGGUGUACGAGUACAUGGAAAAUAACAGCCUUGCUCGUGCUUUGUUUGGUAAAUUCAAAGAAUAUAAUUUAAUUGAUUUCAAGCUCUUGGCUCUUAGAUGUUUCCAUACAUGUAAAGGUACGCAUGCUUGUAUGGGAAGAGACAAAAUACUCACCUUAUACUUAGCAUCACUGUUGAUCUUGUCUCAAAGGUCCUGAAGAAUACAGUUGAAUUUGGAUUGGGCAACAAGGCACAAGAUUUGUGUUGGUAUAGCAAAAGGUUUAGCUUAUCUUCAUGAAGAAUCAAGAUUGAAGAUCGUGCAUAGAGACAUCAAGGCCACCAAUGUGUUGCUUUGUUAGUUGAUUGUUUUUAGGACUGCAACGUGUCUAAGUAUCAGAAAGUAUCAGAAAUUGUUUUAUGCUUCCAUUCUGUUUUUUAGUUUGUCCUAGUUUUUAGGAAGUGGUUAGUUUGUUGAAACAUGUUGCUGUUCAUGGCACAUGUUGCUGUUCAUGGCUUAAUUCUCGGUUUCAGUUAUUUUUUCUGUUUCUAUAUAAUGUAAGCUUGUUGCAUAAUAAAAUUGUAUUCCCAGUUUGCAUUCCCUUACCUACUUUUCUAUCUUGCUUCUACAUAUCCAUAAACUUCUACCUCUGUUAUACUCCUUUUCUUUUUUUAAAACUUACAAAUUGGUAUCAGAGCUUUUUUCUUAAGGGAUUUGUGUGUGAGCUUGACAUAUCAUGGAAGUUGAAACAAGUUUCUCCUCAAUUGCUCUGCUGGUGUUCAAUGGAGACAACUACCAGAUUUGGGCAGUACGCAAGGAGACAUAUUUGGAAGCUUUGGAUCUUUGGGAAGCAGUGGAAGAAGACUAUGAUGUUCCUGUACUUCUAAAAAAUCCCACCAUGACACAGAUCAAAACUCACAAGGAGAUGAAGACGAAGAAGUCGAAAGCCAAAGCAUGCUUGUUUGUUGCGGUGUCAACAACAAUCUUCACAAGAAUAAUGUCCCAUAAGACAGCCAAGUCUAUAUGGGAUUACCUUAAGGAAGAAUAUGCAGUAGACGAAAGGAUAAGAGGAAUGCAGGUUUUAAAUUUGAUACGGGAUUUCGAGUUGCAAAAGAUGAAGGAAUCUGAAACAAUUAAAGAGUAUUCAGAUAGACUUCUUGGAAUUGCAAAUGAAAUCAGGCUACUCGGGUCUGAAUUCAGUGAUUCAAGGAUUGUGGAAAAAAUCCUUGUCACAGUACCUAAAAGGUAUGAAGCGACAGUUACCACCUUGGAAAAUACCAAGGAUCUGUUAAAAAUUUCCUUGGCAGAAUUACUUAAUUCCCUACAGGCGCAAGAGCAGAGACGACAUAUGAGGCAAGAGGUCAACACUGAAGGAGCCUUAUUUGUAAAACAUCAUGGAGCUUUCAAAAACAAAAGGAAAGAGAAGAAAGGCCAAGAGGGAAAUUCUUUUGCUCCUGUUUUGAAUAACAACAGAAGUAAAAAAAAAAGCUUCAAGGGUAAAUAUCCUCCUUGUCAUCACUGUAAAAAGGAAGGUCACCCUCCAUUCAAAUGUUGGAGGAGACCUGAUGCAAAAUGUUCAAAAUGCAAUCAAACGGGACAUGAAGCAGUAAUUUGCAAGGGAAAAGCUCAGCAGCAUGAAGUUGACGCCCAAGUUGCAGAACAAGAGGAUGAAGAUCAGCUUUUUGUAGCAUCCUGCUUUGUAAGUAGUAGUUUGACUACAAGUUGGUUAAUUGACAGUGGUUGUACCAACCACAUGACCAAUGACAAGAAGCUCUUCAGAAAUAUGAGGCCAACUGACAUUACUAAAGUCAAAAUUGGCAAUGGUGAUUACAUAUCUGUCAAAGGAAGAGGGACAAUCACCAUAACCAGCACUGCAAGCACAAAAACAAUUUCUGAUGUUCUCUACAUACCAGAAAUUAAUCAAAAUUUGUUGAGUGUAUGCCAAUUGAUUGAAAAAGGCUUUAAAGUGAUCUUUGAAGAUAGUUUCUGUCACAUACUGGAUGUCAACAGUGAGGAAAUUCUCAAAGUGAGAAUGAAAGGAAAAAGUUUUUCUUUUGAUCCUAUUAAAGAGGAACUUGCUGCAUUCUCCACGAAAGCUUGCAACACUGAGAUAUGGCACAAGCGACUCGGUCAUUGUCACUUACGAAGGAUGCAACUUAUGCAGGAAAGGGAACUCACAGUUGGCUUACCAACCUUUGAAGAUCACUUACCGAAUUGUCAUGCUUGUCAAUACGGUAAACAAAAUAGGAGACCAUUCCCAAAGUCAUCUUGGAGAGCCACUCACAAGUUGCAGCUAAUCCACACAGAUGUAUCGGGUCCUCAAAGAACUGAAUCAUUAGCAGGUAGUCGAUAUUACAUUGCUUUUAUUGAUGAUUUUUCAAGAAUGUGCUGGAUUUUUUUCUUAAAAUUCAAGUCAGAAGUAGCUGGAGUUUUCUAGAAGUUCAAGAAAAUGGUAGAAAAUCAAAGUGGCUGCAAAAUUCAAGUUGUAAGGUCAGAUAAUGGAAAGGAGUACACUUCAGCAGAAUUUAAUAUGUUUUGUGAAAAAGCUGGCAUUGAACACCAGCUUACUGCUCCUUACACUCCUCAGCAAAACGGAGUAAGUGAAAGGAGAAACAUGUACAUAAUGGAGAUGGCCAGAUGCAUGCUACAUGACAAGGAGUUGCCCAAAAAAUUUUGGGCUGAAGCGGCUAGUACUGCUGUUUUCUUGCAGAACAGAUUACCCACCAAGGCAUUGAAGGAUAAAACUCCAUUUGAGGCAUGGUAUGACUAUAAACCUUCACUCAAUUUUCUUAGAGUGUUUGGUAGCUUGUGUUUCUCUCACAUUCCACAGGCCAAGCGGGAUAAACUUGAUAAAAAGUCAGAACCAGGCAUCUUUGUUGGGUACAGCUCAUCCUCAAAGGCAUAUAAGGUUUAUCAACCUCAAACAGGGAAGAUAAUUGUCAGUAGAGAUGUGUUCUUCAAUGAAGAAGAGAAAUGGAAUUGGGAACAAACAAAAGAGACAACCACGAGUAUGCAAAAAUCAAAUCUUUCCUCCCAAACAAGAGAAGAGCAAGCAUCAGAACAGUGGCAAGAAGAAUUGGAGGAUGAUUUACCAACUCGUGGAACAAGACAACUUCAUGAUAUUUAUCAGAGAUGCAAUGUGGCCAUUUGUGAACCUGCUGGUUAUGAAGAAGCCAUCAAAGACCAAAAAUGGCAGAAGGCAAUGGAGGAGGAGUUGUCAAUGAUAAAAAAGAACAAAACUUGGGAGCUAGUUGACAGGCCAAAGGAUAGAAAAAUUAUUGGAGUAAAAUGGGUGUUUAGAACCAAGCUCAAUGCAGAUGGCUCCAUCAACAAACACAAAGCCAAGCUUGUUGUCAAGGGAUAUGCUCAAGUUUUUGGAGUUGAUUACUCGGAUACAUUUGCCCCUGUUGCUAGAUUAGAUACUAUUCGGCUUGUGCUAGCUAUAACAGCUCAAAAUGGGUGGAAGGUGUUUCAACUAGAUGUAAAAUCUGCGUUUUUGAAUGGUAUUUUACAGGAGGAAAUCUAUGUUGAACAGCCCGAGGGAUUCAUGAAACAAGGUGCAGAGGAGAAGGUCUACUUGCUCAAGAAGGCUCUAUAUGGCUUGAAACAAGCACCUAGAGCAUGGUAUAGCAAGAUAGAUGAGCAUCUGUCAAGCCUAGGAUUUCAGAAAAGCAUGUCAGAGGCUACUCUGUAUGUGAAAUGUAAAGGAGACGAUCUACUCAUAGUCUCUAUUUACGUUGAUGAUCUCUUAAUCACAGGUGGCAAUGCCAAGCUUGUUGAAGAGUUCAAAAGGGAAAUGAUGAAAAUUUUUGAAAUGACAGACCUUGGACUCAUGGCAUACUUUCUGGGAAUGGAGAUUAAACAGCUAGAAAAUGAAGUUUUCAUCUGUCAAAAGAAAUAUGCCAAGGAAAUUCUCAAGAAGUUUCAUAUGGAGGACUGUAAGGCAAUGGCUACUCCAAUGAAUCCAAAGGAGAGCUUAAGUAAGGAGGACGACACAGACAAAGUUGAAGAAGGCUAUUUCAGAAGCAUGAUUGGUUGCCUAAUGUACCUAACGGCAACCAUGCCAGAUAUUCUUUUUGCUGUAAGCAUUCUCUCACGUUAUAUGCAUUGUGCUAGUGUAAUGCAUCUUAAAGCUGCAAAAAGAGUCAUUAGAUACAUCAAAGGAACUAUUGACUUUGGUGUAAAAUUCAAGAACUGUCAAAACUUCAAGUUGCUGGGAUUUUCUAACAAUGAUUGGGGUGGAUCCGUGGAUGACAUGAAGAGUACAUCUGGGUACUGUUUUAGCCUGGGAUCAGGAGUUUUCUCAUGGAAUUCCAAGAAGCAAGAGACUGUAGCAUAAUCUACUGCAGAGGCCAAAUUUAUUGUUGCUACAGCAGCAGUGAAUCAAGCACUGUGGCUGAGGAAGUUGUUUUGUGAUUUACAUUUGAAGCAACAAAAUGAUACGAAGGUAUUUGUGGACAAUCAGGCAGCAAUUGCAAUCUCCCACAAUCCAGUUUUUCAUGGAAAAACCAAGCAUUUCAAAAUCAAAAUUUUCUUUUUAAGAGAAGUGCAGAAGGAAGGAGAAGUGAGCCUCAUUUAUUGCAGAUCUGAAGAUCAACUCGCAGACAUUUUUACAAAACCUUUGCCAGCAAACAAGUUUGAACUUCUUAGGCAAAGACUCAGAGUUUGCAGCUCUUAAAACAUGGAGGAGUGUUAGUUGAUUGUUUUUAGGACUGCAACGUGUCUAAGUAUCAGAAAGUAUCAGAAAUUGUUUUAUGCUUCCAUUCUGUUUUUUAGUUUGUCCUAGUCUUUAGGAAGUGGUUAGUUUGUUGAAACAUGUUGCUAUUCAUGGCACAUGUUGUUGUUCAUGGCUUAAUUCUCGGUUUCAGUUAUUUUUUCUGUUUCUAUAUAAUGUAAGCUUGUUGCAUAAUAAAAUUGUAUUCCCAGUUUGCAUUCCCUUACCUACUCUUCUAUCUUUCUUCUACAUAUCCAUAAACUUCUACCUCUGUUAUACUCAUUUUCUUUCUUUAAAAUUUACAUGCUUGAUAAGAAUCUAGACCCAAAGAUAUCUGACUUUGGGCUAGCCAAACUUGAUGAAGAGGAAAACACCCACAUAAGCACCCGAGUUGCCGGAACCCUGUGAGCCUGCUCUACUGUUGUAUCUUGUUAAUACUUUCUAGUUCUUAUAUUUUAAGUUGAAUACAAUGAAAGAAAGAAAAAAAAGAGAGUCCAUCCUACAGCUUCACACAGAUUUGGUCAGCAACCAAAACUUAUCCCACGUCCAAUAAUAUAAAAAAAUCUAAAAAUGAGCCAUCCACCAUAAGAUUUAAGUCUUUUGAAUAGAACUUAGUCUAAGCUGUUUGAUAUAUUGGUUAUUUUUGCAGUGGGUAUAUGGCACCUGAAUAUGCAAUGCGGGGUUAUUUGACUGACAAAGCAGAUGUCUACAAUUUUGGAAUCGUUGCCUUGGAAAUUGUCAGUGGGAAGAGCAAUACUAGUCAUCGAACAAAGGAGGACACUGUUUAUCUUCUUGAUUAGGUAGAAAGAUUUAUUUAUUUUUAUUAUUAUCAUUGUACUUAAUUAUAUAUAUCCAUCUUGUCUUCUAGGCAUUGGUUUUGAAGGAGUAUGAACUGGGCUCAUAUCAAAGCCCUCACACACCUUCCAUCUAAGGUGUCUUCGCCUUUCAUAAGCGCUCUGAAAUGGGGCUCCUAUCACGGCCCUCACACCUUCUCUCUAAGGUGUCUUCGCCUUUCAUAGGCGGUCGCAUCCUUCUACAGCUGAGAUGCUUCAAAGUGGCUUCAAAAGUUCUCUACCACCAUGUGGACUUAGGAGAGAUUACUGCCACUGAUUACAUAGAAAGAGAAAGUUGUGGUACACUCCUCGCAAUCCUCCACCUCGAUUUCUAUGUUUGGAGCUUCUGUGCCUUUCUAUUUGAUAGCUUCACCUACACCAACUCUCUUUGGUGUCUUCGCCUUUCAUCAUAGGCGGUCGUCUUUUAUCACAGGCAUUUGCACCCCCUCAAUUAGGUGCCUCUGCAACAGCUCUCUUUCCAUCCUUGCAUGCAUUGGAAAUGUCUUCGCAUGUUGUCUUCAUCAAGAGCAUAAGAGACUUCUUGUUGUACAAACUUUAACAGUCUCUGCUCUGAGCUUCAUCUGGGAACACUUCUUCUCCUUGCAUAUGUUGUCUCAUUACAAUACCUUGUUGGAUCCUACGGGUACUCCUGCACAAUCUUCGUGUGCUCUCAUGCAAUUUCUGCUCUCCAGAUUUCUCCUUAUUCCUUGCUUAUGUUUGACAGCAGCUCAUCCUGUCAUAACACCUGUCCAAGUCAAAAUAGGAUGCCAAUCUUUAUCCCCUUGUUGUAUUUCUCUUCCAUUAUCAGGGUCUUCAUCAAUUCUCCCCUUGAGAAAUCACAGUCACCGAAUCUAACUUCUUUGGAGAAAUCACCACUCCAUCAGAUCCUUGAACAUACGAAACCCAAUUGUUCCCUUGUGCCGUCAUCCUGCUAGUCUUCAACCGUUUCAUGACAAACUACUAUAUUUACGAAAAUAGUACCGUAUGGAUAAUCCUUCCCUAAGCAAGUUCCCAGGAAAGAUUGGAGGGGUCACACUGGUCCCACUUAAAACCCAAUCUCCUAGACAGAACUUCUUAGGCCAUAUCUAUCCAUCGUACUGUCUUUCCGUAUAUAUAACCAUUUGCUAGCUUUGUUGCGGCUUUCCUUUACAAGUGAUCUGAAAUAUACUGGUUUAAUACAUGAUUUCUCAACAUCUGGCGAGACUACCAGUGCUUAGAUUCAUCAAGAUUGGUCUUCGUCAAUUUCCACUCUACACCUCUAAUUGUCCACAUGAUCGGGUGUUCAGAGUGUCCCAAUUUUGCCUUCCCUCAAGGCAACUAAAAUUUUUUUCCAUUUAGCAAUUUAGCACAUGUAAUUGGGUAAACAUGUGCACCUUCUUCUUCUUCAUCUCCUUCGACCACCAUGAUGCCCUUCAGAUGUCUUUUAAUCGGGCAAUCUGUCUUAAUAAUUCACCACCACCACUUUCGGUCACAAAUCUCAAUGAUCGGACUGUACCAUUGCAUCCGGAACGAUCAAAUUAGCUGGAAACAAGUUUGAAAUCGUCCAAAUCGCAUUUCAGAUGGCUAAUAUUUGAUCAAAACAAUUCUGGCCUGAUGAACGGCCUAGAUUCAAUCUCAGAUCCGGUUGCACGUAGACUCCGCUGCAUAGAAUCUUAUCCCUCAGCUAGCGGUUCGGCUCCAACUCGGCUCGGCUCCACUCGACUCGGCUCACGUGAUGACGUGUCAGAUGACUGGCCGCUGACAUGGCAUGCUGAUGUCACAAUUACAUCAGGCUAACGUCAUCCUGGGCAUGCCUACUGUGCAUGCUGACAUCACAAUUAUGUCAUGCUGACGUCAUCUUUAUCCGGGUCAGUCACAUGGGUCGGGUCAACUGGUAUUAGGGUCGGGUCAACCCAUCCGGGUGAAGAAGAUGCGUGACGCGUGGCGCGCGUGGCCAGCCACCUCGCCGGCGCGUGAUGGCGAGUGAGGAUGAUUCCGACGUCCGAUUUCGAUGCCGUUUUCACCAGUGGCUUCGUCUCUUCCACCUCCACACAGUGGUAUGGUCAAAACAUAAUUUUGACAACUUUCAUUUUUGAACAAAAAAUCAAACACCACUUUAAACCAAAUGCUCUGAUACCAAUUGUUGGGGAUUCUAGCUCCCCAUGCGCGGACCGGUGGUGUACUGAUAGUUGCUCAAAGGAGGCUAACCACACUGGGACACAAUAUUUUACGUGGUUCGGCAAAUCGCCUACAUCAACGGGAGAGAGUCCAUAUUAUUUAGAGAUAUAGAGAAAGGUUUACAACACACAUGGAGGAGGAGGAUCACUUCUCUCAAACUCUACUCCCAUUGCUCUCACACACACUGCUACACAAGGCAGCAGGGCUGUUGCCCUUGGCAGCCCCUCUUUCUCUCUUGGUCUCGCUACUGCACUCACAAUUUCUCUGCUCUCUCUCUCUCUCGGUGCCUAUUUAUAGGCAAGAAUGGUGCCACCAGCUCCAACUCUUCUUCAACAAAGGUGGCUGCCAACUCCAUCUCUUCUUCAACAAUGGUGGCUGCCAAAGUCAAUGGUUGGUGCCGUCCAUUUGCUGCACAUUAAUGGCAACAAACCCAACAAAAGGGACUUUGCUGGUGCUUGUUGAUCCAAAACUAGGCCAAGACUACAACAAAGAAGAGGUGAUAAUAAUGAUUAAUGUGGCUCUCCUCUGCAGUAAUGUCUCUGCAGCAGUUAGGCCUGCGAUGUCUUCAGUAGUAAGCAUGCUCGAAGGAAAGGCUGUUGUUCAAGAUAUUGACAUUCCAGAUAAAAGCAUGUCAACGGAUGAGAAGAAGAUUGAAGAAAUGAGGAGGCAUUUUCAAGUUAUCAACGAACAGGAAAUAAGUGAGACUCGUACUCUGUCAAUGGAUGGACCGUCGACUGCUGCUUCUACAUCUGCUGGUGAUCUUUAUCCAGUCUCUUUGGAUUCUGACUAUUGGAAGGGUAGAGAGUAGAGAAGUUUGCUCCAAUGUGCUUCAUCAACUGUCCAUCUAUCAUCUUAUAAAUAUGGAAGUACAAAAAGGUGUUUGAGCAGUUCUACAAACUUUGCUGUGAUACCAUGUUGCAUAUCAAUGGUGUCUACAAACUGAAGUUUUCUAUAUUAUAUUCUUUUUCAUCUGGGAGGAAAUAUAUAAACAUGAUUACAAUUUAAAUAGACAAUAAUUUCAUUACAGGAAACUAUAUAUGUAUUUCUAUAUUAGCAUACAAGAUUUGAUCUGAUUGCUAUACUUGAUCAAUUCCUAUUACAAAAUCCACUUUCAUAUUUAUAAUGGAUAACUCAUGCUAACAAUUACUUUUGUUUUUAAGCAUUUUUUUUUUUUGCCUUGUUAUCAUCAUUUCUGUUCAUACUUGUUAACUUAUUUGAGGGCUAAUUACGUUAUAACUUUUUCAAAACUUCCAAUCAAAUUUUUCCUUCCACUUUCUAUAGGUUACUCCAUAAUUUGAUGACAUUUUUUGGUACACCAACUUAGGUUUUGUAUCGAUAGAGUUCAUACAUUUGAUUUAAAAAAAAAACCAAAUUAGUGCACCAACAUUUUUUUAUUAUGUUAAUCUAGUACUUAUAUUAAUAUAUCAUUUUUUAAUGUGGUUCUAUCUUGAUAAAAGUACCCUUUUAAAUAAUUCUAUAUUUAAUGGAUUAAAAUAUUUUAAAUUAUAAUAAAUAUUUUUAAAAAGAAAUUGAUAUCAAAAAAUUAAAAUAUGUACUUGAUUGAGAAAAGGUACAAAGUCGAUGUCCUAAUAAUGCAUUUAUUCCAUUUUUCUUCUAAUUUUUCAUGUUAUUUUAUUAUUUUUAGAACUAUUUCUGACCUAUUUUGUAUGUUGUCUAGGAUCCCAUCUUUGUUUCUCGAGUUGGUUGUUGGUUUCUGACCUGUUUCUAAUGCAUUGUUCUUCUUCUCGAAGAUGUAGUUCGUUUUUUUACCAUUCAUAACAUCGAUUUUUUUAUAUUUUUGCCCUAUCUUGCUACAUGUUAAGGAUUUCAAGCAUUCUUCCCCUAUGUUUUCCCUUAUUUUCUCAUGUGCUGCCACUCUUCUUCCCUAGAAUUUUAAUCCUUCUUGCCAAACCAACUAGCUUUGAUGUAAUGGCUUUCGAUGUUGUAAUAUUUUCCCUUUCUUUUCUUGUCCUGAACAUAGUUUGUGACCUCUUGCAACUGCCCUACGAACUUAAUUUGAUGUUUUUAUCCUACUUUUUCCUUAUUUUCCCUUUUCUUUGUUUCCUUUUAAUUCAUUGAAUAUUUUCCAUUUCUGUGCUUAAUUCAGUUAUGCUUUGAGUUCCAUUUCGUUUCAAGUUGCACUACGCUAGUCCUGCCUUGCCUUUACUACUUAUGUGUGUGUGUGUGUGGCUACGUCAGUCUUGCCACACAAUGUGCAAACGUGAGUUAACUAGCUAAGAAAAAUAUGUGUGUGUGGCAACGUGAGUCUUGCCAAGAUGGCUCCGUACUUUGUAGGUGCACAACCUUUUUCAUAGUAUUGUCUUGUGACAUAGCAUAUUGUAUGUAUAUACUUUCCAACUGCGUAUUAAAUACACAACGUGCAACUGUUUGUUCUGGUUCCUGUUUUUAUCGAUGUUUAAUCUACUACCUUGAACUAGUUUCUUUAUUAUUUGGGUGUUGUUUUCUCUUUAAACAUGCCUUACCUUCUCCCUCAAGUUCUUUUUUUCCCCCUUUAUUUGCCUUUACCUUUCCACCACCUGAACUAGUCCAAAAAAAAAAAGAAAAAAAAAACAAUUAAAUUACUACGAGAUGAAGGAAGAUAAGUAUGCUUUGAACCCUGAGGGGUGUAGCUCAAUUGGUUAGGUCCUGAGUUUGUUUUCUAGAGAUCACCAGUUUGAGUCUUACAAAUCUCAGGGUCACUGAAAGCUUACAUGGUCGUUAACUUCAAGACACGUGAGAUUAGUCGAGUUGCGAACAAACUGGUCUGGACUUUAUCUAAUUUCUACACAUGUCAUCAACAUUUGAACUAUGGUUUAUUGUAUUUGUUUUGAAUAUAGAAACCUUCAUAAUCUAAACUCUACCUUUUAAACAGGGGUUUAAAUUAUCAUAUAUUUUUUUUAUAUUCUAACAAAGCUUUUGUUUCAUCCACUUGAAAAUUGAUUUUUUUUUCAUUACAAAAAAUACUAAAAGAGAUUAAUUUUUUCGUGUAACCCCUCUCAUAAUUCACUAUAACUGUCAUUGGAAGAGAGAAAUACAAAGAUGGGCUUUAAUUAGGGGUAUUUUUAGACUUUUCCACGAGAUAACUUGGUAUUGUAGAAUUGGUGAGGGGUAUGUAUGUCUUUUCUCUUCUUGAAAUACUCUUGGAAGCAGAAUUUCAGUUUGCUUUGGGAGAUGGGCUUUUUCGGUUUUUUCCUUUCUUUAGCAUAACGAGGUUACCAAAAUAUACUUGAAUUUUAAAACAAAUGUUUUUCCUUUAGGGGUAUUUGCAUCGUUUGCACUCUAGGUUUUUUUGUAAAUUCAUGUGGGGUCAGGGUGUUUUUGUAUUUAUUAAAAAAUAAAGUUGUUGACGCAUGCUGAGCACGCGCUAGCAUGUGGAGGUUAUAUGUGCCAUUUUGAUGGCGUAUGACACCUCCUCCGGUCUCUGAAAAUACCUAACCGUCGUCUCAGGCAAAGUGUCUCGAUGCGACGCUUCUUCCUAACCGGCGUGUGUUGCUAACAUUUUCAUCGUUAGGCGACGGCUGAAUUCUUUUUGUCUCCCUAUCUUUUCUCUCUCCUCCACCCACCCAAAGUUUAAAAAUAUCCUAACCUUUUGUAUUAUUUCAAUUGUGGUCCUUAUUGUUUUUAUUGUUUUGUAUUUGCUUUAAAUUCUUUUAUGAUUUAUUUUUUUUCAAUUUCAUUCUUUAUUAUUUUAUUUUAUUUUAUUUUAUUUUUAUGUCAGAUUCAGUCAUCCUGAAAAUAUACAAAUGCAUAAUUAACAAAAAAAAAUUAAAAACAAAAAAAAUUAAAAAUUUUGGGAACGCAAGCCCUUUAUCAUUUAUUGUUUAUCACAGUUUGACCAUUAACUGAUCAUUAGUUGAAUCAAUAAUUUAAAUCACCUAAUAAUUUGAUUUGGUUUCUGUCUUAAUCCGGUUUAAUAAUACGUACGUUUGCUUAUAUGUUAAGAAGUUAAAAAUUAAAUGUGAAAAAUUACUGUAGAAGCAAUUAUAUAUAUAUAUAUAUAUAUAUAUAUAUUUGUGUUAUAAAGAGGAGGGUAUUCAUAUUCCACAUAAAAAUUACUCAAUCAAUUAUGUGUUUGGUAAUUCUUUUCAAUAAAAAAAAUGGUGUUUAGAUAGUAUGAUAACAAAUAUGUUGAAAAUAUUUAAUAUUUAAUACCCAUGUGUAUUGGAAGGAAUCUGAUCAUAUUUGAAGCAACACUUAUUAGUUUUAUAUGAUAGUUUGAUGUUUUUAGAUUGUUUUAAUAUGUUAAUAUUAAAAAUGAAUUUUGUAAAAUAAAAAAAAUAUUAUUUUAAUAUAUUUACAAUAAAAAAAUAUUUUAGAAAGUUACCUGCAUUAUUAUUACUGUUGCAAACACUAUUUAAUAAAUUUCUAAGUUUCUACAUGGAAAGGGAGAGAGGAAGACGAAGAUCACCAUGAAAAUAUCGUACAAGUAUAAAAGGAUAAAAGGAAAAAUAUAAAAUUUCCUCUUCAUCAUCAAUUAAUAACCACUUUGGUAUUAUCAUCAAUCUCAAAACAUUCAAGAUAAAAUUGGUGCCAUAGAUAUUAAUGACACUCUACUUAAUUAAUAGUGCCAUUAAUUACAUGCUUAAAUACAUUAUUAUUAAGUGUUCUAAUAAUGUGCAAUGGCAUUAUCAUCCCCCAAUCUCACCUUUCGAAAAUUUUCAUGUUAAUUUAAAUCCUUAAUAAAACAGUUGAAUCUAAUUAAUUAAGUGUCCAUUUAAAUAGUAACCUUUUUAUUUAUUUUAAAAAUAAAUUCCCAAAAUAUUUUAUAUAAUUUUUAGAAAUAGUCUUUUUCGACCUAAGGAUAGGAAAACUAUCCAUAACCUUUUUAUUCAUUGGUGGAUAAAAUGAGUAAAAUAUAUGAAUUCUAUCAAAUUCUUUUUAUUUUGUUUUUCAAUUACCCUCUCACAUUUCAUCCAUUAUUCAUAAGAUCCUUUUAUCCACAUGGGAUAAAAUGAAAAUAAUCAUCUUAGGGGUAAUUGAUAAAAAAUAAACUUAGAGUAAAUAGAAUCCAUAUAUUUCAAAGAGAUAAUUAAAUUUAUCUUUAAUUUGAGGGUGGAAAUUUUUGAAAUCUAAUCUCUCUCAGCUUCUUCGAGAGUAUUUGAGAAUGUGAUAACAGUUGCUUUUCAAAGUACUUUUUAUUCCAAAACGCAUUAAAAUAUUUUUUUUUAUUUUCAAAAAAUUAUUUUUGAUAUCAGCACAUCAAAAUAAUCUGAAAACAUCAAAAACAUAUUAAUUUAAAGCAAAAAAUAAAAAAUAAAGUUUUUUUAAUUUUUUCAAAAGCACUUUCCGAUCGCAGUGUCAAACACUACCCUUCUUCUUCUUCUUUUUCCUCCUCCUCCUCCUCUACUUCUUUUUCCUCCUCCUCCUUGAAUUUAAAACAAUUUUUAAAGAUAACCUAGGAACCAUCCCAACCUUUUUUUCCUCGAUUUUGGUUAGGAGUUUGAGAACAUCUCAUUUCCUCAACCUAAGGGUGGUGAAGAGAUCUAUUCUAUAUAAUAUAAAAUAGAGAAUUAUAUGAUUUUAUUUUACUCUCUUGAAUUAUAUGAAAACCAUUAAAGCAUCACUGAUCAACGGUUAUAUUUUAGGUUGAUUUUAUUUUACUCUCUUGAAUUUUAUGAAUUUUCAAUUUCUUUAAAAUGUUGGGGGUAAUUGAUAAAAAAAACAAGUUUUGAAGUAAAAAUUGAUUGUUAUUAUAUGCUUCAAGGAGGUAAAAUACAAUUAACCUAAAAUAUAACCGUUGAUCAGUGAUGCUUUAAUGGUUGUCAUUGUUCACGUUGACUUUCUUUCUUUAUCAACUUAUGAUGAUAAAACCAAUCAUUGAUUUUCAUAUUUAUAUAAAAUCUCAUAAUUAAUAAUGUUCAAGCAAGUGUAUUUGUUUAUUUUUAUUUAUAUAUUCCAUGGAAAUAACCAUCGUUUUUUACAACAUCCUCGCGCGUGCGCGCGUGUAUAUAUAAUUAAUUAUAUUCCACAUAAAAAUUAGUCAAUCAAUUACGUGGCAGGUAAUUAUUUUUAAUUAAAAAAAUAAGGUGUUCAGAUAGAAUAUGAUGACAAAUAAGUAGAAAAUAUUGAAUCUUUAAUAGUCGUGUGGAUCGGAAGGGAUCCCAUCAUAUUUAUAUUCGAACUGAAGUUUAGAAUAAUAUUUGAAGCAAAUGAAUAUACGUCAGCGUUUCACAAUUCCAAGAACCUAACAGACUAAUGAAUCUACUAGCUCGUUAUCACUUGGAUCAAUAAUCUAGGUGUGUUACAAUGCAAUAGUUUUUGCUUCGAAAAGUAUUUUUAAAAUUGUUAAAAGUCUCAUAUUAAUAUUUUUUUAGAUAUUUUUUUAAUAAUUUUAAUAUGAUAAUGUUAAAAAUAAGAUAAAUUAAUCAUCAUUUUAAUACAUUUUUAAUUGAAAAGGACUCUUUCUCACAUUAUCAAACAUAUUCUUUUAUAGCACUUUGUUUUAUUUUCAUCCUUGAUUUUUUUUAUUUCUCUUUUAUAGGAUCAAAUUAAUGGCUAAUUUAAGUAAAUUUAUUAUGAAAAAGUAAUAUUGAAAGAAAGAGAACCAAAGUGGAAAGAGCAUAGAAAAUCGAUGGUAUUUUUUAAAAAUAGUGUAAAAAGUUCACUUUUGUCCUUCUACUUUCAAAUUGAUAUAUUUUUUAUAUAAAAAUUAAUUUAUCUUAUUUUUAAUCACUGGUUUGAGAAAUGAGAGGGAAAGAGAGGGAAACUCGACAUAUUUUGUUUGAACAGAGAGAGUCUUGAUUGAAAUCAAUUUUGACCACGAAAAAUAUCAAUAUUAGUGUCAAUGUCAAUGGCUUUCAUUUGAUGGGGAAGUUUUAUUGAGGUGUUUUUCCCUCAAUAUUGAUUGAAAAGGGAGAUCAAGCUUGAUAUAAACAAACUUCAUUUUCAUGAUGUGUUCAUAAAAAUAAAAAUUAUUUGUUCUUGGUAUAAAAAAGUAACCUUAUGGUGUAAAUUAAAGGGAAAAGUGGGGUUAAAUAUCAUACUUUCUAUCUUUUACUUUUAUGGUAAUGAUUAUCUUUUUUAUUUUAGCAUUUGAUUAGCAUUAGUAGUUCUUUCUCAAUUUAUUGGUUCAUCUAGCAUAAACAAUAUCUUUACAUUUCUUAAUUAAAAAAAUCAUAAUAUAGUGAAACGUACCAUGCAUCAACAUUAUGCAUUUUUCUACCAUGUUAAAAAAUUAACUUGAGAUUCUACAGGUGGCAUUGUGUUAACAACUCUUUUUGGUUUUUAUUAACGCAUAUGAUUCUUGUUUUAUUUUAUUAUAUGUAUAAAUCGACUUGUCAAAAGAAAAUUUUAUCCAGCCUGCAGCGAAACACAGAUCAAAUAACUAGUAUAUAUAAUAAAUGGGUGAUUCAUUAUUCAUCCAUGCAUAAACUACUGUGGAUUUUCCUAUUCAUUUGAAUAAUGCAUUUUUUUAUUUUAGUUCUCAAACUUCUAGUUAUUGAAAUUUAAUCCUUUAUAGUUACAAUAUCAUGGUUUCUUUUAUAUGUGGUUCUUUCCGUUUGUGUUACAUCUAAUGUAGUGUCUUUAGUGACUUUUGGGAGAUGUUUGAAGAUAGAUUCGGUUUUGAUUUUACAAAAUUAUAAUUUAAUUUUAAUGUUUUAGAGAUUUAUGUUUUGAUAUCAAACUUCAUAGUACUCUUUACUUUUUAGUUUCUAGAUGUUGAGAGAUGAAAAAGAAAGUCAUUGAAAAAAAUUAAGAAGAGAGAAAAUGGUUAGUUAUCAACAUUUGGCCACUAAAAAGGCAAAUAUUUAUAUUAAUGGAUUCGUCUUUUCAAGAAAAGUUCAAUGAAUAUGGGUUUUUUAUGAAGAUGUAUGAAAAAAGAAGGUCGAGGUUCUUUUUUUUUUUUGGAAAAAUUAACCUUAACAUCCUUAUAAUUUGGUCCAUAUUGCGAUUACACGCUACAGUUUAAAAAAUUACAUUCUAUAUCUUGAACUUUAUAUGCACGCUAACACUUAACUUUUUUGCAAAGAAGUUAAUAAAAAAUUAUAUGAUUAUUUACAAAAUUACCGUCAAAAUAAUAUUACAACUUUGGUAAAAAAUAGAAAAGAAUAAACCAAGGUAUUCCAUCAACCACUUUGUCGACUAUACAAAAUCAACCCCAAUUCCAUAAUUUUCAUCAACACAAGUACCAAAAUGAAAACUAAUAAAGGAACAAAAUGCAUUUAAGCAAUAUACGUUGGCCAAGGCUUCUCAAGCUUUCCCUUCCUAUUGGCUCCUCGUAUGAACCAUCCUCCCUUUCAAACACAACUUUCUCUUUAUUGACAGCAAGAAGUCAACAAUCCUGCGGUAGUUUUUGAUGAAAAGAGCCUGCAUCUGUGGUUGUCUCGAGUCGAAAAAUAUGCCAAUCAUAAAUGUAUUCAAAAUCCACUCUCUGACUAUUUCCACAAGUUCCCGUAGUUUCAAAUGCCAACAUUCUACAAGACAUUUCCAUGAAACUACUGCACUCUUUAUGCCCACAUUGAAGACAACCAGCACUCCACAGAGUAGCAUAGCCCUUGUAAGCUUUCUUGUACCUUCAUGGACAGGUGCGUAAGGAAAUGCGUUGUAGAUCGCGUUUCUCUAGAAUUUAAAAUUUUUAUUUUUAUUUAAAAUUAAUUUUUUUUUAUAUUUUUCGAUUGCUUUAAUUUGCUAAUAUUAAAAAUAAUUUUUAAAAAAUAAAAAAAAUAUUAUUUUAAUACAUUUCUAACGCGAAAAACAUUUUAAACUGCAAUUGCUACCUUCAGACAAACCCGAAUAUCACAAUGGAAGCAGAAUAUGGUUUAAGGGUGCUCCACGUAGCUUUGGAUUUCCCUCAUAAGCACUGCUACCCAUCAAUCUAAACACAUUGUUGGAUGGAAUGGAACCAGAGAUAUCAUUAAAAGACAUGUUUGGAAGCACUAAGCUUGAAGAAGCACUAAACUUUGCUGGUAUGGAACCACUAAAGUCACUAUGUGACAAGUCUUGGAAGGCUUGAGAUAUCAUUCGAUUGGUUCAUUGCAACAUCAAUCUUCACCAAAUUAAUUCAACGUUUCAUCAACUCUUUGAGUUAUCUCCCCAGACAAUUUGUUAUCGAAGAGAUACAAAACAGUUAAAUUCUUCAAAAAAAAAACAAUCCAUUAGGAAUUUUACCUUCCAAAUCGUUUCCAGCUAAAUCUAAGUGCUCAAGGCUCGAAAGAUUUCUCAAACUCUUUGGGAUUUCACCGAUCAGAUUCACGAGUUUCAUCCACAAAAGCCUCAACUUCUUCAAAUGACCAGACUCCACAGGAAUUGAAGAAAUAAUUGAACAAAUAUUUAAAAAAAUUAAGGUUCUCCGUAAGAAUCAAUUUGGGUUAAAUUACUGAGAGAAAAGAAAAAACAUGUUUAGAGAAAGAAAAGUCAUGUUUGAAAAUAGAGAUUUUGUGUGAUUGAUGUGAAAAUGUGAUUAGAGAGAGAAAAGUCAUGUUUGAAAAUACAGAUUUUGUUUUGUGUGAUUGAUGUGAAAACGUGUUUGAAGAGAGAAAAGUCAUGUUUGAAAAGAGAGAUUUUGUUUUGUGUGAUUAAUGUGAAAAUGUGUUUGAAGAGAGAAAAAUCAUGUUUGAAAAGAGAGAUUUUGUGUGAUUGAUGUCAAUCAUAUCUCUUUUAUAUAUAUAUAUAUAUAUAUAUAUAUAUAUAUAUAUAUAAUUUUAUCAUUUCAUCAUAUUUAAAAUUUUUUAUUAUCUCAUAUAUAAAUUAUAAUUUUUCAAAUCACAGUGGAUAAUCACAAUAUGAAUCAAUAAUAAGAUGUCAAAAGUUUUUUUUUUUCAUUAAUGAAUUUUUUAUUUUUAAGUGAUUUUUAGAUGUUUUAGGAUUGAUAAUUGAUUUAUUGAGGUUCCUAAAAUUAAUCGCGGGUGAUAAGUCACUUGCUCUAACAAGCUAUUAGUCACAUGAUUAUUUAAAAUAAAAAAAAAAUCCAAGCAUGCCUCAAAUUUUUAAUUAGAGGCAUGACGAGUGGGCUUGGCUUAUUUAGCCAAUCAAUGCUUGGUUUUUUUUUGUUUGUUUUUUUUUAUUAGUAUUAACAAUUUUAUUUAUUUAUUUGUUUAUGUUUAUUAAUUUAUUUAAUAAAGCAUAAAAAAAUAUCCUUUUGUUUUUCAAUUAAAAAAUAUGAUACAUAAAAACAUAUUUAUAAUGUAGUUAUGUCCUUUUCUUUCAUUAACAUGAAAUCCCACUAGCAACGUGGCACAAAUACAAAUACAAAGCUAGUCAAUAUAUAUUCAUUCUUAUAAUAUCUAGGUCUUGAAAGUGUUUUUCUAGAAAGUAUUUUUUGACUUUUUUAUAUUUGACUACAUAUAAAUUGGUCAACAAGAUUCAUUUUCUAGUUAAAGAAAAAUAUAAGUUUUAGAUGAAGGAAAGUGUUUCCCAACUUGAAAAAGUGGAAAACACUUUCCAUGAAUGAUCCAAAAAUUAAAGUGAUAUAAUAUUUCAUUAUAUAUAUAUAAUACUUUAAAAUAUAAUAUUAUUAAAAAAAAUACUAAAUUACUAAUAUAUUUAUAUAGGAAAUAAUAUAUUAGGAUAUAUUAAUAUACAAUAUAAAAGUAUAUUAAUUUGAUAUAUUAAUGCAUAUAAUACUUUAAUUUAGAUAAUAUUACUAGAAAAUAUAUUUGAAUAUAAAACAUGUUAAAUUAUACAAUAAUUAUACAUCUUAAAUCAUAUAAAUUGUGUUAUAAAAUUAAAAUACCAUAGAAAAUAAAUUAAUUUUCAAUGUUCUCCAAGCACCAAAAAAUAUUUGAUAAAAAUAAAAAUUAUACUAUUUUUAAAAGUUAAUAACUCAAAAUAUAUUAUUUUCCAAAUUAUUUUCUUAGAUAUAUCCAAAGACCAUAAAAUGAUUUCUAACUCAUUUUCAUUAAACAUUGAAAAUUUAUUUAUUUUUUAAAAAAUUAUUUUUCAUGACACUAUUAAAUAUUGAAAAAUAUUUCACUCCCAUGAAAACAACUAUCUAAAAACAAAUUACUUUCCGUAAAUAAACAAAGCUAUAUACUCAAUAAGAAAGAAAUGUAUGUCACUCACUCUUGAGAGUACCUGUAAAGGUGUUGAGAUUUUGUUUUGUUAGUUAAUUAAUUGUGAAGUAUAAGAACGAAGUACGCAAGCAAAGAUUAGCGGCGAAAGUUUGACAUUUUUUAUUUGAUUUUUACAGGCUGCUGUUCUUGCAUUACACCACGGCUAAUUCAAAAUCUUGAUAUCUAAAAGGGCUUCUAAUUGGGCGAGAAGAAUAUAAUUUUUUGAUGUAAUUUCUUGUUUAGCUAGAUUAAACUCGGUAGGAGUUGUUUUUAUAUACUUAAUUAAUUUAUACAGUCCAAAAAAAAUUCUUUUAAUUGGUAAAAAAAAUUUGAGAAUAAAAUUUAUAUAAAAAAAAAUUAACAGAAAAAAUCACUCAACUUGACUAAUUGUUUAACUUAUGUUUAAAAUUGAACUAUGUAGAGUGACCUCGACUAGUCUAAAAUAAUAUGGUAAAAUUUUGAGAAUGAAAUUAAAAGAAAAAAAGGAGGAGAGAUCGAAAAGGAAGGGUUAAAAUAUAAAUAGUUAAGCUACCUCAGUUUUCCCAAGUUAUUGAGUAAUUGUAGGUAAUUAUGGGAAUUUCUUAUGCAAGGUCAAUUCUGGCUUAUAAAUGUUAGAAAUGUGACUGUUUUAAUAUGAAAACAACAACAUGAAGAGAUCAACACGCAAGAAAUGUCCUUCAUGUUGAUGUUUGUUUGCAACUUGUAAAGUCCUUUUUAAUAUGAAACCAAACCCAACGAAUUGUAGAGAUCAAUAAAUUAUAGAGUCGUUGCAUUUAAAGGUGUCAUUUAAAUCUAAUAGACAUAAAGGUAUAAAAAUAUCCACCUACGACUAAAAAAAUAAAGGAGUUAAGCAACUUCAUGGGUGAAGAAGAUAUUUGUCUUGUAUAGGUAUGAAUCAACACAUAUCUACGGUCUUCACAUAUUCCUACAGUCACAAUCGUCUUCGAUAGACAAAUAUCUACAAUUCGUUGUGAAGCUCAUCACAAAUAUCUCAACGUACACUCUUCAAAACUAGUAUCCAACACCCGGAAGCAUCCAUCUUAAAGGAUGAAGCUCAUCACGCAGUGACCAUGCUGUCAAAGAAUCAUCUCAACUCAAUAACUUAAACUUUUAAGUGAGGUUCCAGGAUAUGAUUUAUCUUAUUCUCUAACACACCCCCUCAAGUAAAAGUCCUUUGAGCUUGAAACUUGCACAGACCCACAUUACCUUGUGCUUAAUUUUUUAUCAAAUAAAUGGAGAUAAUGAGAUUUGAACUCGAGACCACUUGGUCAUAAGGCUCUGAUACCAUGUCAAAGAAUCAUCUCAACCCAAUAACUUAAACUUUUAGGUAAGGUCCCAGGAUAUAAUUUAUAUUAUUCUCUAACACACCCCCUCAAGUGAAAGCCCUUUGGGCUUGAAACUUGCACAUGCCCACAUUACCUUGUGCUUAAUUUUUUAUCAAAUAAAUGGGGAUGGUGAGAUUUGAACUCGAGAUCACUUGAUCAUAAGGCUCUGAUACUAUGUCAAAGAACCAUUUCAACCCAAUAGCUUAAACUUUUAGGUGAGGUCCCAAGAUAUGAUUUAUAUUAUUCUCUAACACACCCCCUCAAGUGAAAGCCCUUUGGGCUUGAAACUUGCACAUACUCACAUUAACUUGUGCUUAAUUUUUUAUCAAAUAAAUAGAGAUGGUGAACUCGAGACCACUUGAUCAUAAGACUCUGAUACCAUGUCAAAUAACCAUCUCAACCCAAUAACUUAAACUUUUAGGUGAGGUCCCAGGAUAUGAUUUAUAUUAUUCUCUAACGCAUGCAUCGUGAAGAAAAUGCUUUUGACCUUUGCACAGACAAACCCAAAAGAGACGACUACUCUAGCUAUUGUAUGAUCGAUAACAUCUUUUUUUUUUUGAAAAAAAAAAGAAGUAAGAAUAGAGAAAUGUAGUGUUGAUAAAUAUGUAAGAUGAAAAAACAAAAUGUUUAUCCUUUUCUUUUUGGUCUUUAUAUAUAUGGAAUGUUUUUUAGUCAAUUUGCAAGUUAACAAAUACCAAGAUUUUUCUUCGAAGAUUUUUAAAACGCAUCGCUUGUAUCAGGAUUUUAAAACGCGUCCACAGAAAAAUAUUUUUUUUUUUAAAUGCUGAUUUUAAAGUUUGGAUUAAAUAAAUAAAAAACAGAAAAUAAACAUCGCUGCUGAUCCUACCCGUUGAAGUUAAAAUAAUGUUUGCCUAAUAACUAAUCUCUUUAAUUAUCGCUUUUGAGUCAUCUUUGAUUUUUCUCCAGCUGCAACAGCGGCCUUUCCUAAGUCAUUUUCCUCAUGCAGCCCUCUCUCUCUCUAUCGCUGUAUAAAACACGUCUACGUUUCACUAACCAACGAACAGCAAUUUGCAAAGGAAGACCUUUCCCCAUGCAAAAUAAAGCAAGUUGCUGUCGAUCAUCUUUAAAAUCUCCUUCCUGGUGUUUUUCUUUCCCUCCAGCAACCCACCUCGCAUUACUGAGAAAAACACGCCGUUUCUGCUUGUGGUUUUUUGCUCUUUGAUCAUCGUUCUAAUUAGUUCCUCCCAGAUAAUAUAGCAAUUACCCAGAGAACGAGUUGUGCUUUGCGCAUGGCGUUCUGGCCAUCACUACUGUCGAAGACUUUCUCUGUUUUGGUUUUUGGAUUUGUGGUGUUGAAUUGCUUUGCUGUGGACAAGUUUGGAUCCCAUGCUCAAGGAGUACUCAGUACUCCACUCUUGCCAUUAGAUGAGGGUACGUACGUCCUCCUAACAAUUCAAUAAUCUCACUCUCUCUUUACCAUGAUUGAAGGUUCCCUUUUUCCUGGAAAAUAAUUUAUUUGCAGAGAUUAACGCUUCUUAUUUUUAUUUACUAUUCUUAAAUAAAAUCAGAAUCAUUUCAAUUUGUGAUGAUUAGUGAGAGAAAUUAGUAUAUCUACGUACUGAGAAAUAAAAUAAGAAAAAUGGAAAUUGUUAUCCACUUCGUUAAAUUGUGAAUUAUAUUUUUUAUUUUGGAUUAUCCUCUCUUUCAUAAUUAAGAAAACUUAUUAUAAGAUGUUGACUACUUUCCAUUCGAAUCAUUGAGCUUCUUUUAUAAUAUUUUAAAAUAAUAAAGGGGCUAUUCAUCCCUUAUUAUAUUAACAAUAUUCCCUUGCCUGCAAGGCUUAAUAAGAUAAGAAAAAUAUUUUUCAAAUAUUUUAAAAGGCUUUAUUUUUUCAGGACCUUCUUCACCUUAAGUCGACUCUAACUUCUUUUUGUUUGACUUGUUAUCCUCUGUAACUAGCCAUCUAAACCGUGGGGCUUUUUUUUUUUUUUAAUUUUAGCCAUCUAAACCGUGGGAUUAAUUACUACAUGUUAAUUUUUUCGUGUUUUACAUUUUAAUUUUAUAUCUUGUAAUUUUAUAUUUUGUUUACAUAAUUUCAAGCCUAACUUAUUACUAUAAAAGAUUUUGAUUAAAAGAAAAAAUAAAAACAAAAACAAAAAAUUAGUUUCUUUGCUAUUCAUAUAAAACCAACCCCAUCUCUUUUAAUUAUUUUGUUAACAAGCCAUAAUUAUAAGACUAAUCUGGUCAGCGAAUCAUUAUAUUGGAUAGACUAACCUAAUGACUUACCUACUUAGGUUCUAGUUAUGGUUUUUUUUUACUAAAAUGAUAUAUCAAAAAACAUAAUUUCAAAAAUUAAAAAAAUCUUGUUUAAUCCAUCCGUCCCACGAUCCAACCUUGAAUCAAAUCAAAUCAAAUCAAUAUUAGAGUCUAAAAGUCUUACAAUUAUAUAAUAAGCAAGAGAGCCCCAAUGGUAUACUGUUCUUGUCUCUUCGCAAUAACUAAUUGUCUCAGACUAUUAGUGCAUCGGCCAAUCUUGCACUUAAUACAAUAAUUAUUCAAUUACUUAGUUGAGUUGUCUGUGUUAGUUGCUAUAGUACAAAAUUUUAUAUUUUAAGUCUUUAAAAUAAUAUUGGAAUUACAUAUUUGAUGAUAAAUUAAUAAAUAUUAAACUCAAUCAUUAUUAUUAAAGAAAACCUUAUUCGCUUAAUUUUAGAAAUUUAUACCUUGUUGAGACUAAUUUUAAGUGAGCUAUUAUAUCCUAUAAUAAAAAAGAUUAAUAUUUUACUAUGGAUUUGCAUAGUGAAAUAUUGAUUUUACCUCUUGAUGGACAAAUUAAUUGGGCUUGAAUUUAGAGGCAUGAGAGUUUUUUUCACAAGCAUAUUAGUCAUUACUAGAAAAGAAAGGGUUAAAUUGUAUUUUUAUAUUUUCACUUAAUUGCCCAUAAAAGACAAAAAAAAAUAACUUGGGUCAAUGAGCUUUUUAAUCUUUUAUUUAAUUUUUAACAAGUAAGUUAUUUCAUUGCCUUGGAAAAUUAAAAAUAACUGUCUUUGACAUAGGACUUCUUUUGUCAUUUAGAUGUGGUGAUUUGAUAGUUAUUGAAUGUUAUUGGGAAAGUAGGGUAAUUUGAUAAAUAAAUAAAAAUUUUAAAAAAUUAGAAACGUGUAAAAAGUGUUUGCUGCUUUUGGACGGCGUGUGUGACACCAUUCGGCGGCCAAAACCGUGAUUCCAGAGCAGUGAUUGAAGUGUCUCGGUGUUCUCUAUACAAAUAAGUGGCGCGUGUAUCCCAAUGGUGGUCGGGGUGGCAAGAGUGACCUUUUGUUUUCUUUUUUUUUUUCUUCUCUCAUACUCGAUUUUCAUUCUGACCUUAAAAAAAAUCAAAUCAACCCCUAAAAUUUGUUGUACUUAAAAUUUUAUUUUUAUUCUCUUAAAAAAAAAAUCAAAUCAACACCUACUCUCAUGCUUUAAAAAAAAAAAACCUUCUCAAUCCUUGUGUUUCUCUCACCCUGAAAUGACUCACCUUUUCACCUAUUUAUAAUGGUCAAAACGUUGGUGAGCAAUGAAGAAAUAAACAUAGUAACCAAGCUUACAAAGCUUUGAGGUUAUUCCUCUCAUCCUUGGAAGCGACUCCACUCUUUCUUGAUCCCUCUGAUCCAUUACAAUAAAUAUUUUCUAACUUUUCCCACAUUCACAUUAUAGCUACCAAAUCUUCAUAUAUAUCGUUAUUGAGAAUGUACAUCCUUCUCUUUCAACGCUUUAGCCAAUACUUACUGAAUAAGAAUAUUGUCUUUCACCCUUUGUUGCCAAAGAGUAAAUUUUCUUCUUUUUUUUUAAUUUAUUUCAUGAUAAAUUUUAGCUUUUAAUCUUUUGUAGACAUUGAUAUAUCAUUAUCAAAAGCUGAAUAUCCCAAAAUCAAAUCAAAGCUGAGUCAGUACACAGUACCAUGAACAACACAAUCCAAAGAAAACAAAAAUAAUAAAGAUCGUGUACUCAUAAAAUUUAACAUGGUUCUACAAGAUCCUAUAUACAUUUGAGAGUAACCCUUUCUUACUAUAGGAGAAAUUAAUUUAAUACAAUAAUAUAAUUAUGAUUUUUAUGCCUGAAACCCAACCUUGUACACCCACUCUCACACUUAAAAAAAUCUUAACAUUUGUGUUUUUCAUACCCUAAAACCACUCAUCUUUUCACCUAUUUAAAGAAAAAGAAAACAUAAUGUAUGAAAAAGGAUCAUUUUUGCUGUACAGUUAGUAAUUGAAUCAUGUGAAUGCCUAAAUCCUUCCAUAAACCGGAGGAAUUUAAGCAUUAAAAAUCAUUAUCAUCAUCAUCAUUUUCUAGCUGUGUUUUAGCAAGGCCUUCAUACAUACAUUAUUUUAUAGAUAAAUAAUAUUAUUAUUGUUUUUAUGGAUGAUUGAAGUUCCUGAAUUGUAUGUAACAGUGCAAAUUCUUCAAAACAUAUCCAACAAGUUGAACAUCAGCAACUGGGCCACCAUCAAUCGAACUUCUUGCGGUAGUGCACAGUGGAACCAGAUCAACGACAACGAAAUUGAAAGCAAUGUUACAUGCGACUGUACAUUUGAGAAUGGCUCCGUCUGUCAUGUCACUCGCAUGUAUGUAUGUUUUCUUUAUAGGAAAUAUUCAAGAAUCGUAAUUCUUCCCCUUGCAAAAGCCAUGAUAUUUAUAUAUAUCAUCUUCAUAAUAAAUUUUAUGUUUUGUGAAAGAGUAGAAUACAGCUCUUGGAAUAUCCGAUAACUUUUUUUUUUUUUUUUAAUGAGGUCAUGUGGAUUUUUGGUGUUGUGUAGUUUUUAAGCAUGAUAUCAAUUCAUCUUGAAUUGAUAUCAUGGUUAAAAAUAAAUCUGAUUAAAAUAUUUAAAUUUAAUCAUGCAUCUUGUAUAUUUCUUUUGUGUAAAUAUUAAAAUAUAUUAAUCAGCAGAUUGGAAUUGAUAUAUUGCUGUUCGUCAAAAAAAAAAAAUUAAUGGCGAUACGUUCUCCAAGUCUUUGUAUGGUUACAUUUUCUUUUCUUUAUAUUUACUAACCAGUUCUUAUAUUUUGUUUCUGACAGAAGAGUGAAAAAAUUUAAUUUGAAUGGAGUUCUCCCAGAGGAACUAGGAGACCUUCCUCAUCUGCUUGAAAUGUAAGUGAUGAGUUAAUCAAGUUUGUUAAUAUCAUUAUUGAAUAGAGAUCAAUUGCUAUGUAUUUGGGUUUCUUUUCUUCACAUUUCCUGGCACUCCAUGUGCUUCACAGAGGAUUUUAAUUUAUUUAUCAGAACAAAUGAAAGUUUUUAUGAUGAUUCAAAUGGGAAAAGGUCUUUGUCUGUGUGGCUAAGAGAAACAGUGACUUGUAAACAAAAGGAAUUAUGCAAUGACUAAGAUGAAGCAUUUUUCAUUGGACAGUGAUCUGACUCGCAACUACAUUAGUGGAACAAUCCCUCCAAGACUUGCUCAGCUCCCUAAGCUUCAGAUUUUGUAAGUCUUUUUGUGCAUUCUGUUUAUGUGAAGGGGUUUUCAUAUCCCGAUAUGGAAAUUCAUGAACAUGUUAACCCCGUUUCCCAAUUCUCUUCCAUGUCUUAGGUCUCUCAUCGUUAACCGUCUCACCGGCCCAAUUCCCCCGGAUAUAGGCAACAUUACCACACUGGAGGAGCUGUAAGUCACAAAGCGAACUUCUUAAAUGAAACGCUAAGCUAGAACGUUAAAUCUUGAAUUGGAUCUUGCAGGGUCCUGGAAGAUAAUUUGCUAGGAGGGCCUCUUCCUCCAGACCUUGGAAAUUUGACAAGCUUAAGAAGACUGUAAGACAGAUGCCUUCAUCCUCUAUCUGAGUUUAUUUAUGUAUCUACUUCAUGAUAUUCAAUCUAAGUCUUUUUAUGUAUGGUACCAGUAUUUGAUGCUCACUUAGAAAAAAUUAUUUGUAACUUUGUAUUUUUUACCCCUGCAGUCUUCUUUCCGCAAACAAUUUUACAGGAACAAUACCAGACACAUUUGGCAAUUUAAAGAAUUUAAAUGAUUUGUAAGUGAUGAUGCGGGUCACAAUUGUUUUUUAUUUAUAGUAAUUACUAUGCUGAGCUUAAAUAUUCAUCUGUUUCAUAUGCUCCGGCAGUAGGAUAGAUGGAAGUGAACUGUCAGGGAAGAUACCUGACUUUAUUGGGAACUGGACCAACAUUACGACAUUGUGAGUAUUUACUUUGUCCCAUUUAUCUGCUAAUGUGUCCUCGAGCACAAGCUGAAUGGAAUUCCAUUUUCCUUUCCCUCUUGCAUUCCUAACAGUGGUAUAUUUCUUUUGCAGGGAUUUGCAUGGAACAUCCAUGGAGGGUCCUAUUCCCUCUGCCAUUUCACUGUUAAAAAAAUUAACAAUUUUGUGAGCUUAAAUUCCCUAUCUUGUAGAUUCAUAUUCAGUUCAAAGAAUUUUGCCUCGUUGUUUUUCGGUAAGAUGUUGUUUAGUUUUGUGGCUGCGGAUGAGGUUCACCCGCAGCCACACAUUUUGAUGUUUGGUAAAGGAAACAAACCUGAUUUUACUUGAUAGGGCCUAUUAAUUUUUGCUGCCCAGCUGCAGGAAUGGAGAAGCAGCAAAAAGUUUUUUUUUUUGGAAUAGUGGAGCAUGGCUCCACUGUUGCAAUGUUCAGUUUUUUUUUUUUUUUUUGAAAAAUCAAUGAAAAAAGUUUAGUUUUUUUUUUCCUGAACAACACCAGUGCAGUUAAUCGUGAACAAUAUUUUUUUUAUUUUUUUAAAAAAAUUAGUUUAAGGUAAAUCAAACUUACUCGUACUGUAAUGAAAUUGUAAAUUUUUUUAAAAAAAUUGUGUUGUACUCUAAAAAUUAGUAUUUAAUAUUAUUUAAUAACACUACAUAAAUUAGAAAGAUAUUGCAUGAUGACGUAACAUUUGUGGAAUUUGAUCGCAAUUCUAAUAAUAAAGAUAUCACAAUCUUUAUUAUUUAAUAACACUACACAAAUUAAAAAAUUCAGUUUUUGUUGUUGCGCGCUUAAGAAACCAUGAAAAAUAUAGUCAUUGUUGGAUAAAUUUUGUAUGUAAUGACAUUGCAUAUAGUUUAAUGGAAUAAUAAAAAAUAUUUGAUAUCAAUAUUAUUUAUUUCAUGAUAUAAUAACAAUAGUUAAAUCUACAAUAUUUAAGUUAAAAAUCAUUACUAUAUAUAUAUAUAUAUAACCUCAAUUUGAAAAGCAUUUUUUAAACCAAACACGUUAAAACUAUUUUUUCUUCAACCUCAAUUUCAACCACAGUUUUAACCAAACACCUAUUUUUUCAAACCAACCUUAACUAAAAGUACUUUUUAUAAAACAACUUUUUUCAAACCACAACCAUAACAGCUACCGCAAUACUAAACACACAAGUCUGUAUUUGAGAAAACUGAUUUUUUCUGUUGUCUUGAUUUUUCAGGAGAAUAUCGGAUUUGAAAGGAUCCAGUUCAACUUUCCCUGAUCUGAAAGAUAUGACAAAAAUGGAAAAACUGUGAGUUGAAUGAGACUGAUCAAAUAUAUUGUUACAGCAAUAUUACAUCAGUAAUUGAUUACAUAUUAUUUUUUACUCAGGAUUCUGAGAAAUUGCUCAUUGACUGGUUCAAUCCAAGAAUACCUUGGAAAUAUGGCAGACCUAGAUACUCUGUAAGUUUCUCUAACAGCUACCUUCAUGGCAACGCUUAAUUUCAUGGGCGUCAUAUUAUGUUACUCUGAUUCAAAAUGACAAGAUGUGUAAAGUGAUUGACAUCACUUUACUCUAUCGUUUGGUUUCAUUUAAAGUAAGAUAAAGCAAAGUGAAUCAGUAAAGGUAUAGCAAUAAGUUGAUUCCUUAUUUAUCCUGGUUGAACAAGGAUCUUUCCUAACCAUGAAGCUCCAGCCUUUUCCUCUUUUAAAACCGACAGUUUUGCAUUUCAUUUUUCCUUAUUUUAGAUUCUCAUUGAGUGAGGUCGGGAUGUUUUCAAACCAAUCUUGAUUUGUCAUAUGAGAUGCUAUUGGUGAUGUUCUACAUUAUAACAAUGUAAUAAGAUAUGUGGAAGACAUCUUAACAUAUGUUCUCUGUGAGCAUGAGCUAGACCUGCAUAUAGUCUGCAUGAUUCAAAAUCAUGAUGGUGGGGGCUCAUGUUUUUCAUAAAAGCCAUGCUGCAGAGGAUGUAAUAGGACCUUGAAUAUUACUAAUCUGACAACAUGGACUGGCCCGACAUUCCGUGAAUUAGAUUGCAGUGUGUUUAUAUUGCCCAGAGCUAAUUUUAUCUAGUGCUUUUUUCACGUGCUUUCAUUAAUUUUUACAUAUUUCAUUGCAGAGAUCUGAGCUUUAACAAGUUGACAGGCCAGAUUCCUGGCGCAUUAGAGAGUUUGAAAAAAAAUAAAAAGUUCAUGUAAGUCCAUAAACGCAUGCUUUCUGAAAGCACAGGAUCAUCGUUUCUAAUAUAUUUCUCAUGUUGACAGCUUGCUGGUUCAUUACCUGUUUAUUAAUGUGUAGGUUUCUGAAUAACAACUUACUAACUGGAGAAGUGCCUGCUUGGAUACUGGGAAGCAGGAAAGACUUGUGAGUCUAUUGUGAAGUUAUACAUAAUUCUUUAUACAUGAAAUACACCAAUCUUUGUUCUCCUCAAUCAACAACUAUAUUACCCCUGCCACGAAAUUUUAUUUCAGGGAUUUAUCUUACAACAAUUUUACUGGAUCAGCUGAGCAAAGUUGUCAACAGCUACCAGUGUAGGCAUUAUUUUUUCCCGUUACUUGUUUCUUCUCCUUUGUCUCAAGUUGAUUGCUAACUUCUAUUUUGAAAUUAUAUAGGAACUUAGUUGCUAGUCAUGUGUCAACUGGGAGCAACAAGUAAGUUCCUCCUUCACUAAGAUGCCUUUUAAGAUAUCUAUAAAUUUGACUUAUCGACAACCCUCAUUCUUCUCUACAGGAUUUCUUGGUGCUUGAACAAGGACCUUGUUUGCCCAAGAAAACCUCAAUGUAAGUGUGUAAAAACAGUACUCUGGUGUUUGAUGAAGGUGUAAUUACAUAAAUACAGUGCUUGUUGUCCUAGGGAAGGCAGCUUAUGAUAUUGAUCCUUCGUUCUACAGACCAUUCCUUGUUCAUAAACUGUGGAGGGAGCAGUGAGACUGUUGGUGAUAAUGUAUAUGAAGACGACACAACUCCAGGGGGGGCAGCUGAUUUUGCAUCUUUAUCAGAAAGAUGGGGUUAUAGCAGUACAGGGACUUAUAUUGGCACUGAAAACGGCGCUUACAAAGCAACAAAUUCUUAUGGUCUGAAUGUGACCGGUGAAGGUUUUUACCUAACUGCUCGCCUUGCCCCUCAAUCACUCAAGUACUAUGGCCUGUGCAUGCUGGCGGGCAGUUACAAAGUGCAGCUCCACUUUGCUGAAAUUAUGUAUUCCAAUAAUCAGACUUUUAGCAGCCUUGGGAGGCGGAUAUUUGAUAUAUCAAUUCAAGUGAGUAAAAUGAUUUUCAAAUUAGCGCAUUUACUUAGGAUUUUUCUUUUUAUCUAUGAUUGUAUUUCUAAAUAACCUCAUGAGACCUACCAUGUGUUAUGGAUCCUUUUCAAGUUUCCAUAGAAAAGGUUGGUAACACUCUUUAAAACCUGCAAAAGUCAUGCUCGGAACUUCUUCCUGCAGGGGAAGGUAGUUGAGGCAAAUUUCAAUAUUAUGGAGCAAGCUGGAGGUGUUGGUAUUGGCAUCACUAAGGUAUUUGAUGGUAUAAUUGUUAAUGGUAGCACACUGGAGAUACACUUAUACUGGUCAGGCAAAGGUACUACUGCUGUUCCUGAAAGGGGUGUCUAUGGACCUCUCAUAUCUGCCAUUACAGUGACUCCAAGUAAGUCUUGACGAAAUCAAGAGGAUUUUUUGUUUCCAUCAACGGUCUUUUUAUUUAAUUUAUUUCUCUCAUUGUAGACUUUAAGGUGGAUAAUGGUGGCGGAUUAUCAGUUGGAGCUAUUAUUGGCAUUGUAGCUGCUCCAUGUGUGCUUGCGGCAUUGGUUUUGCUGGUCCUCCGGAAGAAAGGUUACUUGGGAGGGAAGGACCUUGAAGAUAAAGGUAAGAUUAAUGGCACAAGAAGUAUGUGUCUUAUUUGAUUGUGUGCAUGCUGUAAACUUGUGAUUGUCCUUGUGAUGCUGAUUUUGAGAUCCUGCUCAUCACAGAACUCCGUGCUCUAGAUCUCCAAACUGGUUAUUUCAGCCUAAGGCAAAUUAAACAUGCGACCAAUAAUUUUGACCCUGCAAAUAAGAUAGGAGAAGGAGGAUUUGGUCCAGUUUACAAGGUAUUUAUGAAUUUCCAGUUUACUAUUUAGUUAGGUUAUGUGCUGACAAAGUGUUCUACUGUAUGGCGCCUUCUUGUAUAAAAUCUAUCACACAUGCAAAAGCCUGUGAUAAAAGGGAAGGAAUAUCUUUUAAAACAUUCUGAAAUCUCAGUCUAUUUUAUUUCAGGGUAUGUUGUCAGAUGGUUCUGUAAUUGCUGUAAAGCAGUUAUCGGCCAAAUCGAAACAAGGAAAUCGUGAAUUUGUGAAUGAGAUAGGCAUGAUAUCUGCCUUGCAGCAUCCCCAUCUCGUGAAGCUGUAUGGUUGUUGUAUUGAAGGAAAUCAGUUGUUGUUAGUAUAUGAAUACUUGGAAAACAAUAGCCUUGCUCGGGCUCUUUUUGGUAAAUGCUUGACCAACUCCUUGAUGUAUCAGCUUAUAUAUAGUCUAUACUCUAUAGAAUGAGAAAGAGAUUAAAUUGCUUUCCUGUUCCUCUGUCUCAUCUCUAUCAGGUCGUGAUGAACACCAGAUUAAACUGGACUGGCAAACAAGAAAGAAAAUAUUGUUGGGUAUUGCAAAGGGAUUAACUUAUCUUCAUGAAGAGUCAAGGCUGAAGAUUGUACACAGAGACAUAAAGGCAACUAAUGUGCUGCUUGAUAAGGAUCUAAAUGCCAAGAUAUCUGACUUUGGUUUAGCUAAGCUUGACGAAGAAGAAAACACUCAUAUUAGCACGCGGAUUGCUGGGACAAUGUGAGUUCUUUCUCCCCCUUCUUCUUUCAAUUUAAUUUCCUUGGUUGUGGUAAAGGGAUAAAUAAAUUUUUAUUUUUUUUGGUAAUGAUACUUUGAACAAUAUGGAUAUCAAAUGGAAAUAUUGUAAAACGCAGACAUAUUAUUUGAUGGCAUCUAAUAACAGCAGCACAAAUGAUUAUCGCCUUGGACAUGAGAACAUAUACAUUUAUUCCACAAGCUCAUGGCCAAUACUUACUCUUCUGGUUCUUUCUAAUUUCUCUUCAGAGGUUAUAUGGCUCCAGAAUAUGCUAUGAGGGGUUACUUGACAGAUAAAGCAGAUGUUUACAGCUUUGGGGUUGUUGUUUUAGAAAUUGUCAGUGGGAAGAGCAACACGAAUUACAGGCCGAAGGAGGAGUUUGUUUAUCUUCUUGAUUGGGUAACUUAUAUCAUUUCCUUUCAGAAUUCUGUCUACACAAUUUACAUUUACACUGACCACCAAUGAGCAUGAUUGUAGACUGAUGGAAAAUGCAUGUUACUGAUAAUUGUAGGCCUAUGUCCUGCAAGAGCAAGGAAACCUUCUAGAGCUUGUGGAUCCAAGCCUUGGUUCAAACUACUCAAAAAUAGAGGCAUUGCGGAUGCUUAACUUGGCUCUCUUGUGCACCAACCCAUCUCCCACUUUGAGGCCAUCAAUGUCUUCUGCAGUGAAGAUGCUUGAGGGACAAAUUCCAGUCCAAGCUCCGAUAGUCAAGCGCAGUACCAUGAACCAGGAUGCAAGGUUCAAAGCCUUUGAGCUUCUCUCACAUGAUAGCCAAACAAACGUCUCAAAUGGAUCUCAAAGCAGUCAGAUACAGAAGAGCAUAUCAAUGGAUGGACCGUGGACGGAUUCUGAAUUUUCUAUCGAAAGUAAGGAUGAGAUCAUAGAAUAUUCCUCAUCGACCAAGCUUCUUAAGGAUCUUUACCACGUCAACUUAGAUUGAUCAACGGAAAUUGAUGAAAUAGUCCCUCCUUUUCUAUUGGUCUGGUAGUAUUCUGAGUUUGCAAAUAAGAUUGCUGAGUAAUCAAGAAAUACAUUUUAAAUGAUUUGUUCUGGUCUAUGUUGAUUCUUUUGUUAAGAAAUAAAAAAUGUUGACAGUUGCCUCAUUUGCUGCUGAAGAAGAGGUCUUCGAUGCUGAGAAGACUGAGAAGUUUUAGUCAAGAUUAGCUUUCCAUUAUGUUAGCAUGUUUGUUACAAUAAAGCUGUUAUAGAACAGCUCUUUGUUUGUUAAGAUUUCGUCAUUAUUUUUCUGUAGUUUGUUAUCAAAACUCUUCUAUAAAAGAGUGAUUUCAUUAAUAAAGAAUUAUGCUUGCAGUCACAAUAACAACAAUUAUUAUAGCUGUCCUGUUUUCUUUGUCUCUUCUGUAUCUGUAUACUGUCUUACAACUUCAAAAAACAUUGGAGAGCUUGGUCUUUCGAAUUGGCAUUGUUAGCAGUGUAUGUCACCAUUUAUCCUAAUCUGCAGAUUGCUUUUUGUCUAGAAGCACUUUUUCAUGAUCCUAAAGAGCAUUUGAACAAAAACUUGUCUUCCAUUACAUAUUCAAAGGUAAGUUCUUAGAGUCCUUGAUGUUUAUGUGUUCUUACAAUUUAGUGCUCCAUGUUAUAGAACUCUUUUUGAUUUCUGGAAUUUAAUUAAUUGAUUACUUCGUAUCUUAUAUUUCUGAAGAUUUAAAUUUCGAUCUCUCAACUAAUAAAUGCAACCAAUUUUUUAUAACAUAUGGAGUAUUAUUCUAGAAUCAUGCCUCUAAAUUUGAUAAGGUCUGGAGCAAUGUUGGAGAGUGUGUCGCACUGAAAUUUAUCCUGACCCAUAAAUUCAUUUCUGCAGUUAAAAAUCCCAUAGUACACAACGAAAGCCUCUUUUGUUAUUUAACUCUUCUAAGUACCAUGUUGCUUCUCCCUAGUGCGCACCCAUUAGUCCAACUUCUCUCUUUGCAAAUUAAUUAUUGCAAUGGAUGAAUCAAAACUCUAAGAAAAUGAUCAUGAUGAUGUUCCAACUUCCAACCCAUGAUAGGAAUGAGUUUUUCAGAUUUGAUUACGUGGACUCACUGAGUCUUUGUGAUGCACUGAAAUGUUGCAUGCAAAAUUUGCCAUAAAUGGAGCUGACGACAAGGAUUUCUUAGAUCGAAAGUUCUCGAAAAAAAAAUUCGUUUGGCAAUGGGAUUGGGCAAUGUGUGUCGCCACGUGUUUUUUAUUGCACGUGUGCGGCGUCGCGGUAAUCAUCCACUCCUUUAAAAAAAAUUAUAAAGGUCUAUCUGGUAAAUAUGGGGAGACAAGAAGUUGUCUUUUAUCAGUGGAAAAUUUGAAUGGGAGUCGCCACCUGGUAUUCUGGUCACUAGAAACCCUAACUGGUCUCAGAGAUCAGGUACGGAGACUUGUUGCGUAAAGAGAAGGUAUUAGCAUCUCAACUACGCCCUACCUAAGGUAGGCUGAGAAACCCUAACUGGUCUCAGAGAUCAGGUACGGAGACUUGUUGCUUAAAGAGAAGGUAUUAGCAUCUCAACUACGCCCUACCUAAGGUAGGCUGCAUUGUUUUAAUGUCUGAUAAAAAAACUAUGGUCUUAUUUCGUUUUCUAAUUGUUGGUUUGUUUAAGGUUCAAGAAAAGCCCUCUUUAAUAAGGAGGUUCUUAUCUUAAUGGGGUAAAACCUAAACGUUCUAGCGUCCGAACCAAAAGAAUUUAAUAUCUGAAAUACAUAUUACGAGUAAUGUCGUACCCCAGAUACUAAAAGACAAACAAAAUAAAAUUUUUGUUGUUUUUGAAAUUUUUGCUAAUGUUCUCUUGACUUUAAUAAAUUAGUUAUUAAAACCAAAAUGCAUGCUAAAACAUUGUUUUUUAGUGUAUGAAAAACACAAUAUGAUUUUUUUAGCUUUGAGACACUUGGCCAUAUGCACAAAAAUAUUUUUUAAAAUCUUUUUUAAGUUGACGAAAACCAGGUAUUUUAAUACCGGAUUUGUAUUUUUAUGAGAUAACAUAUAGACCGAUAGUUAAACAAAAUAGCGUAAAACAAAAUGCUGGAAAUCACAAAAUGUUAAAAAUAUAUUAUUAUUUUUUUGCUUGGCCGGACCCGGCCCACCAUUGUUGGGUUGGACUGGACUCAGCCUAAGAUCAAUGAGCCCAGCCCACACCAGCUGGUUACUGUGCAUGAGCACAGUAACCAGCUUCACCUCGCCUGCAUAGACGUGCAUCGUGCACAUCCUGCAUGGCAAGGGAAGAAACAAAAGCAAGAGGGGUGGAAGGUUUACCUGGAGAAGCCUCGGUCGUCAAUGAUGGCCAGCGAUGGCGAUGGUUCCAUGUGGCGGCGGUGUUGGUGGCAGCUCAUCCUCUGUUUUUUUCUUCUUCCUUUUUCUCUGUUUUUUCUUCUCAUUUUUGUUUUCCUUCUCUCUUCCUUGCUCUGUUUUUUUUUUCUUUCCUUCUCUCCCCCUCUUUUCUCUCUUCUCUCUUCGUUUUCUCUCCUCUCUGCUCUCACUUCUGCUCUCUUCGUCUCCCCUGUAUAUAUAGGAAAAAACAGGGGAGACAUAUGGAUGGGGCGGCCACUGUGCAGCUGCCCCACGAUUGCCUGAGGAGGCACGUCUCCUCCAUUUCUCCAACACGUGGGAGGCCACGGGUCAGCUUAGCAAGUGGGUGUCCUUGGUCGGCGUCUUUUUGAGCUUUUUAGACGAAGAAAAGUCAGUGAAAACAGGGGGAACAAAACUUUCUUCUUCCCCUGUUUUUUGCUCGUCCAGGGGAAGAAGAAAGGCUACAUUGCCAUUCAAAACAGCACCGCUUUAAGCUCUCUUUUUUUAACAAUGUAUGAAACGGCACUGUUUUAGCCAAAACACGCCAUUUCAUUUAAAUGAAAACAGCGCCAAACUUAUGUCAAAGUCCAAAUCAGUCUUCAAUUUGUAAUUUGUUCAAUCAAGUCCUAAAUUGCAAUUAUGAUUUAAAAAUCAAUGCAAUUACAUCCCUGCUAAAAAUGAGACAGCGACCCUGAAGUUGGCCGCCUUUUUCACUAUGGUCCUUGGUCUUGAAUUUAUGCAAUUUGACCCUUAAUUUAUCAAUAAACUUCUAAUUUCUUCAAUUUGGCCCCUGAUUCGGUUUAACUAUAGCUCCUCUAUUUACGCACCUUUUCCAGUUUGGUCCUUGGUUUCGGAUUUCUUCAAUUAAGUCCUUAAUUGGCCAUCAAACUUCAAUAUUUAUACAAUUAAGCCACUGAUUUGACCAAAUUAACUUCAAAAAUUAUAAUUUAACCCCAGAACUUUAAUUUCUUCCAAUAAAAACCCAAAUUGACUUCAAAAUCAAUUUUUCUUGCAAUCAAACCCUCCAUAAAUUCAAUUAAACCUUCAAUAAAAUUUAAUUGAGUCCAUAAAUAUCUGAUUUUGGACUUUUCUUCCUCAAAUUGAAUUUUCUUUGUUAACAAGGCUCUCAUUAAUCAACAAAAUACUGUCAAAUUUUAAUCUUUGUAUUUUUUAACCUCCUCAACCAAUUUGUAACCAUUUUAUGAGUGUUCUAGCAUCCUCUUUUCACUGUUAUAUUUUUUUGAUAAUAUUUUUUUUGUUUUUUUUUGUUUUUUUUUUAAGAGAGAAAAAAUAUGAAUUGGGAAUAACCCAAAAAUGGGUUAUGAGAGUUGCCCCUCUCUUUACAAUGCUUACGACCGAAAUCUCACAAAAGGUUUUAGAUACUAAGCUUUGUAGAGAAGAAAAAGGAAAACGAUCACAUUAUCUUGGGCAACCUACCCCUUUUGAAGAAAAUUGGUCUGUUUUCACGGGCGACCUGCCUUUUUGAAGAAAAAUGGUUUAUUUUCAGGGGCAACCAGCCCACACACUUACACUUACCCUAGUCUAUUUUCAUGGGCGGCCUGCCCACACAUACUUAAAGUGGUCUACUUCAGGGGCGACCAACCCACACACUCACACUUACCCUGGUCUAUUUUCAUGGGCGACCUGCUCAAGUACUCAAAGUGGUCUAUUUUCAGGGGCGACCAGCCCACACACUUACACUUACCCUAGUCUAUUUUCAUGGACGACCUGCCUAAGUACUCAAAGUGGUCUAUUUUCAGGGGUGACUAGCCCACACACUCACGUUUACCCUGGUCUAUUUUCAUGGGCGGUCUGCCCAAACAUACUCAAAGUGAUCCAUUUUCAGGGGCAACCAGUCCACAUAUUCACGCUUACCCUGGUCUAUUUUCAUGGGCGACCUGCCCAAGUAGAAAAAUGAAGAGUGGUCUUAUUGUAAUAGGUGACCUACCCAGGUGAAGGAAUAGUCUCAUUGUAAUGGUUGACCUACCCAGAUAAAAACAUGAAGAAUUGGUCGAAUUGUAAUGGGUGACCUACCCAAAAAAAAUGAGAAAAAGGAAGAGUGGUCUUGUUGUAAUGGGUGACCUACCCAGUUAGAGGAAUGGUCUUAUUGUAAUAGGUGACCUACCCAUAUGGGAAAAAAAGAGUGGUCUCAUUGUAAUAGGUGACCUACCCAGGUGGAUGAAUGGUCUCAUUGUAAUGGGUGACCUACCCAGAUAAAAAAAACAUAGAGAAUGGUCUUAUUGUAGUGGGUGACCUACCCAAAUAGAAAAAGGAAAGAGUGGUCUCAUUGUAAUGGGUGACCUACCCAAAUGGAAAAAGAAAAGAGUGGUCUCGUUGUAAUGGGUGACCUAUCCAGGUGAAGGAAUGGUCUCAUUAUAAUGGGUGACCUAUCUAGAUAAAAAAAACAUGGAGAAUGGUCGCAUUGUAAUGGGUGACCUACCCAGGUGGAAAAAGGAAAGAGUGGUUUCAUUGUAAUGGGUGACCUACCCAGGUGGAGGAGUGAUCUUAUUGUAAUAAGUGACCUAUGCAGAAAAAGGAUGACGAGGGCUCAAAGGCACACUCGAAAAGAGGUAAGGUUAGAAAAUGCACUACCCAAGAGGUGAGGGCUCAAAGACGCACUAAAAAAGAAGGUGAGGGCUCAAAGGCGCACUCGGAAAAGAAAGUGGGGCCUCAAAGGUGCACUCAAAAAGAAGGUGAGGGCUCAAAGCCGCACUCAAAAUGAGGUAAGGUUAUAAAAUGCACUACCCAAGAGAUAAGGGCUCAAAGGCGCACUGAAAAUAAAGUGAGGGCUCAAAGGCGCACUCACAAUGAGGUAGGGUUAUAAAACACACUAUCCAAGAGAUGAGGGCUCAAAGGCGCACUUAAAAUGGAGGUAGGGUUAGAAAAUACAUUACCCAAGAGAUGAGGGCUCAAAGGCGUACUCAAAAUAAAGUGAGGGCUCAAAGGCGCACUCAAAAUGAGGUAGGGUUAGAAAACGCCCUACCUAAAAGGUGAUGGUGAAACACCAAUCUGACAAAUGCAUUAUGAUUUGAUAUGCAUGUAUACUUACCUGAGAAAUAUAGGUCCCCAUUUCUUCAUGGUGUCAUUCUUUUCUUAAAAGUAGGAGUAAACUUCGAUGGCCUUUUCACUCUUACUUACUCGAGUCAUAUCUUGUGAUUUUGACCCUUUAGGAAGGGUUUGAUGUCAUUAUACUUCUUUGUCCUCCAACCUUUAUCUCAAGGGUUGUCAAUUCUGCUCGAUAUUUUUCUUUAUAAAAGAAAUCAUAGAGUCAACCCUACCAUGUGUUUUUGAUUGCCCCCCAGCUUGAUCAUGCCUCCCAAGUGUUCAAUUCGGGUUUGGGAUGAGGCUAUGUGAAGGAAGGUUUGACAAGGAGUUGUUUUCAUGCAGAAAUUUUAGAAUUUCAAAGCUAUUCCAGAUACAUAAAUCAUUUUGAUAUUGAUUCAAAGCAAACUCGUUUCGAAGAAAUUCAAGGGAUUGCUAUAGAGAGGUUAAGUGAUGAAAAGUUUUUAUUUUGCUUUUGGUGAAAAAUAUGAAGUGACAUUUGGUUUGUCAAAAAGGGUUUAAAUUUCAAUUUGAGGGUUAUUGAGAACCAAAUCGGUUCAAAGAAUUUAUUUUAUUUGCAUGAAUAAUGAUUUAACCUGCACGAGAAAGCACUGCCCACCGAUCUAGAUUGCUUGCCUUUGAUCAGAAAGGGCUUGAUUAGGUACGUAAUGUAGGCUUUGGCUAUUGGUUAUGAAGAAAAGGAUACUUUGCAGGCUCAAAAGGUGUUUAAGGGAUUUCAAGACUAAGGAUCACUUGUGCUUGUUUCCUGACUUUUUUUUCUUUUGAAUUUCUUUCCAAAAAGGUUUGUGAUGCCCCCCCGAGUGUCGGGUUUGAGCUCUUUCUCUUUGUUUUCUUUAUUUUUGUUUGGUUAAACAUAAUCACCUCAGUUGUUUUUAUGAGAAGCUCAAAUUUUUUGGAUCUUUUGGAUUUUUUUUUUAUCAUGCCCCAGCUUUGCGUGAGCAGCUUUGAUCAUUGAGUUUUUUCGCACUUGCCCCCCCAAUGUGGGGUAUGAUCCUAGUCAAGGUUAUUUUCAAAAAUAUAAUAGGCUCAAAAUGGGAUUGCAAAGGAUAUAUUUCAGGCUUGUGAAAGGAUUAUCAAAGAUGGUCUUUCCUCAUCUCAAAUGCAUGCAUUUAGGAGCGGUAAGCCUUGCUUUCAUGCGAGUAUGCAAAGUGAUUAUUCAUUCAAAUAAAACUCAGCUUUGGAGUCACCUCAUGGUGUUUUUUUGUUUUUGUUUUUCAAGUUUUCUAGGUGUAAGGUUACCCUUCUAAGGAAUCACUUGAAUUUCUAGAACUCGUUUGUUUUGGACAAACACUAACAUGAUUUCUAUUUUUGUACUAACCUUUGAAUUCCAAAAAAAAAUCCUUGUGAACAUGUGCGAUCAUGCAUAGUUUUAGAAGAAAAGAGAAACACACCAAAAGAUUCUUGGCGCAAUGGUUUCAUGCAACAAGACUGAAACAGGUUGAAACAAAAAAUCAAGAAGCUUUGAAGGCAUGAUUAACCAGAGGUAGUUAUUUUUUGACAGAACAAGAACAAGCUCCAUUCUGCAACUGUGGUGCAAUUCCCUUUCGGUCAGCCUUCCCACAAAAGCUUUUGCAGAAAUGCUGGAUUGUGUUGAGGCUCUUGACCAUGUUUGCCCCUAUUUUCUUCGGGAUGAAUCAUUGUUGGAGUUCGAACAACGAUAAUAGGUCGGUUGGUAGGAACUUCACCGGAGUUAUUUCUUAGUAUUUGCUCAAGUAAGCUAGUGGUGAGUCACACUUGUCUUCAGAGACUCCAACUCUUCCUGCAAAUGGAUGUUACAGUGAGCACACUUUUCAUUUUCCGUGUUUCUCGCUCAAAGUCGGGUGUUGUAGACUUGUAGGGGACCUACUUUUCAUCCCGGUACAUGCAUGAUAAAUGUAUAAACAUGUAAUUUAUAUGAUGAACUCACCCUUUGAGGGGUGACAUAUGAUCGUAACUUUUGCAUGAUGAAACAAGAAUCUUUAUUCUUACCCAAACUCUACAAUGAAAAUUUUCUGAAUAACGGUCAUUGUGUCACCCACAAGUCUUGAGUUCAAGAUGCUUCAAGAAGGGUUUGCCCUGAUGUAAAUAAAGAUAGCACAUACAACCUAAGGAUAGGUUCUAUUCAUUAUAUGAACAUGGGAAGGUUUUCUACCUGGUCUCAAAAGAGUCUCAUAUCUGCCCAGUGACAAUCUUCAUAAAGACAGAAUAGGGUCGUUGCGAGAAAUGGUUAAAGCACGUAUACCCACCAUUACCAAGCAGGCACUCGGAUAUGAGUUGGGUGUUUCACACAUCUAAACCCUGACCAAUAGUCAUAGGGCAGAUCGCUAGUUCCCCACCUAACUUAAAAGCUUGUGUGUGCUUUCCAAAAAUUAAAGCAUGUUAUGCAUGAGGCAAUUUUAUACAAUGCAUGAACAAAUAUGUACAGAAAUUAAAACACGUAAGAAAUAAAAGGAAAUGCAUAUUAACAAUACACACAAAACUAAUCAUAAAAAUCAGACAAAAACAAUGCUUAGUCCACUAGGUCCCCAGCGGAGUUGUCAUUCUAUCGCACAUGUGCGGCAUCGCGGCGAUCGUCCACCCCUUCAAGAAAAAUUGUAAACGUCUAUCUGGCAAAUAUAGAGAGACUAGAAAUUUUUAUCUUUUAUUAGUAAAAAUUUUGAAUGGGAGUCACCACCUGGUAUUCUGGUCACUAGGAACCCUAACUGGUCUCAGAGAUCGGGUACGAAGACUGGUUGCGUAAAGAAAAGGUAUUAGCACCCAAACUACGCCCUACCUAAGUUAGGCUGCAUUGUUUUAAUGUCUGAUAAAAAAAACUAUGGUCUUAUUGCAUUUUCUAAUUGUUGGUCUGUCUAAGGUUCAAGAAAAACUCUCCUUAAUAUGGAGGUUCUUAUCUUAAUGGGGUAAAACCUAACCGUUCUAGCGUCCAAACAAAAAGAAUUUAAUAUCUGAAAUACGUAUUACGUGUAAUGUUGUACCCCAGAUACUAAAAGACAAACAAAAUAAAAUUUUUGUUGUUUUUGAAAUUUUGGUCAAUGUUCUCUUGACUAUAAUAAAUUGGUUAUUAAAGCCAAAAUGCAUGCUAAAACAUUGUUUUUUAGUAUAUGAAAAACACAAUAUGAUUUUUUUAGCUUUGAGACACUUGGCCGUAUACAAAAAAAAAUGAAGUUGAUGAAAACUGGGUAUUUUAAUACCAAAUUUGUAUUUUUACGAGAGAACAUACAGACCGAUAGUUAAACAAAAUAGCGUAAAACAAAAUACUGGAAAUCACAAAAUGUUAAAAAUAUAUUAUUAUUUUUUUGCUCGGCAGAACCCGGCUAACCAUUGUUGGGCUGGGCUGGACUCAGCCCAAGAUCAAUGAGCCCAGCCCACACCAGCUGGUUACUGUGAAUGAGCACAUCCUGCAUGGCGAGGGAAGAAACAAAAGCAAGAGGGUCGGAGGGUUUACCUGGAGAAGCCUUGGUCGUUAGUGAUAGCCAGCGGUGGUGGCGGUUCCAGGCGGCGGCGGUGUUGGUGGCAGCUCCUUCUUCUUUUUUUUCUUCUUCCUUUUUCUCUAUUUUUUCUUCUCAUUUUUGUUUUCCUUCUCUCUUUCUCUAUCUGUUUUUUUUUUCUUUCCUUCUCUCCCCCUCUUUUACUUCUGCUCUCUUCAUUUUCUCUCCUUUCUGCUCUUACUUCUGCUCUCUUCGUCUCCCCUGUAUUUAUAGGAAAAAAUAGGGGAGACAUAUGAAAGGGGCGGCCACUGUGCAGCCGCCACAUGACUGCUCGAGGAGGCACAUCUCCUCCAUUUCUCCAACACGUGGGAGGCCACGGGUCAGCUUAGAAAGUGGGUGUCCUUGGUCGGCAUCUUUUUGAGCUUUUUAGAGGAAGAAAAGCCAGUGAAAACAGGGGGAACAAAACUUUCUUCUUCCCCAAGGGAAGAAGAAAGGCUACAUUGCCGUUCAAAACAACACCGUUUUGAGCUUUUUUUUUAACAAUGUAUGACAUGGCGCCGUUUUAGCCAAAACACGUCAUUUCAUUUACAUGAAAACGGCGCUCAACUUAUGUCAAAGNNNNNNNNNNNNNNNNNNNNNNNNNNNNNNNNNNNNNNNNNNNNNNNNNNNNNNNNNNNNNNNNNNNNNNNNNNNNNNNNNNNNNNNNNNNNNNNNNNNNUGGUCCUUCUAUUUCUUCAUUUGGCCCCUGAUUUGGUUUAACUACAACCCCUCUAAAUACCUGCACAAAGUCCCCCGGGGGUGUUGAUGGGGGACCCUCCGAAGAUCAAGUUAGUACCAGGUAUUUUUUUAUGUAGCCAAAGAUAUUAAGGGAUAUGUAGCCAAAGAUAUUAAGGGAAGUAUUAAUGAGCUUUUAUGAAGAUAGAAAAGAGGAGAAGGAAGAAGAUGUAGAAUUAAGGAAGAGGAAGCAGAGAAUGUGUUUUGUCUAAGAGUAUAAGGUUUUCGAACCCCCUCCUGUAUAUUCAUCCUUCCUUUUAUAUUACCUGACUUGACUUACUUCAUACAACGUAGGAGGGGUAGAGAUGUAAUCUUGUAACAGUAAGAUAAUAUUAUCUUACUGAUUGUACCAUCACAUCUAGUUAAUGUAAGCAUGGACGGCUUGUUGUAUUUAAUGGGCAUCAUGAUUAUUAAUUCAGGCUCAGGGUAUGGGGGGCUCAGUGUAGAGUGACCCUUCAACUUCACACCCGAUCUGAGGAAUAUUGGGCUCAAUUCACACCCGAAGCCCAGGAAAAAACUAGGCACGGACGUAUCUGGUCCCAACAUGGGACUGGGCGUGGAUGCGUCCGCGCCCAAUAUAGAGUUAGGAGUGGUCGCGCCCGGGCCAAAUGUAGGACUGGGAGUGGACGUGUCCACACCCAACAUAGAGUUAGGCGUGGUCAUGCCUGGGCCCAAUCAUGGGACUGGGCGUGGAUGCGUCCACCCCAACUUAGAGUUGGGCAUGGUCGUGCCCGGGCCCAAUCAUCGAACUGGAUUAGGACACUUCCGCACCCAACAUAGAGUUGGGCAUGGUCAUGUCUGAGCCCAACACAGGAUUGAGCGUGGGUGUACCCUAACCCAACUUAGGGUUGGACACCCGAAAAGACAGCCCUAUUUUGGAUUAUGACUUUCGCGUGUUAUCUCUUAAAUGAGGUUGAUUUAAGAAACCAUGACCCAUCAGUAGCCCCCCAAGUGUGCUCAUUUUUAGAGAAAUGGGGAGACUUAAGACUAAAGAGAUUCCGGACCGAUCUUAGUUGAGUCGCGACCCUAGUCAGGCGUCUUUUAUACUCCCCUUAUCAGGGCCUUACUGGCGGGGAUGGUGUUCCCAAAGAGUUCAUUGUUUGACUCUUCAAGACGUGUUCCUAGUUCUUCCUCUAAGGAAUAUUGGACACUCACUACUGUCCUAGAGAAGUGGGUCCUAGACGCCACAAGGUUGUGUAACCCUGUUUGGACCAUUAGGAGGUGUUGAUGUAGGAGGGCUAGUUUCAGCACUUCUUGAUGUUAUAGAGGCUGGUACCCAUGCUAUCUUAGAGGGAUGUGGGUCCUCGACCGCACAUAGGGUGUGUAACCUGAGUUGGAUAGACGGUGUGAGCUUGAUAAAUGAGGUUGAUAUCUUAUGCUUUUAGGACCCACUUCUCUCGCGCGUUAUCUCUUAAAUGAGGUUGAUUUGAGAAACUGUGACCCAUCAGCUGUGAAUUCUUCUGGUCAAGCUAUGCCCUUCUUAUGCUUUUAGGAUUGCUAGCAUCAGGAUUUGUAUUUGGGGGUAUAGUGAUGAGAAACUUGGAUGAGAAGCCUGUUCAGACAACAGAAACUUUGAAUUUCGAUUUCACUAAGAUUACUCUAGUAGCUUUUGCGUCCCUAAUGCAUUUCUCUGGCAUAGGUGAUCUUUCUAGCCUGGUUGCUAAAGACAACAUAGAAGCUGGGAGGCAAGUUGGGGCUCGCAUUAUUCCUCAUGAUCACAAGCUACAACUCACAGUUUCCUUAGUGAUGCUCGAGUCUAUGUAAAAUCAAAAACUUGGCGUAUUUGAGGUAUUACUUCUUUAUCCUUUUUUUCAGCAUUUUGAAAGUUAUAAGUCUUGAAUAUUGCAAUACAUUCAUUGCCUUUCUUAUCAUUGAAUGUUAAACCUAAUAAAAGCUUCUUGAAAUUAAAAGAUAUUGUCUAUAUCAUUGGAAACUUUAAUAAGCCAUCAUUAUGUUUCUACAGAUUCUAGGUUCCUAGGUAGUUUAUUUUUCCAGAACCCAAUUGCAGUAGUAUUUUACACUUUGUUCUCCUUUAUUUCUUCGGGUGGGGGUUGAGCUCCUGUCAAAAAAGGGUAAAGUCAAUGCAAGUUGAAGUUAGCCAUGCAUAAUGCAGUUCAAAAGCCAGCCCAUGCGUGUGGUUGCCAAAAGAUAUAGUAUGAGUGGAGGUGAUUAGACUCGCAGUUAGGAUACUAUUCAAUCAACACCACAAGGUUCAUAUAGGAGGCCUUUGUGUCAGUCUUGUAGAUCUAGGCAUUAUGGCAUGGUUUGUUAUAGGCAGACAUAAGUCUGUUUAGUUACGAACAGACUAAUCACUUUAUUGAGGGAUUUUUCAAGCAGACAUUUGUCCACACUCGAUGCAUUUGCAUCGGUUGCAUCUCCUGUUUAGACUUAGUUAGCUAGCCAUUCUGUGUUUCAGGGUGGUCGUGACUAGCAGGGUCAUAGAGCAGGUGGUAGGUCAUGGAGCAAGUGGUAGAGGUUUUGUGCCAACGGGUUAGAGACAGAUGCGAAUUUUUGCCCUUACUCAGCAAGAUGCCUAGGCAUCCAACAUUGUUGUCUCAGGUACACUCUUUAUGAAAGAUUGAUUUGCUUAACUGUCUUUAUCUUCUUUGGAUCAACCUCUAUCCCAUUCUUGAACGCCACAUGUUCUAAAAUCCAACACUUUCUAACCCAAACUCACUCUUCGAGAACUUUCCUAUAAAACUGAUGAUCUUUCAGAGUUUGAGGCAUCAAUCUCAAAUUCUUUUCAUGUUUCUCUUCACUCCUCGAAUACACCAGGAUAUCAUUAAUGAACACUAUAACAAACCUAUCAAUAAAAAACCUACAAACCAUGUUCAUCAUGUCUAUAAAGGUCGUCGGUGCAUUCGUUUACCCAAAAGACAACACUAAGAACUCGUAGUGCCCAUAAUGAGUUCUGGAAGCAGUUUUAUGAAUAUCCACCUCUCCCACAGUGGUCACCUUCAGGAGUCAUCUGAUCUCUGACAUGUAUUCCACUACUUUAUGAUAAUAUGCUUAGUAUAUAUAUGUAUAUCAAGAUAAAUCGACUUGCAAACUAUUAAUAUCUAAAAUAUAUAUUAAAUGUUAUUCCCCCACUUAGUUUGUUGAACUCACCCCUCAUUUUUUAUAUUAUUUCAACUUCUUAAUUUAUGUUAGCAUGUGGACUUUGUUCAGUGUUCCUACUUCUUCAGUUCUAGUCGAUAUGUUUAGCAUGUUUCGCGAGACUUUCCUUUUAGUUUUGAUUUGAUAUAUUAAACGCUCUAUAAUUACUCUGUUUUAAUUAAGUUUGGAUUUUGACAAUAUAAUGAGUAUUAUGGAUUGUUGGUUUUAUUUUAAUUACUGAUGAAAAGUUUUGAACUAUUAUUUGGUUUCAUUAAUUUUGAAUAAUAUAAUAUUUUGAAAGAUUAUAAAAUAUUAUGUAUAUUUAAAUAAUUUGUUCUUUUAAUAUGUUCAUUCUGAGGUUUAGUAUAAGUGGGGUGUCUCGUUGGCACCUCUCCUGCAUUGCCAAUCAUGAAUCCGAGAUUCUGGUCGUGAUAAUAUUCUUUUUAAUAUACUAUCAAACUUAAAAGGGAAUUAGCUUAACUUAUCCUUGUGUUUUAAAUCUAGUUAGUUUAUAUAAAUCUAGUUGAUUUCAAUAUUAUAUCCUUAUAUUUUAGACCAUUCUUCAAUAUAUUCUUCUAGUUAAUAUUUCUGUGAAAAUUGAUAUCACUUACUUGAGAAUCAAACUUUCAUCUAAUUUAUUAAGAAAUAGUUUUGAAAAAGCAAAAACUAAAAUUCCAUAUUGGUUAAAAAAAUUUCCUUUUUCGUGGCUAUUUUUUUAGUAAAUUAGAUUAGGUUUGAGUUUUUCAUGUAGAGCAUUUUCAUUUAUAUGGAUGAAAAUAUCUAAAAUAAAAUUUGAUUAGGGAAUAACGUAGACCUGUAAGGAUAGAUUGAAAACUAGAAUAAAAUAUAAGAAUAAGAGCUGAUUUUCCCUAAUUUAAUGAGCAUAGAAACCAACCUAAUUUUAAUGAUUUGCAAAUAAAUCAUGUUUUUCAAUUUAUUAAUUUUAUAUAUAAAGUGUCUAUCUUUUUUUAUAGUCUUGCACUAAUUUUAUUAGGUUUCAUAACAAAAACUGCUCUAGAUAUUGCAAAAUAGAUUUUUUAAAAGAAAAAUGAUAUUGCUACUUAGUUAUAGUUCCAUCUUAAAAAAGUUUAUGAUAUUAUUUCUUGUAGUUAACACAAAUAAGAGUGAAAAUAAAAUUUAUGACGCAUCAAAAUAAUAAAAAUAUUUUUAUAUAAAAUUUCUAUCUUAUAUUUGUGUGUGUAUGUGUGUGUGUGUGUAUAUAUAUAUAUAUAUAUAUUCAAGGUAAGAUAAUAACUAAUUAAACAUUACUAGUUGGUCCGAAUACAUAGAAUUUCUCUUUUCAUCCUAAUUUAAUUGGUAAGAUAAUAAGUUAAGAAACUAUGGGCAGAGAAGCAAAAGGACCAAGAUGAACACUUCCAAAAGUCAUUUUGUCCACUUGGGUUUUGACUUUUGAGCAUACAAAGUCGAAAUGCUCAUGUGGCAAGACCUUAAUAAAUUACUGUUCAGUCCCUAUAUAUUUAAGAAACAAAUAAUUUUGUCCAUUUUGUUUGAAAAGUAAUUAAUUAAUCUUGACCAUAUUUUACUAUCAAGUCAGUAACAAAAAUUAAUGAAAAACUGGUUUUGGCUAUACAUAUCAUUAGCCAAAAUUAAUAGUUAAGAUUGUUUUUGUUUUUGCAUUUAAAAAAUAUUUUUGAAAAUUUUUUAAUUUAUUUUUGUUUUAAAUUAAUUUUUUUAUAUAAUUUUAGAUUAUAUUAUUGAUAUACUGAUGUCAAAAAUAAAUUUAAAAAAUAUUAUUUUAAUAUACUUUUAAGCAAAAAACACUUUGAAAAGCAACCACUAUUAUAAUGUCAUAAACAUAUAUGAAAGACAAGGAUUCCUAGACUAUAAUUUACUCCCUUUUUUUAUGCAUCUUGCAAUUUGUUUAUGUAUUAAGUUCAAAUUUUAGAACCAAUAUUCAAAAUAAAUUUAAAAAAUUCUCAAAAUAUACUAGAUGGAUAUUGUAAUUUUUGCUGGUUGAAAGAUUCAACUACAUGACCAAACUCUCAAAACACCCGAGGAAGAAAAUAUUUUUAAGCAAAACACAAUCUCUAAUCCUCCUUCCUUCCUUUGUUUCUGUAAGGUUAUCCUCAUGUUAACCAAUUCCGCAAAGACAUUGUUACAACAGCUUUUCAAAUGACUUGGUCUUGGGAUUGUAGUUUUGGCAUUUCUUAUUUUCUUUCCUGAAAAAAAAAAAAAAAAAAAAAAAAAAGAGUGAAAUAUUGACAACCACUGUCUUAACUUCCCAUCUCCUCCAUGACCUGCAUGUAGAGGAGUCUUGUUCAAUGCGUAAACAAACCACAAACUUAUUUCUGUUCUUGAUUUUCUAGCUUCUUCAUAUGUGCAUGAUUAGCAUUUUCCACCUUUUUUUUUCUUUAAUUUAAGGGUGUAAAACACACAGCAGGUGACACCAAAUCGCAUUGUAUUACGUUUUCUCUUCAAAUAUACCAUUGAAAGCUCCCACAAUGCAGCCCCUCCCGGCUCCUCAAGUUCUUGCUGGCUUCGGCUUGUGAACUACCUUUUCUCAACCUGAACUAUCUAGAUUGUUGGCACGAGAUGUGCUAACCAGGUCAUGAAAAAAAAUAUUCAAUCAUUGUUAAUGUUUUUUUAAUAAAAAAACCGUCAAAAAUAAUCCAAUAUAAAAAUCAACUCAAUAGAUUCAAAAAUAACCUAAACAACCAAUAAAAUUAUAAUUUAAAUAAAAAAUCUAAAAUGACAUUAUUUUUUUAAAUAUUGAGAUGACAAUAUAUUAAAUAAAUUCGGGCCAACCUUGUUAAACUUUCAAAUUCAAGACCUGAAAUCAUGAAACCAUGAAAACCAUAUAUAAAACAAAUCAAAACAAAUUAUAAAAUUCAAUUUCCAAUUAAUCUAAUUUUAAAGAAUACAAUUGAAAAAAAUCAAUUAAAUAUAGGAUAAAAAAAAACACAACCUAAGUUAAUCUGUCAAAUCUACGACUUAAAUCUUGUCUAAGUCUUAAGAAUAGAAUAACCUCAUAAAAAAUAAAUUAAAAUAAAUUAUUAAAAAAAUCAAUUAAAAAAAACACAAAAAAAUUAUCCAAAUCAAUUAGGAUUAAGUCGUCAUACCUAUAAUUUGAGUCACUAGACUGGACUAACCUCAUAAAAAACAAUUCAAAAAAAUAACAUGGAACAACCUUAGUUACCUUACCAAGUCACCACUCAGAUAAUAAGAUUAUAAUAACCUCAUAUAUCAAAACAAAUUAUAAAGUACAAUUCUCUUAUUGUUGAUAAAAAAAACAAUAUAAAAAAAAACACAAUAAAACAACUCGAGUUAACCCAGAUUAAUCCACAAAACUCAUGAUCCGGGUCAUAAAAUUAAAAUAACUUAAUAAAAAAUAAACCAACUGAAAUAAGAACAUAGAAAAUAAAUCAUAUAUAUAUAUAUAUAAACAAAAAAUAUUGUUAAAAUGAAUAGUGCCAUGCGCACACCACCUCUUUAAAAAAAAAAUUUAAUAAUUAGACAACUCCCACAGAUAAUUCAAUUCAGGGACACAUCAAGAGUUGGUAGAAAAAUUUCAGUAUAUUCCCUAGUUGUCGUCCUCGUCUUUUUCCUCUCUGGCUGACCAUCAUCAUCUGAACAGGUCUUCUUUUUUUUUUUUUUUGCGAAAUCAAAAUAUACAUUUAGUCCCCCGGUUAUUUAUUUAUUUAUUUUCAAAAAAACUACAAAUACACUAAACACAUGCAAGUACAAGAGGGAAGAAGGGAAAACUAUGAUUGAUGAAAAACAGUCAGAUAUACAGCGUGGUUUGAUAUGAUUAAAAGCGUAGUGACUAUUUACACUUCAACUAACAUGAAUGGGGGGCAAAACAAUCAAAACUCAAUACCACUAUUUAUCUGAACAGAAAAGGAAGGUUGGCCAACAUUGGAGAGAGGGGCAUCGAGUCUCAGAACAAAUCCUGAGCUCCCAACAUUACCAUUCCAUUUAGACCUUCCAAUCUGCAAAAGGGCCACAUAAAAGAAAUGGAUGUUAGACAAUGAUGAAUAAAUAACACCAACACUGCCCCUUAUCAUCAAUGUCUGAAUUUCAGAAAUGAUGAUUUGCCAUGUGAAUUUCAAAAUGAUGAUUUGAUAAGCUAGGGCUAUUCAUGAUUGCAAAAUGGGUUCAACUGUUGUCUUCACAAAGUAUCUGUAUACGAGAAAUUUUAGGAGGAUAGGUGAAGAUUCUUGACAUUAGUGGCCUCCUCAUGUAAACAAUAAUUUCCCAAAUAUUUCCUGAACUUUCUCACUCUCAUUUCAGUUUGUGACCCAAUUACCCAAUAUUUUCAAAAUAUUACAUGUAUCAGCCUGAAGUUUCACUUAGGAGUGGACUUCAUAUUGAUUGUCUUCUGAAGGUAGAAGUUUUGAGUAGCUUAGGGGAAAAUUCAAUGCAAAUAUCAACCAGAAUUUUCAUUAUGGUCACAAGUUGCACCCUGUUAUUUCAAAACAUGUGAUUUUCAUGCAUAUCAAGACUCUGGGCAAAGAAAUACAAUCCUAGGAGACCAUAUCGCAUAGAUGUGAAUGAUCAUGACACAAUGCAAUCCAACAAUAGAGGAUGUACGCAACUAUUCUGUCCCACAGAUGCACGCAUCUCCGCAACACAACAUAGCUCCACUAGGAAACAUUGUGAAUGAUGAUGAUAGGACAGACCAAAACUGGAUAACCCCAUCAUUAAGGAUUCCACUGGUUUGGCAUCCAUUGUCUACAUUUGUUUUCUCAAAUUAUUUUGGUGGACUUUUUGUGAUUUAGUUUUCUCAAACAGGAUGGUGAAUUGAUGGAUUGUCUUCCAAUUCAUUGUUCUCCCAGGAAGUUCCAGCAUUUAAACUUGUGCACACAUAUCAAUGAAAGUUGAACUAGCAAGUUGUACCUCUUCAUUUCAAAGUGGAUUAAUGGGUUGGAAAAGAAUUAGAAUAUUUCCUAUGGCAUGAAGGGUGCAUGCAAUUAAACCUGUGCAUCUUCAGAUUCUUUCAGUUACAAUGAAGAUAAUUUGACGUAUCUCUCUGUUUUACCUUUUGUUUUCAACAUUUUGAUAUUUUUUUAUCCUGCCAUUCACUUGAUUUUCAUGAAUAGGAACAGGUGCAAACUUCCUGUGUACCUGGGUCCCAUCCUGUUAGCUAACAAAGUAAAAGAUGGACCAAGAAACCAAAGAUCCUACCAAGCAGAGAUGUAUAGUCAAGAUAAGAAAAUAUAGACCAGUUACAACUUACUGAUAGCGAUGCAAAUGCGGAAGGGUGUGUCGUCGCAGCACAGCCACAUAUCAGAUUCAAAUGGUCAUUCACUGAAUGAAUCAGUUCUGCAUGCAACCCAGGAUUGCUUCCACCAAAAGUGGGGCACAAACUGACAAGAUGUCAUUAAGAGUAGAAAAGGUAAUUAUAUUUACUUACAGUACCAUAGAAGCUGAAACUUUUGCUUGAGUUUAAGUAUACACAACAAGAGUGAAGUGAAUACACCAAAGUAAAAAAGGCAAGGAAAAACAGGUUCUGCAAACAUAGGAGGACCACAUAUUCAAAUCAUAACUGGCAUGUAUAUUUUACCCUCAACAAGACCUACUUUGUUUCCACCAAUAUAAUUAUUCAUGCUUUUUCCAAAAGCAUGAGAUAAUUGAUAUCAGGAUACAAUCAGGCCCAAGAUGUAUCAAUAAGAUAAUUAAAGGCAGGCUGUCAUGGCCUAAUAAAACAAUCAUGUUCUCCAAUGGCCACCUAAUUGUCUAUAGUGGAGCACCACUGAUUAAAACAAGUAACUGAGAUUGACCACAGAAAAAAGCAGGUCCAGCCUUCACUUGGCAGCAUCAAGAAAUGCAGACUGACCCUGGUUUGUGAUGGGUUAACUAUGGACUCAAUGGACCAAAUUCUAAAGAAAUCUGUGGAUAACUAACGCCCAUUUUGUUGCUGGAAAGUAGUUUUCUGUUGGAAAGUGGUUUUCUUGGAAAGUGAAUUUCUGGAAAGUGAAUUAUUUUCCGAUGUUUGGUAGUGUCAUGAAAAAUAAGUUGGAAAACAUUUUCCAGUGUUUGGUUAUGUUAUGAAAAAUAGCUUAUUAAUGUUUUUUUUUUUCAAUUUUAUUAAAAUAAUGAGGAACAAAUCUUACAAAUUAAAAAGUUGAAUGAGAAUAAAAUUGAAAAAAAAUCUAAUUUCAUAAAUUAUCUCAAAUAAAAUAAAUAAUAAUGGAAAUAAUGGAAAUCAAAUCUAACAAAUAAAAAAAUUGAAAGAUGAUGAAAUUAAAAUAAUAAUAAUUACAAUUUCAUAAAUUAUUUCAAAUAAAAUAAGUAACAAUCAAAAGAAUGAGGAUUAAAUUUGAUAGAUAAAAAAUUUCAAUUAAAAAAAUGAUAAGAGAAAAGCAAAUAACAAUCAUAAAAAUAAGGACCAAAGUUAAUAUAAAAAUCAAAUUUUAUUAAAUUUUAAGGGAUGAAAUUAAAAAAAAAAGAUUCAAACAAAAUAUAUAUCAAUAAAAAGUUUGAGGACCAAAUUUGAUAUAAUCAACAAAUAAUAUGAUAUUUCUAAAAUUUUCACAACUUCCAGAUAGUGUUUUCCGCCCAAAUUUUCCAGGAAAACACUUUCCUGGAAACCAAGCCAAAUUUUCCUUUGACUUGAAAGUGUUUUCCAUUGACCAACUUUCCUAAUGGCAAACAAACACAAGAAAGUUUGGAAAGUGAUUUCCAGGAAACCACUUUCUGGGCAAACAAACGCCCCCUAAAAGGAGUACACAAGUAAUGUGUGGAUUGUUUCCUAUUAACCAUAGUCAUCUGAUGCCACUUUAUAAGAAGCUGGAAAAUGAUAGUUGCACUGUCAGUGUGUAAAGCAGUAUGUUAAGUAAAUGUAAUAGAACAAGCGCAUAAUUAGAGCACAAAUAUUUUUUGGAUGACAACCAGUAUUCAGUUAUCUUUGCUAUAUUCAUUUUCUCAAUGAAAUUUUCUCAGUUUUGAAGGAAAACUAGAGUGCAGUUUAAGUGUAACAUGGCAUCACAAUGAUCCCAAUGCAACAGAUAUGCUAACAUUCAGAAGUGAAGGCAUAAUUAGAGCACAAAUGGUAGUCUUAAACACAGAGUAUCCAAUUUUAUUUUUUUUAUUUUGUUCUUCACUGUUGCUUCUGCAGUCACCAAUGCAGGUAAUUCAGGAUUUACUAUUUCUGCUUUUCUUUUCCUUUAUUCCACCCUUUUUCCUUUUUUAAUGGCUAGUUCAUUGAGUUUCCUGGUUUUUGUAGAUUGUCCAGAAUUACAUAUAACCAGACCAAGGUACAAAAGGAACCACAGGAUAACUUAAAAUAACAUUUUACAAGGUACUUGGAGAGCUCUGCAAGCAGAAGUUAUUAAUAUAAAUUGAAGAAUCAGCCUGAGAAACCAUGUUCUUUUUCACAAAUUACUGAAGCACUUUCGAGUUCAAAGGCCAAAGUCAUUAAUAAGACAGCUACUUUGCUCAUCUCUUCCACAUGUAUGGAAAAACAAAGAGAGAUUGUAAUUUUAUUGAAAUUGAUAUGAAUGUAGAACUUUACCUGAACUGAGCAGUUGGCCUCACCAUAAGACCAGAUCUCUGCCAUGCCAAAGAUUGUGCAAAACCUAAUGUAAAGGAUUUGUCAGGCCACUGUACCAUCGGUGUGAUUCGUGUUCCCCACUUAUUCUGAUAAAUAUUCAGAACAACAGGCCUUAGUUCACACCAAAAUCAAUUCAGAGAAAUCCGCUAAUGUACCUUGAAAUCAUAAGUACUGGCUGACAAGUUCAAAACCGGACCUUACAAGAGAAGCUGAAUCUCAUUUCCCCAGGAUAUUGCCCUUGAGCUUGAAGAAGACCUCCGCAAAGAGGUGCAAAAGCACUGGUAGACAGCCCCUCACCAGAUACAUAAGUCAAUUGCCCAUUUGGAAACUGUAAAUCCACAAAUGACUGCAUGUUGAAAGAGAUCAAGGAAAGGAAAGUAAGUGAAAAAUUAGUUCAACAUAUUUUAAUACUACAAAAAGACACUAAUAACUGCAUCCAAAUCUUCAUGCUUUCAUUACAGAGGUUAUUGCUUCUGUACUCAAUAGGAUCACCAGGCAGCAGCAAAGGCAAGUAUACCUAUUUUGGAAGAGAUUGUGCUUGAGGACAGGAGGAAGGAUGGCAAGGCUGCUCUGAUAUUCUUACUUUUUCCCUUUUGAAAAUAAUUUCAACAAGCUCUCCUGCCCCAUCACUCAAACUAAAAUCUGAAUUUAGGAUUUCAGCCUAGUUAAAUAGAGUGUUAACUUCCAUCCAUAUCACUGCCUUGCACCACUUCCAAACCUAAGGAAUUUUUACUUGGUCUGACGAAGGGGAAAUGGCAUGACACUUGUUGAUUUUCAAGACAGUGAAACAACUACAAAAAAAGAAAAUUCAACUAUGAAACAUCAUGCACUGACAAAAAUGCACUUUUGGGGAAGGAUGAAAGAAGGAAAUUUGUUAGAAUGGGAAGGAUUUAUAGAAGAAAACCCCAAUAAAAAGAACCAAACACAAGAGAGCACUUUGAUUCUGUUGAAUACCAGCUAAACAAUCCUAAAGCAUUAUACCAUAAGGAAGUGUGGAACACAAUCCUAUCCCACAACAGUAACUCAAAGUCAAAGGAUCAUGCUUCCUGUAUCCACUUCUUCAUUGAUUCUACAAGAUGUAGAAUACAGCCUAUUGUUUUUGGCUACCCACACCUUUGAUUAAGCCUCUAAAAAAAAUGUGAUAAUUGAAACAUAAACUGAUUUUAAUGCCUUUCAUAUCUUAAAAGGAGCUCUAACUUACACAAGCUAUAGGAUUGAGACAUAGCAUUGACAUUAACAACCACCUUCGAUGCUUUGACCACACAGCUGGACACAGAGAAUGCAUUCCACUCUGACAAAGAAACAAGAAAAAUGGCACAUGAGAAGAACAAUUUCAUAAAGCAAUCAUUAAAAGACAUCCAAAUGCAGAUUCUAGUAUAGUACAAGGAAAAAAUUGAUUCUCAAUGAACUGUUCUGUAUUAAAAAACAAGAAGACAAAUCAAACAAAGGCAGGAAAACAUGAUCAACAACAGAAGAUCUUAAGAUAUGGAAGCUAAAAGGUAAAUAAUAGGUAUUGAUGGUGAAGUCUAUAUCAGCAUAUGCACCAAAAAACAACAAUUGUAAUGUCAAAAAUAAGUACAGAAGAAAGGUUGCCAUAAAGCUAACAACAUGCAACUAAUAGGAAUAGCAGGAGAUCAAUAAAACAAGUGGGAUUGAGCAAACAACUAAUGUUUAGCGAUACUUAAGCUCACGUCUUUAUAGUCCAUUACCAUUUCUUGUCAAGCUUCAGGCAAAAUCUGAAGCUUAAGAGCAAAUAAGUUUGUUGGAUAGAUGAGGUUUUUUCCUUGUUUGAUUGAAGGUUUAGAAAAGAAUAUCGAAAAGCUUGAGCAUCUUUUUCCACAGUUCUACAAUCGCAUCUAUUUUCACAUUUCAGCGAGGUAAACAGAAAAUUGGCCAUACCUUUCUAUCAUAGCCAUACCAAAGCAAGUGUUGCUUUGACAGAUGCACGGGCAGAAGAAAGGUUGAAUCACGCAAAAUCAGCACAGGUCCAAGCUGGACUAGGAACAGAGAUGAAUUAUCAUUUUCUGAUGUGGAACUUCCAUGUGAUGCCUCUACUCUCCAUAAAUCUCCCCUUGCAACCAAAGAACUCUCAAUGUUGUGAGUUCUGCUGUCAUAAGUUGAGGUAAUGUUUAUAGUCCCCUGCAUUCAGUGGAAAUGAAUCAUCAAAUAAACUGCACAAAUGGAAUACAAUUAAAGCCAAAUUGAUAGCCUUCAAUUAUGAUCACAAAAAGGGCAACAGGACAAGAACACUACAGCAGGGAAACUUUUGCUGUCCAUCUGUACUUAAAAUUCUUUUGGCCAUAAAAAAUUAAAGAGGAUAAAAAACUACAGACAAACAAAAUGAUUCAACUGAACCAAGCUCCAUGUUACUGCCCCCUUUACACUACUAUAUCAAACACAAUCAAGAUAAUUCAACUGAACUGACCUCCAGCCAAGAACAUAAGGUUACAUGUAAUCAUAACAUGUUAUUGCCCUUUUAUUAUUACCCCACCCAGUCUUUCAAGCAUUUCACUUAUGGUUGCAGAAUCUCCUAUUUGAAUAAAUAGCUACAAUGAAAGCAUGUAUAGAAAGAACAUUAUCAGACAACACAACCAAUUUUGAUACAUGCAACCAAUUCUUUUACCUUGUUGCCAAAAAGAACCAGACUGAAACAUACAGAGAUUGAAAAAAAAAAGAAAAAAAAAAGGAAAUUGAAAAUGAUACAUUGAGAAAUGCACAGGAAAAACAGUACAGGAAAAAAAUCGGGCAUGAACCACAUAAAGGUCUAAUUAGUGAGAUUAUGUCUACUUAAUCAAUGUGUUAAUGAUUAAAAGGAAUUAACUAAAAACAAAAAAAAUCACAAUAACGAAAAAAAAAACAAAACAGUGAGACUUAGUGGCUUCUGCAAGGGUUGCUUGAUGUUGUUCAGAUCAUGCAAAAUUUAAACAUCAAAGCAAAUUGUGCUUUGACACAUUCUGCAACAAGUGACAGGUUACACCAUAGAACCACUCCUUCAGUUGCAUAUAAUUUGACUAGAUUCCAUCAAAUGCGACCUUGCUACAAAACCAAAUCCAACAGGUAAUUCUAUAUGUAUGAUCAACCACAUUAUCCAAGGACAAGUUCUACUUAGAAACAAUGAAAACCACAAGGAUAUUAUACUCCUCUCAAAGCCUUUUAAGUUACUUGAAACUUUAAGUUAAACAUACAGCACAAAGCAAAAGUAGAUCAUUAAUGAGAACAUAACAAACACAACUGACCUUAAAAGGAAAGCAAGUCAGCAUUUGUUAGACAAACUGCUUCUAAAACAAAGCAUGUCUGCCAAAGGAGAAAGGAGGUAGGUGAUUCAUUUUUCUUUGUUUUAGACACAACCGUUAUCAAAUGGAAUGGCAUAAACUUCAAACGUUCAGUUGUUUCCAUAUAGGCACUACUAACUAGACUGGAUGCUGUACUAUUGUAAAAUUUGCACCAGCCAAUACUUCUAAAAAGACAUGGUCUUUCUCAAACAGGAAGUCCUAUGGCUUCCAAUGCAUAAUUGUUUCCAAAAAAGUCACUAUUAUCUAGACUGUGUAACAUACUAUUUCUGUGAACUUCCUUUCCAGACUUCAAAAGGUUGAAAAUCAAUCAAAUCACAUCCUCCAUAAAUCUGUGGAACCAAGAAAUUUUCCCAACCGAGUUUCAAAAGAUAAAAUAUCGCUUCCAAGCAAACAGUUAAACGGACAAUUUAAUUUAAAAAUCUAAUAGGCAAUCUAUUCCUUCAAUAGCAUUAGAAAAUACACAUAAAUUACCAUUGUUGUAUGAAAUAAGGACUUUCCACGCUAACAAAACAAACACAACCAAAUUCUUAAUCAAAAUGGCGUUUAAAAGUCAUUACCUGUGGUUUACCAAGAUAUCCCACACCCUUCAAAUUUAACCCUCCAAUCUCCUCUUCCAACAAGCCGUCCACUCCACCACCACCACCAUUAUCCUCCACAAACCCAAAAUCCCUCAACCUCUCACUAACCAAACCCAACUCUCCCUCCAAACCCAACCCCACCUCACUCCUUUUACCAUCCAUCCUCACCCCAACCCCCCCAGUCUCAUCCUGCUUAAACGGCACCGGCAAUCUCCUAAAAAACUGAUGCACCAUCCCAUUCAAAGCCGCACCAAAAUCAGCCCCAGCUUGUCCAAUCCUAUUUCCAACAUCCAAAAUCGCCGAAAACCCAUUUAUCCCAGAAUUAUCAGUCAAAACCCCAAAAUCCCCUUUACUAAAACCGUGUCCCGGAAACUCCACAUCGAAAAGCUUCGAUUUUGGAGGGUUUGGCCAAGAAAACGCAGGUGGGUAAGUUAUAUGUGACUGUAUAAGGCCUGUAAAGCCUUGAGCUAGCCGGUCUGCGAAGUCCUGGCCAUGCCUUUGGACCUCCUCCCAUGCUUCAAAUGAUCUUUCUACCGACAUUCGAUUGUGAAAUUCAAAUAUUCAUGUGAUUUUCACUAUUGGGCACUAGACAAAUUCGUUGAAAACACACAAUAUUGAAGGUUUUGGUGGCUUAUUAACAGAAAAAGUUUAAAGACUCUAAGGAUGAGCCUGGGUUAGGUGACAGUGGUAGUUGUAGAAAUGAUCGAAACUAAAAACAGCUUCAAUAUGACGAGAAAAAAAAAAUCCGCUUCAAAGAUAACAAAAACAAAGUUAAAAACAAAAAACUCUAACUUUGAAGUAGAAUCUGAGAAACCCUAAAGUCCAAAGCUAAUAAAUCAAACAAAAUUUCAAGCUUUGAUUUAUAAUUUGAGGCAAAAACAAAAAAAAAAAGACGUGAUUUUGAGAUCAGAAUUUUAUUUUUUUAUUUUUUUCGAUUUAAAAGGAAUGAAUUAUAGGGUUUGUUUUGCCUAAACAGAGGAAUCAAAGUGUGAAACUAGGGGUUUGAAGGAGAGAAUUGGGGCUUCGUGUUUUCUAAACAGAGAGUGGAGAUCGAUGAAGAAGCGAUUUUUUUAGUGUGAAAGGGGUAGAGCGUGAAAAUGUGCGCCGGGGGUGUAGUGCGCAUAUAGAUUGCUUUGCUGCCACGUUGAUGCUAAUACCUGUGUCUAGCUAAGGAUGGAGAUUUUAUUAUAGGGCGACCGGAAUGCCAAUCAAUGUUACGUGAUUGUCACCAUGUUGUUGUUUUUUUUUUUUUGGAAUGGUUGUUUUUAUUGUAAAAUUUUAAAAAAAAAAAAAAUUAAUUGUUUUUAUAUUUUUAAAUUAAUUUAAUAUGAUAUAUCAAAAAAAAAUUUAAAAAUAAAAAAAUAUAUAUUAUUUUAAUAUAUUUUUAAAAAAUAUAUAUUUUUAAAAAAACUGUUAUUAUCCUUCUUUUAAUUUUUAGUAUUUAUAUAGAGUUGGAAUUUGGAAUGAGAGUUUAUUUUUUUGUUCUUUUAGUAUAAUAAAAAAAAACGAGUAAAAUAUUAUAAUGGAGAAAAUAUUUAGAAAUAUAGUGAAUAGCGGAUGGGAUGUUCCAGCAGUGAGUCAGAGUGAUCUUAAGUUCAACAUAAUUGACAUCGUGAUAAGGCUUUAAGGUGGUAAUGAUUCCAAGGCUGCAACCUUGUCAGGGAAUAAUGGAGCUGGCUCGGUGAGCCGAUGGAUGGGAGGGUCUUCGUAUCAUUGUCUUGCCAAAUACAGAGAUGGUGAAAACUUUCUUUGUUGAUAAAUUCAUGUCUUAUAGUAUUCAACAGUGUAGUUGAGUAACAGACAUAUAUUGGUUUUUUAUAUAUAUAUUUUAAAAGUAUUUAUAAAAAAAAUUAGAAAUUUUUUUAAAUUUUUAUUUUAUUUUUUUCAUAUUAUUUUAAUAUACUUAUGUUAAAAUUAAUUUUUUAAAAAAAUAUAUUAUUUUAAUAUAUUUCUAAGUAAAAAACAUUUAAAAAAACAACUAAUAUCACACUUACAAAUAAACAUUGAGAUCUAAAGGGUCAAGACUUUUCAUGUUUUUUUAAUUAACGUGGAUGUUCGAGCCUACUUGUGCAUACCUCGACAAAUCUCACGGGCCUUGAAGUUAACGAUCAUGUAAGUUUCUAGUGACUCUGAGGUUUGUAAGACUCAAACUAAUGAUCUUUAAGAAACAAAUAUAGAAUCUAACUAGUUGUGUUAUACCCCUCAGAUUGUAAAUAGAUUGUGAUGCUUUUAUCAAGUUUUUGGCCUGGUUCAAUAAAUAUGUAUGUAUGCAUGUGUAGCAUAGAGAGACAAUUCCUUAACGAGAUUUAUUAAGCAAAAAUUGAUCCACGGUUACGUUAAGCUCAGAACAGUAAUAAACAUUGGAUCAUUGCCUUAGUUUUUGUUCAAGAAAAUUACAGAUUUUAUGGUCGGAUGCAUGCUACAUAGACUAACAUUUUUAGCCUUUGGCAUCUUUGUCAUCGUUAUCAUAGGAUAGAGGUAUACACUAACUAUCUGGUAUGCGCGUAGUUGUGGGCUGGCCUUUUUUUUAUUAUUAUUGGGCGCAGAAAAAAGAAUGUGCAAAAGUUUACAACGUGUAAUUUGGCUCCUAGCAAAAAUUAUAAUUGUAAACGCAUGUGUUUAUUUAAAUAGAUCAAGAAUUAUUUGUGAUAAUUAAUAAAAAAAUAUUAAUAAUAACUAAAAAUAAAUUAAAAUAUUAAAAAAUAAAUAUGUAUCAAGAUAUAUGAUAUCGUAAUAUAGAUAACGAACCCAAUUGUGUUGAAUAACUUUAUCUUUUAGAAUCAAUCUUUUAUUAACUCGGAUGAUAAGAAAAACACGCAAAAAAUGGUCAAAUUAAUCUCUCUUUUUUAAUGCAAAAAAAAAAUCCAAACAUAGUUAAUGUGUUUUUUAAGAGAGAAAAGGAAGUUAAUCAUGAAUUCAGAAUCUAAUGAAUAUUGAACAAUAUAUUUUUUUAAAAAAAGUACUGAGACAACAAUAUUUUAGAUCGAUAUGAGUAAACUGAGUUAAUUAACUAAGUCUGUGACCUUGGUCAUAAAACUGUAAUAAACCCAUAAAAAACAAACAGAAAUAAAUUAUGAUGGUUGGAAAAAAAAUCAAUUAAAAAAAUAAGAAAAAAAAACCCGCAUUAACCAAUGUUAACUUGUCAAACUCGCGAUUUAGUUCAUGUAUUCCAUUGGAUUUAAUAGCUUUUUAUUUUCAAAAUUAUUCUUUAUUUACUUAUAUGUCAACUAGAUGCAUGAGACUAUUUUUAUAUCAAAAAACAAGUUCAAAAACAAAAAAAUUAAAGCUGGUGUUUGGGACUAAAAUAACAACUUAAAAGGUUUCUUUUAAGUCAAAUAAAAACAAAAUACCUUUAAAAAAAAUGAUGAAAUAAUUUAUUUUUUAAAUUUUUAAGGGGUUAAAAACAUAUUAAAUUUAGAAAAUAAAAAAAUAAACCAGGCAUUUGGGCCUACCAACACUCCUGACCCAUAAAAAGGCCUGGCUUGCAUGUCUAGCCUAGGAGAAAGGCCUUCUGUCCCACUGUUAAAAGACGGACGAUGCGUCAUUUUCUCUAUUAUUAUUAUUUUAAUAUUCAAAGGAGGACGAUAUGGCACCCACCCUUUAAUAUAUAUUUUUUAAAAUGAUAUAGACAACUCGUUUGUUUGCAUACCUAGUUUCUAGUGACUAGGGGUUGUUGGAAAAUUAGGUGUUCAAUUUUUUUUCUCAAAAAAUCAAUUUUUAACCUAAAAAUCCUUCGAGAAAUCCAAAAUCAACUUAAAAAAACUUGAGAGAUCUUAGAAAAAACUUGGGGAAAAUAAGAAAAAUAAAAAGGAAAUCUUAUGAAAUUGUAAGAAAUAAACCUCUUAAACACUAAAUAAAGAGGAAUCAAGUGAGGAGAAGUAAAAGGAAGGGGAUUUGAGAGAGAGAUAGUCAUGGCAACAAGGGGAGAAAAAAUGGAAGAGAGGAAAAUGGAUAAAAAGGUUCCUCUUACAAAUUGUUUUUUUGAUUAAUUGUGAUUUGAAGUUGAGAAUUUUUUUUACUAAAAAUAAUGAUGUUUGUGAUGGGAUUAGAGGUGAUAGUUAGGUUUAUAAUUUUAAAAAAUUUAGCUUGACGAGUGGAUAUGAUGUUGAUAAAAAAUUUUAAUUUAAUUAGUGUUCUUUAGCAUGUAGAUUUAAUGGGUUUAGUGUUAAUUAAAAUAAAUUGAAGAAAAAAUAAAUGUUUUUUUAUACCUGGAAACUAUCGGCAAACACAUAAUGUUUAGGAGGGAAUUUUAAUGGGUUAAUUAAAGUAUUUAAUGCAUGGAAAUUAAAUGAAUUUGCAUCAUAAAGAAAAAUGGAAGGAAUGCGUGGAUUUUAUUUAUAAGGAGUUGGGUUAAUUAUAAAUAUUAUGAAUAGAUUUAAUAAAUUGUGUUAUUAAUUGUAUGUAGUUAUGUUGGAUUAAGGAAAUUGAGAAAAGAAAAGAUUGAAGAAAUAAUUAUAUAUAGUCAUGUAUUGAUUGGGAAUACCUUAAUAGUACUGUGACUUUCUAACAGCAGCAGAUAAGUGUUUAACACCUAUUUCAUAGUUUUUAUUAUUGGUAGAAUUAUUUUAAUUAUUAAAUGAAUUGUUAUUAAUCUAACUUGAUAUAUAUAUCAGUGGAAUAAGAAUAAGAAUUUAUAAUUUGAUUAAUUGUUCUAAUGAUGGAGGCUAGUGUGCCAAAGGCUUCUUGACAUCAACAUUAUUGAUUAGUCUUUUUUGAAUAAUAAAAAAAACUAAUGAUGUCAUUACAAGGGUAUUGAUAUAAGAAUUAUUAAUUAGUCGAUCUCAAAUGAAAAGGAAGACAAGGAUAUUAACAUUGAUAUUUAUUGAUUAGUCAUUCUUGAAAAAUUAAGAAAGACUAAUGAUAUUAACACAAGUAUAUUUUGAUAUCGACAUUUAUUGAUUAGCUGACUAGUGAAUUGAUGGGUAAUUAAUGAUACCAGGUGAUUUGAAUCGGUAUAUUUUUUUAUUAACCAUAUUGAGAUGAAAAUGGUUAAUGAUAUCAAUUCAAAAAUUGAUAUUAGUAUUAAGUUAAUGAUACAUAUAUUAUCAAGUAAAUAAUAUGUAGUAAUAAUGAAAAGAUAGAAGUGAAAAUAUUGUUUUAUUUCUUUGUUGUGGGAAUUAUUUUAUUUACUUGAUUUGUUUAUAUUAUUUGUUGUUUUAUUUUCAAGUUCCUACGUUAGUUUCAAGAGUAGAAUACUUCAUGUUUUAAUUCAUGUAAAUAUAAUAACAUUAGGUCUAUUUUGGACUUAUAAGACAUAUGUAUGAAUACUAUAUUAUGAAGAUGUAAUUAGUAUUGUUAAUUUUUUUAUUGUAAAUAUAUGUGAAUUAAAUGUUUAGGACAUUAAAGUUUUGUGUUAUAAUUGUAGGAUAGAUAUACAAUAACAUAUUUUCAAGUAUAUGAUGUGUGGUGUGUGUGUGUGUGUGUAUAAAAGAAAAAAAUUAUUUUAUUAUGUAAUGUUAACAUUUUAUGAAGUAAUGAACUUGUGGGAAAUGUAUUGAUGUGGAAAUGAUACAGGAGAUAUUGGAUCAAGAAAAUAGAAACAUUAGGUUGAGAAUUUUGUCUGUGAAACAUGGAAUUAUCGAUAACUUGGUAUAUUCUAUUUUAAGAAAAACUCUGUUGAAAUUUUGAUAAAUAUACAAUAAUAAAAAAAUCAGUUUACUAUUAAUUAAUAACUAAAUUGAUUGAAAAAUAUGUUUAAGAGUUGGGUUGUUACAAAAUACCUAGACUAAACUCUCUUAAUCGAAAGGAAUCAUUUAACACCAAAAUCAAUGUUUUUGUUGUUGUUGGAAUCAGUGUCAACCAAGAGUUCCUUUCUCAAACCAAAGAUUAAAAAAAAAAUAAUGUUUUGGACCAAUUAGGCCUUGAAUUUUCUCCAAAAUUACAGCUUGAUUUUUUUUCUAUUUUUGUAGUACUCCUUGAAUUGCUUUCUCCAUAUUACCAGCCUUUAUUUUAUUUUUUUUAUUUUUAUUUUGAAAAAAGGUGAUUUUUUAGGAAUAACCCAGAAUUGGGUUAUGACAGUUACAAAACACUUAGACUAAACUCUCUUAAUCGAAAGGAAUCAUUUAACACCAAAAUCAAUGUUUUGUUGUUGUUGGAAUCAGUGUCAACUAAGAGUUCCUCUCUCAAACCAAAGAUUAAAAAAAAAAUGUUUUGGACCAAAAUUAAAUUUACAAAAUAUUGAGGAACUAAGAAAUUAUAAGUUGAACAAUAGGAGAACCAAAGUAAACUUUCAAUCCAAUUUUGAAAUUGCCUCCCAAUUUCUCCUGCCUUUUCAUUUCAAUCUUUUUUCUUUCAUUCUUACUCUUCCUUUACAAAUUGAAAAAAAUUAUCUUCAUUGAGUCACGGAAGGAUGAAAUCGCCUAAAAACAAGUUUGAUGACCAUAAUUAAAAAAAAUAAAAAAUUUACACAAUGAAAUGAUUCUUGGUCCAUAGUGAAAAAUCCUACAGUUUUUUUGUCCUGCCUUUUGGAGUUUCUUAUAAUAUGAAACUCGAGUUUGAAUUGUUGUUUACUUUUAGAUACAACUAGCCUUGUACUCACUCUACGCUGCGGGUAGGAUUUCAAUCUAAUUCUUAAUGCAAUAGAAGGAAACGAUUAUGUUAUAGAUGGAUUUUCAUGUAUAAUAAAAAAAUUUAAUCAAUAAAUGAAAAUAUAUUUGUCAUGCUUUAUAAAAUGAAACAAAAAAAAUUAUGAACUGAAAAGUAAAUAAAAAUUGUUAACACUAGUUAAAAACUAAAGUAGAAACUGGUAAGCUAAUCUUCAUAGUUGAAGUAGAAGAUAGAUGCACAUAUAAAUAUUUUAUAUUGAUUUUGAUUUUAUGCAUUUUCAUUUAUUUCAUCUUGGAGGCUAAUUUUCAUUUAUUUUAUAAAAAUAUCAUAUAAAGACAAUUAAUUUAUAGUAAUAUAAAACAAGACAAAUUAUAGACAAAUUAAAUUAAUCUUUUUAGAACAUUAUGAAACUAAAAAAAAUGUAAAUGGAUCAAUCACUAUUUUAAAAAAAUAAAGUAAAACAAAGCAAUUUAAAAAAAUAAAAGAAAGGUUAGCCCUUAAUGAGCCUAAAAGGCUAGGUCUCUAAUAAAAAAUCCUGGGCAUGAAGUCUAGGAUUGCACUUGGAUUUGUUUUCCAAGGAGGGGACAACAUCCUCCAAAUUUUUUUUCAAUAAUCGAGUGACAAAUCGCUUGUUGGUAAAUUAUCUAAUUAUCUCUCAUAAGCAAAAAUUCAAGGUGUAAGCUUUUGAACCCAAAACCCAAUUUUUAGAUUGUUUUGACAUGAAAAAACCUCAAAAACACCAUAUAUAAACCUCAAAAAACCAAUUGCCAAUCCCAAAAAAACCCAAAAUCAUUAUAUAAAAAAUGAAAAUUGAACAAAUAAAAAAACUAAAUCAAACCCUAAUUUAGUUUUCUAGCAUGUUCAUAGAGAAACAUAACCCAUAUUGCACCACUUUCAAGAAAAAAACUUGUUGACACCAAUCUCGACCUUUUUUAUGGCUGGAAUAUUGCUAUUCAACCAUUUUCUCUCUCCUAAAAACUUUUCGAUGAUAACCACCAGAAAAUUGGUGAAUACAAACAGAAACACCGACAGAUGUUUUGUUGUUGAUAUUUUGCUGUUAUAUUUACUGAUCGAAUUUUUCCAUCACUAAACCCAUUAGUAAAUACCAAUGAAAAUAUGUCGUCGGUGUAUAUCGAGGGAAUCACAAUCGGAAUAGAAGGAAUAAAAAAAUUCAAACAAUGCGAUGACGUGUAAGUUUUUAUAGACAUAGUUAUCGACAGAAUUACAGUUGGAUUCAAAUAAGCAAACCAUAUAGUGACAUGGCAUUAAUACAGAUAGAAUGAUCAAUGGAGUCACUGUCGAUAAAUCUAUCGGUAAUAUUUAAUAUAUGACCUGCUGCUCGAACCUCCUCUCCCCCUCCCCCCAUUUCUACUUCUUCCUUGUAAAUUUUCUAUGCAACAAAACAACUCCCCUCAAUCUCAACACAACUCAACCUACCAUAACUUUUUGAGUCACAAUAACACUCUAUUUGUCAGCAUCCAUGUUUUGAUUAAAAUUUUAUUGAGGAUUCUCCACCUUAAGUAAGCAAAUCUAUCUUCUUCUUCUUUUUAAUUUGAAUAAAAUUUUAAAAUGUUAAUUAUUUUUUUUACAUAUUUUUAUAGUAUAUGUAUUUUUUUUUGGUGUUUACUUGUUUUAUUGUUUUUUCUCAAAUAAACCUGUUUUAUGAAUUUAUGAUUUGUACAUGUUAUGGUUUGUUUUAGAUUUUGUAAAAUUAUAUUUGUUUGUAAAUUGUUGAAACUUAUGUUGAAUUACCAACUUAGGUGUUUUAUAGUGAAAUAAAUAAUGGCUUGUUUAACUGGUUUGUUUUAGAUUUUGUUAAUUUUAUUUUCGAGUUGGAAUUUCUGUUAAUGUGUAUAAAUUUGUAUCUACGUAGAAAAUUGAUAAUGAAUUAAGAGAAUUAUUAAAAUAUGUUGAAUAAUCUUGAGUUAAACCAAUAUUUUUGCAAAUUUAUUUAGUUAAUGUAGUUUAAUUAAUAUAUGUUAUCAUCAUUAUUUGAUAUAGAUUCAAUAGAAUAUGUGUAAAAAUAUCUAAUUAGAGCAUUACGUGUCCAUGCAAAAUGUGUAAAAAUAAAAAGUUUAUCGAUCCAAAUAUUGUAACGAUGCAUCUUGUGCAAUAGAGGAAUAUCUGUGGUGGUAUGCACACGGAAAACCAUUUGUUUCUUACGAGAUCAUGGUAGAAAUGAUGGUUAGGUCAACUUCUAGUGCUGACAACGUGCAUGUAGUUGAAGAUGACAAUAGUAAUUCUUAUAGGACAAUGACUUUCCCUCUUAGCUUUCAACAUUUAUGGAUUGAAAAUUAAAAAAAAAAUACAGUUUGGUACUAAAAUGUGAAUCUCUAAAAUAAUAGGGACUAGAUGAUAGGAAAUCUGAAACUUUAGGGGUUGAACCGCACCAAAAUCUAAAUGGGGCAUGUAUUUUAUUCAAGAAGAAAAAUUAAUUGUGAAUACAAAGAACAAUAAAUAAAAAAAACUUGAGAUAAUCCAAUUGAAAAAAAAAUGAAGGACAAAACAAUGGAGGUAGAUAGCAAAUAAAAAAUUAAAUACUAAUUUUCAAUUAAAUAAAUUUCAAAGGAUAAAAAUGAAAAAACAUUAGCUUGAAAAAAUGAUAUAAAAAAAAAAACCAAAUCUAUCAUGGGUGAAUCUUCUAGAGCUGGAUUAAUUUUCCAAACUUGUAACCUGUAAAAUCCUAGACAUGGGCUUAACCAAGAAGUUCAAAUCCAAACUAAUUUAAUGUUGAAGGAUGAAAUUGAGUAAAAACAAAUACCAACCUAAAAAAUUUGGCAAAAAAAAAAUAACAAUCAAAAUAAUGAAGGAUAAAAUAUGACAGGAAAAAAAAUAAUAGAGGGUGAAAUCUAAAAGAAAUUCAAUUCUAAAAAUUAUCUCAGAUUAUAUAAAUAAUAAUUAAAAGAAUGAACACCAAAUUUGACACAUGAAAAAAUAUAAAUGAGGAUAAAAUUGAAACAAAAUACCAUUUGAAUAAAUUAUUUAAAAUAAAACAAAUAUUAGCCAAAAGACCAAGGACUAAAUAAAAAAGACUCGAAUUAUAUAAAUAGCAAUUAGAAGAAUAAAAACCAAAUUUGAUAAAUGAGAAAAUUGAAUACAGAUGAAAUUGAAAUAAAUUUAUUUUCAUAAAUUAUUUCAAAUAAUACAAAUAUUAACAAAAAAAACCAGGGACUAAAUCAAAAAGUAAGAGAAGUUAAAAGGAUUAUUUGAAAAAUUACAAGGCAGGUGUAAACAUCAAAGAAUAGAGAGAGAAAGAAGAAGAAGAAAAAGAAAUGGUCGCUAGAGCCAAACCGAAUAGUCGUUUGGUGUAUACGCGGUUAGUACAUGGAGGAAACACCGAGAAUAAUCAAACGUUGUCCCAGAACAGUGUUUUUUGCCACCAAAAUCAUCCACGCGCAUCGUUUAAAGAUGACAUAGCGGCUAACACGUGAACAAUUUUUUUUAAUGCUUUUAAUCUAUCAAAAGACCAAAAUGCCCCUAACUUUACCCAAUAACAAUGAAAAAACCAAAACUACAAUGACAGAAAUACCCUCACAACCAGACAUAAAAAAAUGAACUUCAAGAGUAAUUAAGUAUGGACUAUGCUUAUAAAAUGAAAAAGAUGAAAAACCCCUCAUUGUCAAUUAAUUGUGUUUUUUUUAUCUAUAAAGGCAAAUUGAUUAUUUUGUUGUGUACAUUUAAUAUAAAAGUACAAAUAUAACCCACUAUAGCAUCCAAGAAUUUCUAACCUUUAAAGGUAUUAAUGUUAUUUUAUUGUGUAUUUGAAAAGAAAAAUAUUUGUCUUGCCCUCAGCAAUUUGAAAAUGCUGAAAUUAUCUUAUUGCAUUCACAAUCAAAACCCUUAUCCAUUAGCAAAUGAGUGCAAUGUGGUAAAAACAUUAGUGGUAGGGUCAUAGUGUUUAAUUUAACUAUCCUUAUCAUUUUUUUUUUUUAAAAAAAGAAAAUUCUAAUUCUAAUGUUUCCUCAACUGCUUUGCCUCAGAUUGAAGGGUUUUCAGAUUGAUUGCAUCUGAAAUUCAAGAACACCUCGAGACUCUAUUUUAUACAUAUGAAUUAUGAGUCUGAAUUUUCACUGAAUAUUAGACCCAAAGUUUUCUCAAUUGGUUUGCAUUAGAUUGAGGGAUUUUGAGAUUGGAUGCACUUUGGAAUAUAUAUAUAUAUAUGUGUGUGUGUGUGUGUGUGUGUGUGUGUGUGUGUGUGUGUGUGUGUGUAGCUAUAGAAGAAGCAGCAGGAAUGGAAGCUGGAAUUCUUCCAUGUUAAGUUAAAGGUCUUGUUCGGUGGAAGGAUGAAGGAUAGAGAUGGAAAGAGUAAUCUGAAAUGCUGGAGGAGGAAGGAUGUAAAGCAAUCCUUCUUCUCUCUAGUUUUUUGGUUGGGGCAAGAAAGAGGAGGUCAAAGCGAAGACUUGAAGGUGAAAUAGAAAAAUCUUUUUCCUUCCCCUUAUAAUAAUCCCUCUUUAGAAUUGGAUAAUAUGAACCUAGAAGAAAGGGAUGUAUCCUUGUUUCCUGCUGAGUGCAUGUCCGCCCAUCUCCAUGGCUAAGAGUUCUGACUGUCAGAAGCAGCUUGUCCAUAAAGUGAGGAAUAGCUGAGAUGAGAAUCUAAUGAUGCACGUCUCGAGGGAAAAUGAGGGUAAAAGAAGCUGGUUUAGCAAUGUUAAGGUUAAGGAGAGGGGGCAUCAGUUGAGGACAAGGUAACAGAUUAUUGUCAAAGGUGGUCGUGUUCUAUGUGAGCUAUAAUGCGCCCUUGCAGGAUAAUAAUCAUAUCAAAUAAAUUAAAUGGGCCAAAUAAAGAGUGAUGUGAGUUGAAUUAGUGUGAACUAGUUACAUGUCCCUGCAAUGCCACGGGUCAAUUAUUUUUUACAUUUCAUAAAAAGUUAAGAUCUAAAAGUAUUAGGUUUUUUUGCAAAGUUAUACCAAGAGUCUUAGGUUUAGUUGUAACGCCUAAUCCAAGAGUAAUAUUUAUAAUAUUAAUAAUAACAUUAAACUUGCAUGGCCUAAAUUUAAGUGGGUUUGACUGCAAUACCAGACCCAAUAGCAUUGGAUGUGGGUCUAGCUGCAAGGUCGUGUCAUAAAUGUGUGAUAAUUAAAUAGAUUAGUUAAAAAGAAAAAAAACAAAGAAAAACAACCAACAGGAAAAUAAAAACUAAUGAAGAAAAGGAAAAAAAAUAUGAAUUAACUGGGUUAACCCGUCAUACCUUGAAUUCGCAUCGUGAAAGUUUGAUAAUUAAAAAGGAAAAAAAACAAACUAAUGGGUUAACCCUGAAUUAACUGGGUUAACUCGUCAAACCAAGUUAACCUGUCAAACUUGGAAUCCUUGUCAUGAAAGUUUGAUAACUAAAUAGAAAAAAAAUUAACAUUAACAAUUUAAAUUAAACAAAAUAAUUAAUUAAAAAGAAAAAAAAACAAAAGGAUGAGCCUUUUCACUGUGGACUGCAUUGUGCAGUCCACAGUCAAAUGCAUAAAAAGAACAAAAAAAUAAAAAGAAAAACUAAAGGCAUCAGCGGAGAACUACUUAGAAAAAACUUUAAUAUUAAUAAACUAAAUUAAUUAAAUAAAAUUAAUUAAAAAUAAAAAAUAAAAGAAAAAAAACCUCUAAGAAGAAAAAAAACUAAAUAGAAAGAAAUUUAACAUUAACAAACUAAACUAAACGAAAAAAAAAAAAUUCAGGUUAACUCGUCAAACCAGGUUAACCCGUUAAACCCGGGAUCCGUGUCAUGAAUGUCUGGUAACUAAAUAAAAAAAAUUGAACAUUAACAAACUAAACUAAACGAAAAAAAUUAAUAAAAAAAAUUAAAAAAAAUCCGGGUUAACUCGUCAAACCAUAUUAACCCGUUAAACCUAGGAUCUGUGUCAUGAAAGUCUGAUAACUAAAUAAAAAAAUUUAACAUUAACAAACUAAAUUAAUCAAAAAAAAUUAACGGGUCAACCCAGAAUUAACUGGGUUCACCCGUGAAACCAGGUUAACCCGUGAAACUCGAGAUAUGUGUCAUGAAAGUCUGAUAACUAAAUAGAAAAAAAUUUAACAUUAACAAACUAAACUAAAUGAAAAAAAUUAAUGAAAAAGAAAAAAAGCAAAAAAAAUAUAUUUCUGGGUUAACUUGUCAAAUCAGGUUAACCCGUUAAAUCCGGAAAACGUGUCAUGAAAGUCUGAUAACUAAAUAAAAAAAAUUUAACAUUAAUAAACCAAAUUAAACAAAAAACUUUUGUUAGAAGAAAAAAAAUAAAGAAAGAAGCCAAAAAAAUCCUGAAAGGCAUAAAAAACAGCUAAAAAAAUAAGACAACUUAAAAAAAAAAAAAAAAAACGGAUCAGUGUUUUACUAUGGACUGCACUAUGCAGUCCACAGUAAAACACUGAUCCAUUUUAGUAUAUGUUACAAUUAAUUAAAAAGAAAAAAAAAUUUGGUUAACUCGUCAAAUCAGGUUAACCCGUCAAACCCGGGAUCCGUGUUAUGAAAAUUUGAUAACUAAAUAAAAAAAUUAACAUUAACAAACUAAAUUAAACAAAAAAAAUUUCAUUAAAAGAAAAAUACACAAAGAAAAAAGCAAAAAAAAACCCAUAAAGGCAAUAGAAAACAAAAAAAAACAGAAAAAAAAUGGGGAAAAAAUAAAAAAGAAGAAGAAGAAGAAGAAAAAAUGGGAAAAAAAGAAAAAAAAACAGAAAAAAUGGGGAAAAAAAGAAGAAGAAGAAGAAGACAAAAAAAAAAGGGAAAAAAAACGAAAAAAAAAAGCUCAUCUUUUACUGUGGACUGCACUGUGCAAUCCACAGUAAAAGACUGAGCCCUUUUAGCUAUUGUUAUAAUUAAUAAACCAAAUUAAACAAAAAACUUUUGUUAGAAGAAAAAAAAUAAGGAAAGAAGCCAAAAAAAAUCCCGAAAGGCAUAAAAAACAACUAAAAAAAUAAGACAACUUAAAAAAAAAACAAAAAACGGAUCAGUGUUUUACUGUGGAUUGCACUAUGCAGUCCACAGUAAAACACUGAUCCGUUUUAGUAUAUGUUACAAUUAAUUAAAAAGAAAAGAAAAAAAAUUUGGGUUAACUCGUCAAAUCAGGUUAACCCGUCAAACCCGAGAUCUGUGUUAUGAAAAUUUGAUAACUAAAUAAAAAAAUUAACAUUAACAAACUAAAUUAAAUAAAAAAAUUUCAUUAAAAAAAUACACAAAGAAAAAAGCAAAAACAAAACCAUAAAGGCAAUAGAAAACUAAAAAAAUGGGGAAAAUGGGGAAAAAAAAAGAAGAAAAAAAUGGGAAAAAAAGGAAAAAAAAACAGAAAAAAAUGGGGGGGGGAAAAGAAGAAGAAGAAAACAAAAAGAAAGGAAAAAAAACAAAAAAAAAACUCAUUUUUUAUUGUGGACUGCACUCUACAGUUUACAAUAAAAAACUGAGCCCAUUUAGCUAUUGUUAUAAUAUAAUAGUUCUUGCCAUAAUUGUUUCUCCAAAAACAAAAAAACAGAAUGGAGUCAAAGGAACCAACCCCAAAUAGUACAGUAUGGAUUCUUGCUCCAUGUUUGUAAUUUGACUUUUGAGAAUUCACGUGAAUCUUUUUGCAGAUUAAAUGGCAAUAUAACCAUUAUUAUUAUUAUUAUUAAAAGAAACUAGAAAGGCUCUUGAUUAUACUGUUACUGUGUACUUUUUCAUAGAUCACUAUGAAUUGAAGUAGUUUUUUUAAUUUAAUUUGAUUUUUAAAUUUUUAUUUUGCAUAAUUAGUUCUUUUGAGAUCAAAUUAGCAUUUAGUUGCAUAUUUUUUUGGGAAAAAAAGUUGAAUUAAAAAAAAGCCUAAAAUGAAAAAGAAGGAUAAAAUAGACGGUAAUUUUGAAAUUUGUUUGAAAAACACGUUUUAGUCUCCCAUCUUUUUUUAUCUAUCACAUAACUGGUCCCUUUGAUUUUAAAAAAUUUAAUUUUGUUACCAAACAUUAUUUUCUUUAUUUUUCAAUCAUUUUUUCAUGGGAAUAGAGAAAAGGGCUUAUUAGAUUCCAGCUUAAAGAGAAAAAGUUGACGUAACGACGAUUCCAACCACCAAAACAAUUGAUUUUAUGCCAAAUAGUUCCAUGUGAUGAAAGAAGUUCAAAUAAGAUAUUUUUUUCUUUUUACCUUGAAAGAGCCUAAAAAUACAUAUUUGAGCUUAAGAAGAUUUUUUGUUCAGAUUGUUUGGUCUGACUUAACAGCUCCUAACCUCAUUCUUAUCUUUUUUUUUAAAAAAAAUUAAUAUUUUAUGUCUUUUUUAAAAUAAUUUUAAGUUUAUAUUUUCAUUAAUGCUCAAAAGAAAAAUCAGGAACCUUGUUUUUCAAUCACUGUGGAGAGCUCUAGAUAACGCAUUAUUUAUUUUUUUCAAAGUAAAUUGGGGCGAACAACAUGUCGUCCACUCCAUUAACUAUAAAAAAAUAAAGGUCCGCACACGAGCUUUUUUUUCAUAGGUGAAGUGUUUGGUCUGGCUUAACAGCUCCUAACCUCAUUCUUAUCUUUUUAAAAAAAAAUUAAUAUUUUAUGUCUUUUUUAAAAUAAUUUUAAGUUUAUAUUUUCAUUAAUUCUCAUUAUUUGUGAUUUUGUUUUUAAAAAUAAAAAUUAUUUUUUAAUUAUAUUGGAUGUGUUUAAUUUUUGAAGAGGUUAAUAUAAUUCAUCUAUGAUUUUUUUAUAUUUAUAUAUAUUUAUUUUUUACAAUAUUUUAAAUAUGUGCAGCAUUGCAUAUUUUUUUUCCUUUUAUUUUAUUCAAUAAAUUUUAUAUGCAUGUCAAUUUCUAUUACAAAUUAAUUUAAUAAACACAACUGGGUAAAUGACCCUUGUUGCGAUAUUAAAUAUCUUGAUCUAUAUUUUACUCUUAAUUUUUCCAAUUUUGUUUUUCUUUAUCGUUAAUGAUUUUUUUUAAUAUAUUUAUACAAUGGUUCUUAAUUUAUUUAAUUAGAUGCUUGUAUAAGGUUUUCAAUUACAUUUAGAAAAACAAAUUUAUGUAAAAAAACAUGUUAAAAAAUUUUAUAUAUUUAUUUUUUUUUAUUUACUAAUGUUUUCAAUUUGAUUCUUAUUCUUUUGAUUUUUAAUUUUUUUUCCUUAACUUUUUUAUAAAAGUUUUAUUGUUUAUAAUUUCACCCUUCAAACCAAGUUUAUAGUGUUUUUUGUUUCAUUUUGUCACUCAUUUUUUUUAAUUUUUUUGCUUUAUAUUUUUAAUCUUUUUAUUUUGGCUCUUAUUAUUUUGAAUUUUUUUUUUAAUUUUAUCAUUUAAUAUUUUAUUUUCUAGGAAUUAAUUUUUUUAAUUUUUUCAUAUAUAAUGCUGUAGUUUAAAAAGCUAAUAAGGGUUAAUAUUUUUUUAAUCUUAUUUUAUUUCCUAAUAUUACUAUUCGACGUUGUUUUUUUAGUCAUCUCCCAAACUUUUUUUUCAUGUUAAAAAUUUUUGGUACAGCAUGCAGCACUACCCUAGCCACCAAUCUAAUUACUGUUGCAGUAAAGGUAUUUCUAUGUUUUUUUUUUUUUUUUUGAUAAACCUCGUUUUACCCUGGAAUUCAUCGCGGUGCUACUUUCAAAUUAUAGCUGCAAUCUUCUUGAGUAAAACAACUUUUUUGGUCCAUGCAUAGCCUCUUGAUUGUUUUCAGGAAAUAAUCUAUUGACUACAGUCCUCAAGGAUGGGACUGUUGCGUUGUUCAUCAAGUAUGAGUGAUAUACUUAGCUUUCUUAGCACACGCUCUUCCCAUCUCAUAAAUUCUUAUCUUUUGUUCCUUCUGCUUAUGUCGAUCUUCAUGUUCUGUAAUUCUCUUUGCAGGUCUCCAGAUGGUAUUUGAUUUUUUUAAAAGGAGGCCGCGGCGGCGGCGGCGGCUGCUGCUUUAGAAGGAAAUCAAUAUUAAUGUUCUGAUCAACAACGCUGGUGCAUUUGUUGGAUGCUCACUUGAAAGGAGUAUACUUGCAACUGUACAAUUUCCACAUUAUAAUUCAUCGCUGAUGAACACAGCGUUUGCGAUUGUAGGUAAGAGGUCUCACUGUCUCUCUCACUAUCGCCCGCGCACACACAAACGCACUGAGCCAUUUUCCAUCACCAACAUGCUUAGGUGGAGCACAUCAAAACCUGAAUCAAUUCCAUAGUUUUUGGAGACAAGAACUGAUGGUCUAACCAACGUGAUAAGGCAAAGAAUGGACUAGUAAAAGACUUGAUUGAAAACUUUGAAAAAUUGUUAAAGCGAAGGGGCCAAGCCAAGCCCAUCUUUGUGGUUGUUGCACACUCCUUGUCAACGAAAACUCCUGGUCAGAUAUCAUACGUGACACCACACGAACAGGGCUGGUCAAAAGAUAUUCGAUACAUUCAAAAAGACAUUAACAUUUGGCCAUUCUAAUUUCUUGAUUUCAGGUGGCAAGCUAGUAAUGAUCUGGUCCGAGACAGUCAUCAUUUUCUAUAAAGUGGUUUCUUGAUGAUAGCUCACCCACUCUCUACUUGCAAUAAUAGGAUUGAAUUUACCCUUCUGUCAUCUAUUGAAAAGAAAUCUUUUCUUCAUGAAAGCGCAACAAGGGUAAUGAAGAAAAGCUAAAACGGAAGUGAAAAUGAUAAUAUGAACUAUACAUUUCAAUGCCAAAGAAUACACAAAAAGCAUUGAAUUACAAUUCCAUUCACUUGAGUCACUGAGCAUUACUCUUCAAUGGCAAACCAGAAACUGAAGGAAGAAGACCGGUUGAAGCAGUUCUUCCAAUAGAAUUUAGAGUGAAACUAACCAAGUGAAAGGGUGAAACCACGUCUCACUUUGAAGCACUAUCUAUGUGUUAUCCAGACAAAAGUUAAAGCAAACAGUGAAAAAUAAAUAAACAAGCAGAGAGCAGCAACGGCUAAUUACUCACCAAGAUCCCUUAUACAACUCAGUAGUAAAAACAUAGAAUGAAAGUUCAUGCAAGGAAGUUCACUCGGGAAUUUUCAUUUUUGCAAUUGUUUAUCUGCAUUUCAACAAGAUUCAAGUAAACAACAGUAGAAUUGAUCUAUUUAAUCAAAUAUCAUGCCAGCUCACCUGGUUCUUGAGUUCCCAAGCGUAAGCUCUAGAUCGUCUGAUCCACAUUCUUCAUGGAUCCUCUCUCCUUCCCAUGGCUUCACUAGACCAGUUGCAUUACAUCGAAAUGCAAACUCAUCUGAAAUCUCGGCCAUGGGAAUAUCAGCUGUAUGAUCAGAGCCAGCUGCAAUGGCAGGUGAACAUGUACCACUUUGACCUGGAGUCCACAUGCGGGAUCCACCAUUGGAUCCACCACCACCAAAAGCCUCUUCCUUGAAGCCAAAUGGGUUGGAGGCAACUAGGCUGAAUGUGGGAGACGUUGGACCGCCUUGUGGUAUUCGAAUCCCCCUAAACCAUUCUGGAUCGGGAACAAUUUGGCGGCCAGGACUCGGUGGAGUUGAAGAUGGCAAGAAGGAGUAGUGCUGCCCACCCCAGCCUGGGCGGAUAGAUUGGUCUUCCCAGUCAGCUUUUAUUCGAGCGGUUCGAGCUGUUGGAGAGCUCAAAGGAGGAGUAACAGGAGCACUUAUGGAGCCACCAUGGAUGUAGAGAUGAGGAAACUUAGAGGAGGAAGCUGAUGAAGAUGCUGAUGAGAGGUUUUUGAGCCAUGGUAUGAGGGAAUUGCAAUCCAUAUUGGCAUUAGCAGCGUAUGAGGAUGAAGCUGGACUGGGAAAGGAAGAGGAUCCAGGACUUGGGUUGUAGGAAGCACAAGGGCUAGGGUGGUACGAGGAGCAUGGACUUGUUGUUGCAGAAACACCAAGAAUGUCCAUGCGUUCUACAGGUUUGCAUCCCUAAAAAAAGAAAAAAACGAUGAAACCAGGGGCUUGGAAAAAACAUUAACGAAGUCAUAAAAAGUUCACCACAGAUCACUUGACGAAGUGAUACUGGUAAGGCUAUUGCAAAGAAUAUGCCAAACAAUAACAAAAACAAGUAACAUUAUUUUGAUGAAAAAAUAUAUUUUUCCAGCCUUACAAGCAUAUCCUCGGUGCGUGCCAGUAUCCAAUUUAAGAACAGCGCCUAAAGUUUCAACCAAACUAGUAACAGGGACGAGUCAGUUUCCAAUGGCAUUUGACAAAGCAGUGUCAGGAUGCAAAGAUAGGAGCUCUAACACGUGUCUACAACUGAAGAAGGCUUUAUAAAAUGACCAGAGCAGCUGGAAAAUAUGGCAUGGAAUUGGAAGUGAAUUUAGAGAAAUAAGCCAGCAAGUUUACGUAUAGAUAAACAAUUAAAACCUAACAGUGGAUGAAGGUUAAAUAUCCACAUUUUUAAAAAUUUAACAAAUUCACUUCCGCAGGUCAUUUCUUCACAAGAUACAGAUAUUACUCUCAACAAUCACCAUAAAUUUCCUCUAUAAUCCACUAUUGCAUUCUUCCCAAUGCUUCAUUCCUCUAGAUUAUAUCAUAUAGAUGGGGAGACAAUUUUGCCGUCUUUUUUCCUCUGGACUUACCCACCUACAUCUGGAUGAAUGAGUUUCAGCUCAGGAAAUACCAUUAUUCUUGUAUUUCUUGUUAAAGAACUAUAUAAAUUAUAUUUGAAGAUCUUAUCUAAUAGGUUUUCAUUUUAAAAGGAGAUCACCUGACAAUCUUUAACAUUCCUUAAAACGACCCGCAUACCCAACAAGACAAGUAUUUUGACAAUCUCCAAGCCCAACAGACAUUAUUUACUAGACUUACGUAAAUUUAUUCUCAACUUGAAGAACAGUAAUUGAACUCCAGUGGAACUCCACAAAAGAAGCAGCAACACUAUCACCAGCAGAAACACCUCCCAAAUGGGAAACUGAACAGAACUGAAAAAAGGGUCUGCAUUUCUACUGGCAAGGAACUAAAAGCAACUCAACCAAAUCUAUGAAAGAGAGCCCCAGACCCCUACAGUCAAGAUGACCCUUUACCACAUGCUACGGUUCUCAUGUUGUUUUCAAGGGCAUUUUGGUCUUCUUAGGAGGUCUGUGCUGCUGCUCCAUGUUCUCUCUAACAGACCAAAGUGAGUCUUAAAGUUGGUUGGCAAAAGAAGGAAAGAAGAAAGAAAAGAGAGAAUCUUGUGGUUCACGCGAGAAAGCAAAAACACUGACAUCACCCAGACUAAAAAAGGAAACAAGAUCGCUAAAGCAGUGCUGACCGGAUCUAACGUACGCCGGUGAACACCGCACUCAUAAAAAAAGCAGCCAAUAAAACACAAGGCUGACGAUCUAACGUGUGCUGGAGAUAAACCCCAGAAAGGCGAUACAAAAAAAUCAGCAAACGAAUCUAACCCCACUGAUCACACCAGCUUUAGAGAGAAGAAAAACACCUCAGUAACGCCACCGCUACGGCAACAGAAACCGGCGCACGUUAGCAUGCAAUGUCAAGCUUAUGUUAAUAUGCGCCACAACUAGCCCCACCCAGUUAACACCUAAAGUAACCACUGCCAAGCUAGCUUAAGCAAAAUUGAGCAAUAAUCAUGAAAUGCAGGAGCUGGGUUCAUAGUAUUUUUGUGAUUUCCAACGCUUAUUGUGAUAACAGAGUCAUGAAUGAUUCUAAAAUGCACAGAGAGGACAGUAAUGCGAUUAAAUAGACAAAACUAAUCAAACUAGAAGUAACCCAGAAUUCAUGUUCAAGUAAUAAGAAAAUUAAUCACUUCUCUUUUUUUGUUUCUUCAUUAAACGAAAUUAAAACACGAAAACUGUUACUUUUUUAAGUUUUGGCUACCUAAAAGCCUAAAACCAAAGUUAAGCAGAAAUGAAAUACAGAUGGUGAAUAAACGAGUAAAAAGAAAAGUACCUUACGGAAAGUAGUGCCAUCGGGCUCGACGGUCCAGCCAGCCUCAUUGCAGAGGGCUUUAAGGACUUCAUUAUUGUCACAAUGUUUUGGAAGCUUGUAGUUGCCAUACAUUCUUAGCCCAGAAAAUAUCUUUGCUGCAAUGGCUCUUCUUCUCCUUUCUCUUCUCUUGUUGUUCUCUCUUUCUUUCCAUGUUGGUAGUCUCGUACCUGAAGUCAUACUUCUAGUCUAUAACAAAAUUGAUCUACGAAGUGACUGGAUUAGCAAGAAAGGAGCAAGAUUCUAUAUGGGCGGUACUUGGAAGACUCAGUAAAACUGAGUUUAAAUUUUCGGACUAAAAUUUUGUUGUGGAAGUCUGGUUUUUUAUUAAAAAAAGUGUGUUCAUUGAGGACUGGAAUAAGUAGAUAAUGAUGAGAAAUCAAUGAAAGCUGCAAUUUUUUAGGGACCUAAAAACGAAAGAAACCUGUUAUGGCUUGAAUGAGAGCAAUUGGAAUUGGUAAAGGGUAACUGGUCAGAUCAGAUCCAUUUGAAUAUAGAUUUUAGAAGGUGGCCAUGAAACUGGAGGUCAUGUUUUUUUGGUUGAACCCGGGAAGAAGCAAAACCUGAAGAAAUCAUCAGGAGAACUGUCAGCUAAAUAUGUUGGAGCUGGGUGCUUUCCACUAUUAGUCCUUGUUGAUGUUUUAUCUACGAAUUUGCCACUGACAUUGGAUGGAAUUUUCUGAAUAGAUAUAGUUCUUCAAAUUGUAUAGCAAGACCAUAUAAAUAUUCUCUCAUGUCAAUAAAAUAAACUGAAAAAAAUAUAUAUCAAUAAAAAAUAUAAGUAUUAAGAUUCAAAAACCCCAACUAAUUUGUUAGGUUUCUUAAAACAAAUAUACAUAGCGAAAAUGAUAAAUUUAAAUUUUUUCAAGAGUUUUAAAAAUCUCGUUAGACAGAUUUAAAGUUGUUUAAAGUUUAUACAAAGAUUACCUGAAGAGCAACUGUUCUUUUCAACUUUAAAUAAUUUAUUCAAGGCUAGUUAUUACAAACCAUAAGUUGUCCAAAUGUCCGAUUGGGUUUCUCGAAACACAUUCACGUAGCAAGAAUAAUAAAAUUAAAUUUUUUUAGGAGUCCCAAGGAUCUCAUAAAACAGAUUUAAAGUUGUUCAAGGUUUAUAAAAAAAAUUACCUGAAGAGCAGUUCUUUUUGACUUUGAAUAACUUCUUCAAGGCUAGUUAUUGCAAAUCACAAGUUGUCCAAGUGUCUGGAAUUUAACGAUAAUCCACACGAACCACCGGUGAGAAAUCUUCUAAAAAAAAGAUUUCUAAACCUUAGAGUGACAACUCUCUUUUUUUAAGUGUUUUUGUAUUGUACUUUUCUUAUUUGCUUUUAGAAAAUAAGAAGCAUGACAUUCUAUUUAUAGAAAAAUCUAAAAAUAUUAUAAAUGGUAAAAAAUCAAUUUUUCCCUUAAAUAAUAUCAUACAUAUUAUUUUAGAAUAAUUUUACAAAAUUAUUCCUUACUUGAUUUUUUCUAUAUUUAGAUUGUAAUCCCCUGUAUUAAUUACAUUUCAGUUCUUAAUUUCUAAAAUUUAUUUACAAUCAAGUCAUACUUUAUUAACCAAUGUAUAAUUUAUUAGGUUUUCUAAUAAGUUAGCUCAAAUAUAAGUCAUAAGCCUAAGUAAAAUAAAAUUAAAUAAAUACAACAAAUUAAUUUAUUAUCAAUUCAAAAUUUGAUUGACUUAUAUUUAAAUAUCAAGUAUAAUGUUUAAUAACCUAUUAUGAUUCUCUAAAUAUUUAGAAAGUCAUAAGUGAUUUGACUUAACAUUUCAGUGAUUAGUUUCUUAGUGUAAUCAUUAUCCUUUUAUUAAUAUGUUUUGAUUUAGAUAUUAUAGUAUAGAAUGUGUUUGCUUUGUUAAAUCGUUCUAAUUCUUAACAUUAUAGUAAUUAAUUAUUUGAAUAAGAUUUUAAAACUCUUUUCAAAAUGUAUUUCAUCUUGACUAAAAAUUCACAAUCAAUACUAUUUAAGAAUAGAAUGAAUAUUUUUUUUAAUUCACCUAGAGGAUAAAUCAUCUCUCCAUUACUCAAAUAUCUUCAUAUAGUUUAUGUUAUACUCAAUAUAUGUCUGUUUGUUACCCUUGAUUAGAAUAACAUUUAGUCAGGAUCAAAGCAUAACACUUUCUAUAUAGAAUUCUUUUACGGGUUAAAUUAGUGUUUAUGUUAUAUGACAAGCACGUGCAUAUUAGUUUUAGGUAUCUCUCAUAUCUCAGUUUAUAAAAGCAUUUACUUCUUUUUAUAAAGGAAAGAACAUAAUAUGUAUUAAUCUUAACAGUUCUAAUUAAUGUUCAGUCUUAAUAGAACAUUGACAAAAAACAUUUAGGAACAAUACUUUACUGUAUGAAUUUUAUUUUUACUCUUGAUUUAUUAAUCAAACAUUAAAUUAAUUAAUUUAAUAUAAUUAAAUAUUAAAGAUAAAGAAAGAUUUUAUCGAUAAUAGAUAUAUUUUAUAUGAAUAAAAUCAAUAUUACGUGUAACCAACUAAUUAACUAUAAUGUAUAUUUUUCUAUAUGUAUCCUAUCCUGUAAUACUUUUUUGGAAAGAAUUAUAAGUUUUUUAUUAUUUCUUGUUAAUAAUUUUUAAUAAUUUAUUUCUUUUUUUUCUUAAAGACGUUUUGAAAAGUUCACAACACCCUAAAUUUUAAAAUUAUUUCUCUUUUAUAUCAUAUAUCAUUGAUAUAUGAUGCAUAAUUUAAUGUAAUUUUGUUAUGAAACUUUUAGAUGUGACUAUAGUAUUAAUAAAAUACAUUAAUGGCCAUGAGAAAUAAAUCCAACCUUAGAUUUUAUUUUCUUGAUAAAUCAGGUUAAAAAACCUCAUCUUUGGUUAUCUAUAAAGAAAAAUAAAAAACAUAAAUAAGAAAAGAAAAAGGUAACAUAAACCUUUUGUGAGGAAAAUAACUACCAAUUUAAAUAAUUAAGGAAAGCAACAUAAAUCUUUAAUGAGAAAAAUAAUUAAAUAAAAUAACAGUCUAAAUAAUUAAAGAAACCUUCAAUAAUUUGUUUUAAUUACAAACAUUUCAAGACCUUAUAACAUUAAACACCCACAUAUACCAGUGAUGUUUCGAAGGGGCAUAUUUGACAUUUAAGAAUGUCAACGGACCAAUCCAACACGCCAACGGUUACUUAGUCCACUCAAGCCUGACCAACAGCCAUGAUUAUCGCCACGUGGCGAUGUCAUCGUUGUUAUUCAGUAACCGUCUCUGUCUAAGCCAUCCAAUGAGAGGCUACACGGCUUUCGCACGUGUCAGCAAUCGGUGCACCUGUCAAGACCUCACCCCUUGUCCCUUGGUAGAGGAGGUUAAUCUUGGUGUGCAUGCGCCUACAUUAGCAGAUGAUGCGGAUGCGCACCUCGCUGUUCACGUGACAAGAUGAGCAAUGGCGUGAUCAAAGUGGGGCCCUAUUGUAUAAAAAUUGUUGAACGACGCGCAUAAAAAGAAGAAUGAAAAUGAGUUGCCAAUCACGUGUCUGCUGGGCUCUUCCUCAACAGUACAAAAAUGUCACCUUGGUAAUUAAUAGAUGGUGGUAAAUAAUUGCUUCAGCCAUCAGCACACCUUCAUUUAUAGUUAUCAUUUUCGGUCCUGGGUUGAUACGGCCAACUAAUCAGAUAAUUAACUCAUAUUACCUUGAAAAAAUUAAUUAGGUUUUGAAUCACAGAAUAAUUUAAAUUAACUUAAAAUAAUUAAUUUUAAAAAAAUUUUAAUAUGUUACAUAAAAAAAAGAGUUAAGAGACAAUACAUUUUAAAGUAAGCUAUAUCUAAAUAAUAAAGUUUAAAAAUAUAUUUUAUUCCAGGUUGAAAAUAUAGUAUUUAUUUUUUUAAGUUGAAGUAUAUAAAUUAAAAAUAUUUUUUAUUUCAUAUUAAAAAAUAAUAAUUUUUUUAUGAAUAUAUAUAUAUAUAUAUUAACAAGCUUUUAAUUUUACAUUAAAAAAUAAAAUUUUUUAAUAUUUAUAUAAUAAAUUUUGAUAUAAGAUAAUAAUUAAUAAAAAAAAAUAUAAUAGGCUCUCGUGUGUACAAGGUUGGAUCGACUAAGGAAAAAACCUUUAAUUACUCUCCAUACAUGCGAGACAAUACUUUUUUUUUCCUCCUUUAACUUGAAGCCAAUGCCCUUUUUGACACAUGAAUAUUUUCCUCUAAUGCUCUUGAUUUAAAUUCUCACUUUGCUAUGAAAAAUAGUGGCAUAAUUCCGCGUCGUCAUGUUCGUGGGCAUGCUGUAGAAAAAUAUUGCCUUGCUACGCCUUCAUUUAAAUUUUCUGUUUAUAAAGAAAAUGUUCCCUCUUUGUUCCUUACUCAGCCAAUAGAGAAAUGAUACCUUGCUAUGCCUUUAAUUCUUUUCUUCUUUGUAAGAAAAAGUUCAGUUUUUAUUUUUAAGAAAAAGGGUUUUUUGCGGGUUUUGUCAGGUCAUCUAGGUUAUGGGUUGAGCCGGCAGGUUAUACAGAUCUCACCAGGCUAAUUGCAAGCCUAAUUUUUACCUUUUAUGGUCCUGGCCAGGAUCCUAGAUGGCGGCGGGCAAUGGUGGAGCUAGGAUUUUUUAAAUUAGAGGGCAAAUUACAAAUAAAUAUUUGAUAUUAUAUGCUAUAUAGACAUAUGUUAUAAUAAGAAAUUAAUUUGAAAUAUAUGUACCAAUUCAAGUAAAGUAAAAUUAAUUUAAGAAUACUUUUAAAAUAAAAAAACUUACAUUAUAAUUGUUCUCUUCGAGAUUUUAUAUUUUAAAACUGUUUCAUAAUGAUUUUAUUUUUAAUCUCCUUAAAAAUAUCUUUCUUAAUAUAUACAACAAACUUUCAUUUAUCUAUUUUUAAAUCUUGUAAGGACUACGAAAAUUCUUGACAAUAAUUUUAUGCUGACAUAUGAUACAUAACAUCUAAAAUCAUAGCUUAAAAGAAUUGUCACAAAUUGAUGUUGUUAUUGCUAACUUGUUGUUUUGUACAAGUGGAUUAAACAUAAAUAUUAAAUGUUUUCUUUUUAAUUUAUCUAUUGUGUCUCUAAUUUUUUGAGUUGUCAUGUACUUUAUUUUUAAUCACUAGUAAAUUCAUCACCAUCAUUUUUCAUAUGAAAUUCAUAGCAAAAUAUUUAUCAAUUCAUCAAAACUCAUUUCAAUUAAUAUCCAUUAGCAUAUAAUAUUACCCAUACACAUAUUAAUUCAACAAACCCAUAAAUUAUUAUAAAUCUCAACAUUUUCAAUAACUAAUUAAAAAAAUAAAACUAAAAUUAGAUAAUGAAACAAAUAGAAAAGAUGAAUGAAACUUUUCUAAAACAUAAAGCAUAAGAGAUUAUUUGCUUAACUAAUUAAUAAAUUACGGCUUGAAGAGAAAUUUUAUAGAAAAGAGAGAGACAUGGACAAUAGUGAACAAAAAAAAGAACUUAGAUUAAUUAUUAGCUAACAAAGAAAAUUAACCCUGGAAAGUUAUUAUAUUAAUAUUUUAAUAUAAAAAAUACUUUAAAAAAAAUUAAGGAGCAUUUGCUCCCUCUUGCCCCAUUAUAACUCCACCACUACAUACCAAACCUUUUGAUGGAGGAGCAAAUAAAAGAAUUCAAAGCAGUUAAAAAUCAAUAUUGAUUUCAUAAAGGGGAACCAAGAUUAUUUCAUGCAAAAAUAAAUCAUAUCAAUCCUAGGUCUUAUCUGGGAUCAAGUGUUCUUUGUUUUAAGAAGAGACAUUUCCAUGUUUAAAGAUACUCUCGAUCUUCAAUUGUAAAAGUUGAUGCAUCGAUUGCAGUGGGCACAAAGUACAUGGAUACCAUUGAAAAUACUGUUAUCGCUUAUACAGCUUUUGCAAUACACGAUUCAAAUUUUGAAAAAUCCCUAUUAUAUUAAUAUUUUAAUAUAAAAAAAUACAUCGAAAAAGAAAAAAAAAGGGGAGCAAUUGCCUCCUCUUGCCUCAUUGUGGCUCCGCUACUGGCGGUAGAUCAACCCACUAGAAUGGAUCGAGUCUGAUAACUAUGUUUAUAUUAAUAUGGUGUUUGGAAGUGUGAUAAUAAUUGUGUUUUUAAAAUAUAUUUUGCUUUUAAAUGCAUUAAAAUAAUUUAUUUAAAAAGAAUUAUUUUUGACAUCAACAUAUUAAAAUAAUCUAGAAAUAUAUAAAAUUAUGUUUAAACAAAAAAAUUUAUUUUUUUUGAAAAAUACGGUUUCAACCGCUUUCCAAAAUGCAAUCUAAAUUUUGAGAUCCUAACAAGAAAUUUUUACAGCCAACAAGCCUAGAAUUAGAAAGUACAAUACCGUUUAGCCUAGAAUUAGAGAGUACAGCACCGUUUAAAAUUAUGGUAGUAAUUGCUUUUUAAAGUAUUUUUUACUUAGAAAUAUAUUAAAAUAUAUUUUUACAGUUUUAAAUUUUUUUUUUGACAUUAGCAUAUCAAAAAAAUUUAAAAUAAUAAUAAUAAUUUUUUUUUCAUAAAUAUUUUUUAAAAACAAACAAAAACAAUCUACAUGUUUCAUCAUUACAUUUCUCAUCAUGGUUUAUCUCAUUAUUAAAGCAAUAGAACUACUUACCAACAGAGAACCCAACCUGUAUAGAAUUCAAGAAUCUUUCACCUUCAAAAGUUGUCGAGAUAUAUAUAUAUAUAUAUAUAUAUAUAUAUAUAUAUAUAUAUAUAUAUAUAUAUAUAUAUAUAUAGAAUUAAAGUUGUUUACAAUCCGAUCUAGAGCUUUAUGAUAUUAUGAUGUUUGGGUAAUAAGUACGUUCCGAUCUUCCACUCCUCUUUCGCAUCAUAACAAGAUCCAUAUAUGAUUUAAAUGGUGGGUCCCACCAUCAUAUUAAUUAGAUAGAAACACACAAAAUCAUCAAAUAUACGUUGAUGAUUUUCAAAAUGGAUAAAUUACAAUAGCAUCUCCGUGGUAUCUUGAAAUUACAAAUACUACCCAAAAGUUUGAAGAAAUGUUUUUUUUUUCUUAAAAAAAAUAGGAGCAUAUAUAAUACAAAUAUUUCAUUUUGUAGAGGAAAUUAUGCAGUAUAUUCUUAUAUUAUGAGAUGAGUUUCCAAUCUGUGUUUAUAUUUCUAAUUGAGCUAGUAUUAUCCUUGUAAUUAAUUGAGUUUCUAGUUUAUCAUUUUAUGGGAAGUAGGUUUCGAAAAGGAAGAAAAAUAUUGUUUCGUGUGAUUGUUUUUAAGCAAUUAUUUUAUUUGUCAUGUCCCUUGCACGUGACUGACAUGUUCAUAAGGCUUAGGUUCAUUUUCAAUGCUAUGUCAAGUAAAGCUGAGUAAAAAAACUGACAAACUGAUUAAACCGAAAAAACCAGAUUAAAAUAACUGGAAAAACCGAAUUAUAAAAAAAAUUGAUUAAACCGAUUAGAAUAUUUUAAAAGAAUUUGGUUCGGUUCAGUUUUGAUUUCUUAAGCCUGAAAUUAAAAAACCAAACUGAAUCGGUUUAGUUAAGAAAAAACCAAAUCAAAUCAAACCAAAAAAACCAAAUCGAACCGAAUCCAUUAGAAAGUAAAAAAAAACCCGAAAAAAACAAUACAUUUUUCAGUUUUUAAUAUAAAAUAACAAAACUGAACCGAAACUGAAUCGAAUCGUAACCGGUUGGUUGGGUUUCGAUUUUUAACUUAAAAUAAUCGAACCAAAACCGGUUGGUUGGAACCGGUUUCAGUUUUUUUUUUUUGAAAAAUUUCAAUUUGGUUAUUUUCAUAGGUAAGAACCAAAUCGAACCGAAAAUAAUCACUUCUAAUAUCAAGCCAUGUGCACUAAAAAAUUUGUUUAUUUAGAUAGAAAAAUUCAAUAAAAGAAUAAAUUGCAAACUUGAUCGUUUUAUAAGAAUAAAAUAGGCUCAGUUAAGGAUACAAGUGUACAUUGAAACCUUACUAUAAUAUAAAGAUAGAAAAGGUCAUUUCUCCCAUUUUAUAUCCAUAAUGCAUCUACUAACAAAGUGAAGAAUAUUAGACCAAUGGGGGAUGCUAUUUUGGAAGGAAUUGUUAGGUAUACCACAAGUUGUACUCCCUCCUCUUGCAUAAAAUAGGAUCUACUAUGAAAAAUUAUUAAUGGAUACAUCUUUGAGCAUAUUGAAUAAUAUACAAAAUAGGUUCUUGACAUUUUAUUGUAUUCUCAUAUAUGAUGGAGGUUUUUGUUGAAUUUUUAAAUUUGAAGGUUAUUCUAAUUUACCAUUUCAAAGUAUUUAAGAAACUACCAUUUAUAAACUAAUUCAAUCAAAUGCCCAAUUCAUUGAGAUGAUUUGUGGGUUACUCGAUUUACCUUUAGAUUUUUUUUUUAAAAAAAAAGUUAUUUUUUUGACAUAAUUUAGUUUUAACUGUGCCAAUCAUAUUUAACCAAGUUAAUGGCAUAAAGAAUUUCAAUAAAAACUAACCCAACUUUAGCCUCAAAUAACGAGAUUCUCAAAUCAACAUAUUAUGUUAAAUUAGAUAUGACAUUAAUGCAUGUAAAUAAGCAUUAAUAAAACAAGCAUUAGUCAAUAUGUGCGAAAACUGGCCUGAACACUCAUGUUAAAUUAAAAAACAAUAAGCAUUAAUAAAACAAUUCACUAAUGAUACUAAGUCUACGUUAAAGGCAUAUAAUGUUGUAAUUAAAGACUUGAAUGAAUCUAUAUUGCUUGUUGUGAUUAAAGCUCUUGAACCAUGCAUCUUCUUCCCAGGAUGAUUUUAUUGGAGUAAAGUUCAUUUUAAAAUCUGAUUAUGUUGUUUUGGUUAACUGGAUGAAUAAGUCGUUCAAUAGAACAUGGAGAUUUCUUAAGCUCUUCAUCCAUGCAUCUAGACUUUCUUCACAUUUAGAUUGUAUUAAAAUGCCAAAAAAGAGAUGAAAAAAAAAGUGAACAUACAAAAUCUAAGAGUCAACAGAUAAUUUGAGCUAAAAAAAAAUUGUGUUACUAGGGAAAUCAAAGUCAGGCCAUAAAGUCACCACUCUUAGUCACAUUUUAGUUUGCAAAUAUCUAAACUUCGUAAUAGCUUCUCAAAGAACACAUUUGGUCUUUUUGUGUGCAUAUCUUGUGUCGUGAUGUGUGAUGUGUACUACGUUGAAUGACGGAUGUAUUUUCUGAGUAUGUUAAAAAUAUAUUUUGGUUAUAAUCAUAAAGAUAUAAUUAUGAAGUUCAAAACUCGCCACCUAGUAUUAUGGUUAUUAGAGAACCUAUGGUCUGUAAGAGUCUGGGUAAAAGACUAGUUGUGCAAGAGAAAGACACAUCAUCCCCAAUGCACCCUAUCUAAGGUAAGUUGCAUUGUUAUUUGAUUGUUUUCUAGGUUGUGUUUUUAUCUAUUGAUCUUUUUCUAAGGUCUAAAGUAAAUCUCUCUUUGUGAGUAAGUUUUUGCAUUAUCGAGUUAAACUCUAACCGUUAUAAAGUUUAAAUUUUAACAUCGUAUUUAUUUUACACUUUUUAUCUUUAAUGCUCGAGGGUAUACUUUACAAUGUAAUUUUAUACCCCAAAUAUUAAAAUCUAUAACUAAAUCCUAAUACUUAAGAUAUUAAUUAAACAAAAUAGUUAUUGAAGGAAUUUUAAUAAUUUGGUCAAAGCCUAAUGGAUAAUUAUAAACUAGUUAUGAUAUCCAUUUUGUAUUUUUAAAAUAUGAUAAAAAAUGAUUUUAACUCUUUUUUUAGAAAACAUGCAUGAAAAGUUUUUAAGAUUUCGCUGUAUGCACUAAGAUAAAAGGCAUAUUUUUGUUUUUGGAAAAAAGAAAUUAAUUUUUUUUUUGAAAAUUUUAGUUUCGGAGAGAACCAAGUAUUUUUAAUACCGACAUUCGUAUCUUAUAGUGUAAGUCUACGACCUAAUGUUAUGCAAAAUUAUUGGAAAAACAUGCGGGGGACCCAUAAUUUUUUUUUAAAAUGCCCUUUGAAUAUUUUUAUAUUAUUAAAUAUAUAUUGAGAUGGAUCCAACUCAACCAUUCGAUCUGAGCUAAAACAAGUCCAACCUAACUUAUGUGGGUUGGGCCGACUAGCGACCUAACAAUCUUUUUUUUAUGUUGGGCCGAAACGGCUCUAGCCUGGGCCCAUAUGGCGCUAACACAGCCCAACGACCAAGUUAGGUAUUUUGCAAAAUGUGAUUCAUCACAUUCUGCAUGUCGAGAGGCAGUUUGAGGAGAAAAAUAAAGAGAAUGCUUGCUUGGUCAGAGGAGAAAAGUUGUUAGCGGCGUUCCUAAUGGUGCUGGGAAAUCCGAUAUGUGGAUGAUGGUGGAAACGACAGUGGAGGGAGAAGGGAAAGGUUGAUGAAAAACAAAAAUGGGAAAGGGGCUGAUUUUUUUCCCAAUUUUGGCCUUAGAUUUCUUGACGCUCAAUGCUUGGAAUUCAUCCUUAUUUAUAGGGGGUGGAAGAGAGACACUUUGUUUUUUAUCUGGGACAUAUAUUGGCCCUUGAUUCAACUGAUAAGGAUCUCAACCGUUGGUUCAAAGGUGCAAUCAUGAUCUGUGAAAAUUGGUUGUUAAAGACUGGUCAGGUUAGCCACUUUAGGGCGGCGUUGCUGUGGCAGUUGGCCGACGAGACCUACUUUGGGGUGUAGUACAAUGUCAGGUCAUCAUGGUGGUGUAUGAUUUGUCCGGUUUAGUGGGGAGAAGAAGCAUUAAAUGUCUCUAAAAAGCAGCCACCUGAGCUGCUUAUUCGGGUGAAAAAAAAGAAAAAGAUGGAUGUGUUGUCUGGUGUGUGUGUGUGUGUGUGUGUGUCUAAAAGGCACAAUUUUGGAUUUAGGGUUUUAAUUUAGGGAUUUGGUCAAAUUUCAAUUUAGUACUUUAACUUUUAAAUUCUUUCAAUUGUAUCCUUAAUUGACCUCAAAAUUUUGAUUUAAUGCAAUUUUGCCCCUGCCGAAUUUCAACAUCAGCCCUGAAUUUUAGCGCCUUUCCAUUAUGGUCAUUGGCUUUGGAUUUAUGCAAUUUUACCCUUAAUUGACUAUAAAACUUUCAAUUUCACCCUUGUCCUCAACCAAAUUAAGUCCCUAAAGUUUGAUGUCUUUUUUAAAAAGGUCUUUAGCUUCAAAUUUCUUCAAUUUAGCUCCCAAUUGACCAUAAACUUUAAUUUUCUUGCAAUUUUACCUCUGAUUUCGAGCAAUUAACUUUAUAAAAAUUAAGUUUGGUCUUCUAAAAUUUCAAUCUUCUCAAUUAAGCUCAAAUUGGGUUUCCAAACUUAUUUUUUCACCAAUUAAGUCCCUAAUAAAAUUAAUUUGACCCAUUAAAAGUAUAAUUAAGUUCUUGCACAUAAUUAAAUCCUUUAAUUAGACCCAAAUUAAAUCUUAAAUAUAAUUAAACUUUAGUUUGAGUCAUGAUUAAAUCAAAUUGGCUAAUUAAAAAUCUAAUUAUGUUUAUGGACUUAAUUUUAAUGCAGAUUCUUUCAAUAAUCAUUUAAUUUGACCCUAAAUCUGCAUUGUUUCUCCAAUCUUGGGUACAACAGGGUUUGAUUAGGCACUACAUCAUUAUCUAGUUUUACCGAAGGACUAAUUCCGUCGGUGAAAGCAAUGAAAUCUGUCGGUGAAAUAAUUACCGACGGCCUCACCGACGGAAUCUACUUACUUAAUAAAAGAUCUCAGCUCAUCACAGUUAAAUAGGACAUAAUUGUGUGCUUGUCUGAACUCUAUUUCAGACAAAUAUCUUCCCCUCAUGGCAUUUUUAGGUGUGGGUCGUCCAGGAUUGGAGAAUAUUGACAAGUUCCCACUUGAAUGCACUUCACCACCAUCAUCAUGUCGUGGAACACGGUUUAUCCUCGUUCUCAAAUGAGGUUCGAAAUAGUAUGAGAUAAAUGUUAAGAUCUCCUCAACAAUAUACGCCUAACAUAUUGACGACUCAACAUGCGCCUUGUCCUUAACCUUUUUUUUAAGAUUGAACAAGUACCUGCAUAUAUAUAUAUAUAUAUAUAUAUAUAAAUUAUCAAUUAAAAACAUUAAAAUAAAAAUAAAAACAUUUAAUUAUAAAUGUCAUAACAACUGUAAUAUCUAACCUCUCGAAUGGAUACAUCCAUCUGUACUGGACCGGUCCUCCAACUUUUACCUCAAACGGUAAAUGUACGGGUAGAUGCUCCAUUGAGUCAAAAAAUGAUGGAGGGAAUAUCAUCUCAAGUUUGCAUAUUGUCUCGACGAUAUUCUUUUCAAGCCUUUCAAUGUGAUCAACAUUCAACUUGCUGGAGCAUAUGUCUUUGAAGAAAUGACUAAUCUUCGUUAGUGCAUCCCAUAUCCCCUUUGGCAACAAAUCACGAAAAGCUAAUGGGAUGAGUGUUUGCAUAAACACAUGGCAGUCAUGACUCUUCAUUCCAUAUAAUCUGCAUUCCUCUGUAUUAACCAGCCUUGAUAUGUUCGAGGCAUGUCCAUCGGGGAAACGCAGACUCUUAAGCCAUUUGUAGACUAGUAGUUGUCCAUUUUUCUCUAGCACGAAGCUUGCUCUUGGUUUUGCGACCCGUGACCCAUCACAAACCAACUCCAUAUUUUUACGGUUACAGAACAGCGCUAAUCCAAUCUAGCCUUGAUGUUGUCCUUUGUCUUCCCCUUCACAUCCAUGACGGUGUUGAAAAUGUUGUCAAACACGUUCUUUUCAAUGUGCAUGACGUCAAGGUUAUGGCGAAGAAAAUUGGUCUUCCAAUAAGGAAGCUCCCAAAACAUACUUCGCUUCACCCAAUUAUGGGUCAAACCAAAACCAGGAAACUUCUGCUUACCUGAUUGGAGACCAAACACAAUUUCACCGUACUCUGACACAACAUCAAACAAUUCUUCACCGGAAAGACGCGGGGGUGCAACAUCAUUUUCAACUCUGCCAACAAAGAAAUCCUUUCUGUUCUUUCUGUACCUAUGGUUAUGUGGCAAGAAACGACAGUGAUAGGUAAAAAAAGAAGCUUUACCCCCGUUUGUUAGCGUGAAUGCCUUGUUGUUCUCCAUACAGUAUGGACAUGCUAGCUUUCCAUGUGUGCUCCAACCAGAAACCAUUCCAUAAGCUGGGAAAUCAUUGAUAGUCCACAUCAAAGCCGCUCUCAUAACAAAAUUUUGUUUCCUCGAGAUGUUAUAAGUCAAAGCUCCAAAGGACCACAACUGCGUCAACUCAUCAAUCAACGGACGAAGACAAACAUCUAUAUUCCGCCCCGGACUGCUCGGACCUGGUAUGACCAUAGAUGAAAACAUGAACUCCGACCUCAUACACAUCCCCGAUGGCAAGUUAUAAACCGUCAGUAUGACCGGCCAACAAGAAUAAGGAGCAGCAAAUGACCCGAAUGGGUUGAAUCCGUCUGUACACAACCCAAGACGCACGUUCCUUGAUUCAGCUGAAAAGUGAGGAUUCAGCUGAAAAGUGAGGAUGCAUACUGUUAAAGUGUUUCCAGGCUUCACGGUCAGAAGGAUGAACCAUCACUCCAUCAACCGCAUGAUGUGAUUGGUGCCAUGUCAUGUGCUCAGCAAUCCUUGGUGAUAUGAAUAACCUCUGCAGUCUAGGUGUGAUUGGGAAGUAUUUAAGUUUUUUUAUAUGCCACGAGAGUCUUCCCUCUACCAGUUCUGGUUUUGUAACGAGAAUGCCUGCAUGUCAUGCACUCGGUCAUCUCAGCAUUUUCAAGGUAGUAUAACAUGCAGAAGUUAGGGCAUAUAUCAAUUUUCUGGUAUCCUAAAUCGAGGGGUUUCAUCAUGGACUUGGCAGUAUAGAAGUUCUCUUUCAGCCUGUUCCCUUCAGGUAAAAUGCUUCUCGCCCAUUCAAUAAUCUUGUCAUAACCGGCCUCACUCAACCCGUGAUCUGACUUGAUGGUGAAUACCUGUGCUACGGCUGAUAAUUUACUGUGGUUCGUGCAGCCAUCCCAUAAUGGUUCGUCAGAAUCUCUCAACAGAUCAAAAAACCUUGUUACAUCUGCAUUAGGUUCUUCUUCUACGAUUGGACAUUCCCUGACAUUACCUUCACUCAUUCUCAUUGCAUCCAUAACCAUAUUCCUGUAAGGAUUACUGUUCUCAUUUCCAACUUCAUACAUGUUGCUAGCACUAGAAGUUGACCCAACCACCUGUUCUUCCAUGCUCUCAUCAGGAACAAAUAGUUCUCCGUGAGCAUACCAACACAGGUAAUCUUCCAUGAACCAUUUGGUUAGAAGAUGCAUCGUUACAACAUCUUGAUGCAGAAACUUUAAAUUUUUACACUUCAUGCAUGGACACCUAAUACCGCCAUCAGUAAAAUUCCUCGGAAUAAAUGUUGCAAAAUUAAUAAAACCCUGGACACCGUUACAAUAAUCCAUCCUCCGCAAUCCUUGGGAUGAGUCCCGAUACAUCCAUGAACGAUCAUCCAUGACUUCUAUUGAACCUCUAUAAAACAUAACAAAAAUAUUGGUUUUCCCCGACAUUAUCCAACAAACUAAAACAACACUUAUGUUAAAUAUUCAUUAUCAAUUAUCAACUAUCAACGUUCAUACAUACAAAUUUAUACAUGUAUAAAUUUACAGAAAUCACAACUUCGAAAUAGAAUUGAUAACAAUUAAACAAGACUCGUUAAAUAAGCUAUUAAUUAUUUAUUUCAUCACAACGACACAUUUAAUUCGGUGUAAUUCAAACAAAAUUUCAACAAUUUACAAACAAAUAUAAUUUAAAAAAAUCUAAAACAAACUAUAACAACUACAAAAUUAUACAUUCAUACUACAAGUUUCUUUGACAAAUAACAAUUAAACAAGUACAAACGUUAACAAAAUACAUAAACUAAAACAAUAAAAUUCACAAUUAAAUAUUAAAACUAAAAAAGAUAGAUUUACUUACAAAAAAAUGAUAAAAUCUACAAGAAACGGAUAUUAUGACUAUAUACAAGAUAUAAGAAACUUGAGUGCUCGUGUUGAGAAUAGUGGAGAGUUUGGGAUGGGUGUUUGGCUGCAGUUUGGGAGGGGAGCUGCAGUUUGGGAGGGGAGAGGUGGGAUGGGAAAGAAGAAGAAGGAGAAACAGAGGAAGAGAGUGUCGGUCGAUUGGUGGGCAUAUAAUGGUUUUUUCCGACGGAAUCACCGACGGAAUGAAUCCGUCGGUGAUUCCGUCGGUGACAGUGCCACGUCACUAUACGGCUAUCUCAGUUUGAAUCCCUCGAUAAUGUCCGUCGGUAAAAUCGCUUGAUGUCACCACGCCGUUGCAUAUUUCCAGACAAAAUGUAUAUCCCGUCGGCGAAACCGUCGGUAUAUACCGACGGAGUUAUUCUGUCGGUAUAUACCGACAGAUUUUAAGACGGAAUUAUUUCCGUCGGUAUAUAUUACCGAUGGAAAAAUUCCGUCGGUAAUUCCAACGUCGGUAAUUCCGUUGGUUUUCUCUGGUUUUCUGGCAGUGAGGCUUCAAAUUUUGUCCAAAAAUUAUGUAGUUCGGGAAUGUUAUUAACUUUGGAGAUGGAUUUAUGGAGGUAUGAUUCCAUUCUUGGUAUAUUUAUUAUGCAUUUGAAUAUUUUUUUUCAGAAUCAGAAAUUGAACUUCUUACAUUAUCCUAUGGAUUUGAUAAUGGUUCGUGGCAUGUUUUUCGUUGCACUGUGAUGGUUAUUUAUUUGUGGUUAGUCUCUUUCCUUUCACAUUUGACGUGUGCCUUUGAGGGAUUUUCCUGUUGCUCUUGAGAGUGCUACUAUUUAUAAUUUUGCAACAACAGUAGCAUGUUAUUCUUACCCAUAUACAGAGGAAAUAAUUUAAGGGCAUAUUCACCUUCCACCAUGAUAGAGUAAGAAGUCAGGGAAAACGUAUUCAGGAAAAUGAUCUUCGAGCAAUGCAUACAUACUAGAAAUGUUCAUGUGAGCAAAUGUUUUGCUGGUAACUUAGAGAGAAAGCAUGCCCCAACACUCGGUUGUUGAAUUGUGAAGGGCGUAGUUCUUUUGAGAUCAAAAUAAGAGUUCUUAUUUCAAUGAGAAGAGUGUUAGAACUAUGAAAAAUAAUUUUUAUUUAAUCUAAAUAAUUGAAAUUAAAAUGAGCAAACAUGAUUUUAUCAUAUGUUUAUUUCAAUUAUGGCUAUUAUUUAUUUUAUUAAACACGUGUGUUAAAUUUUCAACUCAUAAUUAAAAAAAUUUAUGAUAGUAAAAAACAUGUUGACAAUGCCUUUUUUUCAUUGAAAAAAAAAAAACCCUUUAUCCCACAUUAUUGCACGGGGAACUUCACUAGUAUCUUCAUAUUUAAUGUCAUUCUCUAAUCUAUUUUUCUAAUAAAUAUUUAUAUUUAAAUGAAUAAAAAUAUCACCAAGUGAGAAACUAAAAACCCUCAUAAUUUAUAUAAAAAAAAUUGAAAAAGAAAUGAAUUAUUGUAUUUUGUUAAAUUCCAUUGUUUUCAUGGUUAUUUCUUUUUAUAAUUAGGUUUGGGUUGAGUUUCUUACCUGAGAAUAUUUGAUAUAAGGAUAUUAGAGAAUAAUCCUAUAUUUAAAUACAAAUUAAAUAUAAUUAGACCUGUAGGGAUUCAUUAGAAAUUGGGCAUAAAAUAUAAAAAUAAGUUAAGUUUUAAAAGUUGAACCUAAAAAUAUAAGCUAUUAGAUAAGAUUUUAUUAAUAAUUUUAUAUUAAUUCUUUAACACAUUUUCUCAACUAAAAAUUUUUUGGAUUUGAAAUUUAUACAAGUAUAUAUUAUCUUGCUUUGAAAUUAUAAUUUUUAUUAAUAAAAAUAAAAAUAAAAAUAUUCUAACCUGUAAUUAUUUAAUUAUAAAAAUAUAACAAAAAUUAUAAUAUUCUAAUUAUAAAAAAUAUAAUACCGUGUUAAAAAAUCAUGUAAACAAAAAAUUCUUUAAAAAUGCUAGAAAAACGAUCUCACAUCGUAUAAAUAAGCAAUAUAAUAAUAAUAUAUAAAAUUGUUAUCUUUGGAAUAAAAUCUAAUCUCAAUUAUGUAAUAUAAUAUGGUAUUAAAGGCUUAAAAAGGCCCAAUAGCCCAUAAAAAAACCCUGAAAUCUAAGUCACGUUUUCGAAUUCUAUUAUUUAUCGGAAUACUCUCUUAAAUGCAGAAGCUAGCAGUAGAAGCAACUGAUCUUGGAAUUAAAUUAUCAUUUGAAAGCUGUAAAUGCCUUCAGUUUGUGGGCUGAAAGAGCUUCUAUUAGCAUGGAUUGAUUGAGCUUGUCUUUUGAAUUCCAUAGUUUUUCUGCUUCACAUGUCAAAACAAAUGGAAAUAGAGCAGCUCAUAUAUACAUCAUGAGAAAAUUAGUUGAUCUUCGUACCCCUCAACGAAUCCAGGUGAAAUAUGUCUUUUGAAUUUCGUAGUCCCUCUAGUUUAACUUUUCGGUCAAAUUCGCCCUUCAACAAUGAAAUUAGAUGUGACAUGCCUUAAACCUCCCCUACCUUCAAAACUUGUGUAAAAUCUAACCAUCACAAGGAAACAAAACAAACAGAGAGUAGAAGAGAGGCUUGCAAACUUGUCUUAUCAACAAGAUAGAGUUGAAAUGAAAGGUUUACUUCAACAAUUAUAUUAAAUAUAAGCGACGAUCAAACAAGAUAAGAUUGAAAUAAAGGAUUUGUUACAGUGAUUGGAUUUUCUGAAUUUAAGUUUGCUUCCUUGAAGUGAUGCAAAUUAUAGGAAAACAAUUACCUUUACAUAUAUAUAUAUAUGGAUUUCUUGCCAAAUAAAUGAAACCAUUACCGUAUAUUACACUCACAUAUCUCCAUUACUUCUGAUGAAGUAGUAAAAAUUUCAAAUUAGAUCUGGAGUUUUUCAAGACUGCUUGAUGGGGUGAUUGGACACGACACCACUUAAUUGGGGUGGUGGGAUAACGAAUCUCCGAUAUUUAAAUUAGUAAAUAUAGCAGGAAAAAUAAUAUAAUAAAAAUAAAAGAAGAGUAAAGAAUGUAUGGUUGUUUUUAUGAAGUCAUGUUUUAUGUUAUGUGGUUGUCUUCGGUUUACCUGAUAACUCAAGAUAUUUUAUAAUGUUGGUCACGUCAAAUUAAUUAUCCUAUGAAGAAUUAAAUAAUGAUGAGGAAUAAUUUCCUUGUAAGUGUGUUGAUUGUUAUGUUUUGUUGUGUUAUUUGUAGAAAGGUCGGUACUCGCCUGUGAUUUACAAGAAAAAAUGAUAGGUAAAAUUUAUAUUUAAAAUUUAUACAAAAUACGGCGUUAUACUAACUUUGUUGAAAGAAGUAAUUCUUCUGCCGGUCAUUGAACUUCUUGAUAAUUUGCAAUGGAUUUAGAUUCAGNNNNNNNNNNNNNNNNNNNNNNNNNNNNNNNNNNNNNNNNNNNNNNNNNNNNNNNNNNNNNNNNNNNNNNNNNNNNNNNNNNNNNNNNNNNNNNNNNNNNGGCUGUAUCCCGCAACGCCUCCGUCGUUAGAGCGCUCGUGUACCCGUACACAAUACUUCUUUUCCUUUUUUCCCUUUCCUCCGUGUUAAUUUAAUUUCAGAGAAUGAACUAGAGAACUAUAUGAGAACUAGGGAUUGAAGUGGAGGGAAGGAAAAAUUGGUUGCCUCGUGUACUAUACGCGCUAACAUGGGAGCCUUGCCCAGCCAUCUUUAGACGGCGUCUGUGUCUCAUCCUCGAAUAUCUUUUAUUUUAUAGUCCUACACUCCUACUUGAUAAAAUAAUUGAUAACAAGCACAAACUCCAUCACAAAAAAACAUAAACUAAAACCAUGUCCGUAUCAAUUUAUAUUGUUGAUUUAAUUCCCAAAACUAAAUCAUAUAAUAUUUUUAGAAACACUUAAAAAUUAUUAUUUCAUGUUUAUUCAUAUAAUAAAAAUAGGUGUUAGUUGUAGCAUAAUAGAGGAUGAGAAAUGCUCCAAGUUAUUUUUAUAUCUUGGAAUACCAAGUUGAAUAUAAUAAAAUAAUUUUAAUAAAAAAAUCACAUAUAAGAGUGAAAAAUAUGGUCGUUUCUUUGAGAAUUUAAAAAAUAUAUAAUUCUCUAAAACACUUAUAAAUCUGAGAAUUGUUUUAGGUCUAAAAUAAACACAACCAUGAAAAUUAAAAGAAAUUUCUAGAUAGAAAACUAUGUAAGUAUUAUUAUUUUAGUGGACAUAAAAGGUUGAAUAGUUGAAGACAUUGUGUUUACUAUUUAACUGAGUAAAUACGAUAAUACUUUACUAAAAAAGGUUCAAAGCCAAAAGUUACAUACCCUGUGUAGUUAUCCACCAAAUCAUUAUCUUUCUACUAAUAUUCAAGUUUUUGUUUUAAAAAAAUGGUCAAAUAAUUUAUAUUCAUGUGAGGGAUUGUUAGAAAAUUUAUUUUUUAAAAAAGAAAUUCUUGAAGAUUUUGCUCUUCAUGAUAUAUAUUUUUUCUUUUAACUCUAGUCUGAAGCUUUACUUUUGCUAUUUUUUGUUGGAUGCUAUUACAACAAGAUUGAUGAAAAUAGAGAUUUGAUGGUGUGUCUAUGUUGAGAGAUUGAAACCAAAAGAAAAAGAAAAGAGAAUGGACACAUCAUGGUUGUUAAGAAAAUGAAAAUAAAUUUGGGGUAUAUAGUUGAAUAACUAGAUCAUUGAUUCAUACUAGACUAUGAGAUUGAUUUAACGUGACUUGAUUGACUUGACUAGUCUAAAAACAACUUGGAUAAUCGGUAAAAAAAUAGUUUGACUAAAAAAAACCAAGUCGACAUAUUUUUUUUAAUAUUAAAAUGACAACAUAUUGGAUUGAAUUGAGUUUAACUUGUCAGAUCCACAACUCCUGUCAUGAAACUAUGAUAACUCAUAGAAAACAAAUCAAAACAAAUUAUAAAGUCUAAUUCUUAAUCAACUCAAUGUUGAAUGUUGAAAUUAAAAAAAAAAACAAUUAAAAAAAGAUAUAAAAAAUACGACUCAACCCGGAUUAACCUACCAAACCGCAACCCAGGUGAUGAGGUUAAGAUAACCUUCUAUAAAGCAAACCAAAACAGAUUAUGAAACUUAAUUCUCAAUUAACUCAAUGUUGAAUGAAGAAAUUAAAAAAAAUCAAUUAAAAAAAGGACACAAAAAACAACUUGAGUCAACCUAUAUUAACCUUCCAUACCCAUGACACAAGUCUUGAACUAGGAUAAUCUCAUAGAAAACAAACCAAAAAAGCAACCAAAGUCAACUUAAGUUAACUUACCAAACUCGCGAUCUGGGUCAUGAGGUUAGAAUAACCUCAUAGAAAGCAAACCAAAAUAAAUUCAGAAACACAAUUCCCUAUCAAAUUAAUGUUAAAGCACGAAAUUGAAAUAAAAUCAAAUGAAAAAAAAUUACUAAAAACAUUAUGCGAGUCAACUUGUCAAACUCAUGUAUCGGGUCAUAAAACCAGGAUAGCCUUAUAGAAAGUAAACUAAAACAAAUUAAGAAGUUUAAUUACCAAUCAAUAAAAUUUUCAAGGAUAAAGUUGAAAAAAAAUCAAUUAAAAAAAACCUAGUAAACAAGGUUAACCCGUCAAACUUGUGACCUCCAUAAGACUCAGAUAAUCUCAUACAAAACAAAUUAAAGCAUAUCAUAAAGCCUAAUACCCCAAGUAAUCAAGUGUUGAAUUAUGAAAUUAAAAUUAAAAAAAUAAAUAGGAAAGACAAUAUAAAAAUAAAUUGUGAUUUUAUGAGAUGAUAUAUGGUAAAAACAUCAUUUUUUUUUGUAAUUUAUUGAUAAAUGGAUAAAAUUUAAGCUCUCAAUUGGGAGAUCAAACCCAAAAAAAAAUCCAAUCUAAAGCCGGGCCCUCCUAUCUUUUAAAAACCUGGCUGGAUUGAAUGGAUUAUACCGAAUCGGUUCAACGAGCAAUCCAAGUUGAAUAAAGUACAAAAUAAUAUUAAAAAGGAAAACAGAGAAAAGUGAUCACAUAACAUUAGCUUUACUAAAGUAAUUUAUCAGUGGCCUCUGACUAGAGCUGAAGCAUCAUCCUUUUUGCUGUCUUUAUUAUCUUCAACAGCAUUAAAGCCAAAAGGAUCAAUGUUUUCUUCUCUGACACUAACUUCAAUCCUCUUUGAAAUUCUAAGAACAUUAUGGAUUUUUGGCCCGUAUUCUCCUUUGCUCACGAUCCUCUCCCUUUUCGAGCUGCACAUCUUCUGCUCCAAUAAAACAUAAAAAUAGCUCACUCCAAGUAAAACUAAUCAUCUCUUAAUAGAAUAUAACCUCAGUUUAACAGGACAUGAGAAAAUUAUUUUGGAAUACAACAAGCCAGUGUUCGAUAGGCACUUGUUAAUUAAAGAACGAGCUAGUGCUCUAAAUUAGACGCUCAUUAGUCGAACUCGAAUCCAAGAAAUAUUCUUUUUCAUAAACUAAUUCGCAGUUCCCCGUACAACAGAAAGAUCAUCAACUUACAUGGUCACAGCCUUCUGAUGGUAGGAGAUGGAGCCAGGCAAGUGUAAGCAUGGUAUUUGGCAUGAAACCAGAACCCACUAGAGCAAUGAUCAGAGUUAAAUGAAGAACUUCUCACUGAUUUUCUUCACAGCUCUCUGAAUCCAGUUGCUUCUCUCUGUGAUCCUACUGAGUUUUGAUGCCAGAUUUUUAUAUGCAAUAGCUCCAACAAAAGGCUACUUCAAAUACUGUGGUAUAUAGCCUGUCUGAAUGAUCAACGAAAUAAAAUAAAUAAAUAAAAAUUUCUAGUUGCUAGAAGCCAGAAGCUUACGUUAAUUAUAGAUUUUAAACCUACAUGCGUCUGACUUGUUAAAACAUGGUACGAAAUAAAAUAUAAUUCUACAACUUCCGUGUCAAGAUGAGGACAAAAUUGGUACAAUUCAUAACUUAUCCAAAAAUGUAUCUCCACUCCAUGACGUGUUGACCCCGACUCAAGCAGUCAUACGCGUGCGUUCUUGGCUAGCCAUUGCCUUGAAAUUUUUUUCUUUCCUCCCCACCAUGAACAGGAUUUGACUCUACUCUAGAUGCUAUACCCGUAGAAUGCUGCGGGUUUGUGGCACGUUUUUGCAUUGUCGUGGAUUUGUGGAAAAAAAUUAUAUUGAGAAAAACUAUUGUAAUUCACAAUAUUUUUAAGAAAAAAAAUACAAAGCUAAAUUUUUAAUCAAUUUAAUAUUAAAAAAAUAAAAUCGACAAAUUUAAUUUUGAAAAAAUAAUUAAAAAAACAAAAGGAAAAAAAACCAAAUAGGAAACACUGUAACAAUCUAUAGUGUUUCAUGAGAAAAUCUAAAGUUAUAACUCUCAACCAGCUCAAUAUUAAAAAUAAUAAAAUCAGUAAAGAUAAUUUUGAAAAAAUCAUAAAAGAAAAAAUAUGUGGGGGAACACUGCAGCAAUCCACAGUGUUUAAAAAAAACUACGAAGCUAAAUUCUCAACCAGCUCAAUAUGAAAAAAAUAAAAUCGACAAAGACAAUUCUAGAAAAAAAAUCAUAACAAAAGCAAAAAAAAAAACUAUGUGGCGAAACACUGUAGCAAUCCACAGUGUUUUAAAGAAAAAAACUACAGCUACAUUCUCAAUCAACUCAAUAUUUAAAAAAUAAAAUCGAGAAAAACAAUUCUGAAAAAAAUAACACAAAAAAAUGAAAAAAAAGAAGAAGACAAUUUUGGGAAAAAAAGAAAAAAAAUAGGAAAAAAAACAUGUGGGGACAGUUAAAGCUAAAUUCUCAAUCAGCUCAAUAUUAAAAUCAUUUAGGAAAAUACUAUAGUAAUCUAUAGUGUUUUGUGAUGAAAUAUACAAUUAUAAUUCUCAACCAAUUCAAUAUUAAAAAAAAAUUAACAAAUAUAAUUUUGAAAAAUAUCACAAAAAAAAAACAAAAGGAAAAAACAAACCAUGCAGGGAAAUAAUGUAGCAAUCUAUAGUGUUUCAUGAGAAAAUCUACAGUUGUAAUUUUCAACCAACUCAAUAUUAAAAACAAUAAAUUCGAUAAAGAUAAUUUUGAAAAAAAUUACAACAAAACAAAAUCAUGUCAGGAAAUAUUAUAGCAAUCAACGGUGUUUUAAAGAAAAAAAACUACAAAACUAAAUUUUCAACCAGUUCAGUAUGAAAAAAAAUAAAUUCCAUAAAGACAAUUUUUAAAAAAAAUAGAUAAAAAAAGGCAUAUGAAGAAACAUUAUAGCAAGACAAAAAUCAUAUAGGGAAACACUAUAGCAAUCCACAGUAUUUUAAAGAACUACAAAUUUAAAUUCUUAAUCAGUUCAAUAUAAAAAAAAAUUGAUAAAGAUCAUUCUGAAAAAAACAAAAAAAUUCGUUAAAAAAAACCAUGUGAGGGAACACUGUAAUAAUCCAUAAUAUUUUUUUUAAAAAAAUUACAAAGCUAAAUUCUCAACCAGCCCAAUAUGAAAAAUAUAAAAUCGACAAAAACAAUUUUGAAAAAAACAAAAAAAAAGACAAUUUUGGGGAAAAAAUGGAACAAAAAUAAUGUGAGGAAAGCUAAAGCUAAAUUCUCAACCAACUCAAUAUUGAAAAAAUAAAUUUGACAAAGAUAAUUUUAGAAAACAAACAUGUGGGGAAACACUGCAGCAAAACAAAAACCGUAUGAAAGAAACACUAUAGCAAUCCACGGUGUUUUUUUUUAAAACUACAAAGCUAAAUUUUCAAUCAGUUCAAUAUUUUAAAAAAUUAGCAAAGAUAAUUUUUUAAAAAAUAUAAAACAAAAAAAUUAAAAAACAAAAAAAAGAAGAAGAAGUGAAUUUUGGAAAAAAAAAAGGAAAAAAAAAUGUAAGACAACAAUUUGAAUCAACUGGGUUAACCCACCAAAUCAGGUUAACCCAUCAAAACUGAGAUUCGUGUCAUGAAAGUGUGAUAGCUAAAUAAAAAAAGAUUUAAAUAAAAACAGGAAAAAAACAAAAAAAAAUUAAAAACAAAAAAAAAAGACAACUCAGCGUUUCACUGUGGAAUGCACUGUGCAGUGCAUAGUGAAACACUGAGCAGUUUUAAUAUAUGUUAUAAUAAUAAUAAUAAUUAUUAUUAUUAUUAUUAUAUAAGUAAAAAAAAUAUUAAUUAAAAAGGACAAAGCAAAGAGAAAAAAAACCUACAGGAAGAAAAAAACUAAUGAAGAAAAGAAAAAGAAAUCUGAAUCAACUGGGUUAACCCGUCAAACCUGAGAUCCAUGUCAUGAAAGUCUGAUAAUUAAAUAGAAAAAAAUUUAAUAUUAAAAAAAUAAAUUAAAAAAAUAAUUAAAAAAGAAAAGAAAGAAAAAAAGACAAAAAAACCUAAAGGCAUCAGUUUGAAUGUGCAGCUGCGCGGGUGUAUUCGGAGGGCACAGUAAUUNNNNNNNNNNNNNNNNNNNNNNNNNNNNNNNNNNNNNNNNNNNNNNNNNNNNNNNNNNNNNNNNNNNNNNNNNNNNNNNNNNNNNNNNNNNNNNNNNNNNAAGGAUAAGGAAAAAAAAAACAAAGGCAUACACCACGAGUUAUUUUUUUUCCUUGCAUAAAAAACAUCAAAAAAUACUAAGAUCUAAGAGUGUUAGAUCUUUCAACAAAGAUAUACCCAAGAGCCUUUGGUCUAGCUGCAACGCUUGAACCAAGAGUAAUAUUUAUAAUAUUAAUAAUAAUAUUAAACUUACAUGACUCAAGUUUAAGUGAGUCUGGUUGCAACACCGAACCCAAGAGCCUUGGAUGUGGGUCUGGCUACAAGGUCGUGUCAUAAAAGUGUAAUAAUUAAAUAGAUUAAUUAAAAAGAAAAAAACAAAGAAACAAAACCAACAGGAAGAAAAAGCUAAUGAAGAAAAAAAAUCUGAAUUAACUGGGUUAACCCUUCAAAUCAGGUUAACUCGUCAAACCUGAGAUUCAUGUCAUGAAAGUUUGAUAACUAAAUAGAAAAAAAAAAUUAACAGGUUAACCCAGAAUUAACUGGGUUAACCUGUCAAGCCUGGGAUACGUGUCAUGAAAGUUUGAUAAUUAAAUAGAAAGAAAUUUAACAUUAACAAACUAAACAAAAAAAAAAUUAAUUAAAAAGAAAAAAGCAAAAAAAAAAUAUUUCGUGUUAACUCGUCAAACCAGGUUAACCCGUCAAACUUGGGAUCCGUGUCAUGAAAGUCUGAUAACUAAAUAAAAAAAAUUAACAUUAACAAACUAAAUUAAAUAAAAAAAAUUCAUUAAAAGAAAAAACACAAAGAAAAAAACGAAACAAAAAAGAUGCCAUAAAGGCAUAAAAAACAGGAAAAAAUAAAAAAAUAAAAAAAAUGAGCAGUAUAUGUUAUAAUAAUAAUAAUAAUAAUAAUAAUUAUUAUUAUUAUUAUAUAUAAGUGCAAUGAAAAUAAAAGGCAUGGGAAAGCUACAGUACUUUCCUCACGCCUUUUAGAGUAUGUUACUAGUUACAUGACCCGCACAAUGCCGCGGGCCUUUUUUUUGCAUAAAAAAUAUAAAAAAAAACUAAGAUUUAAAAGUGUUAGGUCUUUCUGCAAAGCUAUACCCAAGAGUCUUGGGUUUGGCUGCAACGCCUGACCUAAGAGUAAUAUUUAUAAUAUUAAUAAUAACAUUAAACUUGAAUGACCAAAGUUUAAGUGGGUUUGACUGCAAUACCAAAUCCAAUAGCCUUGGAUGUAGGUCUGGCUGCAAGGUCGUGUCAUAAAAGUGUGAUAAUUAAAUAGAAAAAAACAAAAAAAAACCAACAUAAAGAAAAAAACUAAUGAAAAAAAAAACUUCUGAAUUAAUUGGGUUAACCCUUCAAAACAGGUUAACCGUCAAAUCUUGGAUUCGUGUCGUGAAAGUUUGAUAACUAAAUAGAAAAAAAAUUGACGGGUUACCCAGAAUUAAUUGGGCUAACCGGUCAAACCAGGUUCACCCGUCAAACCCGGAAUCUGUGUAAUGAAAGUUUGAUAACUGAAUAGAAAAAAAUUGAACAUUAACAAACUAAGUUAAACAAAAAAAAUUACUUAAAAGGAAAAAAAAACCAAGACAAACAAAAGGCAUCAGCCUUUUCACUGUGGACUGCGCUGUGCAAUCCACAAUCAAAGACAUAAAAACAAAAAAAAACAAAAAAAAAACUAAAGGCAUCAGCCUUUUCAUUGUGGACUGCAUACAAUAUUAAAAGAUGAAAUCGAAAGAAAAAAACUAAUGAGAAAAAAGAAAAAAAAUCUGAAUCAGCUGAGUUAACUCGUCAAAUCAGGGUAACCCGUCAAACCUAAGAUUCGUGUCAUGAAAGUGUGAUAACUAAAUAGAAAAAGAUUUAAUAUUAAUGAACUAAAUUUUUUUAAAAAAGAUUUAUUAAAAAAGAAAAAGCAAAGAGAAAAAAACAUACAUGAAGAAAAAAAACUAUUGAAGAAAAAGAAAAAAAAUCUAAAUCAACUGGGUUAAACCAUCAAACCUGGAAUCUGUGUCAUGAAAGCCUAAUAAUUAAACAGAAAAAAUUUAAUAUUAAGAAACUAUAGACAAAAAAAAAACUAAAUGCAUAAGCUUUUUCACUAUGGACUGCACCGUGCAGUUCAUAGUAAAAGGCUUAGAAAGGAAAAAAAAAGAAAAAAAAACAAAGUCAUGAGCCAUGGGUUAAUUUUUUUUUCUUGCAUAAAAAAUAUUAAAAAAGUUAAGAUCUAAGAGUAUUAGGUCUUUCUGCAAAGAUAUACCCAAAAGCCUUGGGUUUAUCUGCAAUGCUUGACCCAAGAAUAAUAUUUAUAAUAUUAAUAAUAAUAUUAAACUUAUAUGACUUAAGUUUAAAUGAGUCUGACUGCAACAUCGGACCCAAGAGCAUUGGAUGUGGGUUUGGCUAUAAGGUCGUGUCAUAAAAGUGUGAUAAUUAAAUAAAUUAAUUAAAAAGAAAAAAAACAUUAGGAAGAAAAAAAUCUAAAUUACCGGGGUUAACCCGUCCAACCCUGGGAUUUCGCGUCCAUGAAAAGUUGGAUAACUAAAAUAGAAAAAAAAAAUUGAACAGGUUCACCCAGAAUUAAUUGGGUUAACCCAUCAAACCAAAGUUUAACCCCGUCAAGCCUAGGAUACGUGUCAUGAAAGUCUGAUAAUUAAAUAGAAAGAAAUUUAACAUUAACAAACUAAACUAAACGAAAAAAAACUAAUUAAAAAGAAAAAAAUCUGGGUUAACUUGUCAAAUCAGGUUAAUCCAUCAAACUCGGGAUUCGUAUCAUGAAAGUCUAAUAACUAAAUUUAAAAAAAAUUAACAUUAACAAACUAAAUCAAAUAAAAUAAACAUCAAAAAAACAAAAAGAAAGAAGAAGAUAGUUCUAUAAUAUAAUAUAAUAUAAUAUAAUAAUAAUUAUUAUUAUAAUAUAAUAUAAUAUAUUAAUAAGGGGAAAGUGAAAGGCGUGGGGAAAAUGGGAAAAGGUACAGUAAUUUCCCCACGCUUUUAGAGUAUUCUAUAAUAAUAAUAUAAUAAUUAAGGCUUAAUUUUACAAGGAGAAGAUGAUUGGAAACCGCCCCAAGGCUCAAAAGACCUUAGACCAGCACCCAAACAAGAAGUUUAAAGGUGUUAUUAUAAUCCCCAUCGGAAAAUUAUAAAACAAUCAUGAACUUUCUCCUAUAAUUAAAAUAUUAAUAGAAUUGCCGACGGAAACUUAUUGUCGGCGAGUUUCUUGUCAAAGACUUGCAUUGACUUGCAUUCUAUUUGAUGUUUUCGUCAUCAGCUUUCUUUUUCAAUAGAAUAUUCAUAUCAAAAUAUCAUAUUUUAAUGUUCAUUUUCAAUCGAGAAGUCCAUCAGGGAAUUUUUUCUUUUUAACUGUGAUGUACACAUCAGAUUACAUGUAUUUCUUGAUUAAUCUUCCUCGAGAACUUAAAUUAAUAAGCAGAUAAUUUUUUAAUAGUUUUAAAAUUUAUAAUAUUAGAAUUAAUAAUUUUUAAAAAAUAAAUGAAAAAUCUAACUAGUUAAAUUACCACCCAAAUUAUCUUAAUCUCCUUAAAACUAGAGUGCUACUGCCCGAGACAUGUAAGUUUGAUCCGGCCAUCUUAGAAGAGCUGCUGUAAUAAACUCCUCAAAGACUCUGAAGCAUAUAUAUAUAUAUAUAUAUAUAUAUAUAUAUAUAUAUAUAUAUAUAUAUAUAUAUGAUCGUCAUUAUUCAUCAAAUAUGACUAAGGUCAAAACAACUGAAAACAAAUACUAAAAAAUAUCGAAGUUCCAUUUGAUAUGCUUUCUCGAUUAAUAAGUUUAGCAAAAUGCGAAAACCAAACAACCUCAAUUAUAGACCAAUAUAUACAUACUGAAUAAAAAUACAUGAACGAUGGUACGACUUCACUUUUGAGUCGACUUGUAGCCCUGUUUUACAUUGCAUAGUAAAUGGGAGUAGGGUAAAAUUUGAGAUUUUAUUUGUCUAAAAUUAAUUUUUUAUAUAUUUUUAAAUUGUUUUGAUAAUUUUAAAAAAAUAAAAAAAAUAUAAUUUUAAUAAAUUUCCAGCCACACGACAUUUUAGAAAAAAUACAUUCCUACAAUCACUCACAAAUACAUUAGAAAUAUAAUAGAGAGAAGUACAGCAGUGGAGAACCAAUUUUUGCUCUCCAUACAGAAGCAACUACGUACACCUUAAGUCCAAGCCAUAGAUACUACAUCCUGCAUAAACUUAACUUUUGCUACUAAAAUCCAAUCCAAACCUAUAUACAUAUCUUGUCAUUCUCAAGCAACACAGGAAAAAAAAAAAAAAAAACUCGACAUCCAGUACUACUUCACACAACUAGGCGACCUUAUUUUGCUUCUUAAUUAGCAGGCAGUUCAGAGCUGCCAGAACAGAAACACACCUGAUGGAGUCCCCCUACUAAUAAUAUCAAUCUUUCAGCACUGUUUACACGGCGAGCCCAGCUCACCGUACAGUCCUGCCCCUUUUAAUUGACCAUUAACUAGUGGCUUCAUUGUCCACUGUAGUGCCAUCGUCUACUUUCUCUUCGCUUUUCUUCUUCUUUUCUUUUUCACUGUUGAAGCCGCCAAGAGGGAGCUUCUCCUUUGCAACAUUAGCCGCAUCCUUGGGUUUGCGCCCUCCAUUGUUGGUUUGGCCACCGCCCCCGUGACUAACACCAGGUCCACGUCCAGCACUUCUGAUCACACACAAGAAGAAAAGGAUAGUGACAUGGACGUAAUUAGUGAGAUUUCAUAUCUAAAUCAAGUGACUGUCACUAACAAUAAUCAGUAAAGAAAGACCCUAAAUAAUUCCUAGUUAAAUUGGCUGUCAGUCAUUUGUUUUUAUAAACAAACCAAACUCUUUCAAAAUUACCUUUAUAAUCUAAAAACAUGUGUUUGUUCGGCAAACACGUGAAAAUGAUUUAUGAAUUAUCAGCUGAGUGGUUAAGAAACUAUUGAUAUAGCCCCGGCGAGAAGAGGAGGAAGAAGAAGAAGAAGAUUAAAUCUAGUCCAAGAAAACCCUCACGGCUCAACCCGACCAAAAAAAGAAGGAAAUAAAGAAGAAGAAAAAUGUCAAAUGCAUGUUCAUCACUUAUUUGACUGGACUGGAAUGAGAUCCAGAAACUCGUAAGCGAGAUGACAAGAAAAUUUCCAAAUAUAUAGCCACAUGCAUAGGAAACUUGACCUACAUGAUCAAAGUUUUACGCUGGUAGCAUAGCCUGGUAUUAAGCAUGCGGACCAAGGUCGACUUCGGCAUGAAGCCACUGGGCACCAGAGACAUGCAAGCCAUAAUGGAGAAGUUUUCUCUCUCUGAAAUGCUCUGGAACUCUAAAUCUAUCUACUAUACUCUAGCUUAUGAGCUCCUAGUGAGACUUGAGGCAUGGUUUUAUAAUGGAGAGCAUGGAUGACUUCAUUGACCUCAACAAGAAUAUACAUAUGUACUGUAUAUUAGAGAUUUUAGCUACUGUUCACCAAUUGGAGAUUUUAGCGUUAUCCAUAUGUACUUGAGGAAACCACAAAAUAUGUAUAUUUUUAAAAAGAUAAUUAAGAAUGACUAAUAUACAUACGAGGAGCCAGGAAUUUUCCCUGUCUAUUAAAUAAAUAUAUAAAUAUUUUUUAAGAUCAAUUAUUAACUCGUGUAUAUAAAUUUUUGAAGUCAACAGUAAAGUUUUAAUUCAAAUACACUACCCAAAAUAUAAAAAAAUAAAUUUAAAAAUAUAUAAAAUUGAAGUAAAAGUAAAAAUAAACUCAUUAUUAAAGUUAAAUCAUUCGAUGUUUUGUGAAAUAUAAUUCAUCUAUAAUCGAAUCUGAAUCGAUAAUAUAACAACCCCUCAACUGGGAUAAAAUAACAAUCUCAUGUCAACUGAAAAAUAAAGUAAUGAAAUUUUUUCCCUCUUUCAAUUUCUCCUUCCUUCACUUGAUUCUUUCUUAGAUUAAUGUUUUAUAAGUUGGACUUUGUAAGUUUACAAGGUUAUUCUCUCACUUUUCUUUUCUUUUUCCUUGCAUUUUUUUUCCCUUACUUUUCUCUAUUUCUCUCUCGCCUUUUCUUUUUUUUCUUUUUCUAUUCUGCUUCUGCCCAGUCAGAAACAUAUAAAAGGAAGGAAGAGCUGAUUUGUUUUAGUUUUUUAAUUGCAAAUAAUCAUUUUACUCUUAAUGAGUCGUUUUUCUUUUAUUUGACGAUACUUUUUUUUGUUAGCACUACCAAGCUCCGUUCAUCCUAAAAUUUUAACCAGAUUUUAUUCAAUAUAUUUUAAGAUCCCUUAUAAAAUUUCAGUUCAAUCUGAUGGUCGGAUUGAAAAUUAUAUCCAAUAACAUAAAACUAGUCAAAUUGUGAUUUUUUUAUCAAAUUUCUGAAUUUCUUCAAAAAAUCUGAAAUUUUAACCCAAGUUAAAGCAUUAAUUAGAAGGUUCCACCCAAAUUUCAGAAUUUUUUGAUAACUCAAUCAAGAAUUACAAAUUAUUUUUAUAUAAAACUAAUCAAAAAAUAUUGAUAAAAUCUUCAUCCAGUCUAUAACCCAAGCCUUUAACGUGCCUCUACCAUUUUAUAUAUAUAUAUAUAUAUAUAUAUGUGUGUGUGUGUGUGUGUGUGUGUGUGUGUGUGUCUGUGUGUGACUUGACUCCAUAAAGUGUGUGAGGUCCCUCACAAAUAAUGCAAAAGGCGACAUGUUCUUCUCGUGGGCUCGUUAAUGCUAGCAUGAUUGCCAACUUUAUUUUGUAUAUAAUGCAGGUGGAACUACCUUUCAAUCGUUCACCUUUUCUUCAGAUUAGGAUUUAAAGACAGUGAUCAGAUGAAGACAAAUCGUAAGAAACUUGAUGAAUAUGAAUGAUUGUGCGGAGACCACAUCCUCAAUAAUCUAUUAAUUAUUUGUGUGAUCUUUUUAUAUCUAUAUAGUCUCUGAAGAAAAUUUGAAAGUCAUUGGAGUGCCAAUAAAUUAUUCCCUCUUUUCUCCAUUUCAAUCCCUUUACUUCAAUCCAUUCUCCGAUUAAGUCUUCAAAAUUGAAUUAACAAGAGAAAAGAGAAAAUGAAAGAAGAAUGAAAAAAUAAAAUAAAUAAAACAUUAUUUACCUCUCACAACUUUAUCCUAUUGUCAUGAAGGAUUACUCUCCGGCUCAAGGGAAUGCUCUUUAACCCCCAAGAGAGUGCUCUGUAGCCCAAACGAUUGUUAUCCUACUUAAACACUUGUCCCUCAACCUCAUCCCAACCACUUUAGAACUAAUUCCUCAUGUGAAAAAUUUUAGGAAACCCAGCAAUUAGUACAUAUCACAAUGCAGAGUUACAACUCCAAACAAAGUCAAUACAACACCAUAUUGUCCUAUCCUAUGCUUACACAUAAAUUAUCAAUAUAAUGCUUAUCUUCGCCUACCUUUCUCGCCAAUAAAUAGUUAUCUCCUAUCAACAUGUCUCCUCAAAAGAAUCCUACUUCCUUGUUUUUGGCUUUCCCACUAACCUCUCUCCUUAAAGGGCGUCAAUCUCACACACCAAUUACCAUUUACACUACCAUAAUUUUUAGAUUUACGGAUAUAAUUUUCCGUUGGUAUUUAUACUAUUAUUCUGUUGGUAAUUAAUUUACCAACAAAAUCACCGACGAAAAUACUCCAUCGGUGAAUCUUGCGUCGGUAAUUUUUUGUCCGUUGGUAAGUCUAUUGGUAAUAAAAAAAUAUUAUUACCGAUGGAUUUUCUGAUGAAAAAAGCGAGCAAAAAAAAAUUACCCACUUCAUUCUGUCGGUAUUUCCCUCGGCAAAAUACCGUAUGUAAUUCCGUAGGUAAUUAUUUAAAAAUAUUUUUUUAAAAAAUCUAUUUUACAAAACUAUAAAAUAAUUAAAUUAAUAUAAAUCAACACUCUAUAAUACUCAAAAUGCUUGGAAAAAAGAAGAAGAAAAUCAACUCAAACAAAUUUGCAACAAAUAAAUUCAACUAAAAAAAUUCAUAUGAAAAAAAAAUUAAAAAUCCUAUAAACAAAUCAACUAAAAAUUGAUCUCAUAUGAAAAACAAAUCCUACAACAACAUUCAUACAAUUAUUAAUAACAAAAACAAUUAAAAAUAAAAUAAAAAAACAAAUAUAGUGAAAGAAAAAAAAAUCUUACCUUAAUGUAAUUGCAAUUGAAGCUAAGAAGAGAAAAAAAAUUCAUAACGUAUAUACUAAUUAAAAAAAAACUGAGAAGAAAAGGAAGAAAGGAGAAGAAGACAUACAUAAACAUAGAGGAGAAGAGAAGGAGUUUAGGAGAGAAGAAAAGAAAAAGAAAUGGAUAUUGAUGUUUUUUACAUAUGGGGAAGAAGAAGAAAGGAGACGGGUCUGUUGUGAAUUAAGGAUUCUAGACUUUUUAUUAGGGCGUUUUACCGACGGAUAAUUAAAUAUUAAUAUUUUUAAUCAUUCCGUCGGUGAUUCUGUGUAUAAUAUUUAAUUUAAAAUUUUAAUUUAAUAAAAAAAUUUCAGAAAUCGUCAAAUAUCACCAAUGACUUUUCAAUCCGUUGGUGAUUUCGUCUAUAAUAUUUGAUUUAAAUUUUUAAUUUAAUCUAAAUUUUUCAAAAAACCACCAAAUAACACUGACGACUUUUCAAUCCAUCGGUGAUUUUGUCUGUAAAGAAGAGUAAUUAACAGUGCAAUUAGAAAGUGAACAGUUCCAGAGCUCUCUGAAAAAUUCCAUCGGUAAUUCUCUCUGUAAUUGACAUGAUGAACAAUAUUCAUAGUUUAUCAAUGGUUUUAUCGAUGAAAUUUAUUCUGCGGGUAAUUUCAUUGGUAAAAUCAUCACGUAAAUGUUUUUUUUUGCUUUGUUUUAAUUAUUUUGUUUCCCACUUGUAAUUCCCUCGGAAGAUACCGAGGGAAUAUUGUCGUCGGUAAAAUCCAUCGGUAAAGUUUCAACGGAAAUAUUUCCUCGAUAUUUCUAUUUGUAUUUAUCAAUUUUUUAAUAGUGUGAGUGCUAACAUUUCCAUCAAUAGCAUAAAAUAACCAAUAACCAACUACUCAACUUUUCAAGUUACUUACCAAGAAAAUCAAUUAUUCUUAAUUAUUACUUCACUCUCCAUGAGAUAAGAUUAAGUGAUUGAAGGGUAUAAAUAUAUUGGUUUAUCAAGUAAACAAUGACAAUUCUACCAAGUCCAUUCAAGAAAUCAAGCAUAAAACAAGUUCAUCAUAAUAUUCAUUAUCUUAAGCUCAAGAUGCAGCUAUUUAAAUAUAUUGGUUCAUCAAGUAAACAACUUUCCUUCCCUUUUAUAAGUUAUUGACUUAAAUAUUAGAGGGUUCUAUUGUAAUAAAGACUUGUUUUUGUAAGGAAUAUCAAGUCUAGAGAUAAAGCCUAUACACAUUAAACUCAAGAUGCAGCUAUUUAAAAUUCAAAUCCAAUAUGAUGUUUUCAUGACUUUAUCACCCCUUAAUUGUUUAUGCGGUGAUAAAUGAAAUUAGAGGAUUAACAAUACCCAUACAGACACACACACGCACAUGCGCGCGCGCACACCAUUUGCAUUCUCUGAGAACGAAGAAACAACUUGGUUCACUACCAGAAAAUUAGCAAAUACAAACGUAAAUACCGAUGAAAUUUUUCUAUCGGUAUUUUAUGAUGACCUUUUCUAACAAAAUAAGAAAUGAAAAAAAAAAUUAAACAGUAUGAUGACGUGUAACUUUUAUAGACAAUAUUAUUGAGGGAAUGUAUCCGUCGGUAUAUUUUAGAGAUCAUGAGAACUGUUCUCUUUCUCUCUGGUGUUCAAGGUGUUCAUUAUAUACGGGUAUACCGACGGAAUGUGUUCGUCGAUAUAUCCUAAAAACUAUAGGAACUAUUCCCCUUCUCUCUGAUACUGUUCACAGUAUUUAUUACAUAUAAGUAUGCUAACGAAAUGUGUAUAUCAAUAUAUUUCAAAGACCAUGAGAAUUGUUUUACUUAUCAAUGUGCUGUUAAUUAUUGUUUUUUAUAAACAAAAUCAUCGAUAGAUUGAAAAGUUAUCGGUAAUAUUUGAGGGAUUUCUGAAAAAAAUUAUUAAACUAAAAUUUUAAAUUAAAUAUUAUAGAUUUGCUAUUAAUUAUUAUUCUUUUAAGUACGGAAUCACCAAAUGAUUUAAAAGAAGAGACUUCAAUUUUUUUAACCAAAUGUCAGCGCUCAUAAUUCUUUCAAAGCUGCAUUUCUUCGAACAUCCUUCCUGCCUGGCUAAAAUGCUAAUUAAAGUCUUUUGCGUCUACUUGAGAUUGGCCCAGUUGAUCAUAGUUUGAACACUUGCGAUAAAGGUGUAGACUGUGGAGUUUUACAGCGUUCUUCUGCUGAAUAAUGGUUAAAGUGGAUUUGUGAGCCUAUAGAGAUUGAAUAUUCAGUUAAUCCCAUGAAUGACAUUUUUAUUCCUCUCUCUCUCUCUCUCUCUCUCUCUCUCUCUCUCUCUCUCACACACACACACACACACACACACACACUUUAUUUCAUUGUCCCCUCCAUUUUUAUUUCAACCUAUUUUUUCCCUUCACAUUCUCUCUCUCUCUCUCUCUCUCAUUAAUUAAGUUUCUCAUAAAAAUGGAUUGUCUAACGAUUAAUUCAAAAGGUUUACUUCAUUAUUUCAAUAAUAUAUAGCUCGUAACAGUGUAAACUAAAAAAUAAAAUGAUGUUGGUGACAAUUAAUAUAAACUCAUAAAUUUAGGUGUAGCAAAAUCAUUAAAUUUUGUAAAAAAAAUAUGAGAAUUAGGUUUCUAGAGAUUGAAGACAACCUCCCCGUUCCAACUAUACCAUUUUAAAGUCUGGCAUGUCUACUUUAUAAUAGUAAUAAUUGUAGAACCUAGUUCUUUAUAGAAAAAUAGAUUAAAAAAAUUCACAAAGCAUGCUUAAUGAACACUGAUUUCGACAAAGAAGAAGAAGAAGAAUGGAAGCAUUCAUGGUAUAUUUUCUUCAAUUAUUUUAAAACUUAUUUUAAAUAGUUCAUCAUACAUGUUAAUUGACUAGAAAACAAGAAACUUAUGCAUCGCUAACAAUGUUUAUUUUGUGUCUGUGUUUGAGAGUGUAGUUGCGAUUGCUUUUCAAAGUGUUUUUUUUGUGCUGAAAUGCAUUAAAAUAAUAUUUUUUUUAAAAAAAAUUAUUUUUAAAACCACCACAUCGAAAUGAUCCAAAACAUAUAAAAAAAUUAUUUUUUGAUAAAAAAAAUAAAUUUUUAUGGAACGCGAUUUACACCGUGUUCCCAAACAGUUUAAUAUAUAAAAUUAAAACAUCUCUUUUAUCACUAGUCUAAGUAUAAUUAACAAUCUAAAUAUAUAUAUAAAUGGUAGUGUUUAAAGAGCUUGAAAGAGUCUUUGCCUUCCUUUCUCUUGUUGUAAGAACUUCCAUGUAAAGAUUUGUUUUCUUAUUUACUUUUCCUCACAAGUUAUCAUCUCCCGAUCUCACACAAUUUUGUACCCUUUAUUUGAAGAAAGAAGGCCUUUAUCAAAAAAGAAACUUGGCUAAAAAAACAAAGAAAGAAGAUCGGUUUGCAGUUUGCAUAUUCCCAUCUUUUAAAGCGAAGAAGAGCAUCUCUUGAUAUAUAUUGUGGAUAGGAUAUAGCAGCAAUAUACAAUUGUAGAAAACCGAAAAUAAUAUGGAAGAAAUACGUCAUUCUAGUGACAACAAACAACACCUAACAAAUUAAUUAUUAAUUAAUUAAUUUAUGGGAAAAAUAAAAUAGAUGAACACCCAGCACAUAUCAUUAUAUGCAUUCCUCGGGAAAAAAAACAUUAAAUAAAUUAUGAGAGGGUAAAUAAUUACGUUCUGAAUUUAUUUUUUAAAUAUUAUUAGUUUAAGUAUUAUAAAUUUUAAAAUUAUUAAAAUUUUAUAUAGUUAUUAAUUUUAAAAUUUAUAAAAUUAACUUAGAUGCAAAAAAGUUGUCCGGACACAUUCAAAAACAAAAUUAAAUAAUAAAAUCUGUCGCGAUAUGCUUUGCCUGGAAUCUUCCUAUAUAUUCUGUCCUUCAAAUUAAAUAAAAAAAGUAAUAAAAUAAAUGGACAUUCUUACCCCUUAAAUAUAAAGACGACGACAGCAUAUACACGUGGAAGCAGAUAACUGGUUUCUGAUUGUCCAAACACACUUGUCAUCCUUGCGUAAUCACUGCCUGACCUUUUCUUUUUGUCCAUUUUGCCGUGCUCACUUCGCCACUCUCACCGUCUCCUCGCAUCCCCGCCAGUACCGCCCCCCCUCCUCUCUUCAAUGUCAAAUACCCUCUCUCGCAUGCCUCCUCCUCUCAAAAACCCUGACUUCCUUUACUUCCUAUUUUCCCAAAAUGUCGUCCCACUUCCUCUCUAAUUCCCCUUCUACCCCUACCACCAAGGCCUCCGAUCGCCAAAACGACACCUCCGUUUCCCUCCCCUCAACCUCCACCUCAUCUUCUAUUUCCCCAGAUAUGUGGAAUUACCUUUGGAUCCCUUUCUUAAUCUCGCUCUCUAAAGAGCUAACCCUAGCUCGAUCAGCAACAGCUACAACUUCUCCUUCGAUUCUCCUCCCGAGUCAACUCGCCGAUGACUCGCCUUCAGCGCCUAGGUGUCCGGCCCCCGACACAAAUCUGAAUUACCGUCCGGUGAUUGGAAUUUUGAGUCAUCCGGGGGACGGUGCCUCCGGGAGGCUUAAUAACGCGACGAACGCUUCGUAUAUUGCGGCGUCGUACGUGAAGUUUGUUGAAUCAGCUGGUGCUAGGGUUAUUCCAUUGAUUUAUAACGAGCCAAGAGAGAUUCUUUUUGAGGUAUCUAGAUUCUUUAAGGAGAAGUGCAAAGAUUGAUUUUAGAGUGGGUUGGAUCAUAUGAUAUGAUUAGAUUGGAGAGGAAGUGAAGUGGAAACUGAAAAGGGAAUUAUUUUUAAACGAUUGUAAUUGAGAGAACUUUUAAGUAAUUCUGAAAUUAAGUAUUUGCUUAUUCGAGAUAAUGAUUUGGAGUUAGAAACUUUGUUGAUGAAAAAGAAAAUGAAAAUGAAAUUAAACAAAAAAAAAAUCUGAAUUUUUAAGUUUUUGUGCAUGAUCAUUUUAAGGAAUAGUCUGGCUUGAAUGCAAUGCUUGCACGGUGUAGGGGUAUGUUAUCAUUAUUUUAUAAUCUUAGUAAUUUAUAAAUGUUACUUAAGCUUGCUUGUUUGGUGUUGCAUUACAGAAGCUCAAUCUGGUAAAUGGAGUGCUCUUUACUGGAGGUUGGGCUAAAACUGGUUUGUACUUCGACACUGCGAAGGCAAUUUUCAAGGUAGGUAAUUUUUUCAAACAAACCUUCCAUACUAAAAUUGAUUUCAAUAAAAAAAUGAUUUCAAUAAAAAUUUUUUUUUUGCAAGACGAUGCAUCCCGCGUUUGCAAUAUGUUUAGAAUUCACCAAAAAGAAUAAAAGAAGACAUGGCAUUUUCUACUUUUAGUUCCCCCCCCCCCCCUAACUGUUGUCAGUACAAUCAUCUUGUACUUGCAGGAAGUUUUAGCAAGGAAUGAUGCAGGCUUCCAUUUCCCAGUGUAUGCCAUCUGCUUAGGCUUUGAAAUUCUGACAAUGAUCAUUAGUGAGGUAAUAUAUGGCCAAAACAUAUGUGUAUAUAUAGCCUGUAAUGAUCAGACAUUCCCAUUCCAAUUAUUCCCAUAUUUUCCAUUUUGUCAGACUGAUUCCGUGCGAGAAGAAGGAUUACCAAUUUAUUUGUUAUUUAAAAUAUAUAGUCCAUAGCGAUUAGGACUCUUCAGGACUUUUGGUGUGCCUGUAUAAGCGCACACAUUAUGUAUAUCUUUUGCCAUAGUGACAAUAAAUUGAGAGUUUCAGUUUCAAUUUACAGCGGUGGAUUUCCUUCAGUGUUUCACUGUGGAUUCCGCUUUCUCUCUUGGAUUCGAGGAAGCCCUGGUGGAUAUCUGGGAUUUAGCUUGGUGAUUCUAGGUUUUCUACCCCUUUUCUAUCUGUCGAGUCUGUUACCCUUUCUACAGCAAUUGGUAUUUGUUUUGCGUUGCCAAGCUACUUGUCUCAAACUUUAUUCCUAAUGUUAUUGUUCUUGUUCUAGGUGGUUAUUUCUGUUGUUUUCUAUUGCUGCUUAACCUGAUUGUAUGCAGAGAGGAGGUAAAACUUUAGGUUUUGUUUUUCUGUGAGAUGUAUAAUUAAAUUAAAUUUGGCCUUACAGUGCAAUGAUGAUGUUGGUGGUAAAGUUAUUGCCAGAAAAAUGUCUGAGUAAUUGUUUUGUUUACUUUAUCGUCCAUCAAUGUCAAAAUGCCUGAGUAGUUGUUUCAAAUAUUAGUGCACUCUUGUUAGUGGAAAUACUUACAAGUCCCACUUGAGAAAUGUUAUGAGUAUGACUUUUAUUUUUCCUUGAAAAUAGGACAAUCAAAUUCUGGAAACAUAUAAUGCAACUGAUCAGGCCUCUACUCUUCAAUUUAUGGAAAACAUAAGCAUCGAAGGAACUGUGUUUCAGAGGUAUACACGCUGUAAUCCCCCCCCGCCCCCCCCCCCAUCUCGUUAACUUUGGUAAAACUCAAGCUUUUCUCUUAUACCAGUUCGUAUAAACAUUCUCAAUUUUUUGCAUUUAUCAAACAUGAUGCACUUAAUUUUAUUUUCUUACCAAGUUUUUAGUUUCUUUAUAGAGCCACAAAAGGAUAUUAAUGAAUUUGUUAAACAGUGUAAAUACCAAUUAACUUUUCUGUCAAUAACUGAACGAAAGAGUUUUUCAAAUUCUCUUAUAUGUAAGAUAACUGUUCUGAAUCCCAAUUAAUAGUUCCUUGAUCGUCAUUAUUUGUUUUACUUCUUAAUUCUUAACAUGCUGUUAUCUCAAUUUCGUCUUUGACAUGCCAAAUGCUUACCCUUUAUUUUUGUGUGACUUGGUUACUGGCAUGGAGAAGAUGUCCUAACUUGAUUUAGUUACCUAAUAUCCAAUAUGGAUGUGUGCUGAAUAAGUGAAUACUUACAAGAUGAUGUAGUGUCAAAUUGUAUUAUCCAGUUUGCACACUGCGAAGCAUGAUAUGUGACAUUAUGCAAUCUGCAAGGGAUAAAUGGAGGUCUUUUGUUAUCAUGUCAGGAACUGUUUUGCCUAGCUACUUUGACAUUUAUUGUGAAUUGUUUUUCUUAUAGAAGUUCUAUGAUUAUUCAAUAUUGGCAAAAUGAUACUUUUAGUUGUACCAAGCAAAAAACUGCUAGUUAACAUCAAUAUUCCUUUGCAGAUUUCCUCCAGUUUUGCUUAAAAAGUUGAGUACAGAUUGCCUAGUCAUGCAAAACCAUCAUGUGAGUUCACAAAACUGGUAGUACCUUUGGACUUUGGUUGCAUGGUCAAAUAGAGACACAUGAUGCUCUGUUUCUUGUUUCUUUCUUUGUUUAGAUUUCUGUAAUAUAUGACAUUUUACACUUUAAAAAGGACUAUAUUUAAAAAAAAAAUUUAUUUUGGUGCAUCUGUCUUAUAAACCAGCAUUACCUAUCCAUUUCCUCGUGAUUGGAGAUCUAAGAAUAUCUUGAUAUUCAUUAAAUUUGAAGCCAAAAAGGAAAAUGUAAAUUAGACUUUCCUCUAUAUCUGGCCAUAUUUUAAUACUAUUAUACUGAAGAACCGUCCCUCAAAAGUAACUAAAAUAUACUGGCUGAUGAGUAUCACUCAAGUGGAAGACGGAACGAUGAUGCUGUCGUCAGGAGAGUAUGAUCUGGAGUUUCCACUUUCUUGGGAAAUAUUUAUGUUUUGCAUUUCCAUAGUUUAGACAGGAUUGGGGAGAUGAUACUUGAAUGUUUACAUCUCCCAAUUCUAAGUUUUUCCACCUGCCCUUGAACAUGAUUGUUGCAUCAAUGCCGUCUUAAUCUUUAAUAUUCUACUUUUAUUUUCAAAUUAGAAUACUAAUCCAAUGACCAGAAAGGCUGCUUUCCCCUUUUUAUCUAGCUUAUCUGAUCUUCCAAUGCAACAGUAUGGCAUCUCACCACAACGGUUUCAGGGAAAUGAACAUCUAUCUAGUUUCUUUGAGAUCCUGACUAAUAGUGCAGACGAAGAUAACCAGGUAAUGGAUGCAAUAAUUUUGUGAUGUAGUUUUCUAUACACUUGAAGAAUUCUAAUUCUUUCCCCAACAUCUAUUUUAGGUUUAUGUCUCCACUGUACAAGCACGCAACUAUCCUGUGACUGCCUUCCAAUGGCAUCCCGAGGUAUUGCUAUCAUGUGCUUUGCAUUAGAGCCAUUGUGUUUUUCUGUGGAGAUACAUCUUUGGUUGGUCAAAUUCCAUACUUGAAGUAUAAAAUAUGGAUUUAGAUAAUCAGGAAAUUCAGGAACGAUGACAAGUCCUGUAUACCCAAAAAAAAAUUACUGUGGGAUAAUGGGAUGCAGCUGUUUGUGCUUUGUAUUUAUAGGAUAAAUUUUUGUCAAUUUUCACUCCUUGUAUUACACUCCCUACUCUUCUAUAUGUAAAAUACAUGCAAACAUGGUCAUCAUAUAAGAAAGUCUUGCGUGUGUGUGUUUAAGCUGAGUCUGGUACUUUUACAUAGAUCAGUUUGGGUAUUUAGUUUAAAAAUAUUAAAGUGGCUUUAAUGUCUGAGUUCUUUUGUGAAGUUGAAAGAAAUGCCCAAACAACAUAGGCAAUUUUUUUAUUAGCAUUACCAUAGCAAAAGGAGCAGUGGGAGGUGGCAGGGGAUAAAAUAACAUCAUAAUAUUUUUAUAGCUCAGCUUAAUUUCUAAACAUAAUUGAGCAAUCGAUCCUCAUGGUAUGGUGCACAAGUGUCAAUUCUCCUUUGUUUUUCAAAUUUGUUUACCGUUAUUGUAAAUAUACAAUUGCUUAUGGUAGUAGGAUUGCUAGUGACUGAAAUCCAAAUGCAUUUCAGAAAAAUGCUUUUGAAUGGGGGUUAUCAAUGAUUCCACACUCAGAGGAUGCCAUUCAAGUGACCCAACAUGUUGCCAACUUCUUUGUUAGGUGAGGAUUUUGUUGUACUGAAAAGUUAUUAGCUUAUGCUGCCAACUUUUUUUAUGAGAUGUGCUGAGGAUGUAAUUUGAGCCUUGGACAUUCUGAACUGAGGUUUUGCAUAUUUUAAACAGGCUCCAAUAAAUCAUCUAUUCAUUCACAUGCGUGUUAAAACUAGUUUAAGAAGGCUGGUUAAUUCUUUCUGUUGUAAACUUAGUAUUCAUGGAAAUUUUGUAGCAGAAAAUAUGAAGGCAUAGUUCAUGUUCAGACCUUUCAAAACACAGAAAGUACCAGAAUGAUUAAACGAUACACGCAAGCUUAGAUAUAUUUGAAGUUGUUUACAGUGGUUGUAUCGAAUACAACCAGUAGCAUUUGAAAAUCAUAAGCACUGUAUUUUUAACAUUUUGACAUUUUAACUAAUAAUCUUUUGCUUAAAUUCAUUCUAUAUUACUCUUAUCAAUAUUGAUAUUGAAACUUUUGUGUUCUGCUGUGUUUAUUUUCUGAGAACCCUGUCAGAAGUCCAAACGAAGGAAAUUAAAGUCCUAUGGCCUGCUUCGUGAACCUUUUCAUUUAUCUAUGGUGCUUUGUUGUUCACAGCAGAGUAAUGAGAUGAAAAAAAAAAAAAACUGAUUUCAAUGUUUGUUUUGUGCUGCAGUGAAGCUAGAAAGUCCUUGAACAGGCCACCUGCUCGGAAGGUACUUGACAAUUUAAUUUACAAUUACAGUCCCACAUAUUGUGGGAAAGCUGGGUAAGUGAAUUGACUCCGAGAACCAAGUUUGGCACACAAAUUUAUUGUUACUAAGGUUGGCACUUGCAUUUACUGAUUUGCGUUUCAUCUUUUAUCCUACUGUAGGAAGGGAUAUGAUGAAGUUUACAUCUUCGCAGAACCAGAAACAUCAAACAAUACGAGGUGUGCAGUGCAUGGUAAUUGUCAUGGACGUGUGAAGUUAUAAAUAUUUAAGACGCAGCACUGAAGUCUGAACACAUAAAUUGUAUCAUUGUCAACAAUGUAAAGCUUAAGAUCGAACUGAACUAAGUGCAUUUGUUAAUAAUUCAAGACAUGAUGGUUUGUGUUCUCAAAUGCUUUCAGUAUUUACAUUACGCCACUGCCAAUUAAGAUGUAUUACGGCAUUCUAGUCAUAACUCAUAACUUCACUGGUGACCCUGUUUGACUAUGAUGUAAAGUACCUGCAUAUUACAUCAAAACACUAUGAUGUCUUGUUCAUCCAAUCUCACCCAUGCUUCAAUUCCAUUUCCCAUUCUUGUUUCCAUCAAACCAAUGUAAUUCAAAUACAUUGAAUCAUGUGUGUUGAAUGCCUUGGUGCCCAUCCAAAUAGCUCACCCCAGUCGAAAUCAGCUUCAUAUCAACACGUUUUAUUUAUACAAACUGCUAGUUGUGAUACAAUCACAAUUCUCAUCAGAAAACAUUUCUCUUUUCUUUCAGAUGCUGGAUAACCUUGAAAAAAAUCCCUUCAUCGCCAUGUAUUUCUGCCAUGAAUUGGCUAUCAAUUUUCCCCUCGGCUUCGCUUAGAUAGCUCACUAAGGCAUCCAAUUCUAUUUGGUCACCAGCUUUGCAUUUCACAGGUUCUUUCCAAAGAAGAUUUCCUGUUCUUGAAGCAACUAUGACACUUCUCCAGAUAAUUGCUAGAACCUCAAUUGAAGUUGGGGACUGGACAAACAGGGAUCUACUUGCUUCUGCCUUGAGCUGUCUUAUCGCCAAUGCAUCGAACACAAAUCUUCUCCAAGCACGCUUUCCUUUUCUGAACAUAGCGGGCUAAGUGAAAUGGAGCAAUAAAACGGGGAUAUGCUGCUUGUGAUGUAAAACAAGCAGUAGUUGACCGAGCUUUCAUAAAGGUGCAAAAUGAUGGCCCAUCAAAGACCUUGUGAGAAACACCAGCACAAAUAGCUAUAACGCCGCACAAAUGUGUUUACUUGAACCAGAAGAACAUAAUUACCUAAUUUUGAUGAAUCUGCUGGGUUUCAGGGAAAGAACUAGUGCAUAAAAUGGCUCUCCGUUUAUUUCAAGAAAUGUUGAUAGGUGAAAAGUUUUCACUUGGGCUUCGAUGAAAUAAACUCCCUCGUCACUGCAAUCAAUGUAAAGGCCAUGUUUGAUCUUUCCUGCAAACGGGUAAAAGUGAGAUGGCAGUUACAAGCAUGACUAGUUGUGGAAGAACUUGGCCAGAUCAUGAGAACAUGACGAGACAGACAAACAUGGAGCAUGGUUGAAAAUGCUUUUGAGGCAACUAAGUUCUGCAAACUGCCUGCUGCCUUGUUGGAAGAGAGAAUCACCAAGUUCAUGGAGGAACACAAGAGCAAACUGCUGAGGAGGGAGUAAUAGCUCAAUAAAUAGGCUGCAAGUAAGUUUUCUAUACAGUACACACGAAUUUAUAUAUAUUCCUUUAUUAGGAGUUAAUAAAAAGUUGGGAAAGAAUUCACUUGCUUUGUUUGUGUUAAUUCCAUUUACUUGCAACGGUGAGAAAAGACUGAAUCUAGUAAGACUAGACUACAGCUUGGGGGCUGGAAUUAUGAGCAAAAGAUUUAUCGCUACGCAUAGCAUCUUCAAUUAAAAAUACUAUAUUAAAAAUUUAAAUUGAUAAAAUAGCUUUUUAAAUAAUAUAAAUAUAGCUUUUUUAAUUAUAUAUAUUUUAAUGGUAAAAAACUAUUUAAAAAAGCUAAUUAUAUUUUAAUAUUUUUCUUGUUAAAUUAAUUUUAAUAUAAUGAUAUAACUAAUUUAGAUAUUUUAUAUAGAAUAUAAUUAUGAUGUUACUAAUUAUAUAAUUAAUAUGCGUAAUUUAUAAAAGUAAUAUAAAAUUAAUGAAGUAAUAUGAAAGUUAAAAGAUAUAAUUUAAAAUUAAAUUUAAAAUUUAUUUAUAUGAAUAUUUUUAAGUUUUAGUUUUAUAUGUUACUGUUAAAAUUUUAAUUUUUUUAAAGUACUUUCAAAUUCAAACUUUGAAAAAAACCGCCAACAUUUUAAAUUUUGAUUUUCAAAUUUUUUAUAAAAAAAUUCAAGCUUUGAAAAAAUAACCGCCAACAUUUUAAAUUUUAAAAUUUCAAAUUUUGAAAAAAUAACAGCCAACAUUCUAAGAUUUUAAAUUUUGAAAAAAUAAUUCAUCUAUAAAUAUUCUCAUAUACCUUAACAUUUUUUUCAUCAUUUUCUUCUCUCCAAUCUUUAAUCUUUAUUAUAUUUCAUUAAAAUUCAUCAUGAAUCAUUCUAAUUUUAAUUUGUAUGAUGCUUUUGAUUUUGAUGAUGACACUCUUGUGUUCGCUUUUCAAGUUGCUAUCGCUGUGGUUGUUGAAGAAGAAUCGAAUAAUCAAGGACGGAGAACAGGGUAUCGUGGCUCUAUUCUUGGUCAUAAUAUUGUCAAUCGUAUAGAAAGGAAGGUGAGUUAAUGCUAUAUAGUCAUUAUUUUGCUGAAAAUCCUAAAUUCACUGAAAGUCAAUUUCGAAAAAGAUUUAUGAUGAGUCGUCAUCUUUAUCUUCGAAUCGCAAAUGCAGUGGAAGCUCAUAAUCUAUAUUUCAAAAAAAAUGACAGAUGCUCUUGGUGUUCUUGGUUUAUCUUUUGCAGCUCACAGAGUACUUGCAUAUUGUAUUCCUGCAGAUCUUACUGAUGAAUAUCUUCGAAUUGGAGAAACCACUAUGAUAGAAAGUCUUAGAGCUUUUGUUAAAGCAAUCGUAGAAGUUUUCGGUGAUUGGUAUCUAAGGGCACCAAACGAGGCCGAUAUUUGUCGAUUAUUGUCAAUUGGAGAGCAGCGUAGAUUUCCAGGGAUGUUAGAGAGCAUUGACUGUAUGCAUUGGAAAUGGGAGAAAUGCCCAAUUGCAUGGCAUGGGAUGUAUACUGGUCAUUGUCGUGAACCAACUAUAAUUCUAGAGGUGGUGACUUAACAAGAUAUUUGGAUAUGACAUCUCUUUUUUGGAAUGCCUGGAUCAUUAAAUGAUAUUAAUGUUCUUGAUUGGUCACUUAUUUUCGCUGCACUUGCUGAAGGUCGUAUUGCUCUUGUCAAUUAUACAAUUAAUGGACAUGAAUAUACAAUGGGAUACUAUUUAGCAUAUGAGAUUUAUCCUAAUUAGUCAACCUUUGUUAAGACAAUCCCAAGGCCAUUAGGAGCAAAGAGAAAAUAUUUUGCAAGUAAACAAGAGUUUGCAAAAAAGGAUGUGGAGCGGGCAUUUAGGGUGCUCCAAUCUCGUUUUGCAAUUGUACGUGGACUUGUUCGAUACUGGGAUGAAGAAACGCUUGCAAAUAUUAUGAAAGCUUGCAUAAUAAUGCAUAAUAUGAUUAUUGAAGAUGAAGGAGCAAUGAACCUUGGAUUUGACCAUGAACGUGAAGUCAAUUCCUUUAUAUCAGUGUCACAUGGUGAAAUACCAGAACUACAUGAUUUUCUUUAAAAUCAUAAUCGAAUCAAGGAUAGAGCAAUUAGCUCUCAACUACAAGAAGAUUUGGUUGAACAUUUAUGGGAACAAUAUGACAACGAGUAGAACCAUUAGAUUUGAACUUUUUUAUGUCAUCAUAAGUUUCAAGUUUUUUAUGUUUUUUUUUUUAUUAUGGUUGUUAUCUUUUAAGUUAAUUAAUCCUAUUUAUUGUUGUUAAGUGUUAGAAGAACUUCAAAAAAGUAUUAUGAAUUGAUACCACUUUUAUAACAAUAUAUUUAAAAUAACCAAGAAAUUUCUACAUAUUUAAUUAAAAAUACAUUACAUUAAACAAUAAAUCAAUCUAGUUAAUUAAAAAUUAAAACUCUUCUUUUGCAUAAUUUCUAACUUUCUAUUUUGAAAAUCCGCUGCAGAAAUUGGAUCCAAAUUAGAAAUAUUCAUUUUCAUAAUUUGUUCUUCUUUCUCAAUCCUGUCCAAUUCUUGCUUCUCUUAACUUUAUUGAAUCAUCAUAGCUUGUUGCUCUAACAUAAUUUUUCUAUCUUGUUUCUUCUGAUUCUCAACUUCAACUAGAGUAUCCCUGAAUUGUUAUAAGAGAUUUGUUACAGUUACCUUCCCAACUUUAUCUUUUCCUUGUUUACGUUUAAGUCGUUCCUUUGCAGCCUUCUGACCAAUUGGUCUAUCUUGAUAAAUCAACGGUUCACUGUCUUCUCUUAAACUAACAGAAUCAGGAGUAGAUGGAGUUGAUGAUGCUGGACUUGCAUUGACAUGAAUUUUUUUUGUUUUUUAUUUGACCUUUGAUGUUGACUUGCACUCUCAAAUUGCCAUUAGGGUUAUUUUCUUAAGAUAACCCAACAAUGUUCUAGUUAAAAUCGUUUGCCAACGCAAGAAGUAUACAUUUAUCGAGCAUCAUUAAUCUGGUAAAAAAUUAGAGAAAUUAAAUAAUGUUAAAACAUGUGUUAAACAAUUUAACAUGAAAAUGAAUAUUAAAAUUACCCUUGAUUCUUCAGUCAUUCCACUUUGCUGAUGAUUUUCAAUUUGAGUAACAAAUCCAAUAAAUUUACCGACUUCUCUAUUUAUUUCUUACCAUCUACUUGAGAUGCUUAUUUGGGAACGAUUAUUCAAGUUUCCUCCCUUCUCUACAAAGUAAUCAUGUACUCGAGCCCAGAACUGUUUUGUUUGUUGUUCAACUCUUGUAAUUGGAUCCUUGCUUGUAUUUAGCCAUUCAGAGACAAGUAAACAAUCUUCCUCUGGUGAGAAGUUUUUACUUCUUUGUGAUUUUUUUUUAUUGUAUGGACAUUUAAAUUCGAGUAUGUUAAGUCAUCAAUUAAUUGAUUAGAAUCACUUGGUUGAGAGAGAAUAUCUUCUGACUCACUCAUAACACUCAUAAGAAAGUUGGUAAAAGAACUUAGAAAAUUUGAAUCCAUCUACAUUAUAAAAAAAAAAAAUACUCAAGUUAAAACCUUAUAAGAGAGUGUAAAAGAAGCUCACAUUCAAUGUCUAACAAUUUUGUAGUUUCCAUACAUGUGAAUUAGUAAUAAGCAUUGCCUCCUACUUGUUAUAACAUUAUAAUUUGACUAUUUUUUGGAACUAAAAGAGGAUUGAUAUACUGGUUUAAUUGUAUUUUCAACAAAAUAAAAUAUAAUUGACCUCAGAUUACAACAGACAAUAAAAAAUAAAUUUUAAAUAUGUCACUCUAUAUUUUUAUCAAUAUCAGCUACCAUUAUUACUUCCUCUCAAUUUUGUCAAAGAUAACAACAUAAAUAAAAAUUAUCUUCCUUAACCCGUAUCAAAAACAUAAAAUAACAAAGAAAUAAAAAUCAUCACAAAUAUCAAAUUAACAAAAAAAAUCUAAAAAAUCAAGAGAUAUAAAAGAGAAAAUAGAAAAAGCUUUUAAACAAACAUACCUUUUAAUUUUAGCUAAUUAACACAACCGAUAUUAUUAAUUAACUGGAGAAUGAUUAAUUCUUGUUUUUUUAAAUUUGAGAGAAGGGUGAGGCACAAUACAAGAUUUUAAAAUUUACAAGUUUCUUUCCUUCUGAUUUUAAAGAAAAAAAAUAAAUUGUUGGCCAAUGGCUAUAAAAAUAGUCGUUGGCCAACGAUCAUUUUCUUUUGUCAUUUCUACAGAGAAAUGUAGAAAUGGCUCUUCAAAGGAUGAAUAGCUAUUUUAGCUAUUCAUUUGUCUGAGCCGUUGGAGUGAAUAAAAAUAGAAACAAAAGCUAAAAGUAUAAUUUUUUAAAUUUGCUUCUUCAUUUAGCUCUCCCGUUAGAGAUGCUCUAAUAGUUGUCUUCUAGCUAUAACUCGGAAUACACUUACUCUUUGUUGCAAAUAAUUCUAUAAAAUCUAUUUUAGUGUUUCAUUUAAUUUAAAAAUUUGAGGGAAUAAAAUAAAAAUAAAUUCAAUAUUAAUUGUGAAAAUUUUUAAUUUAAUAUUUAUUUUAUAGUAUUUAACACUGUAUAUGUAUUUUAUAUUUAAGUUUAAAUAUAAUAUGUUUGAUCUUGAUUAAUAAAAAAUAAAAUGUACGGAAGUAAUUAUUUAUAUUUUAAAAUUCAAACUAAAAGAGUCAAUGAUAAUCAACAAAAAUGCUAGAAAGGUGUUUAAUUUUAGUUAAUGAUUUAUAGAAAUAUCAUACGAGAUCUAUUAAUUAUUGAAAAAAAUUAUUUUGAGAAAAUAAUAAAUACUUAAAAAUUAAAACAACAAAGAAAAGAAAAUAAAAAUGAAAACAAAGAAAAAAGGUAUAUGAUUUGGAUUGCGAGUUUGGUAAAUUAACUUAGGUUGAUUAAGAAUUAAGUUUCAUAAUUUAUUUAUAAUUAUUUUUUACGGGUUUAUUGCGGUCUUAAACAAACAUCACAACAUUAGGUCAGUGCUUGGUUGUGUGAGGAUCUAUUAUUUCAUCAUAUAAUUAAAUAAAAAUACUUUAAAAAAAUAUUAAACUCAUUAGAUAUCAUGAUUUGGGUCGUUGAUUUGGUAGGUUAACUUAAAUUGAUUGCAAACUAGAUUUCAUAAUUUAUUUUAAUUUAAUUUUUCUAGAGUUAUCGAGAUCUCAAACAAACGUUCUGACAUUAAGUUGAUGCUUAAUUUUAUGUAUGACUAUUUUUGUCAUCAUAUAACUAAAUAAAAAAAUAUUUUAAAUUAUUUUAAACUCAUUGCAUCUCAUGACCCAAUAAUAGGUUUGGUAGAUUAAGCUACGAAUCUCGGAUUGAAUCAAAAUGUCACCAUCACAAUAUUUUUAUUUUAAAUAUCAUUUUUAUUUUUUUCUUAAAGUUAAAUAAUUUUUUUUUCCGAUCAUUCAUAUUAUUUUUGAACCCAUCAAGUCAACUAUAUCACAUCAGAAAAACUUCUAAACAAUUUAAUUUAAAACUCAAGCAUUUUUAAAAAUCAAGUUUAAAAAUUUCAGAGAUUUACCCAUUGCCAACCAAAAAUUUCUUAUUAUUUAGACAUUUUUUUUUAUCUUUCUUAAAAAAUUGCUCCAAUAUACAACAUAACGGGAGCUAAUUAUCUAGUCUAAAACUAAGGACAACGAUCAUUUCCUUCCUAUGUAAUCAUGCAAUUUGCUCAACAAGAAAAUAAAAGAACAUCUCACAUGAAUUAGUUGUUUGGACUACGCUAUACAUGUGGGUCCUUUAUAUUUGUGUGUAUUUAUUUAUGUGGUGCACACGGAAGCAUAAAAAACAAAAAAAAGAUAGCAAGCACUUGAGGGUCUAGCUGCUGUGGUCAAUCGUGUGACUUGUUCCGCCCCCGUCCCGGGUUCGACCCUCUAUGUGCACGCCUGUCACCCCCGCGGUGCCUUACCUGCUCCUGGACUUGUAGGAUGUCCAGCGGGCCGUGGGGAAUAGUCGUGGUGCGCGUAAGCUGGCCCGGACACCCCACUUAAAUCAAAAAAAAAAAAAAAGAUAGCAACAUGAAAGAUCAAGCUUGACAAAAUAAGUUCGGCACACCAACAACCCUAAUUUCUAGUUUUAUUUUCUACAAUAAAAUUUGAUAUAUAUUUACUGAAAAAUAAGCUAAAUAAUUUUAUUUAUACUCAUUCAUUCUAGAUCUAUCUUAAAUUCUAGAUUUAUCUUAAAAACAACAAGAGUCUUAAUUAUAGACUUGUUUUAAGAAUUCCUAAACUAAAAAGAAAAAAUAAAAUUAUUAAUCUUAAUAUUGGAUUUACUAAAAUAAAUAGGAAAAAAAUAAAAAUCCCAUAAUAUUUUUAAACUAAAUAGAAAAUAGCAAAAGCUAAGAAAAAUGAUUUUUAAAAAAAAAUUCUUAUUUCAUUAGUCUUUAUAGGUUGAAGACAACUUAUCUUCAAGUUUUGAUUAUUUAUUAAAUAAAGAGCUAAAUAUCGAACAUUGAAAAUAUUGAUCAUCUUUGAAUCCCUGUUGAGUGAAUUACAUUAUUGUUAUUAAUGAUUAUUAGAGUCAUAAAAUUAAAAAAAAAAUUAUUUGUAGUUUCUUAAAAAUAAGUUAUUUCACGAUCACAUCAAGUAACCCUAGCCAUUGAAGCGUACCAUCAUUAAAAUUAUAUGAAUGUUUUUGCGAUCUAUUGACCUUGGCACAUCGGCAUGACUUUAGAUAAAGCUAGCUAAAAAUGAACUCCCAUAACACUUUCAAUAUUUAUAGAACUAUUACUAGUUAUCAAUGACUUAUUCCAAACUGAUGUCUUUUUACACCACUUUGAUUCUUCAUACUCUAAUUCUUUUUCUUCUUAACAAAUUAGGAUAAAAACAAUAUAUUUUUCUGGUUAUCACAAAAAUCCUCUUUUUAUUAAGCACUAAUAUUAUAAGCUUUUUCUUGAUUCUGAUGGUAUAUAUAUUACAUUGCCAAUUAUACAAGAUAUUCAAGUCAUAUUACUAUGAAAAAAUAUUUAUAAACAUCACAUUAAACACUAUUAAAAUAUCUCUUAUUUAUGAAAAAUAAAAUAAAAUAGCAUUUAUCCAUGAUUACUUUAGCAUCUCGAUUCAACUAUUUUUAUGUAGAGGGUCUUCAAUAUUUUUCUAUCUUGAGCUGUAAUUUUUUUAUAAUUUCUAUUAAUAUCAUACUCUUGUAAUUAUCAUCAUUAAUUAAUGAUCAAAUUAUAUACCUUUUUUUUAGUGGUACCAAAAAGAAUGGAGUAGAAUCAAUCCUCAUCUAAAUUAGUUUUAAGAGCAGACGAGUUUUUUUGGAUGACGAAGGCAGCAGAGUCAUCUCUUUUAUGUAAAAUAUCCAUCCAUAACGUUAUCCUUACCUCCUAAAGGUCUCUUUUAUCUCCACAUCCACCCCCUUAUCCACAUAUUCAAUAUUCUCUAGGAUAAUAAUCUUCCCUUUUAUUUCUAAGUUCAAGCACUAUAAUUUAAUCCAUUUUCUUCCUGUUAAAUUAUGGGCCUAGCUGAUGCACCCUUGGCCCAGAAUAUGGAUCCAUGGAAAACACAGGUGAUAUAUGUCACCUGCCUGCAUUGCUAUUCCACCCUUGAAAAAAAGAACGCAGAACCCCCAAAAACAACAUGGCGGGAAAACCAGUGUCUUUGUAGAGGGAAAAUCAAACACUCUCAUUUUGUCCUUGAUUGAUGGAGUGGGUAAUUUCUUUCUCUUCAUCCACCCGCACACCCACCCGCACAACCACCUGCACAAUUUCUUCCGUCUCUAAUUUCUCUUUGAGCCCAAAACCCAAAUAAAUUAUGUCCCAAAUGGAAACCCUAGGCAUUCUCGAUGAAAUUGAAGUUCUUGUCUCUGAUAAACUCCAAGUGGUACUUCUACUCCUCUUCAAUCCCCUUAGUUUUACUGGGUUUUGUUGUUGUAAUCUUGGGUCGGUUUUAGUAAAUCUAGAAAAUUAAUUAAUUAUUUAAUCACUUGGUUUCAGGUUUCAUACAAGUGGUUGAGUCGAAAUUUCAUGGUUUCAUCGAAUGCUGCAAAAAGGUAAUUUUCCUCUCUGAAAUUUGUGAUUUUUAUUUUUAUUUUCCUGGUUUGUGCAUUCAAUUAACAAAUGGUUGGUGUUGCUUCCUUAAGGUUGCUUCAAGAAUUUGUUAACACACGCAGAAGUGGAUUCGAAGUAGUAUACACUCUAUCCGGUUGGUUAAAGAACAACCCUUCAAGUUACCAUAUAAGGCUUGUUUCCGGUCCCAAACUUGAAGGUCAGGUCUUUGAAUGGUGCUAACAUCAUUGUAGUUAUUGUUGGUUAGAAACGAGAGAUACUUGAAAUCGCAAGGAUUUCCAUCUAUCCCAUUAUAAUAGAUGAGUUUUAGGGUGGCAUUGCUAGCUGCUGCUCUUAGAUUUGCAAUAAUGUGUCCUGGAAGAAUCAUUAGGUGACUUGUUAGUAUGCCAUAACCAUAGGUUUGUGCUUUCGCCUAAGCAAUUUAAGCAUUUUUCACUUAGCUUUUUUUUUUCCCCUGGCUCAUCUAUGAUCCCUCUUCCUGGAAGAGAGUUUAGCAGUUAGAAUUUCUUUCCUUCGAAUUGGCCAUGGAAAUGUAGUUGGAAUUCUUUGAAUUCUAUUGAUUAGAACAAAGAAUUAUAGAAGUGCAACAAGCAUAUUAUGCAUUCACAUGAAUAUGUGCGAUGAAAGUUGUUUUUGUCUAUUUCAAUACCUCGGCUACUUGAUUCUGGAUCGAUGCUGUUGCACCCGUUGCUGGUACAUAAAUUUCAUGCAUUCUUUCGUGGUUUGUUAGUAUCAUCCAUACUUGAGUGUUGUGCCUGAGACAAGGAUACAGGGAUAUGCUGAGAUUUCCUUUUUCGAUUUUUUUUCUUGCAGAAGCUAAACAAGAAUUCAAUGGCAAUUGCUCAGUUCAGGUAUAUAGUGUUCAAGCUUGCAUCCCAAAAGAUCCAGCUGCACUUUGGAAUGCUGAAUUUGUUCAGGCAGAAGAGCUCUUCAAGCAAUCCUUCACAGUUGAUAAUUGCUUAAGAGAUAACAGGUAUGAUGCACCUGUAGUCUGCAAUCAGUUCCAGUAUCUUACAAGAACUUGACUUUUGUAGAUCAUGGAAUUGCUAGAUAUGAUUAUUAUUUCAUUUAUGAAAUUCAUAUGCAGCCUUUACAAUAAUGCAGCUGCCGUAGUAACAGCUUAUUACUUUGCAAAUAUUCAGACAAUGAAAGCCUGAACCGAUGAUCCUCAAUAAUUUUCUGACUGCUGACCUGCCUCGUGCAACAAAACUAUUAGUACUAAACUGUUCUAGAAGAGAGUUGACUGGUUAUGUCAAGUUUGUUGAUGAUGCACUUUGAACUCAUUUUUUAAUGUAAUUAGCACACACAAAUGUGUUCUUAUUGGGGGUGGGAAUUGGUUGGGGGUAAUGAGAUGAGAUAUUUCAAGCCUUGGAUGGUUACAGAUUGAGGGUUUCCCUCUCUCUCCCUUCUCAUGAAUUGCAGCAGAAAUUAGCUUAUUUUCCUUGGUGCUUGAAUUUUUCUUCUGCAGAUUUUGUGGGAUUCUUAAUUCCUUUGUUAAGUACAAUUGUGAUGGACCUGCUGCAACCAAAAGUAUGGAAAUCCCAGUAAUUCAAGUGUGUCAAACUAUUACAGCUCCACCAUCUAAGCAAACCAAAGUUCAGCAAAGCCCAAAGGUUGGUCCUCCAUCUCCCAAUCUGGUGAACAGUGUCAAAAGUGAAAGGAAUGGAACAGGAGUUCAUGAUCUGGCUACCAAGCAGACUGUGGAUGNNNNNNNNNNNNNNNNNNNNNNNNNNNNNNNNNNNNNNNNNNNNNNNNNNNNNNNNNNNNNNNNNNNNNNNNNNNNNNNNNNNNNNNNNNNNNNNNNNNNNNNNNNNNNNNNNNNNNNNNNNNNNNNNNNNNNNNNNNNNNNNNNNNNNNNNNNNNNNNNNNNNNNNNNNNNNNNNNNNNNNNNNNNNNNNNNNNNNNNNNNNNNNNNNNNNNNNNNNNNNNNNNNNNNNNNNNNNNNNNNNNNNNNNNNNNNNNNNNNNNNNNNNNNNNNNNNNNNNNNNNNNNNNNNNNNNNNNNNNNNNNNNNNNNNNNNNNNNNNNNNNNNNNNNNNNNNNNNNNNNNNNNNNNNNNNNNNNNNNNNNNNNNNNNNNNNNNNNNNNNNNNNNNNNNNNNNNNNNNNNNNNNNNNNNNNNNNNNNNNNNNNNNNNNNNNNNNNNNNNNNNNNNNNNNNNNNNNNNNNNNNNNNNNNNNNNNNNNNNNNNNNNNNNNNNNNNNNNNNNNNNNNNNNNNNNNNNNNNNNNNNNNNNNNNNNNNNNNNNNNNNNNNNNNNNNNNNNNNNNNNNNNNNNNNNNNNNNNNNNNNNNNNNNNNNNNNNNNNNNNNNNNNNNNNNNNNNNNNNNNNNNNNNNNNNNNNNNNNNNNNNNNNNNNNNNNNNNNNNNNNNNNNNNNNNNNNNNNNNNNNNNNNNNNNNNNNNNNNNNNNNNNNNNNNNNNNNNNNNNNNNNNNNNNNNNNNNNNNNNNNNNNNNNNNNNNNNNNNNNNNNNNNNNNNNNNNNNNNNNNNNNNNNNNNNNNNNNNNNNNNNNNNNNNNNNNNNNNNNNNNNNNNNNNNNNNNNNNNNNNNNNNNNNNNNNNNNNNNNNNNNNNNNNNNNNNNNNNNNNNNNNNNNNNNNNNNNNNNNNNNNNNNNNNNNNNNNNNNNNNNNNNNNNNNNNNNNNNNNNNNNNNNNNNNNNNNNNNNNNNNNNNNNNNNNNNNNNNNNNNNNNNNNNNNNNNNNNNNNNNNNNNNNNNNNNNNNNNNNNNNNNNNNNNNNNNNNNNNNNNNNNNNNNNNNNNNNNNNNNNNNNNNNNNNNNNNNNNNNNNNNNNNNNNNNNNNNNNNNNNNNNNNNNNNNNNNNNNNNNNNNNNNNNNNNNNNNNNNNNNNNNNNNNNNNNNNNNNNNNNNNNNNNNNNNNNNNNNNNNNNNNNNNNNNNNNNNNNNNNNNNNNNNNNNNNNNNNNNNNNNNNNNNNNNNNNNNNNNNNNNNNNNNNNNNNNNNNNNNNNNNNNNNNNNNNNNNNNNNNNNNNNNNNNNNNNNNNNNNNNNNNNNNNNNNNNNNNNNNNNNNNNNNNNNNNNNNNNNNNNNNNNNNNNNNNNNNNNNNNNNNNNNNNNNNNNNNNNNNNNNNNNNNNNNNNNNNNNNNNNNNNNNNNNNNNNNNNNNNNNNNNNNNNNNNNNNNNNNNNNNNNNNNNNNNNNNNNNNNNNNNNNNNNNNNNNNNNNNNNNNNNNNNNNNNNNNNNNNNNNNNNNNNNNNNNNNNNNNNNNNNNNNNNNNNNNNNNNNNNNNNNNNNNNNNNNNNNNNNNNNNNNNNNNNNNNNNNNNNNNNNNNNNNNNNNNNNNNNNNNNNNNNNNNNNNNNNNNNNNNNNNNNNNNNNNNNNNNNNNNNNNNNNNNNNNNNNNNNNNNNNNNNNNNNNNNNNNNNNNNNNNNNNNNNNNNNNNNNNNNNNNNNNNNNNNNNNNNNNNNNNNNNNNNNNNNNNNNNNNNNNNNNNNNNNNNNNNNNNNNNNNNNNNNNNNNNNNNNNNNNNNNNNNNNNNNNNNNNNNNNNNNNNNNNNNNNNNNNNNNNNNNNNNNNNNNNNNNNNNNNNNNNNNNNNNNNNNNNNNNNNNNNNNNNNNNNNNNNNNNNNNNNNNNNNNNNNNNNNNNNNNNNNNNNNNNNNNNNNNNNNNNNNNNNNNNNNNNNNNNNNNNNNNNNNNNNNNNNNNNNNNNNNNNNNNNNNNNNNNNNNNNNNNNNNNNNNNNNNNNNNNNNNNNNNNNNNNNNNNNNNNNNNNNNNNNNNNNNNNNNNNNNNNNNNNNNNNNNNNNNNNNNNNNNNNNNNNNNNNNNNNNNNNNNNNNNNNNNNNNNNNNNNNNNNNNNNNNNNNNNNNNNNNNNNNNNNNNNNNNNNNNNNNNNNNNNNNNNNNNNNNNNNNNNNNNNNNNNNNNNNNNNNNNNNNNNNNNNNNNNNNNNNNNNNNNNNNNNNNNNNNNNNNNNNNNNNNNNNNNNNNNNNNNNNNNNNNNNNNNNNNNNNNNNNNNNNNNNNNNNNNNNNNNNNNNNNNNNNNNNNNNNNNNNNNNNNNNNNNNNNNNNNNNNNNNNNNNNNNNNNNNNNNNNNNNNNNNNNNNNNNNNNNNNNNNNNNNNNNNNNNNNNNNNNNNNNNNNNNNNNNNNNNNNNNNNNNNNNNNNNNNNNNNNNNNNNNNNNNNNNNNNNNNNNNNNNNNNNNNNNNNNNNNNNNNNNNNNNNNNNNNNNNNNNNNNNNNNNNNNNNNNNNNNNNNNNNNNNNNNNNNNNNNNNNNNNNNNNNNNNNNNNNNNNNNNNNNNNNNNNNNNNNNNNNNNNNNNNNNNNNNNNNNNNNNNNNNNNNNNNNNNNNNNNNNNNNNNNNNNNNNNNNNNNNNNNNNNNNNNNNNNNNNNNNNNNNNNNNNNNNNNNNNNNNNNNNNNNNNNNNNNNNNNNNNNNNNNNNNNNNNNNNNNNNNNNNNNNNNNNNNNNNNNNNNNNNNNNNNNNNNNNNNNNNNNNNNNNNNNNNNNNNNNNNNNNNNNNNNNNNNNNNNNNNNNNNNNNNNNNNNNNNNNNNNNNNNNNNNNNNNNNNNNNNNNNNNNNNNNNNNNNNNNNNNNNNNNNNNNNNNNNNNNNNNNNNNNNNNNNNNNNNNNNNNNNNNNNNNNNNNNNNNNNNNNNNNNNNNNNNNNNNNNNNNNNNNNNNNNNNNNNNNNNNNNNNNNNNNNNNNNNNNNNNNNNNNNNNNNNNNNNNNNNNNNNNNNNNNNNNNNNNNNNNNNNNNNNNNNNNNNNNNNNNNNNNNNNNNNNNNNNNNNNNNNNNNNNNNNNNNNNNNNNNNNNNNNNNNNNNNNNNNNNNNNNNNNNNNNNNNNNNNNNNNNNNNNNNNNNNNNNNNNNNNNNNNNNNNNNNNNNNNNNNNNNNNNNNNNNNNNNNNNNNNNNNNNNNNNNNNNNNNNNNNNNNNNNNNNNNNNNNNNNNNNNNNNNNNNNNNNNNNNNNNNNNNNNNNNNNNNNNNNNNNNNNNNNNNNNNNNNNNNNNNNNNNNNNNNNNNNNNNNNNNNNNNNNNNNNNNNNNNNNNNNNNNNNNNNNNNNNNNNNNNNNNNNNNNNNNNNNNNNNNNNNNNNNNNNNNNNNNNNNNNNNNNNNNNNNNNNNNNNNNNNNNNNNNNNNNNNNNNNNNNNNNNNNNNNNNNNNNNNNNNNNNNNNNNNNNNNNNNNNNNNNNNNNNNNNNNNNNNNNNNNNNNNNNNNNNNNNNNNNNNNNNNNNNNNNNNNNNNNNNNNNNNNNNNNNNNNNNNNNNNNNNNNNNNNNNNNNNNNNNNNNNNNNNNNNNNNNNNNNNNNNNNNNNNNNNNNNNNNNNNNNNNNNNNNNNNNNNNNNNNNNNNNNNNNNNNNNNNNNNNNNNNNNNNNNNNNNNNNNNNNNNNNNNNNNNNNNNNNNNNNNNNNNNNNNNNNNNNNNNNNNNNNNNNNNNNNNNNNNNNNNNNNNNNNNNNNNNNNNNNNNNNNNNNNNNNNNNNNNNNNNNNNNNNNNNNNNNNNNNNNNNNNNNNNNNNNNNNNNNNNNNNNNNNNNNNNNNNNNNNNNNNNNNNNNNNNNNNNNNNNNNNNNNNNNNNNNNNNNNNNNNNNNNNNNNNNNNNNNNNNNNNNNNNNNNNNNNNNNNNNNNNNNNNNNNNNNNNNNNNNNNNNNNNNNNNNNNNNNNNNNNNNNNNNNNNNNNNNNNNNNNNNNNNNNNNNNNNNNNNNNNNNNNNNNNNNNNNNNNNNNNNNNNNNNNNNNNNNNNNNNNNNNNNNNNNNNNNNNNNNNNNNNNNNNNNNNNNNNNNNNNNNNNNNNNNNNNNNNNNNNNNNNNNNNNNNNNNNNNNNNNNNNNNNNNNNNNNNNNNNNNNNNNNNNNNNNNNNNNNNNNNNNNNNNNNNNNNNNNNNNNNNNNNNNNNNNNNNNNNNNNNNNNNNNNNNNNNNNNNNNNNNNNNNNNNNNNNNNNNNNNNNNNNNNNNNNNNNNNNNNNNNNNNNNNNNNNNNNNNNNNNNNNNNNNNNNNNNNNNNNNNNNNNNNNNNNNNNNNNNNNNNNNNNNNNNNNNNNNNNNNNNNNNNNNNNNNNNNNNNNNNNNNNNNNNNNNNNNNNNNNNNNNNNNNNNNNNNNNNNNNNNNNNNNNNNNNNNNNNNNNNNNNNNNNNNNNNNNNNNNNNNNNNNNNNNNNNNNNNNNNNNNNNNNNNNNNNNNNNNNNNNNNNNNNNNNNNNNNNNNNNNNNNNNNNNNNNNNNNNNNNNNNNNNNNNNNNNNNNNNNNNNNNNNNNNNNNNNNNNNNNNNNNNNNNNNNNNNNNNNNNNNNNNNNNNNNNNNNNNNNNNNNNNNNNNNNNNNNNNNNNNNNNNNNNNNNNNNNNNNNNNNNNNNNNNNNNNNNNNNNNNNNNNNNNNNNNNNNNNNNNNNNNNNNNNNNNNNNNNNNNNNNNNNNNNNNNNNNNNNNNNNNNNNNNNNNNNNNNNNNNNNNNNNNNNNNNNNNNNNNNNNNNNNNNNNNNNNNNNNNNNNNNNNNNNNNNNNNNNNNNNNNNNNNNNNNNNNNNNNNNNNNNNNNNNNNNNNNNNNNNNNNNNNNNNNNNNNNNNNNNNNNNNNNNNNNNNNNNNNNNNNNNNNNNNNNNNNNNNNNNNNNNNNNNNNNNNNNNNNNNNNNNNNNNNNNNNNNNNNNNNNNNNNNNNNNNNNNNNNNNNNNNNNNNNNNNNNNNNNNNNNNNNNNNNNNNNNNNNNNNNNNNNNNNNNNNNNNNNNNNNNNNNNNNNNNNNNNNNNNNNNNNNNNNNNNNNNNNNNNNNNNNNNNNNNNNNNNNNNNNNNNNNNNNNNNNNNNNNNNNNNNNNNNNNNNNNNNNNNNNNNNNNNNNNNNNNNNNNNNNNNNNNNNNNNNNNNNNNNNNNNNNNNNNNNNNNNNNNNNNNNNNNNNNNNNNNNNNNNNNNNNNNNNNNNNNNNNNNNNNNNNNNNNNNNNNNNNNNNNNNNNNNNNNNNNNNNNNNNNNNNNNNNNNNNNNNNNNNNNNNNNNNNNNNNNNNNNNNNNNNNNNNNNNNNNNNNNNNNNNNNNNNNNNNNNNNNNNNNNNNNNNNNNNNNNNNNNNNNNNNNNNNNNNNNNNNNNNNNNNNNNNNNNNNNNNNNNNNNNNNNNNNNNNNNNNNNNNNNNNNNNNNNNNNNNNNNNNNNNNNNNNNNNNNNNNNNNNNNNNNNNNNNNNNNNNNNNNNNNNNNNNNNNNNNNNNNNNNNNNNNNNNNNNNNNNNNNNNNNNNNNNNNNNNNNNNNNNNNNNNNNNNNNNNNNNNNNNNNNNNNNNNNNNNNNNNNNNNNNNNNNNNNNNNNNNNNNNNNNNNNNNNNNNNNNNNNNNNNNNNNNNNNNNNNNNNNNNNNNNNNNNNNNNNNNNNNNNNNNNNNNNNNNNNNNNNNNNNNNNNNNNNNNNNNNNNNNNNNNNNNNNNNNNNNNNNNNNNNNNNNNNNNNNNNNNNNNNNNNNNNNNNNNNNNNNNNNNNNNNNNNNNNNNNNNNNNNNNNNNNNNNNNNNNNNNNNNNNNNNNNNNNNNNNNNNNNNNNNNNNNNNNNNNNNNNNNNNNNNNNNNNNNNNNNNNNNNNNNNNNNNNNNNNNNNNNNNNNNNNNNNNNNNNNNNNNNNNNNNNNNNNNNNNNNNNNNNNNNNNNNNNNNNNNNNNNNNNNNNNNNNNNNNNNNNNNNNNNNNNNNNNNNNNNNNNNNNNNNNNNNNNNNNNNNNNNNNNNNNNNNNNNNNNNNNNNNNNNNNNNNNNNNNNNNNNNNNNNNNNNNNNNNNNNNNNNNNNNNNNNNNNNNNNNNNNNNNNNNNNNNNNNNNNNNNNNNNNNNNNNNNNNNNNNNNNNNNNNNNNNNNNNNNNNNNNNNNNNNNNNNNNNNNNNNNNNNNNNNNNNNNNNNNNNNNNNNNNNNNNNNNNNNNNNNNNNNNNNNNNNNNNNNNNNNNNNNNNNNNNNNNNNNNNNNNNNNNNNNNNNNNNNNNNNNNNNNNNNNNNNNNNNNNNNNNNNNNNNNNNNNNNNNNNNNNNNNNNNNNNNNNNNNNNNNNNNNNNNNNNNNNNNNNNNNNNNNNNNNNNNNNNNNNNNNNNNNNNNNNNNNNNNNNNNNNNNNNNNNNNNNNNNNNNNNNNNNNNNNNNNNNNNNNNNNNNNNNNNNNNNNNNNNNNNNNNNNNNNNNNNNNNNNNNNNNNNNNNNNNNNNNNNNNNNNNNNNNNNNNNNNNNNNNNNNNNNNNNNNNNNNNNNNNNNNNNNNNNNNNNNNNNNNNNNNNNNNNNNNNNNNNNNNNNNNNNNNNNNNNNNNNNNNNNNNNNNNNNNNNNNNNNNNNNNNNNNNNNNNNNNNNNNNNNNNNNNNNNNNNNNNNNNNNNNNNNNNNNNNNNNNNNNNNNNNNNNNNNNNNNNNNNNNNNNNNNNNNNNNNNNNNNNNNNNNNNNNNNNNNNNNNNNNNNNNNNNNNNNNNNNNNNNNNNNNNNNNNNNNNNNNNNNNNNNNNNNNNNNNNNNNNNNNNNNNNNNNNNNNNNNNNNNNNNNNNNNNNNNNNNNNNNNNNNNNNNNNNNNNNNNNNNNNNNNNNNNNNNNNNNNNNNNNNNNNNNNNNNNNNNNNNNNNNNNNNNNNNNNNNNNNNNNNNNNNNNNNNNNNNNNNNNNNNNNNNNNNNNNNNNNNNNNNNNNNNNNNNNNNNNNNNNNNNNNNNNNNNNNNNNNNNNNNNNNNNNNNNNNNNNNNNNNNNNNNNNNNNNNNNNNNNNNNNNNNNNNNNNNNNNNNNNNNNNNNNNNNNNNNNNNNNNNNNNNNNNNNNNNNNNNNNNNNNNNNNNNNNNNNNNNNNNNNNNNNNNNNNNNNNNNNNNNNNNNNNNNNNNNNNNNNNNNNNNNNNNNNNNNNNNNNNNNNNNNNNNNNNNNNNNNNNNNNNNNNNNNNNNNNNNNNNNNNNNNNNNNNNNNNNNNNNNNNNNNNNNNNNNNNNNNNNNNNNNNNNNNNNNNNNNNNNNNNNNNNNNNNNNNNNNNNNNNNNNNNNNNNNNNNNNNNNNNNNNNNNNNNNNNNNNNNNNNNNNNNNNNNNNNNNNNNNNNNNNNNNNNNNNNNNNNNNNNNNNNNNNNNNNNNNNNNNNNNNNNNNNNNNNNNNNNNNNNNNNNNNNNNNNNNNNNNNNNNNNNNNNNNNNNNNNNNNNNNNNNNNNNNNNNNNNNNNNNNNNNNNNNNNNNNNNNNNNNNNNNNNNNNNNNNNNNNNNNNNNNNNNNNNNNNNNNNNNNNNNNNNNNNNNNNNNNNNNNNNNNNNNNNNNNNNNNNNNNNNNNNNNNNNNNNNNNNNNNNNNNNNNNNNNNNNNNNNNNNNNNNNNNNNNNNNNNNNNNNNNNNNNNNNNNNNNNNNNNNNNNNNNNNNNNNNNNNNNNNNNNNNNNNNNNNNNNNNNNNNNNNNNNNNNNNNNNNNNNNNNNNNNNNNNNNNNNNNNNNNNNNNNNNNNNNNNNNNNNNNNNNNNNNNNNNNNNNNNNNNNNNNNNNNNNNNNNNNNNNNNNNNNNNNNNNNNNNNNNNNNNNNNNNNNNNNNNNNNNNNNNNNNNNNNNNNNNNNNNNNNNNNNNNNNNNNNNNNNNNNNNNNNNNNNNNNNNNNNNNNNNNNNNNNNNNNNNNNNNNNNNNNNNNNNNNNNNNNNNNNNNNNNNNNNNNNNNNNNNNNNNNNNNNNNNNNNNNNNNNNNNNNNNNNNNNNNNNNNNNNNNNNNNNNNNNNNNNNNNNNNNNNNNNNNNNNNNNNNNNNNNNNNNNNNNNNNNNNNNNNNNNNNNNNNNNNNNNNNNNNNNNNNNNNNNNNNNNNNNNNNNNNNNNNNNNNNNNNNNNNNNNNNNNNNNNNNNNNNNNNNNNNNNNNNNNNNNNNNNNNNNNNNNNNNNNNNNNNNNNNNNNNNNNNNNNNNNNNNNNNNNNNNNNNNNNNNNNNNNNNNNNNNNNNNNNNNNNNNNNNNNNNNNNNNNNNNNNNNNNNNNNNNNNNNNNNNNNNNNNNNNNNNNNNNNNNNNNNNNNNNNNNNNNNNNNNNNNNNNNNNNNNNNNNNNNNNNNNNNNNNNNNNNNNNNNNNNNNNNNNNNNNNNNNNNNNNNNNNNNNNNNNNNNNNNNNNNNNNNNNNNNNNNNNNNNNNNNNNNNNNNNNNNNNNNNNNNNNNNNNNNNNNNNNNNNNNNNNNNNNNNNNNNNNNNNNNNNNNNNNNNNNNNNNNNNNNNNNNNNNNNNNNNNNNNNNNNNNNNNNNNNNNNNNNNNNNNNNNNNNNNNNNNNNNNNNNNNNNNNNNNNNNNNNNNNNNNNNNNNNNNNNNNNNNNNNNNNNNNNNNNNNNNNNNNNNNNNNNNNNNNNNNNNNNNNNNNNNNNNNNNNNNNNNNNNNNNNNNNNNNNNNNNNNNNNNNNNNNNNNNNNNNNNNNNNNNNNNNNNNNNNNNNNNNNNNNNNNNNNNNNNNNNNNNNNNNNNNNNNNNNNNNNNNNNNNNNNNNNNNNNNNNNNNNNNNNNNNNNNNNNNNNNNNNNNNNNNNNNNNNNNNNNNNNNNNNNNNNNNNNNNNNNNNNNNNNNNNNNNNNNNNNNNNNNNNNNNNNNNNNNNNNNNNNNNNNNNNNNNNNNNNNNNNNNNNNNNNNNNNNNNNNNNNNNNNNNNNNNNNNNNNNNNNNNNNNNNNNNNNNNNNNNNNNNNNNNNNNNNNNNNNNNNNNNNNNNNNNNNNNNNNNNNNNNNNNNNNNNNNNNNNNNNNNNNNNNNNNNNNNNNNNNNNNNNNNNNNNNNNNNNNNNNNNNNNNNNNNNNNNNNNNNNNNNNNNNNNNNNNNNNNNNNNNNNNNNNNNNNNNNNNNNNNNNNNNNNNNNNNNNNNNNNNNNNNNNNNNNNNNNNNNNNNNNNNNNNNNNNNNNNNNNNNNNNNNNNNNNNNNNNNNNNNNNNNNNNNNNNNNNNNNNNNNNNNNNNNNNNNNNNNNNNNNNNNNNNNNNNNNNNNNNNNNNNNNNNNNNNNNNNNNNNNNNNNNNNNNNNNNNNNNNNNNNNNNNNNNNNNNNNNNNNNNNNNNNNNNNNNNNNNNNNNNNNNNNNNNNNNNNNNNNNNNNNNNNNNNNNNNNNNNNNNNNNNNNNNNNNNNNNNNNNNNNNNNNNNNNNNNNNNNNNNNNNNNNNNNNNNNNNNNNNNNNNNNNNNNNNNNNNNNNNNNNNNNNNNNNNNNNNNNNNNNNNNNNNNNNNNNNNNNNNNNNNNNNNNNNNNNNNNNNNNNNNNNNNNNNNNNNNNNNNNNNNNNNNNNNNNNNNNNNNNNNNNNNNNNNNNNNNNNNNNNNNNNNNNNNNNNNNNNNNNNNNNNNNNNNNNNNNNNNNNNNNNNNNNNNNNNNNNNNNNNNNNNNNNNNNNNNNNNNNNNNNNNNNNNNNNNNNNNNNNNNNNNNNNNNNNNNNNNNNNNNNNNNNNNNNNNNNNNNNNNNNNNNNNNNNNNNNNNNNNNNNNNNNNNNNNNNNNNNNNNNNNNNNNNNNNNNNNNNNNNNNNNNNNNNNNNNNNNNNNNNNNNNNNNNNNNNNNNNNNNNNNNNNNNNNNNNNNNNNNNNNNNNNNNNNNNNNNNNNNNNNNNNNNNNNNNNNNNNNNNNNNNNNNNNNNNNNNNNNNNNNNNNNNNNNNNNNNNNNNNNNNNNNNNNNNNNNNNNNNNNNNNNNNNNNNNNNNNNNNNNNNNNNNNNNNNNNNNNNNNNNNNNNNNNNNNNNNNNNNNNNNNNNNNNNNNNNNNNNNNNNNNNNNNNNNNNNNNNNNNNNNNNNNNNNNNNNNNNNNNNNNNNNNUGUAUUCUUAUUCGGCUUUCUUUUUUGGUUCUUAAAAUAACCGAUCAAACGAAUGUUGAUUAUUUCUUUUCUUUUCUUAUUUUUAUUUCGAUCACAAUUCACAGUGAGUCAGAAAGAUGAACAUAUGAUGACAUGAUUCUGGCUUUUCUUUCUGUCUGUGGACCCACCAUUCACUUAUUAGAAAGAGGACCUUAACGCUUGCUUCCUUUUCACAGUUUUGUAGACUGCGGCACUAUAUAAAUCCUCUUGCAAGGGGCAAGUUGCCUCGUAAAUUGCUCAUCUACUUCUUCGAGAUAAGCGAUGGAAAAAAACUUCACGAAGAAACUCAACAAUACUGUAUAAGAGAUUUCCCGAGACGCCAAGUGUGGACAUUUAGUUGUAGAGUCCCACCAGGAGGGGGUUCGAAACCAGCCCUUUCUGGGGAUUGGUUUUCAUUUGUUCGUUCAAAGGACCUCAAGGCCGGCGACGCAAUAGAAAUUGCCUUGGAUAGAGAGAAGGAUCAAGCUGGUGGAUCACAAUUCACAGUCAAGGUCAAGAAAACAACUUCAACAACUCGGAACUAGUCCAUUCCAUUUGCAUGCAGAAUCUUGUGAGCCCUUGAAAGAAUGAAUUUUAAAUCAAUUGCACGUCUCUUGAAUAAUUAGGGUCAGUUAUAGUUGUGCGUUCGAGUCUUCAUCUUCAAAUUGAUUGCCUGGAAAAUAGAUGUUCUUGGCAGUUAACAGGUCCAGAUGGUAUUCAGUACUGCAUCAAAACAAUGGAAACCAAAAUGGUUUAAUUUCUUCUGAUAGUAAUGAUUGACCCCAUAACGGGAACAGUAUAUUAGUUAGUUCCACACCAUGACGAGUGGUCUUCGUUUUCAUUUUAGUUGCUGCGGAAACACACGUUGACAGAGAAGAUGCAAAUAAACACGUCUUCUUCAAAUUCAAACAUGCCCUAAUCUAUCUAUUGAAGAUGUGAUAUACUGAUAUCUAGAGAGAUAACUUAAUCUAUCUAUUGAAGUAAUGCAUUUAAAUGCGUAUACAAUGUUUUUGGAACAUUAAAUAUCUAUUUGAUUAGAAUCUGAUGGGGCAAUAGGUGAUGCAGGCAUAAACUAGAAAGUCGGCAAACAAACACAAAGAAAAUAGAUUUAUUGAGCAGGUUGCAAACUUAAACUCUAAAUUCGCAAUUUAUUAUUUUUAAAAAAAUUCUAAUGAUGUUUGCCUCUCAAAGAGGUUUCUAAAACAUUUAAAUAUACUAGAAAACCUAUCCCUAUUGGAAAACAAAAUCAGAAUUCAAAAGCAUAAACAAAACUAUAUAAAAUCUUAAAUAAAACAAUAAAUUCAAAAAAAUCAAGAAAAAAUAACAAAAUUAAAUCAAAUAGGAUCUUAUGAACCUAAUUUCAGGGGAUCCGAACAUCGGAUGAUUAACAAAAUAUGUUUUCAAUUGAGAUAGGUCUCGAGAAUCUUCAAUAAAAAUUUAAUAUGUAUCCAAUAGUUAAUUUUUUUUAUAGCCUCUUUUAGUCACUACUCUAGUGUAGCAUAUCCAAGUGGACCUUAACUUGUUAUAAUAAUUCAUAAAAAAAAAAAUCUACCUUCAGUAAUAAAUUCUCGUAUAAAUACUCUGUACAUUUAGUUUUCACAAGUGUAAUUGCAUCAAUAGGCCUCUAAAAGUGAUCAUGAAAGACUUUUUUCUUUGGAUCUUCUCAUGCCCAGCAAGCAUUAAAGAGUCUGAAGCUUAAGCUAUGAUUACACUUGAUAUUAGCUCUUCUAGUCAUCAUGCUAAUUAAAUGGAACUGAUUAUUGUAAGGUCUUAACAAGUUGGGCAUAAACCUGAUUUCGUUGAAUCUACUUUGGAUCGUGUAUAUUUUAUUUAUUUAUUUUUGGAUGGCUCUAGUGAGGCCCAUAGAGUUUUUUUACCUAAUAAAAGAAGCCCAUAAUUGGUCUUAUACGGUGGCCUUCUCUGAAGUCUAGUUUUAGCCCAUUAUAUAUAAGUUUAUUAGCUGGCUAUUUGCUUUUAAUGUGCCACGUAGCACCUAAACUAACUUCAUGAAGGAACAAGGUUUAUUUAACACACGAAUCCUAGAAAAAGAAAACAGCAAUAAACUAUAAGAAAAACUCAUAAGUCUGAAUGUUUUUGAAAAUUGAUUAUUGAGUUUCAAAUAACAAAAAGAACAAAGAAAAAGAGUUCAAUUAGUUUUUCAUAAUCAAUCACUAGCUGAGCAGAAAACAAUUAGUAUAAAACUCAAAAUUAAUAUUAAAAUAAAAGGAAAUGCUAGAUAUUAAAGCUAAAUCUUUAAAACAUGAGCAAUCUAGGAUGGUUCUAAAUAUCGUUGUUGAGUUGACAUUGCUCAUACAAUAAAUAAAUAAAUAAAAUAUGGUCUGUCAAAAAACCAUCUCAACCUAUAAACUUAAGCUUUUAGGUGAGAUCCCAAGAAAUAAUUUAUAUUAUUCUCUAACACACCCUCUCAAGUGAAAGCCUUUUGGGCUUGAAACUUGCACAGACCCACAUUACCUGUGCUUAAUUUUUAUCAAAUAAAUGAGGAUUGUGAGAUUCAAACUCGUGACUGCUUGAUCAUCAAGGCUCUGAUAUCAUGUCAAGGAACCAUCUCAACCUAAAAACUUAAGUUUUUAGGUGAGGUCUUAAGAAAUUAUUUAUAUUAUUCUCUAACAUAGACAUACUAUGUAUUUUUUAAUAAUUUAUUUUGGUCCUUGAAAUUUUAUUUUGUGCAAUUUAAUCCUAAUUAAAAGUCAAUUACAUCUUAAUUCUUAGUCAAUAGUGAAAUUGAAAGAAGGAAGAUCAAAAUGAAAAAGACACUAAACAUGGAUGGCGUGCCAGAGAUUACAUAAAAAAUACACUUAGAUCUUCGAUCUUUAAAAAUAAUGCAAUGUAUAAAAUUUAGAUCUUCUUAGAUUUUAAAAAAUAAUUUUUGGUAUAAAAGUUGAUUUUUUUUUAAUCCCUGGAUAGAGACACUACCAGAAAUUCGCUAAAUAGCAACGGAUUUACCGACGGAAUAUUUCUGUCGGUAAUUUGAGGUUGAAAUUACCGACGGAUAAUAUUCUGUCCGUAAUUCAGUCGGUAACUACCGACAGAAAGUUUCCUUCGGUAGUUACCGACUGAAUUACAGACGGAAAAGUUUCCGUCGUAAAAAAAAAGGCGGGUCGCUGACGUGGAGGUUUUGGCGGGUUAUUUUUUCAGACGGGAUCACCGACGGAUUUGAAAUGGCAGAUCCGUACGGUGAUGUGUCGAUUGUUCCAUCAGAAGCAUCGACGGUUUCACCGAUGAAAUGUCCGUCGGUAAAAGUUAAUUUAUGUCCAAUCUACCGACCCUCUCCUCCCCUAUUUCUCCUUUUUCUUCCUAAUCCCAACUCUCCCCAUCUGCAAACAACCAGCCCCCCCUCCCCCCCAAACAAAAAUCUCCCUCAUAUCAGCACAACAAGUUAUAUUUCUUGAAGUUUUGUGGUCACAGCAUCCGUGUUCUGAUUUACCGAUGGAUUUUAUCAAUUUUUGUAAGUAAUUCUAUCUUUUUAAAUUUUAACAUUUAAUUAAAUGUCAAUUUUAUUAUUUUUUUAGUAUAUGUAUUUUGUUAGUAGAUGUACAUGUUGUAUUAUUAUUUCUCAAACAAACUUGUAGUAUAUGAAUGUAUAAUUCUAUACCUGUUAUGGUUUGUUUUAGAUUUUGUAAGAUUGUAUUUGUUUGUAAAUUGUUAAAACUUUAUGGAACUACCGACGUACAUGUGUUGUUUUGAAAUAAUUAAUAGCUUGCUUAAUGGGUUCGUUUAAAGUUUUAUCAAUGGUAUUGUGGAGUGGUAAUUUCUGUAAAUUUAUAUAUUUUAAUUUGUAUGGACGUUGAUAAAUGAUAAUGAAUAUUUAAUAUUUAUGAGAAGUUGUGAUUGGUUUGUUGGAUAAUCUCGAGGUAAAGUAAUAUUUUUGCAAGUUUAUUUACCUAACUUAGUUAAUUAAUACAUGAUGUCAUCAUAAUUUUAUAGAGGUUCGAUAUAAAUCAUGGAAGAUCGUUCAUGGAUGUAUCGAGAUUCACCCCAAGGAUUGCGGAGGAUGGAUUAUUGUAAUGGGGUUCAGGGUUUUAUUAAUUUUGCAACAUCUAUUCCUAGAAAUUUUACUGGAGGCGGUAUUAGGUGUCCAUGCAGGAAGUGUCAAAAUAAAAAGUAUUUGCAUCCAGAUGUUGUAAUGAUGCAUCUUCUACACAAAGGGUUUAUGGAGAAUUACCAGUAUUGGUAUGCACAUGGAGAAGUAUAUGUUAGUGAGAGGAGAAUGGAAGAAACAGUGGUUGGGUCUACUUCUAGUGCUAGCAACGUGUAUGAAGCGGCAAAUGACAACACUAAUCCUUACAGAAAUAUGGUUAUGGAUGCAAUGAGAAUGAAUCAAGGUAAUGUCAGUCAAUGUCCAAUCGUAGAAGAAGAACCUAAUGUAGAUGCAGCUAGGUUUUUUGAUUUGUUGAAAGAUUCUGACGAACCAUUAUGGGAUGGCUGCACGAACCACAGUAAAUUAUCGGCCGUAGCACAGGUGUUCACCGUCAAGUCAGAUCACGGGUUGAGUGAGGCCGGGUAUGACAAGAUUAUUGGAUGGGCAAGAAGCAUUUUACCUGAAGAGAACAGGCUGAAAGAGAACUUCUAUGCUGCGAAGUCUAUGAUGAAACCCCUCGGUUUAGGAUACCAGAAAGUGUAGGUACAGGAGAUGCUACUAUGCCAUACUACCUUGAAAAUGCUGAGAUGACCAAGUGCAUGACAUGCGGGCAUUUCCGUUUACAACCUAAAACUGCAAGGGAAAGACUCUAGUGGCAUAUAAANNNNNNNNNNNNNNNNNNNNNNNNNNNNNNNNNNNNNNNNNNNNNNNNNNNNNNNNNNNNNNNNNNNNNNNNNNNNNNNNNNNNNNNNNNNNNNNNNNNNNNNNNNNNNNNNNNNNNNNNNNNNNNNNNNNNNNNNNNNNNNNNNNNNNNAGUGUUCAUCCUCACUUUUCAGCUGAAUCAAGGAAUGUGUGUCUUGGGUUGUGUACAGACGGAUUCAACCCAUAUGGGUCAUUUGCUGCUCAUUAUUCUUGUUGGCUGGUCAUACUCACAGUUUAUAACUUGCCACCGGGAAUGUGUAUGAGGCCGGAGUUCAUGUUUUUAUAUACUGUCAUACCCGGUCCAAGCAGCCCGGGGCGGAAUAUAGAUGUUUGUCUUUGACCGUUGAUUGAUGAGUUGGCGCAGUUGUGGUCCUCCGGAGCUCUGACUUAUGAUAUAUCAAGGAAACAAAAUUUCCUUAUAAGGGCGGCUUUGAUGUGGACUAUCAAUGAUUUUAUAGCUUAUGGAAUGCUUUCUAGUUGGAGCACGCAUGGGAAACUCGCAUGUCCAUACUGCAUGGAAAACAACAAGGCAUUCACGCUAGCAAAUGGAGGUAAAGCUUUUUUUUUUUACUGUCACCGUCGCUUCUUGCCACUUAAUCACAGGUACAGAAAGAACAGAAAAGAUUUCUUUGUUGAUAGAGUUGAAAAAGAUGUUGCAUCCCCGCAUCUUUCUAGUGAAGAAUUGCAUGAUAUUGUCUCAGAGUACGGUGACAUUGUGUUUGGCCUUCAAUCAGGUAAGCAAAAGUUUCCUGGUUUUGGUUUGACCCAUAAUUGGGUAAAGCGAAGUAUCUUUUGGGAGCUUCAUUAUUGGAAGACCAAUCUGCUUGGCCAUAACCUUGAUGUCAUGCACAUCGAAAAGAACAUGUUUGAGAACAUUUUCAACACCGUCAUGGAUGUGAAGGGGAAGACAAAGGACAACAUCAAGGCUAGAUUGGAUAUAGCUUUAUACUGUAACUAUAAAAAUAUUGAGUUGGUUUAUGAUGAGUCACGGGUCGCAAAACCAAGAGCAAGCUUCGUGUUAAAGAAAAACGCAUAACUGCUAGUCUACAAAUGGCUUAAGAGUCUGUGUUUUCCGGAUGGACAUGCAUCGAACAUAUCAAGGCUGGUUAAUAUAGAGGAGUGCAAAUUGUAUGGAAUGAAGAGUCAUGACUGCCACGUGUUUAUGCAAACAGUCAUCCCAUUAGCUUUUCGUGAUUUGUUGCCAAAGGGAAUAUGGGAAGCACUCACGGAGAUCAUUCAUUUCUUCAGAGAUAUAUGCUCCAGCAAGUUGAAUGUUGAUCACAUUGAGAGGCUUCAAACGAAUAUCGUCGAGACACUAUGCAAACUUGAGAUGAUAUUCCCUCAAUCAUUUUUUGACUUAAUGGAGCAUCUCCCUAUACAUCUACCGUUUGAGGCAAAAGCUGGAGGACCGGUCCAAUAUAGAUGGAUGUACCCAUUCGAACGGUUAGAUAUUACAGUUGCAAUGUAAUUCAUAUAUAAAAGUAUUUUAUAUGUUUUUUUUAAUUGAAAAUACUUGAUUAAUAUUUCAAUGCAGGUACUUGUUUAAUCUCAAGAAAAAGGUUAAGAACAAGGCGCAUGUUGAGGCUUCGAUAUGUGAGGCCUAUAUUGUUGAGGAGAUCUCAACAUUUGUCUCGUACUAUUUCGAACCUCAUCUGAGAACGAGAAUCAAUCACGUUCCACUGCAUGAUGAUGGCGAUGAAGUGCCUUCCAGUGGGAACUUGUCAAUAUUCUCCAAUAUUGGAUGACCCACACCUAAAAAUGCCGUAAGAGGAAGAUAUUUGUCGGAAAUAGAGUUCAAACAAGCACACAACUAUGUUCUAUUUAACUCUGAUGAGCUGAGACCUUUUAUUCAGUAAGUUUAUACUAAUUAAACUUUGUUAGUAAUAUACUAUUAAUUAUAUAUUGUAAUAUCAUACACUCAUCAUCACUUGUAGGCAACAUCGACAAUAUUUGCUCUCCAAUAACUCACAGCUGACCGAAUCCCAGAUCUUUCAAUUACAAGAUGAACAGUUUGCCACGUGGUUUAGAACACAUGUAAGCACUAUCACAAACUCAUUCUAGCUUGCAAAAUUACUGUACGUAUGCAUGUCAUUACGAGAUUCUCGUUCAUUUACUGUUUAUUGAUGUACAUUACAUACAAGGUUUAUCAAAUGGGAAGGAAUGCGCCUAAGUCAUUGUCUUCACUAAGCGUAGGGCCUGAAAGAAGAUGUAAGUGGUACAACAGGUAUUUUGUCAAUGGAUAUGUUUUCCAUACUGAAGAAUACGGGCAAGGAAGAAAGACAUACAACAACGGUGUUUGUGUUAAGGAAUCCACUAGUAGUGAGUUAGAAGUUGACUACUAUGGUAGAUUAGAAGAGGUCGUCGAACUGCAAUAUCAUAACGAACAGAAUAGAGUGUUUUUAUUCAAAUGCUAUUGGUAUGACACGACUGACAGAGGAAUCAGAGUUGAUCUGCACUAUGGUUUGGUCGAAAUCAACUCAAAAGCUAGACUCCGCAACAUAAACAAUGUCUUUGUUUUUGCAAAGCAAUGUCAACAAGUUUAUUACACAUACACCUCUUCAUUUAGAAAGGAUUGAUCAAGAGUUGAUUGGUUGUCCGUUUUAAAAAUGAAACCCCAGGGUCGUGUCGAGGUUGUUUAGGAUGAGAACGAAGACACAAGUGUGCAAGAUGAAGUCUUUCAAGUUAGUGAGCUGGUUGAACCAUAUCGAGUUGCUCCUUCGAUUGAAUUGGAAGAAAAUUCAAAUUUUCGUGUUUUCGAUGAUAGUCUUGUUGAUGUUGAUGCAGAGAAGUUGAAUGUUGUUUUGAGCUCUAGCGGACAAGCAAAUAUGGAUGAAGAAGACGAUAUCCAUAUUGAAGAUUGCGAUGAGGGUCAUGACAAUUCAAUUGAUGACGAAGAAGAAGAAAAUUCUGACUAACAAUCAAAUUUAAGCCCUGUGUAAAACCCUUUCUUUCAUGUAAUUUAGAUUAUGGAUGAUAUAUUUUGUAACACGAAAUAUUUAUUACUUGAAAUGCCACAAUCACGAAAUAAUUACUUGAAAUAAUUAUAGAUCAUGGAUGAUAUAUUUUGUAACACGAAAAUACCACAAUCACUGACGUCCGUACCGACGAAUAUAUGUUCGUCGGCAUUUCACAGAGAGUUCGAAAAUAAUUACUUGAAAUGCCACAAUCACCGACGUCUAUACCGACGGACUUAGUCCGUUGGCAUGUCACAGAGAGUUCGAAAAUAAUUACUUGAAAUGCCACACUCACUGACGACCAUACCGACGAAUAUAAGUACGUCAGCAAGUUGUCGGUGGGUCAAUUUUACCGACGACAUUACCGACGGACCGCGCGAAUUCCAAAGGGUUGUGCAUUGAAUGCAUCUUUGACUGCGUCAGAUCGUCGACGGAAUUACUGACGGACCACGAAAAAUAUGGAGGGUCAUUAAAAAUUUUGGUACAAAAUUUGAAAUGUACCGACGGAUUUUUGACAUUUCACCGACGGAAUAAAUUAAAGUAAUAAUUAAUUUUAUAUCCGUCGGUAAAACUGCCAUAUAAAUCCCCCCAACCGCCCCUUCAGUUCAUUGUUUCUUCUCCCCUCAGUUUUUCAUCGAUUUUCUCCUCAGUUUUUCACUGAUUCUUUUCCUCUCCGUUCUUCAAAGGUUUCACCUGCAAUCUCUAGCAAUUUUUCUCGUGAAUCUCCAUCAGUUUAAAUGGUAUGUAUGUUUUUUUGCUAUUUUUGCUUCUUUUUUUUGUAUGCUUUUUUGGUAUGUUUUUUUUUUGGUGUAUUUUUUGUAAUGUAGAUAAAGUCUAUAGUUUUUUUGCAUAAUUCAGUGCUAAAGUCUAUAGUUUUAUUUUUUUGAAUUUAUUGAAUAUUUUUUAUUGUUGUAUUGGCAUAAUUAUUAUUAGUUUAUUUGUUGAAUAUUUAUUGUUAAUGUUGAAUUUACCAUAGAAUUAGUAAUUGAAUAUGUUUGAAUAAUUAUUAAUUUUACUCUAUUAUUGCAUGAUUUGUGUUUAAUGUUUUGCAUUUAUUUUGAUUGUUAUUCUAGAGUUUUUUUUUUAAUUUAUUGUUUUGUUGUAUUGGUAUAAUUAUUGAAUAAUUUUUUGAAUUGUAAUUGUUAAUGUUGAAUUUACCUUAGUAUUAGUAAUUGAAUAUUUUGGAAUAAUUCUUAAUUUUACUCUAUUAUUGCAUGAUUUAUGUUUAACUUUUUUCAAUUAAUUUUAAUUGUUAGUCUACAGUUUUUUUUAUUUAUUGAAUAUAUUUUAUUGUUGUAUUGGCAUAAUUAUUGAAUAAUUUGUUGAAUUGUAAUUCUUAAUGUUGAAUUUACCUUAGGAUUAGUAAUUGAAUAUGUUGGAAUAAUUAGUAUAGAUUGGGUCAAUUGGUUGUGGCUUUUGUUAAUAUGUGCAGGUUUGUGGAUUUGGGUAGUAUCCGGUAUAAGGGAGGUGCUGUCGAAUUUUUUUUUAACUUUUGAAUUUAAUUAUAUAAUUAUUUGUAUAAAAUUGUGGAGAUGCGUAGAAUGAAAACCAGAGCUGGUCGCUCAAGUACGGUCGUAGCUAGUUCGUCUAGCAGCGAUGAUGAUAUUUCCUUAGGUGCCUCUCAAGAAGAGGCACCUACACCACCUGCGCCUUCAAUCGAUGCUGCCUCUUCCAGCGGUACUUCACAACGCAGAGGCGGCGUGCCUUUGCAGUGGAAUCAAUUUACCUGCAAGUACGAGGCACGGUGGAAGGACGACCUUUCAAUUUAAGUUUGUUAAGGUUUAAUUUUUUUAAAAAAAAAUUACAACAUAAUUUAUGAAGUAAUCACUAUUUAAUUUAUUUCAUUUAUUUUCAGGUUCACAAACAUUGAGGCCGCCCGAGUAAUAUCAUCGGCGUUUAAAUCGUCAAUGGAGAUUCUAUUGUUUCAAUGGAGUCAGCUAUCCAAGCAUCCUGAAUGGAUGCCUCAAAUCAAUGCAUGGUUUGACAUAUUUCAAGUUGGUGUUAAUUUAUAAUUUUCAGCUUAUUUCUACUAAAUUAUUAAUAUAAUUGUAAAUAAAUUAUUGUUUUUAUUUAAACUUGUUUAUUUAUACACAGCACAAAUUCUGCUGGGACAGUGAGCAUAACACUGUUGUGAGGAGGGUGUGGGAAAAUCACGCGGCAACUAGGUAAGAUCGAAAAAAAUACAAGAUUUUUUUAGACUAAAAUUUAUGUUUCGAAAUGUAAUUUUUGGUUGCGUGAUUUUUGGUAUGAAGCACAGAAAAGGGCAAAAAAAACCGCAAGGGAUAGGGGUUUCCAAGGCUGGAACGAUGUUGCGGUUUGGCGGGAUUUCAAACCGAUAUACAUCCCGGAAGAUAUAUGGCCGCACUAUCUUGAGCACGUGACGUAUGAGCGGUUCACACGACGCUCACAGUCCGGUGUUGGCAACCAGAAUCGGCCAAUUCAUGGCUCGGUGACAGCGCACACUGGCGGCUCCGUUCCGUUUGCUGCACAUGCGAAACGGAUGGUAAGAUUAAUUUAAAUGAAAUAUAUCGUUAAAUUAAGUUGUUGUUAAUAUAUCUUUUUUCAUUAUAGGCUGCGUCUCUUGGAUGUGAGCCGAGCCCGAUGGAGCUGUUUGUGGAGACUCAUGUGCGGAGUCAAGACCGCCAAAAGAGGGCGCAACGGUUCGUUGAUAACCGUGCUCAACAUUUCGUGGUAUGUUUGUUCGACCAUUUUAUUUUGUAAGUUAUUAUGUAAGUUAUUAUGUUUAUUGAAUUGAAUAUGAUGAUUACUUUUUUUUAUUUUCAGAAGACCUAUAAUAAUCGGUUGUGGGAGAGAUACGGGGACGAUAUUUUGACCCAUCCGGAAUUCGAUCCAGAUUUGUGGAUGGAGGUUGGCUCGUCAGGUGGACCCGAUAAAAAUCGGGUUUACGGGCUCUCCAACACUACGGCCGACAACUUGCGGUCGACCCGUAGUGUUUCAACCGUUGGGAGCUCCCAAUCAAUAUCGAGCUCCCAAUCUAAGGAGUUCAUGGUCUUGCAGCAACACACGGCUCAUCUCACCGAAAAAUACGACCACCUAUCAGCGGAGUACGCGCAACUUAAAGCGUCUCAUGCAGAACAAAGAGCGGAGUCUGCACAACAAAAAGUGGCUAAUGAACAGCUUCACGAAAUGGUCAUGAACAUGGCAACACAGAGUGGAACAUGUGCACCUAAUCCUUUUUGGCCGUAUAACCACCAACCUCCUCCUCCAGGAUCUCCUCCUCCUCCUCCAGCUCCACCCAUAUAUUAAUUUGUAAUAAACAUUAUUUACCUUUAAAACUUCAUUUAAUAUUUUUUUUGAAACAUAUUCAGUUUGUAAUGAAUAUUAUUUAACUUUGUUUUUUUUUAUGUUUAAUAUAAAUUUUAUUUGCAUAAUUGGUUUGUAUUACAAUUAAUUUAUAUAGUUUUAUAUUAUAUAUCCUAAAUAAUUUUUUAAAAACAAAUUUAGAAAAAAACUAUUACCAAUGAUUUUACCGACGGAUUUAUUCGGUCGGUAUUUUAAACGCUCACCGACAGACUUACCGACAUAAUUAAUCCGUCGGAAUUUAACAGUAGUUGCCACACUUACCGACGAAUUUACAGACAGAUAUAUUCAGUCGGUAUUUCAUACACUCACCGACAGCUUUACCGACGGUUAGUAGCCGUCGGUAAAUCACGAUAUCACUGACGGACUAAAAAUCCGUCAGUAUAUUUCAAGCGGGAAUCUUUUUUUUGGCGCGCAAAUUCCGUCUGUAAAACCAUCGGCAAAUGGUUUUUUUGUUUUGCCGACCGAUAUAGCGACCGAAUCACCGAUGAAAGGAAAGCCGACGGACGUAAUCCGUCGGUGAUGACGUCGGUAAAAAAAUCACCGACGAACUUCUAAUCACACACCGAUGGAAUGUUUCUGUCGGUAAAACUGUGAAAUCUUGUAGUGAGAUAAGGGUUGCUACAUUCUAGUUGUCGAUACACGACGUCGGGCGACGGCUCCCGCUUUUUGUUUAUUUAACAAAAACGGUUGUUUUCUCGAUUGGGGGAAAUAAAGAUUUUAUUGGAGUCGCCAUCUAGUAAUUUGAGAGAACUAGAAAUCCCAAAUUAGACACUGGUCCUAGAGAUUCAGGUACGAGGUUAGUUAUGAUUAAGGGAAGGUAGACACCAGAGAAAUCCCUUAAAACAUCCUUUCAAGAGAAAGGUUACCCUUACUUGUGUGUUUUUUAUUUGAUUCAAAUGCUAUUAUAUUUUUGGCUUAUUUGUAAUUUGUUUUUUUAAAUGGUUAACGUCGGUCCCUAAAAAUAGAAGACACGUUAAAAAUGAUACCAGUCCCUAAAAUUAGGAGACUUGUCUAAAAUAUGGACGUUUGUCCCUAAAAAGGAGAAUUACGUCUGGGUUACCAAAAGAAAUAAUGGACAUAAUCCAUAUUUGGUAUUUAAAUUUUUGACAUCGGUACAUUUCUAAAAAGAGACGUGUCGACAAACAAUAUUUAUUUAUAAAACAAAAUUAUUUUGAUAUUGUUGAGAAAUAGGUAUAACCAUACUUGAGAAUCGGGCUUUGGACCCACAAUUAAUGACAUGAUAAGAUGGGUGUUGAACCCUUGUCGUUAUUUCAUUUAUAUUUAUUUUUUGGUUUUUUUGUUGUUUUUAGCAUGCGAGAAAAUUUACAAGCAUUUAUAUAUACAAAAAUAUCAAAAAUACCAUCAGGAACCCCAAAAAAUUACCUGAGUGCCACUUUAUAGGCAAAAUACUGAAAUACCCUUGAAUUUCUCCGAAAUUUAUGAAAAUGCCACUGGCGGCGCGUGUGCCCACGCGCGGUUACUGUUGGAGCGGUGAAAUUUUCUGGCGAGAUUUCCGGCCAAAAAAUGGUUGAUUCUGGUAGAUAUGAGGGUGAGGAUUCUAAUGGAGGUGGUAUCGAUGGCCGUUGAUCGCUAACGAGGGAGAAUCGACGGUUUGAAGCUACGGUGGCCGACGAAAAUCGCGGCCCUUUUACGGCCAGAUGGGGAGGCAAAAACGCUGAAAACGGCCGGGGUUUUGCUUUAUAUGAGGAUAGAAACCUUUCUGUGGUGUUUCGAAAGCUUAAAACGGCCGGAAAUGGGAGAUCGGAGGAGAGAGAGGGAAUCGCCGGCAGAGAGGAGAGAGAGACUCUGAGAGGUGCUAUGGUGUACACGAGCACAUGGUGCACCGGUGCAGAAGAAUGCUGUGAACCGUUGGAUCGCCGUUGAACUGAUCCUGCGGCUGUGAUUGGCUGGAUCUGAAAGUUGAUCGGACGGUCCGGAUGGGCUGAGGUUUGAUCGCGUGUGGCGCGGUGAACCGAGUGCUUGGUACACCGGGUGUCGUGGCGCAAUCGGAUCUAAUUGAAAAUUGUUUCAAGGGCUAAGAUGGAUUUGGGGUUUAAUCUAGUGUGGUAAGCCCUAUUGUAUCUUAUUAAAUCAAUGGUCCAGAACUAAAUACUAUUAGAUUUAAUGGUUAAAAUAUUUUUGAUAUUUUCAAUUUGUUUUUAAUAAAAAUCAAUAUCUUACUCUCGGGAGGAAAACUGAAAAAAAACUUAAAUAGUACGGGAUCUACUCUCUCUUUUAUUUUCUUUUUUUCUUCUUUUUUUUUUCUUCCUUUUUUUCAGUCGAACUGUCACUGGCUAUUUAUAGCUAAUGACAUCAAAAUCUCCAUACAGUGUCACAAAUCUACUUUUAAAAAAAAUUGAUCACCGUUUGCUUUCGGCGCAACUGCCCGCCUAAUAUGACAAAUAUAUAUAAUAAAUAUUUAUAUAGGUAAAAUUAAAAACUCAAAUCAGUAUUAGAAAAAAAAUCGAUUCAACUGCUAAAAAUUCAUUUUAAUGAUCGAAAAUUAUGUUGAAACACUGGAAAUUUUUUUUUGAUGGGUAUCAACCCGGUGAACCAGGUUUUGACCAAAAAUAACAGUUUUGAUCCAAAAUGGCCUGAAACUCAUUUUUUACCCCGGUCGACAUGGCUGGACCCGUAUUGACUUGAUGGACUCGGUUUUGACCGAAAAUGACGGUUUUGACUCGAAACGGCCUGAAACUCAUGUUUUACCUUGGUCGACAUGGUUUGACCCAAUUGACUCGAUGGACUCGGUUUUGACCGAAAAUGACGGUUUUGACCCGAAACAGCCCGAAACUCAUUUUUUUAUCCUGGUCGACAUGGUUUGACCCGUAUUGACUCGGUGGACUCGUUUUUGACCGAAAAUGACGGUUUUGACCGAAAACUCAUUUCUUACCCUGGUCGACAUGGUUUGACCUGGAUUGACCCGGUGGAAUAAGUUCUUAUGAAAAGAUGCGGUUGACUCGAGAAAAAAAAAAUAUAUAUAUAUAUAUAUUUAAUUUUAAACUUUUCCUUAAUUUUUUUGGAUUUUUAUAAAUAAUAAUAGAAAUAAAAUAACAUUCAAAAAAAUCUUGGUGAAUCCAAAAUUGGGUUACAACACUAGUGAUGAGAGAGAAAGUCAUCAUUUACUCUAUUUUUGGCCACCAAAAUAGGUUUUAUUGGUGUCCAUGGAUUCCAUGAGAUGAGAAAGGCUUCAUAAUGGUUGUUUAGAGCCUUAAUGUUGCAUAAAAAACUAGAUAUGAACCGAGAGAGCCAAAAUUAAACUGAUUUGAUUUUGGAUUUUCUGACCAUUUUUUGGAUAUUUGGAGUUUGUGAGAUAGAAGUUGUUGGAUUCCAGUGUUGAGAGAAAGUCGUCGAUCAUUUCAUUUUCAGCCACCAAAAUAAGUUUUAUUGAUGUCCAUAGGUUCCAUGAGAUAAGAGAGGCUUCAUGGUGGUUGUUUAGAAUGUCCAUGUUACAUGAAAAACCAUACAUGAGAUUUGAGAGCUAAAACUAAACCGAUUUGUUUUGGAUUUUUGGACCAUUUUUUAGGUAUUUGGAGUUGAUGGAAUGAUUUGUGGGUGUUAUAAAGGUAUUUAUGAGGUUUUCUUGGGUUGAAAUAGUUGAAAUUAUAUUUUUAACUAUAUGAGAAAAAAAAAAGAUGAUAAAAAAGUCAAGUUUAAUUAAAAAAAAAGAGAUACCCUCACCAAACUUGUAAACCAGGGCAACUUAGGUUACCUUAGCAAACCCACAAACCAUGUUAACCUUAUAGAAAUGUAAAAUAAAAAUAAACAAAUUAUAAAGCUAAAUUCCUAAUUAUCUCAAUAUUAAAAAAUAAAAUCGACAAAAAUAAAUUUGAAAAACAAAUCAUAAUAAAAAUUCAAAAACAAAAAGAAAAAUGAAAGAAGUAAAAUACUAUAGAUUACUAUUGUCAUUCACAGUGCAAUGUGUGUAGGUGAACAAUGGACUAUAUAAGAAAAAAAUAGACUAUAAAAAAAAUCAAGUUCAGUUUUUUUUUAAAUACAACCCGCAAAACUAGUAAACCGAGGCAACUUAGAUUACUUUGGCAAACCCAUAAAUUAUACUAACCUCAUAUAAAGUAAAAUCAAAAGAAACAAAUUACGAAUCUCAAUUUUAAAAGAUAAAAUUGACAAAAAUAGAUUUGAAAAAAAAAUCAUAGCAAAAAUUCAAAAAGAAAAAAAAAAGCAAAAAUGGGUGUUAGGUGAACAAUGAUUUCCACCACAUCCUUUAAUUUUUGUUAUUUCAUAAAAUUUAAUAACAUAAUUUUUCUAUAAAACUGUUUUUUUUUAACAAUAUGAGAACAAAAAUAUACUAUAAAAAACCAAGUUCAAUUUAAAAAACUUUAUCAAAUCCAUAAAUUAAGGCAACUCGAGUUACCUCAAUAAACUCACAAACACAAAAAAAAAUAUAAAAUUAAAUUCUCAACCAUUUCAAUAUUAAAAAUAAAAUUGAAAAAAAUUAUAAAUACAAAAAAUAAAAAAAUAAAAAAGAAAAAAUCACGUGUUUAAGAAAAACAUAAUAAUGUAAGAAAAUAUUGUAGCAAUAGUGUUUUUGUGAGAAAAAUUGCAAGUAUCUGUUCCCUAAUAUGUGCAAGUGCUGCAAAAUAUUAAAUCUUGUAUUUAAAUGAAAGAAAAAGUGAAGGCAAAAGAUUGCCAUGAGGCAACCUCAAGUAGCAUACACCUCUGUUUUUGUCUUUUUCAUUUUUCACGUGUUUCUCACAAGAAGUGAACUUGAGGGAAUAAAAAGCGCUGGGAAGUAAUUUUUUGUUGCAUUUUCAUAAAUUAAAGGGAUUUCUCUUCUUUUCUUUGUCAAUUAAAGUGCAUGAUGUAUAAAAGUUUUCUUACUCAGAGUAAAUGCUAUUAUAAUGUUUUCACUUGUAUAUCUUGGAACAUAGCCAUAGCCAUAAAUGGAAGGUUCUUCCAGUUCAAGAAAAUUAACUGUCGCACGUCAAAAAAAAUCAGCGCGGCAUCGACUGGCGAUUUUUUAUUAUUUGUGGUUUUGCUUGGUUCUUUGGAGUCGCCACCUAGUAUUAUGGUCACUAGGAACCUAUGGUCUGCGAGAGUCUGAGUAAGGGACUGGUUGUGCAAGGGGAAGACGCAUCACCCCCAGUGCACCCUACCUAAGGUAAGCUGCAUUGUUUGUUUGAUUAUUCUUUCUAGGUCGAAGUUCUAUUGGUCUUUUCUAAGGUUCAAGGCAGAUCUCCCUUCAUGAGGGAGUCUCUACCUCAUUGGGUUAAAUCCUAACCAUUCUAAAGUCUGAAUUUUUAAAAUUGCUUUUAUUUACACCUUGUAUCUUUAAUACCCGAGAGUGUACUUUAUCGUGUAAUUUUACACUCCACAAAUAUUAAAGUCUAUAUCCGAAUCCUAGAAAAAAAAGUUGAAAUAAAAGUUUUUGACAUUUUGGCCAAACCCUAACAGAUGAUCAUAAACUAGUUAUGAUAUCCAUUUUUUGGAUUUUUAAAACGUGAGAAAGAUGCAAUUUUUUUAUUUUGAAAAGAAAACAUGCUUGGAAAAUUCUUUAGGACUUGGCCGUAUGCAAUAAAUUUUUUUUUGAAUAUUUUUGAGAAAACCGGGCAUUUUAAUACCGGACUUGUAUCUUAUCAUGUAAGUAUACAACCCAAUAUUAAGCAAACUUGGUAGGAAAAUAUUUAAGAAAAUCACAAAUUUUUUGAAAUGAUUUUUGAAAUUUUUUUGAAUUUUUUUUUGAAUUGUUUUGAUUUUUUUAAUACAUAAUAAUUAAUUAAAUUUAUUAAAUCUGUGGGCCGGUCCGGCCCAAACAGUUGGUCCGGUCCAGGACCCUUGGGUUGGGCCGGUCUCGGCCCAACAGGUCCUUCUCUCUUUUUUCCGGGCCGGGCCAGAACCGGCCCGACCCCUUGGACUGGGCCAGAACCGGCCCGGCCCAAGCAAAUGGCUAAUUAAUUAGCCGCUGCAUGCAGAAACGAAUUCUGCAUGCAGCCACGGUGAAAGGAAAAAGGAAGGCGUAGCAGGGGAGGGGCGAGUUACCUGGCGUGGAGAGAGUCGGCGGCCUAGCUGGUGGUGCACGGUGUAACUGAAGGUGGUGAGGCCGGCGGCUUGCACUGUUCACGGCUGGAAGAAGAAGGAGCAGUUUCCUGCAGAGGAGAAGGAAAGCUCACGGCCGGAGCUGUUGGUGUGACUGGGGAAGGAGAUGCUACUCUGGCUGCUGCUGGUAGGAGUGAAAGCUUCUGGGAAAGGUGGUGGCUGCUGGCUCUGCUGUCGCCGCUGCUGCUGGAGUCCCGGUGGCAGAGGAGGAGAUUUUACAGAGGAGAGAGAGAGAGAAGUGGUGCAACUGUCACGUGAGAUGGUUUUGUGGCUACUGGAGGUGGGGAUGAUGGCGAGAAGCUAGGUGAUGAAGGUGAUAGUGGCUGAAGGCCACGGUGGAGAGAGAAAGCAGAAAAAAUGAUUGUUUGCAGAAAAAUGGGUACAGAAGGCUGGUUUUCGGCCAACUUUGAGCUCGUUUUUCUCCUCUCUCUGAGCAUGAAAAUUGCUCCUAUUUAUAGGGCUGGAAAGAGGGCAAUCUUGUCUUCAAUGGGGGAAAACUAUCAGCCCUUGAUUCGACCUGAGCGAUCCAAACCGUUGGCUCAAAGUGGGCACCUCGAACUGCCAAAUUUGCAGACUGCCCGAGGUGCACACUUUGGGCCAAUAAACGAAGCCGUUGGCUCAAACCUUUUCGACCCGACCGGACCAUUCUCGAGGAUAAAGGUGUUUCAGUUGGACAUGUUGGUGCAUGCUUUGUCGAAUUUGGGGUACAAACGAGGCAGCAGACAAGGCUUGAAGUCGGCCACUCGGGCAGCUCAGUGGAGAAGAAGAUGAACAGUACUAGGCGACGCGUCGCCUGGUCCUGCCCCCUUUUUUUUUUUUUUUUAACGCAUGAAACGGCGUCGUUUUUCCCAAAACGCGCCGUUUCAUUUAAAUGAAAAACUGGCGCCAAAGUGCAAGAUUUCACAUCAAUCCUUCCUCUUGCGCGCGUUUUGUGUUUUGGUCCUUGGUCUCAGAUUGCUUCAAUUAAGUCCCUAAUUGGCCCCAAAACUUCAAUUUUCUUGCAAUUUGACCCCUGAUUUUGUCAAUUAACUUGGUAAAAAUUAAAUUUGGUCUCUUAAAAUUCCAAUCUUCUCCAUUAAGCCCAAAUUAGGCUCCCAAACUUAAGUUUUCACCAAUUAAGCCCCAAAUAAAAUUAAUUUGACCCAUUUAAAGUAUAAUUAAGUCCUUGCACUUAAUUAAAUCCUUCAUUUGGACCUAAAUUAAUUCUUAAACAUAAUUAAAAUUUAAUUUGGCCCAUGAUUAAAUCAAAUUGGCCUAUUAAAAAUUUAAUUAUGUUAUUGGACUUAAUUUUUAUGCAAAUUUGUCCAAUAAUCAUUUAAUUUGACCUUGAAUUUGCAUUUUUUUUCUCCGAUUUUGGGCACAAUGGGGCGCCGAAAGGCCUUGAAUUUCCUCCGAAAAUUGCAGAUUGAUUUUUUUCUAUUUUGCCUAUUUUUCUUGAUCAGCUUUCUCCACAUUGCCAGCUUUUAUUUUUAUUAUUAUUUUUUUGUUUUUAUUUAAAAAAAAUGAAUUUUGGGGAAUAACCCAGAAUUGGGUUAUGACAUUAACCAUGAACCUCUCGUAACUAGAAUUUAGAGUGACCAAGGUCUUUUUCAAGAACAAGGGAAGUGUGCAAAAUGCAAAUAACAAAUCAAUAAAUAAAUAAUUAAAUAAAAAGAGAGGACACAGAAGUAUAUCCUCAGACGAUGAAAAUACAGAAAGCCUAGCAUAUUAGAAAGAGCAUUUAUCGCUCUCCCCCCUUCUCUUGUAACUUGGACUGCUAAGAGAUAUAAUGUUUUGUUAUUGAUAUCUGAUUUCAGUAUGAUCAAGUCUCAAAAUACCAUACCCACUGGCAAUGGUAACAAACCCCUGGAUCGAGAUUUGACAAAUUAAUACAAUGCUGUAGCCAAAUUAAUACAAUCAUCAACGACCCAUCAAAAGGGAAAUGAUGUUUGCUAGAGUAAUGGAUGUCUGGUGCAGCAGCUGCUCCAGAUGGUCCUAGCAGUUUAUCGAGAUUGUUUUCAGGGACAUUUUUAAAGACAUUGGAAACGACAAUAUUGCAGCGAUUAAUGCCAAGUACGAACACGUCAAAUCUAAGCUAAGAAAUCAUGGUUUUGUUGAGCUUUGCUAUCAUCAGAGGCUUGAUGAUGGAAGGAUUAUUGUACUCUCUUACAAACAUAUAAUGCUGUGCUGAUGAGCCAGAGAAGUUCUCCAUAGACUUCCUAACUAAGAGGAAGUUGCCAUCUAUUUCUAACUCAACAAGGAAAAGAGUCUGGGGCAAGUGAAACAUGAAUUUUGACCAGUUAGGAAACCAAUGGCUGCCCAUGUUGUAGCUCAAAUCAAAACCGUGGGGGCUGGCAUGUUUUUGGGUGUUUUCUUUUUGGUUUUCUGAGAGCCAUAACUGGCAUUUUUGUUCUCUCAUCAAGAGCAGACGACACCAAAGGCAGAACACUCUGGUGUUCUUGACAAUUCGACACAUUGUUUUCUGAGGAUUAGGUGAAUAUGGUUCAUUCUAUGCCAUAAGUACGUCAAGCUACCAUUAAUUUUUUUUUUAUUCUUUUUUAAACAGUAACAAAACUCAUUAAUUUAGGAAAGGGCAAAGCCCAGAUAACAAAUAACAUCGACACUUGCAAGGAUUUAUUCUUCAGGGAUAUUGAUUUGUUUGUAUCCUAUCUCUUUGAAAAAAAAUGUGGAUUAAUUAAUCUAUGCUCAGUAUAGUAUUUCCAGGACUAUUCUUUCUUUAAUAUGUUGAUUAACACCUCGAGCCUGGCCUUUUUUUUUUUUUUUGUAGUUUGCUAAUGUGAUGUAGAAUUAUAUAUAAAUCAAUCUCAUCAGAUGAUGCAAAUAUGGGCAUAAAAGAUAUGGUGGGAACUUCAAUUUAGUCUCUGAAAUAUACAUAACUUCAUAAAAAUUGAAUUCUCAAAUGUUAAGAAAGAAAUACAAUACAAAAUAGAAGACGAUACAUUACAUUCAGGUAAGAAUUCACAUCCAUGCCCAUAUAUAUUAAAGCACUACUAUCUUUGUGCUAAGCUGCCAUCUGCAUUCAUUUUCUUUCUUCUGACAAAUAUACUUAUUAAGUUACAUUGCAUACAAGUAAGAAUUCAUAUCCAUUCCCAUAUUAAGCUCUAUUAUUUUUGUGAUAAGCUGCCAGCUUCGUCCAUUUUCUUGAUUUCUGACGAGUAUAUUUAUCUGCGAAAGACAACAGAAAACUGUGCAGGUCACACGUUUAUCCACAAUCCAGCAAGACAAUUACUAUUCUGCAGAAGCUUUAAGUGACCAAUCCAUGGCUUUCUUCAGUGCUGUUGGAGGUUCUACUGCAUGUAAAAUUGUUAAAAGAGCCAAUUUGUUAUUAGUCUUGGAAAGAAAAACAAUACUAAACUACAAAAUGCAGAAUGGAAUCGUUGAAAAUUAGUGCACAAAUCAAGUGUUCAGGGGUUCAAACAUGAGCCAUUGUGAGUUGGAGACUUGGAUUAUCGACAUUUAGUUUCCACCAUCCUUGAGUUAUUAUUAAAUGUAUACAAUAAAUUAUUAGGCGAUUUUUUCCCCAACAAUUAAAUUAAAAGUCUAAUAACAUUUUAAAUCUGGAUUUCAUGAUUAUAAUUUUUUAAUUUUAACAAAUUAUCAUUAAAUACGUAUUUAUACGAAAGCAAGUUUUAUUAAUUGGUUAAUCUUAAGAUUUAGUGAUUUGUUUUAAGUAUCAUAAUUGUAAAAGGUGCAUAUAAAGUUGAUGAUUUUAAAAUAAAUAAUAGUAAAUAGAUAAAGCAAAUAUUUGUAAUAUAUGGAAACAACCUUAAUAAAUAUAAGUUAAAUUAUUUUGUAAAAAAGAUAUUAGAAUGAUGAUUGAAAAGAUGUUGGAUGGCUAUUGAUUUUAUCAUUGAUAAGAAUAUAUUUUGAUACAUAGUAAAAGCUAAUUAAUAAUGUCAUGUGAUAGUGUCCGUACUAUAUAUUCCACGUAAUCAAAUUUAGGUUAUAAUAGAAAAAACAAAUAAGCAUCUCUUUUAUUACAAUAAUAAUCUCUUUUAAUUAUCAUAAUAUUAAAAUAUUUGAUUAAAUUAUUCUAUGCAUAGAAAAGUAAUUCAGUCAUGAAUAUAUAUAUAUAUAUAUUAUUAACGUGGAUGUCUAGGUCAACUUGCGCGCACCUCAACUAAUCCCACGAGUCCUGAAGUUAACGAUCAUGCAAGUCUCUAGUGGCUUUGAGGCUUGUGAGACUCGAAUUAUUAACUUCUAGAGAGCAAACCUAAAGUCUGACCAGCUGAGUUACGAUGUGAUAGUAUACUGAAUUGAAUUUAGGUUAAAAUAGAAAAAACAAAUAAUCAUUUAUUUUAUAAAAUGUUUUAAAUUAAAUGAAAUAAACCAUUUUAAAAGAAUGAAGUGUAACUGUUUUCAUUAAUUUGAAAACAUUAAUUGGCUCUCCUCCUCUGCAUACAAAGUAACAUAAAAAUUUAAUCCCAACUUACCUGUACACGUGUACCCUCUACGAUGAUUGAUGGGAUAUGAGAAAUCUUGGGCCACUCGGAGCCAUUCUCCUUUCUACAAUUUUCUGAUAGAAGUGGGCAUUCUGAAAUCCCCAAUUCCUUUAAUUUGGAGAGGCGUUGAAUGGCUGUUGAGCUUGGCAUAUACUUGAGAUUCUUGCAAUCCCAAAUCCAGAGAGAUCGAAGAGAAGAAAGGCUGGCCAACCAUUCUGGCAAUGCUUCCUCAAAUUCAUCUCCCCUGAAAUCACAUAUCCACAGUGACUCAAGGGCAGUGAGGUGUUGUAGUUCGUUUGGUACACUCUUCAGUUUAUCCCAUCCCCGUAUCCAUAGUCUUUCAAGGGACCCACUGAAGUUGAGGUGUUGGAUUGAGUUUAAAACUCCGGCAGGAAAAGCCUCCAGCUUCUCUGAGUAGCCACCGAUGCUCAAUUCCUUCAGUUGGGUGAAGCCGCCUAAGCAAUCCGCCUCUGGGAAAUGACUCAAACUCCGACACCCACUGAUUUCUAAAAGAACAAGAGAAGGUAAUUGUCGUAAACCAUGCCAAUCAAAACUGAUGAGCUUAUCACAACCUCUAAUCACUAAUCUUCGGAGCGACGACAAUUCUUGCAAAUCACUGAUAUGGAUGAGCUCUUUGCAAUACUCUAUCCACAAUUCCUCUAGAGAUGCGCAACAUUGGAGUCCGCUUGGAAGAGCUCCCAUUUUACAUCUAUAAAUAAACAAUUUCUUCAAAGAAUAUUUCAAUUGUCGGAAAUCACCAGGAAUUGAGAUCAACUCAGGGCAGUUCCAUAUGAUCAAUUCCACCAGAGCUGUGGAGUGUUGUACGCUUGGAAUGGAUGCCAGCUUCUCACAAUUAAUUAUCAUCAAAAUUCGAAGAGAUGUGAAGCCAUGAAAUUCACCACAUAAAUAUCUCAGUUCAUCACAUUUUCGAAUUACAAAGUGUACAAGAGAUGAAGGGUGACAUAUCGGAAUGCUUUUCAACUUGCCACACCCCUCAAUGCACAACUUUUCAAGACAAGGGAAUACUUGAUCACCUUCUCCACCUGGUACCAUCCAUUCUUCAAGACCAUCCAUACUGGAUAGAGUGAGUUCUUUCAGUGCUGGAAACAGUACUGCUGCACUGCCACUACUACUAUAGAACUCAUUGCCUAUACAUUUCACACUAGGCAUUCCAGUUAUGUGAAGAAUCUUAAGGCGAGGAAGACAUCCAAGUGUUGGGAGUUGUCUGCUCUUGCUGCAACCGUUCAACGUUAGGACCGUCAGAUUAUUGAGUUGCAAUGUAGACAUCCAUGAUGGGAAAUAUUCACCACAGUAACCCUUAAUUGUCAAGCUUCUUAUGUCUGGGUGAGGUUGCAGGCCUUCCAGCGCAUCCUCGCUGUUAACACUAUUGUUACCAUUAUCACUCCAUUCAAACACCAAUUUGUUCAUUCUUUUUUCACGCAGUUUUGCCUUCUCAGCUUCUUCUUUGUCUCUAACUUGCUCAAGCUUGCAUAUCUUCAAUGCUCCUCUUAGUUCAUUCAAACAUCCCAGCUCUUCUACCAUAUGAUUUGGACCCACAACAAAAAAAGGCAGAGUUUGAAUGCGUGUUAAGAGUCUCCCCUCAGCUGGCACUAACUUUGGAUCAUCAAAAUGAAGAUGUCUCGAGCUGACUAAAUUUCUCAUUUUCUUGGGAAGCUUUUCUAGUGACUUGCAAUCAGUGAAUCUUAAUGUUUCCAAAAGGUAGAUGUAAUGUUUUGAAUUAAUGAGUAGGAAAAUACAAUAAAGCCCUUGGAGGCUUAAAAGUUGGUAUAAUUAAAUGAAGGGUAUUGUAGUAAUUGUAUAAAGAGAUGAUAAGUAUAAAUAGAAAGAAAAAAAAAAGAAGAGAUCUGAAUAUUUGAGAGAGCAAACCGUGAGAGAGAAGGGAGAAAGAAGAAGAAGAGAAAAGAGGGGAAAAUAAGGGAAAAAGGAAAGGAGUUGGAGGAAAUAAGUAAAAAGGGGUAAGAUUAUGCUUUAGUGUGUAUAAUAUGUUUUCUUUAGCUUUAAUUUCGGUUUUGAUAAAUGUUAGGGUUAUGAAAUUUGUGUUUUGAGUUUAAUUGAUGAAUUAAAUUGAAUGUUAGGGGUUGAUUGUUGUGGUUAAUUGAUGAUUUAGUUGAUUAUGGAAGAUUGUGAUGAUUUUGAGUUAUAAUUUUGUUUGAAUGGUGAAUUUUGAGUUAAAAAUCAGGGGAGAACAGUAGGUUUCUGUUAAAAUUCUGGAUUGGAGGUUGAAGAUGACGAAAAUUCAAUUUGGUCCCUCAAUUUGCGAAAAUUACAGUUUAGUCCCUGAACUUUGGAAAAUUACAAAUUGGUCCCUGGAGCCUAUUCCGAGAAUCUGAACAGAAUAACAUAUGAAUUAUGGACAUAAUUAUUGUAUAGAUAAGAGAAUUUAACACUUUCAAUUUGGUCCUCCAAUUUGACAAAAAUUACAAUUUGACCCUAAAAAUUUGGUAAAAUUCCAGAAUGGUCCUUGGAGUAUAAUGAGAUGAUCUGGACAGAAAUGAGGACUAAUUAUGGUCAGAAUUUCAGUAUAUUCAUGGAUUUAUGAUAAAUUUCAGUUUGGUCCUCCAAUUAGACAAAAAUUACAAUUUGGCCCUAAAAAUAUUAUAAAUCCCAGAUUAGUCCCUAGCUGUAAUAUUAGCUUUUUCAGAUUAGUUUGAUGAAUAAUUAAGGGUUAUUUAGUGAAUUAUUAUCAAGUUUUAUUAUUUGCUUUAUUAUGGAUUAGAUUUCGAGAAAACCGUUAAUUUUGGGUUUUUGAGAAAAUAACUAGUUUAGUUUAAAAACAUUUAGGGUUAUGGAAUAUACCCUUAGAUAAGUGUAUUACAUAGGUUAUAUAUUCUUUCGAGUCGUUCUUAAAUAUGUCUCCUUUAUAUUCAGAUAAUCUUGAUAUUCUAACGGCGGGACGUCAGUAGGAUUUUCUUCGAUAUCAGCUUUGAGUUUUGUUGCUUUCGAGUCAGGUGAGUGGAUAAUUUUCCAUACGCAUGAGAAAUAUUAUAAAUAUUUGAUUUGUUAAUAUGAAUUGGAUCAUGCUUCUUGAUAAUAUAUAUGUUGAUUAUUAUCCUUGUUUUGAUAAAGCAUGAUCAAUUGUUGAAUCUGAAUUAUUGAUAUGAACCAGUAUAUAUAUUCUGAAUUGACUUCUGAAUUGAUAGCUCCUCAUUUGAUUGAUGUCAUGAGUUGAGCCUUGAGAUAUGAAUAUGUCUGUUUGAUUAUGAUUAUGAACCUAUGGAAUACCAGUCAGAAUACCCAUGCUAACAGGGUAGUGUUAGUCUUUGUGCACAUCGUAUCUGAACCCUAGUUGGUCGGGGGAGUCACCAACCUGUGUGGACUGAUCAUCCCACAGUACGGAGCCUCAUGCUCAUUGCAUUUUGAUUUUCUGACGAGUUUUACCAUAUGAUAUUCUUGUUAUGGCCUAUUUGAGAAACCUUUCUAUAAGAACCUAGAGUCAUACUUGUAUAUAUAUUUCUCAUUGUUUUAUUACCUCGUGUGUGUAUAUUGAACGUUAUCUACUCACUGAGUUGUUGAACUCACCAUCUCAUUAUCUACCCUUUUCAGGCUUAUAGCUUGAUAGCAGGUCAUUUUGUUGGACCUUCCAAACCUGCUUUUUGGUUGUAAUUUGUACCUUCCUUUUAUGUCAAGUUAGUGCUCCAAAACUAUGAAUUUAUAUAAACUCUUGUAUUAAGACAAUUCAAUUAUAUUAUGAAGUUGAUUUUGUUAUUAAUGCUGCGUUGAACUCUGAUUGAGUUCGGAUAAGUUUGUGUGUAAGUUUGGGUUCGCAUAGGUAUGGAACCUUGGAGAGGAACCUUGCCUAUGUGUCGGUCAUGGAUUCGGGAUUCGGGUCGUGACAGUAGAGCUUGGUGAUGGAUUCUGGCAAUAUUCUAAUAGCAGUAUCGGAGACAUCAAGAUAUCUCAAAUGUCUCAGCUUGCAAAUUGAAUCUGGUAACUCUGUGAUAUCAGACCGUCGCAAUUUGAGAGUUCUCAACCUGUUGAAUUUCCAAGACCCAUUUAAUACAUCAACCAUUGAGAAAACAGUACGCAAUUUUCUAGCAUCACCCACUGGAAAAACAGUAAGCAAUUUUCUAGCAUAACCCGCUUUUAAUGCUGACUCAACAUCCCCACAAGAAAUGAGAUUGAGAUGACGAAUAUGAGAUGCGCCAUCUACAGCCGAAUCCGCCUCCAGAUUUAACGUUUCUGAUUUUGAGACCUCCAAUGCAAGGUCAUGCACAAGAUCAUGCAUCUUGCAACUUGUUACGAUCUCAUACGCAUUCCUUUCAACAUCUUGGAAAAAGGAAUUUGCAAGCAAGUCAUUGAAACACUUGUUGCCUUCGUCUUCCAUCCUCCCAUUUGAUGGCCUUAGAAAACCUUCAGCCAUCCAAAGUUGAAUUAGCUCUUCCCUUUCAAUUUCAAAAUCUUUAGGAAAAAUGGAACAGUAUGCAAAACAUUUUUUCAAUGUUGGCGAUGACAAGUAAUCGAAACUUAAUCUCAAUACGUGGAAAGCUUUAUUUCCAUCAUGAGAAUUCCAAAUUCUACUGUUUAGAAUUGACUUCCACUCCAGUGUCUCCUUUUGCCGUAGCGUUCCUCCCAAAACAGUAGCAAGCAACGGAAGCCCUCCACAUUUCUUUGCAAUAUCUUUUCCAAUAGACUCCAAGUCUGAAGCUAUUGUUUCUCGUCCACCCCUGCUCACCUUUUGCUUGAUAAUGGACCAACAUUGAUCAGCUGAUAGUCUCCCUGGCUCAUGCUGAAUCCCAGGAGAAGUCUCCAUCAUGUCUGCUACUUUCUUACUGCGGGUUGUAACAACAACAGCAUUCCCAUUCUUGCUGUUAAUUUUUAACAGCUGCUCCUUCAAAUCAUCCCACUUAUCAUGGUCUUCAUUCCACACAUCAUCAAGAACAAGAAAAAAUGUCUUCUUUUCCAGCUUUUUCUUAAGGUUUUCCAUAAUUGCAUUUAGGUUGCUCAACCCACCCAUAGUUUUGUCAAUCAUUUGCAACAUUGCUCCUAAAAUCUUCACUUUAUUAAAAUCAUUAGAAACGCAAACCCAUAGAGUUACAUCAAAAUGUUUUCUCUCCCUCACUGCUUCACAAACCUUUUUUGCUACAGUAGUCUUUCCAAGGCCAACCAUCCCCACUAUAGGGACAACCGAAAGGACAUGGUGUUUGGUCAAGCUAGUCAGCAUAUCCAUAACUAUAGAGACAUCAUCCUUCCUUCCUACAAUUUCUGAGCUGUCAAGGAAGGAAUCUGUCUCUCGAUCUGGACCCCAACUAACUUCUUGAGCACUAUCUACAGGUAGAGAUGUCAAUCCAAGCCCAAAUCCGGAUGCAUCUUUCCGGAUUUCAUCCAGGGCUUCAUUGAUCUUCUUAACUUUUUGACCCAUAAUUAAACGGAAUGCAAUGUGAAGUGAAAAGCAGUCACGUACCUUUCCCUUCUUUUGUUCUUUGCGGAGAAUCUCAUACGCAAACUCGUCUAGAACAUCUUCAGCAUCAUAAGCUACAACCUGUAGGUUCUGCAGCCAACGCUUCACAGACUCCUCUGUUACUGCUCUUCUGGCUGCGUCUUGGAGCACAUCUUUGAUCAUGGUCAUGGACUGGUUGAGCUUUCGCAGCUGGCCCUCCAAUCCCCAAGCAAGUCUGAUCCCUUCAGCAGCAAUGGAACUCAGCCUUUUCAAAGUCUCCUCCAUGGCAAACGUAAGAAGAAGCUCUGCUGCCAUUUUUUAUUUUUUUUUGGGGAAUCAAAGAAGAUAUUUUGAGCACAAAAGAGAGAGAAGUAUGGUGUGAAAUAAUAAAAGAUGAAACGAAGAGUCUUUUGAAAUGAUGAGAUACAUUCAACUUUAGAGCAUAGUUGCAUGAGGGUCCCUUCCUCCCCAAUUGAUUGAUGGUUGCUGGCAGCAUCUUCCACGAACCACUACUGUCAAGUUGUCAUACCAAAUACCAUGCCGACAGGAGGAACCGAUUCAAAGCUAUUAAUCAUGAACAUGAGGAACCGAUUCAAAGCUGAAUACUUACGUUAUCAACAGGAGCAUAUGACUUCAUGCAGUGGGAGAACACCUCCUUCCUAGGAUCUCCCCAUUCCUGCAGUAAACAAAAAGUGAUAAGCAAGUACUAGCAUCUAGCCACCGACACCUAAUAUAGUUGCAGGCAAACCCAUUGAUAAGGGAAUUUUUAGCAUGUAUAUUUUUUGCUAUUCAUGCUUGAUUUUUAAAUAUUUUGGAUAUUUUGCACAAAACAAUUAGAAUUUUGAAUCUCUUUUUGAACUAUUGACCUCGUGGGAAAUUAAUGUGUUUUCAGAUCUUAGGUUACUGAACAGGCAGAGCCGGGCAGUGAAACUGAACAGUGAUUCAUUAUGUGCUGCAAAGAAGCUAUACAAUUUAGUUCCGGAUGUUUGUAACCAUUUUCAAAUAGCUGAGAUGAAGGUCUACAAAACAUAUGAGGGCAUAUAACUCAGUUUUGUUGUUUCGAAGCCCAAAAAGCGAGUUGAAAAACAAGGAUUGAACCAGCCCGAAAUUCCUGCACUGCACAGACUGUUUCGGUUUAUGCCCCUUAUCUCAACACUCAGAGGUCCAAAAAUUUCACGAUCAGUUUCAUUGGAAAGAAAAUUUGAUUCUCUACAAUUUCUCCAGAAAUAGAGAUCUUUGAAUUCGCACGUUUCCUACCUCAAAUCUGGCCCGCAAUGUCUGGGUAGGAGAAAGCAAUGCAGAAAAGGAAAUUUUCCUCAUUACUGCAGGGGUAGAAAAGCCACAAUAUAAAAGAAGAGUUACGGGGUCUGAAAAACAGAGGAGUGGAGACACUGAGAAACCCUGAACAUAGCAAAGAAAAACAGAGGAGGCGGCACCAACAGGAACAAAGAGAACAGAGGCAAAAAUAUUGAAGACCGGGGAGGACACCUAUCUCUUCCACUGAAAUUCUCUGCUUUUGAGUGAUGUUCAUCGUAUCAAGUUUGUUUCUCUUUAAUUUAACUAUGGAGUAGACUUUUAUUCUGGGAUUUUUGAUGUAACCUUACUAUGAAUAUGUGAACAAUUUCUUCGAUUGAAUUAUUACAUUAAGAUGUUGAGUAUUUCAUUCUAUGUGUAAUGCUUGCGUGUGUUUGGCCAACAUCUGCAUGAUUUAGAAUUCAAUUUGAAACUGAGAAGUGAUAAUUGUUUUAGCUAUUGUUUGAAAUACCUUAAGAAAUCUAUAGGAUAGAGAUAUCCUAGGAACUUUUGUAAUCGAUACAGGUUUUACAGUAUUUAAUUAAUUUCGACAAGUUCAGAACUUUCGUAGAGUAUAUGAAAUUUGGUUGUCGAAAUAAUUUAUUGAUGCUCGAGAGAUAUUAAUAUUUACAUUAGGAAAACCUGAUUAUCAACAUUAGGAGUAAUUAAUUUAAUCGAGAAAGUUCACAUAGGCAUAGUUACGGUAAGUCAGAAAUCCUAGAACCAGUACAAUUGAAUUCAUUAAUAUUUAAUCAUUUGGUUGUUUGUUUUUUUUAAUCAUUAAUUUUUGUUUCAUAAACUAUCUCAUUCGAUUCCUCAAAUAGAUCAUAAUUUAAAAGACUUUGGUAAUUAGUAGUAAUUUUUACAAAUUCUCGUGGGACGAUACUCUACUCAUCACUUUAUUACUUGUUACGAUUCGUGCACUUGCGAAAUUAACCAACACCCAUAAAUGUACCCCACAGUAAACAAAGAAGUGAAAAUCACGUUCCACUAAAAGCCAGAUUUAAAGGUGGAUACAGUUCAAAUUUCAUAUGCUUACAAGGGAAACAAGGCUUACCUCCCACUCUGAAGUUGUAAGCGCGAUGGUUGGAUCAAGCAUUGUAGUCAAAGCAUCUACAAAAGGUACUCCAGCAAAAGCAACUUUAAACAAAUCAGGCCUCAUAUUAAGGACGGAGCCGAUAAGCAACCCCCCUGCAUUCCUUCCUUCAAUGCACAGUUUUUCCUUUGGACAGAACCUCUGUUCUAUUCAAUACUCAGCACAAGCAAUAAUAUCUGUGAAAUUAUUCUUGUUCUUUAAGUACUUCCGAUUCUCGUACCACUGCCUUCCCAUUCCACCACCUCCACGAAUAUAAAACCACGAUCUAGUAAAGAUAACCUUGAUGCCUUGAACGAGGGAUCUAUGCAUACCUACUCCCGAUAAAAGAUUCGAUGAUAGCAUCAAGCAUUUCAAGUUUAACUUUAAAAUACAAGUGAGGAAUGAGAAAUACUUAAAUCUUUAGACUCCACAUUGUUAAUGACAUUACUGUUGAAGUCUGGUACCAAAGCUGUAACAGGAUUACUUAGUAGUAAUUUACUGCAUUGCUAUCUAUCUGUUAGCUAAUAGCAUUAUCUAGAUUAGGAUGUUUCUUUCAAUUCAUUUGUUUAAGUUUAUCUAGGAUUAGACUAGCUUGUUAUACAACUUCUUAGAUAAAGAAGAUCAUAGCUGGUACGUUUCUUCAAUUUUUCAUAAUUCUGUAAUGUUUGUUUCCUUCUAUAAAUAAAACAUUGGGGAUGGCAAUAACCUAUCAAGACAUUUUCUGCUCCUUGUUCUUUCAACUGAAAAGACUUUGUUCUUUGUUCUUUUUCUUAGUUCAUCAACAAUAAUCUAUUCUUUAUAUAUCAGUUUUACAACAAUUAAUAUCAGAGCUCCUCUUAUCUUUGAAGGGUUUGUGAGUGAAAACAAGAGAGAAUAUAGAGGAUAAAACAAAGCUUUCUGCUUUGAAAGUUGGUAAGUGAAAACACAAGAGAUUAAGUGAGAUUUUUUUUUAAAUGGAUUCUGCAAAUUUUCAAAUAAAAACACCAGUGUUCACAGGGCAGAACUAUGGUGUGUGGGCUGUGAAAAUGAAAACCUAUCUCAAAGCUUUUGAUUUAUGGAAGAUAAUGGAGAGUGAUAGGCAACCUACUCCCAUAGGAAACAAUCUUACAAUUGCACAAAUGAAAUUUUUCAAUGAAGAAAAAGCAAAGUGAUUCAAAGCUCUUUCUUGUCUUCAUAAUGCUGCUAGUGAAGACAUCUUCACAAGGAUCAUGGCGUGUAAAUUUACCAAAGAAACAUGUGAUAAAUUAAAAGCAGAAUUUCAUGGUGAUGAGAAGUCAAGGAAGAUGCAGAUUUUAAAUCUUAGAAGACAGUUUGAAGGUUUGAAGAUGAAAGAAACUGAAACCAUCAAAGACUUCUCUUUUCAAAUUUCAAAACUUGUGAAUCAAGUGAGAUUUUUUAGAGAAGAUUUUCCAGAUUCAAGAAUAGUAGAGAAAGUUAUGGUAAGUCUACCAGAAAAAUUUGAACAUAAAAUUUGUUCUUUAGAAGAUUCUAAAGAUUUCUCUGAAAUGAGCCUGCAAGAACUGGUAAAUGCAUUGCAAGCUGUGGAGCAAAGGCAAGCUUAUAGACAAGAAGGAUCAAGUGAAGGAGCUCUUGUUGCAAUUUACAAGGAGAAGAGUCGGGCUAAUAAUUUUUAUAGAAACAAUCAAGAAGGAGAAAGAGAAAAAGGGAGAGGCUGGCAAUCUAAUAAUUGGCAACAGAACAACAACAUCUUCACUAGAGGGAAAAAGAAGAAAGAACAUUUUCCUGCUUGCAAAUUCUGUUAGAAAACAAAUCAUCUUGAAGCCUGGUGUUGGCUCAAGAAUGCACAAUGCCGAAACUGCAAGCAAUUUGGUCACUUCCAAAGAUUUUGCAAAAACAAAGCAGAAACUAUAUAACAAGCUCAAGUAGCCGAGAAUUCAGAAGUGAAGGAAGAUCUUUUAUUCAUGGCACAAUACAGGAGAUGUGUAACACAGCCAAGGCAGAUGACUCAUCAUGGCUUAUUGAUAGUGGCUGCACUAAUCACAUGAGUGUAGAUAUGAGCUUAUUCAAAGAUUUGGAUAAAAGCUAUCUAUCUAGAGUCAGAAUUGGGAAUGGAGACUAAGUGAAGGUUGAAGGAAAAUGAGCAAUUAAAGUAGAAACAAUGUCAGGUACAAAAACUCUAAAAAAUGUGCUUUAUAUACCUAAGAUUAAUUAGAAUCUAGUUAGUGUGGGACAAUUAAUUGAAUCCGGUUAUUCAAUAUUCUUUAAUGAUGGAGUGUGUGACAUUAAAGAUAAAAAAGGAGUGUUAUUGCCCUCUGCUAAAAUGAUGAACAUAAGUUUUAAUGUUGAUUUGAAAGAAGUAUGUUUGAGUGCUAACACUUGUGAAGACAAUGAGUCUGUUCUUUGGCACAAACAGUUGGGACACUUCAAUUAUGCAACUUUAAAAAGGAUGGCUGACCUGCAUAUGACUUACGGUUUACAAGAUAUACAAGAACAAAAGAAUAUUUGUGAAGCUUGUCAAUUAGAAAAGCAUACUAGAGUUGUUUUUCCUGACAAUGCAUUCAGAGCAUUGUCAAAACUCCAGCUGAUACAUACAGAUGUGUGUGGGCCGAUGCAUAAUGAAUCUUUGAAUGGUUCAAAGUAUUUUCUUUUAUUUAUUGAUGAUUAUAGUAGGUUUUGCUGGGUUUACUUUCUAAAAUCAAAAACUGAUGGGAAAGCUUAUAGGAGUUUAGUUGGGAGUUUGUUGAAUUUAACUGCCACACGUCCAGAUAUUUUGUUUGUUGUCAACUACCUCUCCAGGUUCAUGCAAGAUCCAAGUCAAAUACAUUUUGUGAAGUCUAGCUCUGUCAAUCUUGUUUGUUUUUCUGACAACACUGGGGUGGAAGUGAUGAAGGAAUGAUGAGCACCUCAGGUUAUUGUUUUGCUUUAGGAAAGAGUAUGUUUUGUUGGAAUUCAAAGAAGCAGUCAGUGGUGGUACACUCCACGGUAGAGGCUGAAUACAUAGCUGCAUAUGUGGCAGCAAAACAAUUAAUUUGGCUAAGGAAGAUGUUAAGUGAUCUAGACUGCAAUCAACAAAAUCCCACAGAAUUGUUCUGUGACAAUACGUCAGCUAUAACUAUUUCAAAAAAUUAUGUCUUUCAUGACAAAACCAAGCACUUGAAGAUCAAAUUUCAUGCUAUUAGGCAAUUUCAGCAAGAAGGGGACUAGAGCUACAUUACUACACCUCUAAAGAACAACUAGCAGACUUGUUUACCAAGCCGUUAGCCAAAAACAGGUUUGAAGAUUUGAGGGGAAGAAUUGGAAUGUGUAGCUUUGGAACCAAGGAGAAGUGUUGAAGUCUGGUACCAAAGCUGGAACAGCAUUAUCUGUUAGCUAAUAGCAUUAUCUAGAUUAGGAUGUUUCUUUCAAUUCAUUUGUUUAAGUUUAUCUAGGAUUAGACUAGCUUGUUAUACAACUCCUUAGAUAAAGGAGAUCAUAGAUGGUACGUUUCUUCAGUUUUUCAUAAUUCUAUAAUAUUUAUUUCCUUCUAUAAAUAAAACAUUAGGGAUGACAGUAAUCUAUCGAGACAUUUUCUGCUCAUUUUUUCAACUGAAAAGACUUUGUUCUUUGUUCUUUUUCUUAGUUAAUCAACAAUAAUAUAUUCUUAUAUCAGUUUUACAACAAUUACAUCCUAGUUAAGAUGCUUGCAAACUUGAAAAUUCAAUGCUACUGGUGACUGACAAAUUUGAAAAGAAGAGUGCAUAUUGAGUUUAAAGUACAGCUGCUUCCCGCAAAAACUCUAAAGAUUAAGACUGUCUCAACAUCCUUUUCGAUCAGGACCUCAUCUUGGAAGAAUCAUAACAAGGUCAAAGUGUUUUCUGGAUGAACAGAAUAAAAGGAAAUGUUUGUCUAGUGACUCUAGGUAUAUAUUGCCAAUCUAUGACUAAAUAGCUAAUAAGCAAAUUAGAAUGUAAAAGAGCAAACUCUUCAUGAAAGACAUCCUGUGAGACUGAAGUGAAUAAACUAUUACUGUAGAGGCAUAGUCAACUUUUUUUAAAAAAGAUCAAGUUCAUUAAAAUGUAUGGAUUGGUAUAGUUUAGGACUUUUGUAGUAUGAUAAAUGUGUUUAAAUCAUAGCCAAGCUAUAGAAGUCAAAACCAAGAAUAAAAAAUAACUAAAUCAUAGCUAAGCUAGCUUUUUAAUAGUGUAAAAAUUAAAAUAAUAAAAAAAAGUAUAAUGGAGAAAGAUAAACAAAAUCAGAAAGCAGGGCAGGUUGGGGGAUUUAGAUAAGCACUUGGAAGCUUAGAAACAGAUAUAAAUGAAUAAAACUUAAUAAAUAUAUAUAUAAAAAAAAGGAAAGAGAGAUCUGAAAAUUGGGGGUGAGUGACUGCAGGAGAGAAGAAAAGGGAAAGAAGAAGAAGAGAAAAGAGGGAAAGAUAAAGGAAGGAGAAGAGAGUUAGAGAAAAUAAGUAUAAAGGUAAGAUUAAGCUUUGAUAUGAUAAAUGUGCUUUCUUUAAGCUUUAAAUUUAUGUUUUGUUCAAUAUUAGUGUUUUGAAGAUUUUGUUUUGGGUUGAUUGAUGAAUUGAUUUGAAUGUUAUGGGUAAUUAAUUAUAUAGUUGAUCUUGGAAGAUUUUAGGUAAAGAUGAUGAUUUUGAGUUAUGAUUUGUUUAAAUGGUGAAUUUGAGUUAGAAAUCUUGAUAUAACAGUAGGUGAUCUAUGAAAAUUCUGGGUUUGAGGUUGAAGAUGAAAAAAUUUCUGUUUGGUCCCUCAAUUUGUAAAAAUUACAGUUUAGUCCCCAAACUUUGAAAACAUUACAGAUUGGUCCCUGGAGCAUAGUCCGACAUUCUGGACAGAAUUGAAGAUGAAUUAUGGGCAGAAUUCCAGUAUAGUUAUGAAUUUAUGACAUUUUCAAUUUGGUCCUCCCGUUUGGCAAAAUUACAAUUUGACCCAAAAAAUUUGAUAAAAUCCCAGAAUGAUCCCUGAAGCAUAAUUAGAGAUUCUGGACAGAAUUGAGGAUGAAUUUCCAGUAUAGUCAUGAAUUUAUGAUAUUUUUAGUUUGGUCCUCUAAUUUGACAAAAUUGCAAUUUGACCCCUAAAAAUGAUAAAAUUCCAGAUUGGUCUCUAGCUGUAAUAUUAGUUUGUUCAGAUUGAUUUGAUGAAUAAUUGAGGGUUGUUUAGUGAAUUAUCAUCAAGUCUUAUUAUUUGUUUUCUUAUAAAUUAGAUUUCGGGAAAAUCAUUUAAUUUUUUGGUUUUUGGGAAAAAUUACUAGUUUAUUUCAAAAAUAUAUAGGGUUAUGGAAUAUACUUUUAGUUAAGUAUAUUAAAUAUGUUGUACAUUCUUUUAUUUUUAUAAAGAUCUAUAAUCUUUUUGAGCGGCAAUAAUAUUAAUAAAUUGGUAACCUCAAAAGGGAAGGAGCACAUUCACAUCAAGAUUGAUGAGAAUUUCUUCAGCUAAGUAAUUGGUAUAGCAACUUAUUCAACCUUGGUUUUUUACCUGGAUCAAUUUGAAUCUGAUAGAAGUACCAAAAUCUAGUGUUUCAGGUACUGUGUCAUCUUGCCUGUUCUUGUGGAGCUUUCUCAGUUGCCAUUAUUUUUUUUUAUCUUGUAAUAAAGUCUUGGGAAGCAUUUUUCAUGCUUAACUUUAUAUAUUUCCAUUUUCAGAUUGCUAUAGUUAAAGUUUUGUAUGAAAUUCGUUGAUAGAGUGGAAAGAGCUAUUGGAAGUAUGGAUGCAAAUGAAGAUGGUUUGUUAGAUCUUUGACUCUUGAUUUUGAAUCAAUCUAGAUUAAAAUUCUUCCUGUUGCCAUUAUAAUUUGCCAGGGAAAGAAAGAAUAUGCUCUUUCACUCGUCUGUGUCAGAUAAAUUCUACUUGUGAUGUAUGUUUCAUUAUGAGUCUACUUCUACAGAAAUAUGAUGAUAUUCUAUGACACUGACUCAGGGUUGAAGAAGAAAGCUAUGCAGACAUGCACUAUCUAGAGAGGUUAUGCUCAAUCAUUGUCGCAAUUAUUGCAUGGAGCCUGUAGAUCAUUUUAGGCCUACAGAAUCCCACAUGGUGCGGCGCUACACUGCCAUCAACAUGCUACCUCACGAUCCCCCAUCAUAGUACCUUUACUGCCACAGCCACUGUUACUGGUCUGUCACCUUCUAGAUUCCCCACCAUAACCAUUUCUUACAUACUGUUAUUUAUAUAUAUAUCAUGACAAAAGGCCUUUCGUUUGCUGUUCCUUAUGAUCCACAAUCCAUGUUUGUUAUUAUUAUUACAAUUAUUAUUAAGAAUUGAAGCUGCAAAGCGGGGGAAAGAGAAAGAAAGACUUACCUGGAGCUGCUACUUAAAGACGAAGACGAUGGUGAUGGAGGGCUGGCUAACCAAUGUUACUUUCUUCCCCUCUACUUCUGUUUUUCGUUCACUUCACCUCUGUUCUUGCUUUUCUCUGCUUGUUCUCUUUUUCUUUUUUGUUUCUCUUGUCCCCCCUGUCUCUCUCUGUUCUUGUUCCUCUUGAUCUCUCUCUGUAUUAUCUGUGUUCGUUCAUUUUUCGUCUGUGUUUUUUUGUAUUAUGUGUUUGUGGUUCUCCCCUCCUUUGUGGCUUUUGUCUGUUUGUCCUGAUUUCUCUGGGUAUGUAUUUGGUUGGUUGGAUCAACAACCUACGGUGAGGGGAAGUUGAAGUUCCCUUUUGCUGGAGGAUGGUCACAAGUCUCUCUGUCUUCUCUCUGUCUCUGUUUUUCUUCCCCCCUGCCUCUUCGUCUCUGUGUGUUGUGGUUUUUAUAGGGCAAGAGAAUGCCCCUUCAUCUCUCCCAGGAUAGUGUGGAGAUUAGCACGGUUCAGUCGUGCAUGAUAAAAAAAGGAUACCCAUUACUGGACUGUUAGUGUCAUAUCGUGGGGGAGAGAUACGUGACAAUGAUCUGCUGCCGUUUCCUUUGAAUCGGUGGGAUGAAGGAGAUGAAUAGCUUGUUUUGAGACGGCGCUGUUUUCACCUGAAAUGGCUAUUUUAAUUUUGCCUCUGCAUUAGCUUUCGGUGUCAUUUUCAAUUUAAUUAAUUUAGUUUUUAAUUGCUAUUCAACUUUUAAUUCUUUUAAAAUUAUUUUUGAAUUAUUAAUUCAUUCUCUUAGUAUUACAAUUUAUUCACUUUGAUUCUUGGAUUUUAAUUUCUUGCAAUGUUGACUUAAAUCAGCCCCAAACUUUAUUAUUUCUUCAAUUAAGCCCUAACUUUCAUUAAUUAAACUAAUUCAAAGCUUAUUUAAGUCCCCAAACUUAUCAAUUCUUCUAAUAUCUGACCAAAUUAACUUUUAAAUUUAUAAUCACAUCUUUAUUGGUCCUUAAAUUCCCAAUUUGUGUUAUCUUGAUCCAAUUCUCAAAUUAUUAUUAUUUUUUAUUUUUAUUUAUUUUAAAAAAAUAAAAAAUUAGGUUGUAACACAUGAUAUUUCGUUGGUUUAAAGGAACCGAUUGAUUUACACAUGUGGGAUUACAAAUAGAGAGGAAUCAUGGUUAUUUUAUAAAACUGCCAAAAACUUUCAAGACCAAAGUUAUUCCAUAGAUGUUGUAUUCAUGCGUGUUUGAAAUCUGAAUCACAGUGUUUAUUCUUACUGGGAUAUAAAGGCUUUCUACCUGUUCCGGAAAUUCUGUGAGCAAUCUUCCUUUACCAAUAUAUAUAUAUACUGGGAUAUAAAGGAUUGUCUAGCAAUGGAGCUGGCGAUUCAUUCUAAACGAAUGAUGUGAAGGGCUGUCCAAAUACUCGUUCUCGAUACUCUAGUACUUCAGUGAAAGCCUAUAAAACUGGAUGAGUAAUUGGACUGCAGUAUGCCUAACCUGGAGUAUAGUACUGAGCAGAUUUGUCUAUGAAUCNNNNNNNNNNNNNNNNNNNNNNNNNNNNNNNNNNNNNNNNNNNNNNNNNNNNNNNNNNNNNNNNNNNNNNNNNNNNNNNNNNNNNNNNNNNNNNNNNNNNNNNNNNNNNNNNNNNNNNNNNNNNNNNNNNNNNNNNNNNNNNNNNNNNNNNNNNNNNNNNNNNNNNNNNNNNNNNNNNNNNNNNNNNNNNNNNNNNNNNNNNNNNNNNNNNNNNNNNNNNNNNNNNNNNNNNNNNNNNNNNNNNNNNNNNNNNNNNNNNNNNNNNNNNNNNNNNNNNNNNNNNNNNNNNNNNNNNNNNNNNNNNNNNNNNNNNNNNNNNNNNNNNNNNNNNNNNNNNNNNNNNNNNNNNNNNNNNNNNAGAUAAAAAAUGAUAUUGCAUCCCGAAAAUAUAUAUUCACUACGGUAGGAAGUAUUUUUAUAUUUAUAAUAAAUAUUACAUGGGUUUCCCCCAUUUCAGAGCUUAAUUUUAUUGUUACCACACGGUGAGUUUUAUUAUGGUGUGUAUGAUCUCUAAAACUAAUACUAUUUUUAUGAUCGGAACACACAGUCUCGCGUGUGUUAGUUUCUGGGAAUUGUUUUCAUCCCACGUGGAUUAAUAAUUAUUAUGGAUAAUGAAUUAUAAUUUACUUCAGCAUGUUAAAUUUCCUUCAUGUUGAUUUAAUACAAUGAAAAUGCAAGAAAUUAUAAUACAAAGUAUAUUGUCACAUGAUACAGAAGUUAACUCUUAAACACAUAAAAACGAAUUAAAAAUGAUUACGUCAAAAGCACAUGAGUUUAUAUAUAUAUAUAUAUAUAUAUAUAUAUAUAUAUAUAUAUAUAUAUAUAUAUAUUAAAAUUAAAUUAAAAAAGCAAGCACAUGAGUUAAUAUAUAUAUAUAUAUAUUAAAUUUUUUUUUAAAAAAGGUAAAUCAUGUGCUUAAAUUCUUGUUUAUCAAGACUGACGUGGAUUAGAACAGUCCUUGAGGCAGCAGUGCUUUUUAUCUUCUUUUUCCUCUGCUCAACUUCUGCCAUGCUCAGGUAUCUCAAAUUUAACACGGGUGGGUUGGCUGUUGCAGCUGCUUGGCUGGCCUUUCAUCACUUUUUUUUUUUUUUUUUAGUUUAACGUGGGUGUCCGGGCUAGCUUGCGCACACCUUGACUAAUCCCACGGGCCCUGAAGUUAACGACCAUUUAAGCCUCCAGUGGCCAUCAUAUGAGCAACCACAAGGCUCGAACCUGAAACCACAGAGGGAGCAAACCUUUUGGUCCCAAGGUCUUACCACUGGGCCACCACCUAGAUGAUUUCACCUGUUUUUUUAGGUUUGAUGGGUUGUGGAGAGAGUUUUUGUUUGGCUGUGGCUCAACUUUUGUUGUCAACGCAGAAUCAAGCCCUUUUUCCCUGCUUUGUUUCUGCUAUGCUCAGCUCUGUCACGACUGAGUUGGCUGUUGCAGCUUUUUUGGGAUCCUUGGGCUGCAUUUCUGCUGGGUCUAUUGCAGGUUCUCGUGGCUUCUCUGCUGGUCUUUUUGUUCGCGUCAAGUCUGGCUUGGCUCAACUUCUUUAUAGAAAGAGUUGCUCUUUGGCUGUGGUUCAGCUUUUGAUGUCAAUGCAGAAUCAUUGUGUAUUAAAUGAGUGGGGCAGCAACAUCAUUACACACUUAUUUGCCCUCACCUUGGGUCUCUCUCCAGCAUUGGAAGAGCUGCUACUGUUUGCUUGGGGAUUAGCAUUUAGUUUGUUCGAGACACUCCUUUCCACUCCCAGCAUAUGUUUUUGCUUUUGUCAGACUAUGUUCUCCUUUUACUCCAACUAGAAUUCGGUUAUUUCCCUAUUCAGUUUUAGUUUGCAGGCAAGACUUCAUCUUCUGGUUUUCGGUUUUUCCUUUUUUAGUGAUGGCAUAUCAGUUCUUGAGAGUCUUCGUCGCAAGGACUUUUCUUGAGGCUGGGUCUUGAAUUUCCAAUUAGCUCUUCAUUUUUUGUUUUCUUUUGCUUUCAAGUCUGGGCAUCACUCUUUGGCCAUUUGUCGCUACGCCAUCAGUGUAGUCUUCUUUUUUUUUCCUCCAUUGCUUCUUCUCUUAUCCUUGGGUUAAUUUCCCAUGCUUUCACAUAUUUUUGUGGGUUGGAGUAGAUAGAUUCAUUUGCAUUUUGUCUUGGUUUUCUUUCAUGCCUCUCUCUUGGGUUUUUUUUGCUUUCUGUUCUGUUCAUAUGGUUUUCUACCAUUGGUGCUCAUUUUUCUAGAGCUCCUCUUCCUCUAUUUUGAUUAACUUGCUUUUGUUUUUUAUUUUUUUUUCUGUUGAUUUCAUUGAGUUUAUCUUCCUCAUUUCUUAGUUUCAUUUCUUUUAAUGUAGGUUUGUGUUGUGUGUUAAGAUCACUUAACAAAUCAAGAAGAAGAUGAGGCUAAGAAGCAGAAUAAUAUUAGCAGAGAAGAGUCAAGAAAAGAGAGAAAUGAUAUUAGCAGAGAAGAGUCAGAGAAGAGUCAAGAGAAGAGAGAAAUGAGAUCGAAAUUGAACUGCAAUCUAUUCAUAUCCAAUGUGAUCCAUACACUGCGCUUUUAUAGUGAUCAAUAUUAACUACUAACAGAUUAAUCCAACUAACUCUAACUAACUAACAGAAUUCUACAACUAAUAGCAGGUUGCGUGUCCUUGACGUUUGCCUUCCCACAGCAGCCAUCCUGAAUCGUAACAUUGUGUUAUCACUGUCUCUGCAGAAUCUUUUUUCGGUUGGUUUGCUGGAGCUUUUCAUUCCUAAGUGGAUGUUCUUCUUUCCCAGGUUCUUUCUCUUUUCAUUGCCUUUUGGUUUUUGUCGUAUUCAUUAUGUCAUUCUGCCAGUGGUUUUGAGUUUUAGUUGAAUGUUCAUUACAAAAAAAAGAGGUGUGAUAUUAUCAUUGUUCAUCCAUAUAUAUUUUACUUCAUGUGGAUUAGAACAGUUCUUCAUUCGUUUCUCAUUUUAGGUGUCGAUGGUCCACAUCUGGGCGUGGCUUACGUGGCUUCUUUGAUUUUUUUUGGCGUCGUUGUUGGUUUGUUUCUGUCUAAUUAGCGCGGGUUAUUGGCUGCUCUGUGGCUUGCCAACCAUGUGCUUGCUUUUGGGUCUGGAAGGAUGACUGAGCUUUGUGUGGAUUGGUCAAGCUGCUUUCUCCCUGGAUCAUUGUCGACUCUGGCGCUCGUGGGAGGUGGUUGUAAUUUCCAGCUUUUUGUGGAUUGCUAAGCUUUGGGGGAGAGGUGAUCCCUGGGUCUGACUCAGCUUCUUCUCUAAAUUGAGCUAAUGUGGUGGCUACUUCUUUCUAUGGCUGGGACAACAACAUCAUUAUGUAUUUAAUGCAUAAACCCACUUGGCCUCACCUUGGGUUUCUUCCCAACAUUGGGAGAGGUUAUUCUGCUGAGUUGAAGUUAACUCCUAUUUAGUUUAGGACUGUUGUUAUGUUUGGUUCUCCCUUGGUAUUUCUUCAUUAGGUUAUUUGCCUGACUGAAUGGAACAAGAUGAGUGUCUUUUCCUGUUGAUUUUUCAUUUGGUUUCAGGUCUUUUUUGGCAGUUAUGGAUAUUUUUACUUCAAUUGUCAACUCAUGUUGGGCUUUGUUGGCCUUUUGUGUUGGUUUUUGCAGCUUCUGUCCCUGUUUUCUCACCUUCUUUCUCAUCAGGAUUUGGAGGACUAUUUAAGAGGUCAUAUCUUUUGGUUCUCUCCUUAGAAUUGUCUUACAUUUUUUCUUGGUCUAAUCGUUGCUUCCUUCUCCCCCUGUUUUUAGCUUCCAUUAUUGCCCUCCAAGUUUAUUUUUUGUCCCCUGUAAGUUUGAUUGCACUUCUUUAUAUGUUCUUCACAUUGUUAUUUGCUUACCUUUUGAUCAUGCUAUUUUUUUUUUAUUUCUGUGUUAUUUUGGUCUUUGUUGCUUGGUUUUUGAUCAUGGUGCUUCUGUUGUUACCUUUUCUUUUCUUCCACUGUGCAUGAUUUAUUGGUCUUUCAUUGCCUUUGCCUAGAUUCAUUUUGGUAGGGGCUUCUCAGUCUCUCUUGUGGCCUGUGAGUUGAUUUCCACUGUGCAUUAUUUUGUUUUCUUUUUCUUAAAAAAGUUGGGAAAAGUUUAUUGGAAAUCCAAAGGAUGAGAGAAAUUGUUGUAGAUCAGAGUCCUUAUGGGGUCGAAGCACUUAGCAUGUGGCCAUUUUGUGUUCCAACUUCUGGUGUUGUGUUUGUUCAUUACUUUAAUGCUUUUUCUAUUUUGAUUUAGAAAACAAGAAAAAUAUUAAAAUUUGGGUCCACGUGAAUUUUCACCUUGGAUUUGUUGUUACUUGGAUAUAAUUGAUUCUUCUUUCUCUCUUGGUUGUUGAAUUUUGCAGCGGUGUCAGCACUUCAGGUCAUUCAGCAGUCUACUAGCUUGGAUCUCGGGCGGGAGGAUAACUCACCGAUAAUAUGGGAACCUAUUGAUUUUCUUAGAGCUUUCAGACAUUAAUUUGAGGUUAAUUAGUCCUCCUUUGGGUGACUUAUUGGAUCUUAAAACACUGUAAACUUAACUCUUGACUUUUCCUGUUGUUUUCAUUUGAUUUCACAUUUUUGUUUUACUUCAUUUCUCAUUCCAUUGCAAUUUGCUUUCGGGAUUUGCACAACACAUCACUUGCUGGAGAGAUACAGAACUUGGAAAGCCUUCAACAUCUCGAGAAACUGUAUGCACGCAUCACUUGCUGGCAUCAAUUUUCAACUGAAAACAAAGUCCUGAGUAGCUUAUGUUGUUCCCAGUAAUGAUAUAUAUAUUGGGAUAUAAAGGAUUGUCUAGCAAUGGAGCUGACGAUUCAUUCUAAACGAAUGAUGUGAAGGGCUGUCCAAAUACUCGUUCUCGAUACCCUACUUCAGUGAAAGCCUAUAAAACUGGAUGAGUAAUUGGACUGCAGUAUGCCUAACCUGGAGUAUAGUACUGAGCAGAUUUGUCUAUGAAUCUUUGAGUUUUAGACUUGCUGUUUUGAGCUUCUUCCACAAGCUUUGCCAUUUUAGCUACCACACAGUCUUCAGCUAAAGCAGUAGUUCUAACACUGACAUUACCUGAAACUGAUAAAUACCCCAUUGACUCUCAAGUUAAUAGUUCCAACCCACACUACGGAAUCCACUUGUUUGGCUACCGGAAAUGACUCUCCAAUUAAACCCUAGAUAUUUGUCACACAACAAGUAGGUCAUCUAUUCGCAAAUCUCGAGCAAGUCACCCGAAAGCAAACUUUUCAUGAAGAAUCCUAUAUAUUCUUCACACAACAGGUAGUCCCCGGCCUCAAUAACACUAUUUUUUAAAACAAAGAGAAUAACCGCCUCAUGAUUUAUUAAUAUCAAAACCUCGGAUUUCUCUUCUAACCUCGGAAGGCUUUCAUAUAUAUAUAUAUAUAUAUAUAUAUAUAUAUAAACUUACUUUCCAAAGUUCUUUAUAAAACUUCAUACAGUAAGUGUUGUAAAAAUAUGGUAAUUUUCAUAACUCAAUUUUAAUUCUCUUUUCAAAAUAUUUUUUUUAAAUCUAAAUAUAGUAAAAAAAAAAACAGCUAAAAACCCUAAAAAUAUAUUUUUGAUGCAUUCGUGUAAUUUUUAAUGUCUUUUCAAAAAAAUUCAAAAUUCAAAAAUUUGUUUUAAUGCUUUCAUCGAGUUAGCAUUUACAUUGCUAUUUUUUUAAAAUCAAAAUACAAAAAUAAAUAGGAAAACAAAAGGAAAAAUGAAAAAAAAAAAGAUCAAAGGCAUAAAGAAAGAAAAUAAAGAACUAAAGUGAAUUUAAAUUUCUUGAGAACCAAGCAAUUAAAAAAAAUAAAAAAAUUACCUAUAAAUAUUAAAAAAUUCUGGCAAAGAUAGGAGGCCAUAAAAAAAUAACCUAAAAAUAGGGGAGCCACUAAAAAUUACUAACCCAGCCGCCACUCACACAAAAGCACCUGACCCUUCGUCUCCUCCCAUUCCAAGCUAUCUUCAUUACCAUCAUAAACCUAUUUUUCACCAACAAAAAUCAUCCCUCAGUCCAUUAUUGUCAAAAACAUAAAACACACAAAUAAAAAUAUAUCUCUCUCACAGUCUUCUUCCCUAUCACUGUCGACACCAUGCCAGGAGCAAACCAAGCUUUUCCAUUUCUUCCUCCUGGCCAACAGCAAUACCAGUGGCAGCCAACACUCCUACAGAGGUAGUUUCUUUUAGACCCAAAUACACCAGCCACAGCAGCUCCACCAUAAACCGUUUCCCCUCAUUUUUUCAUUGUAAAUGACCAAAAGCCACAUAAAAACUUCAUCUUCCCUAAAUUUUCUUCUUUCCCACCGUGACUGCCACUGCCAUAGCGGUGGAAAAGAAACAGCAGUGCCACGUUGUCCUGCCACUUCCAGCCUCAUUCCCAAGGCUAGAUAAAAAUGAUAUUGCAUCCUGAAAUUUAAAUUCAUUACUAUAGGAGUAUUUUUAUAUUUAAAUAAAGAUUAAAUAUUACUUAAAAAACUUUGUUGAUGCAUAAACCCACGCUAGUAAGUGGAUGACUUACGUGCCUUUCAAGCGUUAUGUGCAAGCUUAUCUAGUUAAUAAACACUACCUUUCACGGAAACAUUUUAAUUGUCUUGGCAGCAUUUGAAUUGUCUUAUUAUUUUUUCUAUGUGCAAGGUUGUCUAGUUAAUUAAUAAACACUCUGGUUUGGUGUUGGUAUCCCUUUUUUUUUUUCCCUUCAUUUAUCCUUUUUGAUUUUCAAUUCUAUCUUAUAAAAUUUCAAAGCAACUCUUUGAUUUUAUUUCUUUAUAUUUUGUGCUUUUUUAUUUAUUUUAUUUAAAACAAUUCAUAAAUUUGGAAUUCUUUUUCAUUUUUAUCCUUUUUUAAUUUUUUUCAUCUUUCAAUUUUUGUCUUUAUUCUUUUGACUUUUAUUUAUUUUAUUUGAGAUAAUUUCUUAAAUUCUUUUUUUUUUACAAUUUCAUCCUUCUUAGGUUUUCUUUCCUAGAAAAUUUAAUCUUCAUUCUUUUAAUUGUUGUUUUUUUUUCACUUUGGCAAUUUUUUAAAUUGAUUUUUUCUCUGAUUUCAUCCUUCAACAUUAAAUUAGUUGGGAAUUAAAUUCUCAUUAUUUUGAUUUCUAUUUGUUUUAUUUUAGAUAAUAUUUUAAAUUGAUUUUUUUUAAUUUCAUCCUCAUUUUGUUUUCCUAUCAAAUUUGAUCAUCAUUCUUUUUAUUGUUACUUUUUCACUUGAUAGUUUUUCAAAAAAAAAAUUCAUCAUUCAACAUUAAAUUGAUUGGGAGUUAAACUUAUUGAUUGAACCCAUGUUUAUGAUUUCACGCUUACGAGUUUUAAAGAUUAACUCAAGGUUCAUCUAUGUUUGCUUGUUUUUAAAAAAAAAACUCGUAUUGUUUUCAAUUUCAUCCUUCAAUAUUUAUUCAAUUGGAUAUCGAGCUCCGUUAUUUUUAUUUAUUUUCUUUCUAUAUAAUUGUUUGCUAAUUUUAAAAAUAGUAUGGGUUAUCUUAAUUCUUUUUAUUUAUCUUUCUAUGUUGAAUUUAUUUUGGUAAAUUUUUUAAAUUAAUUUGUUUUUCCUAUUCCAUCUUUCAAUAUUAUACUUGUUGGUAAUUAAUUUUCUUUUUCAGUUACAUCCUUCAAGAAUUAAGAUUUUUUUAUAUUGGGCUUCAUUAUUUUCUUCUAUCCUUUAUAUUUCUUUACCCUGGUCUCAUCACAUAGACCAUGAGUUUGAUAGGUUAAUCUAAGUUGGCUUGAGUUUUUUUUACAAAAAAUUUUCAAUUUAAUAUUUAUUACAUUUUUUCCUUUAGCAUUAAGUUGUUUUAGAGUUAAGCUUCAUAAUCUUUUCUAAUUUGCAGAUUUUUUUUUUGUCCUUUUAUUUUUCAAUUUCAUCCCUCUAUGUUUGAUUUGUUUAGAAUCGGACUUUAGAUUUUUUUUAAUUUUUUUUAUUGGCUUCUCUCGGUCUCAUGACAUGGUUUGUAUAUUUGACAUGCUCAUUUAAGUUGACUCAAGUAAAUUUUUUACCCUUUUUUUUAUCUUUUUUUUUUAAAAAAUUUGAUUGGUUGGAAUCAUAGCUUCAUUGUCUUUUUUUUGUUUCGGUGACCUUUUUUUUCAGGUUCCUAUGAUUUAUUUUUUUAAAUUGUACCAUUAACUUUGGUUAUUUGUUCUUUUAUUAACUGAUUAGAUUACACGUUUUUUUUAUCAAUCAUAUCUAUAUUCCGAGUCAUUUUUUUUUAACUUCUUUAAAACAUACUUGCAUCACCCAUGAGUUUUUUGAACAAAUAAAAAGAACAUGACCUCUGUAGUAGCGCGAAACCAAAAAUCUAUUACUUAUACGCACGAGUGUGUUUGUUUUUGUGGUAGAUUUUGUGGUUAAAGUUUUAAAAAAGUUGGUUUUCAAAAAUCACUUUUUUAUUGUGGUGUGUUUGAUUUAAAUAAGUAUUUUGUUAAAACUGUGAUUGAAAAUACUUUUCAAAAAAUAAUAAGUUAUAGUGGCCGUUUGGGAGUGUGGCUGCGGGUGAGGUUCACCCGCAGCCACACAUGACAGCGUUUGGUUAAGGAAAAAAAAUGCGUCUUACUAGUAGGACCCACUAAAAUAAGAGAUUGGACCGCAGGUUUUGAGAAGCAGCAUUUUGCUGCUUCUCGUGGUGGGAAAGGAACUUCAACAAUGGAGCCAUGCUCCAUUGCGCACUGUUCACUAAGUGAACAAUUUUAUUUUAUUUUUUGAAAAACCAACACGCAAAGUAUUUGUUUUUCCGAAAAACUAGUGCAGUUAAUUAAUUGCACUCGCAUUGUUCACGUGAACGUGAACAAUAUAUUUUUUUUGUUUUUUUAAAAAAUUAGUUUAAGGUGAAUUAAAUUUACUUGUACUGUAAUCUCAAUUUUAUUCAUGAUAAUAUUUUACCUAAUUUUAUUGCACGCAGGAUAAAUCAUGGAAACUGUAGUUAUUGCCGAAUGAAUUUUGUACGUAAUGAAAUUGUUGAUUUUUUAAAAAAAAUUAUGUUUUACUCCAAAAACUAGCAUUUAAUAUUAUUUAACAACACUACAUAAAUUAGAAGGAUAUCGCAUGAUGACGUAUUAUUUGUGAAAUUUGAUCGCAAUUCCAAUUAUGUUCUUGCUGGGUCCGGCCCAGUUAAAAAAAAAAUCAGUUUUUAUUUUUAUUUUUAUUGUGUUCUAUUCAAAAAAUUAGAAGGAGAUCGCUUGAUGACGUAACAAAAAAUUCAGUUUUUGUUGUUGCGUGCUUAAGAAACCAUGAAAAAUAUAGUCAUUGUUGGAUAGAUUUCGUAUGUGAUGACAUUGCACAUAGUUUAAUGGAAUACUAAAAAAAUAUUUGAUAUCAAUAUUAUUUAUUUCAUGAUAUAAUAACAGUAGUUAAAUCUACAAUAUUUAAAUUAAAAAUCAUUAAUAUUAAUAUAUAUAUUUUUAAUUAUUUUAUAACAUUAAUUUGAAAAGCAUUUUUUUAACCAAACACAUUAAACUACUUUUUCUUCAACCUCAAUUUCAACCACUGUUUUAAUCAAACAUCUAUUUUUUCAAACCAACCUCAACUAAAAAUACUUUUUAGAAAACAACUUUUUUCAAACCACAACCACAACAGCUACCGCAAUACCAAACACACUCAUAAUUGUUUGUUUAAAAGUGUGGUUGAAGUUGAAGAUGCAUGUUAAAUUACUAUAAAGGACAACUAAUUUAUGUAUUAAUUUGCAUUGUAUUUAAACAUACAUUUAUAUAAGAUAAAUUAAAAAGAAGGAAACUUAUUUUUUAUUGUAUUUAAAUAUGUAUUAUCAUAAGAUAAACUAAAAAUUAAAUAUAUGAUUGAUUUACAAAGGUUGAGAUAUAUUUUGUAAUGUAAGAUAGAAAGUGUUAUGAUUCUUUAAAUUUUAAAAUGUUAUUUUCAAACUUUAGUUAAAUAGUUUUAAGAUUUGUUAAGUGGAGUAUAUGAUUGAUCCUCAUUCUUUUGAUUGUUAGUUAUUUUAUUUGAAAUAAUUUAUGAAAUAUUAAUUAUUAUUAUUUUAAUUUCUUUAUCUUUUAAUUUUUUAAUAUUUUUAGAUUUAAUCUCUAUUAUUUUAAUUAUUUAAGAUAAUUUAUGAAAUUAUAUUUUUUUCAAUUUAACUCUCAUUCAACUUUUUAAUUUGUAAGAUUUGUUUGUUAUUAUUUUAAUAAACUUGGAAAAAAUAAAACAUUAAUAAGUUAUUUUUUAACUCAUUUUCUAUGACAUAACCAAAUUCUGAAAAGUAUUUUUCAAUUUAUUUUCUAUUACACUACCAAACAUCGGAAAAUAAUUCACUUUCUUGAAAUUUAUUUUAUCAGAAUUUACUUUCAAAAAAAAAAAGUAUUUUCUAACCAACAAAGAAUAAAUUAGUUUGUUUGAGACAAUCCUUUCCACUCCCAGCGUGUGAUUUUGCUUUUUUCGGACUAUGUUCUCCUUUUAUUCCAACUAGAAUUCUGUUAUCUCCUUUUAUUCCAACUAGAAUUCUGUUAUUUCCCUAUUCAGUUUUAGUUUGCGGGCAAGACUUCAUCUUCUGGUUUGUAAUGUCGCUAUCUCAGUUCAUGUCGUGCCCUUUUGCUGGGGGUGUUUUUGGUUUUUCCUUUUUUGACAUAUCAGUUCUUGAGAGUCUUCGUCGCAAGGACUUUUCUUAAGGCUGGGUCUUGAAUUUCCAAUUAGCUCUUCAUUUCUUGUUUUCUUUUGCUUUCAAGUCUGGGCAUCACUCUUUGGCCAUUUGUUGCUACGCCAUCAGUGUAGUCUUCUUUUUUUCCCUCCAUUGCUUCUUCUCUUAUCCUUGGGUUAAUUUCCCAUGCUUUCACAUAUUUUUGUGGGUUGGAGUUGAUAGAUUCAUUUGCAUUUUGUCUUGGUUUUCUUUCAAGCCUCUCUCUUUGUUAUUUUUUUUUUGCUUUCUUUUCUGUUCAUAUGGUUUUCUACCAUUGGUGCUCAUUUUUCUAGAGUUCCUCUUCCUUUAUUUUGAUUAACUUGCUUUUGUUUUUUAUUUUUUUUCUGUUGAUUUCAUUGAGUUUAUCUUCCUGAUUUCUUAGUUUCUUUUCUUUUAAUGUAGGUUUGUGUUGUGUUAUCACUAUCUCUGCAGGAUCUUUUUUCGGUUGGUUUGCUGGAGCUUUUCAUUCCUUAGUGGAUGUUCUUCUUUCCCAGGUUCUUUCUCUUUUCAUUGCCUUUUGGUUUUCGUCGUAUUCAUUAUGUCAUUCUGCCAGAGGUUUUGAGUUUUAGUUGAAUGUUCAUUACAAAAAAAAGAGACGUGUGGAUUAGUGUUGUAUUAAACUCAAUCAAUCUAGAAGGUCAAGGAAGGCAACCACCGGCCAGCCAGCCACCAGCUGUGACCGACCAGCCGCCAGCCACCAGCCACCAGCCGCAGCCGCCAGCCGCCUUCACACCAUUGGCCGCCAACUGCCUUCACACUUGAAGGUUGAAUUAUCUUGUUUUGAAUUCGUGUAUAAAUAGCAAGCUAAGCUUAUGUUAUUCUGUGUGGAGAGAGUAGAGAGAAACACUAGAGAGAAAGAGAGAGGGCGUGUAUUAAGCUUUUUGUGUUUGUAAGCUUUUGUUCUUGAAAUAAAACAGUGUGUUUUAUCCCCUCUGAGUGUUUCAAAGCCACCACCAGUGGUUUCUCCCACCAACAAUUAGAACAGUUCUUCAUUAUGUUUUUAAUGCAUAAACCCACUUGGCCUCACCUUGGGUUUCUUCCCAACAUUGGGAGAGGUUAUUCUGUUAAAGUUGAGGCUGUUGAGCUAAUGUGGUGGCUACUUCUUUCUAUGAUUGGGACAACAACAUCAUUAUGUAUUUAAUGCAUAAACCCACUUGGAGGUUAUUCUGUUGAGUUGAAGUAAUGAACAAACACAACACCAGAAGUUUAUUGGAAAUCCAAAGGAUGAGAGAAAUUUUUGUAGAUCAGAGUCCUUAUGAGGUUGAAGCAAUUAGUACGUGGCCAUUUUGUGUUCCAACUUCUGGUGUUGUGUUUGUUCAUUACUUUAAUGCUUUUUCUAUUUUGAUUCAGAAAACACAAGAAAAAUAUUAAAAUUUGGGUCCACGUGAAUUUUCACCUCGGAUUUGUUGUUACUUGGAUAUAAUUGAUUCUUCUUUCUCUCUUGGUUGUUGAAUUUUGCAGCGGUGUCAGCACUUCAGGUCAUUCAGCAGUCUACUAGCUUGGAUCUCGGGUGGGAGGAUAGCUCACCGAUAAUAUGGGAACCUAUUGAUUUUCUUAGAGAGCUUUCAGACAUUAAUUUGAGGUUAAUUAGUGCUCCUUUGGGUGACUUAUUGGAUCUUAAAACACUGUAAACUUAACUCUGACUUUUCCUGUUGUUUUCAUUUGAUUUCACUUUUUCUUUUUUUUACUUCAUUUCUCAUUCCAUUGCAAUUUGCUUUAGGGAUUUGCACAACACAUCACUUGCUGGAGAGAUACAAAACUUGGAAAGCCUUCAACAUCUCGAGAAACUGUAUGCACGCAUCACUUGCUGGCAUCAAUUUUCAACUGAAGACAAAGUCCUGAGUAGCUUAUGUUGUUCCCAGUAAUUAAUGAUAUGGAAGAAAAGGAGGUCUAACUUCCAAAAUUUUGGUUAAUAUGCUGCCCUAUUAGAUGGUAGACUAACCAAUCCUGCUGGUGAACCUGUUAUUAAGAGUGUUAGGACUAAAGAAGAAGGGAGAAACAAUGGGGGGGCUCUUCUUUCUCCUCUAAAAAUUUUAGCUACUGUUUCCAGUGAAAAAGCCAGAGGUAGCAUCCAGCUUUCCUAUGCAAAAAUCUGUUGAUUCUUCAGCAUUCAUGAGAUGUCAUGUGAUGGCGACAAAUUCUGCAAGUCGCAGUGGAGCUGUAGGCUUGGUAUGUUUAUAUUUCAUAUAUUCUUGAGAAAUUCCUUGCUCCUAUAAGCUCUAGAUAUUACCUUGUUAAACAAGUCAAUCAUAUGUCAACGUUUAUCUCUGUAGAGUAAUUUGCAAUUCAAUUGGCUCAAUUUUUUAUAUAAAUUAUAAUUAGGUUUAUGUUUUUGAUGUUAGGUUUCCUGUUUGUUGUUCAAUGAUCUCUCAUGUUUUAGAUAUUGCUGAGGAAAAAAUGACUACAGUAAUGAUUGAUAUCUGCAACCUUUCCCUGCUUAUUGAAUCCCAGUUCCCAUGACCAACAACCUACAUUAUAGCAGUUGUUGCCUGAGGGUGCUAUCAUUCCAUGCUCAGAAUUGUUUUGAAAGUAACAAAACCAGAUAAAGAAUCAGCAGUACAAGAAUCGAUCUUACACUGUAAAAUAUCAGCACUAAAUACUAUUUUCUCUUUGACAAUAAAAAUCAUGCUAUAAAAAAAAACAUGAGUGGUAUUAAACUUAAAGUUUGUAUGGGAUAUCAUUAUCAAUUAACAUUAAUAACAUUAUUCAAAGAGGAUAGGUAAUUAAAUAAAAGAAAAUUUUAAACAAUGUCAAGAAGAUCAAAUAUUUUUAUGUGUAUUUAUCAUUACGCUAUUCUCUUUAAUUAGUAUUAACAAUUAUUUUGUUUUUUAUAAUUUUAAUAUUUUUUAACAGAUUUUUAUAGUAUAUUCUGAUAAAAUAUGAUUUAAUUUUUACUUAUUUUAUAGAAAAGAUCUUAUCAUUUUUUUAUGUUAGGAGAUAUUUUUUUAGACUUAUUUUAUUUUCAUUUUUAUUCAAUUGUUUUCCUAUCCAUGUUUUUUAUUAUCAUUUUAUUAAAUAAAACAUUUGUUCCAACAUACAAUGUUAUUAAAUAUAUGGUUUAUGUUUCGAGAUCAGAUAUUUACAGUUAUAUGUCAAUUUUUUUUUAGUCUUUCAUUAAAUAUCAUUUAUUUUUUACUUGAUUUUGACAUAAAAUUGUAAUUUUUUUUUAAUAAGUACAAACUUGUAUAAAUUUGUUUUUGCUUUGAUUUUAUUCAAUUAUUUUCAUGUGUUUAUUUUUAUUAUCGUUUAAUUAAAUAAAUAGUUUAUUCUUAAAAACAAAGUUAUUAGACACAACUUAGUAGAUGAUCAAUGUUUCGAGAUCAAAUUUCUUGCUUAGUACAUGAUUCAUGUUUCGAGAUCAAAUUUCUUGAUUUACAUCUAUAUCUUUAUUUUUCAAGUUUAGUCUAUGGUUUUUUACUAUGAAUUGUUUUCUGGUAAAAAAACAAUGUUAAAAAAACCUGUAUAUUUAUUUUUUUACUUAGAAAUAAAAUUAUUUGACCCACAUCAAAGCAUGGGUCAAAUGUGCAUGUGUGCCUGUGUAUAGUGUAUUUUAUUGUACUAGUUUUUUCAGCAACGUGUAUUAUUAAAAUUUUAUUUAAUAUUUUUUAAUUUUUUAUAUAAUUUGCUUCAAUAAUGAAUAAUUUAAAAAUAAGAAAUUAUGUAUGUGUUUGUGAAUUUAUUAUAUAGACUUCGAGAAAUAAGCUUUAAAAAUUUUGUUUAGUUUUCUUAUAAGUAUUGUUAAAAAUUAAAAUAAAAUUAUUUAUAUUAUAUUAUCAUAAUUUUUAUCUUUUUUUUUCAAAACUAAAAAGAAAAAGAGAGCGACAUUUUUUCUUGCCACAAACAUAAAUAAAUAUAUUUUUUUUCAAUUAGAAAAAUAUAUCUUGCCAUUUUAAAAAAAUAAAGUUAGUUUGAUAACAUGAUAAAAAUAAGAAAUCAUUGGAUUUUCUUUUAAUUACAUAUAAUUAUCAAUAUAUAAAAUUAAAAACUUUUGAAAAAAACUACAAAUAAAAAAAAAGGAAAAUUUGGAUUUUUUUAAUAUUAUAAAAUUAAAAUGUUUUCCCCAACAAAAAUAAUUAUUGUAUUAUAAAAUUUUUGAAUUAAUUUUGUUUAAAAGAUUUUUUUAAUUUAGAUAAAAUCUAUAAAUAACUCAAACACAUAAAGUGUAUCUGUGAAUAAAAUUUUAUUCAAAAGUUAUAUUUUUAUGAAUUAUUUUAUUUUAAAGAGUUCAUUUUUAUUAAAUGUGGGAAUAAUAUUAAAGAUAUAGGCAUGGAUAAAAAUUUUAUGUUAUCUGUCAAUUAAAAAGUCCUUUUAUAUAUUAGUAAAAUCCAUCAAAAAGUAUAAAUAUUUUUAUCUAAAGUAGUGAAGAUAAUGUACGAUAAGAACCAACGGCUACCUAUAUAUAUAAAAAAACAAUGAGGACUAAUUCAAUAAUUUUCUAAAAUUUGAAGUAUUUUUAUUAAUUUUAAUUUUAAUUAUAUGUGAAGUGAAUAGAAAUUAAGAAUAUAGGCAUGAAGAUAAAUUUUAUGAAUCAUUAUGUUUAAGGGGGCUUUUUAAUAUGAGUAACAACUAAAAAAAUAAAAAAAAUACUAUAAUUCAUAAUCUUUCUUUUUAAUUAUCAAUUUUGAUUAUUUAUAUUUAGCAAUUUCUAAAAUGGAAAAAUCUUUAAAAAAAUCCAAGGAAAUAGAAUUUGAUAUAGCAUUGGAUCUCAUAUAUUAAUAUUUAUAUUUUAUUAUUAAAAUAUCUUCUCCUACUACUAUAGCUAUUAUAUUAAAAUAUUUAUGAAUUACUUUAAAUCAAGUCUACAUAUAAUAAUAGAAAUACAUAGUUAUAUGAUGUGACUUUUAACAUACAUUGAAAAAGAACAUCUUACCUUUUGUUUUGUUUGUCGCAUUGUUAUCAAACUCUUUUGCAUUUUAUUGCAGCAUAUUGCUAUGUGUACGGCAUGCUUUAAUCAAAAAGUUGAGUAAUCGAUGAAUGUUAGGCAAGAAUAUUACAGAUUGUUUUUGUUUUCUGCCUCCUCUUUUUCUUUCCCCCACCCUGAAAAUUGUCAUAUUAUUUUUGUUUUCAGCCGCCUCUCCUUCCCCCAACCUUGAAAAUUGUCAGAGGACACUUUUAUGCUUGGAAUCAAAUCCAUCCUAAUUCUUUCGCUCAUAACUUUAUGUGUGAACUGCCGAUGUUUCAUUUGUCUUCCUUGUUCAGUGCCUUUUUUUUUCUUUGACAAGGUUUUCCUUUUUGCCUUUUAUCUUGAACAGCAUCCCAUAGUAUGCCCCCUCAAGUUCAGAAUCAUGGGCUAUUUCUCCCUAUCCUAUUGUCCACUGAUCAGUCUCAAGCACGCCAGCAGUUGUUAUCACAGAACAUGCAGAAAUGCAUGGCAUCUAAUGGAGUUCAAAGUUCUGCUGGUUUACAAGCGGCUCUGCCUCCUGUCUCCUUGUAACCCAGACUAUCCCCAACACUGUUGUCCAGAAUCCUAACAUGCAGAGUAUCCCCGGUGUUUCACAGAACUCAGUGGGGAAUUCAAUGGGACAAGGGAUUCCCUCCACUAUGUUUGCUAAUUCUCAGAGACAAAUGCUAGGUAAUGCUCUUUUUGGUAACUUUAUGUGCCACUACUGCCACUUAUGGCAUUAGUAGUGCCACUGCUAUUGAAACCAUUGCAAUCACACACGCAUUUGUUACCACAUCAUACCCUCCAGUGCAUUGCACCAGCUAUUCACCUCUCAUUCUGGAUUUAUAGGGUCCGUCCGUCUGUUUGAAUGGUUACAUAGCGUUUAGAUGGAGUUCCUAGUACUCCAAGUCCAAAAAGGACUUGUAUUCCUAUUCCAUUGAAUCAUGACCAUAUCCAGUAUUGUUGAAUUUUAUAGAAAAUGAGGUUGAAAUUCUGAAUGUCUCAAGUCAUAACUGCAUAUUUGAAUUUUAUAGAAAAUAAGUGGACCUAUUCCAUUUUUUUUGUGUGCUUAGGAGAGUAUUGAAACGGGAAUAAGAAUGGUCAUGCUUAGGAUCUAAGGCUAAGAAGCGUUGCUAAAGUUGUGACAUCCAUUGACUUGAGCUAGAACAGCAGAAAACAAUGAUGAGUAGUUUGCAGUGAGACAAAGUAACUGAACUUAAUCAACUCCUGAAUCUUGUCUAAAGGUGCAAUUACACAGUCCUUUGCAUCUUUCCAUUCCAUCAAUAUCGACAUCCUCUUGAGUUUCCAGCAUUAAUUCCACUCUGCUAUUUUUAUCUCAACUAAUUUAUGCUCCUCAUGCCGCCGCCCCUCCCUUUUUUUUUUUAUCAAUUCUCUUAAAGUUGUGAAGCUGUAGAGAAGGCAAUCACUCAAAUUAUGAUGGGUGAAGAAGCAGAGGGAAUGAGGAGUAGAGCAAAGAAGUUAGGAGAAACAGCCAGGAAGGCUGUUGAAGAAGGUUGAUCUUCUUGCUCCGAUUUCGAUGCUUUGAUUGAAUAACUGAGGUAACUGUUGAAGAUGAUCGCCCUUGAAACAAAUGUAGAUGUAAGCGUUGUCACAUAUGCAUAGAAUAUUUUGUUUCUGUUGUUGUUAUCCAUUUUUGUUCUAAAAAAAAAGAAAAAAUACAAAAUAUAUAUAUAUAUAUAUAUAUAUAUAUAUAUAUAUAUUCGGAAGAAAUAAAAAAUAAUAGAAGCAAGAAAAGGAUGUUGGAAUGCCGAAAAAAAACCAAAAUUGAUUGAGGAGGUUUAAAAAUACAAAAGGUUAAAAUUUAACAGUAUAUUUUUGACCGGUGAGAGCCCUGUUGACAAGAAAUAUUCAAUUUAAGGAAGAAAAGUUUAAAAUCAGAUGUUUAUGGACUCAAUUAAAUCUUAUCUAUGGUUUAAUUGAAUUUAUGUAGCGUUUGAUUGCAAGAAAAAAUUGAUUUUUGAGUCAAUUUCGGCUUUUAUUGGAUAAAAUUAAAGUUCUGGAGUUCAAUUAUAAUUUUGAAGAGUUAAUUUGGUCAAAUCAGGGGCUUAAUUGCAUAUUAAUUUAUUAAAGUUUGAUGGCCAAUUAGGGACUUAAUUGAAACAAACCGAAACCAAGGACCAAACCAGAAAAGGCUUUAAAAUCAAGGGAUCCAAUGACAAUUUAUCCAGGGGCUUGAUUACAAAAUUGCAAAAAACAUCCGAGGACCAAAUCCAAAAUAUUCAUUUGAAUGUUGAAACGGCGCCGUUGCACUAUUUAUUGUCUCCUUCAAGAAACCGUUUUCAGCAGUAAAAGGCAGUGCAGGCGUUAGCAGUGGAGCCGCUCCAAUCACGGGGCAUGUCUCACGCCACCAUGUACGCCGGCUGUUACUUUGUUGCCGGAAAACGUCUGCUUUCUCUGGCUAUAAAAGCUAGAGGAAGGAGGGAGAACAGGAGGGAGAGGGGGGAAACAGAGAGAGGACAGUGAAGAGAGGAAAGAAAACCGAGAGUGGGAGACGAACGAAAGACAGAAAAAAAAAGGCUGAAAGAAAAAGAAGAGAGCAGAACAGGAGAGAGGAGAGGAUAGGGAGGAGGAAGAACAGACAGUGAGGAGAAAACAGAGAGAGGACAGUGUAAGAGAGGAAAGAAAACCGAGAGAGGGAGAACGUAAGGAACAGAGGAGGAGGAGAGGAGAUAACACAGUGGGAAUACAGGAGAGUGAAACGCAAAGGAAGACUGCUCGAGGGGACGGAAACAGAAGAGCAAGGAGAAACCGAGCGGCGAAGCAAAGUUCACAGACAGCAGUGGACCACCGGUUUCCUUUCUCCAGGUAUGCUCAUUUCCUUUCUUCGUAAAAAUUGAUGCAUGCUUGUCUAGAGAAACAAAAGGAAAACAGAAGACGAAAGAAAAGCUUAAAGAUCGCCAUUUUUGCAACUCUGUAACCUGGGGUCUUCGUUUUUUGCUAUAUGCAAAAAACGAAGAAUGAAGAGUGCGACGGUAAUUUAAUUACCUUCGCACUCUUCCAUGCACGCGUAAAAUUUUACGCGUGCAUGGCUUGGGUGGGUCACUAGCUUGGGCCAGUGACCAGGUGGCUGGGUCCAGCCCUGCCAUAUGGGCCGAGUUAGACCUAGCCCGAAAAAAAAAUUCUUAAAAAAUUUCUUAUAAAAAAUUAUGUGAUUUUUCACAAAUAUUUAUUGCAUUUUGAAAUAUUGGUUUGUAUUUUUAUAAUGUAAAGAUACAAAUCCAAUAUUAAAAAUACCUGUUUUUUCGUAAAAAAAAUAAUAAAAAUAAAAGUAAAAUAAAAAUGUUUUGUUUUCAUGCAUACGGCCAAGUCUCUCUAAAAAAAAUAAAAAAAAUCAUAUCGCAUCUUGAUAAAAAAAAAAAGUUUUAGUAUGCAUUUUGGCUUUAAUAACCAGUUUAUUAAAGUCACGAGAACUGGCCAAUAUUUCAAAAAUUCUAAAAAAAUUAUUUUGUUUUAUUUUAAUAUAUGAGGUUACGACCUUAUAUGAAAGAUGUAUUCCGGAUGUUAAAUUAUUUUGUUAGCGUUAGAACGGUCAGGUUUUACCCGAUAAGACAAGGACCUCCUUACCAAGGAGGAUUUUUCUUAAACCAUAGACGGACCAACAACUAGAAAACAUGACAGGACCUUAUAUUUUAUCAGACAAUAAAACAAUGCAGCUUACCUUAGGUAUGACGUAUUUGGGGUGCUAAUACCUUCCCUUUACGCAACCAGUCUCCGUAACCGAUCUCUGAGACCAGUUAGGGUUCCUAGUGGCCAAAAUACUAGGUGGCGACUCCCAUUCCAUUUUUCCACUAAUAAAAGAUAAGAAUUCCUUGUCUCCACAUAUUUGUCACAUUAGAUAGAAUUUUGAGGAUGGAUGUUUUCGCCGCGACGCCGCACACGUGCAACAGUGGUUUUGACAAUUUAUUUUCAGUUGAGAGUUGAAAGAGCAAUCACAACCGAUUCAAUGACCAAUCCCAAUCAGUUCCCUUCCUAAUGGUUCUGGAAUGACAAGUCCAGCUUAUAUAUUUAGCCCAAAUAACUAAUCAAAUAGAAAGGCUGAGCUUAGAGACAGUACACUACAAAUGAAGCACCCAAUAGCUAGACAUACAAUCAUAACAAAUUCAUGUUCUGAAGUUGGAGAACUUGUGAAAACUAGCCACCCCAAAAUAGUAGCAAGUAUCUAUGCAGUCUUCGAUGAAGAACAACCACCUGCGUCGCCAAUAUGGAUUGAUGUAGAGAACCGCUGCAAUUGUCAUCACCACAACUGUGUAACAUACACCGAAACUGAUGUAGAAAAACUCCAUGUCUACGAAACCAUCAUCUCCUUGUUCAUCAUUAGGCACUGGUUGUGACGACACUGCUUCCUCACUACAAUUGUUUCGCAAUGGGGGUCCACACAAGAAAGGAUUUCCUUCGUAGCAGCUUUCAUCGAAGGUCCCAAACUGAUAUUUUCUCUCGGGUGUCUUACCUGACAAGUUAUUGUGUGCCACACUAAAAACUUCCAGUGUGGUAAUUUCAGUAAGUUGUGGAGGGAUGACACCAUUUAAGUUGUUGUAAGAAAGAUCCAAACUCUCAAUCUGCUUUAGGUUUGAGAAUGUUGCAGGUAUAGAUCCAGUGAGAUUGUUGUGUGAUAAGUUUAAUGACAGUAUCUCACUUAAGUUUCCAAAUUCUGGUGGGAUUGCUCCUACGAAGUUGUUGUUGGAGAGAUCAAUACCAGACAUGUAGUUGAGAACUUUCCCCUUGUAACCAUAAGACAUUUUUUUAGUUGUAAAUUCUAUCACUUCUUCUAUAAGGUUAAGCCCAAAACCCUUUCCUAAGUACACACUAUCCACUAGUGGUGGGCCCAUUGUUUCAUAAUAAGUUUUUUCUAUGGACCUUGAUAUAUCAAAAAUUACAAAAUCCAAUAUCGCUUUCUGGGAACUUUCCUUGAAAGUAAGAUUGCCUAAACAGGAGGGUAGUGGACCAGAGAGCUGGUUCUGUGAAACAUCCAAAAUGCUUAAUUGUUCUAACAAGCAUAACUGAACAGGGAGCUCACCAUCAAAGUGAUUAGCCCUUAGAAGAAGAACACUCAAUGAUGAAAGAUUGCCAAUCCAAUUUGGAAUGGAGUCGGUGAAGCUGUUAUCUUGAAGAUCCAUUGUAACCAGGGAAGAGCUAUUAUAAAAUCCAUAUGUUAAUGGACCGCUCAAUCUAUUUUUGGAUAGAUGCAAAUGGGUUAUUUGUGGUGGACUGAAACAAGAUGGUAUAUAUCCAGACAAGUUGUUCUCAGAAAGGUCCAAAUAUUCAAGAUGGUCAAACUUACAAAAAAAAUCUCUUGGGAUCGGACCCUUAAAAUGGUUUUUGGACAAAUCAAUUGCUUCAAGGACCGUAGAAUUGACGAACCACCUUGGAAGCAUACCUGAAAAUUGAUUGUUACUCAAGUCCAAUACAAACCACAUUUUCUGCUCAUAUAAUGAUAAAUAUAAUAUCUGACCACAAAAGUUGUUACCAUUUAGAUAGAGAAAUUCUAAGGUAGAAGAAUUGAACACCGAGAUCGGUAUUUGCCCACCCAAAUUGUUGUUUGAUAGCUUGAGAAACAUUAAUGUUGUUAGUAGUUCUAGUUUUACUGUGGACAGUUGAUUGUUGGAUAAAUCUAAAACACUCAAAGAGCUAAUAUUUCCUAAACAAGAAGGAAUACAACCUGUGAAUCCAUUCUUAACCAUCCUUAAGCUCUCCAGAUUUGGAAGGAUCAAACAAAUAUCUUUUGGAAUUUGACUGUUCAUGUUGUUGUUGGAUAUAUCUAAUUUGGUCAUAUUUGGAUAUGGGUGAUCUGGCAACUGCAAAGUACCAACAAAGGAGUUGUCACUCAGAUCUAGUUGCUCCAUUCGUGUAUUAUUCUUAAGCAACCACGAUGGAAACAUUCCGGUGAUGUUGUUGUGGGAGAGAUCAAGGACUCUUAAGUCGUAUUGGUAAUAGAGGAAGUCAGGAAUAUGUACAUUGAGUGCUUCCGUCGUUUUUAACAAGCUAAGAAAGACUAGUUGGAACUUUGGAAUCAAAUUAUCAAAGGCAGCAGGUUCUGUUACUAGUCUGUUGUUCUCACUAGAGAAGAACUUGAGGCUUGAGUGGUUCAUAAAAGGCUUCAUUGAAGUGGGAACUUCAAAGAGGUUAUUUGAUAGUGAGAGGAAUUCAAGGGAUACGAGGUUGGUAAGAGGACCGGAGACAAUAUUUCCAGUAAAUUGGUUUUCAGAAACAUCUAAUAGUUGUAGAGAUGACAAGUUCCCCAAACAAUCUGGGAGUGCACCUCCAAAAUUAUUUCUAGCGAGAUCUAACUGCUUCAGAUUCUUCAAUUCACACCAACCUGUACAAUUUAUCUCGAAACAGUCAAAACAAUGUUGAAAGAAUCUUUUAUUGAUGAUGUAAUUAUAGGCGGAUGGAGAGUUGUUAAUUUACCUUGAGCGGGUAGGGUGCCAUGGAGGUCACAUUCACCAACAGACAAAACUUUAAGAGCAGGUAAUGCUCUAGUGUUUUGGAGGAAGUUUAUUGGGAGAGAAGUAUUAUCUAGAUGCAAUUCUUCAAGGGUGCUAGAAUUGAAGAAAGUCCCUGUGAAAAAGAAAGAAGAAGAAAACAGAUACGAUGAAAAUAGUGGUGGUACAGGAUAGCCAUUCCAUUCAAUAUUAUUAAUUAAAAUUUUAAGAAACUAAACUAUUAUUAACCUUGACUUAAAUUAGUAUCCUUGAGAGAAAGGGUCUUCAGGGAACGCAAUGACUGCAGGAAGUCCAACUUCCUUAAACCUAUGAUGUGUAGAAUUGAAAACAGGCAAUCAAGUAAGUAGUGAAAUUAAGUGUUAUCUUGAUCAAGUUUUUAAACCUAUGAUACUUUUGUAGUGAGAUGAUUUUUGGAUAGAAACAAUAAAUUGCCAGAAAAAUCUAGAGAUUUCAAAAGGUAUUGUAAAUAACAGAACUUUACCAUUGACAGCCGUCGAUCCUGUCAACUCAUUAUAUGAUAAAUUUAAAGACUUGAGAUAAGAAAAUCCACGCAGAUAUGAUAAAAUGUUGUCGUUGAAUAUAUUAUGGCUCAGGUCCAGGUUUUCGAAUUUCCCCAAAUGUGAUGAUGAUCUCAAAACUUGCAAGAGAGUUAAUGUUUCUAAGAGUAAGUCAUAAUGAGCUGUUGUUCAAUUGAUAUAUGAUUCUCAAAUUAUACAUAAAAAGAAUGAAACAUGAAAAUUAUAAAAUAGGUUGUGUGCACUUCAAAGAUUAAGAAACAAUUUUUAAAUAUCAUUCUAAUUUUGAUCUUAAUGGAAAGAAAAAACAAUUUAUGGAUAUAAAAUCGAUAAAGAUGGAAGCUAAGUUAUGGAUAGACUUACAAAACAAGAUAAAGAAACUUAUAAUUAAGAUCUCAUCGGUAAUUAAAACAAGAAUAAUAAUCGAUCCUAGAUAGCAACAUAUUGCCUAAUUUUGCAAAACUAAUUAAUUAGUUAUGAUAGUUUUAAAAAGUUUUAGAAACUUUUUCACGUUUUAUUUCUUCUAUGUCCAAAUAUUUCACCAUUCACCACACGACCAUAAGGCAAUAUCCUCCACCACAGAAUAAUAUUUUGAUUAAAAAAAGGUCCAAAAUAAUAUAAAACCAUGAUUAAAAAGGAGAGGAAAUAAUAAAUGGCUACAAACAAGAAUUAAAUAUCAAAUAUGUGGGUUUUAUGUUGUUCUCUUUAUUGAUAAAACAGUCGAGAGUUUUUCUAAUAAAGAAAUUGGCUGUCGAGAGUGAUUUGUAUUGGAUAGUUUUUUUGAUAGUUUUUAUUAAAUAGAUAUAAAGUCGUCCUCAUUUUUGUUGAUAAAGAAACAAUAUAAUUAAGAGAAUGUCAUGUGAAGCAUUUAGGUAGGUAGAAACUGUGUAUUAUACCUGAUGCUGUCAGCUGAUUGCCUGAUAGAUCCAAAGACUUGAGGGAUGAAAAUCCAGUUAGAGCUGGAAAAAUGGUAUCGUUGCAUUGAUUCCCACUUAGAUCAAGGUUCUCCAGCUUUUUCAACCUUGAUGACAAGACUUUGAGACCUGCAUGAUGUUCCUCAAGAGCAUAUUGGAAGGAAAUAAUUAAAUGCGUAGAAAAAAAUGAUAUGAGAAGGAGAAAAGAAAAGGUUUCGAAGCUAAAUAAUUAAAAGGUUACCAUAGAAGCUACCUCCUGAUCCAGCUGUCAACCCAUUAUAUGAUAGUGUUAAAGUAAUUCAGAUGAAACAUAAAAGGAGGCUAGAAUUCUCAAUAAUAUGUUUAUUAUGAGUGCUUAAGUUAACCUAAAUACAAAGGAAUUAUAUAUAGGUUAAACUGAAAAUACUAUUCUACCCUUAAUAAAUAAAACUAGAUAAAUAUUACUUAACAUCUCCCCUCAAACUCACGAUGCGGCAUCUACAAGCAUCGAGAGUUUGCCAACUAGAAAAUGAAAACGAGAUAUGGAAUGCGUCUUGGUAAAGAAAUCUGCAAUCUGCAAGGAAGAAUGAACAAAAGGCAAAGUAAUGGUGUCAUGCUUGAGAUGAUGACGAGUAAGAUGGCAAUCGAUCUCAAUGUGCUUAGUUCGCUCAUAAAAACCGAGUUGUGAGCAAUCUGAAUAGAACUCUGGUUGUCACAAUUCAUAGGAGUAGGAUGAGAAAAGAAAACUCUCAUAUCAGCAAGUAACCAACGUAACCAAACAAUCUCUUUGGUAGUAGAUGCCAUGACAGAAGCUGGAGGAAAGUCGAAAUACCAGAUUUUGCAGAAGCGGAAGACAAAAUAUCACUCCAAAUUUUUUUGCAGAAACUUAACUCAAAUACCAAAUUGCAGAAACUGAAGAGAAGACGAAAUACCAAAACAAUUGCAGAGACAGAACAGAAAUACCAAAUUGCAGAAGCUGAAGAGAAGAUGAAAUACCAAAACAAUUGCAGAGACAGACUGAAAUACCAAAUUGUAGAAGCUGAAGGACAAUCGAAAUACCAGAUUUUGCAGAAGCGGAAGACAAAAUAUCACUCCAAAUUUUUUUGCAGAAACUUAACUCAAAUACCAAAUUGCAGAAACUGAAGAGAAGAUGAAAUACCAAAACAAUUGCAGAGACAGAACAGAAAUACCAAAUUGCAGAAGCUGAUACCAAAUUGCAGAAGCUGAAGAGAAGACGAAAUACCAAAACAAUUGCAGAAACAGAAUAGAAAUACCAAAUUGCAGAAGCUAAUACCAAAUUGCAGAAACUGAAGAGAAGAUGAAAUACCAAAACAAUUGCAGAGACAGAACAGAAAUACCAAAUUGCAGAAGCUGAUACCAAAUUGCAAAAGCUGAAGAGAAGACGAAAUACCAAAACAAUUGCAGAGACAGAACAGAAAUACCAAAUUGCAGAAGCUGAAGAGAAGACGAAAUACCAAAACAAUUGCAGAGACAGAAUAGAAAUACCAAAUUGCAGAAGCUGAUACCAAAUUGCAGAAACUGAAGAGAAGAUGAAAUACCAAAACAAUUGCAGAGACAGAACAGAAAUACCAAAUUGCAGAAGCUGAAGAGAAGACGAAAUACCAAAACAAUUGCAGAGACAGAAUAGAAAUACCAAAUUGCAGAAGCUGAUACCAAAUUGCAGAAACUGAAGAGAAGAUGAAAUACCAAAACAAUUGCAGAGACAGAACAGAAAUACCAAAUUGCAGAAGCUGAUACCAAAUUGCAGAAGCUGAAGAGAAGACGAAAUACCAAAACAAUUGCAGAGACAGAACAGAAAUACCAAAUUGCAGAAGCUGGAGAAUCUAAAAUAAUGUUUCAGAUAUUAAUUCUUCAGCCGCAAGAACAAAACUUGAUCUUCAUCCUCCAUCUUUUAAUAGGUCAAACAACUCAUGUCUGAUGUUUUGAAAAAUGAAUCUGAAGUUAAGCUUCAAAGGAAUGCAUUGAGCGUGUUGGAACAUCCUACAGGGAAUGAAGUGGAUGAUGAUAACGAUUUUGAUACAAGCAGUGACUCUAACAUUGGUGAACAUGAUUUCUACAAGGGCAACGAGUUCCAUAAAAUUAACAAGCCAAGGGUUCGAUCAACUAGGCUCUGAUACCAUGUUAAAGUAAUUCAGAUGAAACAUAAAAGGAGGCUAGAAUUCUCAAUAAUAUGUUUAUUAUGAGUGCUUAAGUUAACCUAAAUACAAAGGAAUUAUAUAUAGGUUAAACUGAAAAUACUAUUCUACCCUUAAUAAAUAAAACUAGAUAAAUAUUACUUAACAGAUAGAUCCAAAGACUCGAGAGUGGAAAGGUUACCAUUGAAACAUGACAAAAUGCUUUUAUCAUUAUUAAAUCGGUUAUCACUUAGGCCAAGUUCCCUCAGUUUUGAUGAUAGGACUUGGAAGCCUGGAAAGAGAAUCAUCAAAGCAAGAUAAUUGACAUUAAACACCAACCGACCUUCAUUUAUUUUAUUAUUAUAAUUAAGUGCAGAAACAUUGAACUUACCUUCAUUCUCCAAGCAACCAACCAAUCCAUUAUAUCCCAAAUCAAGACUUUGCAAUUCUUUGAAAGGCAGAAACAAAGAUGCGUUGAGAACCCAAUCGCCCAAGCGGAAAUCCCUUGCAUCGAAAAGAGAGAGUUGGAUCACUCGCCUUGUAGUGUUAUCACACUCGAUCCUAGGCCACUCACAACAAUUACUAUUGUUGUCCACCCAAUGAUCUGUCCAGAAAAAGCCAUCUGGGUCCAUCAAAGCUUUGAUCUCCAAGAGACCAACCCUCUCUUCCUCCAAACACCCAUAACAACUACCAGACCAUUCGCCAACCAAAGUCAACAAUAUUGCUAGCAACAUCCAAGCCCCCAUUCUUUUCAUCAUCAUCUUAGAUAAUUCUAUGAACUACUACGUAGAAUAUUGUUGUUUGUUAUGUGUCUUUGGGCAACCAUAGAGGUCCUAUUUAUACUACAAUUUUGGCCAUUUCCAUGAUUUUAUCUGCAUAUCUUAUGCAGGUUCUAUGUUUUGAGAUUUGAAUAUUAUUUUAUUUCUUUUUGGAAUAUUCUUGGAUUCGAAUAUUAUUUUAUUUUACUGUUUAGCAGUUAGUCUAUUUGCAUUUAAUUAUAUUUUGGUUACUAAUUAUCCAAUUUAAAAAAAAUAAAAAAUAAAAAUUGUUGCAGUACUUCAAUUUUUUUAUCGACAUUCAUGUGUGAUUUCACAUAAGAUCUUUUUUAAUUUAUAAUUAUAUUUCUCUCAUUAUAAUUUAGAAUCAUUUAGGACCCUACUUGCAUGAUGUCAUCACUAUUAUAUAUAUAAUUAAAUACAUAAAUUAUCAAUAAUACACGGAAUAAUUAUAAAUUUAAUCCUUGUGGAUUGUGUGGCUACAGUAUUAUAUACAAAAACUUCAAAUAUAUAAAUAAAAGAAUGCUAAAAGUGACAUUCUCUUGGGUGACCACCACAAGCCCAUCUAAAAAAAAAACAAGCCAUAUAAAAAUCACACGACAGCCAAUUACCUUAUCUUGUGAGAAAAAAAAGAUAAAAAAAAAAAGCAUUUUCUUGGGUGUGCAGUGACUGCCAAUCUUUCUCGUUGAAAAGUGAGCAAAAUACAAAACUGGUUGCAUGUAUCAAAAGGAACUGGAACCAAUUUCUCCACCACUGUAUGUCCCUUUUGUUCAGUCCAUGUUUGGUGCAAUCACCUAAAGCUAGAAACACAAACAGCGCCUACUCUACAGGUAGCUCAUCAAAAUAUAUGUUGUAAAUUGCAAACACGUGCUAACAAUAAAUUGUGGCCAGAGGAUUUGCUUCGAUCCCAGAGGCCAUUGAGGAUAUUCGUCAAGGAAAGGCUCACCCUCUUGAUUUAUUAUUUAAUUUUCUGGGUCUAGCUAGUUUGCUUAGGCCUUACAUCAUUACUUCAAAGGCUUUAUGUUACUAAUGUGUGAUGAUUCUUUGUAGUUAGUAAUUGUUGUUGAUGAUGAAGAAAUUAAGAGAAAAUGAGGGGGUCCCUUGUAAUGUCUGCGUCGAAGGCAACACCAGAUAAAACUCCCUAAACUACUCUAUGUCUCUAACAAGGAAAAUAUCACUAUAAAUGGUGGCAAUCACUAUAAAUGCAUUUAUGAGUUCGUGAGACCAUUUUCAUCUGCCAAUUGGUCCCUGAGACCGUUGCCAUCAUGCAUUUUUCCACGAGAUGGGUUCGUGGAAAAACUUUUGUUUAAUUGGGAAUGCUGUUAUUGGUUAGAAACUUUUUAAUUAAAAUAAAUUUGAUUAUUUGAUUGGAAAAAUCCUUAAAUGUUAUUAACACAUGAAAUCAAUUUAUUUUCUUAAGAAAAAAAUAUUGGAACCAUAUAGGUAAUUUAUUUAUUUAUUUAUUUUAUUGAAAUAUUAAAUAGUUUUAAAUCUUGUGGUAUAUUGCCGUCAUGCAUUUCUUUUCCUCAAGAUGGGUUCGACAGACAAUCACCAUCAUGCAUUUAUGAGUCCCGGAGACCAUUGUCAUCUGUAGCGUUGCCUUUCCUCGAGACCAUUUCCAUCAUGCAUUUAUGAGUUCGUGAGACCAUUUCCAUCUGCCCAUUGGUCCCUGAGACCGUUGCCAUCAUGCAUUUUUCCACAAGAUGGGUUCGUGGAAAUUUUUUUGUUUAAUUGGGAAUGCUGUUAUUGUAACCAUAUAAGUGAUUUAUUUAUUUAUUUUAAUGAAAUAUAAAAUAGUUUUUAAUCUUGUGGUAUAUUUCUUGUCUUUAAGAGCUAUGAACUUAUAUAUCAAAACUUGAAAACUAAUAUAUAUAUAUAUAUAUAUAUAUAUAUAUAUAUAUAUAUAUAUAUAUAUAAUGCUUUUCAAAACAAAAAGGAUUUUGAUGGAGAGGACAUUGCAACAAAUUAUCCACCACGAGAUGGGUCAGUGAUACCAUUGUCAUCAUGCAAUUUUUCCCACGAGAUGGGGCCGUGCGCUUGGGGCUCUAAAAAGCUAUGGUUUUUAAUUUCAUUAUGUCACGUCCAGAAUGGCAGGUAUAUUUUAUUUCAAUUUAAACAAUGGAAUAAAUUAGAAGAUAUUUCAUCUAGCUUAAAAUCUUAUCUUCUUAUAUGAAAUUCACCUAAAUUCUGGCCAGAAUGUUUAGGUUAUAUUCUAGCUAUUCUGUUAGGGCCAAAUGAUAUUUUGUUUUGCUUUUAUAAAAAAUUAAAAUAUAGUUUAGUUUUACAAUAUCAGUCAUGUCUCUCAAUCCGACAGUUGGAUUAAAGUAAAAUUUUAUGAGGAAUAUCCUGACAUAUAUUUAUAUCGCAAAUUAAAAUUUUAGGACAAUCAAAGUUUAGAAAGACUUUGUAAGAUUGCCGAUGACAUUUUCAUAGUUUUAUUCAAAUUCAUAAUUUUGUUUUGAAAUGUCAUUUUUUGUGUCUUUUUUUAGAUUGAUUUUUUUUUAAUUUUAUUAUUCAACAAUAGGUUUAUUGAAAAUUAAGAUUCAUAAUUUGUUUUGAUUUGUUUUAUUUGGGGUUAUUAUGGUCUCAUGACCCGAGUCACAGAUUUAAAGGUUAACCCAGAUUGACCCGGGUCGAUCGAUCCAAUAUGUUGUUGUUUCGAUACUUUUUUUAAAAAAUAUAUCAUCUUGAAUUUUUUUAAGUAAAACUAUAUUUUUACCAGUCGUCCAGACAAUCUUUGGGCCCAUCGAAUCGAUUGGGUUAUAUCGAUUCAACUCUUAUUUUUUUUACUUAUAUUUGAAAUUUAAAUUGUAUAAUUUCAAGUUAGCUUAUCUUGAAAUUUGAAUUGAAAUUAUGUUUGUUAAAAGGUUAAUGCUAGGCAGCUCAUUUUCUGCCCUAAUAAAGCUCAAGGCCUAUUUAGAAUUAGGCAUGUUUGGGAUUAUGGUAGCGGUUGCGGUUUAAAGUGUUUUUUGCUUAGAAAUGCAUCAAGAUGAUGUUUUCUUAUUUUUUAAAAUUAUUUUUGAUAUCUGCGCAUCAAAAUGAUCCAAAAAACAUUAAAAAAAUAUUAAUUUUAAGUAAAAAACAAAUUUCAAAAUGUUUGGGAACACGAGUUGGACCGUGUUCCCAAACAUACUCUAGUAUGUAGGCAUACACCCAAUCCAAGCACCGUCAAAUCAUUUUUUAUACAUAGGGAUGGGUUCGUUAGCUUGACAUGACAAAUAAAAAAAUUGAAAGAUGAUGAAAUUAAAAAAAAUUUAUAAUUUUAUAAAUUAUUUUAAAUAAAAUAAAUAUCAAUUAAAAGAAUCAGAAUCAAAUCUGAUAGAUAAAAAAUUUCAAUUAAAAAAAUAAAAUAAAAGUAAAUGAGGAUCAAAGUUGAUAUAAAAUUCAAAUUAUAAGAUAUAAAAUUCAAAACAAAUUCAAAACAAAAUAAAACCAAUUUUUUUCUAAAAGAUAUUCAGAUUAAAAGCAUUAUAAAAAGAAUCCCUCCUUGUUUCUUCCUUUUCAACAACUUGGAGUAUAUUGACAUGAGAAUUAAUCAUUUCGAUAACAGUAUUCUAUCAUUUGUAGAGGGAUUUUCAUCUCUUAAAUCACUAUAUUUAGAUUUGGAAGGGUUAAUAGAUUUAAAAGGUUAGUUUUUUUAUAUACUUAUUUUUUCUCUAUUAAAUUUAAUUUCAAAAGAACACAAUUUUUGUUUUGUAAUUAAUUAAUUAAUUAAUUAUAUUUUUAUAAAUAUUAAGAAUCUUUUAGCAGCUUGGAGGCCUUGAGUUUGAGCAGCAACAAUAUUAACAAAUUGGUAGCCUUAAUAGGUAAUUAGUAACACAUUCACAUUAUCUACAUUAUCUACCUGGUAGCGAAGAUAAUAUUUGAGCCCAUCCAUACAAUAUUAAUUAUUUUUGCUUUUGGAAUUAAUUAUUUUUGUUCUCUGGAUGAAAACUUCCUUCAAAGCUUUUGAGCACUGUCUUCUCUAAAACAACUGUCUUUGCAAAGACUCAGUGACACUGUAUUUUUUGGAGGUAAAUUAGCAAAUUUCUAGCUACAAUUAGAUGUGUCUGCAUAUAAUUUCUCUUUUAUGUUUUCACAACCUACUAAACAAGUUUUAGAGAAUUCUCAAAUCCAUUAAAAUUUAAAUUCAUAACAUCAAUUAAAUCUCAAAUUUAAAAAUCAACUCAAUUGAAAUCUUUAUUAUUCUAAUUAAAAGUCUACAAUCCAUUUAAUAUGAAUAAUAUUCCAAUUCAAUUUUGGCCCUCUCUCAACACCAUUAAUUCGGUGUAAUGUAAAUAGAAUGAUAAUAACCAUGAGGGGUGUAGCUCAACUGGUCAGGUCCUGAGAGUGCUUUCUAGAGAUCACUAGUUCGAAUGCCACAAACCUCAGGCCAUGAGAUUUGGAGAAAUGUUCAGAGUUAACAUUGCUUUUCUUAGUUAAAUGCAUAACAUGAGCUUCAGGUAAGGGCUCUACCCUUACCUUUUUGAUAUAUUUUUGUUAUUCUUGUAAAUGUUAUAAUGCGAAUUGUUUAUAUAUAUAUAUAUAUAUAAUUAAGGGCUCGUUAUUGGAAAUUCAAUAUUAAAUGAAAAAUGCAUUCAAAGGCAGAAAAAUUGAGAUCAAAUCAGGUUAGGAUGUUUAUAUCUAUAUGUCUUUGCGGUAGGAUUAUUAUAUGCCUUCGAGGAAAGAGAAAGAUAUGAUACAUAUUAUGCUUUCAAGGCAAGACUAUUACAUGUAUUAUACCUCCAGGAUAGUGAAGAAUAUAUCUUAAUUACAAGCUAUGCUUUCAGGGAGGGAGAAAAGUAUCAUAUAAAAUAUAUGCUUUUAGGGUGGAAAAGAUGAUAUGACAAUAUAUAAGCUUUAAUAGCAAAAUGUAGUGGUCAGGGUUUGAAAGUAAUAAUAAACAUAACAAAAUGUAAAAGACUAAAAGAAUGGUUUAGAACAUGGGAUAAAGGCAACUAUAAGAAAAUUUAUUAGUUAUGAUAAAACCAAUAAUUUUAUAAAAUUAUAUGUCUUGCAGGUUCCUCUUAUUUGUCACCGCCAUUUUGACACCGAACUCUAGCUUUCCUAGUUUCUUAUAAUAGGUUGUUAUUUUGUAAAACUUUAACUAUGUUUAUUUUAUGCACUUUAAUUAAAAAUAAAUUUUGGAUUGUAAGAGAGACAUUAUCUCUUUCUUUUUUUGGGAAUGUAAUUAAUUACGUGAUGCAAAACUUAAAUCUCACACUACAAGAUUUCACAGUUUUACCGACGGACAUAUUCCGUCGGUGUGUGAUUACCAGUUCGUCGGUGAUUUAUUUACCGACGUCUUCCCCGAUGGAAUACGUCCGUCGGCUUUCCUUUCGUCUGUGAUUCCACAUCCCGUCGCUAUAUCGGUCGGAAAAACAAAAAAACCAUUUACCGAUGGUUUUACAGACGGAAUUUGUGCGCCAAAAAAAAGUUUCCCGCUUGAAAUAUACUAACGGAUUUCUAUUCUGUCGGUGAUAUCGUGAUUUACCGACGGAUACUAACCGUCGGUGAAUUUGUCGGUGAGUGUUUGAAAUACCGAUCGAAUAUAUCCGUCUGUAAAUUCAUCGGUAAGUAUGGCAGCUACUGUGAAAUGCCGACAGAUUAAUUCCGUUGGUAAAGCUGUCGGUGAGUGUAUGAAAUACGGACCGAAUAUAUCUGUAUGUAAAUGCGUCGGUGAAUAUACUGUCAAAUGCCGACGGACUCAGUCCGUCAGUAAAACCCUUUGUAAUAGUUUUUUUAAAUUUUGUUUUUAAAAAAUUAUUUAGAAUACAUAAUUUUAUUAAUGGUAAUAAAAACCAAUUAUGCAAAUAAAAUUUAUAUUAAACAUCAAAAACAAAAAAUCAAAGUUAAAUAAUAUUCAUUACAAACUGAAUUUGUUUCAAAAAAAUUUUUUAAGGUAAAUAAUGUUUAUUACAAAUUAAUAUAAAGGUAGAGCUGGAGGAGGAGGUCCUGGAGAAGGCUGGUGGUUAUACGAUCAAAAAGGAUUAGGUGCACACGUUCCACUCUGUGUUGCCAUGUUCAUGACCAUUUCGCGAAGCUCUUCAUAAGCCGCUCUUUGUUGUUUAGACUCCGCUCUUUGUUCUGCAUGAGACGCUUUGAGUUGGGUGUACUCCGCUGAUAGGUGGUUGUAUUUUUUGGUGAGUUGAGUUGUGUGCUGCUGCAAGGCCACGAACGCCUUAGAUUGGGAGCUCGAUAUUGAUUGGGAGCUCCCAACGGUUGACACACUACGGGCCGACCGCAAGUUGUCGGUUGUGGUGUUGGAGAGCCUGUAAACCCGAUUUUUAUCGGGUCCACCUAACGAUCCAACCUCCAUUCAUAAAUCCGGAUCGAAUUCCGGAUGGAUCAAAGUAUCGUCCCCGUAUCUCUCCCUCAACCGAUUAUUAUAGGUCUCUUGAAAAUAAAAAAAAUAAUAUUCAAUUCAAUAAAUAUAAUAACUUACAAAAUAAAAUGGUUGAACAAACAUACCACGAAAUGUUGAGCACGGUUGUCAACGAACUGUUGCACCCCCUUUUGGCGGUCUUGACUCCGCACGUGCGUCUCCACAAACAGCUUCAUCGAGCUCUGCUCACGUCCAAGAGACGCAGCCUAUAAUGAAAAAAGAUUUAUUAACAACAACUUAAUUUAACGAUAUAUUUCAUUUAAAUUAAUAUUACCAUCCAUUUCGCAUGUGCAGCAAAUAGAACGGAGCCGCCAGUGUGCGUUGUCACCAAGUCAUGAAUUGGCCUAUUCCGGUUGCCAGCACCGGACUGUGAGCGUCGUGUGAACCGCUCAGACGUCACGUGCUCAAGAUAGUGUGGCCAUAUAUCUUCCGGGAUGUAUAUCGGUUUGAAAUCCCUCCAAACCGCAACAUCGUUCCAGCCUUGGAAACCCCCAUCUCUUGCAGUUUUUUUUGCCCUUUUUUGUGCUUCAUACCAAAAAUCACGCAACCUACUUCACGCAACCAAAAAUUACAUUUCGAGACAUAAAGUUUUGUCUAAAAAAUAUCUUGUAUUGUUUUUUAUGUUACCUAGUUGCCGCGUGAUUUUCCCACACCCUCCUCACAACAGUGUCAUGCUCACUGUCCCAACAAAAUUUGUGCUGUGUAUAAAUAAACAAGUUUAAAUAAAAAUAAUAAUUUAUUUACAAUUAUAUUAAUAAUUUAUUAGAAAUAAGCUGAAAAUUAUAAAUUAACACCAACCUCAAAUCUGUGAAACAAUGCAUUGAUUUGAGGCAUCCAUUCAGGAUGCUUGGAUAUCUGACUCCAUUGAAACAAUGGAAUCUCCAUCGACGAUUUAAACGCCGAUGAUAUUACUCGGGCGGCCUCAAUGUUUGUGAACUUGAAAAUAAAUGAAAUAAAUUCAAUAGUGAUUACUUCAUAAAUUAUGUUGUAUUUUUUUUUAAAAAAAAUAAAACCUUAACAAACUUACAUUGAAAGGUCGUCCUUCCACUGUGCCUCGUACUUGCGGGUAAAUUGAUUCCGCUGCAAAGGCACGCCUCUGCACUGUGAUGUAGCGUUGGAAGAGGCAGCAUCGGUUGACGGCGCAGGUGGUGUAGGUGCCUCUUCUUGAGAGGCACCUAAGGAAAUAUCAUCAUCGGUGCUAGACGAACUAUCUACGACCCUACGUGAGCGACCAGCUCUGGUUUUCAUUCUACGCAUCUACAUAAUUUUAUACAAAUAAUUAUAUAAUUACAUUCAAAUGUUAAAAAAAAAAUUCGACAACACCUCCCCUAAACUUGAUACUACCCAAAUCCACAAACCUGCACAUAUUAACAAUAGUCACAACCAAUUGACCUAAUCUAUACUAAUUAUUCCAACAUAUUCAAUUACUAAUCUUAAGGUAAAUUCAACAUUAAGAAUUACAAUUCAACAAAUUACUCAAUAAUUAUGCCAAUACAACAAUAAAAUAUAUUCAAUAAAUAAAUAAAAAACUCUAGACUAACAAUUAAAAUUAAUGGAAAAAAUUAAACAUAAAUAAUGUAACAAUAGAGUAAAAUUAACAAUUAUUCCAAAAUAUUCAAUUACUAAUACUAAGGUAAAUUCAACAUUAACAAUUACAAUUCAAAAAAUUAUUCAAUAAUUAUGCCAAUACAACAAAACAAUAAAUUGAAAAAAAACUCUAGAAUAACAAUCAAAAUAAAUGGAAAAAAUUAAACACAAAUCAUGCAAUAAUAGAGUUAAAUUAAUAAUUAUUCCAACAUAUUCAAUUACUAAUUCUAAGGUAAAUUCAACAUUAACAAUAAAUAUUCAACAAAUUAACUAAUAAUAAUUAUGCCAAUACAACAAUAAAAAAUAUUCAAUAAAUUCAAAAAAAAAACUAUAGACUUUAGGAAUGAAAUAUGCUUACUUUAUUAAUGUGUUGAAUUCAAUACUUUAUCUACAUUACAAAAAAUACACAAAAACAAAAAAACAUAACAAAAAAAAGCAAAAAAAAACCGUUAAAGUAAAAUGAAAUAGAAGAAACACAUACCUUUUAAAUUGAUGAAGAUUUACAAGAGAACUUGCUAGAGAUUGCAGGUGAAAGCUUUGAAGAACGAAGAGGAAAAGAAUCGAAAUUUCAGGUGAAAAACUGAGGAGAAGAAAAAAUAAACUGAAGGGGCGGUCGUUGGAACUUAUAUGGCAGUUUUACCGACGGAUUCACAGACGGACAUAAAAUUAAUUAUUAUUUUAAUUUAUUCCGUCGGUUAAUUGUCAAAAAUCCGUCAGUAUUUUUUGAAUUUCACACCAAAUUUUUAAUGACCCUCCAUAUUUUUCGUGGUCCGUCGGUAAUUCCGUCGGCAAUAUGACGCGGUCAGAGUUGCAUUUAAUGCACAACCCUUUGGAAUUCGCACGGUCCGUCGGUAAUUUUGUCGGUAAUAUUGAACAGCCGACAACUUACCGAUGUAAUUAUAUCUGUCGGUCUAGACGUCGGUGAUGGUGGCAUUUCAAGUAAUUAUUUCCUAACUCUCUGUGAAACGCCGAUGGAUAUAAGUCUGUUGGUAUAUACGUCGGUGAUUGUGGCAUUUCAAGUAAUUAUUUCCGAACUCUUUGUGAAACGCCGACGGACUUAUAUCCGUCGGUGAAGACGUCGGUGAUUGUGGCAUUUCAAGUAAUUAUUUCCGAAGUCUAUGUGAAACGUCGAUGGACUUGUAUCUGUCGGUAUGGACGUUGGUGAUUGUAGCAUUUCAAGGAAUAAUUUUGUGUUUCAAAAUAUAUCAUCCAUGAUCUAUAAUUAUUUCAAGUAAUUAUUUCGUGAUUGUGGCAUUUCAAGUAAUAAAUAUUUCGUGUUACAAAAUAUAUCAUCCAUAAUCUAAAUUAGUUAGAAUUUUCUUCUUCUUCGUCAUGAAUUGAAUUGUCAUCACCUUCAUCGCAAUAUUCAAUAUGGAUAUCAUCUUCUUCAUCGACAUUUGCUUGUCCGCUAGAGCUCAAAACAACAUUCAACUCCUCUGCGUCAACAUCAACAAGACUAUCAUCGAAAACACGAAAAUUUGAAUUUUCUUCCAAUUCAAUCGUAGAAGCAACUCGAUAUGGUUUAACCAACUCACUAACUUGAAAGACUUCAUCUCGCACACUUGUGUCUUCGUUCUCAUACUGAACAACCUCGACACGACCCCGGGGUUUUGUUUUUAAAACGAACAACCAAUCCACUCUUGAUUGAUCCUUUCUAAAUGAAGGGGUGUAUGUGUAAUAAACUUGUUGACAUUGCUUUGCAAAAACAAAGACAUCGUUUAUGUUGUGGAGUCUAGCUUUUGAGUUGAUUUCGACCAGACCAUAGUGUGGAUCAACUCUGAUUCCUCUGUUAGUCGUGUCAUACCAAUAGCAUUUGAAUAAAAACACUAUAUUCUGAUCGCUAUGAUAUUGCAGUUCGACGACCUCUUCUAAUCUACCAUAGUAGUCAACUUCUAACUCACUACUAGUGGAUCCCUUAACACAAACACCGCUGUUGUAUGUCUUUCUUCCUUGCUCGUAUUCUUCAGUAUGGAAAACAUAUCCAUUGAUAAAAUACCCGUUGUAGCACUUACAUUUUCUUUCAGGCCCCAGGCUUAGUGAAGACAAUGACUUAGGCGCACUCCUUCCCAUUUGAUAAACCUUGUAUGUAAUGUACAUCAAUAAACAGUAAAUGAACGAGAAUCUCGUAAAGACAUGCACACGUACAUUAAUUUUGUAAGUUAGAAUGAUUUUGUGAUAGUGCUUACAUGUGUUUUGAACCACGUGGCAAAUUAUUCAUCUUGUAAUUGAAAGAUCUGGGAUUCAGUUAGUUGUGAGUUAUUGGAGAGCAAAUAUUGUCGAUGUUGCCUGCAAGUGAUAGUGAGUGUAUGAUAUUACAAUAUAUAAUUAACAGUAUAUUACUAACAAAGUUUAAUUAGUAUUACACAUAUAUAAACUUACUGAAUAAAAGGUCUCAGCUAAUCACAGUUAAAUAGAACAUAGUUGUGUGCUUGUUUGAACUCUAUUUCCGACAAAUAUCUUCCUCUUAUGGCAUUUUUAGGUGUGGGUCGUCCAAUAUUGGAGAAUAUUGACAAGUUCCCACUGGAAGGCACUUCACCGCCAUCAUCGUGCCGUGGAACGCGAUUGAUUCUCGUUCUCAGAUGAGGUUCGAAAUAGUACGAGAUAAAUAUUGAGAUCUCCUCAACAAUAUAGGCCUCACAUAUCGAGGCCUCACAUAUCGAAGCCUCAACAUGCGCCUUUUUCUUAACCUUUUUCUUGAGAUUAAACAAGUACCUACAUUGAAUUAAUCAAGUAUUUUCAAUUAAGAAAAACAUAAAAAAUACUUUUAUAUAUGAAUUACAUUUCAACUGUAAUAUCUGACCGUUCGAAUGGGUACAUCCAUCUAUAUUGGACCGGUCCUCCAGCUUUUGUCUCGAACGGUAGAUGUAGAGGGAGAUGCUCUAUUGAGUCAAAAAAUGAUGGAGGGAAUAUCAUCUCAAGUUUGCAUAGUGUCUCGAUGAUAUUCGUUUGAAGCCUCUCAAUGUGCUCAACAUUCAACUUGCUGGAGCAUAUAUCUCUGAAGAAAUGACUGAUCUCUGUGAGUGCAUCCCAUAUUCCCUUUGGCAACAAAUCACGAAAAGCUAAUGGGAUGAGUGUUUGUAUAAACACGUGACAGUCAUGACUCUUCAUUUCAUAUAAUCUGCAGUCCUCUAUAUUAACCAGCCUUGAUAUGUUCGAUGCAUGUCCAUCCAGAAAACGCAGACUCUAAGCCAUUUGUAGACUAGCAGUUGUGCGUUUUUCUCUAACACGAAGCUUGCUCUUGGUUUGCGACCCGUGACUCAUCAUAAACCAACUCUAUAUUUUUACGGUUACAGUAUAAAGCUAUAUCCAAUCUAGCCUUGAUGUUGUCCUUUGUCUUCCCCUUCAAAUCCAUGACGGUGUUGAAAAUGUUCUCAAACAUGUUCUUUUGGAUAUGCAUGACGUCAAGGUUAUGGCGGAGUAGAUUGGUCUUCCAAUAAGGAAGCUCCCAAAAGAUACUUCGCUUUACCCAAUUAUGGGUCAAACCAAAACCAAGAAACUUUUGCUUACUUGUUUGAAGGCCAAACACAAUGUCAUCGUACUCUGAUACAACAUCAUGCAGUUCUUCACCAGAAAGACGCGGGGAUGCAACAUCUUUUUCAACUCUACCAACAAAGAAAUCUUUUCUGUUCUUUCUGUACUUGUGAUUAAGUGGCAAGAAGCGACGGUGACAGUAAAAAAAAGAAGCUUUACCUCCGUUUGCUAGCGUGAAUGCCUUAUUGUUUUCCAUGCAGUAUGGACAUGCGAGUUUCCCAUGCGUGCUCCAACUAGAAAGCAUUCCAUAAGCUGGAAAAUCAUUGAUAGUCCACAUCAAAGCCACCCUCAUAAGGAAAUUUUGUUUCCUCGAUAUAUCAUAAGUCAGAGCUUCGGAGGACCACAACUGCGCCAACUCAUCAAUCAAUGGUCGAAGACAAACAUCUAUAUUCCACCCCGGGCUGCUUGGACCGGUACCCGGUGUAUGAAAAUAGAUAAAAACAUGAACUCCGGCUAUAAAUUGUGAGUAUGACCGGCCAACAAGAAUAAGGAGCAGCAAAUGACCCAAAUGGGUUGAAUCCGUCUGUACAUAACCCAAGACGCACAUUCCUUGAUUCAGCUGAAAAGUGAGGAUGCACAUUGUUAAAGUGUUUCCAGGCUUCGCCGUCAGAAGGAUGCACCAUCACUCUAUCAACCGCAUCAUGUGCUUGGUGCGAUGUCAUGUGCUCAGCAGUUAUUGGUGACAUGAAUAACCUCUGCAGUCUAGGUAUGAUCGGGAAGUAUCUAAGUUUUUUAUAUGCCACUAGAGUCUUUCCUCUGCCAGUUCUAGGUUUGUAACGGGAAUGCCCGCAUGUCAUGCACUCGGUCAUCUCAGCAUUUUCAAGGUAGUAUACCAUGCAGAAGUUAGGGCACAUGUCAAUUUUCUGGUAUCCUAAACCGAGGGGUUUCAUCAUGGACUUCGCAGCAUAGAAGUUCUCUUUCAGCCUGUUCCCUUCAGGUAAAAUGCUUCUCGCCCAUUCAAUAAUCUUGUCAUACCCGGCCUCACUCAACCCGUGAUCUGACUUGAUGGUGAACACCUGUGCUACAGCCGAUAAUUUACUGUGUUUCGUGCAGUCAUCCCAUAAUGGUUCGUCAGAAUCUUUCAACAAAUCAAAAAAGCUAGCUCCAUCUGCAUUAGGUUCUUCUUCUACGAUUGGACAUUGACUGACUUUACCUUCAUUCAUUCUCAUUGCAUCCAUAACCAUAUUUCUGUAAGGAUUAGUGUUGUCAUUUUCCGCUUCAUGCAUGUUGCUAGCACUAAAAGUAGACUCAACCACCGUUUCUCCCAUUCUCCUCUUACUAACAAAUACUUCUCCAUGUGCAUACCAACAUUGGUAAUUCUCCAUAAACCCUUUGUGUAGAAGAUGCAUCAUUACAACAUCUGGAUGCAGAUAUUUUUUAUUUUGACACUUCCUGCAUGGACACCUAAUACCGCCUCCAAUAAAAUUUCUGGGAAUAGAUGUUGCAAAAUUAAUAAAACCCUGAACCCCGUUACAAUAAUCAAUCCUCCACAAUCAUUGGGGUGAAUCUCGAUACAUCCAUGAACGAUCAUCCAUGACUUAUAUCGAACCUCUAUAAAAUUAUGAUGACUUCAUGUAAGUAUUAAUUAACUAAGUUAGGUAAAUAAACUUGCAAAAAUAUUACUUUACCUCGAGAUUAUCCAACAAACUAAUCACAACUUCUCAUAAACAUUAAAUAUUCAUUAUCAUUUAUCAACGUCCAUACAAAUUAAUAUAUAUAAAUUUACAGAAAUUACCACUCCGCAAUACCAUUGAUAAAACUUUAAACGGACCCAUUAAGCAAGCUAUUAAUUAUUUCAAAAUAGAACAUGUAAUUCGGUAGUUCCAUAAAGUUUUAACAAUUUACAAACAAAUAUCAUCUUACAAAAUCUAAAACAAACCAUAACGUACAGGUAUAUAUAGAAUUAUACAUUCAUAAACUACAAGUUUGUUUGAGAAAUAACAAUAAAACAUGUACAUCUACUAACAAAAUACAUAUACUAAAAAAACAAUAAAAUUGACAUUUAAUUAAAUGUUAAUUAAAAUUUAAAAAGAUAGAAUUACUUACAAAAAUUGAUAAAAUCCGUUGGUAAAUCAGAACACGGAUGCUGUGACCACAAAACUUCAACAAAUAUAACUUCUUGUGCUGAUACGAGGGAGAUUUUUGUUUCGGGGGGAGGGGGGCUGGUUGUUUGCAGAUGGGGAGAGUUGGGAUUAGGAAGAAGAAGGAGAAAUAGGGGAGGAGAGGAGAGGAGAGGGAAAGUGGACAUAUAUUAACUUUUUCCAACGGUUUCACCGACGGAAAUUCCUUCGGUUAUUACGUCGGUGAUUCUGACGGAAAAAUCAACACGUCACUGUAUGGAUCUGCCAUUUCAAAUCCUUUGGUGAUUCCGUCGGCAUUUUAAACGGCAAACCGGUCACGUCACUGUACGAGCUAUCGUUUUGAAUCCAUCGGUGAUUCCAUAGGUAACAAAACCCAGCCAAAACCACCACAUCAGUGACCCGCCUUUUUUUAUAUUCGGAAAGUUUUUCGUUCGUAAUUUCGUCCGUAGUUACCGACUGAAUUACAAAUGGAAAACAUUCUGUCGGUAAUUUCAAGCUCAAAUUACCGACAGAAAUAUUCCGUCGGUAAAUCCGUUGCUAUUGAGCGAAUUUCUGGUAGUGUCAGGUAUAGUUGUAUGGACAUAUAUAUUUAUAUAUGUAUAUGAUGAUUAAAUAUGUUAUUGAUAAGAUUGAUGGAUAGUGAGUUUGAGGCCACAUUUAUGUGAGUAUUGGUUGCAUAAGAAAACAAAUCAUAAAACUUGAUAAUAAUUCACUAAAUAACUCUCAAUUAUUCAUCAAACCAAUCUGAAAAGGAUAAUAUUACAGCUACGGACCAAUCUGGAAUUUUUGCAUAUUUUUAAGGGUCAAAUUGUAAUUUUGUCAAAUUGGAGGACCAAAAUGAAAAUGUCCUAAAGUCAUAACUAUAUUGGAAUUUUGCCCAUAAUUCUUAUUUAAUUCUGUCCAGAAUCUUGGAUUAUGUUUCAGGGACCAAUCUGGAAUUUUAGCAGAUUUUUAGGGGUCAAAUCGGAGGACCAAAUGAAAAUAUUAUAAAUUCAUAACUAUACUGGAAUUUUGCUCAUAAUUCAUCUUUAAUUCUGUCAGUUGAAGCAUAAGCUAUAAUUGAUUGAAGGGCAUACAUAAUCUGUAGCCAUCUCUUCUAUAUAUAUAACUAGGGCAACAUACAAUAGUUACUGUGUACCGUACUACGCAGGAUAAAUAUAUACAAGAAUAUUCAAUAUUUCCUAUAUUACAACACAUUCCAUAAUACACCCCCUCAAGCUGAAGGUGGGGAAACCACAUGAAGCUUGGACCGUAAGGAAGCAAAAGCAGAGUGGGGAAGCGGUUUAGUAAGAACAUCAGCUAAUUGGUCUUUGGAAGGUAUGAAGUGAAUCUGUAUCUCCUUUUUAGCCACUCAAUCACGAACAAAGUGAUAAUCAACCUCAACAUGUUUUGUGCGUGCAUGGAAAACAGGAUUAACAGACAAAUAUGUAGCACCCAAAUUGUCACACCAAAUGGUGGUAGCAGAACUGGGAGAAAAACACAAAUUUGUUAGAAGGUAACGAAGCCAAAGAACCUCAGCAGUACCAUCAGCUAAUGCCUUAUAUUCUGCUUCUGUGGAAGAGCGAGCAACAGUGCGUUGCUUGCCAGAUUUUCAUGAAAUGGGAGUAGUGCCGAAAAAAACAAUGUAACCACCCGUAGACUUCCGAUCAUCGAUGCUUCCCGCUCAAUCAGCAUCAAUAAAACCAAGAAGGGAUAAUGAGGAAUCACGAGUAAGAUGAAGACCAAAGGAAGACGUACCCUUUACAUAUCGUAGUAUACGUUUGACAGCCGCCUAGUGACUCUCAGUUGGGGCAUGCAUAAACUAACAUACCUUAUUGACAGCAUAACAUAUGUCAAGUCUGGUAAAUGUGAGAUAUCUAAAGGCACCAACAAUUUGUCGAAAACGAGUGGAGUCCGAGAAUGGCUUACUAGGCAGGAGUCCAUUCUUAGAGGCAGAAACCGGUGUAUCAACAGGUUUACAGGUGGACAUACCAGCACGACUCAAAAUGUCAAGAGCAUAUUUGUGUUGAGUAAGCAUGAGACCCAUACUGGUGGGAGUAACCUCAAUCCCUAAGAAAUAGUGAGCAGAACCUAGAUCUCAGAGUUUGAUUUCUGAACUGAGCAGGGUAAUAAGGCUUUGAAGCAAACUGGAGUUACUACCAGUGAGCAGAAUGUCAUCCACAUAGACAAGCAAAUAACAGAUAUCAUGAUUCACUUUCAGAAUAAAUAAGGAAGUAUCAACCUUUGAAGCACGGAAGCCAACCGACAGAAGAAAGUCACUCAGUCGUUUGUACCAAGCCCGCGGGGCUUGUUUUAAACCAUACAGAGACUUAUAAAGGUGACACACAUGAGUUGGCAGAGCAGGGUUGACAAAUCUCGUGGGUUGCUGCAUAUAAACAACAUCUUUUCAUAGUCUUGUAUUAGAGCUCCCAAACCUUUUUUUUAUAGCCAUUUGAAAAACAAGGCUUUAUACAUGCACUAAUUAAUAAUAUGAACUAAAUAAAUUAUCAAUAUCUAACUAAUUAGUUAUUAUUGGUUUAACUCACACUUAUUCAUUUUAUUUCAAUAGUACUUUUAAAUUAAUUUUCUUCAAAAAAUCAAAUUCCUUUAAAUUUACUAAAAUUUUCAACUUAAUAAUAAAAUUAAUAAAAUGUGAAAUAUUUUCAUUAAAGCCGCUUUUAAACUAAGAAGUUCCUCCCACAAUACUCUUCUUCUUUCAUGGACCAGAUUUCCUGCAUAAACUCCUAUGAGUGCACAAUGAAAUCCUUUCUCAAUAGCGCUAUCCAUUGCCCACCAUAUUCAAUUGAACCUAGAAUUUACUAAAAUACCACCCGCAUUAUUUACCGAAUCAACUGUAAACCAGUUAACUGUUGGCGUAUUCCAUAAUGCACAAACAUAUCUAUCUGCAGUUGCAGCAGAACUGUAAGUUAUAAUAUAACGAAGAAUCCCUUUUCUGAUUCUAGAAUCCAGUGAACCUGGUGAUUCCACCUCACGUUCAUCCUCCACCCGCUGAAGACUGCCAUUGAAAGAGAAAAGCUCCACCUUGUGCUUCCUUCACCUAAGAACCAUUGGGUCUAAACUGGAUUGAUUGCAUCCCAUCUGAAUCACGUGGGCUUAAUUAAUGGAAGGAACGAACAAUUGUCAGUUUUAAAAGUUUGGUUCCAAUCAUUGUAAUUUCAAAUUUCCAUGCUCCUUCCAUUUAAGCAAGUAAUAACAACAAAGAAUAUGUUUAAAUCUCAGUGUUGUUUUAAAUUUUAUGUAAGAUAGUACAGUUUCAUUUAAAAAAUGAGAAAGAACAAUAAAAAUCCUCAAAUGCUACCACCUUCAAUUCUCAUUCAUCAACAACAGCAUACGUUCAAACAAGUGAUCAAUAGUGUUGAUGAAAAAUAAAUCAUUAGUGAUCAAGUGACGAGGAGUAGAGUAAGAUUGGCGCCAUUGUAAGCUUGACAAGCUUUGCCUACUCUAACUGCAACGAAAGAUUCAGUGCCUAAUCUCUGGACGGAGAAGGGGACGCCCUUGUUAUGUACACGGUUGCUCUGAAUGGUUCGAUGAUGCUCAUUUUAAACAUUUCAUGUCAAGGUUAUCAGUUUCAUUCUGGUUAGUGUUUCAUUUUUUUAAUUGAAACGGUAUGUUUUGGUUUUGGGAUUAUAUAUAUAUAUAUAUAUAUAUAUAUAUAUAUAUAUAUAUAUAUAUUAACUCAAUAAACAUAAUUUAAAUUUAAAUUUAAAUUUAAAGAUAAAUUAACUUGAAAUUAUGCAAUUUAAAUUUCAAACAGAAAUAAAAAAGUGAGAGUUAUACCGAUAUGACCCGAUCGACUAGACGGGUCCAAAGACAACCUAAACGACUGAUAAAAAUAUAGUUUGACUAAAAAAAGUGUAAGAUGAUAUUUUUAAAAAAAAUAUUAAGAUGACAACAUAUUGAAUCAACCCGGGUCAACUCGAUCGGGUUAACCUUCUAAAUUUGUAAUCCAGGUUAUACAAGAUUGGGGGAGGCUAGUGGGAUGGUCCAUGAGACCAUUGCCCCGUAAGCUUGGGAAUGGAUAAUAUGCUUUAAUUUCAAUUUAGUUUACAAAAAUAAAUAAAUUAAAAGCUUAAGCAUAAAAAACAAAUCUCAAGUGUAAGAAUGCAACCACCGAUUCAUUAAUGGACAAAGGACCUUAGAUUAAUAUAUGACGCUUCUUUCAAUGGAAAUGUAAAUUCUUUACUAGAAUAUCAUAUAUUUUUUUUGUAUUUGUUUUCUGGUUAUAUUUAAUUUUUCAUCAGUAUUCCUAACGUAAAUUGCUAUGUAUUUCGAAUCUUGAAUGAUUGAAAGAUAGAAAACAGAAAAGAAAGAGAGAUAAGGCAAUUCAAAAAAAGAAGACUUUUAUAAACAUAUAUGGCUUAACAAUAUUAAUCAACUCUUAAUAUCUUUCAUUUUAUAUUUAUUAAAAGUAAAUAUUAAAACCUAUUAUAUUAAUUUGUAAAGGUAUUUAUUUGGAUGGGAAAUAUAUUUCUAAUUUUUUAUUUAAAAAGUUCUAUAUACUACAACUAACUUAAGAAAGUCAUGUUCAUCAGGAUCAUAGACUAAAAAAAAGAAAAAAAUUGAAUUGCAUAAAAGUAUCACUAUAAAUGUUAUUCUUAGAAAAUAUCCCUAUAGCAACAGUACAUGAAAUAAUGUCAGAAUAAAUUUGUGUGACGUAAUAAUAUCUGUUUAUUUUUGUAUUUUUAAAAAGAUUUUUUUUAAAUAGAUAACUUUUGAAUCAUCAAGUAGUGAACACAAAAAGAGUGAAGAAAGUGAAGAAUAAUCAAAGUGGUGUGGAUCCACAUCAAUUUUUGUCCAUGUUUUUGGUAAUAUUAAUCUCUUUAUCCAUUUAUAGCCAUAGAAAAGAACAUCACCUACUGUGUUUCUUGUCUCUUCUUGUCUGGAAGAUAAGGUUUGUGAACCUUUGAGUGCCACUUAUUUUAGUACACAGACUGGAUAUUUGACUACAGCUUCACCGCCAGUUAAUUGUUUUUUCAAUUAAAAAAAUUUAUAUAUAGAUUUCUUCAACGUAUUUUUUAUUUCAAUUUUUUGAAGUAAAAAUCAAAAACUUUAUACACAAAUGUAGUCAAAUAAAUCGAGAAUUAUGUGUGUUGAUAAGUGAAAAAAAUCAUAAAUAAUGACUCAAAAUAAAAACUGGAAAAAUCAAAAGACAAGUAUAAAUCAAGAUAUUUUUUUUUUAUCAAAUGUAAAUCAAGAUAUUUAAUUUCACAAGACGUGAUAUUUACGUAGUUGUGUUUUCUAAAUUUUCUAAUUAAAAUAAUUUUUUUAUUCGAUCAAACGAUAAUAAAAACAGACAAACAAAUUAUAAAUUGAUUGAAUAAAAUAAAAAGAGAAAAAAUAAUAUAUAAGACCACAUAUUAGAAAUAUUAUUUGAAAAUAAAUUUCUUUUUAUUUUCAAAAAUAAAAUUCUUCUAUAAAAAAGAUUUUUAUAAGUAUAAAAAAGAAUUUUUUUAAUUUAUUCAGUUUUUUAAAUAAAGUUAAUCUAUCGCAAGAGUACACGAAAUAAGUAUUUUGCCGUCAUGCAUUUUUUUUCCUCAAGACCAUUUCCAUCAUGCACUGAUGAGUCCAGGAGACCAUUUCCAUCAUGCAUUUAUGAGUUCGUGAGACCAUUUCCAUCUGCACAUUGGUCCCUGAGACCGUUGCCAUCAUGCAUUUUUCCUCAAGGAGAGGCCGUGAGACGUCGUCUUCCAACCAUCAUGCAUUUUUUCCAAGAGAUGGGGCCGUACGCUCGGGGCUCUAAAAGCUAUGGUUUUUAAUUUUAUUAUGUCACGUCUACAAUGGCAAGUAUAUUUUAUUUCAAUUUAAAAAACUGAAUAAAUUUAAAGAUAUUUCAUCUAGUUUAAAAUCUUAUCUCUAAAUUUAAAGAUAUUUCAUCUAGUUUAUAUAACAAGUUAAAAUUUCAGAGCAAUCAGAGUUUAAAAAGAUUUUACGAGAAUAUUUUCAUAAUUUUAUUUAAAUUCUUUUUUUUUUUAUCAAUAUUCCUAACAUAAAUUGCUAUAUAUUUUGAAUCUUAACGAAUUAAAAGGUAGAAAAACGAUAAGAAUGAGAGACACAACAGUUCAAAAGAAAAAGAAAAAAGAACAAAAGUGAAAGAAAGAAAAGAGAACAAAAAUGGAGCAGUUUUUUAUUAACUAUAUAAAUUUUAUUGCAAAUAUGUAAACAUAUCAUGUGGGUUAAAAGAAAUGAUUUUUAUAAACAUAUAUGGCUUAACAAUAUUAAUCAACCCUUAAUAUCUUUCAUUUUAUAUAUAUAUUAAAAGUAAAUAUUAAAACCUAUUAUAUUAAUUUGUGAAGGUAUUUACUUGGAUGCGAAUUAUAUUUCUAAUUUUUUAUUAAAAAAGUUCUAUAUACUACACCUAGCUUAAGAAAGUCAUGUUCGUCAGGAUCAUAGAGUAAAAGAAAGAAAAAAUUGAAUUGCAUAAAAGUAUAGUGUUAUUCUCCGAAAAUAUCUUCGUUACUUGAUAAAACUCCCUAAACUACUAUAUGUUUCUAACAUAGUUAUUAAACCCGGCUCGGGGGUUGACCUGGCCAAAGGGCCGGGUCCCGGGUUUUAUUGGUCAACCCGGGUCAACUUGGGUCAACCUGGAUCAACCUGGAAAUUUUUAAAAAAAAAAUUAAAGUUUUAAUAUUUUAUAUGAAAAAAUUAAGAAAAAAUCCAUGUAAAUAUAGGCUAUACAUAUUGUAAAUAAUGAAGUUUAAAAGAAUAUUUUAAAAAGUUUUUUUUAUCUCACAUUAAAAAGAUAUUAUGUUAAGCUUUUAAGUUGAAGUAUUUAAAACAAAAAAGUUUUUUAUCCCACAUUGAAAAAACAUAACUUUUUUCUUGGGAACAUAGAGUAUAUAUACUAAUAGGGGUGUUUAAAAAAACUGACCAACCGAUUAAACCGAAAAAACCGAGAAACAAUUAACUGAAAAAACCGAACCGAUAUAAAAAACCGAAUAAAUCGAUUAAAAAAUAAAGAAAAACCACCCAGUUCGAUUCGAUUCCGGUUUAAAAAGGUUUAAACCGAUAGAACCGGACCAAACCGAACUAGUUUAAUUGAAUCUAAAAAAAGUAUAAAAGAAAACAUCCUAAACCUAAAUAGUAAAUACCCUAACUCUAUCUUUCCAGCCUCCCCACCUUUCCAGCCGCCCCCCUUCCCUUUCCCUUUCCCUUUUCCCCCUUCCCCUUUCCCUUUCCAGCCGCCCCACCCAUCCCUCCCUCCCUGCUCUCUCUCUCCCCCCCUUCCCCUUCCCCUUUCCAGUCGCCCCACCCUUCCCUCUCUCACGCUCCUUCUCCUGUAUGCUCUUUUCUCUCAUUUUCUCUCAUAUUGUUGCCUUUCUACUCUCUGCUUUAAUUUCUGGCAGAAAACUUGGAUAAAAUCCUUGUUUCUGGUUUUAUUAACAUGUAGUUGUGCUAGCGAAGUCCUGGUAGUUUGCAAGACGCUAUUAGAAUAUUUGUUAACAUGUAGUUGUGCUAACUUGGAUAAAUCUAGUAAUUGUGAUUCGGCUAAGGGAGAUCUUUCAGAUCUCAACCGAAGUGUAAAACCUCUGGGCGAAAAAUUAUAAAUUGACUAGUUUCAUGUAAAACAAAAGGAAAAAAAAUUUUUGUAACUCCCGAUCGGGUUAUCAAAAAAUUCUAAAUAUUUGCGUGGAGCAUUCUAAUAUGAUUCCUUAACUUGGGUUAAAAUUUCAGAAUUUUUAGAGAAAUUCAGAAAUUUGACGAAAAAUCACAAUUUGACUAGUUUUACCUUAUUGGAUGUAAUUUUAAAUCCGACCAUCAGAUUGAGCUGAAAUUUUAGGAGGAACCUUAAAAUACAUUGAAUAAAAUCUGGUUAAACUUUUAGGAUAAACGGAGCUCGGUAGUGCUAUCAAAUAAUAAGAAACGUCAAAUGGAAGCAAAAAGACUCAUUAAGGGUAAAAUAGUAAUUUGCCAUUAAAAAUAAAACAAGGCAGCCCCUUUUCUGUUAUGAACUGCCGACUGGGCAGUAGCAAAUGUGGAAAGAAAAAAAGAAAGAAAACAAGAGAAGAACAUGAGAAGUUAAGAGAAAAACAAGAAAAAGUGAGAGAGAGCUUUGAAACUUGUAAGAUUGAAAGGCUUAGAACAUUAAAUUAAGGAAGAAUCAAGUGAAGGAAGAUAUAAGAAAGGUGAGGAGGGCUGGCAACACUAGGAGGAGAAGAAAAGUUGGGAGAACUUAGAUUGGUAAGCAUGAAAAGUUUAGAUUCUUACUUGAAUGAAGUGUUUUUGGGUGUAUUUGAGUAAGUUAUCAAACAAUGACAAUUAAAUUUGAUUUAAUUUCUCAUAAUCUUGAUUUUUUUAAAAUUAGGGUUCUUAUGAGAAUUUGGGGAUUUUGAGAAAAAUAGUAAGCAUGAUGUAAUCGAGGUAGAAUAGUAUAGAAAUAGUGAAUGUAAGUAGUAAUUAAGAAGGAAAUUUAAUAAUGUUGAAGAAAAGAACUUGUAAUUAAGGAUGAGGAAAUAUAUGAAUGAGGUUUUGAUUGUUUUAUGUUUGAGAAUUGAUGUUCUUUAUCUUAUUUGAAGUAUUCAAAAUAUAAAUAAGUGAAGAAACAUCAUAAGAAUGUGAAAAGAAGGAAUAAAUAAAUGGUAGGAAAAGUUCAUGGGAGAAUUCUUUAAGUGAGUUAAAAGAAGAAAAUUUAUUAAAACUAUAUGUUGAAAACAAGGUGACAAAUGAAUGAAAAUUUUGGUGUAAACCCCAAUUAAAUAAAAGAUAUUACGUGCUUCAGAUUUAGGCACGUAUGAGAAAUGAUAAUGAAUUAAUAAUGUAGUGCAAUCUGAUUGAUUCAGGAGUUGUACCGGGAGCAGGGCAUCAAGCAAGAGGAGCUGGGCCAUCACGAGCAGACGGUAAGUGAUUUAUCACUUUCUUUUAAAAUUCAAAGUUUCAUUAUUAGUUAUGAGUUGUUUAUGACAUGUUGAUAUGAAAGAAGUAGAUGAAGAAAUUGUUGGUAUUAUAAUUGAAUUACCGGUUAAUAUGAAGUACCGGUUAGUUAACAUAGAAUUACCGGUUGGUUAGUAUAGAAGUACCGGUUGGUUAGUAUAAAAUUACCGGUUGGUAUGGAAUUACCGGUUGUAUUGGCUAUUGAUAGAGAAUAGCCGGAUGUUGGGUAAUUCGUAUGGAAUUACCUGGUAUAUUGGCUAUUGAUAGAGAAUAGCCGGAUGUUGGGUAAUUCGUAUGGAAUUACCGGUUGUAUUGGCUAUUGAUAGAGAAUAGCCGGAUGUUGGGUAAUUCGUAUGGAAUUACCGGUUGUAUUGGCUAUUGAUAGAGAAUAGCCGGAUGUUGGGUAAUUCGUAUGGAAUUACCGGUUGUAUUGGCUAUUGAUGGAGAAUAGCCGGAUGUUGGGUAAUUCGUAUGGAAUUAACGGUUUGAUAGUUGGCUAUUUAAGAGGGUUAGCCGGGUUUGAGGUAAAAUUAUGAAUUACCAAAUUAAAAAUUAAGCAAUGAGUGUUGGUCACAGAGGUCCUAUAAGUAUAAGAUUAAUAAAUUAUGAAUGGGUUAUGAAUGUUGAUAUAUAGUAAGUUGGUGAUGAAAGAUAAUUUGAUAUAAUUUUGAAGACUUGUGAACAUAAUAGCUUUAUCAUCUUUAAUGUGUUAUCUUCCUUAUUUCUUAUUAAUGUUAUGUAUACAGGUUUUUCACGAGGUUAUGCGGAGCUUUAAAUAUGGGCUUUGUGAUUUAAUCUGUUUAUUUUGUGGAAUGUAAUAUAUUUGCUUAAUAUGUAAUUUGUAUUCUAUGUAGUUGUAAUAUAUGUAUCCUGAAUAUGUUUUGCUUUUGGUACUUAUACUUUUAAAAUGUAUGAGUAAGGAACUAAUAUUAUUAAACUAUUCAAAAAGAAAAUUAGUAAUUAUAAUCUUGUAUGUGUAGAAGAUGAAUGCAUGUUAAUGUAAUAAUUAGUUCAAUAUGAAUCUUUUGAGUUUAUAAUUGUUUGUAGUUAAUGUGUUAUUUGUUGAUGAUGUAAGGUUGAGAAAAUACAAUGAAGUAUAGUUAUGUGAAAUAUUAUUUGAUGAGAUGGGAUAUGAUCCAGGAUGGUUGGAUCAAAGUGGAGGUUUUGAGUAUUGUGAUUGAAUGAAGUCUAGUCGAUAACUUGGUAACAUCAGAAAACAAAGGAAACUCUGCCGAAAUUUCAACAAAAAAAAAUCCCAUAAUCUUAGACAUACUAUUCAAUACUUGACAUUAGUAAAGAAAUGUUUGAGAUUUCAUGACAUUAUAAUUUGAGGGUGUUACAUUUGGUAUCAGAGCCUGGUUAAGGCUUAGGAGACCAUCAUUAACGUAAAAUAAUAUUGUUUCAGGAUGGUACGUACACGGCAAGAAGCCAGGGCUGACUCGUCACCAGCGAGGGACGAGCGUUUAGUUGAGACAGGAGAUAGAGGACUAGAGGGAGAUCCACUGGUAGAUACAGCAUCUUUUGUGCCAGCUGUGUCAGUGCAAUCUGGACAGGGAGAGUCAUCAAGACUUCGAGAUGAGCGGGGGGUAUUUGAUGGAGAUGGGCAGGGGACUCAGCCCCCACCAACAGUAGCGCCUGCAGUAGCACCAGCAGCACCCCUUGUGGCAGCACCUCCACUAUACCCAGAUCCAGCUUAUUUUGCGCAGUUGGUUCGUGCAGUGAUGAUAGAGAUGUCAGGACCAUUGAGUACUACCCCUAGGGAUACUGUGGUCAAUUUAGUUCGAUGGUAAAGAGUUUGAGGGAAUUAGGCUGUGAAGCAUUUAUGGGAGAGGAGGAUGCUGAGAUAGCUGGCCGAUGGUUACGAAAGAUAGAAAGGUCCAUGGAACAAAUAGCAGUACCAGCAGAGCUGUAGGUGGAUUGUGCGACUCAGCUGUUAUCGGACAGAGCUUAGACAUGGUGGGAUAUUGUUAAAGAGAGACGGGCUGCUGAGACGCUUAGAUGGAGGGAUUUCAGGACAGAGUUUGAGAACCAGUAUUAUUCCCGCCAACAUCAAAAGAUCAAGGAACAGGAGUUCUUGGCUCUUACACAAGGAGAUAUGACAGUAUUGGAAUAUGAGAGGCGGUUUCAGGACCUCUCUAUGUUUGCUUCUGUUUAUUUACCGACUGAGCAGCAUCGGAUCGAGAGACUCCGAGAUGGACUCCGACAGGAGCUGAAGAUGGGAUUGGCUGCUUUACAGUUUCCGACAGUGAGGGAUUUUAUAGUGGCCGCUCAGUCUCUAGAGGCCGUGGCAGCUGCAGGGCGGCGGGAAGGUGAUGGACAUGGUAUUAUGGGAGCAGAAAAGCGUAAAGAGCCUGCAUCGUUUAUAGGGAGACCUCCUUUUCCAAAAAAGGGAAAAGGAGGACAUUUUGGUCAGUUCAGAAAGAAAGGAGGAAAUUUUGGAUCAGGGGGUACAUCGAGUAGAUCUAUGCAGAGCUCACACGGAGGGCGGUCACACCCAUAAACUAGCUUACCAGGAGGAGUCGCAGAGGGCUCCAGGAUGACUACUUAUCCCCUGUGUGUGAGAUGUGAGCGUAGACAUCCUGGAGAUUGUUCGGCUACAUCUGGCAGAGGUUAUAUAUGCAGACAGGAACAUAGAUGGAGGGAUUGUCCCUAUCUAAAUGCAGCAUGUUAUCAUUGUGGAGAGCCUGGGCAUCGUAAGAGGGAGUGUCCUCAGAGGACUAUGGGGCAGGCGCAGAGACAAGGUUUUUCAGUACAGAGUCAGCAGUAGUCUGCGACCGUGCACAGGCUGAGUAGACCUACCCAGUCUGGGACUAGUGUCGUUCGAGGCCGACCUCGAGUACAAGGAGGUGGAGUUCAAGGGAGAGUUUUCCGUAUGACUCAAGAAGAUAUGCGAGCUGCCACUGAUGUUGUUGCAGGUACCUUACUGUUAGAAUCUCAGCCUGUAUAUACAUUGAUUGAUCCUGGUGCUACCCAUUCCUUUGUAGCUAGAAAAUGUGAAGAUAAAUUGAAAGUGCAGCCUAUGAGAGUGGGAAAAGGGGUAGUAAUUGGUACACCUUUAGGGGAAACUGUACUUAUCGAGUAUGUUUACAAGGGUUGUCGGGUAAGAAUAGGAGAUGUUGAAAUGAGGGUAGAUUUAUUACCACUAGACUUAUAUGAUUUUGAGAUGAUCUUGGGAAUGGAUUGGCUAGUAAUUUACAGAGCCCAAAUAGAUUGUUUUACUAAAACGGUAACUCUCCAGGAUGAGGGGGGUAGGAGGGUAGAGUUUAGAGGAGAGAGAAAUGUCAUACCAAAUAGUAUAAUUUCAGUUGUGACGGCUAGGAAACUAUUAAGAAAAGGAUGUACAACUUAUCUUGCCUAUGUAGUAGAUUUGGAAAAGAAAGAAAUAGAGUUGGAUAAAAUACCUGUAGUAAGGGAGUUUCCAAAUGUAUUUCCAAAGGAAUUACCCGGGUUACCACCUGAGAGAGAAGUAGAAGUUGCGAUAGAAACAUUGCCUGGAACUACACUAGUAGCUCAGGCACCGUAUCGAAUGGCGCCUAUAGAAUUGGUGGAAUUAAAAAUACAGUUGCAAGAAUUGCUGGAUAAAGGGUUUAUUCACCCUAGUGUUUCACCUUGGGGGGCUCCUGUGCUGUUUGUUAAAAAGAAAGAUGGAACAUUACGGCUCUGUAUAGAUUAUAGACAACUCAAUAAAAUGACUAUAAAAAAUAAGUACACCCUUCCACGAAUUGAUGAUUUGUUUGAUCAGUUAAAAGGGGCAUGUGUAUUUUCAAAAAUAGACUUGAGGUCAGGGUAUCAUCAGGUGAUGAUAAAGGAGAAAGAUUGCAGAAAACAGCUUUUAGAACUCGCUACGAGCAUUAUGAAUUUGUGGUGAUGCCUUUUGGAUUAACUAAUGCCCCAGCGAUAUUUAUGGAUUUGAUGAAUCGGGUUUUUCGAUCUUAUCUAGAUAAGUUUGGAGUGGUGUUUAUUGAUGAUAUACUAAUAUAUUCUUCGUCACAAAUGGAACAUGCAUAUCAUUUGAGAGAAGUGUUAGAGACCUUGAGGAGAAAUAAGUUGUAUGCGAAGCUGAGUAAGUGUGAAUUUUGGCUAAAUGAAGUGGUAUUUUUAGGUCAUGUGAUAUCGGAGAAGGGUAUCAGUGUGGACCCGAAAAAGAUAGAAGCAGUAUUAAAAUGGGAAAGACCUACGAAUGUGACUGAAAUUCAUAGUUUCCUGGGCUUAGCUGGAUAUUAUAGAAGAUUUAUAGAAGGAUUUUCCACAAUAGCCUCUCCAAUGACUCGACUAACUCGGAAGGAAGUUAAGUUUGAAUGGUCAAAAGAUUGUGAAGCAAGUUUCCAGGAGUUAAAAUCCAGGCUAACUUCAGCCCCAGUAUUGGCCUUACCAAAAGGACAAGAGGGAUUUGUUGUGUUUAAUGAUGCUUCCAGUAAGGGUUUGGGUUGUGUACUUAUGCAGCACGAAAGGGUAAUCGCUUAUGCAUCCAGACAGUUGAAAACACAUGAGGUGAACUAUCCAGUACAUGAUUUGGAGCUGGCAGCUGUGGUGUUUGCUUUGAGGAUAUGGAGACAUUAUUUGUAUGGGGUACAGGUACAGAUUUUUACAGAUCAUAAAAGUUUAAAAUAUUUGAUGUCAUAAAAAGAAUUGAAUAUGCGACAGAGGAGAUGGAUGGAGUUGAUCAAAGAUUAUGAUUGUAUUAUUGACUAUCACCCGGGAAAAGCAAAUGUGGUGGCAGAUGCUUUGAGUCGGAAGAAUAAAGCUUUUAUUGGUGGUUUACUAGUGCGAGGUGAUAGAGAACUUUUGGAACUAGGUGGACUAAACGUGCAUUUGGAUGUGACUUCAGGAGGAAUGUUACUAGCAACGUUAGUGCUACAAUCCGACAUGAGAGAAAAGAUUCGAAAAGCUCAAGGUGAAGAUCUCGAAGUGAUGAAAGAAAUGAAUAAUGUAAAAGUUGGCCAAGACUCUUUAUUUCGAGUGUCAAAUGAUGGGCUCGUAGUGAUGGGAAAAAUAAUAUAUUUACCUAAUGAUGACGUUUUAAAAGGUGAAGUCUUAAAAGAAGCUCAUGAGUCUAAAUUGGCAAUCCAUCCAGGGAGCACGAAAAUGUAUAGAGAUUUGAAGGAGAGUUAUUGGUGGCCAAAAAUGAAGAGGGAGAUAGCCGAAUAUGUGGCCAAGUGUGCCAUAUGUCAACAGGUGAAAGUGGAGCAUCAACGACCGGCUGGAGAAUUACAAUCUCUUCCGAUUCCAGAAUGGAAAUGGGAGAAUAUCACUAUGGAUUUUGUAUCUGGGUUACCGAAAAGCAGGAAAGGACAUGAUGCCAUAUGGGUGAUUGUGGAUAGGCUGACAAAGUCUUCUUUGUUUUUGCCUAUGAAGAUGGGGGAUUCGGUUGAAAAACUAGCUCAAUUAUAUAUUAAAGAGGUGGUGAGAUUGCAUGGUGUACCACUUUCUAUAGUAUCCGAUAGGGAUCCUCGGUUUACAUCAAGGUUAUGGCCGUGUAUACAACGGGCUUUGGGUACCAGAUUGAAUCUAAGCACAGCUUUUCAUCCACAGACUGAUGGGCAAUCUGAAAGGACAAUACAGAUUUUGGAAGAUUUGUUGCGGUCUUGUAUACUAGAGUUUGGAGGUCAAUGGGAGGAUCACUUGUCAUUAGUAGAAUUUACGUAUAACAAUAGUUAUCAAUCUACUAUUGGAAUGGCACCAUUUGAAGCAUUGUAUGGAAGGAGAUGUCGAACUGCAGUAUGUUGGGAUGAAGUUGGGGAAAGAAAAUUAUUGGGACCUGAACUGGUGCAGAUCACGGUUGAUAAGGUGAAGGUGAUAAAGGAAAGGAUGAAAGAAGCUCAAGACCGGCAAAAGAGCUAUGCAGAUAAUCGACGGAGACCACUAGAGUUUCAAAUAGGAGAUAUGAUAUUUUUAAAGGUUGCUCCAUGGAAGCAUGUCAUUCGGUUUGGAAUGAAGGGAAAAUUGGCACCUAGGUAUAUCGGGCCAUAUAAAAUUAUAGAAAGAAUUGGGACGGUUGCCUAUCGAAUACUGCUGCCACCACAUUUAGAUAGGAUACAUAAUGUGUUUCAUGUUUCGAUGUUGCGGAAAGCAGACCUGGAUCCUACACGAAUUUUGCCACAAAUUUCAAUGGAAGUGCGGGAAGAUUUAACUAUGGAGGUACAACCUGUUCAAAUUAUGGACCAAAGUAUAAAGGAAUUACGAAAUAAAAAGGUGCCGUUAGUAAAAGUAUUGUGGAGAAACUCUCAAAUAGAAGAAGAAACCUGGGAGAGAAAGUCUGAAAUGAUGAAGAAGUAUCCUGGAUUAUUUUCUUAUAGAGGUAUGAAUUUAAUUUCGAGGACGAAAUUUUUUUUAGGAGGGGAGAAUGUAAAAUCUCUGGGCGAAAAAUUAUAAAUUGACUAGUUUCAUGUAAAACAAAAGGAAAACAAAAUUUGUAACUCCCGAUCGGGUUAUCAGAAAAUUCUAAAUAUUUGUGUGGAGCCUUCUAAUAUGAUUCCUUAGCUUGGGUUAAAAUUUCAGAAUUUUUAGAGAAAUUCAGAAAUUUGAUGAAAAAUCACAAUUUGACUAGUUUUACGUUAUUGGAUGUAAUUUUAAAUCCGACCAUCAGAUUGAGCUGAAAUUUUAGGAGGAACCUUAAAAUACAUUGAAUAAAAUCUGGUUAAAAGUUUAGGAUAAACGGAGCUCGGUAGUGCUAUCAAAGAAUAAGAAACGUCAAAUGGAAGCAAAAAGACUCAUUAAGGGUAAAAUAGUAAUUUGCCAUUAAAAAUAAAACAAGGCAGCCCCUUUUCUGUUAUGAACUGCCGACUGGGCAGUAGCAAAUGUGGAAAGAAAAAAAGAAAGAAAACAAGAGAAGAACAUGAGAAGUUAAGAGAAAAACAAGAAAAAGUGAGAGAGAGCUUUGAAACUUGUAAGAUUGAAAGGCUUAGACCAUUAAAUUAAGGAAGAAUCAAGUGAAGGAAGAUAUAAGAAAGGUGAGGAGGGCUGGCCACACUAGGAGGAGAAGAAAAGUUGGGAGAACUUAGAUUGGUAAGCAUGAAAAGUUUAGAUUCUUACUUGAAUGAAGUGUUUUUGGGUGUAUUUGAGUAAGUUAUCAAACAAUGACAAUUAAAUUUGAUUUAAUUUCUCAUAAUCUUGAUUUUUUUAAAAUUAGGGUUCUUAUGAGAAUUUGGGGAUUUUGAGAAAAAUAGUAAGCAUGAUGUAAUUGAGGUAGAAUAGUAUAGAAAUAGUGAAUGUAAGUAGUAAUUAAGAAGGAAAUUGAAUAAUGUUGAAGAAAAGAACUUGUAAUUAAGGAUGAGGAAAUAUAUGAAUGAGGUUUUGAUUGUUUUAUGUUUGAGAAUUGAUGUUCUUUAUCUUAUUUGAAGUAUUCAAAAUAUAAAUAAGUGAAGAAACAUCAUAAGAAUGUGAAAAGAAGGAAUAAAUAAAUGGUAGGAAAAGUUCAUGGGAGAAUUCUUUAAGUGAGUUAAAAGAAGAAAAUUGAUUAAAACUAUAUGUUAAAAAUGAGGUGACAAAUGAAUGAAAAUUUUGGUGUAAACCCCAAUUAAAUAAAAGAUAUUACGUGCUUCAAAUUUAGGCACGUAUGAGAAAUGAUAAUGAAUUAAUAAUGUAGUGCAAUCUGAUUGAUUCAGGAGUUGUACCGGGAGCAGGGCAUCAGGCAAGAGGAGCUGGGCCAUCACGAGCAGACAGUAAGUGAUUUAUCACUUUCUUUUAAAAUUCAAAGUUUCAUUAUUAGUUAUGAGUUGUUUAUGACAUGUUGAUAUGAAAGAAGUAGAUGAAGAAAUUGUUGGUAUUAUAAUUGAAUUACCGGUUAGUUAACAUAGAAUUACCGGUUAGUUAACAUAGAAUUACCGGUUGGUUAGUAUAGAAGUACCGGUUGGUUAGUAUAAAAUUACCGGUUGUAUUGGCUAUUGAUAGAGAAUAGCCGGAUGUUGGGUAAUUCGUAUGGAAUUACCGGGUAUAUUGGCUAUUGAUAGAGAAUAGCCGGAUGUUGGGUAAUUCGUAUGGAAUUACCGGUUGUAUUGGCUAUUGAUCGAGAAUGGCCGGAUGUUGGGUAAUUCGUAUGGAAUUACCGGUUGUAUUGGCUAUUGAUGGAGAAUAGCCGGAUGUUGGGUAAUUCGUAUGGAAUUACCGGUUUGAUAGUUGGCUAUUUAAGAGGGUUAGCCGGGUUUGAGGUAAAAUUAUGAAUUACCAAAUUAAAAAUUAAGCAAUGAGUGUUGGUCACAGAGGUCCUAUAAGUAUAAGAUUAAUAAAUUAUGAAUGGGUUAUGAAUGUUGAUAUAUAGUAAGUUGGUGAUGAAAGAUAAUUUGAUAUAAUUUUGAAGACUUGUGAACAUAAUAGCUUUAUCAUCUUUAAUGUGUUAUCUUCCUUAUUUCUUAUUAAUGUUAUGUAUACAGGUUUUUCACGAGGUGAUGCGGAGCUUUAAAUAUGGGCUUUGUGAUUUAAUCUGUUUAUUUUGUGGAAUGUAAUAUAUUUGCUUAAUAUGUAAUUUGUAUUCUAUGUAGUUGUAAUAUAUGUAUCCUGAAUAUGUUUUGCUUUUGGUACUUAUACUUUUAAAAUGUAUGAGUAAGGAACUACUAUUAUUAAACUAUUCAAAAAGAAAAUUAGUAAUUAUAAUCUUGUAUGUGUAGAAGAUGAAUGCAUGUUAAUGUAAUAAUUAGUUCAAUAUGAAUCUUUUGAGUUUAUAAUUGUUUGUAGUUAAUGUGUUAUUUGUUGAUGAUGUAAGGUUAAGAAAAUACAAUGAAGUAUAGUUAUGUGAAAUAUUAUUUGAUGAGAUGGGAUAUGAUCCAGGAUGGUUGGAUCAAAGUGGAGGUUUUGAGUAUUGUGAUUGAAUGAAGUCUAGUCGAUAACUUGGUAACAUCAGAAAACAAAGGAAACUCUGCCGAAAUUUCAAAAAAAAAAAUCCCAUAAUCUUAGACAUACUAUUCAACACUUGACAUUAGUAAAGAAAUGUUUGAGAUUUCAUGACAUUAUAAUUUGAGGGUGUUACACGAAGGGCCCGAAUUCAAAGUUUUCAACAAGGAUUUUUCUGAAUGUGGUUCGGCCAAGUUUAUCCAGUGAUUGUGAUUCAGCCAAGUUUUCUUUAUUUAAUUGGUUUCGGUUUUUCUGGUUUUUCAGGCUAAAAAACCAACCUGAACUGAACAAAACCGGUUUGGUUUGAACCGAUUCUUGUUUCGGUCCGAGUUAUAUUAACAAGGAAUAGUAUUUUCCUGUUCGGUUCAAUUUUUAGGUUAAAACCGGAACGAACCGGACUGUGAACACCCCUAUAUACUAAUGAGUUUCAAAUCCCAUAUUGAAAAAAGAUAACUUUUUUCUUGGGAACAUAGAGUAUAUAUACUAAUGGGUUUCAAAUCCUACAUUGAGAAAACAUUGCUUUUUUUCUUGUGAACAUAUAGUAUAUAUACUAAUGGGUUUCAAAUCCCACAUUAAAAAGAUACUAUGUUAUCUUUUUAAGUUGAAGUAUUUAAACCAAAAAGUUUUUUAUCCCACAUUGAAAAAACAUAACUUUUUUCUUGGGAACAUGGAGUAUAUAUACUGAUGGGUUUCAAAUCCCACAUUUGAGAAAAAAAAAACAUCGGGUCACGGGUUAACCUGUCGGGUCAACCGGGUUUGGCCUAGUCAUUGCAUUGGCCAGUCUUUUGAUAAACCCGGACCGGUCCAGCUCCUGGGUCAACCGGGUCCCGGGUCGACCUACCAGACCGGUCCGGGUUUAAUAACUAUGGUCUCUAACAGUGAACACGAAAUAAGUAUUUUGCCAUCGUGCAUUUUUUUUUCCUCAAGAUGGGUUCGACAGACCAUUUCCAUCAUGCAUUUAUGAGUCCGUGAGACCAUUUCCAUCAUGCAUUUAUGAGUCCGUGAGACCAUUUCCAUGAGACCAUUUCCAUUUGCAUCAUGCAUUUAUGAGUCCGUGAGACCAUUUCCAUGAGACCAUUUCCAUUUCCAUCAUGCAUUUAUGAGUCUCACGUCAUGCAUUUAUGAGUCCUUUAUGAGUUCCUGAGACCAUUUCCAACAUGCAUUUAGGAGUCCGUUAGACCAUUGCCAUCUGCACAUUGGUCUAUGAGACUAUUGCCAUCAUGCAUUUUUCCUCGAGGAGAGGCCGUGAGACGUCAUCUUCCAACCAUCAUGCAUUUUUUCCACGAGAUGGGGCCGUACGCUUGGGGCUCUAAAAGCUAUGGUUUUUAAUUUCAUUAUGUUACGUCUAGAAUGGCAGGUAUAUUUUAUUUUAAUUUAAAAACUGAAUAAAUUAAAAGAUAUUUCAUUUCAUUUAGAAUCUUAUCUCCAUCCAUGAAUUUCACCUAAAUUCUAGUUGAAAUGUUUCGGCUCUAUUCCAGCCAUUCCAAAUAAUGUUAUGUUUUGUUUUUAUAAAAAAAAAUAUAGUCUAUUUUUACGAUAUCAAUUAUAUUUCUCAAUCUAAUUGUUGGAUUAAACUAAAGUUUUACGAGGAAUCUCCUGACAUAUAUUUAUAUCGCAAGUUAAAAUUUUAAAGCAAUCAGAAUUUAGAAAGACUUUGCGAGAUUAUCGAUGAUAUUUUCAUAAUGUUAUUCAAAUUCAUAAUUUUGUUUCAAAAGGUUAUUUUUUGUGUCUUUUUUUAGAUUGAUUUUUUUUUCAAUUUCAUAAUUCAACAAUAGGUUUAUUUAAAAUUAAGAUUCAUAAUUUGUUUUGAUUUGUUUUAUUUGGAGUUAAUAUGGUCUCAUGACCUGUGUCGCACGUAUGCGGCGUCGCGGCGAAUAUUCUACUUCAAUUUAAAUAUAUUUAUCUGGCAAAUAUGAGGAGACAAGAAAUUCUUGUCUUUUAUUAGUGGAAAAUGGAAUGGGAGUCGCCAUCUAGUAUUUUGGUCAUUAGGAACCCUAACUAGUCUCAGAGAUUGGGUACAGGGACUGAUUGCGUAAAGGAAAGGCAUUAGCACCCCAAAUACAUCUUACCUAAGGUAAGCUGUAUUGUUUGAUUGUCUGAUAAAAAGCUAAGGUGUUAUUAUAUUUCUAAUUGUUGGUCCGUCUAUGGUUCAAGAAAAGUCCUCCUCAAUAAUGAGGUCCUUUAUCUUAUCGGGUAAAAUCCUAACCGUUUUAACAUCUAUAUAAAAAACUAUAUUUUUAAUAUCAGGAAUACAUUUUACAUAUAAAUUCAUAAUCCCAGAUACUAAAAGAAGACAAAAAUAUUUUUUUGGAAUUUUUGAAAUAUUGGCCUAGUUCUCAUACCUCUAACAAGCUUGUUAUUAAAACCAAAGUGCAUGUUAAAAUCUUUUUUGAAUUUUUUUUGUAUAAAAAAAACAAUAUGAUUUUUUUAUUGUAUGAAAAUACGAUGCGAUGAUUUUUCUUACCUUUGAGAGACUUGGCCGUAUGCAUGAAAAAAAAUAUAUUUUUUAUUUUUUUUUGUUUUAAAUUUUUUUUUGCAAUGUUUUGACAAAAACCGGAUAUUUUAAUACUGGAUUUGUAUCUUUACGGUAUAAAUAUACAAACCAAUAUUAAACAAAUUUGAUAAAAAUAUACCGUAAAAACAACAAUUUUUUUAAGGAUUUUUCAGAAUUUUUAAUUUUUUUGUAUUUUCAUACAUAUAAUAUUAUAAUUAUGUGGGCUGGGCAGGCCCAGCUAACUGGGCCAGACGCAGCCCAAAAGGGUUGGGCCGAUCUCGGUCCAAUAGUUCUCUCUGCUUCAUCAGGGCUGGGCCGGACCCGGCUCAGACAUCAUGGCUGGGCCAGAACCGGCCUAGCCUAGAAAGUAAAAAUGGGGAGGGGAAUUAUUUCCCCCCUCCCAUCCUCCUGCAUGCAGAACGAUAUUCGUUCUGCAUGCAGGGGAAACUUAUACCGAAAAUGAAGUAAAAGUGGAGGGGAAGAAGAGUUACCUGGCGCGAAGGAGGCGGUGCCUUGCUUGUAAACCCCGGGAAAAAUAAUAAAUAAAUAAAAGUGAAGAAAUUCAUGCAUAUGAUUAAAUAAAAACAGAAAUUCAGAAACUUUUGAAUAUAAAUUUCCGGGCGAAAUAAUUCGAGACAUUAUAAUAAACCCAGUAUUGUUGAGGGUUGGAUUUAAUUGAAGGGAAUAAUACACUUAAAGGAAAAAGGGGGGUCUAAAUGCAAAUAAGGGAAAAUAUUGAGUAUAAAUACUCUCUCCUCACCAAGACAAUCUGUAGGAACCAUAAGGAGAGAAAAUAGAGAGUUUUAUACCCAUUCUCGAGAAAUCAAGAGAGAAACACUAAAAUUUUAAGAACCCAUCCAAGAUUAAGAGCUUAAAGAUGGGAUAAACACUUGAGAGCAAAGGAUUACCAAGAAAUUGAACAAGAAGAAAAGACAGGAGGGAAAUUGAACAAGAAGAAAAGAAAAGAGGGAGUUGAGAAUCUUCAACUGGUUGAAGAUCAAAAUCUUAAUUUGUACCGGGUAAGGUAUUCUAAACAUGAUCUUAAAAAAAUUCAUUUUUUAAAUUCGAUAAAGAAUUGAUGCCUUGAUAUUGAAUCAUAGGUUAGGGUUCUUAGACAUAAAUUGGGGAAAAAGUAUUUAUUAUUGAGAUUAAGUUAAUUCAUGUGUGUGGUAUGUAGUUAUGAAAGUAUUGUGUGAAGGAGAGGGGGAGACGAAUCUGGACAGACUUGUCUCCUAACUUUCGAUGAGAUUUCGGGUAGAAGGAUGAGGUGAUUAGGAUCGGGUUCCUCAUAGAAAUUAUAGAUUUGAAUGUUAGCUAACCAAGGAAACUGGUCUUGCUCAAUUUGGAAAUGUAGAACUCCAGUUAUGGGUUACCAACUGAGACUGAGUCGUGACUGAUUAUGUAGGGCAGUAGGACUAAUUAGUAAAUGAACAAUUUUUGACUAUCUUGGAGGCAAAACUGGGUUCUCCUCCCUUAGAGAACUAGUAGCCUCAUGUCUUAGCUUUCUAACGAGAUCAAUCUCAGUUAAAAUGGAGUUUUAGAACUUUAGGUAUAGUUAAAAAUAUGAUGAGUGUUCAGACAGUAACAGUUGGAAAUUGGACAGUAACAGUUCAAAGUCAAACAGUAACAGUUCAAAGUCAGACAGUAACGGUUGGAAAAGUCAGACAGUAACGGUUGGAAAAGUCAGACAGUAACAGUCGGAAAAGUCCGACAAUAACGGUGGGAAAAGUCAGACAGUAACGGUUGAAAAAGUCAGACAGUAAUGGUUGAAAAAGUCAAACAGUAACAAUUAGAAAAGUCAAACAGUAACAGUUGGAAAAGUCAGACAGUAACGGUUGGAAAAGUCAAACAGUAACAGUUGGAAAAGUCAAACAGUAACGUUUGAAAAGUCAGACAGUAAUAGUUGGAAAUUGGAUAGUAACAGUUCAAAGUUAGACAGUAACAGUUGGAAAGUGGACAGUAACAGUCCAAAAUUAGAUAAUAACAGUAGACUUUCAUGUGAAUACUAUAAAUAAGAAUAUAAAAGAAUUGAGUCAUACGAACACUUGUAUAUUGAGAUAUUAACUCGGAAAAUAUACAUGAUAUAUGUAUGUAUGUUAUUAUGAGGAAAUGAACAUGCAUAGAAAGUAAUAUAUGAGUAAUGGAUGAAUAUGAAUUCUCUAUAAUAUCGGCUUGAAAGAAUCAUAACAAAAAAAAAAAAACUUCUUUGUGAUUCAGGAGGAGCAACCAGGAUUGGAUCUUCUGUUAGGGGAGGUCGCGAGACAGGCGAAGCAGGUGCGUGAUUUUCCCUCAUAUUUACACUUAUACAAUUUAGAAUCUUCUGGUGAAUGCAAUUAUAAUAAAUAUCGUGUUCAAUGUAAAUAAAGCCUAGUGUAUUUACAAGAUUAGCUUCGGCUAAUGGCAUCCGUGAUAGGAUUGCCGGGAUAUGAUUUACACGAUUAGUUUCAGCUAAUGGCAUCCGUGAUAGGAUUGCCGGGAUAUGAUUUAGAUGAUUAGCUUCGGCUAAUGGCAUCCGUGAUAGGAUUGCCAGGAUAUGAUUUACAUGAUUAGCUUCGGUUAAUGACAUCCGUGAUAGGAUUGCCGGGAUAUACCUUGCAAGGUCACCCAGUUUAUGCAAGUAAAUAAGAUUAUUCAAUUAAGAAUAUACAAAUGAGUGUUAAUUGGGUUUAAAAGAUUUACAAGCAAAAUAUAAGUUUUUGUUAGAAUUCUCAUGGAGUCGAUAGAAAGCUAAUACUUCAUUCGUAUUCAUUACAUGAGCAUACAUAUAUUCUUUAUCAACAUAAUGGUAUGUUUAUUUAUGUAACAGGUCCAUCAAACAUCAAGGAAGAUCAUUAGUUUAGGACUCUACUUUGUGAAACUUAUGUAAAUAUUUAACUUAGAACAAAAGGGAAUUAACGUGUUUAUGUAGUAUACUUUUGUGCAAACCUUGAUGUAUUUAUAAAGGUUCAGCUUAGCAUGUAGUAUUUUAGUUAUCUUGUAAUUAAUCCUUUUGAAAUAUUUAAGAACACUUCUUAUUUUGUAAAUACUUUCUUUGCAUGUUAGUAUUCCUUUUCCUUUAAAUUUUAUGAUAUAAUGUGUUGGACUAUGUUCAUAUUGAACUUACUCGUAGGAUAUAUAUAUAUAUAUAUUGUGUGGAUGGUAUGAGGUGUGGAAUUAUGAGGUUUGAUAUAAGGUCCGGAAUUAAGGGACCUUGUGAUGAUGGGUUGUUUGAGUGAACUGAUAAUAGUCGAUAACUUGGGAUGUCCUAAAUGUAAACGAAACUCUGCCGAAUUUUCAGGAAAAAAAAAUUACCCUCAAAUAAAGAGGAUAUGUUGGAAUUCUUUUAACAUUGAUCGAGUCGUACAGUCGGACUAUUACAUUGCUGGUCUGGCUGCUUCGCUGGCGGUGCUACGGUGGAGGCCGAUGGCGGUGUCGUGGCUCACGAACGGCAGCUCUAAGCAGCGGUGUUGCUAUUUCAAGCGACAGAGAGAUAGGUUACUGCUCUUCCCCUCUCCUCUAGUGUUUCGUUUUUCUUUCUCUUCUUUCGUUGUCAAGUGGUUUCCCUCUUUGUACUCCCUACUCUCCUAUUUGUUUCUCUCUCAAACCCUCCCCUGUUUCGAACUUCCCCGUAUUCUUUCCUUCCUGUAUCUAUUUCAUUUCCUCUCUUUUCUAUUCUCUCCGUCCUCUCUUUUUUCCUAUCCCUUGUUCUGGUGUUAAAAGCAAUAUUUAUAGGUAAAACGGGAGCAGGGGCAUCCCUAUCGCCGCCCUAUUGCUGCGCAUGGGGAGCAGGGCUUUCCUGCCCUGCCACGGCGCCUGGUUAGUUGGCCAAUGGGCGUGGCUAGCAAAGCGUGGCUCUCUCAGUUUCUCAUCAUGAGGAGGCAUGGGGCUUUGGCAGAGCACGCGGCAGGAAGGAGUAAAGAAGAAAAAACAAAAGCUUCUAUCUUCCGUUGCUGCACGUUCAGGGGAAGAAGGAGGAGGAACAGUGUUGCUCAAAACAACACUGUUCUGUUCUAUUUUUUUUUUAACAUGAAACGGCGUCGUUUUGGACAAAACGCGCCAUUUCAUUUAAAUAUGGUGCCAGCGCGUUCACUUCCAAAUCAGUCCUUAAUUUAUCCUUUGUUCAUUUAAGUCCUCAAAUGUAAUUUUGAUUUUAAGAAUCAAUUUCAUUGCAUCCUUGCCAACUUCAAUCGCCGCCCCUAUAGUUGGCCGCCUUUUUCACUUUAGUCCUUGGUUUUGAAUUUGUGCAUUUUAACCCUCAAUUGAUUAAUAAACUUCAAAUUUCUUCAAUUUGGUCCCUGAUUCGAUCACUUUCAGUCCCUAUAUUUACGCGUCUUUUCCAGUUUGGUCCUUGGUUUUGGAUUUAUGCCAUGACGUCCCUAAUUGGCCACCAAACUUCAAUAUUUAUGCAAUUAAGCCCUUGAUUUGACCAAAUCAACUCUCAAAAAUUAUAAUUUGACCCUAGAACUUUAAUUUUUUCCAAUUAAAGCCCAAAUUGACUUAAAAACCAAAUUUUCUUGCAAUCAAACCCUCUAUAAAUUCAGUUAAACCUUCAACAAAAUCAAAUUGAGUCUAUAAACAUCCAAUUUUAGACUUUUCUCCUCAAAUUGAAUUUUCUUUUCUAACAGGACUCUCAUCAUUCAAGUAUAUACUGUCAAAAUUUCAAUCUUUGUAUUUUUUUAACCUCCUUAAUCAAUUGUUCUGAUCAUUUUCUAUGUGCUCCAACAUCCUACUGCUAUUAUUAUUUUUUCCAAUUUCUUUCGAAUAUAUUAUUAUUUUUUUAACCUCCUUAAUCAAUUGUUCUGAUCAUUUUCUGUGUGCUCCAACAUUCUACUGCUAUUAUUAUUUUUUUCAAUUUCUUCCGAAUAUAUAUUUAUAUAUAUUUUUUCUUUUUUUGUGCGGGGACCCAAAAAUAGGUUACAACAACCUGGGUCACGAAUUUCAAAGGUUAACCUAGAUUAACUCGAAUCGAUCCAAUAUGUUGUUGUCUCAAUACUUUUUUUAAAAAAAGUAUGUCAUCUUGAGCUUUUUUAAGUAAAUCUAUAUUUUUAACAGUCGUCCAAACAAUCUUUGGGCCCAUCGAAUCGAUCGGGUUAUAUCGAUUCAUCUCUUAUUUUUUCACUUAUAUUUGAAAUUUAAACUGUAUAAUUUCAAGUUAGUUUAUCUUUAAAUUUGAAUUGAAAUUAUAUUUGUUAAAUUAAUAUUUUAAAUUAUAUAUAUAUAUAUAUAUAGAACAACCCAAAAUGACACGUCAAAAUACUCAAAAACCAAAAUAUAUUGUUACAAUUAAAAAAAUAAAACAACAAUUGACAACCUUCUUGGUAGAAGCCUGAAACUCCUCGCUGCCAUUUGCAAGAGAUAGUUACUUAUACCAGUAGCAAUUUAGUAAUGAUUGAUCAACAUUUAUAUUAAGCUGGGCCUAUUAAUUCAAAUGUUGAUGGCGUUAGUAACAAUGAUUUUCUUGGAAGGAUGGCUGCCUCUCUUGGUUGCUUGAAAAUAUACGGUUUUUUUAGUUCAAAUCUAUUAAUAAAAAUAUAGUUUUAUUGAAUUUUUUUUAUAUACUUUAUUAGAGAAAUCAAUGUAAACAAAUUUAUGGACAAACACUAGAUUAUCAAGUACUUCAAUAGAAAAAUAAAAUCAAUUAGAGUACUGAAUAAAAAAAAUAUAAAUUAUAAGUAUUUUACAUACUUUAUUGUUCAUGAAUUAAAAAUAAAAUAAAAUAAAUCCUGACUAACCUAAAAGGAGUUAACUAUGACAUCAUCAUUUUGAUAAUAAAACUAAUGAAGAUAUUUUAUUGAUUAAAUUCCGUGAAUAUAAGUAUUUGAAUUGAAAAAAAAACAUUGAUACAAGCUUUUAAAUAAAUUUUUUUAUAAAAUACAUAUAAUUUGUACUUGUCAUUGUCUCUUUUGCAUUGCUAAUACUUAACUAAUUGAAUAUAUAAUUCUCAUGUGAAUAAUGUCAUAAUAAAUUUAGUUGCAUGAAUAAUACUUAUUUUUUUUUAUUUUAAAAAUAUUUUAAAAAAAUUAAAUUUUUUUAAAUAGAUAACUUUUGAAUCGUCAAGUAGUGAAACACAAUAAGAGUGAAGAAAGUGAAGAAUAAUCAAAGUGGUGUGGGUCCACGUCAAUUUGUGUCCAUGUUUUUGUUCACAUUUUUGGUAUGUGAACCUUUGAGUGCCCACUCAUUUUAGUACAUAUACUUAGAUAUUUGACCACAGCUUCACCACAAGUUAAAAAAAAAUUUCAAUUAAAAUAAAUAAAUAUAAAUAUAUAUAUAUAUAUAUAUAUAUAUAUAUAUAUAUUUCUUCAACAUAUUUUGUUAUUUAAAAAAAAAUUAAGUGAAAUUUAAAAAAUUUAUACACUAAUAUAGUCAAAUAAAUAGAGAAUUAUGUGUGUUAAUAAGUGAAAAAAAAACCUUAAAUGAUGACUCAAAAUAAAAACUUGAAACAUCAAGAUACAAAUAUAGAUCAAAAUAUUUAAUUUCAUUAGACGUGACAUUUACGCAGUUGUGUUUUCUAAAAUUUCUAAUUAAAAUAAUUUUUUUAUUCGAUCAAACAAUAAUAAAAACAGACACACAUUAUAAAUUGAUUAAAUAAAAAACUAAUAAUAUGCAAGGCUGCACAUAUUAGAAAUAUUAUUGAAAAUAAUUUUUUUUAUUUUCAAAAAUAAAUUUCAUCUAUACAAAAGACUUUUAAAAAAUAUCGAUUAAUUAGAAAAACCUCCUAAAAAAUAAAAAACAAUAAUCAUCAUUUCAAAUAGAUUUUCUAAAUAACAUAAAAGAGAGAAGCGAUAUAAAUAUAAAUAUAAAUAAGAUUAAGAUUAAUUUUUAAAAAUAGAAAAAAAACGAAAAUAUUUUUUCUUAAACAAAAAAAAGUGAACAGUGUCGUCACAGUAAAACUUGUGGGGUGAACCCGAACCAUGAACUCCACCUGGUUUAAUAUUGUCUCCAUAAAUUUAUAGCAAACCUAUAAAAAAGUAAACAAUGUCGUUCACGGUAAAACAUGAGAGGGUGAACAGUGCAAUUGCACAGUGUUCACCUCACGUAUUUUCUCUUAAAUUUAUAGCAAAACCUUAAAAAAAAAAAACAAUGACCAAUGUCGUUCAUAGUAAAACAUGAGGGGGUGAACAAUGCGUCUGCACAGUGUUCACCCCGUACGCUUUAGCUUAUUUACGGUGAACCUGAACCAUAAACUUAAUCGGGUUUAAUAUUUUCCCCCUUAAAUUUAUAGCAAACCUAAAAAAAGGUGAACAAUGUCGUCUACAAUAAAAACAUGAGGGGAUAAACAGUAUGGUUGCAUAGUGUUCACCUCACAUAUCUUCCCCUUAAAUUUAUAGCAAAACCUAAUAAAAAAAAACAGUAAACAGUGUGUCCACUGUAAAACGUGAGGGAGUGAACAGUGCGGCUACACAGUGUUCACCCCACGCGCUUUAGAUUAUAAGUAACUAGUUUUGUAUUGGCGCUCUGCGGUGGGGUGGUUAUUUUUUAAGUAAAAAAAACUAAUAAGCAAGCUCUUACAAUGCGCUUUUUAAUAUAAUUUUUUUUUCAAUCACAAAUCAAAAUGCCUAAACAUGUAUUUAGUAAUUAGAUCGAUAUUUGACAAAGAGAUAACUAAGAUUAAGAUAUUUGAUAUCGCGACAUGGGUCAUGUGCUUAGUUGUGUUUGUACAACCAUAUGGUCCGAUAAAAGGUAACAAAAAAGUCAUACCCAAUGAUGAAUGAAGAAACUGGAAAAAAAAACAAUGAAAAAAGAGACACAGGUCAAACUGUAUAAAUACGCUAACCCUGUGACCAUGAGAACAAGAUUGAGAUUGUAACAGCCUGGCCCAACCUGCCAUAUAUUGUCCGCUUUGGGCCUUACCGCCAUCACGAUUUUGUUCUUGAUGACACGAGCUCACUUUUGAGCCUAACGCCCCAAAACGCGUAUAAGAAGUUAGCACUAGCACUACUAAUAAGGCCAGCAACUAACUCCUCACCCGCCGAUGUGGGAUCUUACAGAGAUAAUCCUAUAAAAAGGAAAGUGAAAAAAAAAAGCACAAAUACCAAUUCUAAAAAAGAUUAAUGUUGAAGGAUGAAAUUGAAGAAAGCAUAAGGAUACAUGAUUUCGCAAAUCGAUUCAUGCACCAAGUUGUGUUUAAUAGCUUUGUUUUUUAGAAUAUAUUUUUUAUUUAAUCAAACAAUUAUCUAUGCAAAUAAAAGGUAAAAAAUCACAAAUAAAAGCAAACUGAAUCAAAUCAUGAAGCUCAAUUAUAAAAUAACCCAAAGUUGAAUGAUGAAACUUUUUAAAAAAUAAUUAAGAAAAACAAAAAAAAAUAUAGGCCAACCCGCGUUAACCCGAUAACCUUGCAAUUAUCGGCACAUGAUUGAGAUAACCCCAUAGAAAAGAAAGUGAAAGAAAAAAAUAUGAAGACCAACUUCCAGAAAAAUUAAAUGUUGAAGGAUGAAAUUAAUAUAUAUAUAUAUAUAUAUAUAUAUAUAUAUAUAUAUUAAAAAAAGACUUAAAAAACAUCAAAGUUAAUAUGUGUUAACAUUUGAAACUUAUGAUUGUGAUCAUAAGACCAAGACUACCAAGCAUAAUUCAAACCCCAAAAGCAAUGAAGCAGAUUUUUCAAUAAAAGAACAUCGAGGCAUGAAACUUUCAAUAAAAAAACAACAGGAAAAAAAUAUGAAUCAAUUAAGAUUAACUUGUUAACUCUACGACUAUGGAAACAUGAUUGGGAUAACCCUUUUAAAAGGAAAGUGAUAGAGAGAGAACAAAAGUGGAACAAUUUUUAUCAACUAAAUAAACUUUAUAACUAUUAAUAUUAAAUUCAAAAUAUGUACAUAUUGAAAAUAUUUAAACAUAUCAUGUGGUUUAAUAGAAAUGAUUUUCAUAAACAUGUAUGGCUUAACAAUAGUAAUCAACUCUUAAUAUCUUUCAUAUUAUAUAUAUUAAAAAUAAAUAUUAAAACCUAUAAUAUUAAUUUGUGAAUUUAUCAAUUCAGAUGUGAAUUAUAUUUCUAAAAUGUUAUAAGAAAUUUCUAUAUACUACAACUAGCUUAAGAAAGUCAUGUUCAUCGAAACUAUAGAGUACAGAAAAAAAAUGAAUUGCAUAAAAUUAAGUAAUUAACCGAAACUUAUAUUACUUCUUAAAACGUUGACCCCAAGUCAAUUUUAUUUAUUUAUUUAUUUAUUGGAAAAACAUGAAUAAAAGGUUAAUGCUAGGCAUAUGACGAUGAUAGAUAUAGAAGACUUGCUACUUUCUUUAUGGAAAUUACGUGUGGAAAAUUUAGGCCUUGAAAAAAAUUGAAAAUAAAAUACUAUUAAUCGUGUUAUUUGCAUUCUGACAAUAAAACUAAUAUAGAGACUUGAUUGAUAAAAAUUCAUAAUUAAGAGCAAGUAUUUAAAUUAAUUAAAAAACAAAAAUCAAUCAAUACAAGUUUUUAAUUAGAAUAAACAAGAUAUAAAAUGCUGUGUAAGUGUCACUAACUCUUUGUAUUUUCUAACUAUUAAAGAAUUGAAUAUAUAAUACACGUGUGUGAAACAACAAAAUAAAUCCAAUUGUAUAAUAUACUAAGAUUUUAAAAACUAACACUACAUAGAUAAAAAAAAAAAAAAAAGAAGAAGCUCAAGGCCUAUUUAGAAAACUAAGCACCGUCAAAUUAUUUUUUAUACGAAGGGAUGGUUUUAUACAAAGAGAUGGGUCCCUAAGCUGUACAUGACAUAUAAAAAAAUAAAAUUGAAAGAUAAUAAAAUUAAAAAAAAAUAAUUCUAAUCUUAUAAAUUAUUUUAAAUAAAAUAAAUAUUGAUCAAAAGAAUAAAAAUCAAAUUUGAUAGAUAAAAAUUUUAAUAAAAAAACAAAAAAAAAACUAAAUGAUGACCAAAAUUAAUAUAAAAAUCAAAUUACAAGAUAUAAAAUUAAAAAAAAAUCAAAACAAAAUAAAACCAUUUUUUUCCUAAAAGAUAUUCAGAUUAAAAGCAUUAUAAAAAGAAUUAUAUAUAUACUUGACCCGCUGGGUUGAUCCACGACCCGGCAACCUGGUUGAGACCCAAUUUUUUUUUCAAAUGUAUUUUUUUCUCCUAGUCAGAGAUCCCUCUUUCUUAUAUAUUUUUUAGUUGGUUAUUGACCCUUUUCAAAGUUCACUAUAUAAAUACUAGAAGAAUAUUUUAUUUUUUCAAUGUGGGAUUUGAAGCUCUUUAAUAUAUAUACUCUAUGUUCACAAGAAAAAAAUUAUUUUUUCAAUGUGGGAUUUGAAAAAAAUUAUUCCAUUAGACACUCAGAGUUUUAUUUUUUUUCUCUAAAUUAUAAUGUGAUCAGGCCUAUGUGACUUAAAUCAUCUCCAAAUACUAUAUAUGAGUGAUAAUGAUCUCAGUGGUUUCUUUUCUCUGUGUCUGGCAAAUUUGACUUCGCUUCAGCUACUAGAUCUCUCUUCCAAUCACUUGAAGAACCCUAUGUCAUUUAACCCAUUAUACAACCUUUCAAAACUCAAGUCUUUUUAUGGUUUAGGUAAUGAAAUAUACGUAGAAGAAGACGAAGACGAUCAUAAUUUGAACCCAAAGUUCCAGUUAGAGCUCCUUGAUUUAAGAGGUUGUGGACAAGGUGCGAGAGCAUUUUUAUGGGGAUCUUACAAACAUCCAAAUAAAGGGAGAGUUUUCAAAUUGGUUGAUUGAGAACAACACAUACCUAUAUUAUCUUUAUUUAGAAAACUGUUCUCUUUCAGGUCCAUUUUUAUUACCAAAGAAUUCUCAUGUGAAUUUGUCAAUAUUAAGUAUAUCCAUGAAUUACUUUCAAGGACAAAUCCUUUCAGAAAUCAAAGAUCAUUUGCAAGGGUUAGAAGUUCUAUAGAUGUCUGAUAAUGGUUUGAAUGGAAGUAUUCCUUCCUUAUUGGGUAACAUUACCUUGUUGCAAGUGUUAGACCUAUCCAACAAUAGCUUGCAAGGGCAGGUCCUUGGAUGGAUAGGGAAUAUGCCUUCUCUUUAAUUCUUAGACCUAUCAGGGAACAAUUUCUCUGGUCCUUUACCGCCUAGAUUCGACACUUCUUCAAAAUUAAGAUAUGUUUAUUUGUCUAUAAAUAAGUUGCAAGGACCGAUCGCAAUGAAAUUUUAUGACUCCUCUGAGAUAUUGGCCUUAGAUCUUUCUCAUAAUAAUUUAACGGGUAGAAUUUCAGAAUGGAUUGACAGGAUAUCUAACUUGAGAUAUAUAUGGUGUGACUAUGCCACCUUCACCAACGCCAACUUCAACGAAAAAUGAAGAUAAUGAUGGCUUCAUGGAUAUGGAGGUUUUCUAUAUGAGUUUUGGGGUUGCAUAUAUCAUGAUGUUGCAGGUGAUAGGUGUAGUUCUGUACAUAAAUCCAUAUUGGCAAUAAGCUUGGUUUCACUUUAUUAAGGUGAGCAUCAACAAUUGCUAUUAUUUUCUGGUGGACAAUCUUCCCAUUUUAUCUAAGUUUGGAUUUUCAUAGCCUUUUAUCUUGAUGGUUCUAAGCCUUGGCGCAUCGUUUUGGACUUUAGUUUCAAGAUUUAAAUAAGUUUAUAUUGAUUUUCAUUUGAGUUUUGUUUUUGUUUUUGUUUUUAGCUUAUGUGUGAUAUAUAAUAAUGAAGUUUCUUCACUAAUUGCUCUAUGAUUGGAUUUAUAAACUUAGGACUAGUAGUUUCUACGUGAAUUAAUAAGAGGAUGGCUUGGUAUUUUGGAUUGGGUUUGUCAGACUGCAUGUUUCAAUAAAAUAGAUUACUAAAGGGGAUCGAUUUUGAUUAUGAUUUGAUGUGGGAAAUUCUCUGCGUGCCUACAUAGAGCGUGGCUUCUUGAAACUCCAAAAAAUAUAUAUAGGUUAGUCCGAAAGAAUUUAUAUAAUCAACCCUAAUCAGAAUUUCCCAAGAAAGAAUUAACUAAAGACUUUAGUUAAUGCUGAUGAACACGAGAAAAUGAUUUGCUAAAGAAAAAACCAUGUAUUUAAGAACCAUUGCUAAGCUAAAGGUUCUGGAGCCAUAAACCACUAAUAUUUACUGGGGUUGAUCCCAAAUUCAGACAAAUCCAUUUGUCCAAUUCGGAGAACCUUCAAACAAAAAGAAGAAUUAAACCUCGUAAAAUUGGCUAUCAUCAAAAGGACAAGAACAUAACAAGAAGGAUAUGGUCAAUUUCACUAUUUGAGCAGAACACACCUCCAACACCAAUAUUACUCAGGAUUCUUUGCAAGUCUUCCAAUUUCACUUGUUUUGAUGAAGAGUUUACAUCACUCAUUACUUCUGCACCAAGGUCUGGGACAACUAUUCUAGGUAUGUGUUGUUCUCUAUCAACCAAUUUAGAAACUCUCUCUUUAUUUGGAUGUUUGUAAGAUUCAAAGAUUGUAGGUUCAACUGAUGGUAAAGAAACUUGGGAAAUGCUCCACCUUGUCCAUGGCACCUCAAACCAAGAGACUCUAACUGGAACUUUGGGCUUAAAUUAUGACCAUCUUCUUCUGCAUAUAUUUCAUCAUCCAAACCAUGAAAAGACUUGAGUUUUGAAAGGUUGCAUAAUGAGCCUGCCACAAUCAAUUAAACAAGAAAUAAUAUUCAUUAAAAAAAACUAUUUGGAUGUCUUUCUCUGUUUGUUUGUUUGUUUUCUUCCUCUUCUUCUUCUUCUUCUUCUUUUUGUCAAAGUUGUGGUAUGAAUUCAAAUACUAAUAGAUUUGAGAAUUCUCCAAGACUACUAUUUGGCAAUCUAUAAAAUAGACCCACGGAAUUAAUAUAUUUUAUAGAUAUAUUUUCGUAGUACCUCAUCGUAUCCAAGAGAAGACUAUCAAGGAACGAAUAUAUUUUCGGAGAAUAACAGAAAAUAGAUCAAACAAAAGCAUUUCCAAAAUUUGUCUUUACAGUGAACCAUCUUACUGGUGGGGCAAAAACUUGAUGGACAAAUUGUUCAAUAGGAAAAGAGGACAUUUAAAAGAGGAAAAGAGGAAUUCUUUACAGGGCACAGUCACAGAUAAGUAAUAUGGAGUUAAAAUUUGUUAAUUUACCUCGAGAAGAUACAGUGCCACCGACUUCAAAGUUGUUGAAAAGGAAGGCAUUUAAGUACCUUGUGCCAUCAAGAUAGAGUCCGGUGACUGCUGUCGCAGAUAAUACUUUCCCAGGAACUACAGUGGGCGUGGCCUUUUAAAGAUCCACGAGGGUAGGGAUGUGCCAUUGGGAUAGUUAAGAGAAUCUAUGAGGAGCAAGAGAGCGAUUCUCUCUUCCUCCAAGCAACCAAGAGGCAGCCAUCCUUGCAAGGAAACCAUUAUUACAAACACCAUCAACAUCUGAAGGAACAGCCCCAUCUUAAUCAAAUAUAAGAAUUUACGAGAUGAAAGCCUCUCCAUUAAUGAUAAAAUACUGUUAUUAAAGUGAUUUAAUUCCAAGUCAAGGUGUUCCAAAUGGUUAAUUUUGAUAGUUCAUAACCACCUAUAUAAAAAAAUAAUGCAGUGAGACAAAGAAACUGAACUCAACCCUUUGCAUCUUUCCAUUCCAUCAAUAUCGACAAAGUAACCUGAAUCUUGUCUGAAGGUGUACUUACACAUCCCUUUGCAUGUUUCCAUUCCAUCAAUAUCGACAUCCUCUUGAGUUUCCAGCAUUAAUUCCACUCUGCUAUUUUUAUCUCAACUAAUUUAUGCUGUCCUCUGCCCCAUUUUUUAUUUUUUUUAUCAAUUCUCCGAAGUUUGUUUGUGUUACUUUCUUUCUGACUGGCACCUGAAGAAAUCAAGCAUAUGACCGAUAAUGUUUUGCUGGUUAUUUGUACUUCCUAGAUCAAAGUCAUGAAGGAGACUUAUUUCCCUGAAAUAAAUGAAAUGUAUCAGAGAAUUGCUGCCAAGUUACAGCUGAAAUGUAUCAGAGAAUUGCUGCCAAGUUACAGCAGGUAAAUUGUCUCCGCAAUUUCUUCCAGAUUAUCUGUCCACGCAUGAUUAUCUGCAAUUUCCCCAGGUUGAGCUUUUGUAUUAAUUUGUUUUCCUCAUCAGCAUUGCCUGUCACUGUAUCAUCUGCGCUAAUCACCUACCCCUCCCCCCAUCCUCCCCCACAACCAUGUAUCGACACAGAAGAAUUGGAAUAGAAACAUUGUUUUUCACUGUAUCAUGCAAUUUUUAAUUCUCGUGUAUGUUAACUUUGCUUUCCAGCAUGACUCUCAUCCGCAACAACCGAAGUCAGAACAGCUUGAAAAGCUGGAGGUAUUCAAGGCCAUGUUGGAGCGCUUGAUAACAUUCUUACAGGUCUCUAAAAACAAAGUCACACCUAGUUUCAAGGAGAAAUUGGGUUCCUAUGAGAAGCAGAUUGUAAGUUUUCUAAACCCAAGCAGAUUCAAGAGGCCUAUUCCUAAUCUACAGCUCGGACAACUUCCCCAACCUCCAGUUUAUCAAUUACAGUCCCAUGAAAAUCAACUAAAUCCCCAGUUGCAAUCAUUGAAUGUUCAAGGUUCUAUACCAACGAUGCAGCAGAACAAUAUGUCAAGCUUGCAGCAUGGGUUUCGAUGUCACAACCAUACAUGAUGAUGCGGGACGAGAGGUUUUAAGAAAAGAAAAGGGGGGAAGAGAGAAUGAUGAGGAUAUUGUAGCAAAAAUUUCACAGGAUUUACUACAAAUCCAAGCCAAUUAUACUUGAUUUGUAUGUAUAUGAUAUGAUGAGAAAAUAAACAUGUAUGGAAAGUACAAUAUGUAUAAUGAAUGAAUAUAGAGUUAAUAUAACAUAAGGCUUGAAGGAAACCAAAGUUUUGAAACACGACCCGACUUGGUGGGUCGACUCGGGACCCGGGAUUGGAACCAGGUCGGGUUUUAGAAAAAAUAGUGGAAGUCACAACCCGGGGUGACCUGGCUAACCCGGCAAAACCCAGUAAAAAAUCUGGUAGUAACCUGUUAAUUAUUUUUUUACCAAAACGACACUGUUUUGAUUUAUAAAAAAAAAAGUUACGGUUGACCCGGUGACCCGGUCAAGACCGGGUGACCUGGGCAAAACAAGUGACCCAGGCUGGGUUUAAAAACAUUAAAGGAAACAUGACCAAAGAUUUUCUUAUGAUUUAGGAGGAGCGACCAGGAUUGGAUCUUUUGUUGGAGGAAGUCACGAGACAGGCAGAGCAGGUGCGUGGUUUUCCCUUCCCUUUACACUGUUGUAAUUUAAUUAUUUAGGAGGAAUGCAAUUUUAUAUAUAUAUAUAUAUAUAUAAUGCUCAAUGUAAAUAAAGUCUGGUAUAUUUAUGAGAAUAACUUUGGCUAACAGCAUUCGUGGUAGGAUUUGCCGGGAAAGUAAUUAUGAGAUUAGCUUCGGCUAAUGGCAUCCGUGAUAGGAUCGCUGAGAAGUGAAUUAUGAGAUUAAUUUUGGCUAAUGACAUUUGUGGUAGGAUUUGCUGGAAAAUGAAUUAUAAGAUUAGCCUUGGCUAAUGACAUUCGUGUUAGGACUGCCAGGAACGAUUAAUAAGAUUAGCUUCGGCUAAUGAUAUUUGCAUUAGGAUUGCCGGGAAAUGAUCAAUAAGAGUAACUACAGCUAAUGGUGUCCAUGUUGGGACACUCAGGAACGAUCAAUAAGACUCAAUUUGUAAAGUGUACUGGGUUUGGAUGACCUGGAGGAAAUUGAUAAGUACAAUUGCUCAAAAUUAUUCAGAUUGGACUAUGCAAAGUUGAAGACUUAGUGAAUCCAAUUAAACAAAGUUAUGAGUUCAUGUAAGAAGAUAAGAGUAUCCAAUAUAAGAUAUGUAAAUGGUGUUAAAUUGGGUUUUAAAUGAUUCCCAAUAAAUUUAUAAGUUAAUUACUAAGAUUCCCAUGUAACUAAUAGAAAACUUAUGCCUCAUUUGUAUUCGUUGCAUGAUCAUUUAUAUUUCUUAUACCAAUAUAAUUGCAUCCAUAUGAAGUUUUUGUAACAGGUCUAUCUAAUAUCUAGGGAGCUCAUUAGUUUUAGGACUCUAUUUUUGUUAAACUUAUGUACAAAUUAACCUUAAGCAUAUUAGUAUUAACUAGUACAUGUUAUAAGCUAUUUUGUGUAAUCUUCUAUGUGUAUAAAAACUCUUAGCUAAGACUUGAAGCAUAUUAUUUUGUGUAAACUUGAUGUGUAUAAAAACUCUCAGCUAGACUUGAAGCAUGUUAUUUUGUGUAAACACUAUUGCAUAUAUUUCCAUUUGAUUUACCUUUAAAACAUGAAUAGUUUCUUAUAACCAUCUACUAGUUGUUAAUUCAUGAAUGAUAUGAUUUAAUUAGACCUUUAUUCGCAUAAAAUGGAGUCCAUUUUAAUUCUUCGAGUAAAUGGCAAUCUUUGCGGGACCUAAAAAAACAUUACCCUAAAUUUAAGAGCAUAUAUUGGGAUCGUUUUACAUUGAUGGAACAAAAUAAUUGGGAUUGUUACAGACACUUAUACCUAUUCUUACAGUGUAAUUUUAUACCGCAAAGUAAUAAAGUCUAUAAGUAAUUCCUAUCAUUUAUUGCUAUUAAUUCCACUACCAGAAAUUCGCUUAAUACCAACGGAAUUGCCGACAGAAUACUUCUGUCGGUAAUUUGAGGUUGCCAUUACCGAUCGACUUUAUUCCAUCGGUAAACUCGUCGGUAUAUACCGACAACCACAUUCCAUCGGUAUCUACCAACGAGAUUACAGACGGAAUGUUAAGAAUAAAAAAAAAGGGCGGUUCGCUGACGUGGAGGUAUUUUUUACCGACGGAAUCACCGAGGGAUUAAAAACGUCAGCUCCGUAUGGUGACGUGUCCGCUUCACCGAUGAACAUGCCAACGAAAUCACCGAGGGAUUCAAACAUCAGCUCCGUAUAGUAACGUGCCCUGUGUUAUCGUCAGAAUCACCGACGGAAUCAUAGAUGGUAUGCGUCUGUCGAUGAAUCCGUCAGCAAAAGUUAAUAUAUCCCCACUCUGUCGACCCUCUCCUCCCCUAUUUCUCCUUCUUCUUCCCCAUCCCAACUCUCCCCAACUGCAAACAACCAGCCCCCCUAAAAAAAAAUCUCCCUCUUCUCACCACAACAAGUCAUAUUUCUUGAAGUCUUCUCGUCACAGCAUCCGUGUUCUGAUUUACCGACGACUUUUUAUCAGUUGUUGUAGGUAAUUCUAUCUUUUUAAAUUUUAACAUUUAAAUGUCAAUUUUAUUAUUUUUUAGUAUAUGUAUUUUUUUAGUAGAUGUACAUGUUUUAUUGUUAUUUCUCAAACAAACUUGUAGUAUAUGAAUGUAUAGUUUUAUACUAGUUGUGGUUUGUUUUAGAUUUUGUAAGAUUGUAUUUGUUUGUAAAUUGUUGAAACUUUAUUGAAUUACCGAAUUACAUGUGUUGUUUUGAAAUAAUUAAUAGCUUGUUUAAUGGGUCCGUUUUAAUUUUUAUCAAUGGUAUUGCGGAGUUGUAAUUUUUGUAAAUUUAUAUAUAUGUAUUAAUUUGUAUGGACGUUGAUAAUUGGUAAUGAAUAUUUAAUAUUUAUGAGAAGUUGUAAUUGGUUUGUUGGAUAAUCUCGAGGUAAACCAAUAUUUUUGCAAAUUUAUUUGCCUAACAUAGUUAAUUAGUACAUGUUGUCAUCAUAAUUUUAUAGAGGUUCGAUAGAAGUCAUGGAUGAUCGUUCAUGGAUGUAUCGAGAUUCACCCCAAGGAUUGCGGAGGAUGGAUUAUUGUAACGGGGUUCAGGGUUUUAUUAAUUUCGCAACAUCUAUUCCCAGAAAUUUUACUGGAGGCGGUAUUAGGUGUCCAUGCAGGAAGUGUCAAAAUAAAAAGUAUCUGCAUCCAGAUAUUGUAACGAUACAUCUUCUACACAAAGGGUUUAUGGAGAAUUACCAGUGUUGAUAUGCACACGGAGAAGUAUUUGUUAGUAAGAGGAGAAUGGGAGAAAGGGUGGUUAGGUUAACUUCUAGUGCUAGCAACGUGCAUGAAGCGGCAAAUGACAACACUAAUCCUUACAGGAAUAUGGUUAUGGAUGCAAUGAGAAUGAAUCAAGGUAAUGUCAGUCAAUGUCCAAUUAUAGAAAAAGAACUUAAUGCAGAUGCAGCUAGGUUUUUUGAUUUGUUGAAAGACUCUGACGAACCAUUAUGGGAUGGCUGCACGAACCACAGUAAAUUAUCGGUCGUAGCACAGGUGUUCCCUAUCAAGUCAGAUUAUGGGUUGAGUGAAGCCGGGUAUGACAAGAUUAUUGAAUGGGCGAGAAGCAUUUUACCUGAAGGGAACAGGCUGAAAGAGAACUUCUAUGCUGCGAAGUCCAUGAUGAAACCCCUCGGUUUAGGAUACCAGAAAAUUGACAUGUGCCCUAACUUCUGCAUGUUAUACUACAUUGCAAAUGCUGAGAUGACCGAGUGUAUGACAUGCGGGCAUUCCCGUUACAAACCUAGAACUAGCACAUGACAUGGCACCAAUCACAUGAUGCAGUUAAUGGAGUGAUGGUGCAUCCUUCUGACGGCGAAGCGCGGAAACACUUUAACAGUGUGCAUCCUCACUUUUCAGUUGAAUCAAGGAACGUGCAUCUUGGGUUGUGUACAGACGGAUUCAACCCAUUUGGGUCAUUUGCUGCUUCUUGUCGCACGUGAGCGACGUCGCGGCGAUCGUCCACCCACAAAAAAUAAAUGUAAAAGGGAUGGGGGAUAUAUAUAUCUGGUUAAUGUGGGGAGACAAGGAAUUCGUUGUCUCUUAGCAGUGAAAAAUGGUGUGGGAGUCGCCACCUAGUAUUUUGGUCACUAGGAACCCUAACUGGUCUCAGAGAUCGGGUACGGGGACUGGUUGCGUAAAGGGAAGGUAUUAGCACCCCAAAUACGCCCUACCUAAGGUAAGCUGCAUCGUUUUAUUGUCUGAUAAAAUUUAAGGUGUUUUCGUGUGUUUCCUAGUUGUUGGUCCAUCUACGGUUCAAGAAAAGUCCUCCUCAAUAAGGAGGUCCUUAUCUUAUCGGGUAAAGCCUAACCGUUCUAAUGUCUAAAAAACAUAUUUGUAAUAUCAAGAAUAUGUUUUACGUAUAAAUUAGUAAUCCCAAAGACAAAAAGAUUAUUUAGAAUUUUUGAAAUAUUGGCCUAGUUCUCAUGGCUUGAAUAAACUGGUUAUUAAAGCCAAAAUGCAUUCUAAUACAUAUAUUGUUUUGAAAUUUUCUUUGUUGUGUGAAAAUAUGAUGUUACAAUAUUUAUAUAUAUAUAUUGGAGAGACUAGGCCGUAUUUUAAAACAAAACAUUUUUUAAAAAUAUGUAUUUUUGUACGCUUUGACGCAAAUCGGGUAUUUUAAUACUGGGUUUGUAAAAAAUACAACCAAAUAUUAAUUCACUUUAAUAAAAUAAAUGCCUAAAAAUCAACAAUAUUUUCAAAGAUAUUUUUAGAAAAUUUUGAAAGCAAAAGACAUUUUUUGUUUUGAAAAUCUUUGAUGUUUUGAUGAAAACCGGGUAUUUUAAUACCGGAUUUUGUAUUUUUACAAUAUAAAAUACCAACCAAUAUUAAUCAAAAUAUAAUAAUAAAAUUACAACAAAAUCACAUAUAUUUUUCUAUAAUUUUUGCAAAUUUUUAUAAUUUUUUUCAUAUAUAUAUAUAUAUAAAUAAUACAAAAUAUAAUAUAUAUAUAUAUAUAUAUAUAAUAAUAUUAAAUCGGGCUGGGCCGGCCCAAACCACUGGGUCGGACUCAGCCCCAAAACCAUGAUGGGCCGAUAUCGGCCCAAAAAUGUACUGGGCCGAUCUCGGCCCAAAAAAUGUACUGGGCCGAUCUCGGCCCAAAAAAUGUACUGGGCCGAUCGCGGCCCAAAAGUGUACUGGGCCGAUCGCGGCCCAAAAGUGUACUGGGCCUAUCUCGGCCCACAAAAAAAUUCUCUUCUGGGCCAGACCCGACCCAGAAGACUGGGCUGGGCCAGGACCCGCCUGGCCCAGCAACAAAACGGGCGGGGGGAAUUAAUUUCCCCCCGCCCCUGCAUGCAGAACGCUAUUCGUUCUGCAUGCAGAGAAGGAAAUACAUAAACGCCAGAAUAGGGGGGGAGAAGGGUACCUGACGCGGAGGAGGCGGUGGCUGGCUGCGUUUCUGGCGGCGCUGUGGCGGAGGCUGGUGGCGCUGCGACUGUUUCCGGCGGUUUGGUUCGUUCUCCCCGUUGCUCCUUUUCUCUUUGUUUUUUUCGGUUUGCUUCUUUUCUUUUGUUUUCGGGUUGGUUCUUCCUCUCUUCCCGUUCCUCUUCUCUGUUUUUUUUCGUUCCUCUCUUUUCCUUCUCUCUCCUUCGUUCUACCUCCUCCUCUCUCUCUCCUCUGUUUUUUCGUUUUUUCUCCCCGUCUCCCCUCUGUUUUUUUUUUUUCUUUUCCCUCUCUUUUCUCUCUGUUUUUCCCUCUCUUUUCUCUCUGUUUUUCCCUCUUGCUCUCAGCGUUCUUGGCCUCUAUUUAUAGAGGCCAAGGACGCUGUUUUUUACAGCUCUCAUGGGGGAGCAGCCGGCUGGUCGGCCAUUGGGCGCGGCUGCCGAGGUUCGGUGGGUGGUGCGCGGUGGAUGGUCGGCCAUUGUGUCCGGUCGGUGGGCUCCAGGCGAGAGAGUGGCCGGCAAAAUUCAAAUUAAAGCUUCCCUUUCUCCUUCUUCCCCGCUGCGUGAUCGGGGGAAGAAGAUGAACAGUGUCGUUUCAAAACGACACCGUUCUGCUCUUUCUUUUUUUUUUUUUUUUUUUUUGAAUGUAUGAAACGGCGUCGUUUUGGAGAAAACGCGCCGUUUCAUUUAAAUGUGGCGCCAAAACGCGCCAAAUUUCAAAUCAGCCCUCAAUCAUCUUUUCUUUCUUCAAUUGCAUCCCUGCCAAUUUCGGUCUCCGUCCCUCUUGUUGGCCGCGUUUUUCACUUUAGUCCUUGGUGUCUGAUUUAUGCAAUUGAGCCCUUAAUUGAUCAAAAAACUUCUAAUUUCUUCAAUUAGGCCCCUGAAUCAAUUAAUUCCAGCCCCUCCAUUUACGCGCCUCUUCCAAUUUGGUCCCUGGUUUCGGAUUUUCUCAAUUAAGUCCCUAAUUGGCCCUUAAACUUCAAUAUUUAUGCAAUUAGGCCCCUGAUUUGACCUAAUAAAUUCCUAAAAAAUAUAUUUUGGCCCCAGAACUUAAAUUUCUUCUAAUUAAAGCCCAAAUUGACUUAAAAAUCAAUUUUUCUUGCAAUCAAAUCCUCUAUAAAUUCAUUUAAAAAUCAAAUUAAGUCCAUAAACAUCCAAAUUUGGGCUUUUCUCCUCAAAUUUCAAAUUUUCCUUCUCAACAGGGCUCUCCUCCUUCAAGAAUAUACUGUCAAAAAUCCAAUCUUUGUAUUUUUAACCUUAUUGAUCGAUUUUCCAACCAUUUUCUGAGCGCUUCUGCCUCCUGUUAUUAUUUUUUUUUUCUUUGGCUAUAUACAUAUUUAUAUAUAUAUUUUGUGGGGACCCAAAAAUGAGUUACAACAGAUGCCCCCUCUUUAUAAUGCUUACGGAGCAGAGGUUUUGCGCAGUAAGUUUUAUAAAGAUAAACCCUAAACGGAACUCCCAAAACUGAUCUGGUUGAAGCUUGAUUGACCUGAAACUUGUCUUUUACAGCAAUCCUCCUUAACUUCAAAAACUAUGAUCAAAAUUUAUCAUCUUGAGAUCCCUUCUGGCGAUCUCUCUAAACCAAAAUCUAUAAUUAUUGCUUACUCAACUUGGAAUCCCGUCUGGCAAUUCCCUUUUAACCAAUAUUGAAAUACGAGAUCCCUUCUAACGAUCUCCUUCAACAAAAAAUCUUAGAAUCCCAUCUGGCGAUUCCUUGUAACCAAUGUUGAAAUAUGAGGUCCCUUCUGACGACCUUCAAAUAACGAAAUACGAGAUCCCUUCUGGCGAUCUCCUUUAAUCGACCUGGAAUCCCAUCUGGCGAUUCCUUUUAUUCAAACGAAAUAUGAGGUCCCAUGUGGCGACCUCCAAAUAUCAAAACACGAGAUCCCUUCUGGCGAUCUCCUUUAGUCAACUUGGAAUCCCAUCUGGCGAUUCCUUUUAUCUCAACAGGUAAUAUGAGGCCCCAUCUGGCGACCUCCAAAUAGCAAAACACGAGAUCCCUUCUGGCGAUCUCCUUUAGUCAACUUGGAAUCCCAUCUGGCGAUUCCUUUUAUUCAAUGAAAAACGAGGUCCCAUCUGGCGACCUCCAAAUAAUGAAACACGAGAUCCCUUCUGGCGAUCUCCUUAAAUCAACUUGGAAUCCCUUCUGGCGAUUCCUUUUAUUCAUGAAAACCGAGGUCCCAUCUGGCGACCUCCAAAUAGUGAAACACGAGAUCCCUUCUGGCGAUCUCCUUUAAUCAACUUGGAAUCCCAUCUGGCGAUUCCUUUUAUUCCUGAAAAACGAGGUCCCAUCUGGCGACCUCCAAAUAAUGAAACACGAGAUCCCUUCUGGCGAUCUCCUUUAAUCAACUUGGAAUCCCAUCUGGCGAUUCCUUUUAUUCAUGAAAAACGAGGUCCCAUCUGGCGACCUCCAAAUAAUGAAACACGAGAUCCCUUCUGGCGAUCUCCUUUAAUCAACUUGGAAUCCCAUCUGGCGAUUCCUCUUUUUUUCAAACAGGUAAUACGAGGUCCCAUCUGGCGACCUUCAAAUAGCGAAACACGAGAUCCCUUCUGGCGAUCUCCUUUAACUUGGAAUCCCAUCUGGCGAUUCCUUUUAUUCAAAGCGAUACGCGAGGUCCCUUCUGGCGACCUUCUUUGACCAAUAUCGAAAUACAAGAUCCCCUCUUGCGAUCUAAGACAACUUGGAAUCCCAUCUGGCGAUUCCCUUUUAUUCGAAGCUGAAAUAAUGAGAUCCCUUCUGGCGAUCUCCUUUAAUCAAAAACCAAAAAAUCUAUCUUGUAAAUCGGUUAACCUGGAGUCCCCUCUGGCGAUUCCCUUUUACCGCUUGCUCGAUGUCGCUCUUCCUGAUGGCAGGGUUUGAACAUUAUUAUUUUCUCUUCUUGUUGUUUUAGAAUCAACUCAAUGAUUUUUUUCUUCGUCUUCAAUUUUGUUGGAAUGUAUUAAGGUCUCCUCCUGUAACGAUCCCAAAAAAAAAAAAAACAUAUAUGCAAUGAUUUAUGAUUAAAUGCCAUGCAUGCAUUCGUACCUGGUUUUGAAACAUAGGCCCCAUCAUCUUCUUCGAGUUCAUGAGAUUCCAUCUUAACAUGAGCUUGCUUUUGAAGUCGUAUGCUGGAUUCCUCUCUCGUGUUGCCUCCGAUCAUAUUCUUGGAGAAGAAAUCUCUGACUUUCUUCAAAUAGUCCUUUUUCCAAAAUGUAUGAUUUGUCAUUGCCUCUUUGUCAUGCUUUUGUCAAAUGUUUUAGCUUGGUUUUUAAAAUCUAUAGGCUUUCGUACAUGAAAAUAUCUCUUAUUGCCCCCAGUGUAGGGGUGUGAUUCUAGUCUAGGCUUUUAUAGAGAGAAGAAAUUCGUUCAGCCGACGCUACACUUUUUAAAUGAGAUAAAACAAGACAUGCACUGUUGGGAUUAAUGUAAAAAUGACUGUUGUGAGAUCAAUGCAAAAGAGAAAGAAGUCAAUGGCCAAACUUUGCUUUAUUGAUUUAGAAGCCUACAUCAAGCAUAAUAUCUUUUUACAGAGUCAGAAUUCACAGGUCGAGCUAGGUCUUCUCCAUCCAUUCUAGCCAACUUCAGUGCUCCUCCUGAGAAUGCCUUCUUUACUAUGUAAGGACCUUCAUAAUUCGGUGCCCAUUUGCUUUGAUCGUCUCCAGGUAGUGACAAUAUUUUCUUCAAUACUAGAUCCCCUUCUUGAAACAACCGCGGUCUAACCUUCUUAUCAUAUGCCUUGGCCAUUCGUUUCUGGUACAGUUGGUGAUGACAUAUUGCGGCCAUCCUCUUUUCACUGAUCAGGUUCAGUUGCUCAUAUCUCACUUUGGCCCACUCGGCCUCUUCUAAUUCGGAGUCCAUCAAUACUCUUAACGACGGGAUUUCUACUUCCAAAGGCAUCACUGCUUCCAUACCGUACACCAAAGAAUAUGGAGUAGUUCCUGUCGAGGUCCUAACUGUAGUGCGGUAUGCGUGAAGAGCGAAUGACAACAUCUCAUGCCAAUCUCUAUAUGUGACUACCAUUUUCUGAAUAAUCUUUUUGAUGUUCUUGUUGGCGGCUUCUACUGCGCCAUUCAUUUUUGGUCGGUAUGGUGAGGAAUUCGAAUGCUUGAUUUUCCAUUUAGUACACAGCUCCACUAUCAUUUUGCCAUUGAAAUUUUGUGCAUUAUCUGUCACUAUCUUUCCCGGAGGACCAUAUCGACAAAUCAAGUCCUUUUCUAUAAACCUCUUCACUACGUUCUGUGUUACAUGGGCAUACGAAUUAGCUUCCACCCAUUUGGUGAAGUAGUCAAUAGCCACAAGGAUGAAUCUAUGCCCAUUGCUAGCUUUUGGGUUAACCGGACCAAUUACAUCGAUUCCCCACAUUGCAAAUGGCCAAGGAGAUAUCAGAUUAAAUAGAGGAGCUGGUGGCAUAUUGACCUUGUCACUGUAAACUUGACACUUGUGACAUUUCCUGACAUAGUCGAUGCAGUCUUUCUCUAGUGUCAUCCAAAAAUAACCAGCCCUUUGGAUUUUCCUUGCUAUCAUAUGCCCGCUAGCAUGGGUUGAGCAAAUCCCCUCAUGGACCUCCCGUAAUGCCUUUCUAGCAUCUGCCUCAUUCAAACACCUUAGCAAGGUUCCAUCAAAUGAUCUUUUGUACAGAAUCUCUCCAUCUAAAUAAAAGUCUGUAGCCAACCUUCUCAAGGUUUUCUUAUCCGUUUUGGAGGCUCCCACUGGAUAUUCCUGAUUUUGCACAAGGUUCUUGAUAUCAUAAUACCAAGGCUGUCCGUCUAUCUCUCCUUCAACUAAGCAACAGUGAGCUGGGUCAUUUCUAAUGUCAAUGUGUACCGGUUGUACCUUGCACUUGAGAUCAAUGGUAGUCAUAGCAGCUAGCGUGGCCAAAGCAUCUGCAAAAUGGUUCCCUUCUCUUCCCAGGUGGGUGAAUCUAAUUUCUUCAAAUUCCUUCGCUAGCGUGGACAGGUAUUCCUGGUACGGCCUCAACUUUUCCUCUUUGGUCUGCCAUUCCCCCUUAACCUGACAGAUAAUCAACAUUGAAUCUCCGUACACAUCUAACUUCUUUAUCUUCAGCUCUAAUGCCGCUUCUAGACCAAGGAUACAAGCUUCAUACUCAGCUGUAUUGUUGGUGCACUCGAAAUGUAGUUUAACCGAAACUGGAUACUGUUUCUUAUCAGGAGAGAUUAUUACCGCACCGGCCCCGUUACCAUAUACGUUCACUGCACCAUCAAAAAACAUUGUCCACCAAUCUGUCUGCUCUUCUUCUUUCUCUAUUGACAAUAUAUCUUCAUCAGGGAAGUCAAAAUCCAAGGGUUCGUAAUCUUCAACAGCAUUAUCAGCCAGAUGGUCCGCGAUUGCACUUCCUUUUACGGCUUUCCUUGUCAUGUAUACUAUGUCAUAUUCUGCCAAUAGAACUUGCCACCUUGCAAUUCGACUUGAGAGAAAUGGCUUGUUACAAAUAUACCUCAGAGGAUCCACUUUUGAAAUCAACCAAGUGGUAUAGUAUAACAUAUAAUGCCGCAACCUCUUUGCUGCCCACACCAACGCACAACAAAGCCUUUCUAUCUCCGUGUAUCUAGACUCACCUUCAGUGAAUUUCUUACUUAAGUAAUAAAUAGCUCUUUCCUUCCUUCCGGUUUCAUCAUGCUGACCCAAUACACAUCCCAUAGCUGCUUCAGUCACUGUUAGAUACAAUACUAGAGGUUUUCCCGAUACCGGAGGGACUAGUAAAGGUGGAUUUUGCAAAUAAUGCUUGAUUUUAUUGAAUGCCUCCUCACACUCCUCAUUCCAGGUUCCAGGAUUCUUUUUCCUUAGUAGUCGGAAUAUUGGUUCACACGUCGUUGUUAACUGAGCUAUGAACCGAGCAAUGUAGUUUAUCCUUCCCAAGAAUCCUCUUACUUCCUUCUCCGUCUUAGGGGAUGACAUAGCUUGGAUGGCCCUUACUUUAUCUGGAUCCACCUCUAUACCUCUUACCACAAAUCCUAACAGCUUACCCGAUUUAACUCCAAAUGAACAUUUGGCAGGAUUGAGCCUUAAUUCAUACUUCCUCAAUCUCUCAAACAACUUCCUCAAAACUUCAACAUGAUCCUCUCCUCUUUUAGACUUGGCAAUCAUGUCGUCUACAUACACCUCAAUUUCCUUGUGCAUCAUGUCGUGGAACAAAGUCACCAUUGCUCUUUGAUAGGUUGCUCCUGCAUUCUUCAAUCCAAAUGGCAUGACCUUAUAGCAGAAUGUCCCCCACGGUGUGACAAAAGUUGUUUUCGUCUUAUCCUCCGGAGCCAUUUUUAUCUGGUUGUAUCCUGAAAAACCAUCCAUAAAGGAAUAUGUGGAACUCUGGGCAGCAUUGUCCACUAAAACAUCUAUGUGUGGUAGAGGAAAAUCAUCCUUGGGGCUAGCUUUAUUCAAAUUCCGAAAAUCCACGCAUACUCUAAUCUUCCCCUCCUUCUUAGGUACCACAACAAUGUUAGAUACCCAUUGUGGAUAUCUAACUACUUCUAGAAAGCCAGCAUCCCAUUGCUUCUCGAGUUCUGCCUUGACCUUGAUCCAGACAUCCGGGUGGGCCCUCCUCAGCUUCUGCUUGAUUGGCUUACAGCCUUCUUCCAACGGUAUCUUGUGUACUACAAUAUUUGUAUCCAAACCAGGCAUAUCUUCAUAAGACCAAGCAAAGACAUCUGCAUAUUCUUGUAACAGGGCGAUCAUUUUUGUCCUUUGUUCAGAAGUAACUAAGGUACCUAUUUUCAACUCUUUCUUGAGCUGAUCACUACCCACAUUGAUGGUUUCGAGUUCCUCGGCGAUAGGCUUCCAAGUCUGUUCCUGUUGUUCUACUAGCCUGGUGAAUUCACUAAUAUUGCUUUCAUCCCAUUCUUCUUCUUCCAUAGCUAUCACAUGCUCGUUCAAGUUUGGCCAUUUAUUCUUGAUGCUAAAUAUAUGUGAUGUUGUUGGAGAUCCGCUUUCAGGAUUCCUGAAAGCGGGAAGUGUUUGGUGUAAAUGCAUAAAAAAGAAAGCAAUUUGUGGAAAGUGCAUGAUCUCACAAUUUAUUUAAAGAAAAAGUGGGCUCCAUGACAAACAUAAAGUCUAACCGACAAUUGAGCCUUGAUUGUCGACUAGCGAAAAUAAAUGAAAACCAAACAAAGCAAUGACAAAAGCAUGUUAAGACAAACAAAAUUGGUUUACAUUUUGAAAACCACUGGAGCUUCUUGGGUCACCCAAUUCUGAAACUUCUCGUCUUGAGCCAACUUGCGCACAAAGGUCUUGGCGGAGACUUCUUCUAUGGUGUAGACCGUUAGUUGUGGGAGUGCUUCAUCUCCCUUUCUUGCUACUGUCUUCAUGUCAUCUCCUUCCAUCUUGUUUUCCCCCAAGGUAUUUAUGCUCAGGUUUGACAGCUCUUGAUCGAGGCUUUCGGCUUCUUUAUCAUGUUGCAUUAUGUAUGCAGCUUUUGAGAAUGACACGCUAAGGGGAGGGAUUUCUAGCUUUUCUUCAUCAGGCUCUCUUCCUUUAAUUCUAGCCAUCCUUCUUGCCCUUCUCCGACCAGCAGCCCACCGAUAAUCUUCUUGGUUAGGUUGGUAUCCUAACCCAAAUCUUUGAGCAACACUUUUCAUCCUUGCCAGAUUAACCCCUUCUGGUAUCCUGAUAAUAAAGUUAUACUGAAAUGGGAUCCCGCGGUUCAAAAGGCAUAGACUUGCCAUCCUUGCUGCUUCUGAGAUCCUUGGCCUUCUUAGCACUGUGUUCUCCGGCACCCAGUCAGUGUUCACAAUUUCAAAGGCAUGGAUAUUGUUAUCCUUGCAAUCAUUCGCUUCGAUAAAAGGCACAGCUACAUUCUUUAUCAUGGAUACUGUCUCCUCAGCCUUGACAGUUACCAACAUCCCAUUCAUGAUAUACUUCAGGCAUUGGUGCAAUGAUGAAGCUACUGCCCCCGCUGCAUGAAUCCAAGGUCUUCCUAACAACAUACUAUAGGAAGGAUGGAUAUCCAUAACUUGAAGUGUUACUAGGAACAUUUGUGGUCCCACAUAUAGCUCCACUUCUAGAGUCCCAAUUAUUGGCCUAGGUGAGCCAUCAUACGCUCUGGCCAUCAUAGUACUUGGCCUUAUAUGGGAUUCAUCGAUCGGCAUUUCUUCCAACAUGUGCUUUGGCAACACAUUAAGGGCCGAGCCGUUAUCAAUGAGUACUUUUCCUAUGAGGCAGUCCUUGCACCUAACCGUAAUGUAUAAAGGCUUGUUAUGUCCGGUACCUUCAGCAUCAAGCUCAUCAGCCGUGAAGUACAGGUAAUUAGUUGCAUGGAUCCUUCCCACUAGAUGCUCCAUGGUUUUAUGUUCAAUGUCUUGGGGUACAUAUGCCUCAUUCAAUACCUUCUGCAAGGCGUUUCGAUGCGGCUCAGAGCUGAGUAUCAGGGACAUAAGGGAGAUCCUAGCUGGAGUCUUCUUUAGUUGAUCUACUAUGCAAUAUUCACUAUGCUUGAUCAACUUCAGGAAUUCAUUCGACUCCUCUUCUGUUACUGGCUUAUUAACUUCUAGUGCCUUGUCAAGAUCUACCACUUCUUUACCCUUUUCCUUCCUCAACUCUUCGGAAGUAAAGCAACGACCACUCCUGGUCAACCCACUUAUCUCAGUCUGGAACAAAGGAAGAGGAGCUUGAACGUUGGAGGCAUAACCAUAAUUAUAAGGCAUGGCAUUGUGAUUCCCUUUUGUGUAGGACGGUUUAACCAAGAUUAGCCUUGGGGGACCAUUAGCUGUUUGUUGGACCCUGCAUACUCCUGUCAUCUCCAUUUGACCUUCCAUCAUACUCACCUCUCCGCUGCUCUUCACGGGUUCAAUCCUCAACUCCCCCAUUUUUAGCAUUUUUGCAAUCUUUUCGCAAAACUCGAUGCAAUCCUCAAUAUGAUGUCCUUCUCUUCCAUGGUAUUCACAGUAAUCAUCUCCCUCUAAAUGGCUCUCCACCUUUGUCUUUAGAAAUCCUGAUUGUACCAACAUGUCGUACAACCUCUUCAUGGACACCUUCAACACCUUGCAUUGAUUUCCCACUUCGAUCAUGCCUAUUCCACUACUACUUGAGGCAUGUUUAGGCAACGGGUUUGAAUUAACAUUGGGCUUGUCUUCAAAGGAUACCCAUCCUAUCUUAAUAAGCUCCAGCAAUCUUUUCUUGAAAGCGUAACAGGUUUCAAUCCCAUGCCCAGGAUUACCCGCAUGGUAUUCACAAGUUAACUCGGGCUUGUACCAAAUUGGGAAUGGUGGUUGUAAUGGUAGUGUAGGGCUAGGAGCUAUGUGCCCAAUGCUCAACAGUUUGGCAUACAUGUCCUUCAAAGGCAUGGGUAACGGUGGCAGUUGUUCUGAAGGGUAUCUCGUAUGGGGUCUUUGGUAGUGAUUUUGGUAAUUUGAUUGGUUAUUUGUUCGAUUAGGCAAAAAAGAUUGGUUAAAGUUUAUGCGUGAGAAUUGAGAGGUAGGUACUUGUGGAUUGUGGGAAUCUACUUUCUUGCCCUUAUACCCAUCCUCCAAAUUGUUAACAUCGCCUUCUCUCUUUCUUCCAAUAAAGCCCUUCUUUUCCACUGGCAUUGCUAUUCGCCCAGCUUUGAUCCCCUGUUCUAUCCUCUCAGCUAUGCGUACCGCAUCAUAGAAAUGUUGAGAGGAGCUACCCAUUAGGUGCUCAUAAUAAGGUGCUUUGAAGGUAUUGGCAAACAAACUCACCAUCUCCGUUUCUAUCAAAGGGGGUUGGACAUGCAUUGCCUCAUCCCUCCAUCUUUGCGCAUAAGCCCUUACUGACUCCUGGCUUCUUUUCUCCAUUGCCAUUAAACUUGUUUGAUCAGGAGCGAUUUCCAUGUUAAACUUGUACUGUUUGAGGAAAGCCUCCACCAAGUCUCUCCAGCUCUUGAUCCUGAUGCUGUCUAACCUCAUGUACCAGCUUAAAGCGGAUCCUGCUAGGCUAUCUUGAAAGAAAUAGAUUAGCAUUUUAUCAUCACGGAUUACUUCCGCCAUUUUGUUGCAGUAGGAUCGAAGGUGAGUGUUUGGGCAUUCCAAACCGGUAUACUUAAUGAACUCUGGUAUGCGAAAAUCUUUUGGUACCACGAUGUUUGGUACCAAACAUACUUCGGCUGCUCGCAUAGGGUCAAACCAGUCAUUACCCUCAACUGCCCUUAAUCUUUCUUCCAGAGCAAACAGCUUGUCUUGGUCUAUCAAACUGGGAGACCUAUUAUCCGGGACUCCCUCCGUUGUUAGGUCAACAGUGACUGGAGUAUGAGGUGGUAGGAUAGGAGUAAUAGGCACAAACUGUUGUUCAUUGGCCGAGUUUGCCCCCUGGUUUUGAGAUGCUUGAGGAAUGUGAACUGCUGGCGCUCCUUCAAGCUGUCGUGCUGAUGUUCCCUCCCCAUUCUUAGCCCUUAGAAGCUGCUCAAGUAAGUCGGUUAGCCGAGAAACUUCAUUCUUUACAGACUCCAACUCGGUCUGAUAAUGUGACUCUAAGUGAGCUCUUUCUUCGUUCUCCAUUCUCGCUCGAGACCGGGUGUUGUGGAUUUUGGAUGUGGGACCUAUGUUUCACGGUCUGGGAUGCAUGAAAAAAAUGUAAAUGAAUGUGUGAUAAAGAAACAAUGCAUGAAUACUCUUAGAAACUUGUUUUUAAAAAACGAUCGAUGGCCAACAUUCCUCUUGUGUAAUGGGCAUGGACUCUUUUUGUCACGAUCUUUAUCAGGAGUAGUUGUGCUCAAGCUGCUGCUUUGGUAGGCUUAUAUUUAUAAAAGAUGGGUCAAAGCCCUUUUCAUUAAUAUUGGCUAAUACAUCUCUUGAAGAGAGGGUAAUAAAUACAUCAAUCUUCCUCUUCAUCCAUAUCUCUAGCCACUGGUAGGAAAGCGAGGCCUCGAUUCUCAAUUUUCUCUAAAAAGGCAUCUGUCUCAGCCAAGCUUUGUCGAUAACGAAAGAUGUCCCUUCCCACCCUUCGAGCAUUGGCUCUAAUAAUUCGUGCGUGAAUGGCAGCUUCAUCCAUUUGCUCAUCUACCUUGGCCAUCUUCUCUAUAAGCACCAUGUUGUUCCGAUUCAAAGUAUUGUUGUUGGUGUCGAUCUGUUCUUUAUGUUUUUCUGAAACUUCCAACCUGUUGGUCAACUGUUUCACCUUUUCUCGUUCUUUGUCAAACUUCACCUUCAACAUUCUAAUUUCAAUUUUCUUAGCUGCCAAAUCUGCCUUCAAAACCUCCUCUUCAUUCCCCUUUCUUUCGAACUCUUGUAAUUCAGUUAGCCGACUUUCUAUCAUCAUAUAUUUCUUGUUUAACUCAUCAUACUUCUCAAUUCGGUCUAACAACUCUGCUUUAACAUGCAAGAAUUUGUCCUGAUUGUACUCAACAUUCUCUUGAUAGCCAUCGAAGUCGGCUUUCAAUGCUUCCAACUCAGAGCUGCUUUGCAUAAAAUCCAAAAUCAGUCUUCCUCUUUCUUUCUCAGACUCCUCUAUUACAGCCUUUCCUUUGCUCAAUUGCAGCUCCAACAUCCCUAUUUUCGCUUCUUUAGAUUCGAGCUGUUCAUUUAGAAACACUCUGCUUUUAUCUCCUUCCAUCAUCAUCCUUUCUAAUGCUGAUUUAUCUCCCUUACUCUUUCCCAAUUCUUUUUGUAGCCUUUCUAUUUGCUCCAUAAGGUCUUCCUCAUUACUGACCUUUUUUUCUUUUCAAUGACCCUUUUUCAAUUCGUGAAGGCCCAUCUUCAGAACAUGGCUUUUUCGGAGCGGCAAUCGGGGUCAAAUUCCUCCACUUUUCAUAUCCUUCGCUUGAGCUAGGGUCUCUCAAACUUUCUGACUCCUUCUGAAUUAGAGUUAAAUGGCUCCAAUCUUGUUUGAUCGUUUCAAGGACUUCUCGCGCGGAUUGAUCCUUGAAAAAUCCGGAAAACUCAGCAAGUCCCACAGUUCUCGGGAUGUGUUGUAUGCCACCUAAUUGUCUUAUCACCAGAGCCGGAGCAUAGCUGACAUAACCUGUGAUCCCAAUUAAAGGUACCCAGCAUUUUUGUCCACAACUUACUAUGACAUCAACUGAUUUAACCCAAGGGGCCUUCCAACUAAAGUUGCUACUAGGUAACUCUUGGAGUUUUUUCAUCCAACCCUGAUCACCUAGGAUUCCCCAUUCUUCUUCCUCUACUAUCUUCAAAGGUUUUUGGUUAAACCACCAAAAAUUAUUAAAGAUCGGCUUCUUGGUUUCAACAUGGCUUACCAUCCAGAUGUAUAAUAACUGAGUACAACAUCUUACUGCGCCUUUCCCUGCUUUUCUAAAAUGGUUGAGGGUCAGCAAGGUCUCAGCUAAUAUGGCAGUUGUAGGGUUGACAUGAGUAUUUUCAUAUUCCACGAAUGCAGCAGCAGCUUCUAGACUUAUAACCCCUUUUAAGCUUGGAAAUAACACGAGACCAUAGAUCCCCAGAGCGAUUAACCUGUCUCUUUCUAGCACUGAGCCGCACUGCUCCUUUUUCUUUUCUAGUUCAACCUCCAAAAAUUUCCACUUUAAACCGCUGCCAUUCUUCUCUAAAAAUCUGCUCAGAUGUGGAAUCUUCAAUAAUUUCGACAACUCAGGAACCACCUUGUCAUUUCUCAAAGGAAAAUAAACUUGGUGAAGGUGUUUGGGAAACUCCAUCAACAUUCCAUAUUCCUCUAUAGUGGGACACAAAUCCACAUUUCCAAAGGAAAAGCAUCUGUAAUCGGGAUCCCAAAAGUUAAUCAAGGCUUUAAUUGCUGGGUUCAAUACUCCUAUCUUUGCGAUUUCCAAUAACCGCCCAUACUUCCCGAAGAAUGCCGCCUCAUCAAUAUUCUGACUAUGGCCCAAUAUUCUCUUCAUCUCAUAUCCUACGCAAUUCAGGUCUUUGACUACUGGAAGCUUCCUUGCAUCAUAUCUAGAGCAAUCUCCCUCUGAUAGUUGUGACAAUUCAGAAUUCUACCCAUAUUCCACAGUAGUAAAUUUGGUAAUGAUGGACAUCUUAUCGUUUCAAAAGACCUGAAAACCAAAUGUUUUAUGGUUUAGGUUGUGUUAUGCAAAAAUGUAUUUUGUGGAGCAUAAACCCUAUAGCCGGUUCUAAAUCUUUUGUGUUUGACGAGGGUAGGUUGGCUAUUUAGUCUCUAAAAAGGGUCUCUUGCUGUCCCAGUGAUUACCCUCGUGGAGGCAAUAUGGGGGCUUGUAGGCAAUGAGAUGGUCACAUGUACCAACUAUUACCAGUCUAAGCACUCAGCGAAGAGUUGGGGUUUACACAAACUUAAACCUUGACUAACAGUCGUAAGGUAAGCUGCUAGUCCCCCACUUAACUUAAAGUUUGUGUGUGCUCUCAAUAAUCAAAGUAUGUGAUGCAUGUGACAGUUCUAUAAGAUGUAUGAGACAGUUCUAUGAAUGCAUGAACAAUAUGUGUAAAAAUAUUUAAAGCGUAUAAGCAGGUAACAAAAAGGAAAGGCAUAUUAACAAUAAACACACGAAAACCAAAAACAAGUCAGACAAAAACAAAGCUUAGUCCACAAGGUCCCCAGUGGAGUCGCCAUUCUGUCGCACGUGAGCGACGUCGCGGCGAUCGUCCACCCACAAAAAAUAAAUGUAAAAGGGAUGGGGGAUAUAUAUAUCUGGUUAAUGUGGGGAGACAAGGAAUUCGUUGUCUCUUAGCAGUGAAAAAUGGUGUGGGAGUCGCCACCUAGUAUUUUGGUCACUAGGAACCCUAACUGGUCUCAGAGAUCGGGUACGGGGACUGGUUGCGUAAAGGGAAGGUAUUAGCACCCCAAAUACGCCCUACCUAAGGUAAGCUGCAUCGUUUUAUUGUCUGAUAAAAUUUAAGGUGUUUUCGUGUGUUUCCUAGUUGUUGGUCCAUCUACGGUUCAAGAAAAGUCCUCCUCAAUAAGGAGGUCCUUAUCUUAUCGGGUAAAGCCUAACCGUUCUAAUGUCUAAAAAACAUAUUUGUAAUAUCAAGAAUAUGUUUUACGUAUAAAUUAGUAAUCCCAAAGACAAAAAGAUUAUUUAGAAUUUUUGAAAUAUUGGCCUAGUUCUCAUGGCUUGAAUAAACUGGUUAUUAAAGCCAAAAUGCAUUCUAAUACAUAUAUUGUUUUGAAAUUUUCUUUGUUGUGUGAAAAUAUGAUGUUACAAUAUUUAUAUAUAUAUAUUGGAGAGACUAGGCCGUAUUUUAAAACAAAACAUUUUUUAAAAAUAUGUAUUUUUGUACGCUUUGACGCAAAUCGGGUAUUUUAAUACUGGGUUUGUAAAAAAUACAACCAAAUAUUAAUUCACUUUAAUAAAAUAAAUGCCUAAAAAUCAACAAUAUUUUCAAAGAUAUUUUUAGAAAAUUUUGAAAGCAAAAGACAUUUUUUGUUUUGAAAAUCUUUGAUGUUUUGAUGAAAACCGGGUAUUUUAAUACCGGAUUUUGUAUUUUUACAAUAUAAAAUACCAACCAAUAUUAAUCAAAAUAUAAUAAUAAAAUUACAACAAAAUCACAUAUAUUUUUCUAUAAUUUUUGCAAAUUUUUAUAAUUUUUUUCAUAUAUAUAUAUAUAUAAAUAAUACAAAAUAUAAUAUAUAUAUAUAUAUAUAUAUAAUAAUAUUAAAUCGGGCUGGGCCGGCCCAAACCACUGGGCCGGACUCAGCCCCAAAACCAUGAUGGGCCGAGAUCGGCCCAAAAAUGUACUGGGCCGAUCUCGGCCCAAAAAAUGUACUGGGCCGAUCUCGGCCCAAAAGUGUACUGGGCCUAUCUCGGCCCACAAAAAAAAUUCUCUUCUGGGCCAGACCCGGCCCAGAAGACUGGGCUGGGCCAGGACCCGUCUGGCCCAGCAACAAAACGGGCGGGGGGAAUUAAUUUCCCCCCGCCCCUGCAUGCAGAACGCUAUUCGUUCUGCAUGCAGAGAAGGAAAUACAUAAACGCCAGAAUAGGGGGGGAGAAGGGUACCUGACGCGGAGGAGGCGGUGGCUGGCUGCGUUUCUGGCGGCGCUGUGGCGGAGGCUGGUGGCGCUGCGACUGUUUCCGGUGGUUUGGUUCGUUCUCCCCGUUGCUCCUUUUCUCUUUGUUUUUUUCGGUUUGCUCCUUUUCUUUUGUUUUCGGGUUGGUUCUUCCUCUCUUCCCGUUCCUCUUCUCUGUUUUUUUUCGUUCCUCUCUUUUCCUUCUCUCUCCUUCGUUCUACCUCCUCCUCUCUCUCUCCUCUGUUUUUUCGUUUUUUCUCCCCGUCUCCCCUCUGUUUUUUUUUUUUUCUUUUCCCUCUCUUUUCUCUCUGUUUUUCCCUCUUGCUCUCAGCGUCCUUGGCCUCUAUUUAUAGAGGCCAAGGACGCUGUUUUUUACAGCUCUCAUGGGGGAGCAGCCGGCUGGUCGGCCAUUGGGCGCGGCUGCCGAGGUUCGGUGGGUGGUGCGCGGUGGAUGGUCGGCCAUUGUGUCCGGUCGGUGGGCUCCAGGCGAGAGAGUGGCCGGCAAAAUUCAAAUUAAAGCUUCCCUUUCUCCUUCUUCCCCGCUGCGUGAUCGGGGGAAGAAGAUGAACAGUGUCGUUUCAAAACGACACCGUUCUGCUCUUUCUUUUUUUUUUUUUUGUUUUUGAAUGUAUGAAACGGCGUCGUUUUGGAGAAAACGCGCCGUUUCAUUUAAAUGUGGCGCCAAAACGCGCCAAAUUUCAAAUCAGCCCUCAAUCAUCUUUUCUUUCUUCAAUUGCAUCCCUGCCAAUUUCGGUCUCCGUCCCUCUUGUUGGCCGCGUUUUUCACUUUAGUCCUUGGUGUCUAAUUUAUGCAAUUGAGCCCUUAAUUGAUCAAAAAACUUCUAAUUUCUUCAAUUAGGCCCCUGAAUCAAUUAAUUACAGCCCCUCCAUUUACGCGCCUCUUCCAAUUUGGUCCCUGGUUUCGGAUUUUCUCAAUUAAGUCCCUAAUUGGCCCUUAAACUUCAAUAUUUAUGCAAUUAGGCCCCUGAUUUGACCUAAUAAAUUCCUAAAAAAUAUAUUUUGGCCCCAGAACUUAAAUUUCUUCUAAUUAAAGCCCAAAUUGACUUAAAAAUCAAUUUUUCUUGCAAUCAAAUCCUCUAUAAAUUCAUUUAAAAAUCAAAUUAAGUCCAUAAACAUCCAAAUUUGGGCUUUUCUCCUCAAAUUUCAAAUUUUCCUUCUCAACAGGGCUCUCCUCCUUCAAGAAUAUACUGUCAAAAAUCCAAUCUUUGUAUUUUUAACCUUAUUGAUCGAUUUUCCAACCAUUUUCUGAGCGCUUCUGCCUCCUGUUAUUUUUUUUUUUUUUUUUCUUUGGCUAUAUACAUAUUUAUAUAUAUAUUUUGUGGGGACCCAAAAAUGAGUUACAACACUUCUUAUUCUUGUUGGCCAGUCAUACUAACGGUUUAUAACUUGCCAUCGGGGAUGUGUAUGAGGUCGGAGUUCAUGUUUUUAUCUAUGGUCAUACCAGGUCCGAGCAGCCCAGACCGGAAUAUAGAUGUUUGUCUUCAACCGUUAAUUGAUGAGUUGGCGCAAUUGUGGUCCUCCGGAGCUUUGAUUUAUGAUAUAUCAAGGAAACAAAAUUUCCUUAUAAGGGCGGCUUUGAUGUGAACUAUCAAUGAUUUUCCAGCUUAUGGAAUGCUUUCUGGUUGGAGCACACAUGGGAAACUAGCAUGUCCAUACUGCAUGGAAAACAACAAGGCAUUCACGCUAACAAACGGAGGUAAAGCUUCUUUUUUUUACUGUAACCGUCGUUUCUUGCCACAUGAUCACAGGUACAAAAAGAACAGAAAAGAUUUAUUUGUUGGCAUAGUUGAAAAGGAUGUUGCACCCCCGCGUCUUUCUGGUGAAGAAUUGCAUGAUGUUGUAUCAGAGUACGGUGACAUUGUGUUUGGUCUCCAAUCAGGUAAGUAGAAGUUCCCUGGUUUUGGUUUGACUCAUAAUUGGGUAAAGCGAAGUAUCUUUUGGGAGCUUUCUUAUUGGAAGACCAAUCUUCUCCGCCAUAACAUUGACGUCAUGCACAUUGAAAAAAACAUGUUUGAGAACAUUUUCAACACCGUCAUGAAUGUCAAGGGAAGACAAAGGACAACAUCAAGGCUAGAUUGGAUGUAGCAUUGUUCUGUAACCGUAAAAAUAUAGAGUUGGUUUGUGAUGAGUCAUGGGUCGCAAAACCAAGAGCAAGCUUCGUGUUAGAGAAAAAUGCACAACUACUAGUCUACAAAUGGCUUAAGAGUCUGCGUUUUCUGGAUGGACAUGCCUCGAACAUAACAAGGCUGGUUGAUAUGGAGGAAUGCAGAUUGUAUGGAAUGAAGAGUCAUAACUGCCAUGUGUUUAUGCAAACACUCAUCCCAUUAGCUUUUCGUGAUUUGUUGCUAAAAGGGAUAUGGGAUGCACUCAUGGAGAUCAGUCAUUUCUUUAAAGAUUUAUGCUCCAACAAGUUGAAUGUUGAUCACAUUGAGAGGCUUGAAACGAAUAUCACCGAGACAUUAUACAAACUUGAGAUGAUAUUCCCUCCAUCAUUUUUUGACUUAAUGGAGCAUCUCCCCAUACAUCUACCGUUCAUGGCAAAAGUUGGAGGACCGGUCCAGUAUAGAUGGAUGUACCUAUUCGAACGGUUAGAUAUUACAGUUGCAAUGUAAUUCAUAUGUAAAAGUAUUUUCUUUGUUUUUCUUCAUUGAAAAUAUUUAAUUAAUUCAAUGUAGGUACUUGUUCAAUCUCAGAAAAAGGUUAAGAACAAGGCGCAUGUUGAGGCUUCCAUAUGUGAGGCCUAUAUUGUUGAGGAGAUCUAAACAUUUAUCUUGUACUAUUUCGAACCUCAUCUGAGAACAAGAAUCAAUCGCGUUCCACGGCAUGAUGGUGGCGGUGAAGUGUCUUCUAGUGGAAACUUGUCAAUAUUCUCUAAUCCUGGACGACCCACACCUAAAAAUGUUGUAAGAGGAAGAUAUUUGCCAGAAAUAGAGUUCAAACAAGCACACAAUUAUGUUCUAUUUAACUGUGAUGAGCUGAGACCUUUUAUUCAGUAAGUGUAUAUAUGUGUAAUACUAAUUAAAAUUUGUCGAUAAUAUAUUGUUAAUUAUAUAAUGUAAUAUAAUACACUCAUUACCACUUGCAGGGAACAUCGAAAAUAUUUGUUGUCCAAUAACUCACACCUGACCGAAUCUCAGAUCUUUCAAUUACAAGAUGAACAAUUUUCCACAUGGUUCAGUAAGUUUAGGUUGCGUGAUUUUUGGUAUGAAGCACAAAAAAGGGCAAAAAAAACCGAGAGAGAUAGGGGUUUCCAAGGCUGGAACGAUGUUGCGGUUUGGAGGGAUUUCAAACCGAUAUACAUCCUGGAAGAUAUAUGGUCGCACUAUCUUGAGUUCGUGACGUCUGAGUAGUUCAUACGACGCUCACAGUCCGGUGCUGGCAACCGGAAUCGACCAUUUCAUGGCUCGGUGACAACGCACACUGGCAGCUCCGUUUCGUUUGCUACACAAGCAAAAUGGAUGGUAAGAUUAAUUUAAAUGAAAUAUAUCGUUAAAUUAAGUUGUUGUUAAUAAAUCUUUUUUCAUUAUAGGCUAUGUCUCUUGGACGUGAGCCGAGCCCGAUGGAGCUGUUUGUGGAGACGCACGUGCGGAGUCAAGAUCGCCAAAAGGUGGCGCAACAGUUCGUUGACAACCGUGCUCAACAUUUCGUGGUAUGUUUGUUCAACCAUUUUAUUUUGUAAGUUAUUAUGUUUAUUGAAUUGAAUAUGAUGAUUACUUUUUUUAUUUUUAGGAGACCUAUAAUAAUCGGUUGAGGGAGAGAUACGGGGAUGAUAUUUUGACCCAUCCGAAAUUCGAUCUAGAUUUGUAGAUGGAGGUUGGAUCAUUAGGUGGACUCGAUAAAAAUCAAGUUUACGGGCUCUCCAACACUACGGCCAACAACUUGCGGUCGGCCCGUAGUGUUUCAACCGUUGGGAGCUCCCAAUCUAAGGAGUUCGUGGCCUCAACACACGUCUCAUCUCACCGAAAAAUACGACCACCUAUCAGUGGAGUAUGCACAACUCAAAGCGUCUCAUACACAACAAAGAGCAGAGUCUGAACAACAAAAAGCGGCUUAUGAACAGCUUCGUGAAAUGGUCAUGAACAUGGCAGCACAGAUUGGAACAUGUGCGCCUAAUCCUUUUUGGUCGUAUAACCACCAGCCUCCUUCUCCUCCAGCUCCACCUUUAUAUUAAUUUGUAAUAAACAUUAUUUACCUUUAAAUUUUCAUUUUAAAUUUUUUUUGAAACACAUUUAGUUUGUAAUGAAUAUUAUUUAACUUUGAUUUUUUGUUUUUGAUGUUUAAUAUAAAUUUUAUUUGCAUAAUUGGUUUUUAUUACCAUUAAUUUAUAUAAUUUUAUAUUAUGUAUUCUAAAUAAUUUUUUAAAAACAAAUUUAGAAAAAACUAUUACAAAGGGUUUUACCGAUGCAAUGAAUCCGUCGGCAUUUGACAGUAGCUGCCACAUUCACCGACGCAUUUACAGACGGAUAUAUUCGGUCGGUAUUUCAUACACUCACCGACAGCUUUACCGACGGAAUUAAUCCGUCGGCAUUUGAUAGUAGCUGCCAUAAUUACCGACGAAUUUAUAGAUGGAUAUAUUCGGUUGGUAUUUCAAACACUCACCGACAAAUUUACCGACGGUACGUAGCCGUCGGUAAAUCACGAUAUCACCGACGGAGUAAAAUCCGUUGGUAUAUUUCAAGCGGGAAACUUUUUUUUGGCACGCAAAUUAUGUCUGUAAAACCAUCAGCAAAUGGUUUUUUUGUGUUUUCGACCGAUAUAGCAACGGAAUGUGGAAUUACUGAUGAAAGGAAAGCCGGCGGAUUACACACCGACGGAAUAUCUCCAUUGGUAAAACUAUGAAAUCUUGUAGUGUAUACUUUGUUUUUUUGUGUUCAAUUUUAAUGUUAUCACAUUUAUAAUAGUUUUCAUCGUGAUUCCAUCGGGUAACGCAAUACAGGGCUCAGCUAUGCUAAAGGCAAGGACAUGUAGUUGUUCGCUACUUCUACCAUUGAAGGUGAUUACUAUCAAAUCAGCGGAUUCCAUACAUUUUUUUCAUAAUCUAAGAAAUUAAUUUUUUGUCUUUAUAUAUUUUUCUAACCUAGCUAUCAUGCCUUCUCCCAUUAUCAUUUAGCUUAUUUUCAAAUAAUUUUAAUCAAUUUACUUCCUUUUACUCCUAGGAAAACCAAACCUCGCUAGCACUGUUGCCUCCUUAUGGUAUUUCCACCCAGAAAUUCAUGAGGUUCUUCCAUAUAAGCAUCAGUAAGCUAGCUCUUUAUCUUCUCUUUUGUCUCGCUUAUGUUCUUAAAUUAUUUAUCUCACUUCUAAACAUUUUAUCAGGUUUAAAGUUGAUUGUAUUGUGACUAAUGGUAAUGAUGUUGCAACAUUUCUAAUAAUGGGAAAAACUACUGAAAACUUCUUUGGCUCCUCUGCCCACUGCUAUCUCUAUGAUAAGGGGGUUUAUUGAUUGCAUCCCACCUCCCAUGAUUGAAAAAUUAAACAAGGACAAGAUUUUCCAACUGAGAUUUGGAGUUUUUCGCUCAGUUGUCAACCAUUGUGACAUCAUUGUUAUUAAUAUCUUUGACGAUAUUGUAACUAAUGAAGCUCCACACCUGCCUACUGAACCAGAGCUGCAUGUUGUUGAUAUUUCUCUUAAUGAUCAAGCAGCUUUAUCAUCCUCUCAAGUUUCCUCUACAUUGGACCCAAUAACACCAUCACCUGUUCCACCGUCUAAAACUAAUGCUAAUUUCUCACAACAGCCACUAGUGUCCCCAAGGCAACCACAUAUAUGGUUGGUCCUUUGCCAUCACAAACCAAAAGACAGCUGCUGUUUGAAGAUUAAACGCCUAAUGAAAGGUGACAGGCUGCUUCUUCCUCUCAUUUAAAAGUUGUUGCUUUUCAAUUUCAGCAAUGUCAGUUGUUUCUUUUUGUUUGAUGAGUAGCAGAUACAUAACUUAUUAAUUUAUUUUGGAUUCAUAGCUCUACAAUAUAUAGCUGCUGCAGCUUAUCCUCGAGAUGGAUUUGCAUCACUUGACCGUGAUACAUCAGCCAUCACUGAGACAAAUGAUCCACCAAGCAAACGCCAAUGCCCUUAGCUUACACGCAGCAUUUAAAUAAACCACUGCAGCGCCAGUCUUGUUUUUCAUUUCUGUUAGUUGUUACUAUUGCGAAAGAUUCGUGUAACUAAGCUAACAAAUUCUCUAGAAUCUACUCCCUACUACUAUAUUUGUAACAACUUAUGGAACAGAUGGAGAAUAUAGAAUGCAAUACAAUUAUCGUGUUUUCUCCUCUGUUCCCUCUUCUCUUUCUCUCGUCUUCUUCCCACCAUCCCUCUGUUAUUCUACGUACUAUUUAUGUUAUUCUACGUACUCUGGAGGAAGUAAAAAUAGAUGUCUAUAUUUUGAUGUCGUAUAUUACUAGACCGACACUUGCUUAUGUCAUUAUUUGUUUUUACUUUUUGCUAAUGAUUCCACACAUUUCUCAUAUUGGUGUGGUUUGUGAGUUCAGGGUUCUUGCUCGCUGCUACUAACUUCUCUAUACUUUGCCUGGUCAUUAAAAAUGAAACGUAAAUGAUUUACAUGUGCAGAAUGGAGACAUUAAAGACACAUCUUUCGUUUUCUUUCAUAAAUCAGUUUAUAAAACAUUCUUCCAAAAAUUAUAUACCAUGCAUUAACAAAAAUUGCAUAUAAGCAAAUCAAUCUAAACAUAGCCAUUGCUUGAUCUUUUAUAUAUAUAUAUAAUGUAAUACAUUUAGUAGAUGAAAAAUGCAUAAUUCAGAAAAAUAUCUAUUCUAUUUAAAAAUAAUAGUGUAUGAAUAUUUACGUACUUUCUUUGCUUAAAUAGCCGAGGUCUGAAAUCAUAGCUCAAAAAACCUAUUCGCAAGCAUAUUAUGUUAAUUGCAUGCUACCUUGUAAACUAAUCGUAGCUCCUAGAACAUUCAGAAUUCUAUUAUGCUUUUUGGGUUGUAAACUAGUCUCAUUUACCUUUCAUCCAUAUAUAUAAUUUAGAUAGCAAUUCCUUUUAUAUAAUUUAUAAUAAUCCCCGAAAUCAUUCUUUACUAUUAUCAUCAUAGCUAUUUCUAUAAAAACUGGAUUAAUGCACCGUUUAUGGUAUUAAAAACCAAAGAGAACAAGCUUUUCCUAUGUAUAAAAUUUGGGUAAAAAACUGUAUCUAUUCAAAUCCUUUUUUGGAUCAAACAGUAGCCCCUGUAAAAUACUUAAACUAACAACUUCUAACUUUGCUUAACCUAAUACUUUUAUACCAUUAAACAACCACUAAGCAAUCAUAUUUUCAUGAUCUAUAUCACUAAGCAAUUAUAUUUUCAUAACAUAUUUAAUUAAUCUGAAACCUUUCUAAAUAUAAUGCUUUUUUUUUCUCAAAAUCAAGAAAACAUAAUGUUACAUCACUACACCAUUUAACAAUUUUAUCGAUGGAAUUUUUCCGUCGGCAUAAGAUUACCAUUCCGUCGGUGAAAAUUUUAUUGACUAAUUCACCGAUAGAAUACGUCCGUCAGAAUAACGUUCAUCGGUAAUUCGAUAUUUUGUUGCUAAUUAUUUCAGUAAAAAAAACAUAUAGUUUUACAGACGGAAAAUGCGCGCAAAAAAAAUCUUGCUGGAAAUAUGCCAACGGAAUAAUUCUGUCGGUAUAUUUCCAUCCGUGAUAGUGCAUAAGCAGUUAUUUUUUCCAAACUCUCUGGAAUAUACUGAUAGAAUGAUUUCGUCUGUAUUUCUAUCGGUAAAUCACAUAUGGAAUAACGAUGUCAGUGAUUGUGGCAUAUGCAGUAAAUAUUUUACAAUUCUCUAGAAAAUACCGAUGAUAUAAUGUCGUCUGUAAAUCGGUCGGUGAUAAUUUAAAAAUAUUUUUAAAAAUAAAAUUGCGUAGAAUAAAUAUUAUAAAAUUGUAUUGAAUAAUAGUAAAAAAACUAAUUAAGCAAAUAAAAUUGAAAAAUAUAAAAAUCAAAUUAAAUAAUAUAAAGUCCAAAUAUUCAUUAUACAAAAAAAAUUAAAAUAAAACAUUAUUAUAAUAUUAUAAUUAUGUGGGCUGGGCCGGCCCAGCGAACCGACCCGAACUCAGCCCAAAAGGGUUGGGCCGAUCUCAGCCUAAUAGUUCUCUCUGUUUUUUUGGUCUAAGCCGGACCCAGCCCAUACAUCAUGGCUGGGCCAGAACCAGCCUGGCCCAAAAAAGAAACAAAUCGGGGGGGGGGAUUAUUUUCCCCCCUCCUAUCCUCCUGCAUGCAGAAUGAAUAUCAUUCUACAUGCAAGAGAAACUUAUACCGAAAAUGAAGUAAAAGUGGAGGGGAAAGAAGAGUUUCCUGGCAUAGAAGAGGCGGUGCCUUGCUGGUCUGGCUGCUUCACUGGCGGUGUUGUGGUGGAGGCCGGUGGCGGUGUCGUGGCUCACGAACUGUAGCUCCAAGCAGCGGUGCUGCUGUUUCAAGCGGCGGAGAGAGAGGUUCUUGCUCUUCUGUUUAUUUCUCUCGCAAACCCUCCCCUAUUUCGAACUCGUCUUCUUUCCUCUCUCUCUCUCUCUCUCUCUCUCUCUAUCUCUCUCUCUCUCUCUCUCCCGUCUGCUUUCCUUUUCUUUUCCUCCCGUUUCCUUUUCGUUUCUCUGUGUGUGUUUUUUUUCAUUUCUCUGUUUUUUUCCUCCUCCUGUAACUGGUGUUAAGAGUAGUAUUUAUAGGGUAAAGGGGAGAGGGGGCAUCCCUAUCGCCGCCCUAUCGUUGCGCAUGGGGAGAGGGGCCUUCCUGCCCUGCCACGACGCUGAAUGAGGUGGCCAAUGGGUGUGGUUUGCAGGGACGGUGCCGGACGAGGUGGCCAAUGGGUGUGGUUUGCAGGGACGACUUCGUUGGCUUCUCAUUGUGAGGGGGAGUGUGCACGCGGGGAAGAAAUAAAUGAGAAACACAAAUUUCUAUCUUCCCCUGUUGCAUGUCCAAGGGAAGAAGAAGGAGGAACAGUGUCGCUCAAAACGACAUCGUUCUGUUCUUUUUUUAUCAUGAAACGACAUCGUUCUCAUCACAACACAUCUAAUUCUGUAAUUCAUACUACAAGUUUCAACAAUUUACAAACAAAUACAAUUUCACAAAAUCUAAAACAAACCAUAACAAGUACAAAAUUAUACAUUCAUACUACAAGUUUGUUUGAGAAAAAACAAUAAAAUAUAUACAUACCCUAACAAAUACAUAUACUAAAAAAAUUCAAUAAUAAUAAAAUUCACAUUUUAAUGUUAAAAUUAAAAAAGAUAAAUUUACUUACAAAAAUGACAAAAUCUACAAUAAAUAAGGACACAGAUGCUGUGACUACAAAAAAUAAAGAAGGAUGAUUUGUGUUGAGAAGUGAGGGAUGAUUUGGGGGGAUGGGUUAUUUGCAGUUUGGGAGGGGAGAGUUUGUUUAGAUGCAAGGAUGGGGGAAGAAGAAGGAGAAAUAGAGGAGAGGAGGGGAGGCGACGUGGUGAUAUAUUAACGUUUACUGAGGGAAUCAUCAACGGAAAUAUUCCGUCAGUGAUUGCAUCAACAAUUCUGCCGGUGAAGGGGACACAUCAUUGUACGAAGAUCUCGGUUUAAAUCCCUCUGCAAUUUCAUCAGUAAAAUUGCUCACAAAAACUUACACGUCAUUGCACUGCUUUGUUUUUCAAAAUUCUUUAUACUCCGUUUGGGAUUCUAUUGGUAUAUACCGAUAGAAUAAUUAUGUUAGUAUAUACCGAUGAUUUUAGCAACGGAUUUAAAUUGGUUGGUAAAUAUCACCGCAAUUUACCGACAUAAAAAUUCUGUUGGUUUUAGUCGAAAUGGUGAAUAAACUAUCCCAAAUAAAAAUUAGGAUAUUACAUUUGUUUUCAUCUACACGUCAACGGAAAGCCAACCAGUUCUCGGAGUGAUCAAAUCAUGCCAAACAGCUGAGAAUCUUUACAAGAACUCGAGAAAAUUACCAUACGGCUUGAGGAAAAGAUUUAUACUACCACCACCAAUCAAGUAUUUGCCUAAUGCAAGGUUUGAUAAUUACGAUAUUCUCUAGAGAUGAAUAUAGACAUGCAUUUAUACAUGUACAAAUGUGCCUAUACUUCCUCACCGUUCAUUCGAUUGCAAGGCUGAUUGGGAGUUCGCAUCUUUUUGUUAAUUCUCUUGACUAGCGUUUCAUUUAGAGUGACCAUGUUCAAGUACAAGGGAAGUGUGCAAAAAGAAAAUUGUGAAUCAAUACAUAAAUAAUUAAAUUAAAAGAGAGGAGAAAGAAGUAUAUCCUCACAGAAGAUGAAAUGAUAGAGCAUAUAUCAAUUUUCCCCCCUUCUCUUGUAACAUGGAUUGCUCUGAGAGCUAAUGUUUUGUUAUUGAUAUCUGAUUUCAAUCUGAUUAUCUACAUAAAAUAUGUCUAGAGAUUCUUUCGAUGGAGAUCAAGUCUCAAAACGCCAUGCCCACUGCCCCCAUGGAUCCAGUAGGUAAUAAUGCUGCCGAGCAUUGAAUUUCUAAAUAUCUUACCUUUUGUUUUUCUUCUCGAUUUGUUAUCAAACUCUUUUACAUUUUGUUGUUGCAUAUUGCUAUGUAUAUCGCCUUGCUGAAAAAAUCUUAUGAUCACCUCCACGAUGCUAAUUUUGUAAUGCAUGUGAAGUGUUUCAUCUUUAACUUGUUAAGGGACAAGGACUCUGAUGCAUGACUAUUUUAUAUUUUAUGACUGAGAUGGUAGAUUUUAAAGAUUUUCUUGACCGAGAGAAAGUAUUUGAUCCUUUUUUAAUAUAUAAUAGUGUUGUCGAGCAUUGAAUUCUAAACAUCUUACCUUUUGUUUUGUUUGUCGCAUUGUUAUCAAACUUUUUUACAUUUUAUUGUGGCAUAUUGCUAUGUGUAUGGCAUGCUUUAAGCAAAAAGUUGAGUAAUUGAUGAAUGUUUGGCAAGAAAAUUACAAAUUAUUUUUUUUUCUGUCUCCUCCUUUUCUUUCCCCCACCCCGAAAAUUGUCAUAUAUUUUUUUUCAGCCACCUUUUCUUCCCCCAACCCUGAAAAUUAUUAGAGGACACUUUUAUCCAUCCUAAUUCUGUUGCUCUUAACUUUAUAUGUGAACUGCCGAUGUUUCAUUUGUCUUCCUUGUUCAAUGCCUUCUUUUUUUCUUUGACAUGGUUUUCCUUUUUGCCUUUUAUCUUGAACAGCAUCCCAUAACAUGCCCCCUCAAGGUCAGAAUCAAGGGUUGUUUCUCCCUAUCCUAUUGUCCACUGAUCAGCCUCGAGCACGCCAGCAGUUGUUAUCACAGAACAUGCAAAAUUGCAUGGCAUUUAAUGGAGUUCAAAGUUCUGCCUCCUGUCUCCGGUGUAACCCAGACUAUCCCCAACAAUGUUGUCUAGAAUCCUAACAUGCAGAGUAUCCCUGGUGUUUCACAGAGAACUCAGUGGAAAAUUCAACAGGGAAUCCCUCCACUAUGUUUGCCCGGGUAUGAGCUUGUCAUGUUGAAUCAUCUCUUCUAGAAUUUUGUCGAACAUAACCUUCUAAUGACUACCACUUAUGUUUGUGCAAUAAAACAUCAACUUUGACAAUCGCUCUUUCUUGACGUGGUAAAUGGAGACAAUUUUCUCUUAACCUAGCCUGUCUGUAAGCAUGGUUGAUGGCUUGCUUUUUUACUGAUGGGUUCCGCAUAACUUCAAGAAAAACCACCCUUGAAGCAGCAAAAUAUUUAUUCCUUCGUAACAAGUCCUGGUUGAUACGAGCAGCACUUUUGUCUUGCUACUUGCGUUGUUAAAAUGCUUAAUGAAUGUUUAACUUUCAUCUACUUUAAGCUUUCUAUGAAUAUAUAAUUUAUUUUCUCUUUGGAUCCAACUAGAUUUUAACUCAAGCUACUUGAUUACUAUAAAGAUGAUGAUUCUGAUUAAAAGGUGUUAAAUUAAUUUGAAUGUAAUUUUUAUUCUGUAAUAAAAUUGAAAUUAUGUAAGAAAUUUGUUGGUGCUUUGUUAUAUAUUAUAUUUACAUUUUUUGGAUAAUGUUUUAUGUUUUUUAGAGAUUUAUUCAUUGUUUGAAUAAUUCCACAGAUGUUAUUUUUUUUAAUUCUGGUUGUGGAUUUAAUGUGAAUAAUUAUUGGCUUGAAGAUGCUUGGUAUUGUUAUUAUUAUUGUUGUUGUAUGUUAAGGUUGGAUUGAUUAUAAAAAAAUAACCAAAAGUAGUAAAAACACCAUUAGAAUCGCCAAAAGACAGCUCCAUUCUGUCAACAUUUUCAUUGGUAAUUUUGUACCCUUCUCAUUGAAAAGUUACAGAAGGUUUGGUAUUCAUGACGGAAUCAACAACUAAAAAUUAUGUCAAAAAUUAAUUUUCAAUGGACUUGCUCAUGCAAAAUGGUAAAUUUUCAUAGUUUUUUAAAACACUAUAUAACUUGACAAUCUCAUCAAAAUAGAGUUUGGAUUUUAAAAAAUCAAGAUGAUAAUUUUUUUUAAUAUUAAGAGAACAACAUAUUAGAUCAAUCAAAGCUUUGUGACUUAACUUGUCAAACCUGUGACUCAGAUCAUAAACUCUACUAGGUUUAAUAACUCUUUAAAAAAAACUAUUUUUAUUUAAUUAUAUUAUAAUAAAAAUAGACACUCACAAAAUUAAGUACUAAUCGAAUACCAGAAUGUUUGUUUGAAACUAAAAUAACCUUAUAAAAAUUAAACCAAAAUAAAUCAUGAAAGUUAAUUCAAAAUUAAUUAAUUAUUAAAGAAUAAAAUUUUUAAAAAUAUAGCAAAAAGGUGAUUUCCUAUCAAAUAUUUUAGUGUUUGAUUCUUUUAGUGAUGUUGGUAAAUUUUCUUGAAAAAAAAAAACUUUUUUCAUAUCAACUGUUUAGAUCUACUUAAAAUUGUAUUAAACUAGUAUUUUAGAUAUGGAUCGGCAAUGAUGGAAAGUUACUACAUCAUUGGUUUGAUGAUAAAAAAGGUAACACAAUUAUACUACUUUUCUAAAGGAACUAGCGUGUUUUUUUAUAUUGUUCAUAUUAGCAAUGAAGAAGGUUAAUGUACUUAUUUAAUUCACAUGAUAACAACUUUAUAACGUAGCUCAAUUGGUUGACAUACCAAUGUAAAACUAGGUGUUGUGGGUUCGAGAGAAUGAAGAGGCAAUUAAAAAAAUACAAUAUGUCGUCUAUGUUUUCCUUUUUUAAAAAAAAGGCUUAAUAAAAAAUAUAAAGUGAGCCUUGCUUUAUAAAUUUUUAUUUGAAUUUUAAAAAUUGUUUUCAAUUAUUAUAUAUGUGACAUAAAAUGUUUUUUUAACUUUUUUAUUCUUAGAAUUUUUAAAUAUAUUUUGAACAUGAUUUUAUCAUGAAAGUUCAAUCCAAAUCACAUUUUUAUUCUUAGAAUUUUUAAAUAUAUUUUGAACAUGAUUUUAUCAUAUUUAUAGUUUUUUAACCUUCAAAUCACACAUAAAAAUAUAAACAUACUAUUUUGAUAUUUUUUUUUAAUUUGUUGUGACAAUUAUAGAAUAUUUUUUUAACAGAAACAAUGAUUCUAGUUAAGAAAAAAAAAUUGCAUUCACUAAGAUAAAUAAAAAAUAUGUUAAUAAAAAAAAUUAUCUUGAUAGAGAACAAUUCAAAACAACUGUAUUUUCAGAUUUAAUAACAAUGUCAAAAAAUUUCCUUAGACUUUGAUAUUUUGUUUUGCGUUUAAAGUUUUUUGAUCUCCACAAUGUAGCACUAGCAUACAAACUUGUAUAUUUUUAAAGUAGUAUUUAGUUACUGUCCGAGACAAUAGGGACAAAGAUAGAGGAGACAAGACAUAAAACAAGAUGGAGAUAAAAUUGUGUUUAGUAAUGAUGUAUAAGACAAAGUGACUAUUUUUGUAUACUGUUUGAUUAUGGUGGACAAGAAAGAAUAAAAUAUAAAAAAAUAUUUUACAUUUAAUAUGUAUUGUUAUCAAACUUAUAUAUGUCUUAGGUGAGUUUUAAAGCUAUGACAAUAAUCAUUUUUACUUUUAUAUGUCUUAGUUGGACAAUUUGGAAUUGAGUGUUUUUUAUAAGGAUAUUUUAGGAAUAAAAAAUAUAAACUUUAGAGACAUGUCCUCUUUAUACCUCAUAUUUUAAAAAUAUAAAAAUUCACUUCAAAAUUAUUUCAAAAACAAAUUUAUUUUAUGUUUAUCUUUAUAUUUGUCUCUUUAACCAAACAUAUUUAUGCCUGUAUUGUCUCCAUCCUUUUAGGAUAAUGACCGAACACUAACUAAAAGAUCUACAACUGUCAAGGACAAACUUGGCUUUAUUAUCUUUGAUUUCUUCUCAGUGAUGUCUCACCUAUUUGUAGAGGCACUUGAUCAAAACUUAGUUGAUUCAAAUGUAGAUUUUGAGAGAAAAAAAUUCAUAGAGUAAUGUUUGAAUCUUGGUGUUUUUUAUUGGCUUAAAAAAAUUACCAACGCACCAAAACCUGCUAAUUUAGGAUUUUAGCUGAAUCAAGCUUUAAACUAGAUAUAAUACCUAUGAUUUUAUAAAAUUACUAUGAACUUCCCUUCUAUGUCUUCUUAUUUACUCAUUUGAUUUUAUGAUGUUAAGAUGUUCGCAUUUAUAUCAUGAUUAAACUCUAGGAUAUUAUUGAGUUAUUGUCUUGGGAUAAAAGGGAUGAAGACAAUAGAGAUAAAAUUGUGUUUGGUUGAAAAGAUAGAGAUAUAAAAAUAAUUUAUUCAUAGGACAAUUUUAGAGUAAAUUUAUGUAUUUUCAAAAUAGAAGGUACAAAUAAGAUAUAUCUUUAUAAGCAAUAUAUAUUAUUUUUUAUUUGUAAAAUAUUAUUGUAAAAAACUUUCAAUUUCAAAAUUAUCCGAUUAAGAGAUGUGAGAAUAAAAAAGUUAUUAUUGUAGUCUUAAAACCCAACGUGAGAGUUGGCUUGGAGUAAGAUAUGUGAUCCUUGUUGAUCUAAGUUAAGAUAAGAAUAAAGAUAGUUAUUAUCAUAGUUGUAAAAUCCAACUCAAAGAUUUUGGAUUGACUAUUGACUUGGAUGAAUAAAAUAAUAAAAAUGUUUUUGCCUUCUUUCAUUUGUAUUCAUAGUUUUCGUCUUUUUUUGUCCAUAACAGAAACGAAAUACCAUCUGGUUGAUAACAUAUAGAAACUUCAUGUUUCAUUUAUUUUAAAUAAAUUGAAACACAAUUGCGAGAAGAAAAGGAAGAAGAUGACAUGUGAUCCUGGUUCCAUGCAACAUUUUGACAUUAACAAUAUUUUGAUAUUUCCAUUAAUUUAUAAUAUACAAAUAUAUUUCCACGUUUCUUUUAUUUGGAUAUAACAUUUUUCCAAUCGAAUUUGUUUUUUUUUUUGAAAUUCUAUGUUCAUGAUAUUUUUUAACAAUAAAACUAGCAUUGAAUGAGUUUAUAGUUCAAUUAAAACUAAAAAUGUGUUAAGUACAAUGGAUUGUACAUGAUAAUAUAAAUACUAAACAAUGAGUAAUUAGACUGAAUUGAAGUUUUUUUAAUAUUUAAUAACUAACAAGUUUUUCGAUAUUCUAGGUAAAUAAUUCAUUUUGCUAUAAUAAUAAUAAUAAUCAUAAUAAUAAUAAUCACCUUAAAACAUUCUAAUUAAAAAAGAAUAUUUCAAGUUUAUUUUUAAUGAUUGCUUAUACAAUGAAUUUUUCAAUAUUUCAAGUUUUUCGUAUAAUAAUUUUUGUACAAAUUUUUUAUCCGGGGAAAACUUUGGACAAGUAAAACAUCAAUCCUUAUCAUGUCCAAAGUGUAUAUCAAACAUUUUACAACUUGCCAUGUGCAACAAAUAUAUCGCAACUUGUUUUUAUUGUAGAAAACAAAAAAAAAAGAAAAAAGAAAUAGGAAUCUGGAAAAGAAUAAAGUCAUCUACUGGAAAAGAAUAAAGUCAUCUACUUCACUUUAGUCCAGCAUUCCUCACCUCUCCCGGCCUUCCCUCCCUCCCUCCUUCCCUCCUCCGCCUCUCGGAAACCGCCGCCGCCAAUAAGGCUUCAGAUUUCUGCCAGGUGCUUCCUUUUCUAUCAUGUUUUUGUUUUUUAAAAUUUAUGGGUUUUUUCAUUUAUUUCAUUGUAAUUAAUAUUCAGAGACAGAAAUUCUAUUUUAAUAAUUAAAUUAAAAAAAAAAUCGAUCCGAUGAAAUCUCUGCUAGUGAACGCAAUUCGAUUUUAAUAAGUAAAUUAAAAAUAUAUAUAACCGGAUCGGAUGAAAUCGCUGCUCGUGAACGCAAUCAAAGAAACGCACAAUCAGCUGAUUCUAAUAUUUUCUUUUUCAACCCCCCCCCCCCCCCCAAAUAAUUUACAUGAUAUUAUCCGAUUUUUUCACAGUUAUUGUUGUAAUAAUCAAGCCCUGAAUUCUUGAACCCAAAUUUAUUUUAUUUUAUUUUUUAGUUUUAUUUUUAAGUUGAGAAUAGAAAUCAAUUCAAAUCUUUUAGGCUCGAUCGAUAAUUUGUUUAGUUUAUGCAGCAGCUGGAGUGGAAGGGAUAUUACUGCCGGAAUGGCCGAAAAAUGAGCUGUUUGGUUGAUUCUUCUUUUUUGGAAUUUACUGAAUUCUUCAAAAUUAUUGUGUUUUUAACAACAAAUCGAUAUCCUUGGGUUUUAUGCUCGCUCACACAUGGAAAAAAGAAAGAAAGAAAAGAACUUUAAAUUUUAUAAUUUGGUCAUGUUAACGUGAAAAAAAUAAAAAUAACAGGUCUGCCUUGAUAACCCUACAGGAUAUAUCUUUCUUUUUAGGACUGCUCAGCUGGUCUUGAGUAUGAGGUGAAAGCUUGAGAGCAUGUGGAAGUGUAAAACAAAUGACUUCGUUCACUUCACCCCAAAGGCGUAGCUGUGCAUCUAGUUAGGAAGAACAUUUUAUAACUUACCUCACGGUCGAGCAUGGUCAGGGUUAUUGUGUUGUUGAUUCCGAGAAAGAUGUGCCUGUAAAUUUAAUCUUAUUUCAACAAGAGUUGUUAAGUUGAUUCUUAUCAGUCUGCUCAUUAGAGUUGAUGAUAACAUGAAAUAUUCAUGGUUAAUGCUCGCCGUUUUCUUCUUCUUUUUCCUAGCUUAAAACGUCCUAGACAAUCUCUUUGGGAUGGGUUAUUGUUUGUGGCCUCUUCAUGUUCUAUUUGCUGGGGUAUUUAGACUGCUGAUAUUCAUCGGGGAUUGAAAAGCCUUGUUUUAUGACUUUGUUUUGUUUUCUUCUUCUUUCUUUAUUCUUUUGGGGAUGUGGUAUUCUCCUCGUUCUAUUUACACUAUUUGCUCCCUUCAACAUUUAUUCUUUCAGAAAAGUUAAUACAUGCAUAAAUAACAAGAACAGGAGGGGAGGGGGAGGGGGUUUGACUGUAUGUAAAUGCUUGCGAGUAAAAAUUGGUAAGCACUUGAAAAAGGUCCUGUGCUGAAUCUAAAUUGGUAAGAUGUGAUAUACCGAUAUCUAGAAAGAUAACUUAAUCUAUCUAUUGAAGUAAAGCAUUUAAAUGGGCAUACAAUGUUUUUGGAUCAUUAAAUAUCUGUUUGAUCAGAAUCUGUGAACCUAAAACCACAAUGAAUACAAAUGCAAGUUUGUCAUUGUAAACAUUGCAUCGAUGAUGCAUCACAAGUGUUGCUAGAAAACAUCAAGUUAAAAUUGAAGCACCAUGAGUUUCUCAAUGGCUUGGUUUACCAACACUCACCAUCUGUUGGUGCGGCAAGUUAUAAACUAGCUAGCUAGUUUUUUGCUUCCUGGGUUUUAGAAGCACCAUGUAGAUUCAGGCCCAAAUCUUGCUUAUAAUACCCGAAUACCCGAAUACCCAAGAUCCUAGCACCUUGCCCUGAAUGGUCGUGUAUAUUUGUUAUGGCUGUUCAGAUUUUAUGCAUCCAUAUUUGGUAGAAUUCUUUAAUAAAGUACAUGCUAUUAGAUGGAAGUUCUUUUUAAAUCUAUUCAAGUCUGAAUAAACUGAUAUUCCAAUUUUCAUGACUUUGAUGUGCUCUUACUCUUCUGCUGUUCCUGACUUUCUUUUUAGGGUCUAUUCUAACGUGCAAUAUAAUUAAUUUUUUUUGUGGUGAUAGAAGUGAUUUUUUUUGGUUGGCCAAAACCCCAUGGAUGCCAAUAAUCGGAGGCCCACUGCCCUAGGCGGAGAACCUGUGAUGGACACAGGAGAUUGGAGAACUCAAUUGCAGCCUGACUCACGGCAAAGAAUAGUCAACAAAAUGUAAGUAUCUGUUUGCUAAUAUGUGCAAGUGCUGCAAAAUAGUAUAUCUUGUAUUUAAAUGAAAGAAAAAGAGAAGGGCAAAAGGUUAAUUAAAAUCAGCAGGACUGCCAUGAGGCAACCUCAAGUAUCAUACACCUCUGUUUUUGUCUUUUUCAUUUUUCACUUGUUUCUCACAAGAAGUGAACUCGAGGGAAUAAAAAGUGCUGGGAAGUAAUUUUUGUUGGAACUUCUUGUGUAACAUCUUCUUUUGAUGAUGACCUCUUGGAUGGCUGCAUGAAGCUUGUUCCGCUUUAAAUUUCAAGGUUAAUCUAUUGCUAUGAGCAUUGGUGUUUCAAUUUCAACCUUGAGUUGCAACUGAACUUAAAUGAAUAGUGUUGGAUUUGGGCCUUCUAUUUGCUUUAACUUCUGCGGGAUUGAAAUGAUAGUGAUCUUAAAGUACAAAAGCAGCAGACAAAAAUCAAUUAGCCACAAUAUAUAGUGUAUGGUUUCCUAGUUUCUCAGUAUAAAGCUGAAUGUUUUGGUGAUAUCUCCACAUCCAAAAUCAUAUAGACAGCUACUACUGCUGGCACUUACAGUAGCCAAUGAGCACUGUAGAGUAUAUAUUGCAGCGUGAGAUAAGGUUAACUCAUUGCAUUUUCAUAAAUUAAAAGGAUUUCUCUUCUUUUCUUUGUCAAUUACAGUGCAUGUAUAAAAGUUUUCUUACUCAGAGUAAAUGCUAUUGUAAUGUUUUCACAGAGUUCCCCUGGUUUGCAACUAAUGCACUUAUUUAUCUUGGAGCAUAGCCAUAGCCAUAAAUGGAAGGUUCUUCUGGUUCAAGAAAAUUAACCAUGAAGCUCGUAACUAGAAUUUUAGACAGAAGGGUGGCCAAGUAAACUCCUACCUCUGGAAUAAUAAGGGGAAAGGAAGUAAAAAUAGAUGUUUGUAUUUUGAUGCCAUAUAUUACUUUACUAACACUCGGCUAUAUCAUUAUUUGUUUUUACUUUUUGCUAAUGAUUCUGUUGUAUACAUUUCUGAUAUUAGUGUGGUGUAUGAGUUCACAGUUCUUUCUCACUACUGCUAACUUCUCUAUACCUGCCUUGUCAUUAAAAAUUAAAUGCAAUGUUUUACAUGUGCAGAAUGGAGACAUUAAAGAGGCAUCUUCCGUUUUCUGGUCAGGAGGGAUUACAAGAACUCAAGAAAGUUGCCGUACGGUUUGAGGAAAAGAUUUAUACUGCCGCCACCAAUCAGGUAUUCGGCUAAUGCCAGGUUCAAUAAUUUUGAUAUUCUCUAGACAUGAAUAUACACAUGCAUAAGUUUGUGGAUUUAUGCAUGUACACAUGUGUGUGUAGUGUGUCCACACUUCCUCACUGGUCAUUCUGUAGAAGUUCUUAUCUUUCCGUUAAUUCUCUUGACAAGUGUUUUAUUUAGAGUGACCAAGGUUCUUUUCAAGUACAAGGGAAGUGUGCAAAAAGCAAAUAACGAAUCAAUACAUAAAUAAUUAAAUAAAAAAAGGAGACACAGAAGUAUAUCCUCACAGAAGAUGCAAAUACAGAAAGCCUAGCAUAUUAGAAAGAGCAUAUAUCUCUUUUCCCCCUUCUCUUGUAACAUGGACUGCUCAGAGAUCUAAUGUUUUGUUAUUGAUAUCUGAUUUCAGUCUGAUUAUCUGCGUAAAAUAUCUCUGAAGAUGCUUACAAUGGAGACCAAGUCUCAAAAUACCAUACCCACUGGCAAUGGUAACAAACCCCUGGAUCCAGGAGGUAAUAAUGCAGCCAAGCAUUGAAUUUCUAAACAUCCUUACCUUUUGUUUUAUAUUUUGCAUUGUUAUCAAACUCUUUUACAUUUUAUUGCUGCAUAUUGCUAUGCACAUACCAUGCUUUAAUAAAAAAAUUGAGUAAUUUAUGAAUGUUCAAAAAAAUUACAGAUCAUUUUUGCCCCCCCCCCCUCCCCCCCAGCCCCAAAAUUGUCAAAUGGCACUUUUAUGCUUUGAGUCAAAAUUUCCUUAAUUAUUUCCCUCGUAACUUUAUGUGUGAACUGUCAAUGUUUCAUUUGUUUUUCUUGUUCAAUGCCUUCUUUUUUUCCUUUGACAUGGUUAUCCUUUUUGCCUUUUAUCUUGAACAGCAUCUCAUAGUAUGCCGCCUCAAGUUCACAACCAAGGGCAGUCGCUCCCUAUCUCAUUGUCCACUAAUCAGCCUCAAGCAUGUCAGCAGUUAUCACAAAACAUGCAGAAUAGUAUGUCAUCUAAUGGAGUUCAAAGUUCUGCUGGUUUACAAUCAGCAAUGCCUUCUGUCUCCAGUUUAACCCAGACUAUCCCAAACACUGUUGGACAGAAUGCUAACAUGCAGAGUAUCUCUGGUGUUUCACAAAACCCAGUUGGGAAUUCAAUGGGACAAGGGAUUCCCUCCAAUAUGUUUGUCAAUUCUCAGAGACAAAUGCCAGGCAGGCAACAGGUUGUUCCUCCACAGCAACAGCAGCAGUCCCAAAAUCCUCAGCAGUAUCUUUAUCAGCAGCAGAUACAACAACAGCUUUUAAAGCAGAAGCUUCAACAGGGAAAUCAUCCACACUCACAUGUGCAAUCUCACAUCCACCAGCAGCAGCAGCAGCAAAACUUGUUACAGCCAAAUCAGUUGCAAUCUGGUUUGCAAACAUCAACUGUUAUGCAGCCUUCAAUGAUGCAAACCGUCUCUGGUCUUCAACAGAACCAACCAUCUUCUGUUCAACAGUCAACACAACCAAUGCUCCAGCAACAUCCACAAUCAGUCCUCAGGCAGCAGCAACAACCUCAACAAUCUGCUGGUAUUCAUCAGCAGCAAACACCAAUGAUGCAGCAGCCACUAUUGCCUCCACAACAGCAGCUAAUGGGGCAACAAUCAAAUACCACUAACAUGUCGCAAAAUCAGUUAACUGGACAGCAAAACAUUGUUGGGGACUUGCAGCAGCAGCUAGGGCAGCAGAAUAACCUUCAAAAUCUGCAGCAGCAGCAGUUAAUGGCUCAACAAAAUAACCUCUCAAGCAUGCAUCAGCAACAGUUGGGCCCUCAAAGUAAUGUCACUGGUUUACAGCAACAGCAGUUGCUUGGAGCUCAGCCUGGUAACUCAAGCAUGCAAUCUAAUCAGCACUCUCUACACAUGCUGCAACAGCCCAAGGUUACGCUGCAGCAGCAAGCACAACAAAGUGGAAGUGCUUUGUUGCCGAAUCAAGGGCAGCAGUCACACUCACAGCUGCCACAGCAGCAAUUGACGGCACAGAUUCAAUCACAGCCUGGACAGCUGCAACAGCAAUCAAAUCCAUUACAACAUGAUCUGCAGCAAAGGCUUCAAGCAUCAGGCUCCUUGCUUCAACAGUCAAAUGUGAUUGAUCAGCAAAAGCAGUUGUAUCAACCUCAAAGAGCCCUUCCAGAAACGUCCUCAAGUGAGUUUUUCUCAUCAUUGCAGCUUUCUAACCUUGCUCCAACUUUAAUUUUGCAGCUUUGUGCUUUCAUGUUAGAUUAUAACAUAUUUAUUUAAAUUUCUUGAAAAUACAAUAAUGGUUCAAGUCAGCAAUGCUCUUUCUGGUAGCUUUAUGAGCUACGGCUGCCACUUAUGGCAUCAGAAAUGCCACUGCUAUUGGAACCAUUGUAAUCACACAUACAUUUGUUAUGACAUCAUGCCAUCCAGAGCAUUGCACCAACUGUUCACCUCUCAUAAUGGUUCAAGUCAGCAAUGCUCUUUUGGUAGCUUUAUGUGCUACUGAUGCCAUUGCUAUUGAAACCAUUGCAAUCAUACUCAUUUGUUACCACAUCAUGCCCUCCAGCUCAUCGCACCAACUGUUCACCUCUCAUUUUGAAUUUAACGGACGUGAGUUUUAAAAAUAUAUGUAUAACUGGACAAUGCAUUUGACGCUAGGGUAACUAAUCAUCAGCCAAUUGAUUUUUAUGGGAAGAAAGAAACUAGCAAGUGGAUUAACUCUGAGGCACUUAAGGUUUGGUGUGCUGAUAAAUCAUCACCUUGCUGGAAAAAUCUCAUGAUCACCUCCUCGAUGCUAAUUCUGUAAGGCAUGUGAAGUGUUUCUCUGUCUGUUUGAAUGAUUACAUAACGUUAAGAUGGAGUUCCGAGUACUCCCAAGUCCAGAAAGGACUUGUAUUCCUAUGUAGGAAAAUACUAAUGGUCCUAUCUAGGAUAGAGAAAACCUAAUAAAGCUCCUUAUUCUUUAGGAACAAUCAAAUACUAAAUAGAAAUAAAACCAAGACCUACAGCAUUGCAUUCCAUAAUUUUCAGCAAGUGUGAAAAUUACAGAAAGACCCUUGUGUGCGGAAAUCAUUAAAAAAAUACAUGAAUUCUAAUCUUUUUUUUGCCUGCAUCAAAAUUUUUGUAGCAUCCCUAGAUUCUACAGCAGAGAGUGGACAUGCAAAUGGUGCUGAUUGGCAAGAGGAGAUCUACCAAAAGGUAAUUUCUGUGGUUUACUGUUCAUUAGAUGAAGUUCAUGCAUGUCAUAGUCUUGCAAGAUUUCAAUGGAAAAGGUCUCCUGGAAUUUUGUACAAGGGAGUUUUAUUCAGCUAUGGUUGCGAUUAGUUAGGAAGCAUUGUAAGUUCCAUGAUUGCAGCAACUAACAAACGAUAAAUUACUGAUAAGAUGAUUAAAGGUAAAAUAUUCAGAUUUCUAGGUCAAGAGGGUUUUUUUCUUGGUACUGACACAACAAUUUUUUCUAUUGCAAAUCUCUCCCUUUCGAUUUUUUCCCAGUAUUUCCAUACAUUUAUUGUGUGGUGAGUUAUUAUUUUAUUAUUUCCAACAAGUCCAAUUGACAAUACUUCUUACUGUAAUAGACAGACUUGAAAACAAGAGUGAACUGUUUCUGAAUAGUCAUCGUUAUAUUUGGUUAAGUGAACAGUUAUUUUCAGGAUUACAAGCAAAUCUGUUCUGAAACAUGUGACCAUGGAAGAAAGGAAAAUAAGUGGACCUAAUCCAUUGAAUCAUGACCAUGUCCAGUAUUGUUGAAUUUUUUAGAAAAUGAGGUUGAAAUUCUGAAUCGUUUAAUGGCUGUAGUUGCAAUUCAUAACUGCAUAUUUGAUGAAGUCAAUUUUUUUGUGCCUGGGAGGGUACUAAAACAGGAAUAGGAGUGGUUGUUGAUAAUUAGGAUUUAAGGGUUAUAAAUCCAAAGUUAUAAAGCUAAGAAGUGUUUACCAAAGUCGUGACAUCCAUUGACUUGAGUUAGAACAAUAGAAAACAAUGGUGAUUGUAGUUUGCCGUGAGACAAAGUAACUGAACUUGACCAACCCCUGAAUCUUGUCUGAAGUGGUAACUACACAAUCCUUUGCAUCUUUGCAUGCAAUCAAUAACGAUAUUCUCUUUUGAGUUUUCAGCAUUGAUUCCACUCUGCUAUUUUUAUCUCAAACAAUAUAUGCUGUCCUCUGCCAUUUUAUUUAUUUAUUUAUUAUCAAUUCUCUCAAGUUCGCUUAUGUUUCUUUCUGACUCUGGCACGUGAAGAAAUCAAGCAUAUGAUUGAUAAUGUCUUGCUGUUUAUAUGUACUUCCUAGAUCAAAGUUAUGAAGGAAACGUAUUUGCCUGAAAUAAAUGAAAUGUACCAGAGAAUUGCUACCAAGUUACAGCAGGUAAAUUGUCUCUGUAAUUUUUUCCGAUUUAUUUGCCCACGCAUGAUUCAUAAACCCCCACAGUUGAGCUUUUGUAUUAAUUUGUUUUCCCCAUCAGCAUUGCUUGUCACUGUAUCAUCUGCACUAAUUACCUCCCCCAACCCAACCACCCCACAACCAUGCAUUGACACAGAAGAAUUGGAAUAGAAACAUUUUUUUCACUAAUGUUUUACUAGUUUUGCUAGAAAGGGUCAAUGCAAUUUUUAAUUCUCGUGUAUGUUAACUUUGCUUUCCAGCAUGACCCUCUUCCACAACAACCAAAGUCAGAACAGCUUGAAAAGCUGAAGGUAUUGAAGGUCAUGUUGGAGCGCUUGAUAACAUUCUUACAGGUCUCUAAAAACAACAUCACGCCUAAUUUCAAGGAGAAAUUGGGUUUCUAUGAGAAGCAGAUUGUAGGUUUUCUAAACCCAAGCAGAUACAGGAAGCCUAUUCCUAAUCUACAGCAAGGACAACCUCCCCAACCUCGUAUUCAACCUAUGCAGCAACCCCAAUCUCAAGUUCCUCAAUUGCAGUCCCAUGAAAAUCAACUGAUUCCCCAGUUGCAAUCAAUGAAUACGCAAGGUUCUGUACCACAGAUGCAGCAGAACAAUAUGUCAAGCUUGCUGCAUAAUUCCCUUUCAACUUUAUCUGGGGAUUCGACGUCACAAUCAAACAUGAUGAAUCCAAUACAACCAGGCUCCAAUUUAGAUUCUGGACAAGGAAAUGCACUGAGCUCAUUGCAGCAGACACCUGUAGGAUCUGUACAAAAGAAUCUCGUGAGCAUUUCCCAACCAACCAAAGUUAACACAUUGUCAACACAAAGUGGGGCGAGUAUGCUGCAGCCAAAUAUUCCCCUUCAGUCGAAUUCCAAUAUGAUUCAACACCAGCAUCUAAAACAGCAGCAGCAGCAGCAUGAACAACAGAUGCUACAAACACAACAGCUUAAACGAUUGCAGCAACACCAGAAUUUAAUGCAGAAUCAACAGAUGCAGCAGCAGCAAUUACACCAGCAAGCUCCGUCUCCUAUGCCAGGAGAUUCUGACAAACCAGUUUCUGGUAUUUCCUCACUCUUAAAUACUGGAAAUAUUGUACACCAACCAUCUGUUGCACAAGCACCGGCUCCAUCCCUUGCAAUUGGCACUCCUGGGAUAUCUGCAUCACCUUUGCUUGCAGAGUUUACCAGUCCUGAUGGUGCUCAUGGCGGUGCUUUGACAACUGUUUCUGGCAAGUCAAAUGUUACAGAGCAAUCACUUGAGUGCUUGAUUAAAGCGGUUAGUGAUGCUCUCCUUUUGGUUUUACUCCACCCCACCCUUAUUUUGGAGGUUUCUGAAAAAGAAAGAAACUUCUUUGUGAAUGAGAUGGUGAUGCUGUAAUUUUUUUUCCCAGGUGAAAUCUCUGUCUCCCAAAGCACUUAGUGCAUCUGUCGGUGACAUUGGCUCCGUUGUCAGUAUGAUUGACAGAAUUGCUGGUUCUGCAGCUGGUAAUGGAUCUAGAGCUGCAGCUGGUGAGGAUUUGGUAGCAAUGACAGGAUGUCAUCUUCUUUCGUUUUUGUCUUUUUUAUUUUUCACGUGUUUCUCACAACAUGGGAACUCGAGGGAAUAAAAAGUGCUGGGAAGUAAUUUUUGUUGGAACGUCUUGUGUAACAUCUUCUUUCGAUGAUGACCUCUUGGAUGUUUUGGUGAUAUCUCUACAUCCAAAAUCAUAUAGACCGCUACUGCUGGCACUUGCAGUAGCCAAUGAGCACUGAUAUAUAUUGCAGAGUGAGAUAAGGUUAACUCGUUGCAUUUUCAUAAAUAAAAGGGAUUUCUCUUCUUUUCUUUGUCAAUUACAGUGCAUGUGUAAAAGUUUUCUUACUCAGAGUAAAUGCUAUUGUAAUGUUUUCACAGAGACUCCCCUGUUUUGCAACUAAUUCACUUCUGAAUAUAUCUGGGAAACAGAAAGGCAAUCAACAAAGAGUAAGGCAUCUUCUGAAGAAACAAAGAAAUUUAAUACCCUAAACUAAGCAGCAGGUAGAAGGCAAAAACUGAGCACAAAUUUUCAGGAAGGGACAAAAAAAAUAAAAAAGAAAGCAGAGAAAAAUACAGACUCAAAUUCAACAACACCCAUUUUCUUUCCAUUGGAACACUUUAAAUAGUUUAUUAAAUAAAGCAUAUAAAAAAAUCAACUUAAUGAUCAAUUCUCUAUAAUUUCGGCAUUACUAAAAACAUCCAAACUAAUAAACUAUUAGUUAUUAUAGUCAUUUUAAUAAACAUUUUAGUUAUGAAUUCACCAAACAUUUUGAACAAUUCAUAUUGAUGAAUUAACAUGUCAAUUUUAGAUUUUUUGACUUACUAGUUCCUUCAUGAAUUACUUCUAAAGCAUGCUAUAUAUCUCUAAGCAUUUUUAUAGAAUAUAAUUCUAUCAAAUUCACUUUUACCCAAUGUAUAAUAUAAAAUAUUCAUGGCUUUAACAUCCAUAAAAAAUAAUUUUUUAUCAUUUUAUGUAUAUUCACUUCUAGUUUUAGAAAUCUCAAUACCAUUUUCAAUUUUGAUAGGUUUAGGAGAUCUAUUUUGUACGGAUAGCCACAAAUUAAAAUCAAUAGAUUGACAAUAAACUAUCAUACAACAAUUUAUUACUUGCUCUUUGGUGAUAGGAAUGUGAUUGUAAUAUUAUUUUUCAAGCUUACUCAAUCUCUUAUUCUUGAUAGCAUAACCAAUAAUAAAUGGCGAGCCAAAAUUUAUAUGUUACUCUCUGUAAGAAUUUUGACUGCAUAAAUGUAAAAGAAAAUAGUUUUAAAAAGACUAAAAGUUUUCUUCAUUAUAAAAACCAUGUCAGAAUUGUCUCUUUUUAUAGGCAAUUCUGACACUUAAUUUUAAAAUAACUUUUAAGACAAAAGGUUACAAUUUUCUAGUUUAAAACUACACAAUUAUAUUUCAAGUAGAGUUUUAACAAACACAACUUUUCAUUCACACCUUAACAAUCCCUCCACAUGAUAAAAAUUGUUUGAUCAUAAUAAAAUACAAAGUAGACAUGAAAAUAAAGAGUAGGAGCGAAAAGUCAUUGCAUCGAGCAAGAUAACUUUUGGCCUUGAACCUUUCAUAGUUAAAACUAUUGGAUUCACUCGGCUAAUCAGCAAACAUGAUAUUUUGAGUUGUUUAGCCUUUUGUGAGAAACCAGAUAAUAUAGAUUACACAUUUCAUUUUCUUACAAUUUUGGUUCUCACGGUUGUGUUCAUUUUGGCCUCGAAUACGUCUUGAUUUCAAAGAGCUUUAAAGAAUUUGCAUUUUCAAUCCUGAUAGAAGUGGCCUUAUUUCACACUCACAUAUGUGAUUCUUAUUAAGAGUAUCAUGUAAUACCUCACUUGAAUUUCUCAAGCUAUAAAAGUCAUUAAAAGCUUAGCUUAUCCUAUUUUCAUUGCAGAUAGCACUUUAUAUCAUAUGAAUGGGUAAGAGGGCUAUUAUUAAAUGACAUGUGAUUUGGUUGCUUCUUUGAAUCUAGAUCCUGGGAUCUCCAGUAAACUAGGUUGGGUCGCUAUCAUGACAAUUCAUUGAACUGUGUCUUAAUCUCAUUCCCCUCGAUGAUUAUUGACUUGCUCUAUUGUUAAGCAUUUUAUUAGUAAAUUAAUGAUAUUAUCAUUUAACUUUACAUGGUUAAUAAAGAUAAUCUCAUUUUAGAUCAACUAUCUUACAAUAUUAACAAUUGUGUCAAUACUUUAUGUGUGUGUGUGUGUGUAAGCAUGGUUAUAUUUCAUAUCAGCAUCAUAAUAAUAGCAAAUGUGAAGUAUGUAUUCAAGCAAAGAUGACAAAGAAGCCUUUUCCUAAAGUAGAAAGGAAUUCUCAAUUACUUGAGUUGAUCCAUUCUGAUAUAUGUGAAAUAAAUGGUAUGUUAACAAGGGGUGGGAAAAGAUAUUUCAUAACUUUCAUUGAUGAUUAUUCUCGUUUUACCUGUGUUUCCUUAUUAAAAACUAAAGAUGAAGCCUUUGGAAAAUUCAAAGAAUUCAAGAAAAUGGUAGAAAAUCAAAAGGAAAGGCAAAUUAAAGUUCUUAGAAGUGAUAGAGGUGGAUAAUAUUUUUCUAAGGAGUUUUCUACAUUUUGUGAGGAAAACAAAAUAAUCCAUCAAAUGACAGCACCUUAUACACAACAUAAUGGACUUGCUGAAAGGAAAAAUAGGACCUUAAUGAAUAUGGUCAAUGCCAUGCUUUUGAAUGAUAAAUUACCAAAUAAUUUAUGGGGUGCAGUCUUACUUACUACAUGUCACAUUCAUAAUAGAGUACUAUUUAAAAAAUCAAAUGUUUCUCCCUAUGAAGCAUGGAACGGUAGAAAAUCAAAUCUGAAUGAUUUUAAUGUGUGGGGGUGUGUAGCUUUUUGUAAAAGUUCUGAUCCUCAAAGAACAAAAUUAGGACCCAGAGGUCUUAAGAGUGUUUUUGUUAGUUAUGCACAAAAUUCAAAGGCUUAUAGACUUUUGGAUUUAGAAACUAAUGUGAUUAUUGAAUCUAUACAUGUUGAAUUUAUCAAAAAUAAAUUCAUAAGUGAUUCAAAUGUGUAAGAACCAAAUCUAAAAGUAAUGACUCCUAGCUCAACAUUAAGUGAAAAAUAUAAAAACCUAGAAGUAAUAGGUUCAACUGAACCUAGAAGAAGUCAAAGAGUUAGAAAGGAAAAACACAUAUAUACAGAUUUUAUUUCUACUUAUUCAAUUGUAUUUUUAGUGGAAGGUGAUAGAAAUACAAUAUUAAAAAAGACACCUAUGAUCUUAAAUAUGGAAGAUGAUCCAAAGACAUUUGGUCAAGCUAUGUCUUCUAGGGAUGUUGCUUUUUGGAAAGAAGCGGUAAAUGAUGAAAUGGAUUCAAUAUUGUCUAACAAUACUUGGGUCCUAGUAGAUUUACCUCCAGGUUCUAAGCUAAUAGGAUGUAAGUGGGUGUUUAGAAGAAAAUACAAUACCGAUGGUUCUAUACAAACCUUCAAGGCAAGAUUGGUUGCCAAAGGUUUUACUCAAAAGGAGGGUGUUGAUUAUUUUGACACUUAUUCUCUGGUGGCAAGAAUUACAUCAAUUAGAGUUUUAUUUGCAUUAGCAUCAAUUUAUAAAUUGUAUGUUCAUCAAAUGGAUGUAAAGACGGCUUUCCUAAAUGGAGAUUUAAAGGAGGAAGUGUAUAUGGAGCAACCUGAGGGUUUUAUACUUCCUGGAAAUGAAGAAAAAGUCUGUAAAUUGAUAAAGUCUUUAUAUGGUUUAAAACAAGCUCCGAAACAAUGGCAUGAAAAGUUUGACAAAGCAAUUUUGUUGAAUGGUUUUCAUCACAAUGGUGCUGAUAAGUGUAUGUAUUCCAAAUUUACAAAAUAUUUUGGUGUGAUUAUUUAUCUCUAUGUAGAUGACAUGUUAAUAUUUAGCACCAAUAUGAUUGGAAUUGUUGGAACCAAAAAGUAUCUCACUUAUAUCUUUAAAAUGAAAGAUCUUGGUGAAGUAGAUACAAUUUUAGGUAUCAAAGUUAAGAAACAUGGUAGUGACUAUGCACUUAAUCAGUCAGAUUAUAUUCAGAAAAUGCUCGAUAAGUUUAAGCAUCUCAAUAUAAAGAAGGCUAAUACCCCAUUUGACUAUAGUAUGAAGUUAAAUGAUUAUUAUGAUAAAGCUGUAUCACAACUAGAAUAUGCUAGUGCCAUUAGAAGUCUUAUGUAUGAUAUUCAUUGUACAAGACCAUAUAUAGCUUUUGCUAUAUGCAAGUUAUCAAGAUAUAUAAGCAAGCCGAAUACAGAUCAUUAGAAGGCUAUUGCAAGAGUCUUUGGUUACCUAAAAAGAACAAUCAAUUGAGGUCUAUUUUAUUCUGAUUUUCCAGCUGUGAUGGAAGGAUAUAGUGAUGCAAGUUGGAUGACUAGUUCAAAUGAUAAUAAGUCCACAUCAUGAUGGAUUUUCUCACUUGGAGGAGGUGCAAUAUCUUGGGCAUCUAAGAAACAAACAUGCAUCUCUCAUUCUACCAUGGAAUCAUAAUUUAUUGUUAUGGCUGCUGCAAGUAAAGAAGUAGAAUGACUAAGAAAUAUGUUGUUUGAUAUUAAGUUGUGGCCACAACCUAUGUCAGCUAUUUCUUUAUACUGCGAUAGUGAAGCAACUAUGUCUCGAGCUUAUAGUAACAUUUACAAUGGUAAGUCAAGACAUAUAAGCAUUUGACAUGGAUAUAUUCGAGAGUUGAUUACAAAUGGUGUAAUCACCAUUGUCUAUGUGAAAUCUAUGAAUAAUUUAGCGGAUCCGCUCAUAAAAGGACUAUCUAAAGACAUGGUACGAAAAAUAACUAAUGGAAUGGGGUUGAAACCUGUUUUUAAAGAUACCAGUAAUAGGAACCCAACUUCGGAUCAACAAGAAGCUUAUCUCUUAGUUUAAUGGGUAAUAAUAAGUUACUGUUUUGUAUAUGUUAGACACUGAUAAUUAAUUUGAGUCCCUAUUCUGAUAGUAUUCAGUGUAUUCUAUUACAUAAAGGAGGAUGAGCAUAGGCUCUUCAUGGAAUUUGAAGUUCGUGUCUAAUGUAAUAGAGACAUGUAUAAUUCCACCUAUAUGAAUAUAAAAGUGAUGCCGCUUUUGACAAGAGUUAGGGUUUUUUCUUGUAAAUAUUCAUAAAAAAAAUUAAAAUUAAGAUUUUAGCACAUGACCAUAAUAGUGCUAAACAGUUGUAAACCUCUUUAAGAGUUUGGAUAGUAUUAUGUGUGUAGUAUCUUUUAUUCUACAACAAAAGUUUUGGUUUAAUCUGCGGACACCAAUAACUUUAGUAGGAUUCAAGUUCUAACACUAAUUGAAGUUUUAAAAUGCAAAAUACCUUCUUGUAAGCAUAAUUCUAUAAAGUGAAAAGACCUUCAUUACAAACUAGUGGGGGAUUGUUGGUGUAGUUUGUAAAUGAAUAAAGAAAAGAUGUUUAUCUCACAUUGGAAAGAAACACUCCCUCCUAAUGUUUCUAUGUGUGGGUUUCUAUUGUGUAGUAAAUUAAGCCAUGGUGGACAAACUCUCCUAUUUGGCUUUCUAAUGUUAUUAUAUGGAUAUUUAUAAUAUCAAAAAAUAGCAUUUGGAACUUGAAACUUGGAUCUUAAUAUGAACAGUCAUAUUGUUUCAUCAAUAGUCAUAUUGUUUGAUGAACAGUCAUAUUGUUUCAUCAAUAGUCAUAUUGUUUGAUGAACAAUCAUACUGUUUCAUCGUUAUGUUUUAAGUCUAUAAAAGCAUGUUACUAUACAGAAAAGAGGCACAACAAAAAACAUACAUUCUUUUCUUGGUCUUAUCUUCUCAUUCUUUUAGAGGUUUAGAGGGCUUAGUUGUAUCCUGGAGGUAUUGUCUCUAUGUGGGACAAAUAAACACCUUAAAAAUAGUGUUUUCACGCCUCUAAGCCAACUCCAUAUUUGUUUCCAUCCUAAACAUUCAUAUCAAGAAACAUUGCGCCACGCCUGCUAAACGUCCACGAAAGAGUCGCCGACCGUUAUUCCCGCAUUAAAGUCCAUGCAUGGUCGCCUCAUUAUCUGGAGACGACCGCAUGGCAUUCUCUGGCUAUAAAAACCAGAGAAAGGCCAUGACAAAGAGGAGGGGGGGACAAAACAAAAGACAGGAGAAAAGAGGCAGGAGAGAGAGAGAGAGAGACCGAGAGAGAGGGGGCCGAAAACACAAACCAGAGAAAAAAAACCGGAGGAGUAACCCAGGGAAGAACACAGAAAAAACCAGGGGAACACUGGAGAACAAAUGAGACAGAAAUAGAGAGAAAUUGCUAGCCAACGCAUGAGCACCAACUAGCCUCGUCUCCGGUUGCACCACCCCCUGAAUAGACGGACGCGAAGGAGAACAGGGGAGUAAACGAAGAGAGGACAUAACACCGGGAAACCGAAAACUGAUAGAAAACCAGAAGAAAAGGAAGAACCACAGAGAGACGAACAACACAGGAGCUGAGAACGAACGAAAAAAAGAGAGAGAGAAGACAGAGAGAAAAAGCAGAGGCGUAAGGUGAAACAGAGAAGAACGACCAGAAAUAAACCAAAAGAAAACAGAAGUGAAGGGGAAGUUUUGGCCAGCCACCACACCUUCUUCGUCAUCCAGACCAGGUAAGUUCUCUCUUCUUCGUAAUUAUAAUUACAUAGGUAUUGUACAUAUGCAAAUUUAAUUCACUACUAUAAUUCACCGGUUUGUGCAUGCACGCGUGAAUCAGUUCACACAUGCCUGUUGUCCAGCUGGGUCACUGGCUUGGGUCAGUGACCAGGCUGGGCUGCUGGGUUUAGCCCAGCCUGACCGAGCUGAGCUGGAUCUAGCCCCCAAAAAAAAUUUAAAAAGGAAAAUAUAAAAAAAAACUAGGCAUGGGCCUCGGGCCUAGGUGGCCUAAUCCCCUUUAUUUAAGUCCCUUUUAUUUUGAUAUUCAACCAAAAUGACCAACUUUUCCCUCAUAUUGUUUUUAGGGUAUUUCACUGUAUAUUUGAUCUGUAGAUUUUUACUGCGAAAUUCGGUGUACGAUACUUUUUUUUUAAAAAAAUAUGCAUGCAUAUAUUUAAAUUCAUUUUAUUGGUUUAUUCACCAACGCUAGAGUCAGGAAUACAAUUUAUUUUGUUUUUGCUACGUAAUAUUUAUCAAUGCCAGAGUUGGAAGUAUCUGUAGUCGAAUAUUCACUGACGCUAGAGUCAGGAAUAUUACAAGCAAACCAUCAUAGCAUAAAUCAACAAACUCUUAAUAAUUUAAGACAAAACCAACAAUGCAGCUUAUCUCAGGUAGGGUGUGCUAGGGGUGUUAAUAUCUUCCCUACCCAUAACCAGUCUUGUACCAUAAAAUCUCUAUUGACUAGUUAGGGUUUCUAAUGACCAUAAUACUAGGUGGCGUCUCCUUAAACCAAACCUUUUUCCCAUAAAAGAACAAGAUGCCAGAAAUCUGUUCUUUUCAAGAAUUUUUAAGGUCAUCGCGAUGUCGGGUGCGACAAUACCCAAAACAAUUGCCUUGCUAAUGGGGAUAAAGUUGUCUUUCUUAAGGGAUCUAAAAGUUAUUUGUAUAUUGAUUGGGGAUAAUUUAGUAGGUUCACUCCUUUUUUCAUAUUAAAACUACAUCAUUGCCCUUGCAAUAAAAAAACAAGUGGCCUUUUGUUUUGGGUCUAUUUUGUCUUUUCUAUUUUAUUUGCACAAUAAAAUGACAUCAAUACCCUCGAGAGUUCAAAAAUAUUGACACUUGACGAGAGGUAUUUUUUAGUCUUUUUCAUGUUUUGUGUACUGUAAAAUGACAAAGUUAACCUUAGAAUAAAAUAAAUCUAAAGCUAGUGUGGGAUAACAUUUUCAUCUUUGCAAUAUAGCUUUUUGUAAUAUUUAGAUGCUUUUAGGGGCUAUUUAGUAAUUUAAAGUAUUGAAAUAUUAAUAAAUCAAUAAAAAAGCUGACAUAUGCGUAGCACGUGUCAGCGCGUGAUAAUCCACCACGUCAUUCAGGAGACUAAUAAACUAACCUAAACUCGUUCUUGCCCAACAGCGAGCCACAAACAAUACUCUUUUGAAUAUUAGAAGCAUGAACCACAUUGUUCAUAAUCGACUCUUUCAUAAAUGUCAUCCUUAACAUCACCUUUUUCUGGCCUAGGAUUUUGCACACUAAGAGCCUAUUUGACGUUGCAGUUGAAUCGUUGUUUUUCCAUUUUGAAAAAAAUUAUUCUUGCUUCAAUUGUUUUUGCGUUCUUGGAUUGUUAUGAUGUGUUAAUGUUAAAAAUGAAUUAAAAAAUAUAUUUUGAUACAUUUCCAAGUAAAAAACACUUUACAACGCAACCGCUACCACACUUUUAAACAAUCACUAAGAAGUUAUCCAGGAAUAAUUGUUCUCCAUUUGCAGUUGUUGCAUACUCAAAAAAAUAUUAUGUCAAAACAUACAUGACAGGUGGCUCCAAUAUCAAUCCACCACUUUUUAAGAUUGUGCACCAGGUUUGCUUCUGACAUAACUACAACAAGCUUUGCAGCUUUCUCAUCAACAUUCUCAAUGAUUUUGUUUUGUGCAUUUUUUCCUUACAGAUAUGCCUUUGCUUUUUACAAACAAAACAAGUUUCUUUGAACUUCUUUUUGCCGACACUAUUACCAUUAGAACUCUUGAGAGAACUUGCUUCAUAUUUAAGUUCACCAGGUUAAGAAUGUUUAGGAAUCGGGUUUGCCAUCGAGACCGCAAAGAUUACCAGGUUAAAUUAUUUUGGUUUUUUCCCCGCAUGAUAGAAUGUUUAGGAAUCGGGUUUGCCAUCGAGACCGCAAAGAUUACCAGGUUAAGAAGUACAUUGAAAUUAUUAACAAUAGAUUUAUCCAUUUAUUAUCUCAAUAACAAGAUUAACUUUAUAAUUAUAUAUCACACUUAUAUAAUCUGAAAUAAUAUUAAUUAAAAUGAAUCCCAAAAAUUUAACACACUAAUUCUGCAAAAAACAAAUUUAAUAAACAAUUUAACUUUGCAACUAUGUAUUUAUUUAUUUGUUUUUCUAUGAGACUCAAUUUUUUUUUUAAUAAUCAUCAAGAGUAUAUUGAAAAGGCCAUAAAGCCAAUAGACAGUGAAAUUUUUAACAGAAACUCAAUGUAAUUUUCAACAAAAACUAUAACAAUACAAAUAAUUACAAAUAUUUUUCUUUCAACAUCAACAUAAGAAAACAAUAUGCACUCUUCUAAAGUUAUGAUAAAAAAAAUCUGAUUGAUACUUAUGUUGUUUUAUGAUUAAAGUAACAAUAGCAUCUAAAGAGAAUGAAUUAGGUGUUGCACUAAUUAUGUCAAAAUAAUGCAAGUAAACACACUAAACACAUAUAACACAAAAACCAACAAUAUAAUUCAAGUGCUUAAAGUAAAUAUAUAAGAAAAAAGAGAUUGCAAACUCGAUUUUUAACGUGAUUCGGUAAGCUUACAUCCACAUCUCAAGUACUAAUCAUACUUAAGUAUUGUACUUUUUUACUAAUCCAAGUGAAAGAUACAUUGCCCUUGAUGAAUUCACACCAAGAAAUUACACCACUUGAUGAAUUUUUCUCUUUAAGAUUUUUCUCCUAGAAUUCCGGUUAAAUAGAAUUGCACUUAAUAUAUAUUAUUUCACCAUAAUUAUUAUCCAGAUAUGCAACUUUUUUUCUUUCCGAUCAUCUGUUUUCUUUUUUUCAUAUCAAUACAACAACAAAGGAAAAUACCAUGCAAUAUAAAAUGUAUUUCCCUGUAGAAUCAAUGCAACAAGUUUACAGACAACAGACGACAAGGAAUUUAACAUAGUCAUGGAAUUUAACUGAAGAUAUAUACACUUUACUUUCUCUAUUAAAAUUAAACUAUUUUUUUUAAUCUAUGUCAAUAUAUAAUCAAUUUGGUCUUGAAGAUAUAUAAAUAUACACAGAACAAAUAUGUUAGAAAAUAAAUUGUUUAAGAUUGUUAGAGCACCUUAAAUAGUUCAUAAAAUUAUUCUUCCCUUUUACUAUAAUGAUGAAGUACAAGGGUUGUUGAUGAUGACCUCUUGGAUGGCUACAUGAAGCUUGUUCCGUUUUAAAUUUCAAGGUUAAUCUAUUGCUAUGAGCAUACGUGUCUCAAUUUAAAACUCGAGUUGCAACUGAACUUAAAUGAAUGGUGUUGGAUUUGGGCCUUCUAUUUGUUUUAACUUCUACAGGGUUGAAAUGAUAGUGAUCUUAAAGUAGAAAAGCAGCAGACAAAAAUCAAUUAACCACAAUGGUGCAUGGUUUCCUAGUUUCUCAGCAUAAAGUUGAAUGUUUUGUUGACCUUUCUACAUCAAAAAUCAUAUAGACAGCUACUGCUGGCACUUGCAGUGGCCAAUGCAUACUGUAGAGUAUAUAUUGCAGUGUGAGAUAAGGUUAACUCGUUGCAUUUUCAUAUAUUGAAAGGAUUUCUCUUCUUUUCUUUGUCAAUUACAGCACAUGCAUAGAAGUGUUCUUCCUCAGAGUAAAUGCUAUAGUAAUGUUUUCACGGACUCCCCUGGUUUGCAACUGAUUCACUUAUAUAUCUUGGAACAUAGCCAUAAAUGAAAGGUUCUUCUAGUUCAAGAAAAUUAACCAUGAAGCUCGUAACUAGAAUUUUUAGACAGAAGGGUGGCCAAGCGAACUCCUAUACUCCGUACGUCUGGAAUAAUACAGGGAAAGGGUGUUUAUGUAUUUUGAUGUCUUAUAUUACUUGACCAACUCUUGCUUAUCUCAUUAUUUGUUUUAAUUUUUUGCUAAUAAUUCCACACAUUUCUGAUAUGGUGUGGUUUUUGAGUUCAGGGUUCUUGCUCAUUGCUGCUAACUUCUCUAUACUUGCCUGGUCAUUAAAAAUGAAACGUAAUGAUUUGCAUAUGCUGAAUGGAGACAUUAAAGAGGCAUCUUCUGUUUUCUGGUCAGGAGGGAUUACAAGAACUCAAGAAAUUUUCCAUAUGUUUUGAGGAAAAGAUUUAUACUACCACUACCAAUCAGGUAUUUGCCUAAUGUGAGGUUUAAUAAUUACGAUAUUAUCUAGACAUUAAUAUACACACGCAUUUAUGCUUGUACAAAUGUGUGUGUAGUGUGCCUACACUUCCUCACCGUUCAUUCUGUAUGCAAGGCUGAUUGGGAGUUCACAUUAUUUUGUUAAUUCUCUUGACAAGUGUUUUAUUUAGAGUGACCAAGUUCAAGUACAAGGGAAGAGUGCAAAAAGCAAAUAGCGAAUCAAUACAUAAAUAAUUAAAUAAAAAGAGAGGAAACAAAAGUAUAUCAUAGAGAAGAUGAAAUGAUAGAGCAUAUAUCCAUUUUCCUCCUCUUGUAACAUGGAUUGCUCUGAGAUCUGAUGUUUUGUUAUUAAUAUCUGAUUUCAGUCUGAUUAUAUAUCUACGAAAAAUAUCUCUGGAGAUGCUUUCGAUGGAGAUCAGGUCUCAAAAUGCCAUGCCCACUGUCCCCAUGGAUCCAGCAGGUAAUAAUGCACCCGAGCAUUGAAUUUCUAAACAUCUUACCUUUUGUUUUUCUUCUCACAUUGUUAUCAAACUCUUUUACAUUUUAUUGCUGUAUAUUGCUAUGUAUAUCGCCUUGCUAGAAAAAUCUCAUGAUCACCUCCACGAUGCUAAUUCUAUAAUGCAUGUGAAGUGUUUCAUCCUUAACUUGUUAAGAACAAGGACUAUGAUGCAUUGCUAUUUUAUAUUUUAUGAUUGAGAUGGUAGAUUUUAAAGAUUUUCCUGUUUAGGAGAUAAAAGUAAGAUGUCACUUUUUUGCUUUUCUUCCGAGAGAGUAUUUGAUCCUUUUUUCGUAUAAAAUAAUGCUGGCAUGCAUUGAAUUUCCAAACAGCUUAGCUUUUGUUUUGUUUGUCGCAUUGUUAUCAAACUCUUUUACAUUUUAUUGCGGUAUAUUGCUAUGUGUAGGGCAUGCUUUAAUCAAAAAGUUGAGUAAUUGAUGAAUGCUAGGCAUGAAAAUGACAUAUUAUUUUUGUUUUCUGUCUCCUCCUUUUCUUUCCCCCACCUCAAAAAUUGUCAUGUUAUUUUUGUUUUCAGCCGCCUCUUCUUCCCCAAACCUUUAAAAUUGUUUAUAUUUGCUUUGGAAGCAUGACAAACUUCAUUGCCUCUCAGCUUAAGGAGAUUGCAGCAGGUCUCGAAGCUUCUGGGCAUUAGUUUAUCUGGGUAGUUAGAAGAAACAAAAAGAGUCAAGAAGACAAGGAAGAUUGUUUACCUAAAGGAUUUGAGGAAAGAAUGGAAGGCAAAGGGCUAUUAUCAGAGGAUGGACACUCCAAGUUUUGAUUCUUGGUCAUGAAGCAAUAGGUGCAUUUGUGACUCAUUGAGGAUGGAACUCAACUCUUGAAGGCAUAAGGCAAAUAUUUGCUGAGCAAUUCUAUAAUGAGAAGUUGGUGACUGAUGUUUUAAAAAAUGGAGUUAAGGAAUGGCUUAGAGUGCAGAGAUCAUGUUAAAAGUGAAGCUGUAGAGAAGGCAAUCACUCAAAUUAUGAUGGGUGAAGAAGCAGAGGAAAUGAGAGAGAAGAAAGCUGAACAAGGGAACGCAGUAGAUGAAGAAUAUGAGUUUACUGCAUUUACUGUCAAGAAUACAAACGUGAGCACUAAAAACUAAUUUGUACAGGAUACUCUUUAUAUAUAGAGUAGUAAUUAACUUCAUCACUUAUUUCUUUCUAUGAAUACAAUAUUCCUUAUUUAUAUAUAUUGAUUUGUUUCUUAUAUGAGGUAGCUGUAGUUUCCUUCUAUGAAAGAUCUGCCAUGGCUGUAGUUUCCUUCUUUGAGAAGUAGCCGUUGGUUGAGGUAGCUGUUGAUUCCUGUGAUUUCCAUGUAUGGUUAAUUACCAUUCUGAAUAGUAGCCGUUGGAGGUGUUAAUUCAGAAUGGUUGCUGACGAGAGUGAGGAUCCUGUGGUGGUGCUGCUGCUGUCUCCUGCUGCUGCUGCAGAGGUGUGUUGUUGCUGUUAAUACCCUCCCUCAAACGUUGCCGAGGUUGGAGGCAAAGUUUGCGCUGAAAACGAAGAAGAGUAGCUUUGGACACCGGCUUAGUAAACAGAUCAGCAAUCUGAUGUGUAGUGGGAAUAUGAUGUGUAAUAAGUUUCCCAAGAGCUACGCGUUCGCGUAUAAAAUGAUAAUCAAGUUCAAUAUGCUUGCUGCGAGCAUGGAAAAUAGGAUUGACCGUCAUAUGGAGCGCACUGAGAUUAUCACAAUAGAGCACUGGUGGAGAUAGCAAGGGAAUGUGUAAAUCAUGAAGGAUGUAGGUCAACCAGGUAAGUUCUGCAGCCGUGUUGGCCAUAGCACGAUAUUCAGCUUCAGUGCUAGAGCGUGAAAUAGUAUGUUGUUUCUUGGCACACCAGGAGAUGAGAUUACAGCCAAGGAAGACACAGUAGCCAGUGGUAGAACGUCGUGUAGUAAGACAGCCAGCCCAAUCAGCAUCUGAAAAAGCAGAGAAAUUAAGAUUAGUAUUAGAAGUGAAGUGCAGACCAUUAUUAAUAGUACCUUGACAUAUCGUAAGAUACGGCGGACCAUUUUUAAGUUGACAGUUGUAGGAGCAUGCAUGAAUUGAGAGACAUAAUUAACACUAAAAGAGAGAUCUGGUCGAGUAAGGGUGAGAUACUGGAGGGAGCCAACAAGCCCCCGGAAGAAACUGACAUCCGCUAAAGGAGGAGCAUUGGAGGAGGCUUUAGUUCGUGCUUCAAGUGGUGUAGUCAUGGGUUUACAGUCAACCAUUUCAGCACGUUCUAGAAUUGUAAAGGCAUAAUGUGAUUGUGAUAAAUGAAGUCCAUUUGGCGUGGGCGAAAUUUCGAUGCCAAGAAAAUGAUGAGUAGGGCCUAAGUCCUUCAUGGCAAAUUCUUGACUGAGUAGAGUAAUGAAAUCUGCAACAAGUGUAUCUAUAGUUCCUGUAAGAAGUAUAUCAUCAACAUAAAGUAGGAGAAUAAGAGAACCAUGAUCAGAAUGAAAAGUAAAUAGAGAAGGAUCUGCCAAGCUGCAUAGGAAACCGUAUUUGAGGAGAAAGGAACUAAAACGAUCAAACCAAGCACGAGGUGCUUGUUUAAGGCCAUAGAGGGCACGUUGGAGCUUGCAGACAUGCUGUGGACGUUGAGGAUCUGAGAGUCCUGGUGGCUGUUCCAUGUAGAGAUUUUCAGAAAUCAAACCAUGUAGAAACACAUUUUUCACAUCAAGCUGCCGUAGGGGCCAAUGAUGAACAAGAGCUAUAGUGAUAAUUAGCCGAAUGGUGCCAGGCUUUACAACGGGAGAGAAUGUUUCAGUGUAGUCUAGGCCAUCAAUCUGGUGGUAUCCUUUGGCAACAACACGGGCUUUGAGACGCUCCAAGCUGCCAUCAGAUUUGAGUUUGGUUUUAAACACCCAUUUGGAACCUAUGAUAUGCAUAUCGGUGGUACGAGGUACCAAUUUCCAUGUCUGAUUUUGGUGUAAGGAUGUAAGUUCAUCCUCCAUUGCUGCUUUCCAUCCUGGAUGAGCUAGUGCAGCUCACACAGAUCGCGGUUCAUGCGGUAUUCCAGCAGAGAUGACAGAUGUUAAUGCAUACUUGGGAUUUGGUUUUAUGAUGCCAUGCUGGGACCGAGUGGUCAUGGUGCGAAGAGCUGAAGUAGAGGAAUUGGGAACAAACUCAUCUGCGGAGGCAUCACUACAAGGAGGUUGUGCAGCUUGGUGUAGCGCACGUUGUGAACGAGUAACCAUAGAGUGAGGAGCUGAAUUUGGGUGGUCUUGCUGCUGCAGAGUAGUUAAGUUCUCAGAGAGUGGUUGCUGGGAAAUAUCAGGGCAGAGAUUGUGGGCAAUCUCCUGCUGAGUGGGAGCUGCCACCUGCUGAAUAUCAUUCUCCGAACUAUGGUGUUGUAGUGAGGAAGAGGGUUCUAUAGAUGGAUCAGUGGGAGAACCAGAAUUAGAGAGAUCUGAUACGUGCAUGAAGAUACAUGCAAACCGCAACAAACCAGAAGGUGGCAGUAGCGCACGUGGUACGUGGAAGACACUUGGACGUGGAUCAUGCUUGGUCGCCAGAUUGUUAGUGGGGUUUGUUAUGGAAUUAGUCAUUCUCCAGUUAUUUUUAGUAUUAACAGUUAAUAAGGAUUCCUCGGAGGAUCCCUUGUUUGUUUCCCAUUUUCUAGAUAGUUUCCCAAAUUCUAGCAUUGUUUGUUAUUCAAUUCAUGUAUAAAAGGGCCUGGUGGCAUCCAAUAAAGGUAUCGAAAAUUAUCCAAUACUGUCUCCUCUCUUACUUCUCUGCUUCUCUUCUCACUCCCUAAAUUCAACCUAUCAGUGGUAUCAGAGCCAGGUUACACAGUUGUCAUGGAUACUCGCGGAAAAAGUAAUGCUGAAUUCCGGACUGAGGUCAAUGACGCCUUAGCUAGGCAUGAGUCUAGCUUUGAUCAGGUGAAUGCUGCCCUUCAAGCAGUAUUAACCGAACUACAAGCCAUCCGCACCCAAAAACACCCAAACACUAACCCUCCCGAAAUCAAUCCCUUUGCAUCAGAAUCAUCAUCCCAGUUACAUAGUUCUCGCAACCCAAACACCACUGGUCAAACACACUCCCACCUCAAACUCUCAUUCCCUCGUUUUGAUGGCAGUGAGCCCACAGGUUGGGUGUACAAAGCCGAACAGUACUUCGAAUUUCAGGACAUUGACUCGGCCCAGCAGGUCCAAUUGGCCUCCUUCCAUCUAGAUGGAAUUGCUCUCCAAUGGCACCGAUGGCUGACCAAGUUUCGGGGACCCCUUCUGUGGAACGAGUUCGUGCAAGCCCUUUUGCAACGAUUCGGACCCACAGACUACGAAGACCCAUCGGAAUCGCUCACUCGUCUCAGACAAACUACCUCUGUAGCAGCUUACCAAGAGGCUUUUGAGAGGCUCUCCCAUCAAGUUGAUGGACUACCGGAAGGUUUUUUAAUAGGAUGUUUUGUUGCAGGGCUGCGAGAUGAAAUUCGUAUUGAUGUCAAGAUUAAACAUCCCCACACACUGGCAGAAGCAAUUGGAGUUGCCCGACUGAUUGAGGAGCGCAAUCUACUGCAAAGGAAGACCCAUCUUCCAAUUCGGUCUUCUUCCAUGAAUUUACCCUCCAGGGCACCAGCAAAUUCAGUAGCUGGAGUGUUGGGACCACCCCCAUCACAAAGACCAAACCUAUCACCAACAUCAUUCCGGAGGAUCACCACUCAAGAAGCUCGGGAACGAAGGGAAAAAGGGGCUGUGUUUCUAUUGCGAUGAGAAAUUCAAGCCAGGCCAUCGCUGUGAACAACCACAAUUGUUUAUGAUCGAAGACAGCUCCAACACCAGCCUUGAUGAAGAAAUAACAGAUACUGAGGACAUCAUCAAUUCAGAGGACAUGCCCGAAAUCUCAUUCCAUGCUAUCGCAGGUGCUGAACACCCUCAAACCUUACGGGUGUUGGGUCAAUUGGGCAACAAAAAGGUGACCGUGCUCAUUGACGGAGGCAGCACGCAUAACUUCAUUGAUCAGGUGGUGGUAACCAAAUUUGGGAUACCCAUUAAUCGCAGCCAGCGAUUUCAGGUAAUGGUGGCUAAUAGAGAGAAAAUCACUUGUACUGGGCAAUGUCAGAGCCUCACAUUAAUCAUUCAGGGCAUAGCCAUCACUGCCAAUUACUGUGUUCUACCGGUCAUGGCUUGUCAAGUGGUACUGGGUGUGCAGUGGCUUGAGACACUGGGUCCGAUUGAAAUGGAUUUCAAAAAGCUCACUAUGAGCUACAAAACGCAUGGAGAGAAACACACCUUUUACGGGUUGAAGCACACGGGUCAUGCUGCCUUCACAGAGAAGGAGUUUCAUGGGUUACAAGGGAAUGGAUUCUUCCUUCAAAUCAUUCCCUCACAUCCCAUCAUUGACAGUAGCAGCCAUCCACCGGAGCUUAAGGCCCUUCUAUCCGAAUUCUCGCAGGUGUUUGAGGAGCCCACGGGUCUGGCUCCCCAGAGAGCCAAAGACCACCACAUACCUCUACAACCCAAUUCUGGCCCAGUAAGUGUGAGACCCUACCGCUACCCGUAUUACCAGAAAACCGAGAUAGAAAAAAUGGUGCAAGACUUGUUGAAGUCUGAAUUGAUACGCCCCAGUAAUAGCCCAUUCUCCUCUCCUGUUUUGCUAGUCAAAAAGGCGGAUGGGGCUUGGCGUUUUUGUGUGGAUUAUCGCGCUUUGAAUGAAAUCACCAUCAAAGACAAAUAUCCAAUUCCCGUAAUUGAUGAGCUCCUAGAUGAGCUGCAUGGGUCUCGUUACUAUUCCAAAUUGGACCUACGAUCCGGCUAUCACCAAAUCCGGGUACGAGACGACGACAUACCUAAAACAGCAUUCAGAACUCAUGAAGGCCAUUACGAGUUCGUUGUCAUGCCAUUUGGUCUAACCAAUGCUCCUGCAACCUUCCAAAGUCUUAUGAAUGAUCUUUUUCGUCCCCACCUCAGGAAGUUUAUUUUGGUUUUUUUUGACGAUAUUCUGGUUUAUUCCAAAUCGUGGGAAGACCAUUUAACCCAUUUGCACACUGUUUUGAAGAUUCUAGCAGAUAAUACACUCUUUGCAAAGGAGUCCAAGUGCAGAUUCGGGGUUACAUAGGUUGACUACCUAGGCCAUGCUAUUUCAAACCAAGGAGUAUCGGUGGAUCCUACCAAAAUUCAAGCAGUGGUUGAGUGGCCUACCCCUACGACAGCCAAGGGGGUCCGCGGAUUCUUGGGCCUGGCCGGCUAUUACAGAAAGUUCAUCCGCCAUUUUGGAGGAAUAGCCGCACCACUUACCCGAUUGCUGACCAAGGAUGGGUUUCAGUGGAGUGCAGAAGCUGAUUUGGCUUUUCAACGUCUGAAGGAAGCCUUAACCCAGUCCCCGGUCUUACGCAUGCCAGAUUUCUCUCAACGAUUUGUGGUCGAGUGUGAUGCCAGUGGGAUCGGAAUUGGUGCAAUACUUUCCCAACAGAAUCAACCCGUGGCAUACUUUAGUGAAGCACUAAAAGGGUCUUCUUUGACACUAUCCACUUAUGAGAAAGAAAUGUUGGCCAUCGUCAAGGCAAUUCGUAAGUGGCGACCAUAUCUGCUUGGUAAACCAUUCACAGUUCGCACGGACCAGAGGAGUCUCAAAUAUCUCCUGGAGCAGAGGAUUACUACCCCAGCACAGACACGUUGGCUUCCUAAAAUUCUCGGCUAUGACUAUGUAAUCGAGUACAAGAAAGGGAGCGAGAACCAAGGGGCAGACUCACUGUCCAGAGUAGUGGAAUUUCAGUUUUUGUCCAUCUCGUUCCCAAAGGCAGAGUGGUGGCCAACUCUGCAACAGGAGGUGCAACAGGAUCCAUUUUAUGCCAACUUCAAAUCAACGGACCCCUUCAUGGUUCAAAGAGACGGAGUGUGGUUCAAGAAGGGUAAGGUGUUUUUAAGCCCGAAUUCUACUCUUAUCCCUCUACUUUUGGCAGACUGUCAUGCCACGCCGAUUGGUGGACACUUUGGGUUCCAUAAAACACUCGCACGCAUUAAGCAAGACUUUACCUGGCCCAGAGUUCACGUCACAGUGAAGGAAUUCUUGCAGCAAUGUACCACAUGUCAACGCUUCAAAAAAGAUUGCAUGAAGCCAGCUGGGCUGCUGCAACCCCUACCUGUGCCUUCCAAAGUUUGGACUGAUAUCUUCAUGGACUUCAUCAAAGGAUUGCCUUCCUCCCAAGGGUAUACUUGUGUAAUGGUGGUAGUGGAUCGCCUGUCCAAAUAUGCCCAUCUCAUUUCGUUGAAGCAUCCCUACACAGCAAUCACGGUGGCCAAAGCCUUCAUCUCCUGCGUCGUCCGCCUGCAUGGUAUUCCAGCCUCUAUUGUGAGCGAUCGUGACAAGGUGUUUAUUAGCUCCUUCUGGCGCACCCUCUUUCAGUCCCAAGGCACUCAGCUGUGCAUGAGCUCAGCUUACCAUCCUCAGUCGGAUGGUCAGACUGAAGUUGUCAACCGCAUCCUCGAACAGUAUUUGCGGUGCUUUGCAGGUGACCAGCCACGUAAAUGGUUCGACUGGAUUCCAUGGGCAGAGUUCAGCUACAAUACCUCGCUCCACUCUGCCACUAAGAUGACGCCAUUUGAGGUGGUUUAUGGUGUUCCCCCUCCUAGUUUACUCACCUAUGUUCCCGGUACCUCAAAUGUUCAAGCCGUGGAUGAGCAUCUGCGCGAUAGAGACUGUCUCCUUCGUGAGCUGAGGAGGAAUCUGUUGAUUGCCCAGAACAGGAUGAAGAGCCAAGCUGAUCAACAUCGCAGGGAUGUCUCCUUUGACGUUGGAGAUUAUGUGUAUUUAAAGCUCCAACCUUACCGUCAAUCCUCAGUGGCAUUUCGUAGCUCAAUGAAGUUAGCCCCACGGUUCUUUGGGCCUUACCAGGUCCUAGCUAAAGUCGGAACAGUUUCCUACAAAUUAGCACUGCCACAGGAUUCCCAAAUCCAUAACGUGUUUCAUGUUAGCUUGCUACGGAAAUACUUUGGGCCCCUCCCUCCUACAUCAACAGUGGUGAGCCUUCCUCCUAUUUCAGAAUCAGCCAAUAUUCUUCCACAACCUGAGGCUGUCCUGGACCGACGAGUAGUUAACAAUGGGAAAUAUCAUCCAAAACAUGAAAUUUUGGUCAAAUGGGAUGGUGCACCAGUGGAAGAUGCUACUUGGGAGAAUGAAAGGCGUUUUAUCAAGACCUAUCCCACCUUCAUCCUUGCGGACAAGGAUUCUUAAGGGGGAAGGAUUGAUACGUGCAUGAAGAUACAUGCAAACCGCAACAAACCAGAAGGUGGCAGUAGCGCACGUGGUACGUGGAAGACACUUGGACGUGGAUCAUGCUUGGUCGCCAGAUUGUUAGUGGGGUUUGUUAUGGAAUUAGUCAUUCUCCAGUUAUUUUUAGUAUUAACAGUUAAUAAGGAUUCCUCGGAGGAUCCCUUGUUUGUUUCCCAUUUUCUAGAUAGUUUCCCAAAUUCUAGCAUUGUUUGUUAUUCAAUUCAUGUAUAAAAGGGCCUGGUGGCAUCCAAUAAAGGUAUCGAAAAUUAUCCAAUACUGUCUCCUCUCUUACUUCUCUGCUUCUCUUCUCACUCCCUAAAUUCAACCUAUCAAGAUCAUGAAGGGAUUGUACAGCCGCAGAGUUAGUGAUAUCAGGUGAAGAAGUGUGCACUGUCUCCUGCUGGAAUGUCUCCGGCUGAGUAAUUGAAGUGUCAGACUGCUGCUGAAGCUGUUGGCGGGCUGGAGUACUGUCACCAUGGAGUUGCAGAGCAACAUCAGCGGGAGAAAUAUCUGUAAAGCACACUGUCUCCUGCUGGAAUGUCUCCGGCUGAGUAAUUGAAGUGUCAUACUGCUGCUGAAGCUGUUGGCGGGCUGGAGUACUGUCACCAUGGAGUUGCAGAGCAACAUCAGCUGGAGAAAUAUCUGUAAAGCACGCUGGUGUAUCUGAGGUCAUAGUAGGAAGCAGGGGUAUGGGCAGUGAGCUGCUGCAUGGUGGCGUUGCUGGUGUUUCAGAGAUAUCUGUAGGAGAGCGUGAAGCAAGGAUAGUUAGCCAAGAAUCAAAUAUGCUAAGGACAUGAUUAGAAUGAUCAAUAUUUGUGGUGAUAUUAUUUUGUUUAUACGGAAGGAUAGAUUCACUAAAAACCACAUGUCGUGAGACAAAAAAAUUUUUGCUUGUUGGAUGAAAGCAUUUAUAUCCCUUAUGUUGAUCACUAUAUCCUACAAAAAUACAUGGAACACUUUUUGGAUCAAAUUUAUUUCGUCUUGUAUCCCAAGUGUAAGGGAAACAUCGGGAGCCAAAAAUACGAAGAGAUGAAUAAAUAGGGUGGUUACCAUGUAAGCGGAAGUAUGGAGUGUCAUAGUUAAGAGCAGAAGAGGGCAGUCUAUUAAUGAGAUAAACAGCAGUUGUGAAGGCUUCAACCCAUAAAAAUAAAGGAGUACCACUAUGGAAUAACAUUGUCAUACCUAGUUCUCUUAUAAUUCUGUGUCGCCUUUCAACCAUACCUGUUUGUUCAGGAGUGUAAGGACAAGAUACCUGGUGAACAAUUCCUGUGGAGCGAAAAUGACUUGAUAAUUUUGAGUUAAUAAAUUCUCCUCCUCCAUCUGAGUGAAAGACUUUGAUCUGUUUAUUGAAUUGCCUACUAACAUACUUUUCAAAUGCUAUAAACACUGUUAGAAAAUCAAAUUUGUUAUGAAGAGGAAUUAUCCAUGUAUAUUUAGAGAAAUCAUCUACUAGGCAAGCAUAAUAUUUGAAUUUUCCAAUAGAUAAAACAGGGGCAGGUCCCCAUAAAUCACAAUGUAUUUUUUCAAAAACAUCAGUACUUGAAUGUUCAGAAUGCGAAAAAGGUAAGUUGCUAAGUUUUCCUAAUUGACAACUAUCACAAAGGUGCUCAGUCUUCAUAGCUCCUGUGACGUCAAUCAAUCCUGUAUUUUUUAAUAGCUGCACUGCAGAAGCUUGAGGAUGUCCUAGGCGUUGAUGCCAAACUGCUGCUGAUCCAGUUUUAAAACGAUAAGAAAAAUGUAAUUCUGGCGAGUUGUGCAAGACAUAAAGAUCACCCUUACGUCUACCUGUGAUCAGAGGUUGUCCUGUUUUCCGUUCCUUAACACAAAAAUCAACGUCAGAAAACUCACAGUUCACAGGAAAUUGUUUGGUAAGCUGACUUACUGAAAGUAAAUUUUUAGUUAAUUCAGGAACAAGAAGAACAUCAUUAAUAUGUAAUUUAGUAUUGUUUUGUUUAAUAAAUGAAUCUCCAAUACCAAUAAUCGGUAGAGACGAUCCAUUUCCAAUAACCACAGAAUCAGUUCCAAAAUACUUACGAACAUCAGUUAACAUACCUGGCUUACUUGUCAUGUGAUUCGAUGCACCAGUGUCUGAUGUCCAUUCCGUGUCAACCACGGUGCUUCCCAAAUAGCGGUUGCUCUUUUGCAAUAUUAGAAGCAUGAACCACAAACAAUACUCUUUUGAAUAUUAGAAGCAUGAACCACAUUGUUCAUAAUCGACUCUUUCAUAAAUGUCAUCCUUAACAUCACCUUUUUCUAGCCUAGGAUUUUGCACACUAAGAGCCUAUUUGACGUUGCAGUUGAAUCGUUGUUUUUCCAUUUUGAAAAAAAUUAUUCUUGCUUCAAUUGUUUUUGCGUUCUUGGAUUGUUAUGAUGUGUUAAUGUUAAAAAUGAAUUAAAAAAUAUAUUUUGAUAUAUUUCCAAGUGAAAAACACUUUACAACGCAACCGCUACCACACUUUUAAACAAUCACUAAGAAGUUAUCCAGGAAUAAUUGUUCUCCAUUUGCAGUUGUUGCAUACUCAAAAAAAUAUUAUGUCAAAACAUACAUGACAGGUGGCUCCAAUAUCAAUCCACCACUUUUUAAGAUUGUGCACCAGGUUUGCUUCUGACAUAACUACAACAAGCUUUGCAGCUUUCUCAUCAACAUUCUCAAUGAUUUUGUUUUGUGCAUUUUUUCCUUACAGAUAUGCCUUUGCUUUUUACAAACAAAACAAGUUUCUUUGAACUUCUUUUUGCCGACACUAUUACCAUUAGAACUCUUGAGAGAACUUGCUUCAUAUUUAAGUUCACCAGGUUAAGAAUGUUUAGGAAUCGGGUUUGCCAUCGAGACCGCAAAGAUUACCAGGUUAAAUUAUUUUGGUUUUUUCCCCGCAUGAUAGAAUGUUUAGGAAUCGGGUUUGCCAUCGAGACCGCAAAGAUUACCAGGUUAAGAAGUACAUUGAAAUUAUUAACAAUAGAUUUAUCCAUUUAUUAUCUCAAUAACAAGAUUAACUUUAUAAUUAUAUAUCACACUUAUAUAAUCUGAAAUAAUAUUAAUUAAAAUGAAUCCCAAAAAUUUAACACACUAAUUCUGCAAAAAACAAAUUUAAUAAACAAUUUAACUUUGCAACUAUGUAUUUAUUUAUUUGUUUUUCUAUGAGACUCAAUUUUUUUUUUAAUAAUCAUCAAGAGUAUAUUGAAAAGGCCAUAAAGCCAAUAGACAGUGAAAUUUUUAACAGAAACUCAAUGUAAUUUUCAACAAAAACUAUAACAAUACAAAUAAUUACAAAUAUUUUUCUUUCAACAUCAACAUAAGAAAACAAUAUGCACUCUUCUAAAGUUAUGAUAAAAAAAAUCUGAUUGAUACUUAUGUUGUUUUAUGAUUAAAGUAACAAUAGCAUCUAAAGAGAAUGAAUUAGGUGUUGCACUAAUUAUGUCAAAAUAAUGCAAGUAAACACACUAAACACAUAUAACACAAAAACCAACAAUAUAAUUCAAGUGCUUAAAGUAAAUAUAUAAGAAAAAAGAGAUUGCAAACUCGAUUUUUAACGUGAUUCGGUAAGCUUACAUCCACAUCUCAAGUACUAAUCAUACUUAAGUAUUGUACUUUUUUACUAAUCCAAGUGAAAGAUACAUUGCCCUUGAUGAAUUCACACCAAGAAAUUACACCACUUGAUGAAUUUUUCUCUUUAAGAUUUUUCUCCUAGAAUUCCGGUUAAAUAGAAUUGCACUUAAUAUAUAUUAUUUCACCAUAAUUAUUAUCCAGAUAUGCAACUUUUUUUCUUUCCGAUCAUCUGUUUUCUUUUUUUCAUAUCAAUACAACAACAAAGGAAAAUACCAUGCAAUAUAAAAUGUAUUUCCCUGUAGAAUCAAUGCAACAAGUUUACAGACAACAGACGACAAGGAAUUUAACAUAGUCAUGGAAUUUAACUGAAGAUAUAUACACUUUACUUUCUCUAUUAAAAUUAAACUAUUUUUUUUAAUCUAUGUCAAUAUAUAAUCAAUUUGGUCUUGAAGAUAUAUAAAUAUACACAGAACAAAUAUGUUAGAAAAUAAAUUGUUUAAGAUUGUUAGAGCACCUUAAAUAGUUCAUAAAAUUAUUCUUCCCUUUUACUAUAAUGAUGAAGUACAAGGGUUGUUGAUGAUGACCUCUUGGAUGGCUACAUGAAGCUUGUUCCGUUUUAAAUUUCAAGGUUAAUCUAUUGCUAUGAGCAUACGUGUCUCAAUUUAAAACUCGAGUUGCAACUGAACUUAAAUGAAUGGUGUUGGAUUUGGGCCUUCUAUUUGUUUUAACUUCUACAGGGUUGAAAUGAUAGUGAUCUUAAAGUAGAAAAGCAGCAGACAAAAAUCAAUUAACCAUAAUGGUGCAUGGUUUCCUAGUUUCUCAGCAUAAAGUUGAAUGUUUUGUUGACCUUUCUACAUCAAAAAUCAUAUAGACAGCUACUGCUGGCACUUGCAGUGGCCAAUGCAUACUGUAGAGUAUAUAUUGCAGUGUGAGAUAAGGUUAACUCGUUGCAUUUUCAUAUAUUGAAAGGAUUUCUCUUCUUUUCUUUGUCAAUUACAGCACAUGCAUAUAAGUGUUCUUCCUCAGAGUAAAUGCUAUAGUAAUGUUUUCACGGACUCCCCUGGUUUGCAACUGAUUCACUUAUAUAUCUUGGAACAUAGCCAUAAAUGAAAGGUUCUUCUAGUUCAAGAAAAUUAACCAUGAAGCUCGUAACUAGAAUUUUUAGACAGAAGGGUGGCCAAGCGAACUCCUAUACUCCGUACGUCUGGAAUAAUACAGGGAAAGGGUGUUUAUGUAUUUUGAUGUCUUAUAUUACUUGACCAACUCUUGCUUAUCUCAUUAUUUGUUUUAAUUUUUUGCUAAUAAUUCCACACAUUUCUGAUAUGGUGUGGUUUUUGAGUUCAGGGUUCUUGCUCAUUGCUGCUAACUUCUCUAUACUUGCCUGGUCAUUAAAAAUGAAACGUAAUGAUUUGCAUAUGCUGAAUGGAGACAUUAAAGAGGCAUCUUCUGUUUUCUGGUCAGGAGGGAUUACAAGAACUCAAGAAAUUUUCCAUAUGUUUUGAGGAAAAGAUUUAUACUACCACUACCAAUCAGGUAUUUGCCUAAUGUGAGGUUUAAUAAUUACGAUAUUAUCUAGACAUUAAUAUACACACGCAUUUAUGCUUGUACAAAUGUGUGUGUAGUGUAGUGUGCCUACACUUCCUCACCGUUCAUUCUGUAUGCAAGGCUGAUUGGGAGUUCACAUUAUUUUGUUAAUUCUCUUGACAAGUGUUUUAUUUAGAGUGACCAAGUUCAAGUACAAGGGAAGAGUGCAAAAAGCAAAUAGCGAAUCAAUACAUAAAUAAUUAAAUAAAAAGAGAGGAAACAAAAGUAUAUCAUAGAGAAGAUGAAAUGAUAGAGCAUAUAUCCAUUUUCCUCCUCUUGUAACAUGGAUUGCUCUGAGAUCUGAUGUUUUGUUAUUAAUAUCUGAUUUCAGUCUGAUUAUAUAUCUACGAAAAAUAUCUCUGGAGAUGCUUUCGAUGGAGAUCAGGUCUCAAAAUGCCAUGCCCACUGUCCCCAUGGAUCCAGCAGGUAAUAAUGCACCCGAGCAUUGAAUUUCUAAACAUCUUACCUUUUGUUUUUCUUCUCACAUUGUUAUCAAACUCUUUUACAUUUUAUUGCUGUAUAUUGCUAUGUAUAUCGCCUUGCUAGAAAAAUCUCAUGAUCACCUCCACGAUGCUAAUUCUAUAAUGCAUGUGAAGUGUUUCAUCCUUAACUUGUUAAGAACAAGGACUAUGAUGCAUUGCUAUUUUAUAUUUUAUGAUUGAGAUGGUAGAUUUUAAAGAUUUUCCUGUUUAGGAGAUAAAAGUAAGAUGUCACUUUUUUGCUUUUCUUCCGAGAGAGUAUUUGAUCCUUUUUUCGUAUAAAAUAAUGCUGGCAUGCAUUGAAUUUCCAAACAGCUUAGCUUUUGUUUUGUUUGUCGCAUUGUUAUCAAACUCUUUUACAUUUUAUUGCGGUAUAUUGCUAUGUGUAGGGCAUGCUUUAAUCAAAAAGUUGAGUAAUUGAUGAAUGCUAGGCAUGAAAAUGACAUAUUAUUUUUGUUUUCUGUCUCCUCCUUUUCUUUCCCCCACCUCAAAAAUUGUCAUGUUAUUUUUGUUUUCAGCCGCCUCUUCUUCCCCAAACCUUUAAAAUUGUUUAUAUUUGCUUUGGAAGCAUGACAAACUUCAUUGCCUCUCAGCUUAAGGAGAUUGCAGCAGGUCUCGAAGCUUCUGGGCAUUAGUUUAUCUGGGUAGUUAGAAGAAACAAAAAGAGUCAAGAAGACAAGGAAGAUUGUUUACCUAAAGGAUUUGAGGAAAGAAUGGAAGGCAAAGGGCUAUUAUCAGAGGAUGGACACUCCAAGUUUUGAUUCUUGGUCAUGAAGCAAUAGGUGCAUUUGUGACUCAUUGAGGAUGGAACUCAACUCUUGAAGGCAUAAGGCAAAUAUUUGCUGAGCAAUUCUAUAAUGAGAAGUUGGUGACUGAUGUUUUAAAAAAUGGAGUUAAGGAAUGGCUUAGAGUGCAGAGAUCAUGUUAAAAGUGAAGCUGUAGAGAAGGCAAUCACUCAAAUUAUGAUGGGUGAAGAAGCAGAGGAAAUGAGAGAGAAGAAAGCUGAACAAGGGAACGCAGUAGAUGAAGAAUAUGAGUUUACUGCAUUUACUGUCAAGAAUACAAACGUGAGCACUAAAAACUAAUUUGUACAGGAUACUCUUUAUAUAUAGAGUAGUAAUUAACUUCAUCACUUAUUUCUUUCUAUGAAUACAAUAUUCCUUAUUUAUAUAUAUUGAUUUGUUUCUUAUAUGAGGUAGCUGUAGUUUCCUUCUAUGAAAGAUCUGCCAUGGCUGUAGUUUCCUUCUUUGAGAAGUAGCCGUUGGUUGAGGUAGCUGUUGAUUCCUGUGAUUUCCAUGUAUGGUUAAUUACCAUUCUGAAUAGUAGCCGUUGGAGGUGUUAAUUCAGAAUGGUUGCUGACGAGAGUGAGGAUCCUGUGGUGGUGCUGCUGCUGUCUCCUGCUGCUGCUGCAGAGGUGUGUUGUUGCUGUUAAUAAUGAGGACUAGAGCAAAGAAGCUUUCAGUGCUUUGAUUUAAUAACUGCCAAGAAUGGAAGGCUGUUGAAGAUGGUGGAUCUUCUUGCUCCAAUUUCAAUGCUUUGAUUGAAUAACUGAGGUGGGGUAGCCCUUGAAACAGAGGCAUAGAACAUUUUGUUACUACUUAGUAGUGGUUUUGGCAAUUUAUUUUCAGAUAAGUCUUGAGAGUUGAAAGAGUAAUCACAGACGAGUCAAUGACCAAUCCAAAUCAGUUCCCUUCCUAAUGGUUCAGGAAUGACAAGUCCAGCUUAUUUAUUGAGCCCAAAUAACUUUUCAAAUAAAAAGGUUGAACUUAGAGACAGUACACUACAAAUUAAGCACCUAAUAGCUAGACAUACAAGACAAACAAUCAUCACAAACUAGGAACAAUCGUCUUCCCAGUAACAAAUUCACCUUCUCAAGUUGGAGAACUUGCGAAAACUAGCCACUACAAAAUAGUAGCAAGUAUCUAUGCAGUCUUCGAUGAAGUACGACCACCUGCGUCGCCAAUAUGGAUCGAUGUAAAGAACUACUACAAUUAUCAUCACCACAACUGUGUAACAUACACCGAAAUUGAUGUAGAAAAACUCCAUGUCUAUGAAACCAUCAUCUCCUUGUUCAUCAUAAGGCACUGGCUGUGAUGGCACUGGUUGUGAUGGCACUGGCUGUGAUGGCACUGCUUCCUCACUACAAUUGUUUCGCAAUGGAGGUCCACACAAAAAAGGAUUUCCUUCGUAACAACUUUCAUCAAAGGUCCCAAACUGAUAUUUUCUCUCGGGUGUGUUACCUGACAAGUUAUUAUGCGCCACACUAAAAACUUCCAGUGUGGUAAUAUCAGUAAGUUGUGGAGGGAUGACACCAUUCAAGUUGUUGUAAGAAAGAUCCAAACUCUCAAUCUGCUUUAGGUUUGAGAAUGUUGCAGGGAUAGAUCCAGUGAGAUUGUUGUGUGAUAAGUUUAAUGACAGUAUCUUACUUAAGUCUCCAAAUUCUGGUGGGAUUGCUCCUACGAAGUUGUUAUUGGAGAGAUCAAUACCAGACAUGUAGCUGAGAGUCUUCCCCUUGUAACGAUAAUACAUAUUUUUAGUUGUAAAUUCUAUCACUUCUUCUGUAAAGUUAAGCAGAAAACCCUUUCUCAAGUUGUACAUACUCUCCACUAGUGGUGGACCCAUUGUUUCAUAAUAAGCUUUUUCUAUGGACCUUGAUAGAACAUCAGCUCCGAGAUCUGCGAGCGUUUUCUGGGAACUUUCCUUGAAAGUAAGAUUGCCCAAACAGGAGGGUAGUGGACCAGAGAGUUGGUUUUGUGAAACAUCCAAAAUGCUUAAUUGUUCUAACAAGCAUAAUUGAACAGGGAGCUCACCAUCAAAGUGAUUAGCCCUCAGAAGAAGAACACUCAAUGAUGAAAGAUUGCCAAUCCAAUUUGGAAAGGAGCCGGUGAAGUUGUUAUCUCGAAGAUCCAUCGUAACCAGGGAAGAGUUGUUAUAAAAUCCAUAUGUUAAUGGACCGCUCAAUCUAUUUUCAGAUAGAUGCACAUGGGUUAUUUGUGGUGGACUGAAACAAGAUGGUAUAUAUCCAGACAAGUUGUUCUCAGAAAGGUCCAAAUAUUCAAGCUGGUUAAGCUUACAAAAGUCUCUUAGGAUCGGACCCUUAAAAUAGUUUUUGGACAAAUCAAUUGCGAUAAGGCCUGUAGAAUUGACUAACCACCUUGGAAGCAUGCCUGAAAAUUGAUUGUCACUCAAAUCCAAUGUUGACCACAUUUUCCACCCAUAUAAUAGAAAAUCUGAUAUCUGACCCCAAAAGUUGUUACCGUGUAGGUAGAGAUAUUCUAAGGUAGAAGAAUUGAAUACUGAGGUUGGUAAUUGCCCACCCAAAUUAUUGUUUGACAGCUUGAGAAACCAUAUUGUUGUUAGUUGUUCUAGUUUUACUAUAGACAAUUGAUUGUUGGAUAAAUCUAAAAUUUUCAAAGAGCUAAUAUUUCCUAAACAAGAAGGAAUACAACCUGUGAAUCCAUUAUUGGCCAUCCUUAAGCUCCACAUAUUUGGAAAGAUCAAACAAAUAUCUUUAGGAAUUUGACCGUUCAUGUUGUUGUUGGAAAUAUCUAAUUCGGUCAUAUUCAGAUAUGGGUGAUCUUGCAACUGUAAAGUACCGACAAAGGAGUUGUUGCUUAGAUAUAGUUGCUCCAAUCGUGUAUUGUUCUUAAGCAACCAUGAUGGAAACAUUGCGGUGAUGUUGUUGUGGGAGAGAUCAAGGACUCUUAUGUCGUAUUGGUAAUAAAGGAAGUCGGGAAUUUUUACAUUUAGUGCUUCUGUUGUUUUUGACAAUCGGAAAAAUACUAGUUGGAACUUUGGAAUCAAAUUAUCAAAGGCAGCAGGUUCUGUUACUAGCUUGUUGUUCUCACUGGAGAAGAACUUGAGGCUUGAGUGGUUCAUAAAAGGCUUCAUUGAAAUGGGAACUUCAAAGAGGUUAUUUGAUAGUGAGAGGAAUUCAAGGGAUGUGAGGUUGGUAAGAGGACCGGAGGCAAUAUUUCCAGUAAACUGGUUUUCAGAAACAUCUAAUAGUUGUAGAGAUGACAAGUUCCCCAAACAAUCUGGGAGUGAACCUCCUAAAUUAUUUCCAGAGAGAUCUAACUGCCUCAGAUUCUUUAAUUCACACCAACCUGUACAAUUUAUCUUGAAACAGUCAAAACAGUGUUGAAAGAAUCUUUUAUUGAUGAUAGUUGUUAAUUUACCUUGAGCGGGUAGGGUGCCAUGGAGGUCACAUUCAGCAACAGACAAAACUUUAAGAUCAGGCAAUGCUCCAAUGUUCUGGAGAAAGUUUAUUGGGAGAGAAGUACGAUCUAGAUACAAUUCUUCAAGGGUGCUAGAAUUGAAGAAAGUCCCUGUGAAAAAGAAAGAAGAAGAGAUAUGAUGAAAAUUGUGGUCGUACAGAAUAGCCAUUCCAUUUAAUAUUAUUAAUUAAGAUUUUAAGAAACUAAACUAUGAUUAACCUUGACUUAAAUUAGUAUCCUUGAGAGAAAGGGUCUUCCUUAAACCUAUGAUGUGUAGAAUUGAAAGCAGGCAAUCAAGUAAGUAGUGAAAUUAAGUGUUAUCUUGAUCGAGUUUUUAAACCUAUGAUAAAGAACUGAUAUUGAAUAGUGAGAUGAUUUUUGGAUAGAAACAACAAAUUGCCUGAAAAAUCCAGAGAUAUUGCCUGAUAAAUUUAAAUUUAAAGACUUUACCAUUGACGGUCGUCGAUCCUAGCAACAUAUUGCCUGAUAAAUUUAAAGACUUGAGAUAAGAAAGCCCACGCAGAUGUGAUAAAAUGCUGUCGUUGAAUAUAUUAUAGCUCAGGUCCAGGUUAUCGAGUUUCUCCAAAUGUGAUGAUAUGAUCUCAAAACCUGCAAGAGAGUUGUUUCUAUAAGCAAGUCAUAAUUACAUAAUAACUUUAAUCAAACAUGAUGAAAUACUAUCGUUGAUUAUUAAAUGAAUAUAAAGUCCUCAAUUUUCAUAGAAGGAGAUAUGAGAAGGAGAAAAGAAAAUGUUUCGAAGCUAAAUAAUUAAAAGGUUACCAUAGAAGCUACCUGAUCCUGUCAAUCCAUUGCCUGAUAGAUCCAAAGACUUGAGAGUGGAAAGCCCAGUCAUGCAUGACAAAAUGCUUUUAUCAUUAUUAAAUCGGUUAUCACUUAGGUCAAGAUUCCUCAGAUUUGAUGAUAGGACUUCGAAGCCUGGAAGAGAAUCAUCAAAGCAAGAUAAUUGACAUUAAACACCAAUCAACCUUGAUUUAUUUUAUGAUUAUAAGUGCAGAAACAUUGAACUAACCUUCAUUCUCCAAGCAACCAACCAAUCCAUUAAAUCGCAAUUCGAGACUUUGCAAUUCUUUAAAAGGCAGAAACAAAGAUGCGUUGAGAACCCAAUCGCCAAAGCUCUGAUCCCUUGCUCCACUAAGAGAGAGUUCGAUCACUCGCCUUGUAGUGUUAUCACACUCGAUCCCAUCCCACUCACAACAAUUACUACUGUCCACCCAAUGUCUCAAGGAAAAGCCAUCUGGGUCGAUCAAAGAUUGGAUCUCCAAGAGACCAAUUCUCUCUUCCUCCAAACAUCCAUAACAACGACCAUACCAUUCGCCAACCAAAGUCAAUAAUAUUGCUAGCAACAUCCAAGCCCCCAUUCUUUUCAUCAUCAUCUUAGAUAAUUCUAUGUGACAUCAAGAACGUAGAAUAUUGUUGUUUGUUAUGUGCCUUUGGGCAACCAUAGAGGUCCUAUUUAUACUACACUGUGGCCAUUUCCGUGACUUUGAGAUGUUUUCUUUAUUUAAUUUCCAUGACUUUAUCUGCAUAUCUUGUGCAGGUUCGGUGUUUUGAGAUUUGAAUAUUAUUUUAUUUCUUUUUGGAAUAUUCUUGGAUUUGAAUAUUAUUUUAUUUUAUUGUUUAGCACUUAGUCUAUUUGCAUUUAAUUAUAUUUUGGUUACUAAUUAUUCAAUUUAUAAAAAAAUAAAAUAAAAAAAUUGUUGCAGUACUUCAACAUAACAUAUAUUUGUUUUUAUGGUGGGAAAGGUAUUCUUGACUUGUUUUUAUUACAUUUCAAUAUUAAAUAUAUUUUUUUCAAUCGAGUCAAAGAUAUACAAUUUAUAUUAGAAUGAGAAGACUAAUCAAUUUCUCUAGUUUUCUCCCUAAUUAUAAAAUACAUCUAAGAUAAAAGGAAUUUAUUUCUUGAAAUUAAUGCAUUAAAAAAUAUAAAAAUAUUUUUUAAAAAUUAAAAUAGUAGUAAAAGAAAAUUUAGUUUUUGAUUGAAGUGUAAACUAGUGGUCAAUGAACAAAAAGAAACUUUAUUGAUUAUCUAAUGAGUUACUUCUCCAAAAAGAAUAUAUAUAUUAUUGAAUAUCUAAAGGAAACGAUUCAUGAAACUCCGCCUAAUAUAUAUAUAUAUAACAGAGAAAUUGUCGAUAAUAGCAAUCAUUUUCUUAUCUCUUGUAUCAUUCAUAUCUUCCACAAAUCUUAAGUAAUUGAUGAGAAAGAUCGUGAACGCGGAUGCUUGACUUGUUGUGUGGCAUUUUGAUUUUUAAACACAACCAUGCAGUGAUUUCCUGGUGAUUUCCUUAUGCAUACUGGUGGUCCUUCAGAAUCUUGGAGGACCACCACAAGCCAAUCUAAAAAAAUGCUAAAAGUAAUCUUGAGGGUUGUAACUUAACUGGUCAGGUCCUGAGUUUGUUCCCCGAAGAUCACCAGUUCGAGUCCCACAAACCUCAGAGCCACUUGAGGCUUACAUGAUCAUUAACUUCAGGGCUCGUGGGAUUAGUCGAGAUGCACGCAAGCUGACCCGAACACCCACGUUAAUAAAAAAAAAUGCUAAAAGUCAAAACACACAAGCCAUAUAAAAAUCACACGACAGCCAAUUGCCUUAUCUUGUGAAAAAAAGAUCAAAAAAAAAAAAAACAUUCUCUUAGGUAUGCAAUGACUGCCUAUCUUCUCAUGGGGAGCAAAAAUCAGUAGCCUCCCAUGGAAUCCUAAUAAACCUUUCUCUGUGCUCUUCUAAGAUAUUAAAAAUGUCAAACAUACAUCAAUAAUCAAGAUUUGGGUCCUAGAUCAGACAAGUUAGCUUAUGUUGACUGGUGUUAAUCUAAAAUUGUAUCAUUUUAAGAAGAAAAAAAACUGUGUAGUUAAAAAAAAAAAACUAGUUUUUGACUGAGUUGAUUAGGUUCUUGGUUGAUUUAUCUGGUCGAUGAGGCUUGAUUGGGUCAACUCUCACUUGGUUUUUUCUAAACCUGAAUCCGGUCAGAUUCCAGAUUAAAAUGGUAGGCUUGAAUUAAAUUUAAUAACGCUGAUUAAAACCACAUUGUAGAAAAAAAAAUUGAAUUGCAUAAAAGUAAUUAACCGAAAACUUAUAUUCCUUCUUAUUGUCAAAGAACCAUCUCAACCCUUAAGCUAUUAGGUGAGGUCCCAAGAUAUGAUUUAUAUUAUUCUUUAACACACUCCCUCAAGUGAAAGCCCUUUGGGCUUGAAACUUGCAAAUGUCUACAUUACCUUGUGCUUGAUUUUUAUCAAAUUAAUGGGGGGUGAGAUUCGAACUCGUGACCGCUUGGUCAUCAAAGCUCUGAUAUUAUAUCAAAUAAUCACCUCAACCCAAAUUAAAACUUAAACUAUUAGAUGAGAUCCCAAGUUAUGAUUUAUAUUAUUCUCUAAGAACCCAUAUCAGUUUUUUUUAAGGAAAAGUAUGAAUCAAAGGUUAACGCUAGGCAGCUCACUUUGCAUGACAAUGACGGAUAUAGAAGACUUGCUACUUUCUUUAUGGAAAUAACGUGUGGAAAAUCAUGCCUUAAUGUUGAUGGUGAUGGCAAAAACAACCAGUAUCGUUGAUAAAAUGAACCACAAAUGAUAUUAUUUCUAAAAUACUUUUUUUCAUUGUCAUGACAACAAGUCUUCUUCUUUUUCUUUCUAAAGAGUCUAUUUUUUGUAACACAACCAACAAGUAAAAUGGAUAGGAAUUUGCAGUGUGAGAUGGGUCUGUGAGACUUUUGCCAUCUGCAUUUUUUCCAUGAUAUAGGCCAGUGAGAUAGUCCAUGAAACCAUUGCCCUGUAAGCAUUUAUGAGUUCGUGAGACCAUUUCCAUCUGCACAUUGGUCCCUGAAACCGUUGCCAUCAUGCAUUUUUUCCACGAGAUGGGUUCGUGGAACAUACUUUGGUUUAAUUGGGAAUGCUGUUAUUGAUUGAAAACUUUCUAAUUAAAAUAAAUUUGAUUAUUUGAUUGGAAGAAAUCCUUAAAUGUUAUUAACACAAGAAAUCAAUUUAUUUUCUUAAGAAAAAAAUAUUGUAACCAUAUAAGUAAUUUAUUUAUUUAUUUUAAUGAAAUAUAAAAUAGUUUUAAAUAAUCUUGUGGUAUAUUUCUUGUCUUUAAGAGCUAUGAACUUAUAUCUCAAAACUUGAAAACUAAUAUAAAGAUAUUAAGUGAUCAUUGAGUGUGUGUGUAUGUAUAUAAUCCUUUUCAAAACAAAAAGGAUUUUGAUGGAGAUCAGGACAUUGCAACAAAUUAUCCACGAGAUGGGUCGGUGAUACCAUUGUCAUCAUGUAAUUUUUCCCACGAGAUGGGGUCGUACGCUUGGGGCUCUAAAAGCUAUGGUUUUUAAUUUCAUCAGGUAUAUUUUAUUUCAAUUCUAAAAAUGAAAUAAAUUAGAAGAUAUUUCAUCUUGUUUAGAAUAUUAUCUCCUUACAUGCAUGAAUUUCACCUAAAUUUUGACCAGAAUAUAUCGGUUCUAUUCCGGCCAUUCUAUUAUGUCCAAAUAAUGUUUUGUUUUGCUUUUAUAUAUAUAAAAAAUAUAAUUUAUUUUUAUGAUAUCAAUUAUACCUUUCAAUUUGACUAUUAGAUUAGACUGAAAUUUUAUAAUCUCUUAAUAUGUAUUUAUAUCACAAGUUAAAAUUUUAGAGCAAUCAGAGUUUAGAAAGACUUGUGAAAUUACUGUUGAUAUUUUCAUAAUUUUAUUUAAAUUCAUAAUUUUUUUUUGAAAUGUUAUUUUUUGUGUUUUUUUAGAUUGAUUUUUUUUAAUUUUAUAAUUUAAUAAUAAAUUUAUUAAAAAUUAAAAUUCAUAAUUUAUUUUUAUUUAUUUUAUUUAAAAUUAUUAUAUUCUCAUUACUCAUAUCACGAAAAAAACCUUUGCUUUAAUUGGGAAUGCUGUUACAAGUAAUUGGACUCCGUGGGAUGGGAGACCGUUGCCAUCAUGCAUUUUUUUUCCACAGCAUGGGUCCGUAAAGUCCUCUAUAAAAGCUUAAACCUCCUUACUAUCCUCUAUAUCAAUUGAUCAGCAUUUAUAAGAUGGGGCUGUUCCUUCUGAUGCUGAUGGUUUUAGUAAUGAUGGUUUCUUGCAAGGAUGGCUGCCUCUUGGAGUAUAUUGACUUGAGAAUUAAUUGUUUUGAUAACAGUAUUUUAUUAUUUGUGGAGUUAUUUCUAUUUUUUAAAUUAUUAUAUUUAGAUUAUAAUAGAGUGAAAGAGUUAAUAGGUUUAAGAGAUUAGGAAAAAGCUAAUAUUAAUUAUAGUUAGGGACCAAACUGGAAUUUUUGCAUAUUUUUAAGGGUCAAAUUGUAAUUUUAUUAAAUUGAUGAAGGACCAAAAUGAAAAUAUCAUAUUUAUAACUAUACUGGAAUUUUGCCCAUAUUUCUUCUUUAAUUUUGCCUAGAAUCUCGGAUUAUGCUCUAGGGACCAAUCUGUAAUUUUUUUCAAAGUUUGGGGAUUAAACUGAAAUUUUCACAAAUUGAGGUACCAAGCUGAAAUUUUUUCAUCUUCAACCUCAUACCCAGAUUUUUCACAAAUCACCUAUUGAUAUAUCAAGAUUUUUAACUAGAUGAGGGUUUAGGUCAUAGAUUGGCCUAAUACUCAGAUCAAGAUUUGGAUCAAGUUAGCUUAUUGACUAGUGUUAAUAAAAAAUUGUAUUAUUUUAAGAUUUAAUUUAAUCAAAUAGAUUCAACUCCCAUGCCAUUCCACAAUUAAUUUAUUUUAUUAUGAUUUAGUGUUAUGUUAACCAGGCAACAUUUAAUUACCAUGAUAUAAAAUACAAAAAUAGUGGGAACAUAAAAAACAUGCUUUUAUAUAUUUUUUAUUUUAAAAGUACAAAUUUUACUCUAAGACUAUUGUAAAAAGAUAUUUAUUUUAAAUUUAUUUAUAUUUUUAUAAUUCAAAAAUUAAAAAUAAAACAGAAUUAAUCCAUACUCAUCUAAAAACAAUUAACUCUAACAUCAUUAUUUUAUAACAAAACUAGCAAAGAUAAUUUAUUAAUCACUAAGUUUUCUGGUUAUAAAUACAUUAGUAAUUGUCUUCGUCUCUUUUGUAUUUCUAACUAUUAACGAAUUGAAUAUAUAUAAUAAAUACCGAGUGAAAGAAUAAAUUUAGUUGUAUAAUGUACUAAAUAUUAAAUAGGUGACUUUAGAAUCACCAAGCAGUGAAUCACACGGGAAGAUUGAAAGAAUAAUUAAAGUGAUUUUAGUAACCGACAAGUUGACCCCAAGUCAAAAGUCUUUUGUGGAAAAACAUGAAUAAAAGGUUGAGGGUAAGGUCAUUGCUAUCAAGCGUUUUUUUCUACGAGAUGGGUCCGUUACACCAUUUCCGCUCAAGCUUGAGAAGUGAUGAUAUAUGCUUUAUUUUCAACUUGUAUAAAAAAUAAAUUUUAAUGUAGUGUGUUAGUGUUAAAUAAUUAUCUUAAUCUAAUAGUUUAAGCUGUUAGAUAAGGUCUCAAGAUAUGAUUUAUAUUAUUCUCUAACACACCUCUCAAGUAAAAACCCUUUGGACUUGAAACUUGUUCAGGUUCACAUUACCUUGUGUUUAAUUUUUAUCAAAUAAAUGAAGAUGGUGAGAUUCAAACUCGUAACUGUUUGGUCAUCAAGGCUCUGGUACCAUGUUAAAGAAUCAUCCCAACCCAAUAGCUUAAGCUGUUAGGUAAGGUCCCAAGAUAUAAUUUAUAUUAUUCUCUAAUACACCUCCUACUUUGUGUUUAAUUUUUAUCAAAUAAAUAGGGAUAGUGAGAUUCGAACUCGUGACCGCUUGGUCAUCAAGGCUCUGAUACCAUGUCUAAAAACUAUCUCAACCUAAUAGCUUAAACUGUUAGGUGAGGUCUUAGGAUAUGAUUUAUAUUAUUCUCUAACAAUAUUUUCUUCACUUUCUAUAUAGUUUUACCUUACACUAAUAUUGUCAGAAAAUGAUAUAUAGUUCUUGUGUUAUCCUUCAAGAUUUCAAUUGAAAAGGAGGGUCGUAAAAAAUUUAAUUUUUAUAAACAUACCCUUAACUUAAUUUGGAUGUGGAUAAUUGUUUGCAAUAUAUUUACAUCCAAUAUAAACAAUUCAUCAAUGAUCAAGUCGGCAUUGGUUAGCUAAAAUAUUGAAAAUACUUACUCUUUUUUUUUUUUUGGCCAUGCAGUUCCUAUAUAUAUAUAUAUAUAUAUAUAUAUAUAUAUAUAUAUAUAUAUUAGUUGAAAUUUCAUGAUGUCCAUUAAUCCUUUUAAAUUAAAGUCAAGUUAUUAAUUAUAUCCUAUAAAUUUCUAGAAAAACUAAUUCUCUCAAAUUUCGUCGUCUUUUUUACUAACUAUAGAAGGCGAUUGCUACAAACUAAAAUUUCAAGAUGAAAUUGAGAAAUCUGAAGGAGCAAACUGAGAAUCUACCAAAAUCUGACCAAGUCGUUUCACUAGUGGUUUCAAUUAAAAAGCUGAGAGGCAGGCAAUUUCCCAGAAACCCUCUUGGACCCCAUAAAUGAAAUAAUGACACAUGCCGGGGAACAUAGAAAAAUGAGCCUAUAAUCGAAUGAUCAAUACCGGCGAAAGAAAUCAAAUGGAGUAUAAGGUGAAGAGUAAGCCAUCGACAGCACUUUGGAGGCUAUAAUCGAAUCAGCUGCUUCUAUAUAUGCAAUGGGUCGCAUCCCAACUUGCAGACCUGAUAUGAAAUUGUUAUGAUGUUCGUUCUGUAACUAUCAAAACUCACUUAAUUCUGUAGUUUCCAUCUCUUUUUUACUUAACAUGUGAUGUUUGAGAGUGAAGGUAACUAUUGCUUUUUAAAAUAAAAUAUAAUUUAUGUGGUAUCUGAAUACAUAGGAACAAUAUCUGUGUGCCUCAUGCAUGCUUUUCAAAAUCAAGUUUGGGGUUUUUUACACCCAAAAAUCUAUUUUUCAAUUAUGUUUUCACCAAAACAAAAGCAACUAAAAAUCACUUAAUUAAAAGAUCAAAGUGAAUCUAUUUACUUUCUCAUACAAAAAUCAGUCCAAAAAUAAAAAAUAACUUAAAACCUAAAUUUUCUGAUAUCAUAUCUACUUUUUCAUGUAAUUUUAAGGUGAACACUCGAAUAAAACUACUUUUAUCUAAUGGACUAUUGACACAAAGAUUGACUAUUUUGAGGGCCAAAAUUGAUUUUAACCGAGAUUUUAUCUUUUUACCACUAGAAUUUAGCUACUCUCUUUUCUCUUUGAAACUAAAAAAAUAAAAAUAAAAAAAUGACCUUUUGAGUCAAAAUUGAAUCUUACAAAAUUAUAGGGAUUGAAGAUCUAUCAAUUGGAAGUAAGAAAAUCCAAGCUAACUUUUCGCAUUAAUUUUGAAAAAGCCACCUAGUGCCUUUGUUUUUUUCACUUUGAUCCCUUAACUCUCAAUCAUGCCCUUCAUCAAUAAAUUGAAAGAAAUUUAUUGGCGAAAUAAAUUUAUUUCGAAGCCCUUCAUCCUUUGCAAAAUUUACAAGAACAUACCUGAAAGUCCUUGUUGAGAAUCUUGGAGAUAGAGCAAAAUAGAGUGGCAAACAUUGAUACAAUGAACUGAACUUGCAGGACAAGGUCAAAAGUCAUGGCCUUGCCAGCCUUCAAGAAAGUAAACUCCAAUGCAGGCAUUAGAAACCCAUGAAGAGCUGCACCACCAAUAUUCAUGAAGAAACCCAAAAUAUAUUUUCCUUUAGACUCCCACUUGGUCUAUCUCCGUUCAUGUGAAAUACAAGAAUAAUAGACCCAAGGGUCAUCAAAAUCACCGCGUUUAUUCAGUAAUGUGUGAAGCCACUGAGCUAAAGAAUAAAUAAUCCAAGAAAAUUCCACCAAUUACCAUUAAUGUAAGGAAUUCCUGCUUCUUUUUUAGAAGAUCUUCUGGUUGUAUUUGGUUAAUAUCUCAUGCAGAAGAGACACAAAUAUAUAAAAGACAAACAAGUUUAAUUAAAGAGAUAGAAACAUAAAAUAAAUAUGUUUAUAAGAUAAUUUUAGAGUAAAUUUCUAUAUAUAUUUUCAAAUAAAAAACACAAAGAGACAUGUUCAGUACUUGUAUCAUAAGUUUUAUUAUCAUCAAACGUUUGCCUUUCACUACUUUUGCAUGUCUAUAAAGGAAUUUGAUUUCAUUCAAAACACAAUCUAAUAAUUUUGUAGAGAUAAAGAAGACAAGCACGUCGCAAACUGAUCAAUGGCCAUUGAAGUAGACAAAACAGUACUGACUAGCACCACCAGCUUUUACUUGCAUUUGGCUUGAAAGACGAGUGGACUACAUCAAGCAAAUAACAAAAAAAAGCAUGUAAAGAACUAUGAUUAAUUUAAUAAAAAGUAUCUUGCAGUAUUAGAAGGUUUCAGUGAUAUGCCUAUUAAAACAUAUUUGUCAAGUGAUUCUUUAUCCUACAUUGGUUAUAUAUUUAUUCGACGUGGUGGUACUAUUUGUCGUGAAUCCACAAAUACUAUUCAUCAUCAUAGUGUUCAUCUACAUGCAGAUCACUAUGGAUUGAAGCAGUAAUAUUUUUAAAAAAAUUUCAAUUUGGUUCUUAAAAUUUUAUUUCACAUGAUUUUAGCUCUUUUAAACCCAAAUUAUCACUCAAUUGCAUAUUUUUUUGGGAGAGAUGGUUGAAUUAAAAAACAUAGGACUGAAGUGAAAAAACAGGUGAAAUAGAUGGUGACCUUGAAAUUUCUCUUAAAAGUUCAUUUUUAUCCCCCAUAUUUUUUUUAGCUCUUAGGUGACCGGUCCCUUUAAUUUUUAAAAAUUUAAUUUUAAUAUUAAACUUUAUUUUUUUUAUUUUUCAGACUUUUUUAUGGGAGGAGAGAGAAAGUUGUCGUUGGUGAUGAUUUCAGCCAUUGAAAUAAUCAAUUUUUGUCUCAAAUAAUUCCAUCUAAAGAGAAGAGUUUGAAUUAAGUGUUUUGUUUUACCUUGAAAAUACCUAAAAAAUAGAUCCGAGCUCAAGAAGAUUUUUGAAUUCAGGUUGAUAUCAGAUUUUAAGGUGUUUUUUUUGUGUUUUUUUUAGUCCAUUAAUUGUUUAACAAGAUUUCUAAGGUAUUUUUUAGGAGUUUUAAAUAACAAAUAGAUUAAAAAUAAGUUUUUAGAUAAAAAAAUAUAAACAUCAGUUUUCCCGCUACAACAAUGGAUGGAAUCUAGAAAUCUAGAUGACACAUUAUCUUUUUUAAAAAAAAAAAACAGUGUCUGACCCCUUAGCUUAGAAAAUAAAAGCCCUUUGAUUAGCAGGCUUGUCAAUGUCUAAUCUCAUUCUUUCUUUCUUUUUUAAUUAGUACCUUUUUUAUAUAAUUUUUUAUUUUAUGUUUUACUAAUACAUCAUCUAUUGUUUUGGCUUAUUUAGAAUUUUUUAAAAUGAAAAUAGUUUAUUUAAUUAUAUUGAUUGUAUUUAAUUUUUAAAAAGGUUGAUAUGAUUUAUCUGUAAUUUUUUAUAUAAAUAUUUAUAUAUGGAUUAAAUUUACCUUUAAAAAAUUAAUUAAUUAUUUAUUAUAAUAUUUUUAAUAUGUACAGCCUUGUAUAAUAUUUUUUUCUCUCUUAUUUUAUUUAAUAAAUCUUAUAUUCUGGACAUAUCAGUAUGGUUGGUUAGGUUUGGUUUUGGGGUGAAAAAAGAAAAAUCCAACCACAUCAAAUUAAAUGUUAUGGUUUGUUUUAAUUCAAUUCAUUUUUUUAUUAAGAAACCCAAUUUCAUUCUUGGGUUUUUUAGUUGAUUUUUGUAGAUAGACUCUGAUGUAAUAGGCAUGGUUGUUUUUGAGGUUUUUUUAGUUUUUUAUUUUAAAAAAGCAAUUGUUUGGUUUCAUUCAGUUUAAUUUUUUUUAAUCUCUUAAAUCUAAAGCCAAUUUAAGAUCUUUUAAAACUUUCUAAUCGGUUUUUUUUUUAAUUUUAUAUUGGUUUUUUUUUUCAAUUAAUUUUAUGAUAAGAAUCUCGUUAUAAGAAGUAAAAGGAAAAAAAAAAAAAAACAAUUACAUGUCGCAGCCAUGUUUUCACAUGGCCUCCGUAAAGUUCGAACAUUAACAUGGUCUCUAGACAAUAAGAACCUGUUUGUAAGUUUAGCAGAAUUAUUUUUUAAAAUAUUUUCUAGUUUAAAAUAUAUUAUAAUAAUAUCUAGUUAAUUAUUUUUAACAUCAAUAUAUUAAAACGGUCUAAAAAUACUAAAUAAUUAAUUAAGUUUUUUUAUAAAAAAAAACCGGUUCAACUACGGGGCUAAGGAUGUGUUUGGAAGUAUGGUAGUAGUAAUUUUUCAAAGUGAUUGUACUUGAAAAUGUAUCAAAAUAAUAUUUUUUAUUUUUUAAAAAUUAUUUUGACAUCAGCCCAUUAAAACAAUACUCACAAAAUUGAGCAUCAACCUAAAAAUAAACACUUAUUUGAGACAAUUAUCCCUCGAAAGCAAACAAAAAGUAAUAAUGCAGUUCAUUUCCUAACCAAUUCAAUGUUAAAUGAUAAAAUCAAAAUAUUAAAAAUAAUUAAAAGACAAAAAAAACAUAUUAUAAUGGUGGGUAAACUCGUCAAACUUGUGAAUCGGGUAAGUCGAGCUAAUAUGACAAACCUGUAAAUUGGAUCAUUGACUCCAUUGGAAUUAUAAUUUGUUUUUUAAAGCUAUUUUCUUAGUUAACUAUAUGAUAAUAAAAAUAGAUAAUUACAAAAUCAAACACCAACUUAAUACCAAAAUGUUUUUAGAUCAUGAUAACCUCAUAAAAUGUGAAACAAAACCAAUUAUGAAACUAAAUUCACAAUUAAUCCAGUAUCCAAGGAUGAAAAAAAAAACUGAUUUAAAAAAGUUAAUCUUGUCAACUAGCCAAAUAUAUCCAUGGAAUUUAUAAAGUUUAAUAACAUAAUUUUUUCUAAAAAUUAUUUUUUUAACUAUAUAAGGAAAAAAUAGACUAUAAAAAAGUCAAGUUUAAUUAUAAAAAAAAAACCCCACCAAACUUGUAAACUAGGGCAACUUAGAUUACCUAGCAAACUCACAAACCAUGUUAACCUUAUAGAAAUGUAAAAUAAAAGAAACAAAUUAUAAAGUUAAAUUCUCAACCAUCUCAAUAUUAAAAGAUAAAAUUGAUAAAAAAAAAAUUUGAGAAAAAAAUCAUAACAAAAAUUAAAAAAACAAAAACAAAAAUGAAAGAAAGCAAAACAUUAUGGAUUACUAUUGUCAUUCACAAUACAAUGUGUGUGGGUGAACAAUGAUUUUCUCACACCCUUUAAUUUUUGUUAUUUUAUAAAGUUUAAUAACAUGACUUUUCUCUAAAAGUUUUUUAAUUAUAUGAGAAAAAAAUAGACUAUUAAAAAAGUCAAGUUCGAUUUUAAAAAAAAAUACAACCCACCAAACUCGUAAACCAGGGAACCCUAGGGUACUUUGGCAAACUCAUAAACUACACUAAUCCCAUAUAAAGGAAAAAAAAACAAACAAAUUACGAAACUCAUUUCUCAACCAUCUCAAUUUUAAAAAAUAAUAUUGACAAAAAUAGAUUUUAAAAAAAAUCAUAAUAAAAUUUCAAAAAAAAAGAAAAAAAAAAGCAAGACACGGUGGAUUAUUAUUGUAAUACAUAGUGUAAUGUGUGCUGGGUAAACAAUGGUUUCCCCUACAUCCUUUAAUUUUUAUUACUUCAUAAAAUUUAAUAAUAUGGUUUUUCUCUAAAAUUAUACUAUAAAAAAGCCAAGUUCAAUUAAAAAAAAACCUCACCAAAUCCAUAAACUGGGGUACCCUGAGUUACCUCGACAAAAUCGCAAACCACAUAGAAAGAAAAAAUAAAAAGAAAAAAAAUUAAAUUUAAAUUCUCAACUAUCUCAAUAUUAAAAAUGAAAUCAAUAAAAAUAAUUUUUUUUAAAAAUCAUAUAUAAGAAAAACAAUGAAAAGGAAAACAUCAUGUGUUCAAGGGAAAAAAAAAACAAAUAAUAUGAGGAAAUAUUAUAGCAAUCUAUAAUGUUUUAUGAGAAUAAUUGCAGUGCUAUCCCCAUAUAUUUUAAUUUUUCUUAUGAUAAUAAUAAUUAUAGUCUCUCAUGUCUCACAACUUUAUUUGUUUUUCUUGAAUAAGUGCUAAUGUUCUUUGAGGGGUCCAAGCACCAUAUAUUGAAAGAAAGAACUAGUUCAAAUUGAAGCACUAUUAGUUUUAGAAGCACCAUGAAGAUUCAGGCGUGUAAAGAUAUCAAAGGCUCCUGCCACAUGUCAAAAGAUUAGAGAAUGAAAUUGUUAGAAUACUGUUAGUAACUGUUAGUAUUGUUUGUCAGUUAAGAGAAUUAGUUAGCAUUGUUUCAGUGAAAUAAAAAGAGAAUAGAUAACGUGCAUAACCUUUCUACUAUAGCAUAUAUAAACAUGUCAGAUAAGAGAACUGUAAUCAAUUAAUAAAAGAAUCAGUGCUAAAGUUCUUCUUCUUCUUCUUCUCUGUUUAACAGAAUCACUCUCUGCUUUUCUUCAUCUUUAUUCUCUGUUUUUCUUCAUCUCUAUUCCUUUUCUGUGUAAAUCUUACUGUCCUCACAAGGCCCACAUCUUGCUUAUAAUACCCAAGAUCCUAGCACCUUGUAUUUAUAAACGCUAGACACAGCUGCUGUUUCAAUGAAUAAUUCUCCACGCUAUUAUUGAUAAAUAUUGUGUGCUAUAUAUACAGCAGUGUGGAAAUUCAGUUUAGGAAAAAUAUAAAUGGUAAUGCUAAAACUAUGCUAUUACAAUAUACAGCUGCAGAAUUCAAGUUUGGAAUCGGCUCCAAAUAUAGCGUUAAUGGCAGAAUCUUUGCCAUGAUUUUCGGCUACACCUUCUCUGUUUUGAUUUGAGCAGAUUCUCUGCUAGUUUCCCUGAUAGUAUUUAAAUGAAAGAAAAAGAGAAGGGCAAAAGACUGCCAUGAGGCAACCUCAAGUAUCAUACACCUCUGUUUUUGUCCUUUUCAUUUUUCACGUGUUUCUCACAAGAAGCGAACAUAAAGUGCUGGAAGGAAUUUUUUGUUGCAGCGUGAGAUAAGUUUAACUCAUUGCAUUUUCAUAAAUUAAAGGGCUUUGUCUUCUUUUCUUUGUCAAUUACAGUGCAUGUAUAAAAGUUUUAUUGCUCAGAGUAAAUGCUAUUGUAAUGUUUUCGCAGAGACUCCCCUGCUUUGCAACCAAUUCACUUAUAUAUCUUGGAGCAUAGUCAUAGCCAUAAAUGGAAGGUUCUUCCGGUUCAAGAAAAUUAACCACGAAGCUCGUAACUAGAAUUUAGAGUGACCAAGGUCUUUUUCAAGAACAAGGGAAGUGUGCAAAAUGCAAAUAACGAAUCAAUACAUAAAUAAUUAAGUAAAAAGAGAGGACACAGAAGUAUAUCCUCAGACGAUGAAAAUACAGAAAGCCUAGCAUAUUAGAAAGAGCAUUUAUCCAUUUUCCCCCUUCUCUUGUAACAUGGACUGCUAAGAAAUCUAAUGUUUUGUUAUUGAUACGUGAGUUCAGUCUGAUUAUCUGUUGUGCAUACUGGACCGAAAGCAAACACAAAUAAAACACAAACAAGCAGAUUUACGUGGUUCCCCAAAACCGGGUACGUCCACGGAGGCAGCAGAUUGUAUAUUAUUGGAGGAAUGAUACAAACACUCAACUCAACCCAGUACAAUCCCACAAAACCCAGUGUUUCACUCUUACACUCGGUGUUUCUCUCAAAUCUGCACUCUUUCACUCUCACAGUUGCACUAUUUUCUUCUGCACACUUGCACUCACACUGCACUCUCUCGUUCCUCUCUUCUAUCUUCUAUCUUUCACACACAUUUACAGGAGAAAGGAAAGCAUAAAUAUAAUGGAUGAAAAGGAGAGGGUGGUUGAAAAGGAGAGAGUGGUUGAUGGUUGUUGAGAAAAAAUAUUGACAAUUAGCAAAUGUUGACAAUUUGCUACAAAUCUCCACCUUGGCAAGAUUUUUCCAUUCAAUCCUCGUGAACAAUCAAUGCUACCUCCAAUGCGUCAUAUGACGCUGCACCCUGAAGGUGCUCAACACCGAGAGAUGUUGACCAAGUCCAAACAAUGUUGGAACUUGAUCCCUGAGACACAUUUUGUGAGCAUGUCAGCUGGAUUAUAUGCGGUACCAAUCUUCUGUAGCAGAAUAUCCCCUUCAUCCACAAUUUCUCGAACAAAAUGAAAUCGAACAUCGAUGUGCUUGGUGCGGGAAUGAUGAACCUGAUUCUUUGCAAGACAAAUAGCACUUUGACUAUCACAAUGGACAUCCACGUGCUCUUGAACAAUUCCCAAAUCUUCAAUCAACCCAUGUAACCAAAUAGCUUCCUUGAAAGCUUCCGUUACUGCCAUGUACUCUGCCUCAGUUGUUGACAAAGCUACUGUUGAUUGUAACGUUGACCUCCAACUUACAGGCCCUUUAGCAAGUGUAAACACGUAGCCUGUUGUGGAACGACGUUUGUCUAAGUCACCAGCAUAGUCCGAGUCCACAUAACCAACUAAAUUUUGCCCAAGUCUAUCAUCCCUCUCAAACUUCAAACCAAUAUCAGUUGUGCCAUGAAUGUACCGUAGAAUCCACUUAACUGCCUGCCAGUGACCCUUUCCCGGAUCAUGCAUAUACCUGCUCACCAUACUGACAGCAUGUGAAAUAUCUGGUCUCGUACAAACCAUUGCAUACAUUAAUGCACCAACUGUAUUUGCAUAAGGAAUUUGAGCCAUAUGCUUGCGCUCUUCCUCUGUGCGUGGAGACAUUGAAGCACUUAGCUUAAAAUGAGGAGCUAAAGGUGUGCUUACAGGCUUGGUCUUACCAUCUACCCCAAAUCUCUGUAGAAUUUUCUUCAAGUAUUGGGUCUGUGUCAAACAGACUGUGCCUUUUCUUCUGUCUCUCUGAAUCUCCAUGCCAAGAAUCUUCUUAGCUUCUCCAAGGUCCUUCAUUUCAAACUCAGUGCUCAGUUGAGCUUUCAGUCUAUCAAUCUCCACCUUGCUCUUCGAUGCGAUCAACAUAUCAUCCACAUAUAAGAGCAAAUAGAUGAAAGAACCAUCAAGAAGUUUGCGAAAAUAUACACAGUGAUCAAACUGACUCCGUGUGUAUCCAUGUUCUGCCAUGAACUUAUCAAAUCGCUUAUACCACUGGCGAGGAGAUUGUUUCAAUCCGUAUAAUGACUUCUUCAGUUUACAAGCCCAAUUCUCUUUCCCAGUGACUUUGAAACCAUCUGGCUGAGACAUGUAAAUUUCCUCUUCCAAAUCUCCAUGUAGGAAGGCAGUUUUCACAUCAAGUUGGGCUAACUCCAAAUCAAACUGUGCAACCAAGGCUAACAGAAUACGGAUUGAUGAAUGCUUAACAACUGGAGAGAAUACCUCAUUAUAAUCUAUCCCCUCCUUCUGAGCAUAGCCUUUUGCUACCAAUCUCGCUUUGAAUCGGAUGUUGUCUUUUCCAGGAUUACCUUCCUUCUUGGCAUAUACCCACUUGCAACCAAUUGUCUUCUUUCCUUUAGGGAGUUGUACCAAAUCCCAAGUCUGAUUCUUAUGGAGAGAUUUCAUCUCUUCAUCCAUUGCCUCUUUCCAUUUUGCACUUUCUACACUCUGUACUGCUUCUUUGUAGGUGUAGGGGAUUCCAUCAUCAAUCACCGGAAGUGCAUAAGCCACCAUGUUACAAUACCGAGCAGGUUUCUUGAUAACCCUUUUUGGUUUACUCGUUGCAAUGGAUUCUUGUUGUGUGGUUGCUGGAGUUGUUGCAUCCUCUUCAUCUGAACUUUCAUCUGAAUCUCCUUCAGUAGAGAUUGUCUGAACAGUCUUUAUAGGGAUGACUGAAGUCUCCAACUCCACCUGUUGUGCAUCACCAGACUGUUUUUCCUUCUCCUGUGAUUUCUCUUGCUGUAACAUGCCAGACUCAUCAAAAGUGACAUCUCUACUCAAGAUCACUUUCUUUGAUUCAGAACACCAGAGUCUGUAGCCUUUUACUCCUCCACUAAAGCCCAAAAAUAUAGCUUUCUUGGCUCUAGGAUCUAGCUUGGACUCAGUAACAUGAUAAUAUGCUGAGCAACCAAAUAUACGCAUAGAGUCAUAAUCAUUUGCAGGAGAGCCUGACCAUACCUCUAAGGGGGUUCUUCCAUUUAAUGCUGCUGAAGGUAACCGGUUAACAAUAUGACGAGCAUAACUUAAUGCCUCGCCCCAGAACACUUUGCUUAGUCCCGAAUGUGAUAGCAUACAUCGGACUUUCUCCACCAAUGUGCGGUUCAUGCGUUCUGCUACUCCAUUCUGUUGUGGUGUUUUGCGAACAGUAAAAUGUCGCUUGAUCCCUUCAUUCUGACAAACUUCAAAGAAAGGAUCUGAAGUGUACUCACCACCAUUAUCUGACCGAAGAGUCUUAACCCUCCUUCCAGUUUGAGUCUCCACCAUUUUCUUCCAUUUCAGAAAGAUAUCAAGGACCUCAUCCUUGUGUUUCAUCAUGUACACCCAUACUCGUCUUGAGAAAUCAUCAAUAAAAGUAACAAACCAACGAUUACCUCCAAGAGAUUCAUUCUUUGAAGGUCCCCAUACAUCUGUGUGAACAUAAUCUAGGAUCCCUUUUGUGUUGUGUACUGCAGUGCCAAACUUGACCCUUGUCUGUUUUCCAAGAACACAAUGCUCACAGAACCCAUGCUUCCCAGUCUUGGCGCCUUUUAAUAGACCUUGCUUGACUAAUCCUUGCAAAGCCUUUUCACCAGCAUGCCCUAAGCGCAUGUGCCAAAGUCUGGAAUUAUCUGCUUCAUCAUCUUCUAUACUUUUGGAAACAGCUGCUGUACCAGUAACUGUAGAUCCAUCCAGGAAAUAUAAGUUUCUUAUCCUCGUGCCUCUUAAGACAACUAAUGCACCACGAAUUGCUUUCAGGACUCCACCAUGCAUGAUAAUCUUAUAACCACUGGAUUCUAGGACUCCAAGUGAGAAGAGAUUUUUCUUCAAGUCAGGUACAUACCGUACAUCUGUUAGUGUCUUGACUACCCCAUUAUGCAUCUUCAGAUGGAUAGUCCCAAUCCCUUUGAUCUCACAAACAUCAUCAUUACCCAUCAACACAACUCCUCCAUCGAACUCCUCGAGUCUCGAGAAUAAGUGCUUGUUAGGGCACAUGUGAUAGGAACAUGCAGAAUCAAGAAUCCAUUCACCAGAAUGGUUUUCUGGUGAUGAGACCAUGAAUGCAGAGUCUCGUUCAUCCUCAUCCCGUGCAACGUUCACAGUUGGUUCAUCUUUUUCCUUGUUGCCCUUGAUUGGACAAUCUUUCUUCCAGUGCCCUUUUUUGUGACAAAAGGCACACUCAUCUUUUGCAAGAUAUCGUCUGUUUGAUGAUUCUCCUCUGGAUUUUGAGCGAGAUCUCCCUCGCCCUCGAAAUCUUCUGGGGUUUGUUCUGCCUCUAACUGUCAAUGCUUCUGACGUUGACUCCUUGUGAACAAUCUGGUCCUUCUUUCGGUACUCAUUAUUCACCAAAGCAUUGGACACAUCAAUGAAUUUAAUCUUUUCUUUACCAUACAGUAAAGUGGUGACGAGAUGUUCAUAUGUGUCAGGCAGUGAAUUCAAUAAUAGCAGAGCUUUAUCUUCAUCAUCAAUUUCCACAUCUAAAUUCUUCAAAUCAGCUAUCAUUUUAUUGAAAUCAUUUAGAUGCUCAUUCAUAGAAGUACCUUUCUUGUGCUGAAAACGGAAGAUCCUUUUCUUCAGGUAGAGACGAUUCUCUAUACUCUUCUUCAUAAACUUGUCCUCCAGUGCUUGCCAUAAUUCCUUUGCAGAGUUUUGUUCUGAAAAGGCGUACUUCUGAUCCUUUACAAGACAAAGUCGGAUGGAACUGCAGGCCAACCGAUUUAUCCUUUCCCAGCUUUUAUCAUCCAAAUCCUCCGGUUGAUCUUCUAAAGUGAAAUCCAAAUUCAUUUGGACAAGCAUAUCCAUGACUUCACAUUUCCACAUGCCAAAAUUACCUUUCCCAUCAAACUUCUCCACCUCAAAUUUGGUAUUCGAUACCGGGAUGUAUUGUGGAGGUAUACUAGCAUUCCCCGCUGAUUUUUCUUCUGGAAUAUCAGCCAUUAGGACGUCUUUGGAUUACAAAUGGACUCCUGAAAUUGUUAAAACACGCACUUUUAUGCUCAAAAGAGCCAAAACAGUAACUUCGGUGUGCUGUUUCACAAAACGGACAUCACGGUUGCGUCCGGAAUGGUUGAAAAUGCUAGGAACCAACUUGACUCGGCCAAAAAACAGGUCAAAAAUCACUGAGUUGGCCAAAAAACCAAUCUGACCGAGUUGACUCAGGGAAGGAAUAUUCUGUCUCUGAUAAAGAAUAUUCUGUCACGGGAAUAUUCUGUUACUGGUAACGGAAUAUUCUUAUUCUGUCAAGAGAAUAUUCUGUCACUGUUAGAUGACAUGUCUGAUGACGUGGCUGAUGACAGGGCGAUGUGGACCCUCUGUUGAUGACGUGGAUGAUGACUCAGCGCCUACGUGUCGGAUGACGUGGCUGUCUUCUCAGGCGAGAAUUCCGGCAAUGACUGGUUUUUCCGGCAGAUUUCCGGCGAAACUUCGGCGAGCUCUACAGGGCUCGUUUCAACUCCGAUUUCGAUGAUCUUUAUAUCGCCGGACUCGUAUGGACGAGAGGAAUCUCCUCAGCUGGUCAAAAGCAAGAUCUGAGAACUUUGAAAAUUCUGCAACUUUGAACAGAGAGCUGAAAAACGUGUUUUUUCAGUGUUCUAGCUUCCCUAAUGCUCUGAUACCAAUUUGUUGUGCAUACUGGACCGAAAGCAAACACAAAUAAAACACAAACAAGCAGAUUUACGUGGUUCCCCAAAACCGGGUACGUCCACGGAGGCAGCAGAUUGUAUAUUAUUGGAGGAAUGAUACAAACACUCAACUCAACCCAGUACAAUCCCACAAAACCCAGUGUUUCACUCUUACACUCGGUGUUUCUCUCAAAUCUGCACUCUUUCACUCUCACAGUUGCACUAUUUUCUUCUGCACACUUGCACUCACACUGCACUCUCUCGUUCCUCUCUUCUAUCUUCUAUCUUUCACACACAUUUACAGGAGAAAGGAAAGCAUAAAUAUAAUGGAUGAAAAGGAGAGGGUGGUUGAAAAGGAGAGAGUGGUUGAUGGUUGUUGAGAAAAAAUAUUGACAAUUAGCAAAUGUUGACAAUUUGCUACAUUAUCUGCGUAAAAUAUCUCUGGAGAUGCUUUCGAUGGAGAUUAGGUCUCAAAACGCUAUGCCCACUGCCCCCAUGGAUCCAGAGCGUGAAAAUGAAGCCGAGCAUUGAAUUUCUAAACAUCAUUUCCUUUUGUUUUAUAUUUCGCAUUGUUACCAAACUCUUUUACAUUUUAUUGCUGCAUAUAUUGCUAUGUAUAUACCAUGCUUUAAUCAAAACCUAUAAUGCAGGAAUAUCUGCAGAUGGCCAUUCCCAAAGGGAAAACUAAUCUUCCCUAGAAUAUUACAAAGUGCCAUUUCUACAGUGAGAAUAGCGUUUCGUUUUGGUUGUUUUGUUGAUGAUAACUAGAUCUUAAAACUAAUCCCUGUACUUUUACAUGAUGCUAUAAACUGGUCCCUUUUAUUAGUAAAAUGUUGAGCCAGUCAAUUGAUUAUUUAAAAAUCUUGAGGGAUUAAUUUGUUUGUUUCACAAAAAAAGACACUGAUUAAAUAAAAAAAUUAUCAUCAUAUGCAUGAGUGUUUACUUGUCCAACAACAGUUUGCAAGGGGCAGAUCCUUGGAUGGAUAUUAGAGGUGAGCAAAAAAACCAAUAAACAGAUUAAACAAAGAAAACAAAAAACAAAUAACCGAAAAAACCGAACCGAAAAAAAACUGAAUUAACUGAUUAAAAAAUCACAAAAAAAUUCCGGUUCGGUUUGGUUUCGGUUUCUAAAGUCUGAAACAGAUUGAACCAAACCGGUUAAACCAUGCCAGCACUUAAAAAAAAAAAGUAUAAAUAUGAUGUUUUUUCUAACACUAAACCUAAAGUAACAUUCAGUCGCGACCCCCGCCCCCCCUUCCCUUUGCUCUCUACAUCUCUUCUCUUUGAUUUUUCUUCAUGCUCCACAAUUGUUACUUGUUAAGCUCCUGCUCCAUGCUCCUAAAGGUCCUAAACCAACGCCCCCCCCCCCCCUUCUCUGCCUCUCAUCAUCUUCUCACAACCCCUCCUUUUUUCUCCCUUUUUCUCUCUGCCUCUCAUCUCUCCCCGUAGCCCCCCCUCCUUUUCUCUCUAUCUCUCAUCUCUGCAUCUUAUCUUCUCCACUUCAAGUUUGUGGGCACUGGGCAGAUAAAAAAAAGAGAUGGCUUUUUGAUGAUUAAGAUUCUAACUCCACUUCAAGUCCAUCCCUGCAUCUUGUGGGUUUUUGCUUUUUUUUUAUUAUGCUAUAAUUUGCUUGUAGUUUGUGGGCAAAUAUGUUUUUCAAAUAUGUCUUGGUCAUGUAAAUUGGAAUAAGUUUCUGAAUAACAAAAAUGAGAUUUGCUUUUCGGUUUUAUCGGUUGUCAUAACCCAAUUUUUUACCCUUUUAUUUUAAUUUUAUGAUAAAAAGAAAAAAUGAUGAAAAAAUAUAUAUAUAUAAUAAUGAUGAAAAAAAUAAAAAUGAAAUAAAUGAAGAAUGAAUUAAAAUUUGGGUUAAUGGCAACAUGAUUGGACGCUUAAAGAUUUAAUUUUUGACUUGUCUAAUUAAUCAAAUCAAUUGUUUAAUUGGAGAAUUGAUAAGUUUUGGGACUUAAUUAAGCUUGAAAUUAAUUUAAUUAAUCCAAUCAAGGGUUUAAUUGGAGAAUUGAUAAGUUUUGAGACUUAAUUAAGCUUGAAAUUAAUUUAAUUCAUCCAAUCAAGGGUUUAAUUGGAGAAUUGAUAAGUUUUAAACUUAAUUGGACUUUGGAUUUAAUUAAAUUAAUGAAAUCAGGGACUUAAUUGAAGAAAUAGCAAAGUUUGGGGUUAAUUGGGAGUCCCAAUUGUGAAAUUAAAAUCCAAGGAUUACAUUGAAAAAGGCGCGCAAAUGCAGGGGGCCAAUUACAGUUUAAACCAGGGGUUUAAUUACAAGACUUUCAAAACUGCAUGGAUCAAAACGAAAAAUGGCCGAACGACGUCGUUUUGAAGAUGUUGUUCAUCUUCUUCUCCUUUAUGCCAGUGACCGUUUCCGCAGUAAUGGAGGGAGGAACAUUGCAGCAGUAAUCGUCGUCCGUUGGCUUCAGUUAUGAGCGCCUUAAUGGUGGCCGACUGUUAGCCUACCGCCCGUUAUCAACCCGCCAAGGCCUAUAUAAACCGAGCAGCACCGAAGAGGAGCGAGGUUAGAGGGAGAGAGAGAGAGAGAAAAGAAACCGAAAAGAAGAGAAACACAACCAAAGCACACAAUUUUUAGGUUCAUCUCCAGAACUCCCAUACCAGAACUAGGCUUCCCUCACCAGUUCUGACUUAAGAAAAACGAGAGAGAAAACCGGCCGAAAGAGAGAGAGACGGUGUUCUGAAAAACAGAGCAAAAGAAACGAAGAAAAAUAAACCAAAACAGAGACGCAGGAAAGGAAUACAACAUGAAAACCAGAAGGAGUAAGAAGAAAUUCGAAGGCAGAAGCGUCGUCCUCAGCAAUCACGAACAAAUUCCCUGCAAACGAACCAGGUAAGUCUUCUGCUCUGUUUCCCUCGCUUUGCCUUAUUUCAUUUUCGACGUCCGUGUUUAAUUCAAUAACAGGGCCAUGUACGCGUGAUUUAGAUCACGCGUGCCUAGUGUGGCCCAGCCAGGUCACUGGCUUGGGCCAGUGACCGGGCUGGGCUGGCUGGGUCUAGCCCAGCCCAUGUGGGCUGAGCUGGGCACAGCCCCAAAAACAUAAAAAAUAGAAAAAUAGAAAAAUAGAAAAAAAAUAAUAAUAAUAAAAAAAUAAAAAAGUAAAAAAGGUAGAAAAAAUAAAAAAUGUGUAUGCAUAAAUAAAAAUAAUAUGAAUUUAUUGGUGUAUUCAUUGACGCCAGAGUCAGGAAUAAAAAUACCGGUUUAAAUUUAUAUUAUUUUUAUUCAUUGUAUUUUAUUUUAUUUAGCUAGAAAAUAAAAAAAUAUGUGCAUGUGUAAAAAAUAAUUUUUUUUAUGUGAAUAUUCACUUGCGCCAGAGUCAGGAAUAUUAUAAGAAAAUUAUCAUAGCAUAAACUAAUAAAUAUUUAGCAAUUUAAGACAAAACUAGCAAUGCAGUCUGCCUCAGGCAGAACGUUUAAGGGGUGAUAAUAUCUUCCCUUUUACGUAAUCAAUCCCGAGCCAUAGAAUCUCUGAUGACCAGUUAGGGUUCCUAGUGACCGUAAUACUAGGUGGCGACUCCUUAUACAAGACCUUUUCCCCUAAAAGAACAAGAUGCCAGAAAUCUGUUCUUUUUUCACAAUCUAGAAUUAUUUGUGGGCCGCCGUGAUGUCGGGUGCGACAUCGGUUUUUGAACAACAAAAGUCGAACCGAACCGAACCGAAACCAAUAAAUUUGAACCGGUUUCGGUUCGGUUUUGAUUUUAAAUUUUAAAAUUAAUAAUGUCGGUUUGGUUAAUUUUUUCAUGUAAAAAUUGAACCGAACCGAACCGAAAAUGAUCACCCCUAGGGAAUAUGUCUUCUCUUGAAUUCUUGAACCUAUCAGGGGACAAUUUCUCUGGUCUUUUACUGCCUAGAUUCAGCAAUUCCUCAAAAUUGAGAUAUGUUUAUUUGUCUAGAAAUAAAUUGCAAGGACCAAGCGCAAUAAAAUUUUAUGAUUCCUUUGAGAUAUUAGCCUUAGAUCUUUCCCAUAAUGAUUUAACUAGUAGGAUUCCAGAAUGGAUUGACAGGUUAUCUAACUUGAGAUUUCUACUUUUGAUUUAUAACAAUCUUGAAGGUAAAAUCCCAAUUCAAUUAUGCAAGUUCGACCAAUUAACCUUGAUUGAUCUAUCUCACAAUUAUCUUUCUGGUAACAUCCUCUCUUGUAUGAUAUUUACUCAUCCUUUCCCUAUUCAAUACAAUUCUCGUGAUUUUGUGUCCUUAUCACAACAACCUUUCGAGUUUACAAUGAAGAAUGUAUCUCUUUUUAAUAGAGGCAACAUUAUCUGGAAUUUCACUGGAAUUGAUGUCUUAUGCAACAAUUUCACAGGAGAGAUUCCCCGUGAAAUUGGAAGCCUCAGCAUGAUCAAGGUAUUGAAUCAUUCCCACAACAUUCUAACUGGACCAAUUCUAUCAAUAUUUUCAAACUUAAAGGAAAUAAAGAGCUUGGAUCUUUCCUACAACAAAUUGGAUGGAAAAUCCCAUCUUGACUAUAGAAUUUUUCAGUGUGGCACACAAUAAUCUGUCUAGCAAGACUCUUGCAAGAGUUGCACAAUUUGCCAUGUUGAAGAGAAUUGCUACAAGGGCAACCCUUUUCUUUGUGGAGAACCGCUACCCAAAAUAUGUGGUGCAGCUAUGCCACCAUCACCAAUGCCAACUUCAACGAACAAUGAGGAUCAUGGUGGCUUCAAUAAUCUGUUUGAAGAGAGCUGCUACAAGGACAACCCUUUUGCAUGUGAGCUUUAAGGUUGCAUAGAUCAUGGUGUUGUUGGUGAUAGGUGCAAUUCUGUACAUAAAUUCAUAUUGGUGACAAGCUUGAUUUCACUUUAUUGAGGUGAGCAUCAAUAAUUACUAUUAUUUUCUUGUGGAGAAUCUUUCCAUUUUAUCUAAGUUUGGAUUUUCAUAGCCUUUUAUCUUGAUGGUACUAAGCCUUGGUGCAUUGUUUUGGAUUUUAGUUUCAAGAUUUAAAUAAGUUUAUAUUGAUUUUCAUAUGAGUUUUGUUUUUGUUUUUAGCUUCUAUGUGAUAUAUAAUAAUCAAGUUUUUUUUUUUUUUUAAAGGUUAUCUAAGUUUUUUUAGCUGUUUUUUUUAUGCUUUUUAGGAUUUUUUUUUUUGCUUUUUUCUUUAUUUUUUUUAAUUAAUUUUUUUCGUUUAGUUUAGUUUGUUAAUGUUAAAUUUCUUUCUAUUUAGUUAUUAGACUUUCAUGACACAUAUCUCGAGUUUCACGGGUUAACCUGGUUUCACGGGUGAACCCAGUUAAUUCCGGGUUGACCCGUCAAUUUUUUAUUAUUAUUAUUUUCAUAAAUAUUUUUUUUUAAUUUAGUUUGUUAAUGUUAAUUUUUUUUUAUUUAGUUAUCAGACUUUCAUGACACAAAUACUGGGUUUAACAGAUUAACAUGGUUUGACGAGUUAACCCGAAUUUUUUUUCUUUUUAAUUAAUUUUUUUUGUUUAGUUCAGUUUGUUAAUAUUCACUUUUUUUUAUUUAGUUACCAGACAUUCAUGACACAGAUCCCGGGUUUAACGGGUUAACUUGGUUUGACGAGUUAACAUGAAUUUUAUUUUAUUUUUUGCUUUUUUUUUCUUUUUAAUUAUUUUUUUUCGUUUUGUUUUGUUUAGUUUGUUAAUGUUAAAUUUCUUUCUAUUUAGUUUUUUUUCUUCUUAGAGGUUUUUUUUCUUUUAUUUGUUAUUUUUAAUUAAUUUUAUUUAAUUAAUUUAGUUUAUUAAUAUUAAAUUUUUUUCUAAGUAGUUCUCGACUGAUGCCUUUAGUUUUUUUUUUAUGCCUUUGACUGUGAACUGCACAGUGCAGUCCACUGUGAAAAGGCUGAUGCUUUUUUUUAAUUAAUUUUUUUUGUUUAAUUUAAAUUGUUAAUGUUAAAUUUUUUUCUAUUUAGUUAUCAAACUUUCAUUACACGGAUUCUGGGUUUGACAGGUUAACCUGGUUUGACGAGUUAGCCUAGUUAAUUCUGGGUUAACCCAUUAAUUUGUUUUUUUCUUUUUAACUAUCAAGCUUUCACGAUGCAAAUUCAAUGUAUGACGGGUUAACCUGGUUUGAAGGGUUAACCCAAUUAAUUCAUUUUUUUUUUCAUUAGUUUUUUUUUCCUGUUAGUUUUUUUUUAACUAAUUUAUUAAAUUAUCACACUUUUAUGACACAACCUUGCAGCCAGACCCAUGUCCAAUGUUAUUGGGUCUGGUAUUGCAAUCCAGACAUUUUUAUGCUAAGGGUUAACCCAAGUUUAAUGUUAUUAUUAAUAUUAUAAACAUUACUCUUAGAUCAGGCGUUGCAACCAAACCUGAGACUCUUGGGUAUAACUUUGUAAAAAAACCUAAUACUUUUAGAUCUUAACUAUUUUUAAAAUGCAAAAAAUAAUUGACCUGCGGCAUCGCGCGGGGCAUGUAACUAGUAGAUUACUAAAGGGGAUCGAUUUUGAUUAUGAUUUGGUGUGGGAAAUUCUCUGCGUGCCUACAUAGAGUGUGGCUUCUUGAAACUCCAAAAAAUAUAUAUAGGUGUUUGCCUAAACCAGUAUUGGGCAGAUAAAGAUAAGCCAGGAUUGCCGAGGAAGAGGCUGUUCAGGUAGUCCGAACAGGGAUCUAUAAUCAUUAGUUAUAUAAUCAACCCUAAUCAGAAUUUCCCAAGAAAGAAUUAACUAAAGACUUCAGUUAAUGCUGAUGAACACGAGUAAAGGAUUUGCUAAAGACAAAACCAUGUAUUUAAGAACCAUUGCUAAGCUACAGGUUCUGGAGCCACAAACCACUCACAUUUACUGGGGUUGAUCCCAAAUUGAGACAAAUCUAUUUGUCCGGUUCGGAGAACCUUCAAACAAAAAGAAGAGUUAAACCUUGUAAAAUUGACUAUAUAUCAUCAAAAGGACAAGAAACACACAGGAAACCUCAUAAUUACCUCAGAAUGCACCGACGUAAAACACACAGGAAAUCCCAACACAUCAUAAGACAACAAAAGAAAACAUAUAUUUAGCAGAAUAAAAAGGUUGUACAAUUCUUUCACAGCUUACAGUACGUAUAGAAUAAGCAUUAAUAAUUACCUUCAUCUGGAUCACCCGAACUACCUGCAACAUGUAUCAUCACAUCACGCGGGCCACCCUAAGUACAACAAACAAGGAUAUGGUCACUUGCACUAUCUAAGCAGAACACACCUCCAGCACCAAUAUUACUCAGGAUUCUUUGCAAGUCUUCCAAUUUCACUGGUUCUGAUGAAGAGUUUACAUCACUCAUUACUUCUGCACCAAGGUCUGGGACAACUGAGUUUCCAGUCCUGAGAGCGAUGAGCAAAAAUCUCAUCGGAAUAAAAGAAAAUGGCCACGUAAUAUAUACCUGGCCAUUUGUUUUUGGUAACAAAAGUGCUCCUUAACCUUUUUGAAGUUAUUUUAGAAUGAAUUACAAGCAUUAAACAUUUAUAUAUAUGGACAAACACCGAGUUUAUGCAAGUCUGUGCAAGGGCAAUAUGGGGUGAAGGAUUUGACAUGGGCUAAGGUGGGUGAGAUGUUUUUGUCAAGAAAUGAUUUUGGAAAAUUUCUUGAUAUUUCAUGAAUAAAUAAGAUAUGAGUCUUUAUCAAGGAAAGAACAUAGGCUCUCCAAGAUGAUUGACCAGAAGGAGAGAAGGGAGGCUCAUUCUGCUCCACUGACUCUUAGUCUCAAAGAACAAAAAAUUACAUAGCUCUAUAUCCUUACUCUUACUUGCUAUAUCAACUCUUAGAGUUGAAGUAUCAUCUUUGACUAUGCUUCUUUGUUAUAAUAAAUAUACCUUGAUGAGAUAUUAUCUUCAAGCAUGUCUUCAAAAACUUGGAAAGGAGUAGAAGCAUCAGGCUCUUCUUCAUCAACUACACCAAAUUGUUUGCAUUUAAGAGAUCGGGGGAGGGGGGCAGAAGAUUAGACUUUGCAUUUAAAUAUAAGCCAAGAUGAUUAGGAACAAAAUAAUGACGAGUAGCAUGGCUAACAAAGGACUCAAAACACAAAAUUGUUUACCAAAUGGACGAUUAAUAUAAUAGUUGAAAGAGCUACAUAAUUGUGAAUCAUCUUUAGCUUUUGGCUCCUGCAAACAUGUUACACAAUUUUCCAAAAUCAUGCAGCUAACAGCUGAGUCAAUGUUACACAUAAGAGAGUGAAAAACGCAGAAAGUGAACCUGACCUGCACCCAAAUGAAAAACUUUCGAUCAUCUGUAUUGAAUUUCAAGAUGUAAACUCUUCCCAAAGCUUGAUUAACCUGAAUAACCCAAGGAAUUAUGAAUCUAUGAUAUUACAAUCAAUUAUUAGAGUCAAAUAUCUUCCAUCUAAGAAAAAACUAGGAGAGAAAAGUGUACCUUCUCAAAAACAGCAUCUUCAGAAAAAAAUAAUAUGAUCCUGUCAAUCAACGCGUCAAGAAAAAGCUACCAAAGUUCUCACCUCAAAAGAAUAUUAACAAAACAAACAACAGAAAAAAAAAUAAAAACCAAAGUUGGAAGGGAGAAACAAAAUCCCCAGGCUCAAAAACAUAAUAAUAACUAGGAUACAUCUUCCACAGCAUUCAAAUUCCUAUCAAGCCACUGGAAAUGAAGCAAACCCUCAUCACCCUGGAACAAUUCAAAAAUUUCGACUUCAAACAGGAAACAAGAUGCUAGAAACACUCUAUCUAGUACUUAAGAUAAACCAAAACAAUAGAAUUAACUAAAAAUCUUUACACAGACACGAACUCUAUAUAACACAAAAAAAAAAAACCAAAAGACACCAGUUUACCCUUCCAAUGCGAACAAGUCCUUUUCGAGAAUCAGGAACAAACUUUUUUCCAACGAAAACCAUUUUACCAGCACGAAACUCCAACAUAAUUUCCUACCAACAAAACAACCACAACACCAUAACAUAACCCCACCAAGAAAAACAUACUUGUACAUCCAACAAAGCAAUUACAGGCUCUAAUUAAAAAGAAACAGAGAUUUUAAGCAAAACCCACAAUUUUAAAAGUGAUUUUAUUUACCUGCAUUGCUGAAAUAUCUACAGUUGAUGAAGAACCCAUUUUUCGCAUACUUCCUCUAAAGCUUCCUUUUUUUCAACACUGCAAAAAACAAAAAACAAAAAAAAGAAGGACAAAUCAAAUACCCAAAUCAGAAACAAUAACAGAAAAAAAAUAAAAGAAAAUCCAAAGCUGGAAGUUGUAAUCAGGAGGAGAACCAGACAAUUUCAGAUAGAAUGACAUUUUAUCAAGAAUUGAACUGGGCAUUCAGUUAAUUAAAUAGGUUGUAAUCAGGUGAGAGUAGUGUCAACAACAUGUUUAGUUUUCCUCUCGGAAGUGCCAUUCUGCACAAGUCAGUGUUUUAAAAAUAUUUUUAAAAAAAUUUUAAUUUGUUUUUUUAGUGGUUUUAAUUUAUUUUCAUGUAUUAAUAUUAAAAAUAAUUUUAAAAAAUAAAAAAUAUAUUAUUUCAAUUUAUUUUAAAAUAAAAAAAACUUAAAAAAUACUGUUAACACAGUAUUAAACAAACUCUAAUCCUAUAACCAGAUGAACAACGUUAAGAUAUUUGUUUUUUGUUUUUCUUUUUUUUGAUAAUGAGACUGUCGUAAACAAUCUUGCCUAAUGAUUGUUAAGAAAUGAAAGAGGCAAUGCAUGGCUAAACCAAUGGAAGCUAAAAAGCUAAUGUUAUCCCUAGUAAGCAAUUGUUGCCGCAAUGACAUAUGCCUCGUUAGAGAUAUAUUUGAAUUUACAUAUUAUUAUUAUCAUAUAUUUUGUAUUGUCGUUUAAAAAAUAAAUAUUUUCCUUAUAUAGAGUAGAAUGUUUUUAAUUUUAUCAUUUAAAAUUUAUAUAUUUUUUAAAAAAUUAAUACAAUAUACAGUUAAUUAAACAUCUAUAAAUUAAUAUCAUUGAGAACAUGAAAUUUAUUAAUUAAUUAAGAUGUUAUUUAGUAAAUAAAUUUAUACACUUAUACAUUAAUCAAUAAAAAAUUUUCUUUUUCAAAAACAUUGAACUCAAUACAUGCAUCGUGUAUAAUAUUAUCUAAUCAUCAAAUUAUGAAUUAUCAUAAUUCUAUAUAUUUAUUUAAAUAAAACAAGUUCAAGAAUUAAUGUAAUCAAUCUUAUUAAUUAAUAAAAUUCAUGUAUGUAUUAACAUACAAGCAAAAAAUCUAUAAAAAGAAUAUACAAGUGAGCCAAACAACAAUAUAUAUUAAAAACGAACAAGAGGUCGAAUUAAUAUCCAUUAACUAAUAGUAAAAUUAAGAAGAUGAUACCAAAGAGACACAAAAUCACAAAAAAGCAUUUAACAUUUCAGAGAAAGAAGCCUGCAACACCCAUUAAGGAAAAGAGAGAAGGGAAAGAAAUGUGGAUUAAUUCAUACAGAGGCUCACCUUGUUCCAGACCAGCGCGAGACUGUAGACGAACCAAGAGCAAAAAAUGCAGGAGAGAUAAUCAUGAGAGAAACAAAUUCAUAUAUCCACGAAUAUGUACAAUAUUUGAAACCUAUAAUGCAAGAAUAGCUGCAGAUGUACAUUAAUAUUUUUAAUUUAAAGAAUCAAUUAAUUAUUUAAAAAACUUGAGGGAUUAAUUUGUUUGUUUCACAAAAAAUAGACACUGGUUAUAUAAAAUUUUACUUAAAUUUUUAUCAUCAUAUUUUAAAAGAAACCAGUUUAUGUUUUGCGCAACACGAAAAAUCAUAUAUGCUUAAGUAACUAUUUGGCAUCUUAAACUCAAUUUAGUAAAUUAAUUUUAAUUUUUUUCUAUCCGGCUCUUUUCCUAUAUCAAAUUUAAAAUUAACCAACAUAAAAAUUAUCCUCAAAUGAUACAGUCAAUAUGAUAGGUUUACAAAAAUAUAUUAAAUUGAUUCUAAUUUCAUGGCUUAACUCUUCAAACCCACUACUCGAAUAAUAGACUCCAUCUAGUUGUAAUUAUUAUUUUGUUUUUUAAUUAUUUUUUAUUGAAUAAUAUGAUAACAAUAUCAAUUCAAAAUCAACUAAAUAUUAAAGGAUAAAAUAAAAAAAAUAAAAAAAAUUCAAUAGAAAAAAAAAGGAGAAGAAUGGUAGAGUUUAAAAACAAAUAAACAAUAUGACGUCAUUGUUAGAGCACCUGAAAUUACUGUUCCUUUUUACUAUAAUGAUGAAGUUUCCACAUAAUAUAAAACAUGCUUAUAAAUUAAUAACCGAAAUAAAAAUUAAAUUGAGACGACAAUCAAUUCUUUAACUUUAAAACGAUUUAUUAACAAUAGAAUUGAGAAGGCCCGCCACAGAUCAAGAGGACAGCUUCAAUGAAGCCAUCCCAGCCAAUGCAGGUGAUUACCCGUCGGUUGAAGUCUCAUCGCGCGCCUAGCACCAGCCAAACCGCCUCAAUCUGAACAUGCACCAGACAAAGUUCAUGAAAAGACGCCAGGGAGCCUCAGCAGCUGAGAAGAAAGUGCGGGAACACCCACCGCACGAGAAGAAACGUGAAAAGCAGAGAGGGAGCGCGGUAAAGAUUGUCAAGCCACGGGAUUCACACACAGUGCACCGAGUUUUAAUGAGCACUCUUAGUUUUUUUUUAUAUAUAUAUAUAUAAAAUUCUUUUAGUUUUAGUUUUAGUUUUAGUUUGUUAGUUAUGAACAGUGAAGCAGCACCAGAAUACAGUUCUUUUAGUUUGUUAGCGAAUCUGGAAAAGAAUAAAGUCAUCUGUCAAGCUCUGUUCACUUUGGUCCGACAUUCCUCACCUCUCCCCACCUGAGCUCUCUCUCUUUCCCUCCUCCGCUUUCAGAAACCGCCGCCGCCACCACCUCAACCAAUAAGGCUUCAAAUCUCACCCAGAUGCUUCCUUUUCUAUUAUGUUUUUGUUUUUUAAAAUUUACGUCUGCUUUUUCAUUUAUUUAAUUGAAAUUACUAUCCAGAGAGAGAAAUUCGAUUUUAAUAAGUAAAUUAAAAAGAUAUAUAAUCGAACCCGAUGAAAUCGCUGCUCGUGAACGCAACUCGAAGAAAGGCGCAAUCAGCCGACUAUACUAUGGGUGGAGCAUUUAAUAUGGUCAGGGUUAUUGUGUUGUCUAUUCAAAGAAAGAUGUGCCUGUAAAUUUGUUAAGUUGAUUCUUAUCAGUCUACUCUUUAGAGUUGAUGAUAACAUGAAAUACUCGUUGUUAAUGCUCGUUGUUUUCUUCUUCUUUUUUCCUAGAUUAAAACAUCCUAGACAAUCUCUUUGGGAUGGUUUAGUAUUUCUGGCCUCUUCAUCUUCUAUUUGUGCUAUGGUUUUUAGUCUGCUGAUAUUGUUGAUAUUCAUUGGGGAUUGAAAGGCCUCGUUUUAUGACUUUGUUUUGUCUUCUUCUUAUUUCUUUAUUCUUUUGGGGAUGCGGCAUUUUCCUCUUUCAGAGAAAUAAAUAUAUACAUAAAUAACAAGAACAGGACGGGAAGGAGAGGGGGUUUUGACAAUAAGUAUUUGCUUAGAAGGGAAUGCUUCUUUGGUUUAGAAGCACCAUGAAGAUUCAGGCCCAAAUCUUUGCUUAGAAUGCCCGAAAUAAAUAUAUCACACACUUCUUUUUUUGUUUUUUGUUUUUCAUCUUUUCAUGUGUUUCUCACAAGACGUCACUUUCUUGCUUUUCUUUCGAGAGAGUAUUUGAUCCUUUUUUUGUAUAAAAUAAUGCUGCCAUUCAUUGAAUUUCCAAACAUCUUACCUUUUGUUUUGUUUGUCGCAUUGUUAUCAAACUCUUUUCCAUUUUAUUGCGGCAUAUUGCUACGUGUAUGGCAUGCUUUAAUCAAAAAGUUGAGUAAUUGAUGAAUGUUAGGCAAGAAAAUUACAGAUUAUUUUUGUUUUCUGCCUCCUCCUUCUCUUUCCCCCACCCCGAAAAUUGUCAUAUUUUUUUUUCAGCCGCCUCUUCUUCCCCCAACCCUAAAAAUUGUUUAUAUUUGCUUUGGAAGCAUGGCAAACUUCACUGCCUCUCAGCUUAAGGAGAUUGCAGCAGGUCUCGAAGCUUCUGGGCAUCAAUUUAUCCGGGUAUUUAGAAGAAGAAAAAAAAGAGUCAAGAAGACAAGGAAGAUUGUUUACCUCAAGGAUUUGAGGAAAGAAUGGAAGGCAAAGGGCUAUUAUCAGAGGAUGGACACUCCAAGUUUUGAUUCUUGAUCAUGAAGCAAUAAGUGCAUUUGUGACUCAUUGAGGAUGGAACUCAACUCUUGAAGGCAUAAGGCCAAUAUGUGCUGAGCAAUUCUAUAAUGAAAAGUUGGUGACUGAUGUUUUAAAAAAUGGAGUUAAGGAAUGGCCUAGAGUGCAUGGAGAUCAUGUUAAAAGUGAAGCUGUAGAGAAGUCAAAUUAUGAUGGGUGAAGAAGCAGAGGAAAUGAGGAGUAGAGCAAAGAAGCUAGGAGAAACGGCCAGGAAGGCUGUUGAAGAAGGUGGAUCUUCUUGCUCUGAUUUCAAUGCUUUGAUCGAAUAACUGAGGUGGGGUCGCCAUUGAAACAAAGGCAGAAGUAAGUGUUGUCACUCGUGCAUAGAAUAUUUUGUUUCUACUUAGUAGUGGUUUUGGCAAUAUAGACAAGUCUUGAGAGUUGAAAGAGUAAUCACAGCCGAGUCAAUGACCAGUCCAAAUCAGUUCCCUUCCUACUAGUUCAGGAAUGACAAGUCCAGCUUAUAUAUUUAGCCCAAAUAACUAAUCAAAUAGAAAGGCUGAGCUUAGAGGCAGUACACUACAAAAUAAGUACCCAAUGUCUUAGAGACAAACAAUCAUCACAAACUAGGAAAGACCGUCUCCCCAGUAACAAAUUCACCUUCUGAAGUUGGAGAACUUGCGAAAACUAGCCACCACAAAAUAGUAGCAAGUAUCUAAAUUAUUUCCAGAGAGAUCUAACUGCUUCAAUUCACACCAACUUGUAUAAUUUAUCUCUAAACAGUCAAAAUAGUGUUAAAAGAAUCUUUUAUUGAUGAUGUGAUUAUAUUUGUUAAUUUACCUUGAGCGGGUAAAGUGACAUAGAGGUCACAUUCACCAAUAGACAAAACUUGAAGAGCAGGCAAUGCUCCAAUGUUAUGGAAAAAGUUUAUUAGGAGAGAAGUACGAUCUAGAUACAAUUCUUCAAGGGUGCUAGAAUUGAAGAAAGUCCCUGUAAAAAAGAAACAAAAAGAAAAAAGAUAUGAUGAAAAUGGUGGUGGUACAUAAUAGGCAUUCCAUUCAAUAUUAUUAAUUAAGAUUUUAAGAAACUAAACUAUGAUUAACCUUGAUUUAAAUUAGUAUCCUUGAGAGAAAGGGUCUUCAGGGAUGGCAAUGACUGCAGGAAGUCCGGCUUCCUUAAACCUAUGAUGUGUACAAUUGAAAACAGGCAAUCAAGAAAGUAGUGAAAUUAAGUGCUAUCUUGAUUGAGUUUUUAAACCUAUGAUAAAGAACUGAUGUUGAAUAGUGAGAUGAAUUUUGGAUAGAAACAACAAAUUGCCUGAAAAAUCCAGAGAUUUCACAACUUUACCAUAGACAGUCGUCGAUCCUAGCAACAUAUCGCCUGAUAAAUUUAAAGACUUGAGAUAAGAAAAUCCACGCAGAUGUGAUAAAAUGUUGUCGUUGAAUAUAUUAUAGCUCAGGUCUAGAUUCUCGAGUUUCCUCAAAUGAUAUAUGAUCUCAAAACCUGCAAGAGAAACUAAAGAUAAUUAGAAUUGAUGAGAUGCUGUUGUUCAAUUGAUAUAUGAUUCUCAAAUUAUACAUACAUAUACACACACACACACACACACACACACAUAUAUAUAUAUAUAUAUAUAUAUAUAUAUAUAUAUAUAUAUAUAUAUAUAUAUAUAUAUAUAAUUGAUAUUUAUAAAAGCAUUAACUGUAGAGGAAUAUUUGGUACUUUGUUUCCCAAUAAAAAAUAGAUUUUUCUGCAAAGUAGCACCAAAAAAAAAACUGUUCAAAACUUAUAUAAGAAAUUAUACAGUUAGCGAGUCACAGAUGAUGAAUCUUAAAAAAAAUUGGCAAUAAUAACAGUACUCUAUUGCUAUUAAUUAACUUAAAUAUUCAAAACUUAAAAAUAGUUUUUAAAUUUAUCCAUGCCAAUUUAUCUUAAGAGAGUCGCAAUCUGUGACUAGUUAAAUUAUAUUGUUUCUGUAAAUAAAUUUUGAAUUGUGUUAUUUUUUGUUCUAGGUGCUAUUUUGCAAAAAAAAAAAAAACCUCCAAAUAAAAUAAUAAGAUUAACGUUUAAGUUGUCUAUUGUUCUUGGAUUUGUAGGUAUAACAACAGAAGAUAGCAAUCAAAAGCGAUGGUGACAUGGUAGAGCUUUGAGUUAUUGCUGUGUUCUAAUGAUGAAGAUGUAGGAAAACGAUCUCCCUUCUGCUGUCUGGAGCUGGGCUUCCUCUCCCUGUAAGAACAAUCAACAUCUUAUCUGCGUUGUUGUUAGUGGCCACUUCAUCGACCCAUUAGUGGGUGGAUUUUAAGCUUAAAAAGGAUUUUUUUUAUAAAAAAAAAAAGGGAAGAGAGAGGGGGGGCGCAUCAUCACGUGAAAGCAAGGAGCUUGCCACCCAUUAUAGAGUGUGGGGCACUCUUGCAUCUAAGAAUAAAUGAUCCUGAGGUUGUUCUGGUGAUGGGUAUUGGCCAUUACAUAAAGCUUCGACAAGCCCUUUUAGCUGCCUGUUAUUAGAAUUUGUAUAAUGAGCAUUCAAACUUAAACUUCUUUAAAUGGGAUGAAAACGAGUGAAAAUCAAGAAGUUGGAGGUGUUCAUCUCUAAUGCAUAGCUAAAGAUCCUUUGUAAGAAAAUACAGCUAAAGACAGUGUGUGUGUGUGUACCAGAGAAAUUGUCGAUAAUAGCCAUCAUUUUCUUUGUCUCUUGUGUCAUAUCUUCCAAAAAUCUUAAAGUAAUUGAUGAAAAAGUGGAUACACCUCUUUGUCUUCUUUAUAGCACUGCUGGCCACUGUGAGUUAAAGCAUUAAAAGGUCGUGAACGCGGAUGCUUGACGAGCGAGUGUUUACUUGUUAAUUUUUUUAGAAGGAAUCUGGAAAAGAAUAAAGUCAUCUAUUUCACUUUGGGACAACAUUCCUCACCUCUCCCCGCCCUCCCUCCCUCCCUCUUCCGCCUCUCGGAAACCGCCGCAUCCAAUAAGGCUUCAGAUUUCUGCCAGGUGCUUCCUUUUCUAUCAUGCUUUUGUUUUUAAAAUUUAUGGGUGUUUUCAUUUAUUUUAUUGUAAUUAUUAUUCAGAGACAGAAAUCCAUUUUAAUAAGUAAAUUAAAAAAAACAAAUAAGCGAUCCGAUGAAAUCUCUGCUAGUGAACGCAAUUCGAUUUUAAUAUGUAAAUUAAAAAAGUAUAUAAUCGGAUCCGAUGAAAUCGCUGCUCGUGAACGCAAUUCAAAGAAACGCACAAUCAGCCGAUUCUAAUAUUUUCUUUUUCAACCCCACCCUAAUUUACAUGAUAUUAUCCGAUUUUUCUCACAGUUAUUGUUGUAAUAAUCAAGCCCUGAAUUCUUGAACCCAAAUUUAUUUUAUUUUAUUUUUUAGUUUUAUUUUUAAGUGGAGAAUAGAAAUCAAUUCAAAUCUUUUAGGCUCGAUCGAUAAUUUGUUAAUUAGUUUAUGCAGCAGCUGGAGUGGAAGAGAUAUUACUGCCGGAAUGGCCGAAAAAUGAGCUGUUUGGUUGAUUCUUCUUUUUUGGAAUUUACUGAAUUCUUCAAAAUUAUUGUGUUUUUAACAACAAUACGAUAUCCUUGGGUUUCAUGCUCGCUCACACAUGGAAAAAAGAAAGAAAGAACAGAACUUUAAAUUUUAUAAUUUGGUCAAGUUAAUGCUCGUCGUUUUCUUCAUUUUCCUAGCUUAAAACAUCCUAGACAAUCUCUUUGGGAUGGGUUAUUGUUUGUGGCCUCUUCAUGUUCUAUUUGCUGGGGUAUUUAGAGUACUGCUGAUUGAAAAGCCUUGUUUUAUUGCACGUUAGAAAAGUUAAUACAUACAUAAAUAACAAGAACAGGGGCCGGGGGGGGGGGUGUUGGGGUUUGACGGUAUGUAUUUGCUUGCGAGUAAAAAUUGGUAAGCACUUGAAAAAGGUCCUGUGCUGAAUCUAAAUUGGUAAGAUGUUAUAUACUGAUAUCUAGAAAGAUAACUUAAUCUAUCUAUUGAAGUAAAGCAUUUAAAUACGUAUACAAUGUUUUUGGAAUAUUAAAUAUCUAUUUGAUCAGAAUCUGUGAACCUCUAAAACCACAAUGAAUACAAAUGCAAGUUUGUCAUUGUAAACAUUGCAUCGAUGAUGUAUCACAAGUGUUGCUAGAAAACAUCAAGUUAAAAUUGAAGCACCAUGAGUUUCUCUAUGGCUUGGUUUACCAACACUCACCAUCUGUUGGUGCGGCAAGUUAUGAACUAGCUGGCUAGUUUUUUGCUUCCUUGGUUUUAGAAGCACCAUGAAGAUUCAGGUCCAAAUCUUGCUUAUAAUACCCGAAUACCCAAGAUCCUAGCACCUUGCCUUGAAUGGUCGUGUAUAUUUGUUAUGGCUGUUCAGAUUUUAUGCAUCCAUAUUUGGGAGAAUUCUUUAAUAAAGUACAUGCUAUUAGAUGGAAGUUCUCUUUAAAUCUAUUCAAGUCUGAAUAAACUGAUAUUCCAAUUUUCAUGACUUUGAUGUGCUCUUACUCUUCUGCUGUUCCUGACUUUCUUUUUAAGGUCUAUUCUAACGUGCAAUAUUAUUUAUUUAUUUAUUUAUUGUCAUGAUAGAAGUGAUUUUUUUUGGUUGGCCAAAACCCCUUGGAUGCCAAUAAUUGGAGGUCCACUGCCCCAGGCGGAGAACAUGUCAUUGACACGGGUGAUUGGAGAAUUCAAUUGCAGCCUGACUCACGGAAAAGAAUAGUCGACAAAAUGUAAGUACGUGUUUCCUAAUAUGUGCAAGUGCUGCAAAAUAGUAAAUUUUUUAUUUAUAUGAAAGAAAAGUAGAAGGGCAAAAGGUUAAUUAAAAUUAGCUGGACUGCCAUGAGGCAACCUCAAGUAUCACACACCUCUUUUUUUUGUUUUUCAUCUUUUCGCUUGUUUCUCACAAGAAGCAAACUUGAGGGAACGUAAAGUGCUGGGAAGUGAUUUUUGUUGGAACUUCUUGUGUAACAUCUUCUUUUGACGAUGACCUCUUGGAUGGCUGCAUGAAGCUUGUUCCGCUUUAAAUUUCAAGGUUAAUCUAUUGCUAUGAGCAUUGGUGUUUCAAUUUCAACCUUGAGUUGCAACUGAACUUAAAUGAAUAGUGUUGGAUUUGGGCCUUCUAUUUGCUUUAACUUCUACAGGAUUGAAAUGAUAGUGAUCUUAAAGUAGAAAAGCAGCAGACAAAAAUCAAUUAGCCACAAUAGUGUAUGGUUUCCUAGUUUCUCAGUAUAAAGUUGAAUGUUUUGGUGAUAUCUCCACAUCCAAAAUCAUAUAGACAGCUACUGUUGGCACUUGCAGUAGCCAAUGAGCACUGUAGAGUAUAUAUAUUGCAGCGUGAGAUAAGGUUAACUCAUUGCAUUUUCAUAAAUUAAAGGGAUUUCUCUUCUUUUCUUUGUCAAUUACAGUGCAUGUAUAAAAGUUUUCUACAGUGCACUGUAGAGUAAAUGCUAUUGUAAUGUUUUCACAGAGUUCCCCUGGUUUGCAACUAAUGCACUUAUAUAUCUUGGAGCAUAGCCAUAGCCAUAAAUGAAAGGUUCUUCUGGUUCAAGAAAAUUAACCAUGAAGCUCGUAACUAGAAUUUUAGACAGAAGGUUGGCCAAGUAAACUCUUACCUCUGGAAUAAUACGGGGAAACGAAGUAAAAAUAGAUGUCUGUAUUUUGAUGCCAUUUAUUACUUUACUAACACUCGGCUAUAUCAUUAUUUGUUUUUACUUUUUGCUAAUGAUUUUGUUGUAUACAUUUCUGAUAUUAGUGUGGUGUAUGAGUUCACAGUUUUUUCUCACUACUGCUAACUUCUCUAUACCUGCCUUGUCAUUAAAAAUUAAAUGCAAUGUUUUACAUGUGCAGAAUGGAGACAUUAAAGAGGCAUCUUCCGUUUUCUGGUCAGGAGGGAUUACAAGAACUCAAGAAAAUUGCCGUACGGUUUGAGGAAAAGAUUUAUACUGCCGCCACCAAUCAGGUAUUCGGCUAAUGCUAGGUUCAAUAAUUUUGAUAUUCUCUGGACAUGAAUAUACACAUGCAUAAGUUUGUGGAUUUAUGCAUGUACACGUGUGUGUAGUGUGUCCACACUUCCUCACUGGUCAUUCUGUAGAAGUUCUUAUCUUUCCGUUAAUUCUCUUGACAAGUGUUUUAUUUAGAGUGACCAAGGUCCUUUUCAAGUACAAGGGAAGUGUGCAAAAAGCAAAUAACGAAUCAAUACAUAAAUAAUUAAAUAAAAAGAGGAGACACAGAAGUAUAUCCUCACAGAAGAUGCAAAUACAGAAAGCCUAGCAUAUUAGAAAGAGCAUAUAUCUCUUUUCCCCCUUCUCUUGUAACAUGGACUGCUCAGAGAUCUAAUGUUUUGUUAUUGAUAUCUGAUUUCAGUCUGAUUAUCUGCGUAAAAUAUCUCUGAAGAUGCUUACAAUGGAGACCAAGUCUCAAAAUACCAUACCCACUGGCAAUGGUAACAAACCCCUGGAUCCAGGAGGUAAUAAUGCAGCCAAGCAUUGAAUUUCUAAACAUCCUUACCUUUUGUUUUAUAUUUUGCAUUAUUAUCAAACUCUUUUACAUUUUAUUGCUGCAUCCUUACUCUUUUACCAUUAGGGAAAUAAUUUCUAAAAAUUACAGAUUAUUUUUGCCCCCCCCCCCCCCCCCCCCCCCCCGCCAGCCCCAAAAUUGUCAAAUGGCACUUUUAUGCUUUGAGUCAAAACCACCUUAAUUAUUUCCCUCAUAACUUUAUGUGUGAACUGUCAUUGUUUCAUUUGUUUUUCUUGUUCAAUGCCUUCUUUUUUUCCUUUGACAUGGUUAUCCUUUUUGCCUUUUAUCUUGAACAGCAUCUCAUAGUAUGCCGCCUCAAGUUCACAACCAAGGGCAGUCGCUCCCUAUCUCAUUGUCCAGUAAUCAGCCUCAAGCACGUCAGCAGUUAUCACAAAACAUGCAGAAUAGUAUGUCAUCUAAUGGAGUUCAAAGUUCUGCUGGUUUACAAUCAGCAAUGCCUUCUGUCUCCAGUUUAACCCAGACUAUCGCAAACACUGUUGGACAGAAUGCUAACAUGCAGAGUAUCUCUGGUGUUUCACAGAACCCAGUUGGGAAUUUAAUGGGACAAGGGAUUCCCUCCAAUAUGUUUGUCAAUUCUCAGAGACAAAUGCCAGGCAGGCAACAGGUUGUUCCUCCACAGCAACAGCAGCAGUCCCAAAAUCCUCAGCAGUAUCUUUAUCAGCAGCAGAUACAACAACAGCUUUUAAAGCAGAAGCUUCAACAGGGAAAUCAUCCACACUCACUUGUGCAAUCUCACAUCCACCACCAGCAGCAGCAGCAAAACUUGUUACAGCCAAAUCAGUUGCAAUCUGGUUUGCAAACAUCAACUGUUAUGCAGCCUUCAAUGAUGCAAACCGUCUCUGGCCUUCAACAGAACCAACCAUCUUCUGUUCAACAGUCAACACAACCAAUGCACCAGCAACAUCCACAAUCAGUCCUUAGGCAGCAGCAGCAACAACCUCAACAGUCUGCUGGUAUUCAUCAGCAGCAAACACCAAUGAUGCAGCAGCCACUAUUGCCUCCACAACAGCAGCUAAUGGGGCAACAAUCAAAUACCACUAACAUGUCGCAAAAUCAGUUAAUUGGACAGCAAAACAUUGUUGGGGACUUGCAGCAGCAGCAGCAGAGAUUGCUAGGGCAGCAGAAUAACCUUCAAAAUCUGCAGCAGCAGCAGCAGCAGUUAAUGGCUCAACAAAAUAACCUCUCAAGUAUGCAUCAGCAACAGUUGGGCCCUCAAAGUAAUGUCACUGGUUUACAGCAACAGCAGUUGCUUGGAGCUCAGCCUGGUAACUCAAGCAUGCAAUCUAAUCAGCACUCUCUACACAUGCUGCAACAGCCCAAGGUUACGCUGCAGCAGCAAGCACAACAAAGUGGAAGUGCUUUGUUGCCGAAUCAAGGGCAGCAGUCACACUCACAGCUGCCACAGCAGCAAUUGAUGGCACAGAUUCAAUCACAGCCUGGACAGCUGCAACAGCAAUCAAAUCCAUUACAACGUGAUCUGCAGCAAAGGCUUCAAGCAUCAGGCUCCUUGCUUCAACAGCCGAAUGUGAUUGAUCAGCAAAAGCAGUUAUAUCAACCUCAAAGAGCCCUUCCAGAAACGUCCUCAAGUAAGUUUUUGUCAUCCUUGCAGCUUUCUAGCCUUGCUCCAACUUUAAUUUUGCAGCUUUGUGCUUUCAUGUUAGAUUAUAACAUAUUUAUUUAAAUUUCUUGAAAAUACAAUAAUGGUUCAAGUCAGUAAUGCUCUUUUUGGUAGCUUUAUGAGCUACGGCUGCCACUUAUGGCAUCAGAAAUGCCACUGCUAUUGGAGCCAUUGUAAUCACACAUACAUUUGUUACGACAUCAUGCCAUCCAGUGCAUUGCACCAACUAUUCACCUCUCAUAAUGGUUCAAGUCAGCAAUGCUCUUUUGGUAGCUUUAUGUUCUACUGAUGCCACUGCUAUUGAAACCAUUGCAAUCACACUCGUUUGUUACCACAUCAUGCCCUCCAGCUCAUCGCACCAAUUGUUCACCUCUCAUUUUGAAUUUAACAGACAUGAAUUUUAAAAAUAUAUGUAUAACUGGACAAUGCAUUUGACACUAGGGUAACUAAUCAUCAGCCAAUUGAUUUUUAUGGGAAGAAAGAAAUUAGCAAGUGGACUAACUCUGAGGCACUUAAGGUUUGGUGUGCUGAUAAAUCAUUGAGCCUUUUUUUUUAAUAUAUAAUGAUCACUUGUUGGGGGGGGGGGGGGGGGGGAAGCAUUUUAAAGGGUCUCUCUGUCUAUUUGAAUGAUUACAUAACGUUGAGAUGGAGUUCCUAGUACUCCAAGUCCAAAAAGGACUUGUAUUCCUAUGUAAGAAAAUACCAAUGGUCCUAUCUGGGAUAGGGAAAACCUAUUAAAGCUCCUUAUUCUUUAGGAACAAUAAAAUACUAAAUAGAAAUAAAACCAAGACCUACAAUAUUCCAUAAUUUUCAGCAAGUGUGAAAAUUACAGAAAUACCCUUGUGUGCAGAAAACAUUCAUAAAAUACAUGAAUUCUAAUCUUUUGUUGGCUGUAUCAAAAUUUUUGUAGCAUCCCUAGAUUCUACAGCAGAGAUUGGACAUGCAAAUGGUGCUGAUUGGCAAGAGGAGAUCUACCAAAAGGUAAUUUCUGUAGUUUACUGUUCAUUAGAUGAAGUUCAUGUAUGUCAUUGUCUUGCAAGAUUUCAAUGGAAAAGGUCUCCUGGAAUUUGGUACAAGGGAGUUUUAUUCAGCUAUGGUUGUGAUUAGUUAGGAAGCAUUGUAAGUUCCAUGAUUGCAGCAACUAAGAAACGAUAAAUUACUGAUAAGAUGAUUAAAGGUAAAUAAUCAGAUUUCUAGGUCAAGAGGGUUAUUUUCUUGGUACUGACACGACAAUUUUUUCUAUUGCAAAUCUCUCCCUUUCAAUUUUUUCCCUGUAUUUCCAUACAUUUAUUGUGUGGUGAAUUAUUAUUUUAUUAUUUCCAAUAAGUCCAAUUGACAAUACUUCUUACUGUAAUAGACAGACUUGAAAACAAGAGUGAACUGUUUCUGAAUAGUCAUCGUUAUAUUUGGUUAAGUGAACAGUUAUUUUCAGGAUUACAAUCAAAUUUGUUCUGAAACAUGUGACAAUGGAAGAAAGGAAAAUAAGUGGACCUAAUCCAUUGAAUCAUGACCAUGUCCAGUAUUGUUGAAUUUUAUAGAAAACGAGGUUGAAAUUCUGAAUCGUUUAAUGGCUGUAGUUGCAAUUCAUAACUGCAUAUUUGAUGAGGUCAAUUUUUUUGUGCCUGGGAGGGUACUAAAACGGGAAUAGGAGUGGUUGUUGAUAAUUAGGAUAUAAGGGUUAUAAAUCUAAAGUUAUAAGGCUAAGAAGUGUUUACCAAAGUCGUGACAUCCAUUGACUUGAGUUAGAACAAUAGAAAACAAUGGUGAGUAGUUUGCCGUGAGACAAAGUAACUGAACUUGACCAACCCCUGAAUCUUGUCUGAAGGGGUAACUACACAAUCCUUUGCAUGCAAUCAAUAACGAUAUUCUCUUUUGAGUUUUCGGCAUUGAUUCCACUUUGCUAUUUUUAUCUCAAACAAUAUAUGCUGUCCUCUGCCAUUUUAUUUAUUUAUUUAUUUAUCAAUUCUCUCAAGUUUGCUUAUGUUUCUUUCUGACUCUGGCACGUGAAGAAAUCAAGCAUAUGAUUGAUAAUGUCUUGCUGGUUAUAUGUACUUCCUAGAUCAAAGUUAUGAAGGAAACGUAUUUGCCUGAAAUAAAUGAAAUGUACCAGAGAAUUGCUACCAAGUUACAGCAGGUAAAUUGUCUUUGUAAUUUUUUCCGAUUUAUUUGCCCACACAUAUUCAUAAACCCCCACAGUUGAGCUUUUGUAUUAAUUUGUUUUCCCCAUCAGCAUUGCUUGUCACUGUAUCAUCUGCACUAAUUACCUCCCCCACCCCCAACCACCCCACAACCAUGCAUUGACACAGAAGAAUUGGAAUAGAAACAUUUUUUUCACUUAUGUUUUACUAGUUUUGCUAGAAAGGAUCAAUGCAAUUUUUAAUUCUCGUGUAUGUUAACUUUGCUUUCCAGCAUGACCCUCUUCCGCAACAACCGAAGUCAGAACAGCUUGAAAAGCUGAAGGUAUUCAAGGUCAUGUUGGAGCGCUUGAUAACAUUCUUACAGGUCUCUAAAAACAACAUCACACCUAAUUUCAAGGAGAAAUUGGGUUUCUAUGAGAAGCAGAUUGUAGGUUUUCUAAACCCAAGCAGAUACAGGAAGCCUAUUCCUAAUCUACAGCAAGGACAACCUCCCCAACCUCGUAUUCAACCUAUGCAGCAACCCCAAUCUCAAGUUCCUCAAUUGCAGUCCCAUGAAAAUCAACUGAUUCCCCAGUUGCAAUCAAUGAAUACGCAAGGUUCUGUACCACAGAUGCAGCAGAACAAUAUGUCAAGCUUGCUGCAUAAUUCCCUUUCAACUUUAUCUGGGGAUUCGACGUCACAAUCAAACAUGAUGAAUCCAAUACAACCAGGCUCCAAUUUAGAUUCUGGACAAGGAAAUGCACUGAGCUCAUUGCAGCAGACACCUGUAGGAUCUGUACAACAGAAUCUCGUGAGCAUUUCCCAACCAACCAAAGUUAACACAUUGUCAACACAAAGUGGGGGGAGUAUGCUGCAGCCAAAUAUUCCCCUUCAGUCGAAUUCCAAUAUGAUUCAACACCAGCAUCUAAAACAGCAGCAGCAGCAGCAGCAUGAACAACAGAUGCUACAAACACAACAGCUUAAACGAUUCCAGCAACACCAGAAUUUAAUGCAGAAUCAACAGAUGCAGCAGCAGCAAUUACACCAGCAAGCUCCGUCUCCUAUGCCAGGAGAUUCUGACAAACCAGUUUCUGGUAUUUCCUCACUCUUAGAUACUGGAAAUAUUGUACACCAACCAUCUGUUGCACAAGCACUGGCUCCAUCCCUUGCAAUUGGCACUCCUGGGAUAUCUGCAUCACCUUUGCUUGCAGAGUUUACCAGUCCUGAUGGUGCUCAUGGCGGUGCUUUGACAACUGUUUCUGGCAAGUCAAAUGUUACAGAGCAAUCACUUGAGUGCUUGAUUAAAGCGGUUAGUGAUGCUCUCCUUUUGGUUUUACUCCACCCCACCCUUAUUUUGGAGGUUUCUGAAAAAGAAAGAAACUUCUUUGUGAAUGAGAUGGUGAUGCUGCAAUUUUUUUUCCCAGGUGAAAUCUCUGUCUCCCAAAGCACUUAGUGCAUCUGUCGGUGACAUUGGCUCCGUUGUCAGUAUGAUUGACAGAAUUGCUGGUUCUGCAGCUGGUAAUGGAUCUAGAGCUGCAGCUGGUGAGGAUUUGGUAGCAAUGACAGGAUGUCAUCUUCUUUCGUUUUUGUCUUUUUUAUUUUUCACGUGUUUCUCACAAGAUGGGAACUCGAGGGAAUAAAAAGUGCUGGGAAGUAAUUUUUGUUGGAACGUCUUGUGUAACAUCUUCUUUCGAUGAUGACCUUUUGGAUGGCUGCAUGAAGCUUGUUCCGCUUUAAAUUUCAAGGUUAAUCUAUUUCAAUUUGAAACUUGAGUUGCAACUGAACUUAAAUGAAAAGUGUUGGAUUUGGGCCUCUAUUUGUUUUAACUUGUACAGGGUUGAAGUGAUAGUGAUCUUAAAAGUACAAAAGCAGCAGACAAAAAUCAAUUAGCCACAAUAUAUAGUGUAUGGUUUCCUACUUUCUCAGUAUAAAGUUGAAUGUUUUGGUGAUAUAAUCUCUACAUCCAAAAUCAUAUAGACAGCUACUGCUGGCACUUGCAGUAGCCAAUGUUAACCAAAAUCAUAUAAUCUUAAAGUUGAAUGUUGUAUUUUCAUAAAUUAAAGGGAUUUCUCUUCUUUUCUUUGUCAAUUACAGUGCAUCAUAAUAAGUUUUCUUACUCAGUAAAUGCUAUUGUAAUUUUUUCACAGAGACUCCCCUGUUUUGCAACUAAUUCACUUCUGAAUAAAUCUGGGAAACAGAAAGGCAAUCAACAAAGAGUAAGGCAUCUUCUGAAGAAACAAAGAAAUUUAAUACCAUAAACUAAGCAGCACGUAGAAGGCAAAAACUGAGCACAAAUUUUCAGGAAGGGACAAACGAAAAAAACCAAAAAGAAAGCAAAGAAAAAUACAGACUCAAAUUCACAACACCCAUUUUCUUUCCAUUGGAACACUUUAAAUAGUUUAUUAAAUUUAUAAUGAUCUGAUUUCUACGCAUAUAAAAAAAUCAACUAAAUGAUCAAUUCUCUAUAAUUUCGGCAUUACUAAAAACAUCCAAACUAAUAAACAAUUAGUUAUUUUACUCAUUUUAAUAAACAUUUUAGUUAUGAAUUCACCAAACAUUUUGAACAAUUCAUAUUGAUGAAUUAACAUUUAAAUUUUAGAUUUUUUGAUUUAUUAUUUCCUUCGUGAGUUACUUCUAAAGUAUGCUAUAUAUCUUUAAGCAUUUUUAUAGAAUAUAAUUCUAUCAAAUUCACUUUUACCCAAUGCAUAAUAUAAAGUAUUCAUGGCUUUAACAUCCAUAAAAAAUAACUUUUUAUCAUUGUCCGUAUAUUCCCUUUUAGUUUUAGAAAUCUCAAUACCAUUUUUAAUUUGAUAGGUCUAGGAGAUCUAUUUUGUAUGGAUAGCCACAAAUUAAAAUCAAUAAAUUGAUAAUAAAUUAUCAUUAAACAAUUUAUUACUUGCUCUUUGGUAAUAAGAAUGUGAUUGUAAUAUUAUUUUGUAUGGAUAGUUUUAUCUAUCUAUUAUCUCAAUAACAAGAUUAACUUUGCAAUUAUAUAUCACACUUAUAUAAUCUCAAAUAAUAUUAAUUAAAAUGAAUCACAAAAAUUUAACACAGUAAUUCUGCAAAAAAAAUAAAAACAAUUUAAUAAACAAUUUAACUUUGCAAUUAUGUUUUUAUUUGUUUGUUUUUCUAUGAGACACAAUGGAAUUUUCAAUAGAAACUACAACAAUACAAAUAAUUACAAAUAUUUUUCUUUCAACAUCAACAUAAAAAAACAUUAUGCACUUUUCGAUACUUACGUAAUUCUAGGAUUAAAGAAACAAUAACAUCUAAGGGGGGUGAAUUGGGUGUUGCACUAAUUAUAUCAAAUAAUGGUGUUGCACUAAUUAUAUCAAAUAAUGCAAUAAUUAACAAUAUAAUUAAAGUGUUUAAAGUAAAUAGAUAAGGAAAUAGAUAUUACAAACUCGGUUUUUAAUGUGAUUCGGUAAGCCUACAUCUACACCUCAAGUACUAACCGUACUUGAGUAUUGUACUCUUUUACCAAUCCAAGUGAAAUAUACAAAUGCCCUUGAUAAAUCCACACCGAGAAAUUAUACCACUUGAAGUUUUUUCUCUUGGUGACAAUACAUCACUAAUGCUAGGAGUUUAUCCAAACUCACAAAUGUUUACAAUUAUAAUUUGUUUGCAACAAGAUUCACUCUCUCAUAAAGUAAAUUGUACAAUUGAAAACUAUAAUCUUUAUAACUCACUCGAUAGCACUCAAGAUGAUUGAAAGUGUGUAAAUAUAAUGAGUGUGAGACAUUAUACUCAUGUGUUAGAAUAUAAAGAUUUAAUUUAGCACAACUUAAAAGCAUGUUAUGAUUGAUGAUUUCUAAUUGAUUUUUUUUUAAAAUAACUUCUAUGUUAUAUAUGUUUGGAAUCUCUCUUUUAUUUGUUAUAUAUAUAUAUAUAAACUAAUUGUUUAUAGUUGUUGAGAUGUCUCUAACAGCUAAAGUAAUCUAUAUGCAACUUAAACAAAAGAAUUCCAAUUAAAUGGAAUUGCACUUAACAUGUAUUAUUUCAAAUGCAACAAUUGCAUAGAUAACAGACAACAAGGAAUUUAACAGAAGAUAUAUACACUUUACUUUUCCUACUAAAAUUAAACUAUUGGAAUUUAACAUAGUCAUAAUCAAUUUGUUCUUGUGAGAUUAUCUAUUACAUGUAUAACAAAUAUAUUAGAAAAUAAAUUGUUUUAAGAUUGUUAGAACACCUUAAAUAGUUCAUAAAAUUAUUGUUCCAUUUUACUAUAAUAAUCAAGUUUCCACAUAAUAUAAAUCAUGCAUAUAAAUUAAUAAUCAAAAUAAAAAUUAAAUUAAGAUAACAAUCAAUUUUUUAACUUUAAAAUAAUUUAUCAUCUAUUUUCUAAUACUAAUAGUAUGAUUGUAAUAUUAUUUUUUAAUUUAUUUAAUAAUUUAAUUUUGAUAGCACAACCAAAAAUAAAUAAUGAACCAAAAUUUAUAUGAUAUUUUUUAUAAAAAAUUUGAUAAAAAAAAUAUAAAAACAAAAAUAAUGUCUCAAUUAGAAUAAUUUUUUCAUUAAUGAGAAGGCCCACCACAGACCAAGAGGACAGCUUCAAUGAAGCCAAUGCAGGUGAUUACCCGUCGGCUAACAUCUCCUCGCGCGCCUAGCACCAGCUAAACCGCCUCAAUCUGAACAUGCACCAGACAAAGUCUAUGAAAAGACGCCAGGGAGCCUCAGCAGCCGAGAAGAAAGCACGGGAACACCCACCGCGCGAGAAGAAACGCGAAAAACAGGAGACGGAGCGCGGUAAAGACUGAAGCCACAGGAUUCACAUACAGUGAAGCACUCUUAGUUUUAUAUAUAUAUAAUUCUUUUAGUUUGUUAGUUAUGAACAGUGAAGCAGCACAAGAAUACAAUUCUCCUGUUUGUUUGCUGGAAAAUAGUUUUUUUUAGAAAGUGAAUUAUUUUCCGAUGUUUGGUAGUGUAAUGGAAAAUAAGUUAGAAAACAUUUUUCAGUGUUUGGUUAUGUCAUGGAAAAUGAGUUGGAAAAUAACUUAUUAAUAUUUUAUUUUUUUCAAUUUUAUUAAAAUAAUAAAGAAUAAAUCUUACAAAUUAAAAAGUUGAAUGAAAAUAAAAUUGAAAAAAAAUAUAAUUUCAUAAAUUAUCUUAAAUAAAAUAAAUAAUAAUCAAAAUAAUAAAAAUCAAAUCUAAAAAAUAAAAAAUUUGAUCGCUUCAUUAAUUUCUCGUUAGGAAAAUGUUGAGCUUCUCAGCAAUAUUUCCUUACCUUGUGCCGCUAACUUGACGGUAAAAUGUGAUUAAAGGAUCAAUUAAUUAUUUAAAUCAACUUGAGGGAUUAAUCUGUUUGUUUAACAAAAAUACAGACACUAGUUAAAUAGAAUUUAACUCAAAUUUUAAUCAUCAUAUGCGUGCGUGUGCGUGUGCGCACGCGUGCGAGCGAGGGUUUACUCGUUAAUUUUUUUAGAAGGAAUCUGGAAAAGAAUAAAGUCAUCUAUUUCACUUUGGUCCAACAUCCCUCAAAGGCGCAGCUGUGCAUCUAGUUAGGAAGAACAUUUUAUAACUCACCUCAAGGUCGAGCAUGGUCAGGGUUAUUGUGUUGUCUAUUCCGAGGAAGAUGUGGCGUUCAAUCCAUGUGAAUCGCACGACUUGUCCAUAUCUUUCUUAUUGAUUACAAAUAGCAUUGAGAAUUAAAGAAUAUUAUCUUAAUAAGUUCCAAUUUAUUCUACAAAACUAUAUAUAAAGAUGUGACAAAAAGAUGUAUACAAAUUAGUUAUUUAUUGUUUGUAAGUAUUAUUGUAUUGCAAAGACAAAAAUAAGAUGCAACUUAUGGCGUGGUCGUCCAACCUGGUUCUGGUUUUGAUCCUGUUCAAAAUCUAUUUUGUUGAAUUGUUGAUCUACUUGUGAGUUAUUGGGUUAACUAGAUCAAUUUUUUAAACAAAACAAUGCCAUUUUAAAAAAAAAAUUGGUUCUGACAUAGAAAUAUAAUAUUAGAAACUUAAACCUUAUUGAUUAGCAAAAACUCAAUGGGAAAUUUAGUUUUGAAAUAGAUUGUUGUAAAAUCAAAUAUGAAUUGAUAACCAGAAAGUUUGCUUAAAAUUGCAAUAACCUUAUAGAAGAAAGCAAACAUAAAUAGAAUUAUUAAAUUCAAUGGAGUUCAUAUAACCAGGAUCACGAGUUUAGCGAGUUAAGCCAUGAAACCCUAAUCGAUCAAAUAUGUCGCCGUUUCAAUUAAAAAAAAUACAUCUUAAAAAGAAUUAAGCUAAACCACGUUUCUACCUAUUAUCUGGGUUGUCUUUAGACUUGUCAAGUCGACUGAGCCAUAUUAGGACAACUUCCAUAUAAUUAAAUUUGAAACUCGAGCUAGAUAAGAAAUCAGGUCAGGAAAUUUUAAUAUUGAUUUGUUGAAUCGGAUUUAAUAACAAUGCCAAAGAUCUGAAUAUUUAUUUUUUACUCAAUUUUUUUUAGGUCCUGUUUGUUUGAUGGAAACAGUUUUUUUUUAGAAAGUGAAUUCCUGUAAAGUGAAUUAUUUUCUGAUGUUUGGUAGUGUGAUGGAAAAUAAAUUAGAAAAUAUUUUCCAGUGUUUGGUUAUGUUAUGAAAAAUGAGUUGAAAAAUAGCUUAUUAAUAUUUUAUUUUUUUUCAAGUUUAUUAAAAAAACGAGGAAUAAAUCUUACAAAUUAAAAAGUUGAAUGAGAAUGAAAUUGAAAAAAAUAAUCUAAUUUUAUAAAUUAUUUCAAAUAAAAUAAAUAAUAAUCAAAAUAAUAGAGAUCAAAUCUAACAAAUAAAAAAAUUGAAAGAUGAUGAAAUUAAAAUAAUAAUAAUUACAAUUUCAUAAAUUAUUUCAAAUAAAAUAAAUAACAAUUAAAAGAAUAAGGACCAAAUUUGAUAGAUAAAAAAUUUCAAUUAAAAAAAUGAUAAGACAAAAGCAAAUAACAAUCAUAAAAAUAAGGACCACAGUUAAUAUAAAAAUCAAAUUAAAUCAAAUUUUAAGGAAGGAAAUUAAAAAAAAAGAUUCAAACAAAAUAUAUAUCAAUUAAAAGUUUGAAGACUAAAUUUGAUAUAAUCAGCAAAUAAUAUGAUAUUUCUAAAUUUUUCACAACUUCUGGAAAAUGUUUUCCGUCCAAAAUAAAAGGAAAAUACUUUCCUGAAAAUCGAGUUAAAUUUUUCUUUGACUGUAAAGUGUUUUCCAUUGACCAACUUUUUUAAUGACAAACAAACACAUGAAUGUUUGGAAAGUGGUUUCUAGAAAAUUAUUUUCCAGGCAAACAAACACCCCCUUAAUUCAAUCACUAAAGAGUUAUCCAAGAAUAAUUAUUCUCCACUAGCAGUUGUUGCAUACUAAAUUUUUUUUGUCAAAACAUACAUGAUAGGUGGCUUCAAUAUCAAUCCACCAUUUUUUAGGAUUUUCCAUGAAGUUUACUUCUAAUAUAACUACAACAAGCUUAGUAGCUUUCUCAUCAACAUUCUCAAUCAUAUGCUAAGAAAUCAUGGUUUUGUUGAGCUUUGUUAUCAUCAUAGGCUUGAUGAUGGAAGGAUUAUUGCUUCAUCAUGCUUUAUAUUUAAGUUCACGCCACUCAAAUUAUUUUGGUUUUUUCCCCACAUGAAGAAUGUUUAGGAAUCGGGUUUGCCAUCUAAACCACAAAGAUUACUAGGUUAACAAGUACAUCGAAAUCAUUAACAAUAGUUUUAUCCAUCUAUUAUCUCAAUAAUAAAAUUAACUUUGCAAUUAUAUAUCACGCUUAUAUAAUCUCAAAUAAUAUUAAUUAAAAUGAAUCACAAAAAUUUAACACACUAAUUGUGCAAAAAAACAAUUUAAUAAACAAUUUAACUUUGCAAUUGUGUAUUUAUUUAUUUGUUUUUCUAUAAGACACAAUGUAAUUUUCAAUAGAAACUAUAACAAUACAAAUAAUUAUAAAUAUUUGUCUUUUGACAUCAACAUAAGAAAACAUUAUGCACUUUUUUAAAGUUACGAUAAAAACAAAUCUGAUUGAUACUUAUGAUAUUCUAGGAUUAAAGCAAUAAUAACAUCUAAUAGAGAUAAAUUAGGUGUCAAACUAAUUAUGUCAAAUAAUACAAAUAAACAUGCUAAACACAUAUAAUAUAAUAAUCAACAAUAUAAUUAAAAUGCUUAAAAUAAAUAGAUAAGAAAAGAGAGAUUACAAACUCGGUUUUUAACAUGGUUCAGUAAGUCUACAACCACAUCUCAAGUACUAAUCGUAAUUGAGUAUUGUAUUCUUUUACUAACCAAUAAUAUAUUAUUUCACCAGUAAUUAUUAUCCAAUAUGCAACUUUUUUUUCCAAUCUUCUGUUUUUUUUUUCCAUAUCAAUCCAACAAUAAAGAAAAUAACAUGUAACAUAAAAUUUCUUUCCCCGUAGAAUCAAUGCAACAAGUAUACAGAUACCACACAACAAACAAUUUAACAAGUCAUGUAAUUUAACAGAAGAUAUAUUUACUUUGCUUUUCCUACUAAAUUUAAACAACUUUUUUGUAAUCUAUGUCAACAUAUAAAACAUAUAUAUAAAUCAAUAAAAAAAAUAAAAAAUAGGUAGAGGUAAUGAUUAAUUUUUUAGCUUUAAAAUUUUUUAUCAUCGCCUCUUUAUGCUAGUAAUGUAAUUGCAAUAUUAUUUUAAAUUAAUUUAAUAUUUUAUUUUUGAUAACAUAACCAAAAAUAAACAGCGAACCAGAAUUUAUAUAGAGUUUCCUAUAAAAAUUUUGAUAAAAAAAAAUAUAAUAGAAAUAAGUUUAUAAAAACAAAAACAAUGUCUCAGUUAGAAUAAUUUUUUCAUUAAUGAGAAGGCCUGCCACAGACCAAGAGGAGAGCUUCAAUGAAGCCAUCCCAGCCGAUGCAGGUGAUUACUCAUCGGCUGACAUCUCCUCGCAUGCCUAGCACCAGCCAAACCGCCUCAAUCUGACAUGCACCAGACAAAGUCGAUGAAAAGACGCCAGGGAGCCUCAGCAGGCGAGAAGAAAGCGCGGGAACACCCACCGCGCGAGAAGAAACACGAAAAACAGAGACGGAGCGCGGUAAAGAUUGUGAAGCCACAGGAUUCACACAUAGUGCACCGUGUUUUAAUGAGUUAUAUGUAUAUAUAUAUAUAUAAUUAUUUUAGUUUAGUUUUAGUUUGUUAGUUAUGAACAGUGAAGCAGCACCAGAAUACAAUUCUUUUAGUUUGUUAGCGAAUUUGGAAAGAAUAAAGUCAUCUGUCAAGCUCUGUUCACUUUGGUCCGACAUUCUUCACCUCUCCCCACCUGAGCUCUCUCUCUUUCCCUCCUCCGCUCUAGGAAGCCGCCACCACCUCAACCAAUAAGGCUUCAAAUCUCCACCAGGUGCUUCCUUUUCUAUCAUGUUUUUUAUUUUUAAAAUUUACAUCUGUGUUUUCAUUUAUUUAACUGAAAUUCUUAUCCAGAGAGAUAAAUUCGAUUUUAAUAAGUAAAUUAAAAAGAUAUAUAAUCGGAUCGAUGAAAUCGUUGUUCGUGAACGCAACUCGAAGAAAGGCGUAAUCAGCCGAUUCUACUGUGGGUGGAGCAUUUAGUAUGGUCAGGGUUAUUGUGUUGUUUAUUCAAAGAAAGACAUGCCUGUAAAUUUGUUAAGUUGAUUCUUAUCAGUCUGCUCUUUAGAGUUAAUGAUAACAUGAAAUAUUCAUUGUUAAUGCUCGUUGUUUUCUUCGUCUUUUUCCUAGACUAAAACAUCCUAGACAGUCUCUUUGGGAUGGGUUAGUGUUUCUGGCCUCUUCAUCUUCAAUUUGUGCUGUGGUGAAAGGCCUCGUUUUAUGACUUUGUUUUGUAUUCUUCUUAUUUCUUUAUUCUUUUGGGGAUGUGGUGUUUUCCUCUUUCUAUUACACUAUUUACUCCCUACAAUAUUUAUUUUUUCAGAGAAGUAAAUAUAUGCAUAAAUAACAAAAACAGGAGGGGAAGGGGAAUGGGGUUUGAUAGUAAGUAUUUGCUUAGAAGGGAAUGCUUCUUCGGUUUAGAAGCACCAUGAAGAUUCUUUGCUUUGAAUGGCCGAAUACCCAGGAUCCUAGCACCUAGGCCUGAAUGUUUGUGUAUAUUUGUUAUGCAUCCAUAUUUGGCUGAAUUCUUUAAUAAAGUACAUGAUAUUAGACGGAAGUUCUUUUUAAAUCUAUUCAAGUCUGAAUAAACUGAUAUUCCAUUUUUCAUGUUCUUGAUGUGCUUUUGCUCUUCUUGUCGUUCCUGACUUUCUUUUAAGGGUCUAUUCUAACAUGCAAUAUGAUUUUUUUUUUCUUUUUGGUUGGCCAACUGUCCUAGGCGGAGAACCUAUCAUAGACACGGGUGAUUGGAGAAUUCAAUUGCAGCCUGACUCAUGGAAAAGAAUAAGCGACAAAAUGUAUGUGCAAGUGCUGCAAAAUAGUAAAUUUUUUUAUUUAUAUGAAAGAAAAGGAGAAUGGCAAAGGGUUAAUUAAAAUCAACAAGAUAGCCAUGAGGCAACCUCAAGUAUCACACACCUUUUUUUUUUUUCAUCUUUUAAUGUGUUUCUCACGAGAAGAAAACUUGAGGGAACAUAAAGUGAUGGGAAGUAAUUUUUGUUGGAAUUUCUUGUGUAAUCUCUUCUUUUGAUGAUGACCUCUUGGAUGGCUGCAUGAAGCUUGUUCCGCUUUUAAUUUCAAUUUAAAACUCGAGUUGCAAUUGAACUUAAAUGAAUGGUGUUGGAUUUAGGCCUUCUAUUUGUUUUAACUUCUACAGGGUUGAAAUGAUAGUGAUCUUAAAGUUGAAAAGCAACAGACAAAAAUCAAUUAGCCACAGUGGUGCAUGGUUUCGUAGUUUCUCAGCAUAAAGUUGAAUGUUUUGUUGACCUCUCUACAUCCAAAAUCAUAUAGACAGCUACUUCUGGCACUUGCAUUGGUCAAUGAAUACUGUAAAGUAUAUAUUGCAGUGUGAGAUAAGGUUAACUCGUUGCAUUUUCAUAUAUUGAAAAGAUUUGUCUUCUUUUCUUUGUCAAUUACAGCAAAUGUGUAGAAGUUACUCAGAGUAAAUGCUAUUGUAAUGUUUUCACAUACUCCCCUGCUUUGCAACUAAGUCACUAAUAUAUGAAGCUCGUAGCUAGAAUUUUUAGAUAGAAGGGUGGCCAAGUAAACUCCUAUAAUAUGUACCUCUGGAAUAAUACAGGGAAAAGAUGUCUAUGUAUUUUGAUGUCUUAUAAUACUUGACCAACUCUUGCUUAUCUUGUUGUUACCCAUUUUUUAGUUCACAUAAAAAUGAGAAAAUACAAAAAACAAAUAUCAAAAGAAAUCCAAAAAAUAAUAGGAGCGAGAAAAGGAUUGCUGGAAUGCCGAAAAAAAAAUGCCAAAAUUGGUUGAGGAGAUUCAAAAAUGCAAAAGGUUGAAAUUUGACAGUGAGAGUCCUGUUGAUGAGGAAAAUUCAAUUUGAGAAAGAAAAGUCCAAAAUCAGAUGUUUAUGGACUCAAUUAAAUUUUAUCCAAGGUUUAAUUGAAUUUAUAGAGGGUUUGAUUGCAAGAAAAUUGAUUUUGUAAGUCAAUUUAGGCUUUUAUCGGAAGAAAUUAAAGUUCUGGGGUCCAAUUAUAAUUUUAAAGAGUUGAUUUGGUCAAAUCAGGGGCUUAAUUGCAUAAUUAUUGAAGUUUGAUGGCCAAUUAGGGACUUAAUUGAAAUAAUUUGAGACCAAGGAUCAAACCAGAAAAGGCGCUAACAUUAAGGGAUCCAAUUACAAUUUUGUCAGGGGGGUUUGAUUAUAAAACAGCGAAAACUUCAAGGGCCAAAUUAGAAGAACCCAAGCGGCGCCGUUUCCACCAUUAAUGGUCUUCAAACAGCUGUGAAUCGGUGACGAUAAUGGAAGGAGACGUUAGCAGCAAUUAUGGAAAAUAUUCUCAAUUCAAUGGGGCUGGUAUCGCGGCUGACAUCCCUCGUCACCGUGAUGGGCGCCGGCUUACCAAUAUUGCUGGCGUCCUCUGGCUAUAAAAGCCAGAGGAAGAGCUGCACCAAAAAUAAAAGGAGGUGAGAGAGAGGAGAGGCUACAGUGAAGAAAAAAAAAGGGGAGUGAGACAGUUUAUGAGAACGUAAGAAAAGUGAGAGGGUGGAGAAAUAGCGAGCAAGCAUAAGGGAGAGAAGAGGAAGGAGAGAAAGAAGCAAACCGAACGGGAACAGAGGACACGGUGAAGCAGAGAACCCAGCACCACCAUCGUCUUCGUCUUCUCAAAAUCAGGUAUGUUCGAUGCCCUUCUCCGUUUCCUUGCAAAAUGAGAUGAUGCAUGUUAGUAUGUAAAAUACAGAAAGAAAAUAUAAGGAAACCGACACCAGAAAUCGCCAGUUACAAUGCUCUGUUUUGUUUUCCUUUUUCAUUCUCGCACUGCAACAAAGAUGGUUAACAGAGCGAAGGUAAUUUAAUUACCUUCGCCCUGUUCAUACAAGCCUAAAUAUAUUAUGGUGCCAUUAGAUAAAAAUAUGCCUUGCAGUCUAGAUGGUCAGCUUACCUGGCUCUCAUCCGAGAGACCCGGUUUCAAGUCCCAACAAGGGAAUUCCUUUUUGAAGGUGGUCACUGGCAUGGGCCAGUGACCAUGCUGGGCUAGCUGAAUCCAGCCCAGCUACGCAGGUUGGCUGGGGUCCAGCCCAGCCAUAUGGGCCGGGUUGGGCCCAGCAAUAAAAAAUAAAAGAAUAAAAAUAAAUAAAAAUUCAAAAAAAUUAUUUAAAUAUCUGUGAUUUUCCGUCAAUUUUUACUGCAUUUUAAUUAAUACGGUUUGUAUUUUUAUACUGUAAAGAUACAAAUCCGGUAUUAAAAUACCAUAUUUUGGUCCAAACAUUAAAAAAGAAGUUUUGUUUUCAUACAUACGGCUAAGUCUCUCAAAAAUAAAAAAUCAUAUUGUAUUUUCAUACAACAAAGAAAAUUUCAAAAAAUAUGUAUUAGCAUGCAUUUUGGCUUUAAUAACCAGUUUAUUAAAGUCACGAGAACUAGGCCAAUAUUUCAAAAAUUCUAAAAAAUUUAUUUUGUUUUCUUUUAAUAUCGGGGGCCGGGUUAUGAUCUUAUACGUAAGACGUGUUCCAGAUAUUAAAUUUUCUUUGUUGGCAUUAGACCGGUUAGGUUUUACCCGAUAAGAUAAGGAUCUCUUUACCGAAGAGAACUUUUCUUAAACCAUAAACGGACCAACAAAUAGAAAGCACAACAUGACCUUAGAUUUUAUCAGACAAUAAAACAAUGCAGCUUACCUUAGGUAGGGCGUAUUUGGGGUGCUAAUACCUUCCCUUUACGCAACCAAUCCUCGUACCCGAUCUCUGAGACCAGUUAGGGUUCCUAGUGACCAAAAUACUAGGUGACGACUUUCAUUCUAUUUUUUCACUGAUAAAAGACAAGAAUACCUUGUCUCCACACAUUUGCCACAUUUUUAGAUAAGAUAAGAUAGAAUUCGAGGGUGGAUGUUUUCGCCGCGACGCCGCACACGUGCGACAUAUCUCAUUAUUUGUUUUUACUUUUUGCUAAUGAUUCCACACAUUUCUGAAAUUGGUGUGGUUUAUGAGUUCAGGGUUCUUGCUUGCUGCUGCUAACUUCUCUAUACUUGCCUGGUCAUUAAAAAUGAAACGUAAUGAUUUGCAUGUGCAGAAUGGAGACAUUAAAGAGGGAUCUUCUGUUUUCUAGUCAGAAGGGAUUACAAGAACUCAAGAAAUAUGCCAUACGUUUUGAGGAAAAGAUUUAUAUUACCGCCACGAAUCAGGGUUCAAUAAUUAUGAUAUUCUCUUGACAUGAAUAUACACAUGCAUUUAUGCAUGUACAAAUGUGUGUGUAGUGUGCCUCCACUUCCUCACCGUGCAUUCUGUAUGCAAGGCUGAUUGGGAGUUCGCAUGUUUUUGUUAAUUCUCUUGACAAGUGUUUUAUCUAGAGUGACCAAGUUCAAGUACAAGGGAAGUGUGCAAAAAGAAAAUAGCAAAUCAAUACAUAAAUAAUUAAAUAAAAAGAGAGGAAACAGAAGUAUAUCCUCACAAACGAUGAAAUGAUAGAGCAUAUAUCCAUUUUCCUCCUCUUGUAACAUGGAUUGCUCUGAGAUCUAAUGUUUUGUUAUUAAUAUAUGAUUUCAGUAUGAUUAUCUGCGUAAAAUAUCUCUGGAGAUGCUUUCAAUGGAGAUCAGGUCUCAAAAUACCAUGCCCACUGCCCCCAUGGAUCCAGCAGGUUAUAAUGCAGCCGAGCAUUGAAUUUGUAAACAUCUUACCUUUUGUUUUGUUUGUCGCAUUGUAAUCAAACUCUUUUACAUUUUAUUGCGGCAUAUUGCUAUGUGUUUAGCAUGCUUUAAUCAAAAAGUUGAGUAAUUGAUGAAUGUUAGGCAAGAAUAUUACAGAUUGUUUUUGUUUUCUGCCUCCUCCUUUUCUUUCCUCCACCUUGAAAAUUGUCAUAUUAUUUUUGUUUUCAGUCGCCUCUUCUUCCCCCAUCCCUGAAAAUUGUCAGAGGACAUUUUUAUGCUUUGAAUCAAAUCCAUCCUAAUUUUUUCGCUCAUAACUUUAUGUGUGAACUGCAUAUGUUUCAUUUGUCUUCCUUGUUCAGUGCCUUCUUUUUUUCUGUGACAUGGUUUUCCCUUUUGCCUUUUAUCUUGAACAGCAUCCCAUAGUAUGCGCCCUGAAGUUCAGAAUCAAGGGCUGUUUCUCCCUAUCCUAUUGUCCACUGAUCAGUCUCAAGCAUGUCAGCAGUUGGUAUCACAGAACAUGCAGAAUUGCAUGGCAUCUAAUGGAGUUCAAAGUUAUGCUGGUUUACAAGCGGCACUGCCUCCUGUCUCUGGUGUAACCCUGACUAACCCCAACACUGUUGUCCAGAAUCCUAACAUGCAGAGUAUCCCUGGUGUUUCACAGAACUCAGUGGGGAAUUCAAUGGGACAAGGGAUUCCCUACACUAUGUUUGCCAAUUCUCAGAGACAAAUGCCAGGUAAUGCUCUUUUUGGUAGCUUUAUGUGCCACUGCUUCCCUUUAUGGCAUUAGAAAUGCCACUGCUAUUGGAACUAUUGCAAUCACACAUGCAUUUGUAACCACACGAUGCCCUACAGUGCGGUGCACCAACUGUUCACCUCUCAUAAUGGUUCAAGUCAGCAAUGCUCUUUUAGGUAGCUUUAUGUGCCACUGCUGCCACUUGUGGCAUUAGUAAUGCCAUUGCUAUUGAAACCAUUGCAAUCACACACGUAUUUGUUACCACAUCAUACCCUCCAGUGCAUUGCACCAGCUAUUCGCCCUCUCAUUCUGCAUUUAUAUGAUCACAUAACAUUUAUAUGAAGUUCUUAAUACAAAAAGGACUUGUAUUCCUAUAUAGGAAAAUACUAAUAGUCCUAUCUAGAAUAGAAAAAACCUAAUGAAGCUCGCUAUACUUUGGGAAUAAUUAAAUACUAAAUGGAAAAUAAAACUGAGACUCGUAAUAUUUCAUAAUUUUCAGCAAGCGUUAAAAUUAUAGAAAUACCCUUGUAUAUGGAAAACACACAAAAAUACAUGAAUUCUAAUAUUUUGUUGUCCGCAUUGAAAUUUUUGUAGCAUCCCUAUAUUCUACAGCACAGACUGGACAUGCAAAAGGCGCUGAUUGGCAAGAGGAGAUCUAUCAGAAGGUAAUUUCUGUGAUUUACUGUUCAUUAGAUGGAGUUCAUGUUUGCCAUAGUCUUGCAAGAUUUCAAUGGAAAAAGGUCUCAAGAAAAUAAGUGGGACUUAUUCCAUUGAAUCAUGACCACAUCCAGUAUUGUUGAAUUUUACAGAAAAUGAGGUUGAAAUUCUGAAUGUCUCAAGUCAUAGCUGCAUGUUUAAUAAGGAGAUUUUUUUUUUGUGCUUAGGAGAGUUUUAAAACGGGAAUAAGAAUGGUUGUUGAUAAGGACAAUUUUUUUUGUGCUGAGGAGACCAAUAUUUGCUGAGCAAUUCUAUAAUGAAAAGUUGGCGACUGAUGUUUUAAAAAUUGGAGUUAAGGAAUGGCUUAGAGUGCAUGGAGAUCAUGUUAAAAGUGAAGCUGUAGAGAAGGCAAUCACUCAAAUUAUGAUGGGUGAAGAAGCAGAGGAAAUGAGUAGCAGAGCAAAGAAACGGCCAGGAAGGCUGUUGAAGAAGGUGGAUCUUCUUGCUCCGAUUUCAAUGCUUUGAUUGAAUAACUGAGGUGGGGUCGCCCUUGAAACAAAGACAUAGAACAUUUUGUUUAUACUUUAGUAGUGGUUGUGGCAAUUUAUUUUCGGACAAGUCUUGAGAGUUGAAAGAGUAAUCACACCCGAGUCAAUGACCAAUCCAAAUCAGUUUCCUUCCUAAUGAUUCAGGAAUGAGAAGUCCAGCUUAUAUAUUUAACCCAAAUAACUAAUCAAAUAGAAAGGCUGAGCUUAGAGAUAGUACACUACAUAUUGCCAAUAACUAGAUAAACAAUCAUCACAAACUAGGAACGACCGUCUCCCCAAUAACAAAUUCACCUUCUGAAGUUAGAGAACUUGCGAAAACUAGCCACCACAAAAUAGUAGCAAGUAUCUAUGCAGUCUUCGAUGAAGUACAACCACCUGCGUCGCCAAUAUGGAUUGAUGUAGAGAACUGCUGCAAUCGUCAUCACCACAACUGUGUAACAUACACCGAAACUGAUGUAGAAAAACUCCAUAUCUAUGAAACCAUCAUCUCCUUGUUCAUCAUUAGGCACUGGCUGUGACACCACUGCCUUCUCACUACAAUUGUUUGGCAAUGGAGGUCCACACAAGAAAGGAUUUCCUUCGUAACAGCUUUCAUCGAAGGUCCCAAACUGAUAUAUUCUCUCGGGUGUCUUGCCUGACAAGUUAUUGUGCGCCACACUAAAAACUUCCAGUGUGGUAACUUCAGUAAAUUGUGGAGGGAUGGCACCAUUCAAGUUGUUGUAAGAAAGAUCCAAACUCUCAAUAUGCAUUAGGUUUGAGAAUGUUGCAGGGAUAGAUCCAGUGAGAUUGUUGUGUGAUAAGUUUACUGACAGUAUCUUACUUAAGUUUCCAAAUUCUGGUGGGAUUGCUCCGAUGAAGUUGUUAUUGGAGAGAUCAAUACCAAACAUGUAGUUGAGAACUUUCCCCUUGUACCCAUAAUACAUAUUUUUAGUUGUAAAUUCUGUCACUUCUUCUGUAAAGUUAAACAAAAAAAAAUUUCUCAAGUUGUCCACACUAUCCACUAGUGGUGGGCCCAUUAUUUCAUAAUAAGCUUUUUCUAUGGACUCUGAUAUAAAACCAUAUGCGACUUCCAAUAUCGCUUUCUUGUCACUUUUCUUGAAAGUAAGAUUGCCUAAACAGGAGGGUAGUGGACCAGAGAGCUGGUUGUGUGAAACAUCCAAAAUGCUUAAUUGUUCUAACAAGCAUAACUGAAUAGGGAGCUCACCAUCAAAGUGAUUAGCCCUCAGAAGAAGAACACUCAAUGAUGAAAGAUUGCCAAUCCAAUUUGGAAUGGAGCCGGUGAAGCUGUUUUCUCGAAGAUCCAUCGUAACCAGGUAAGAGCUGUUAAAAAAUGCAUAUGUUAAUGGACCGCUCAGUCUAUUUUUCGAUAGAUGCACAUGGGUUAUUUGUGGUGGACUAAAACAAGAUGGUAUAUAUCCAGACAAGUUGUUCUCAGAAAGGUCCAAAUAUUCAAGCUGGUCAAACUUACAAAAAUCUCUUGGGAUCGGACCCUUAAAAUGGUUUCCGGACAAAUCAAUUACUCCAAGGAUCGAAAAAUUAACGAAGCUCCUUGGAAGCAUGCCCGAAAAUUGAUUGUUACUCAAAUCUAAUACAUUCCAUACAUUCCACCUAUAUAAUGGAAAAUCUGAUAUCUGACCCCAAAAGUUGUUACCAUUUAGGUAAAGAAAAUUCAGGCGAGAAGAAUUGAACACCGAGGUCGGUAUUUUCCCACCCAAAUUGUUGUUUGACAGCUUGAGAACCCAUAUUGUUGUUAGUUGUUCUAGUUUUACUGUAGACAAUUGAUUGUUGGAUAAAUCUAAAAAUGAAAGAGAGCUAAUAUUUCCUAAACAGGAAGGAAUACAACCUGUGAAUCCAUUCUUAGCCAUCCUUAAGGUGUGUAGAUUUGGAAAGAUCAAACAAAUAUCUUUUGGAAUUUGACCGUUCAUGUUGUUGUUGGAUAUAUCUAAAUUGGUCAUAUUCGGAUGGAGGUGAUCUUGCAACUGCAAAGCACCAAUAAAGGAGUUGUCGCUCAGAUAUAGUUGUUCCAAUCGUGUAUUGUUCUUAAGCAACCACGAUGGAAACAUUCCAGUGAUGUUGUUGUGGGAGAGAUCAAGGGCUCUUAAGUCUAAUUGGUAAUAGAGGAAGUCGGGAAUUACAUUGAGUGCUUCCGAUGUUGGACUACUUGACAAGCGGAAAAAGACUAGUUGGAACUUUGGAAUCAAAUUAUCAAAGGCAGCAGGUUCUGUUACUAGCUUGUUGUUCUCACUGGAGAAGAACUUGAGGCUUGAGUGGUUCAUAAAAGGCUUUAUUGAAAUGGGAACUUCAAAGAGGUUAUUUGAUAGUGAGAGGAAUUCAAGGGAUAUGAGGUUGGUAAGAGGACCGAAAGCAAUAUUUCCAGUAAACUGGUUUUCAGAAACAUCUAAUAGUUGUAAAGAUGACAUGUUCCCCAAACAAUCUGGGAGUGAACCUCCUAAAUUAUUUCUAGAGAGAUGUAACUGCUUCAGAUUCUUCAAUUCACACCAACCUGUACAAUUUAUCUUGAAAUAGUCAAAAUAGUGUUGGAAGAAUCUUUUGUUGAUGAUGUAAUUAUAGGCGGAUGGAGAGUUGUUAAUUUACCUUGAGCAGGUAGGGUGCCAUGGAGGUCACAUUCACCAACAGACAAAACUUUAAGAGCAGGCAAUGCUCCAAUGUUCUGGAGAAAGUUUAUUGGGAGAGAAGUAUUAUCUAGAUGCAAUUCUUCAAGGGUGCUCGAAUUGAACAAAGUCCCUAUGAAAAAGAAAGAAGAAGAGAUAUGAUGAAAAUAGUGGUGGUACAGAAUAUAUAGCCAUUCCAUUCAAUAUUAUUAAUUAAGAUUUUAAGAAACUAAACUAUUAACCUUGACUUAAAUUAGUAUCCUUGAGAGAAAGGGUCUUCAGGGAUGGCAAUGAACACAAUGACUGUAGGAAGUCCAGCUUCCUUGAACCUAUGAUGUGUAGAAUUGAAAACAGGCAAUCAAGUAAGUAGUGAAAUUAAGUGUUAUCUUGAUCGAGUUCUUAAAGCUAUGAUAAAGAACUGGUACUUUUGUAGUGAGAUGAUUUUUUGAUAGAAACAACAAAUUGCCCAAAUAAUAGAAGAUGCCAAGAGAUAUUCACAACUUUACCAUUGACAGCCGUCGAUCCUAGCAACAUAUUGCCUGAUAAAUUUAAAGACUUGAGGGAUGAAAGUCCACUCGGAUGUGAUAAAAUGCUGUCGUUGAAUAUAUUAUAGCUCAGGUCCAGGUUCUCGAGUUUCCCCAAAUGUGAUGAUAUGAUCUCAAAACCUGCAAGGAGUUGUUUCUAAGAGUAAGUCAUAAUUAUGAGCUCACGAUAUGCAUAAUAUAUAGAAACUAAAGAUAAUUAGAAUUGAUGAGAUGUUGUUCAAUUGAUAUAUGAUUCUCAAAUUAUACAUAAAAAGAAUGAUAUAUGAACGCAUAUUUAAUUAUAUAAUAGAUUAAGAAAUAAUUUAUGGAUAAGAUCAAAGCUCCAUAGAUAUUAAUCUUCAUAGAUGAAAUUAAAGCGCAAUCAAACAUGAUGAAAUGCUAUCGUUGAUUUUUAAAUAUAUAUAAAGUCCUCAAUUUUCUUGAUAAACAGAAUGCAACUUACUAUUGAUAGAUCCUGUCAGCUGAUUGUUUGACAGAUCCAAAGACUUGAGAGAUGAAAACCCAGUUAGAGAUGGAAAAAUGCUAUCGUUGUAUUGAUUCCGUCUUAGAUGAAGGUUCUCAAGCUUUUUCAACCUUGAUGACAAGACUUUGAGACCUGCAUGAUGUUCCUCAAAAGCAUAGAAAUGAUACAUGAACGCAUAUUUAAUUAUAAAAUAGGUUGUGCACGCUUCUAAGAUUAAGAUACAAUUUUUAAAUAUCAUUCUAAUUUUGAUCAUUGGAAAAAAAAAAACAAUUUACGGUUAUAAAGUCGCUAAAGAUGGAAGCUAAGUUAUGAUAGACUUACAAAACAAAAUAAAGAAACUUAUAAUUAAGAUCUCAUCGGUAAUUAAAACAAGAAUAAUAAUCGAUCCAUGUAAGUUCAAAUAUUGCCUAAUUUUGAAAAACUAAUUAAUUAGUUAUGAUAGUUUCAAAAACUAACUGCCUCUGUAAGAUGCUAAAUGCCUCUCUCGUUGGCUGUCUAGUGAUUUGUAUUGGAUAGUUUUUUUUUGAAUUGAUGUUAAGAUCCAAGUUUUAAUAAUUACAAUUUUCUUAAUUAUAUAUAAUAUUAUAGGAGAGAGCUUCUUAUUAUGUUAUUCAAAACCCAUUCAAACUCAAAUUCAUAAAAAAAAAUACUUAGAGUUGUGUUCGACUAAGGAUCUCAAGACAGAAAAAACAUAUAUAAAAAUAUAUUUAUUUAAAAAGAUAAAUAUAAAAUAUAUAUUUAUAGGAGAGUUUUGAAGUGAACUUCUGAUUGCUAAUUUAAUCUAAAUAUUACAACACUUUUGGCAUAAAAGGGCCAAAAUAAGAAUAAAAUAUAUGCCUCUUUACGUAGAUAUAAAGUUCUCAUUUUUGUUGAUAAAGAAACAAUAUAAUUAAGAGAAUGUCAUGUGAAGCAUUUAGGUAGAAACUGUGUAUUAUACCUGAUCCUGUCAACUCAUUGUACGACAGAUCCAAAGACUUGAGGGAUGAAAAUCCAGUAAGAGAUGGAAAAAUGCUAUCGUUGCAAUGAUUCCAACUUAGAAGAAGGUUCUCCAGCUUUUUCAACCUUGAGGACAAGACUUUGAGACCUAAAUAGCAGCUACCUCCUGAUCAUUUAAAUGCGUAGAAAAAAAUGAUAUGAGAAGGAGAAAAGAAAAGGUUUCGAAGCUAAAUAAUUAAAAGGUUACCAUAGAAGCUACCUCCUGAUCCAGCUGUCAACCCAUUCUCUGAUAGAUCCAAAGACUUGAGAGUGGAAAGGUUACCAUUGAAACAUGACAAAAUGCUUUUAUCAUUAUUAAAUCCGUUAUAACUUAGGUCAAGUUUCCUCAGUUUUGAUGAUAGGACUUCGAAGCCUGGAAAGAGCAAGAUAAUUGACAUUAAACACCAACCAACCUUCAUUUAUUUUAUGAUUAUAUUUAAGUGCACAAACAUUGAACUAACCUUCAUUCUCCAAGCAACCAACCAAUCCAUUACCUUCCAAUUCAAGACUUUGCAAUUCUUUAAAAGGCUGAAACAAAGAUGCGUUGAGAACCCAAUCGCCCAAGCUCUCGUCCCUUGAUCCUCUAAGAGAGAGUUGGAUCACUCGCCUUGUAGUGUUAUCACACUCGAUCCUAUGCCACUCACAACAAUUACUACCGUCCACCCAAUCUCUCAAGGAAACGCCAUCUGGGUCGAUCGAAGAUUGGAUCUCCAAGAGACCAAUCCUCUCUUCCUCCAAACACCCAUAACAACGACCAUACCAUUCGCCAACCAAAGUCAAUAAUGCUAGCAACAUCCAACUCCCCAUUCUUUUCAUCAUCAUCUACGUAGAAUAUUGUUGUUUGUUAUGUGUCUUUGGGCAACCAUAGAGGUCCUAUUUAUACUACAAUUUUGGCCAUUUCCAUGAUUUUAUCUGCAUAUCUUAUGCAGGUUCUAUGUUUUGAGAUUUGAAUAUUAUUUUAUUUCCUUUUGGAAUAUUCUUGGAUUCGAAUAUUAUUUUAUUUUACUGUUUAGCACUUAGUCUAUUUGCAUUUAAUUAUAUUUUGGUUACUAAUUAUCCAAUUUUAAAAAAAUAAAAAAUAAAAAUUGUUGCAACAUUUCAAUUUUUUUAUCGACAUUCAUGUGUGAUUUCACGUAAGAUCUUUUUAAAUUUAUAAUUGUACUUUUCUCGUUAUAAUUUAGAAUUAUUUAGGAGCCUACUUGCAUGGUGUCAUCACUAUUAUAUAUAAUUAAAUACAUAAAUUAUCAAUAAUAAUAAAUUCGGAAUAAUUAUAAAUCUUAUCCCUGUGGAUUGUGUGGCUACAGUAUGAUAUACAAAAACUUCAAAUAUAUAUAAAUAAAAGAAUGCUAAAAGUGACAUUCUCUUGGGUGACCACCACAAGCCCAUCUAAAACACACAAGCCAUAUAAAAAUCACACGACAGCCAAUUACCUUAUCUUGUGAGAAAAAAGAUUAAAAAAAAAAAAAGCAUUUUCUUGGGUGUGCAAUGACUGCCAAUCUUUCUCGUUAUGACAUUCAAUGCUCUGUAAGAAGUUGCAUGAUGCUCUUCUCAUGGGGAGCAAAAAUCAGUAGCCUCCCAUGGAAUCCUCAUAAACCUUUCUCUAUGCUCUUCUAAGAUAUUAAAAAUGUCAAACAUACAUAAAUAAUAAGAAAAACAAUAAAAAAAGAAAGCUAUACAAAUAGAGCUUCCAACAAAAAGACUAGGAAGUUGUUUACUGAAAAUUGAGAUUCAUAAUUUGUUUUGAUUUGUUUUGAUUUGUUUUGAGUUAUUAUGGUCUCAUGACCCGGGUCACAGAUUUAAAGGUUAAUCUAGAUUGACCCGGGUCGAUUAAUCCAAUAUGUUGUUGUUUCGAUAUACUUUUUUUAAAAAAAUAUGUCAUCUUGAUUUUUUUCAAGUGAAACUAUAUUUUUACCAGUCGUCCAGACAAUCUUUGAGCCCAUCGAAUCGAUCGGGUUAUAUCAAUUUAACUCUUAUUUUUUUAUUUAUAUUUGAAAUUUAAAUUGCAUAAUUUUUUACUUAUUUUUUUAUAUAGGUGGUUAUGAGUUACAAAAAUUAAGCAAUUUCGAGUAUAUUGACAUGAGAAUUAAUGGUUUCGAUAACAAUAUUCUAUCAUUUGUAGAGGGAUUUUCAUCUUUUAAAUCACUAUAUUUAGAUUAUAAUAGACUGGAAGGGUUAAUAGAUUUAAAAUGUUAGUUUUUUUAUAUACUUAUUUUUUCUCUAUUAAAUUUAAUUUCAAAAGAACACAAUUUUCGAUAACAGUAUUCUAUCAUGCAAUUUUUGUUUUGUUUCAAAAGAACACAAUCGCCCAAGCGGAAAUCCCUUGCAUAGAAAAGAGAGAGUUGGAUCACUCGCCUUGUACGUAGUGUUAUCACACUCGAUCCUAGGCCACUCACAACAAUUACUACUGUCCACCCAAUCUCUCAAGAAAAAGCCAUCUGGGUCGAUCAAAGCUUUGAUCUCCAAGAGACCAAUCCUCUCUUCCUCCAAACACCCAUAACAACGACCAUGCCAUUCGCCAACCAAAGUCAAUAAUGCUAGCAACAUCCAACCCCCCAUUCUUUUCAUCAUCAUCUACGUAAAAUAUUGUUGUUUGUUAUGUGCUUUUGGGCAACCAUAGAGGUCCUAUUUAGACUACAAUUUUGGCCAUUUCCAUGAUUUUAUCUGCAUAUCUUAUGCAGGUUCUAUGUUUUGAGAUUUGAAUAUUAUUUUAUUUCUUUUUGGAAUAUUCUUGGAUUUGAAUAUUAUUAUUAUUUUAUUGUUUAGCACUUAGUCUAUUUGUAUUUAAUUAUAUUUUGGUUACUAAUUAUCCAAUUUAUAAAAAAAAAUAAAAAAUAAAAUAAUUGUUGCAGUACUUCAGCAUUGUUAUCGACAUUCGUGUGUGAUUCCGUAUAAGAUCUUUUUAAUUUAAUUGUACUUCUCUCGUCAUAAUUUAGAAUCAUUUAGAACCCUAUUUGUGUUAUGACUAUCAUAUAUAUAAUUAAAUACAUAAAUUAUCAAUAAUAGUAAACUCAGAAUAAUUAUAAAUCUUAUCCCAGUGGAUUGUGUGGCUACAGUAUUUUAUACUUCAAAAUAUAUAUAUAUAUAUAAAAGUUAGAGCUGCUUUUGUUUUUAUGUUCGGAAAGGUAUUCUUGACUUGUUUUUAUUACAUUUCAAUAUUAUUAUUUUUUUUCAAUCGAGUCAAAGAUAUACCAUUUAUAUUAGAAUGAGAAGACUAAUCAAUUUCUCUAGUUUUCUCCCUAUUUAUAAAAUACAUCUGGUUUUUGAAGUCCAGAUUUUAGGAUAAAAGGAAUUUAUUUCUUGAAAUUAAUGCAUUAAACAAUAUAAAGAUAUUUUUUAAAAAUUAAAAUAGUAGUAAAAGUAAAUUUAGUUUUUGAUUGAAGUGUAAACUAGUGGUAAAUGAACAAAAAAAAAAAACUUUCUUGAUUAUCUAAUGGAAACUCCGCCUAAUAUAUAUAUAAUAGCAAUCAUUUUCUUAUCUCUUGUAUCAUUCAUAUCUUCCACAAAUCUUAAGUAAUUGAUGAGAAAGUGGAUAUUGCCAAGAAAGGUCGUGAACGCGGAUGCUUGACUUGCUGCGUGGCAUUUUGAUUUUUAAACACAACACUACUUUCUUUGUGGAAAUAACGCUACUUUGCAUGAAGAUGAUGGAUAUAGAAGACUUGCUACUUGUUUUAUGGAAAUAACGUAUGGAAAAUUAUGCUUUAAUUUUAAUGAUGAUAGCAAAAUCAAACAGUAUUGUUGAUAAAAUGAGCCAUAAAUAAUAUUAUUUCUAUUGUCAUGACAAUAAGUUUUUUUUUUUUUUUUUCUAAAGAGUCUAUUUUUCCUCUAGGAGAGGCCGCGAGACGUCCUCUUCCAACCAUCAUGCAUUUUUUCUACGAGAUGGGUUCAUGGAAAUACUUUGGUUUAAUUGGGAAUGCUGUUAUUGAUUGAAAUAUUUUUAAUUAAAAUAAAUUUGAUUAUUUGAUUGGAAAAAAAAUAUUGUAACCAAGUAAUUUAUUUAUUUAUUUUAAUGAAAUAUAAAAUAGUUUUAAAUCUUGUGGUAUAUUUCUUGUCUUUAAGAGCUAUGAACUUAUAUCUCAAAACUUGAAAACUAAUAUAAAGAUAUUAAGUGAUCAUUGAGUGUGUGUGUGUGUAUAAUCCUUUUCAAAACAAAAAGGAUUUUGAUGGAGAUUAGGACAUUGCAACAAAUUAUCCACCACUAGAUGGGUCAAUGAUACCAUUGUCAUCAUGCAAUUUUUCCCACGAGAUGGGGCCGUACGCUUGGGGCUCUAAAAGCUAUGGUUUUAAUUUCAUUAUGUCACAUCUAGAAUGGCAGGUAUAUUUUAUUUCAAUUUAAACAAUGGAAUAAAUUAGAAGAUAUUUCAUCUCGCUUAAAAUCUUAUCUUCUUAUAUGAUUUCACCUAAAUUCUGGCUGGAAUGUUUAAGUUAUAUUCUAGCUAUUCUGUUAUGGCCAAAUGAUAUUUUGUUUUACUUUUAUAAAAAAUUAAAAUAUAGUUUAGUUUUUGUAUUUAUUUUCUGGUUAUAUUUAAUUUGUCAUCAAUAUUCAUAACGUAAAUUGCUAUGCAUUUCGAAUCUUGAAAGGAUUGAAAGAUGGAAAACAGAAAAGAAAGAGAGACCCCCAGUUCAAAAGAAAAAGAAAAAAAAACAAUAGUAAAAGAAAGAGAAGAGAACAAAAGUGAAGCAGUUUUUACUAACUAUAUAAAUUUUAUAAUUAUUAAUAUUAAAUUCAAAAUAUGUACAUAAUGCAAAUAUGUAAACAUAUCAUGUGGUUUAAAGAAAUGAUUUUUAUAAAGAUAUAUGUCUUAACAAUAUUAAUCAACUCUUAAUAUUUUUCAUUUUAUAAAUAUUAAAAGUAAAUAUUAAAACCUAUUAUAUUAAUUUGUGAAGGUAUUUACUCGGAUGCGAAUUAUAUUUCUAAUUUUUUAUUAAAAAAAAAUUCUACAUACUACAACUAGCCUAAGAAAGUCAUUUUCAUCUAAAAAAAAGUAGAAAAAAUUGAAUUGCAUAAAAGCAUCACUAUAAAUGUUAUACUCCGAAAAUAUCUUCUUUCCUUGAUAAAAUUCCCUAAACUACUGUAUGUCUCUAACAGUGAAAAUAUCACUAUAAUUUACAGUCACCUUAUUUAAUCGAAAGAAAACUUUAAAGAUGCACCUCCAUCUAGUGUAUUUAAAAAGAUUUAACAAAUUACUUUACACGUGCUAUGCUACAAGUUACAUAUUUUUUCAAUGUAAACAAAAAUUAUAUAGGUAUUUUUAACAUUUUUCUAUUAAAAAAAACUAAAACAUAUAAAAAUUAACCAAUUUAUAAUUAAUUAAUUAAUUGAGAAUUUGAGCUCCUUAGAAAAGUUGUUUAUGGACUUUUGUUUUCCGGAGAAAGCUCCUUUAAAACCCUUGAGCACCACCUUCUUUAAAACUUCUAUCUUUGCCAUAACUGAGGGGCUCUGUAUUUUUUUUAAGGUGAAUUAACAAGUUACAACUCAACUCUGUAUUUUUUUUUUUAGUUUAAUGUGGGUGUCUGGGUCAACUUACGCGUACCUCGACUAAUUCCACGGGCCCUGAAAUUAAUGACCAUAUAAACCUACAGUGGCCAUCAUAUGAACAAUCACAGGACUAGGGCUCGAACUUGAGACAAAAAAAAAAAGCAAAUUUUUUAAUCUUAAAUUCUUACCACUGGAUCACUAUCUAAAUUGUUACCUUGUAUCUAAUCUAGAUGUGUCUGUGACUGUGCUUGAUGUUCUCAUAACCAUUAAGAUGGUUCGAACCCAAAUAAAUAGAAACAAAUUUAUUUUCUGUUAUUCUCCGAAUUCCUAGAUAGAAUUUGCUUGGAAAUGAUGAGCUACCACUCCCUUUUGACUUUGCUGGCCUCCCAAAUAAAUAAAGAAUUCCGCUUGAUAGAAUUUUCUUGGAAAUGAUGAGAAUAUUUUAUAAUUUUCUGGUUGACGCCAGCUGUCAACAACUGUCUUACAUUCCCUUGGCAUCGUGUUCCAUGCCCUUGCAAAAUAUUAAAGGCUCCAAUGCCUCUCUCGCAAUAAGAUUAUUUUUUUUAUUUGUCCCCGAAUACAUGUGUCAUUUAUCGAAAUAAUUAAUUUAAUCACACACAUAAAAAAAAAAAAAAAUUUAAAUAGGCGGCUUUAGAAUCAGCAAGCAGUGAAUCACACGGGAAGAUUGAAAGAAUAAUUAAAGUGAUUUUACUAACAUUGUAAAAAAAAUUGAAUUGCAUAAGAGUAAUUAACCGACAGGUUGACCCAAAGUCAAAGUCUUCUGUGGAAAAACAUGAAUAGAAGAUUGAUGGGCGUUGCGUGAUAGCAAAAGAUUUGAGAUCUGCACAGCAGGUUUUGAAUUCGAGUCAGGGCGUGCAUCUCUUGUAAAAGCUUGGGAUAGCCGGGAUUUUACUGUCUCAUCUGGGCCCAUAAAGUGCGCUUUCCAAGGAAAUGAGGUUCCCUCGAAUCCAUAAAAAAAAAAAAAGUAAUACCAUUGCUAUCAAGCGUUUUUUCUACGAGAUGGUCCGUUCCCCCAUUUCCCCUCAAGCUUGAGAAGGGAUGAUAUAUAUAUGCUUUAAUUUCAACUUGUAUAAAAAAUAAAUCUUAAUGUAGUGUGUUAGAAUGCAACCACCGAUUCAUUAUUUUUAAUGGCUGGUCAUUUAAACUUGGGUGUUUUUUCGGUAUUAAUAUAUAUAUUCCUCAAUUAUCAUAAAAAAAUUAAGAAAAAACUAAUAAUAAGAUUAAAAAUAAAUGUUUUAUUUAUCGAAAUAAUUAUUAAAAGUAAGGUAUACUCAAGGUAUAUGUGGGACGAUAAAAAAAUAACAAAAAAAUCAAUUUACAAAAAAAAUCAUAGAUUUAGUUUUCCUAAAUUUUAAAUGUAGUGCAACAUUAGCCUUUCAAGAAAUAGAUAAUCUUCCUCUUUGAAGGAAUUAAUUAGUGGGUUGGAAAAAUGUCGUCUUUUGCUCUAAUAUUUUCUUCGCUUUCUCUAUAGUUUUACCAUACACUAAUAUUGUCAGAAAAUGAUACAUACUUCUUGUGUUAUCCUUCAAGAAUUCAAUUGAAAAGGAGGGUUGUAAAAAAUUUAAUUUUUAUAAACAUACCCUUAACUUAAUUUGGAUGUGGAUAAUUGUUUGCAAUAUAUUUACAUCCAAUAUAAACAAUUCAUCAAUGAUCAAGUAGGCAGUGGUUAGCUAAAAUAUUGAAAAUACUUACUCUCUUUGUUUUUUAGUCAUGCAGUUCCACUAUUGUAUGUUAUUUUUGUUUAGCUAAAAAUAUCAAAAAAUAUUAAUUUGGAGUAAAAAAAAAAAAAAAAUUUAAUUUUUUUAAAAAUAUUUUUGAAACAUAAAAACAAACAGUGCUAAAAGACAUAGAAACAGUUACCCAAAUCAAUUUAUUUUUUUAAAAAAUAAAAAUAGAAUACUAUACAAAUGGAGCUUCCAACAAAAAGAUAUGGGAAGUUCGAGGGAAAAAAUGAUUAGUUAAUUCAAAACACCAGGAGUAAGUAAUAAUUACAAAACACGAUACCGAAACCAAAUUGAAAAGUGAGCAAAAUACAAAACUGGUUACAUGUAUCGAAAGGAACUGGAACCAAUUUCUCCACCACUGGAUGUCCCUUUUGUUCAGUCUAUGUUUGGUGCAAUCACCUAAAGCUAGAAACAAAAACAGCGCCUUAGUCUAUGUUUGGUGCAUUUUUUCCACGAGAUGGGUUCGUGGAAAAACUUUGGUUUAAUUGGGAAUGCUGUUAUUGGUUAGAAACUUUUUAAUUAAAAUAAAUUUGAUUAUUUGAUUGGAAAAAUCCUUAAAUGUUAUUAACACAUGAAAUCAAUUUAUUCUCUUAAGAAAAAAAUAGUUUUACAUCUUGUGGUAUAUAUGUCAAGCAUUUUUUUUCCCUCAAGAUGGGUUCGACAGACAAUCACCAUCAUGCAUUUAUGAGUCCAUGAGACCAUUGUCAUCUGCACAUUGGUCCCCUAUAGCGUUGCUUUUCCUCAAGACCAUUUCCAUCAUGCAUUUAUGAGUUAGUGAGACCAUUUCCAACUGCACAUUGGUCCCUGAAACCGUUGCCAUCAUGCAUUUUUCCUCGAUGAGAGGUCGUGAGACGUCCACUUCCAACCAUCAUGCAUUUUUUUCACGAGAUGAGGCCGUACGUUUGGGGCUCUAAAAGCUAUAUAUAUUAGAAAUAUUAUUUGAAAAUAAAUUAUUUUUUAUUUUUAAAAAUAAAAUUCUUCUAUACAAAAGAUUUUUAUAAGUAUAAUUUAAUUUAUUCAGUUUUUUAAAUAAAGUUAAUCUAUCGCAAGAGUACACGAAAUAAGUAUUUUUCCGUCAUGCAUUUUUUUUCCUCAAGACCAUUUCCAUCAUGCAUUUAUGAGUCUGGGAGACCAUUUCCAUCAUGCAUUUAUGAGUUGCUGAGACCAUUUCCAUCUGCACAUUAGUCUCUGAGACCGUUGCCAUCAUGCAUUUUUCCUCGAGGAGAGGCCGUGAGACUUCCUCUUCCAACCAUCAUGCAUUUUUUCCACGAGAUGGGUUCGUGGAAAAACUUUGGUUUAAUUAGGAAUGCUGUUAUUGAUUGGAAACUUUUUAAUUAAAAUAAAUUUGAUUAUUUGAUUGGAAAAAUCCUUAAAUGUUAUUAACACAUGAAAUCAACUUAUUCUCUUAAGAAAAAAACAGUUUUAAAUCUUGUUGCCGUCAUGCAUUUUUUUUUCCUCAAGAUGGGUUCGACAGACAAUCACCAUCAUGCAUUUAUAAGUCCAUGAGACCAUUGUCAUCUGCACUUUGGUCCCCUAUAGCGUUGCUUUUCCUCAAGACCAUUUCCAUCAUGCAUUUAUGAGUCCAGGAGACCAUUUCCAACUGCACAUUGGUCCCUGAGACCGUUGCCAUCAUGCAUUUUUUCCACGAGAUGGGUUCGUGGAAAUAAUUUGGUUUAAUUGGGAAUGCUUUACUGUAUUUGUUUUCUGGUUAUAUUUAAUUUUUCAUCAAUAUUCCUAAGCACGUAUUUUGAAUCAUGAAAAGCACGUGGAAAAGAGAGGGAUGGUGAAAAUGACAUGUAAAGGGACUGUUUGGCAGUGCGCAUAGAAAAGGGAAAGUGUCAUUGCCAUUUUGAGUGGUGUGUUUGCAUUUGAUUUGUUAAUUUCGAGUUUUGUCAAAGAGUGAUUACUAGUCAUCAAGCAUUUUAUUAAUUUAAUUUAUCCUGUCAAGUGAAGGGCCAAACCUGUCAUUCAUUGCCAGUCACAGUCACAAGUCUUGGUCUUACCAUUUUACUAUCUAUUAAUUAAUUAAUUGUUUGAUUAAUCAACGAAACUGUGCGUUUCUCUUGUGAUUUCUCGAAGACGGCCAUGAAUAUAUAUAUAUAUAUAUACAACUUUUCAAAACAAAAAGGAUUUUGAUGGAGAGGACAUUGAAACAAAUUAUCCUCGUGAUACCAUUGUCAUCAUUCAAUUUUUUCCACGAGAUCAGGCCGUAUGCUUGGGGCUCUAAAAGAUAUUAUUUCUAAUUUUAUUAUAUCACAUCUAGAAUAACAAGUAUAUUUUAUUUCAAUUUAAAAAAUAGAAUAAAUUAAAAGAUAUUUCAUUUUUAAAAUUUUAUUUUGUUUUAUGAAUUUCACCUAAAUUCUGACUAGAAUAUUUUGAUUAUAUUCCAGCCAUUUUAUUAUGAUAAAAUAAUAUUUUGUUUUGCUUUUAUAAAAAAAAUAUAAUCUAAUUUUACAGUAUCAAUCAUAUCUUUCAAUUCGACUGCUGGAUUGGACUAAAAUUUUACGAGGAAUCUCCUAACAUAUAUUUAUAUCGCAAAUUAAAAUUUUAAGGCAAUCAGAGUUUAGAAAAAUUUUGCGAAAUUACCGAUGAUAUUUUCAUAAUUUUAUUUAAAUUCAUAAUUUUGUUAGGAAAUAUUAUUUUUUGUUUCUUUUUUAGAUUGAAUUAUUUCUAAAGUACUUCUUGUCAUUGUCAUGACAAUAAAUCUUCUUCUUUUUCUUUUUAAAAAGUCUAUUUUUUGUAACACAACCAACAUGUAAGAUGGAUGGGAAUUUGCAGUGUGAGAUGGGUUUGUGAGACUUUGGCCAUCUCCAAUUUUUUCCACGCCAUUGAGAUGGUCUAUAAGACCAUUGCCCCGUAAGCAUUUAUGAGUUCGUGAGACCAUUUCCAUUUGCACAUUGGUCCCUGAGACCGUUGCCAUCAUGCAUUUUUUACACGAGAUGGGUUCGUGGAAAUACUUUGGUUCAAUUGGGAAUGUUGUUAUUGAUUGGAAACUUUUUAAUUAAAAUAAAUUUGAUUAUUUGAUUGGAAGAAAUCCUUAAAUGUUAUUAACAAUAGAAAUCAAUUUAUUUUCUUAAGAAAAAAAUAUUGUAACCAUAUAAGUAAUUUAUUUAUUUAUUUUAAUGAAAAAUAAAAUAGUUUUAAAUCUUGUGGUAUAUUUCUUGUCUUUAAGAGCUAUGAACUUAUAUCUCAAAACUUGAAAACUAAUAUAAAGAUAUUAAGUGAUCAUUAAGCGUGUGUGUGUGUAUAAUGCUUUUCAAAACAAGAAGGAUUUUGAUGGAGAGGACAUUGCAACAAAUUAUCCACCACGAGAUGGGGCUGUACGCUUGGGGCUCUAAAAAACUAUGGUUUUUAAUUUUAUUAUGUCACAUCUAGAAUGGCAGGUAUAUUUUAUUUCAAUUUAAACAAUGAAAUAAAUUAGAAGAUAUUUCAUCUCGUUUAGAAUGUUAUCUCAUUUCAUGAAUUUCACCUAAAUUCUGGCCGGAAUAUUUUGGUUCUAUUCCAGCCAUUCUAUUAUGAUCAAAUAAUGUUUUGUUUUGCUUUUAUAAAAAAAAAAUAUAUAGUUUAGUUUUAUGGUAUUAAUUAUAUCUCUCAAUGCAAUUAUUGGAUUAGACUAAAAUUUUACAAGGAAUCUCUUAACAUAUAUUUAUAUCGCAAGUUAAAAUUUUAGAACAAUUAGAGUUUAAAAAGACUUUGUGAGAUUGCCGAUGACAUUUUUAUAAUUUUAUUUAAAUUCAUAAUUUUGUUUCAUAAGGUCAUUUUUUGUGUCUUUUUUUAGAUUGAUUUUUUUUUUUCAAUUUCAUAAUUCAACAAUAGAUUUAUUAAAAAUUAAGAUUCAUAAUUUGUUUUUAUUUGGGAUUAUUAUGGUCUCAUAAUCUGGGUUACGGAUUUAAAAGAUUAACCUAGAUUAACCUGGUUCGAUCUAAUAUGUUGUUGUUUCAAUAUUUUUAACAAAUAUAAUUUUAAUUGAUAUUUAAAAAUAAACUAACUUGAAAUUAUAUAAUUUAAAUUUCAAAUAUAAGUAAAAAUAAAGAGUUAAAUCAAUAUGACCCAAUUGAUUUGAUGAGUCCAAAAUAUAUAUAAAACAAUCCAAACGACACGUCAAAAUACUCAAAAAUCAAAAUAUAUUGUUACAAUUAAAAAAAUAAAACACCAAUUAAAAUGGAAUUGACGACCUUGCUUGAUAUAAGCCUAAACUCCUCGCUGCCAUUUGCAAGAGAUAGUUACUUAUACCAGUAGCAAUUUAAUAAUGAUUGGUCAAAUUUUAUAUUAAGAUGGGGCUAUUAAUUCAAAUGUUGAUGGCGUUAGUAGCAAUGAUUUUCUUGGAAGCAUGGUUGCCUCUUGGCUGCUUGAAAAUAUAUGGUUUUUUUAAUGUCGCAUGUGUGCUGCGUCAUGAAAAAAAAAUUCACUCUCAAAUCCUAAAUAUUGGUAUCCUGGAAAAAUUGGGAAAAAUAAGGAGACAAGAAAUUCUUGUCUUUUAUUAGUGGAAAAAUAAAAUGGGAGUCGCCACUUAGUAUUUUAAUCACUAGGAACCCUGAUUGGUCUCAGAGAUUGGGUACGGAGACUGGUUGCGUAAAGGGAAGGUAUUAGCACCCCAAAUACGCCCUACCUAAGGUAAGUUGCAUUGUUUUAUUGUUUGAUAAAAUCUAAGGUCUUGUCGUGUUUUCUAGUUAUUGGUCCGUCUAUGAUUUAAGAAAAGUCUUCAUCGAUAAAGAGAUCCUUAUCUUUUCGGGUAAAACCUAACCGUUCUAACGUAAACAAAAGAAUUUAAUAUCCGGAAUACAUCUUACGUAUAAGGUCGUAACCCCAGAUACUAAAAGAAAAUUUUUUUUUUGGAAUUUUUUAAAUAUUGGCCUAGUUCUUGUGACUUUAAUAAACUGGUUUUUAAAACCAAAAUGCAUGUUAAUACAUAUUUUUGUUGUAUGAAAAUAUGAUAUGAUUUUUUUCUUUGAGAUACUUGGCCGUAUGCAUGAAAAUAAUUUUUUUUUUAAUUUUUCAAUGUUUUGACGAAAACUAGGUAUUUUAAUACCAGAUUUGUAUCUUUACAGUAUAAAAAUACAAACCAAUACUAAGAAAAAUUUAGUAGAAAAAUAUAUGGGAAAAUUAUAGAUUUUUUGAAAUGAUUAUUUUUGAAGAAUUGUUUUUUACUGGGCCGGACCCGACCCAACCAUUUUGGGCGGGCCGGCACUGUCCGGGCUGGAAAACUAAAACAAACAAUGGAGAGACUCUCCACUGUUCACAUGCAACGUGAACAGUGGAGCGGCCUGGAGAAGACAAAGAAGAAGAGGAGGAAGAGGAAGAAGCAGACCUGCGGCCUAGCGGUGCUGCUAGUGGCGGUGGACGGUGUUGCGGUUGCGGAGUGUUAGAAAUAAUGUUCAGGACUGCUGAGCUGGAAUUUUAUUCUUUCUUAAUUUUUGAUUUAGUCAAUUCUGUUCCUAUUCUCUUGUUCUUGUUGCUACUUCGCAGCUCUGUUAUUUCCAUUAUCAAUUGAUCAUGGCUUGAAUGUAGUACCAUGAUCGUAGGAGUUUGUUAUGUAUCAGCUCUAUAAAUUGAGCUGCAGUUAUGAAUAAAGUAUUCAAGCUUUUCAUUCAUCAAUCUCUUCUUAAACACAAGCAUUAUCCUUUGUUAUUUUUGUUGUUCAGAAUCACUGCAACAACGACAAUUGGUAUCAGAGCAUCUUGAUUUAAAGGGAUCUGUGUUGUAACCCAUGGAGACAGAAGUAAGAUUCUCAUCAAUUGCUCCACCAGUGUUCAAUGGUGACAAUUACCAGUUUUGGGCAGUACGGAUGGAGACAUACUUAGAGGCUCUGGAUUUGUGGGAGGCAGUGAAAGAAGAUUAUGAAAUCCCUGCACUUCCAAAUAAUCCCACCAUGGCGCAGGUCAAAUCACAGAAGGAGAAGAAGACAAAAAAAUCAAAGGCAAAGGCGUGCUUGUUUGCUGCAGUAGCAUCCACCAUUUUCACUCGAAUCAUGUCUCUGAAAACAGCAAAGGAGAUAUGGGAGUUUAUCAAGACUGAGUAUGAAGGGGAUGAAAGAAUUCAAGGUAUGCAAGUGUUGAACUUGAUGCGUGAUUUCGAGUUGCAGAAGAUGAAGAAAACUGAAUCCAUCAAAGAGUACUCUGACAGGCUGCUUAAUAUUGCAAGCCGAAUCAGUUUACUUGGCUCGUCCCUGCCUGAGUCAAGAAUUGUUCAAAAAAUUCUUGUAACAAUUCCUGAAAUCUUUGAGGCUACAAUUACAUCCUUGGAAAAUACCAAGGAUAUGUCAAAAAUUACUUUGACAGAAAUGCUAAAUGCAUUACAAGCUCAGGAGCAAAGGAGGAUCAUGAGACAAGAAGAUGAGAUUGAAGGAGCUCUAUUCGUCAAGCAUAGAGAAAAAGGAAAGAAUUACAAGAAGAAUGGAAGCAGUCAAGCAUCAUCAGGUGAUUCCAGGAAUUUCAACAGGAGCAACACUGGAAACAAAAAAGGACCUUUUCCUCCAUGCCAGCAUUGUAAAAGGAGAUCACAUCCACAUUUUAAGUGUUGGAGAAGACCAGAAGCUAAGUGCAACAAAUGCAAUCAAAUGGGCCACGAGGCUGUCAUCUGCAAAAACAAAAUUCAACAGCAUGGUGAAGAAGCUCAAAUUGCUGAUCAAGAAGAAGAAGAUCAAUUGUUUGUGGCCACUUGCAUUUCCAGAAAUGACUCAAGUGAAAGCUGGCUCAUUGAUAGUGGUUGCACCAACCACAUGACACAUGACAGAAACAUAUUCAAGGAGCUGAAACAAACAACUUCAAAGGUUCGAAUUGGAAAUGGAGAAUACCUUGCUGUUGAAGGAAAGGGAACCGUGGCAAUCUUGACUUGCUCAGGUACUAAGUUCAUCUCUGAUGUAUUGUAUGUCCCUGGUAUAAAUCAAAAUUUAUUCAGUGUUGGUCAGCUUAUUGAGAAGGGUUAUAAAGUAGUGUUUGAAAACAAUUGCUGCUUGAUCAAAGAUGUGAAUGGUCAUGAUAUUUUCAAAAUAAUCAUGAAAGGGAAGAGUUUUGCUUUAAAUCCAUUAGAGGAGGAGCAUAUUGCUUUCCCAAUUAAAGAAAAUAUCACAGAUAUUUGGCACAAGAGGCUCGGGCACUAUCAUCAUAGAGGGCUGAUGCUUAUGAAAUCCAAGAUGAUGGCUAAGGAUUUCCCAGCACUUGAUGAUCACAUAUCCAGCUGCAGAACUUGUCACACUGGCAAGCUAAACAGGAAGCCCUUUCCAGAAGCCACAUGGAGAGCAACAAGGAAGCUGCAAUUGAUUCAUACUGACAUUGCAGGACCAUAAAGGACACCCUCUCUAAAUGGGAGUCUGUAUUAUGCUGUCUUCAUUGACGAUUACAGCCGAAUGUGCUGGAUUUUCUUCUUGAAGCACAAGUCAGAGGUAGCACAGGUGUUCUGGAAUUUCAAGGCCAAAGUUGAAAAUGAAAGUGGCUGCAAAAUUCAAGCCCUCAGAUCAGACAAUGGCAAGGAAUACACUUCCAAUGCCUUCAACAUUUUUUGUGAGGAGGCAGGCAUUCAUCAUCAGCUAACAACUCCGUAUACUCCUCAACAAAACGGAGUUAGUGAGAGGCGAAACAAGUUCAUAUUGGAAAUGACAAGAUGCUUGCUACAUGAGAAGAAUUUACCAAAGAAAUUCUGGGCAGAGGCUGCAAACACUGCUGUGUUCUUGCAAAACCGACUGCAUACAAGAGCCUUGAAGGAUCAAACACCCUUUGAGGCAUGGUAUGGUUACAAACCAUCUCUGAAUUUUCUUAAGGUAUUUGGAUGUUUGUGCUUCACCCUUGUUCCACAGGUCAAGAGGGAUAAACUUGACAAGAAAGCACUUCCAGGCAUUUUUGUUGGCUACAGCUUAGUUUCAAAGGCUUAUAAGAUUUUCCAACCACAAACUGGAAAAAUCAUUAUAAGCAGAGAUGUCCAAUUCCUGGAAGAUGAAGAAUGGGACUGGAACGAUGCAAUCAAAGAAGAUUCAACCUCUCCAAAAGGCAAUUAUCUUGUUUCAGACACAGAUGAUCAAAGCAUGGAAGAUUGGGACAUCAACAUGACAGAUGACACUCCUGUUACAGGCACACGGUCACUCCUUGAUGUGUAUCAAAGGCGCAACAUUGCUGUGUGUGAACCAGCAGACUUUGAAGAAGCCAAGCUAGAUCAAAAUUGGCUUGCUGCGAUGAAGGAGAAGCUUCUCAUGAUCAAGAGAAACAACACGUGGGAGUUGGUUGACAGACCUCAAAACAGAAAUGUAAUCGGUGUAAAAUGGGUGUAUCGAACAAAACUCAACGCUGAUGGCUCAAUCAAUAAGCUCAAAGCCAGGCUAGUGGUGAAGGGUUAUGCACAAAUCUUUGGCGUGGACUACUCAGACACGUUUGCACCGGUAGCAAGACUUGACACUAUCAGGCUGCUACUUGCCAUUGCAGCACAACUGAAUUGGAAGGUGUAUCAAAUGGACGUCAAGUCAGCAUUUUUAAAUGGUGUUUUGCAGGAGGAGAUCUAUACUGAGCAACCAGAAGGCUUUGCAAAUGAAGGAGAGGAGGACAAAGUCUGUCUUCUUAAGAAGGCACUAUAUGGAUUGAAGCAAGCUCCAAGAGCUUGGUACAGCCGAAUCGAUGAACAUUUGCAGCACUUGGGAUUCACUAAAAGCCUCUCUGAAUCGACUCUUUACAUCAAGCAAAAUGGUGAUAACAUCCUUAUCAUCUCACUUUACGUUGAUGAUUUGCUUGUAACAGGAAAUAACAACAAUAAUGUGGAGAUAUUCAAGCAAGAGAUGAUGAGUGUAUUUGAGAUGACAAAUUUGGGUUUGAUGUCCUUUUUUCUUGGAAUGGAAGUUAAGCAAGUUGAACAUGAAGUGUUCAUAUGUCAGAAGAAGUAUGCCAAAGAAAUCCUCAAAAAGUUCAAACUUGAAGAUUGCAAAGCAGUAAGCACUCCUAUGAAUCAAAAGGAGAAGCUAUGUAAAGAAGAUGGAGCCGAGAAGGUUGAUCAAGCACAAUUCAGAAAAAUUGUUGGAUGCUUGAUGUAUCUCACUGCAACUAGGCCUGAUAUUUUGAAUGCUGUGAGUAUCUUGUCUAGAUUCAUGCAUUGUGCUAGUGAAUUGCAUUUCAAGGCUGCUAAAAGAGUGAUAAGAUAUGUCAAAGGAACCUGCAAUUUUGGCAUAAGAUACACAAGAAGUAGAGAGUUCAAACUGGUCGGGUACUCUGACAGUGAUUGGGGAGGCUCAAUUGAUGACUUGAAGAGCACAUCAGGCUACUGUUUCUCUUUAGGUUCUGGUGUGUUUUCAUGGAAUUCAAAAAAGCAAGAAACCGUAGCCCAAUCCACUGCUGAAGCUGAGUUUGUGGCUGCAACAGCUGCUGUCAAUCAAGCUUUGUGGCUGAGGAAAAUUUUAUCUGAUCUUAACCUGGAGCAAAAGGAAAGCACAGAAAUUCUAGUUGACAAUCAAGCUGCCAUUUCCAUCUCUAAUAAUCCUGUGUUUCACGGGAAAACCAAGCACUUCAACAUCAAAUUAUUCUUUUUGAGAGAGGUGCAGAAAGAUGGGAGUAUCAUUCUUAUUUACUGCAAAACUGAAGAACAAGCAGCUGAUAUUUUCACCAAACCACUGCCAGUCAACAAAUUCGAAUUUCUGAGAACAAAGUUGGGAGUUUGCAGCUCCUAAACAAGGAGGAGUGUUAGAAAUAAUGUUCAGGACUGCUGAGCUGGAAUUUUAUUCUUUCUUAAUUUUUGAUUUAGUCAAUUUUGUUCCUAUUCUCUUGUUCUUGCUGCUACUUCGCAGCUCUGUUAUUUCCAUUAUCAAUUGAUCAUGGCUUGAAUGUAGGACCAUGAUCGUAGGAGUUUGUUAUGUAUCAGCUCUAUAAAUUGAGCUACAGUUAUGAAUAAAGUAUUCAAGCUUUUCAUUCAUCAAUCUCUUCUUAAACACAAGCAUUAUCCUUUGUUAUUUUUGUUGUUCAGAAUCACUGCAACAACGACACGGACCGUGGCGCUGACUGGCGGGUGGUUCUUCUUUCUUUCUCUGCGUUUCCCUUCUGCUUUUUUUCUAUUCUGCUCUGUUCUUCCUCUUGUUCCCUGUUUUAUUCUUUCUCUCCCUCUCUGGUCCUCUCAAACGUCCCUUGGAGCUGCUGCCUGAAGAUGAAGACGAAGUUGAGGGUGAUCAGUGCUCUGAUCGGGCGACGUUUCUUUCUUUCUUCUGCUACUGUUUUCGUUUCUGAUUCUCCUCGUUCAAUUCUUAUUUGCACUCUUCUUCUUCUUCGUCUCUGGUUUUUGAAAUGACGAAGACGAUGGCAACGCUGGUUCUAAUCUCAACGAUUUCCUCUUCUUACAUUCUUUCCUUUUGCUCGUUUCUGUCUCCCUCUCGUGCUGCUCCCCACUUUCUCUCUUGUCCUGCUCGCUCUCCCUCCCUGUCUCCUCUUCUUUUUUUUUUGUUGUCCGUCUCUCCUCUAGCUUUUUAUAGCCAGAGGAUGCAUGCUUUUCGGGAUUUAUUGCAGGAAGGUUGUAACGGCCGGCGUGCAUCAUGGUGGAGAGGGAUAUCAGCCGUGAGACGUGCUCCCCUGAUUGAAGCAGCUCCACCACUAACGUCUUCACUUCCUUUUACUGUAGAAACCGUUGUUGAUGAAGAAGGUAAUGAACAGUUGUCAAGGAAAUGGUACCGUUUUAAAAUUCAAAAUGAAUAUUUCCGAUUUGGUCAUUGGAUUUUUUGCAAUUUUGUAAUCAAGCCCCCGAAUAAAUUGUAAUUGGAUCUCUGGAUUUUAGCCCCAUUUACAAGACAAUCUUUGGUUCUGGAUUCAUGCGAUUUGACUCUCAAUUGAUCAAUAAACUUCUAAUUUCUUUAAUUUAGCCCCUGACUUGGUCAAUUGCAGCCCUUAUAUUUACACGCCUUUUCCGGUUUGAUCCUUGGUUUCGGAUUUUUUCAAUCAAGUCCCUAAUUGCCCAUAAAACUUUAAUAAUUAUGCAAUUAAGCCCCUGAUUUGACCAAAUCAACUCUUCAAAAUUAUAAUUGGACCUUAGAACUUUAAUUUCUUCGAAUAAAAGCCUAAAUAGACAUAAAACUCAAUUUUUCUUUCAAUCAAACCCUCCAUAAAUUCAAUUAAACCUUUAAUAAAAUUUAAUUGAGUCCAUAAACAUCUGAUUUUAGAUAUAUUUUUUUAAAAUUGAAUUUUCUUUGUCAACAGGGCUCUCAUUAGUCAACGAUAUACUGUCAAAUUUCAAUCUUUAUAUUUUUUAACCUCCUCAACCAAUUUUUGGCCAUUUUGAGCAGUCCGACAGCUUUCACUGUGACAUAUAUAUUUUUUUAUUUAUAUUAUUUAAUUAAUUUAUUAUUAUUUAUUUAUUUAAUUUUUUUCAACUCUUACUUUUUGUAUUUUCUUCUUUUUUGUGUGGGGUCCCAAAAAUGGAUAACAACACUUAAGUUCAAAUCUAUUAAUAAAAAUAUAGUUUUAUUGACUUUUUUAUAUACUUUUAUUAGAGAAAUCAAUGUAAACAAAUUUAUGGACAAACAUUAGUUUAUCAAGUACUUAAAUAGAAAAAUAAAAUCAAUUAGAGUACUUGAAUAAAAAAAAUAUAAAUUAUAAGCAUUUUAUAUAUCUUUAUUGUUCAUAAAUUAAAAAUAAAAUAAAAUCAAUCCAGACUAAUCUAAAAAGAGUUAACUAUGACAUCAUCAUUUUGAUAGUAAAACUAAUGAAGAUAUUUUAUUGAUUAAAUUCCGUGAAUAUAAGUAUUCAAAUUGAAAAAAAAAAACAUUGAUACAAGAUUUUAAAUAAAAAAAUUAUAAAAUACAUAUAAUUUGUACUUCUCAUUGUCUCUUUUGCAUUGCUAACACUUAACAAAUUGAAUAUAUAAUUCUCAUGUCAAUAACGUCAGAAUAAAUUUAGCUACAUGACAUAAUAAUACCUGUUUAUUUUUGUAUUUUAAAAAUAUUUUAAAAACAUUAAAUUGUUUUAAAUAGAUAACUUUUGAAUCAUCAAGUAGUGAAACACAGGAAAAGCGAAGAAAGUGAAGAAUAAUCAAAGUGGUGCGUGUCCACAUCAAUUUUUGUCCAUGUUUUUGGUAUUAAUCUCUUCAUCUAUUUACAGCUGGAGAAAAGAACAUCACCUACUACUUUUCUUGUCUCUUCUUACUUGGAAGAUCAGGUAUGUGAAUCUUUGAGUGCCACUUAUUUUAGUACAUAGACUUAGUUAUUUGACCACAACUUCACCACAAGUUAAAUUGUUUUAAUUAAAAAAAUUUAUAUAAAGAUUUCUUCAAUAAAUUUUUUAUUUAAAAAAUUUCUAAGUGAAAAUUAAAAAACUUAUACACAAAUAUAGUUAAAUAAAUCAAGAAUUAUGUGUGUUAAUAAGUGAAAAAAACCAUAAAUGAUGACUCAAAAUAAAAACUGAAAAAAUCAACUGAUAAAUGUAGAUCAAAAUAUUUAAUUUCACAAGACGUGAUAUUAAUGCAGUUGUGUUUUCUAAAAUUUUUAAUUAAAAUAAUUUUUUAAUUUGAUCAAACGAUAAUAAAAAUAGACACACAUAUUAUAAAUUGAUUGAAUAAAAUAAAAAAUAAUAAUAAUAUGCUAGGCUUUAUAUAUUGGAAAUAUUAUUUAAAAAUAAUUUUUUUUAUUUUAAAAAAUAAAAUUUAUCUAUUAAAAAAAUUUAUAUAUUAAAUUCAAAAUAAAUAAACUUUAAAAUAAUUUGCAAGGCUGCACAUAACCCCUUUAAAAGGAAAGUGAUAUAACAAACGUGGAACAAUUUUUAUUAACUAAAUAAACUUAAUAACUAUUAAUAUUAAAUUCGAAAUAUAUAUUAAAACCUAUUAUAUUAAUUUUUGAAUUUAUCAAUUCAGAUGUGAAUUAUAUUUCUAAAAUGUUAUAAGAAAUUUCUAUAUACGACAACUAGCUUAAGAAAGUGAUGUUCAUCAAAACCAUAGAGUACAGAAAAAGAAUUGAAUUGCAUAAAAUUAAGUAAUUAACGGAAACUUAUAUUCCUUCUUAAAACGUUGACCCCAAGUCAAGUUUAUUUAUUAUUAUUUUUUUUGAAAAAAACAUGAAUAAAAGUUAAUGCUAGGCACAUGGGAUAUAGAAGACUUGCAACUUUCUUUAUAGAAAUUACGUGUGUAAAAUUUAGGCCUUGAAAAAAAAUUAAAAAUAAAAUACUAUUAAUCGUGUUGAUAAAAAUUAAUAUAGAGACUUUAUUGAUAAAAAUUCAUAAGAGCAAGUAUUCAAAUUACAAAAAAUAAAAAUAUUUCUUCAAAUUUUCAAUAAAAUUUAUUUCUUGAAAUUAAUGCAUUAAACAAAAUUAAAAUAGUAGUAAAAGUAAAUUUAGUUUUUGAUUGAAGUGUAAACUAGUGGUAAAUGAACAAAAAGAAACUUUAUUGAUUUCUCCAAAAACAAUAUAUAUAUUAUUGAAUAUCUAAUGGAAAGGAUUAUGAAACUCCGCCUAAUAUAUAUAUAUAUAUAACAGAGAAAUUGUCGAUAAUAGCUAUGAUCUAAGUAACUGGACCACGACGAAGACAUAUACAAGAAACAAAAAAAAGAUACUUCACUAACAAUUGGGGUUCUUCAUAAGCUUCAAUAGAAUUGAUAGAGGGUCGAAACAAAAAAGAGAUGAAGAGAGAGGAGGGAAUGGAAAGAAGGGAAAAGAGAACUCUUGCGAUCUGUUGAAUAAGACUCAGUAUAUAUAUAUAUAUAUAAAAUAAAAAAAACUCAAGUUAGCGCAUCAAAUCUUCGACUUGGAUUAUGAGAUCGGGAUAAGAAAACUUAAUAUUUAAAAAUAAAAUUAAAGAAAAAAACUAUAAAAACAUAUAUGGUUUAACAAUAUUAAUCAAUUAUUAAAAUCUUUCAUUUUAUAUAUAUUAAAAAUAAAUAUUAAUAACUAUUAUAUCAAUUUGUGAAUGUUUCAAUUAGGAUGCGAAUAAAUGUUUUAUAUAUGACAUUUUUCUUAAGAAACCAAAGUUAUUAAGCAUGUUUAGAUUUAAUUACCAAAUGAGAGUGAGGGUUGAGGUUAUAGAUUGACCUAAUUAAUACUCAGAUCAAGAUUUAGGUCCUAGAUCGGACAAAUUAGCUUAUUGACUAGUGUUAAUAAAAAAUUGUAUCAUUUUAUGAUUUUUGUUAUAGAAAAAAUCAAAAUGGUGUUGUUAAAAAAAGUAAAACUAGGUUUUAACUGAGUUGACUAGGUUGUGGGUUGAUUUAUCUGGUCAACUAGGCUCAAUUGAGUCAACUCUCACUUGGUUUUUUCUAAACCUAAAUAGGGUUAGGUUCCAGAUUAAAAUGUAAGGCUUGAAUUAAAUUUAAUAACAUUGAUUAAAACCACAAUGUAGGAAAAAAAAUUGAAUUCAUAAAAGUAAUUAACCGAAAACUUGAAUUCCUUCUUAUAAAGUUGAACCCAUGUCGGUUUUUUUAAAGGAAAAGUAUGAAUCAAAGGUUAACGCUAGGCUGCUCACUUUGCAUCACAAUGACAGAUAUGGAAGGCUUGCUACUUUCUUUAUGGAAAUAACGUGUGGAAAAUCAUGCAUUAAUUUUGAUGUUGAUGGCAAAAUCAAACAAUAUCGUUGAUAAAAUGAAUGACAAAUGAUAUUAUUUUUAAAAUACUUCUUGUCAUUGUCAUGACAACAAGUCUUCUUUUUUUUCUUUCUAAAGUACUUGUCAGUCUAUUUUUAUGUAACCCAAUCAACAAGUAAGAUGGAUAGAAAUUUGCAGUGUAAAAUGGGUCUGUGAGACUAUGUAUCGCCAUCUGCAUUUUUCCACGAUCUAGGCCAGUGGGAUGGUACAUGAGACCAUUGCUAUCAAGCGUUUUUUCUACGAGAUGGGUCCAUGAGACCAUUGCCCUGUAAGCUUGGGAAUGGAUAAUUAAUAUGCUUUAAUGUCUAUUUAGUUUGCAAAAAAAAUAAUUAAAUGCUUAUGAAUAAAAAAUAAAUCUCAAGUGUUAAAAUGCAACCACCGAUUAAUUAAUGGACAAUGGACCUUAGAUUAAUACAUGACGCAACUUUCAAUGGAAUUAUAUUUGUGGAGGUAUUUACUCGGAUGCGAAUUAUAUUUCUAUUUUUUUAUUUAAAAAAAUUCUAUACUACAACGAGCUUAAGAAAGUCAUGUUCAGGGGCGGAGCUAUAAUUAUUUGUUAGGAAGAUCAAAAUUAAUAUAAUAAGAUAUAAAAUUUAUUUUAAUUUAUUAUACAUGAGUUCUAAAACAAAACCUGUAUAAUUUAGUUUUAUUCAAAUAACUUACUACAAACAUAUAAUAACCUUUGUGAAGUAUAUUGGGACUGCUCAACCAUAACUUUAACAUUACACAUUGGAGUUGGUUCACUAGGCUGUGAGUUAUCAAUAUUUUUUAUUUUUCUUUUUCAAAAAAAAAUCAAUUCUUCUUAUUUUGUUCAUGGUUCAACCUAAAAUCAAAACAUAUAUCGUAAGAAAAAAUUGAUAAUUUAGUGACUCUGCUAAAAAUAAAACAUAAAACAAAUCCAAGCAUAAUCAAAACAAAACCAAUAAAAUAUAUCUAAUUAAUUAGAAAAAAAAUCAUUAUAAUAAGAAUUCAAAAAAAAAUGGUAAAACUAGCAGAUCUGAGAAAAAAAAAGAGCAAAAAUGAUAGAAAUAUAAAAAAAAUCUCAUCAAAUUAUUAACAAACAUCUCAAAACAAAACAAAUAUAGAUUUUAAAUUUAAGUUACUUUGUUUUGUUUGAUGAAAGAUAAAUUAAUUGGUGGCUCUGCUUCAAUCUUUUUGUAGAAACAUUUUGCUCACAAUUUGUAUUUUUAUUUCUUUGUUUGAUCGGCUGCAGGAUUUAUAUUAGGGUAAAUUAAUGGUUUUGUUUUUUAUUUCACAAAGUAAUGCCUUAAUAUUGUUUUCUUCCAUCUAGGUCAAGAGUAAAUUAAAAGGAAAUCAAAAGUAAAGUCAAUAAUAACCCAAAGUAAUGCCUUAAUUAUUUGAUGUCACAAAGUAAUGCUUUAAUAACCCAAUAAUAAAAAAACAAAAUGUCUUGAGGGGGGCUCGGGCCCCUGCUUGCCCCCUACUUCCACCCUUGGUCAUGUUCAUCGAAAAAAAAAAUUAUAUUUACUCGGAUGUGUUUUUUCUACGAGAUGGGUCCAUGAGAACAUUUCCAUCUGCAUAUUGGUUCUUGAGACCGUUACCAUCAGGGGCGGAGACAGAGGGGCUGGCAGGGGCCCCGGCCCCGGCAAGGAAAAAGUUUUUCCAGCCCCUCCCUUAACAAUAUUUAUAUUUUUAGUUUAAAUAAUAAAACAAUUAAUAUUUUGAUCCCCUUUAAUUUUAUUUUCUGGUUCUGCCCCUGGUUGCCAUCAUGCAUUUUUCCUCGAGGAGAGGCCAUGAGACGUCCUCUUCCAACCAUCAUGCAUUUUUUCCACGAGAUGGGUUCGUGGAGAAACUUUGGUUUAAUUGGGAAUGCUGUUAUUGAUUGGAAACUUUUUAAUUAAAAUAAAUUUGAUUAUUUGAUUGGAAAAAAUCCUUAAAUGUUAUUAACACAAGAAAUGAAUUUAUUUUCUUAAGAAAAAAAUAUUGUAACCAUAUAAGUAAUUUAUUUAUUUAUUUUAAUGAAAUAUAAAAUAGUUUUAAAUCUUGUGGUAUAUUUCUUGUCUUUAAGAGCUAUGAACUUAUAUCGCAAACCUUGAAAACUAAUAUAAAGAUAUUAAGUGAUCAUUAAGUGUGUGUGUAUGUAUAUAAUCUUUUUCAAAACAAAAAGGAUUUUGAUGGAGAUCAGGACAUUGCAACAAAUUAUCCACCACGAGAUGGGUCACUGAUACCAUUGUCAUCAUGCAAUUUUUUCCCACGAGAUGGGGCCGUACGCUUGGGGCUCUAAAACGCUAUGGUUUUUAAUUUCAUUAUGUCACAUCUAGAAUGGCAGGUAUAUUUUAUUUCAAUUUAAACAAUGGAAUAAAUUAGAAGAUAUUUCAUCUCGUUUGGAAUCUUAUCUCAUUUCAUGAAUUUCACCUAAAUUCUGGCCGGAAUAUUUUGGUUCUAUUCCAGCCAUUCUAUUAUGAUCAAAUAAUGUUUUGUUUUGCUUUUAUAAAAAAAAAAAUAUAGUCUAGUUUUACGGUAUCAAUUAUAUCUCUCAAUUCAACUGUUGAAUUAUACUAAAAUUUUACAAGGAAUCUCCUAACAUAUAUUUAUAUCGCAAGUUAAAAUUUUAGAACAAUUAGAGUUUAGAAAGACUUUGUGAGAUUGCCGAUGACAUUUUCAUAAUUUUAUUUAAAUUCAUAAUUUGGUUUCGUAAGGUCAUUUUUUGUGUCUUCUUUUAGAUUGUUUUGUUUUUCCAAUUUCAUAAUUCAACAAUAAGUUUAUUAAAAAUUGAGAUUCAUAAUUUGUUUUUAUUUUGGAUUAUUAUGGUCUCAUAAUCUGGGUCACGGAUUUAAAAGAUUAACUUAGAUUAACCCGAGUCUAUCCAAUAUGUCGUUGUCUCAAUAUUUUUAACAAACAUAAUUUUAAUUGACAUUUAAAAAUAAACUAACUUAAAAUUAUACAAUUUAAAUUUCAAAUAUAAGUAAAAAUAAAGAGUUAAAUCGAUAUGACCCAUUUGAUUUGAUGAGUCCAAAGUAUAUAUAGAACAAUCCAAAAUGACACAUCAAAAUACUCAAAAACAAAAAUAUAUUGUUACAAUUAAAAAAAUAAAACACCAAUUAAAAUGGAAUUAACAUCCUUGCUUCAUAGAAGCCUAAACUCCUCGCUACCAUUUGCAAGAGAUAGUUAUACCAAUAGCAAUUUAGUAAUGUUGGUCAGAAUUUAAUAUCCUUCUCGAUAAGAAGAUCCUUAUCUUAUCGGAUAAAACCUAAUUGUUCUAACGUCAACAAAAGAAUUUAAUAUUCGGAAUACAUCUUACGUAUAAGGUCGUAACCCAAAUACUAAAAGAAAAAAAAUAAUAUUUUUGGAAUUUUUGAAAUAUUGGUCUAGUUCUCGUGACUUUAAUAAACUGGUUAUUAAAACCAAAAUGCAUGUUAAUACAUAUUUUUGAAUUUUUGUUGUAUGAAAAUAUGAUAUGAUUUUUUUUCUUUGAGAUACUUGGCCAUAUGCAUGAAAAUAAAAACAUGUUUUUUUUUUAAUUUUUCAAUGUUUCGACGAAAACUGGGUAUUUUAAUUCCAGAUUUGUAUCUUUACAGUAUAAAAAUACAAAUCAAUACUAAGAAAAAAUCAAUAGAAAAAUACGCGGUAAAAUCACAGAUUUUUUAAAAUGAUUUUUUUUUGACCGGGUAGGCGUUGUUCGGGUCAGAAAACUAAAACAAACAGUGGAGAGACUCUCUGCUGUUCACAUGCAACGUGAACAGUGGAGCGGCCUGGAGAAGACUAAGAAGAGGAGGAGGAAGAGGAAGAAGCAGACCUGCAGCCUAGCGGUGCUGCCAGUGGCGGUGGACGGUGUUGCGGUUGCGGACCGUGGUGCUGACUGGUUGGUGGUUCUUCUUUCUUUCUCUGCGUUUCCCUUCUGCUUUUUUUCUGUUCUACUCUAUUCUUCCUCUUGUUCCCUGUUUUAUUCUCUCUCCCUCUCUGGUCCUCUCAAACGUCCCCUGGAGCUGCUGCCUGAAGAUGAAGAUGAAGUUGAGGGUGAUCAGUGCUCUGAUCGAGCAACGUUUCUUUCUUUCCUUCUGCUACUGUUUUCGUUUCUGAUUCUCCUUUUUGUUCAAUUCUUAUUUGCACUCUUCUUCUUCUUCGUCGUCUCUGGUUUUUGAAAUGACGAAGACGAUGGCAACGCUGGUUCUGGUCUCAACGAUUUCCUCUCCUUACAUUCUUUCCUUCUGCUCAUUUCCGUCUCCCUCUCGUGCUACUCCCCACUUUCUCUCUUGUCCUGCUGGCUCUCCCUCCUUGUCUCCUCCUUUUUUUUUUUCCUGUCCGUCUCUCCUCUGGCUUUAUAUAGCGAGAGGAUGCAUGCUUUUCGGGAUUUAUUGCAGGAAGGUUGUAACAGCCGGAGUGUAUCAUGGUGGAGAAGGAUAUCAGCCGUGAGACAUGCUCCCCUGAUUGAAGCAGCUCCACCGCUAACAUCUUCACUACCUUUUACUGUAGAAACCGUUGUUGAUGAAGAAGGUAAUGAACAGUUGUCAAGGAAAUGGUACCGUUUUAAAAUUCAAAAUGAAUAUUUCCGAUUUGGUCAUUGGAUUUUUUGCAAUUUUGUAAUCAAGCCCCCGAAUAAAUUGUAAAUGGAUCUCUGGAUUUUAGCCCCAUUUACAAGACAAUUUUUUGUUCUGGAUUCAUGCAAUUUGACCCUCAAUUGAUCAAUAAACUUCUAAUUUCUUCAAUUUAACCCCUGAGUUGGUCAAUUGCAGCCUCUCUAUUUACGUGUCUUUUCCGAUUUGGUCCUUGGUUUCGUAUUUUUUCAAUCAAGUCCCUAAUUGCCCAUAAAACUUUAAUAAUUAUGCAAUUAAGCUCCUGAUUUGACCAAAUCAACUCUUCAAAAUUAUAAUUGUACCCUAGAACUUUAAUUUCUUCCAAUAAAAGCCUAAAUCGACAUAAAACUUAAUUUUUCUUUCAAUCAAACCCUCCAUAAAUUCAAUUAAACCCUCAAUAAAAUUUAAUUUAGUCCAUAAACAUCUGAUUUUGGAUAUAUUUUUUUUAAAAAUGAAUUUUCUUUGUCAACAGGGCUCUCAUUAGUCAACGAUAUACUAUCAAAUUUCAAUCUUUGUAUUUUUUAACCUCCUCAACCAAUUUUUAGCUAUUUUGGGCGGUCCAACAGCUUUCUCACUACGACAUAUAUUUUUAUUUAUUUAUUUAUUAUUAUUAUUUAUUUACUUUUUUUCGACUCUUACUUUUUGUAUUUUCUUCUUUUUUGUGUGAGGUCCUAAAAAUGGGUAACAAUACUUAAGUUCAAAUCUAUUAAUAAAAUAUAGUUUUAUUGAAUUUUUUUAUAUACUUUUAUUAGAGAAAUCAAUGUAAACAAAUUUACGGAAAAACAUUAGUUUAUCAAGUACUUAAAUAGAAAAAUAAAAUCAAUUAGAGUACUUGAAUAAAAAAAAUAUAAAUUAUAAGCAUUUUAUAUAUCUUUAUCGUUCAUACAUUAAGAUAUUUUAUUGAUUAAAUUUUGUGAAUAUAAGUAUUCAAAUUGAAAAAAAAAACAUUGAUGCAAGCUUUUAAAUAAAAAAAAUUAUAAAAUACAUAUAAUUUGCACUUCUCAUUGUCUCUUUCGCAUUGCUAACACUUAACAAAUUGAAUAUAUAAUUCUCGUGUGAAUAACGUCAGAAUAAAUUUAGUUAUAUGACAUUAUAAUACCUUUUUAUUUUUAUAUUUUAAAAAUAUUUUAAAAAAAUUAAAUUGUUUUAAAUAGAUAACUUUUGAAUCAUCAAGUAGUGAAACACAAGAAAAGCGAAGAAAGUGAAGAAUAAUCAAAGUGGUGCGGGUCCACAUCAAUUUUUGUCCAUGUUUUUGGUAUUAAUCUCUUCAUCUAUUUACAGCCGGAGAAAAGAACAUCACCUACUACUUUUCUUGUCUCUUCUUGCUUGGAAGAUAAGGCAUGUGAACCUUUGAGUGCCACUCAUUUUAGUACAUAGACUUGGUUAUUUGACCACAGCUUCACCACAAGUUAAAUUGUUUUAAUUAAAAAAAAUUAUAUAUAGAUUUCUUCAAUAAAUUUUUUAUUUAAAAUUUUUUUAAGUGAAAAUUGAAAAACUUAUACACAAAUAUUGUUAAAUAAAUCAAGAAUUUUGUGUAUUAAUAAGUGAAAAAAACCAUAAAUGAUGACUUAAAAUAAAAACUGGAAAAAUCAAUAAACAAAUGUAGAUCAAAAUAUUUAAUUUCACAAAACGUGAUAUUACAGUUGUGUUUUCUAAAUUUUCUAAUUAAAAUAAUUUUUUAAUUCGAUCAAACGAUAAUAAAAAUAGACACACAUAUUAUAAAUUGAUUGAAUAAAAUAAAAAAUAAUAAUAAUAUGUCAGGCUUCAUAUAUUGGAAAUAUUUUUUGAAAAUAUUUUUUUUAUUUUUAAAAAUAUAGUUUAUCUAUUAAAAAAAUUAUAUAUUAAAUUCAAAAUAAAUAAACUUUAAAAUAAUUUGCAAGGCUGCACAUAAGCCCUUUAAAAGGAAAGUGAUAUAACAAAAGUGGAACAAUUUUUAUUAACUAAAUAAACUCUAUAACUAUUAAUAUUAAAUUCAAAAUAUAUAUUAAAAAUAAAUAUUAAAACCUAUUAUAUUAAUUUGUGAAUUUAUCAAUUGAGAUGUGAAUUAUAUUUCUAAAAUGUUAUAAGAAAUUUCUAUAUACUACAACUAGCUUAAGAAAAUCAAGUUCAUCGAAACCGUAGAGUACAGAAAAAAAAUGAAUUGCAUGAUUAACCAAAACUUAUAUUUCUUCUUAAAACGUUGACCCCAAGUCAAGUUUUUUUUUUUUUUUGAAAAAAACAUGAAUACAAGGUUAAUGCUAGGCACAUGACGAUGAUGGAUAUACAAGACCUGCUCCUUUCUUUAUGGAAAUUACGUGUGGAAAAUUUAGGCCUUGAAAAAAAUUAAAAAAAAAAUACUAUUAAUCAUGUUAUUUGCAUUAUGGCAAAUAUAGAGACUUGAUUGAUAAAAAUUUAUAAGAGCAAGUAUUCAAAUUUUAAAAUAAAUAAAUAAAUCAAUUCAAGUUUUUAAUUAGAAAAAACAAGAUACAAAUACUCUGUGUAAGUGCCACUAACUCUUUGUAUUUUCUAACUAUUAAAGAAUUGAAUAUAUAAUACACGGGUGAUAAACAUCAAAAUAAAUCCAAUUGUAUAAUUUACUAAGAUUUUAAAAACUAACACUACAUAGAAAAAAAAAUCUUAAAAUAAAUAACAGAAAACUUGUAUUCCUUCGAGGGGUGUUUGAGAGUGUGGUAGCGGUUGCUUUUCAAAGUUUUUUCCCUUAAAAAUGCAUCAAAAUAAAUUUUUUUGAUUUUUUAAAAAUUAUUUUUAACAUCAUUAUAUCAAAAUGAUCUAAAAAUAUUAAAAAUAUAUUAAUUUAAAGCAAAAAAUAUAAAAAAAAUUAAAAAAUUUUAAUAAUACUUUUAAAAUACUAAAACAAACAAGAUAUUAAAAAAUAUACUACAAGUCAAAGUCUUUUUGAAAAAAAACAUUAAUAAAAGGUUAAUGGCAGGUAGCUUAUUUUCUGCCCUAAUAAAGCUCAAGGUCUGUUCAGAAAACUAAGUACGUAGGCAUACACCCAAUCCAAGCACCAUCAAAUCAUUUUUUAUACAUAGGGAUAGGAACGCUAGCUUCACAUGAUAGAUAAAAAAAAUUAAAAGAUAAUAAAAUUAAAAAAAUAAUUAUAAUCUUAUAUAUUAUUUUAAAUAAAAUAAAUAUUGAUUAAAAAAACCAAAUAUAAUAAAUUAAAAUAUUUAAUUUAAAAAAGAUAAGAGAAAAGUAAAUGAGAAUUAAAGUUGAUAUAAAAAUUAAAUUAUAAAAUAUAAAAUUCAAAAAAAAAAUAAAACCAAUUUUUUUUUUCUAAAAGAUAAUAUUCAGAUUAAAAGCAUUAUAAAAAGAAUAGCUCCUUGUUUCUUCCUUGUUUCAAUUUCAAGAUAUUAAGAUUAAAACCCAAUCGUAUAGCUGGUUGGGUUGAGAAGAAAGGUUUGCUUUUGUAUUACAAAUUAUUUAGAUUAGUUUUUUUUUAAAAUUAAUCAAAUUAGUAUCAUUUUGGUUCUCCAUCGAAGAAAAUAGAAAACAUAUUUAGUAAUAAGGUGUUGUUUAAUUCCUUAUAUUAUUAAUAUAAUCAUGGCAUCAUCACUGUAACAAUAAGUCCUCUUACUUGUAUUUUCACCGUCCCAACCUCUUUACAUGGCGUCACCGUAGCAAUUAUAUAUCUCUUGAUCAAUCAUAAUUAAAUUACUGUAAUAAUAUCUUUUUUUAUUCUUUUAUAUGAAGUCUUAAUUUAUUUUUUUAUAUAGGUAGUUAUGAAUUACAGAAAUUGAACAAUUUAGAGAUCUUUGACUUAGAAUCUAAUUGUUUCGAUAACAGUAUUAUAUUAUAGAGGGAUUUUUAUCCCUUAAAUUAUUAUAUUUAGAUUAAAAAAUAAAAACUAAUUAGGAGUCAAUUAAAUAAAUAAAUAAAAACCCUCAAAAGAUAAAAGAAGAAAACAUAAAAAGUACACUACCCAACCAAUAAUUGACCUGAAUCACAUGUUGUCCACUGCCAGAACUUAUUAGCAAUCUGCUUACAACAGCAAAUUGAUCAAUAAGAAAGACUUAAAUUCCAAAUUUAAAAACCAACUCAAUUGAGAUCCUUAUUAUUCAUUCAAUUAGUUGCUUCUUGCUAACUCUUUUAUUUCCUUUAUAAUUUUAAUUCAUUUUAAUAUAAUUUCUUGAUUGUGGCAAGCUUCCUUUAUCUCAAGAACUUGGAAUACUUGGAUUUCCCAAGAAAAAAUUAACUUAAGACUUUAGUUAAUGCUAUGAACACGAGUAAAUGAUAUGCUAAAGAAAAAACCAUGUAUUUAAGAACCAUUGCUAAGCUACAGGUUCAGGAGCCAUAAACCACUCACAUUUAGUGGGGUUGAUCUCAAAUUCAGACAAAUCUACUUGUCCAGUUCGGAGAACCUUCAAACAAAAAGAAGAAUGAAACCUUGUAAAAUUGGCUAUCAUCAAAAGGACAAGAAACAGUACAAGAAGGAUCAGCCUCGCAUUUCUUGCAUAAGUAAAAGAAUCCACUUGUUAAUGGAAAGGAGGACUCUGCAACAAGUCUAAAAUAUCCUCUGGAGUUCAGUGACCCUACAACCUUAUAUUUACCUCAGAAUGCACCCACGUAAAGCACACAGGAAAUCCCAACACAUAAGACAACAAAAGAAAACAUAUAAUUAGCAGAAAAAAAAAGGUUGUACAAUUCUUUCAUAGCUUACAGUACGUAUAGAAUAAGCAUUAUCAAAUCAGGCUAACAUACCUCAGGUAAGUGAGAUGUUAAUCCUUCUUCAAGCGGCAAUGUCUCAAUCAAUGACAUUAUCAAAUCAGGCUUCAGUAUAUCCCCUAAUCCCAAGCCUAGGACAACAAAAGAAAACAUCAUGAAAAAAAAUGAUUUUACAGUAAUGCACCCAGUGCCAGAGCAUAUAAUUAGCAGAAAUAAAGGUUGUACAAUUCUUUCACAGCUUACAAUACGUAUAGAAUAGGCAUUAAUAAUUACCUUCAUCUGGAUCGGCCAAACUACCUGCAACAUCUAUCAUCACAUCACGGCGCGGGCCACCCUAAGUACAGCAAACAAGGAUAUGGUCAAUUGCACUAUCUGAGCAUAACACAGAUAUUACUCAGGAUUCUUUGCAAGUCUUCCAAUUUCACUGGUUCUGAUGAAGAGUUUACAUCAUUCAUUACUUCUGCACCAAGGUCUGGGACAACUAAGUUUCCAGUCCUGAGAGCUAUGAGCAAAAAUCUCAUCAGAAUAAAAGAAAAUGGCAACGUAAUACUGGGCCAUUUCUUUUUUGUAAUAAAAGUGCUCCUUAACCUUUUUGAAGUUAUUUUACAAUGAAUUACAAGCAUUAAACUUGUAUAUACAUGGACAAACACCAAGUUAUGAUUCUAAAUUUCCAUAUAAAAGAUGCCCCAAGUUUUAAAAUUUACCCCGAGGGCAAGUCUGUGCAAGAGCAUAAGGGGAUGAAGGAUUUGACAUGGACUAAGGUGGGUGAGAUGUUUUUGUCAAGAAAUGAUUUUGGAAAAUUUCUUGAUAUUUCUUGAAUAAAUAAGAUAGGAGUCUUCAUCAAGGCAAGAACAUAGGCUCUCCAAGAUAAUUGACCAGAAGGAGAGAAGGGAGGCUCAUCCUGCUCCACAGACUCUUAGUCUCAAAGAACAAAAAAUUACUUGGCUCUAUAUCCUUACUCUUACUUGCUAUAUCAACUCUUAGAGUUGAAGUAUCUGAAAGGGUUUAUUUUUAGUAUUUGAAUAAGUCCAUGAGUCCCUAGUCUUCAGGAAGAUAUACAUGGUCAAGAUUAAAUUAAGGAUUUUAGUUGCUUAUUUUUCGUUAUUUCAUGUGCCACGUUACUGUGAACGUGAGCUAUUUUUCAGUCUUAUUAUUAUUCCUGUAAGGCUAUUUAUUAGCCAUUUCCAUUCAGUAAAAGCAAUUCAUUCAAUUCAAAUACUGUGCACUUUUGUUCUUAUUCUUUACAAUUGGUAUCAGAGCUAUUACAUCUGACCUGUUACGAAGAAAUAGAUACAAAAGGAAGACAUAUUUUUGAGUGACUUCAAACUUAGAGUGAGUGAGUGCUUGAGUGCUUUUAAACACAGAGUGAGUGAGUUUGAGUGUUUUUUAAACACAGAGUGAGAAAGAGAGUUCUUGAGGGUCAAUUUCAACAAUGGCAGCAGAGUCCAGCAAUUUUGUAUCACCUUGCAUCCCGAAAUUUGAUGGAGACUACGAGCAUUGGAACAUGCUAAUGGAGAAUCUCUUGCAUUCCAAAGAGUAUUGGAACGUUAUUGAGACAGGAUAUGUCGAGCCUGCAUCAGGGGAAAUUCUGAAUAAUGCACAGAAAAAGACAUUGGAGGAGACAAAGCUGAAAGAUUUAAAGGUUAAAAAUUACCUUUUUCAGUCCAUCGACAAAUCCAUUCUGAAGACUAUUACUCAAAAAGACACAGCAAAACAGUUGUGGGAUUCCAUGAAGAUCAAAUACCAAGGAAAUACAAGGGUUCGGCGUGCUCAACUUCAAAUCUUUCGCAGGAAUUUUGAAGUGCUGGAAAUGAAACAAGGAGAAACUGUCACAAGUUAUUUUGGAAGAGUUAUGCUGGUGGCAAAUGACAUGCGAAAUCUGGGAGAAAGCAUACCUGAUGAGAAGAUUGUAGAGAAGAUUUUACGCACACUUACUGAGAAGUACAAUUACAUAGUGUGCUCCAUUGAGGAGUCUAAAGAUAUUAAUCAUCUUUCAGUUGAUGAGCUGUAGAGUUCAUUACUUGUUCAUGAACAGAAAUUCAAAAGGCAUGACACAGAUGAUCAUGCCCUGAGAAUCUAUGAUGACAGAUUCUGUGGCAGAGGUCGUGGCAGAAACAAUUACAGAAGCCGAGGCCGUGGGGGCAGAACACAAACAUUCAAUAGAGACAUGGUGGAAUGUUUCAGGUGUCACAAACUUGGACACUUCCAAUACGAGUGUCCAACCAUGAACAAGGCAGCUAAUUAUGUGGAGCUAGAUGAUGAAGAUGAGAUGCUGCUAAUGUCCUAUGUUACAUUAGCUAAGACAACACGGAAUGAUGCAUGGUUCCUGGAUUCAGGAUGUUCUAAUCAUAUGUGUGGUUAUAGAGGUAUGUUCUCCUACUUGGAUGAAAAUUUUCAGCAUUCAGUCAAACUUGGAAACAAUAGCAGAAUGGCAGUAGUUAGCAAAGGCAGAGUAAAAUUACUAAUCAAUGGUAUUAAGCAUGUUGUUAAUGAUGUCUAUUAUGUACCAGAGCUUAAAAAUAAUUUACUGAGCAUAGGUCAACUACAAGAAAGGGGCUUAGCAAUUUUAAUUAAGAAUGGAGUUUGUAAGAUUUACCAUCCUGAGAAGGGUUUGAUCAUUCAAACCAAGAUGAGUGCAAAUUGGAUGUUCAUCCUACUUGCACAGACUCAAGCUCCCGUACAUGCACAGACUCAGAAUCAAGAGAAUUGUCUUCUCACCGGUUCUCAAAAUCCCUCAGUGCUAUGGCACAGACGGUUCGGUCACUUAAGCUACAAAGGCUUAAGAACCUUACAAUGGAGACAUAUGGUACAUGGACUGCCCACCUUCUCGACUCCCACCAUCACCUGCACAGAUUGCCUCAAUGGCAAGCAACACAGAGAGGUCAUGCCCAAACACAGCAAAUGGAGAGCAAAUCAGAAAUUGGAAUUAAUUCAUGCAGACAUUUGCGGUCCUAUUUCCCCCGAAUCCAAUAGUGGCAAAAGGUACAUAUUAUGUUUCAUUGAUGAUUUCAGCCGAAACUAUGGGCAUUUCUUUUAGCUACAAAAUCCGAAGCUUUCAUUUAUUUUAAGAAAUUCAAAGCUAUGGUGGAAAAAGAAACCCUAUUGCAUGUGAAGUGUCUAAGGACUGACAGGGGAGGAGAAUUUACCUCAAGUGAAUUCAACGAAUUCUGCAGCCAACAAGGUAUCAAACGGCAGCUCACCACGGCGUACACUCCACAGCAAAAUGGAGUUGCAGAGAGAAAAAAUCGAACCGUGAUGAACAUGGUCCGAUCAAUCCUCUCUGGUAAAGGGAUUCCAAAACCCUUCUGGCCAAAGGUAGUGAACUGGGCCUUCUAUGUGCUCAAUCGGUGCCCAACUUAUGCUUUGACAGACAUCACUCCUCAUGAGGCAUGGAGCGGAACUAAACCAUCAGUAGACCAUUUCAGGGUCUUUGGGUGCUUGGCCCAUGUUCACGUUCCAGAUGUGAAACGGAGUAAGCUUGAUAACAAAAGCUUUGUGUGUGUACUGUUGGGUAUGAGUGAGGAGUCAAAGGGGUACAAGUUGUUUGAUCCUUUAAACAAAAAAAUCGUGGUUAGCAAAGAUGUGAUCUUUGAGGAGGACAAACAGUGGGAUUGGGAUGUUGCUUAUGAAGAACAAAUCUUGACAGAUUUGGUUUGGGGUGACAGAGAAGGAACACGUGAAGAUGGUGAUAAUAGUGAUGACAAUCACGGGGAUGAGAGUGGUGAACGUGAGGCUGAAAUCAAUGGGGAAGAAGGGGAAGAAAACGAAGAACACAGACACAUUGUCUGUGAAGAUGAUGAAAAUGCUGAGAGAGAAGAAGAAGAAGCUGAGUUAAAUGAUCUUACGGUGUGUAUGCUGCCAGUUGGAAGAAUAGGUGAGCAGGUCAAUCCUACGGCAUGAACGCGGCCAAGUGAACAAAGGGAGAUGACAGAUGGCAAAAUAGAUGUUAAUCCAACGGUGAGAAUUCAGUCUGACAGGGAGAGUGAUUAGAUGACAUGUGGCGUACAUCCAACGGCACAAAACAUGGCAGACGGAGAGAAUGAGCUGCUGACAAGUGGAGACAAUCCAACGACUGACAUGCAAUCUGACGGGGAGAGUGGCCUGCUGACAAGUGGAAGAAGAGAAAGGGGUCCUCCGGUGUGGAUGCAAGAUUAUGUUACAGGGGAGGAUUUAUCUGAAUAUGAGUCCAAUAUGGCACUAAUUAUGUCUUCUGAUCCCAUUUAUUUUGAAGAUGCUGUGAAAGUUAACACUGGAGACUUGCUAUGGACAGUGAAAUUAAUGCAAUAGAGAAGAACAAUACCUGGACGCUCAACGAGUUGCCGGAGGGAGCAAAAAAAAUUGGAGUCAAAUGGGUCUACAAAACAAAGUACAACGAACAUGGGGAUGUUGAUAAAUACAAGGCAAGGCUAGUUGCCAAAGGGUACUCGCAACAACACGGAAUUGACUAUACAGAAGUCUUUGCACCAGUGGCAAGGAUGGAUACAGUAAGGAUGAUUAUUGCUCUCGCCGCUCAAAAAAACUGGAUUGUUUAUCAGUUGGAUGUCAAAUCGGCUUUUCUGCAUGGGGAAUUGCAUGAAGAUGUUUAUGUUGAUCAACCAAAAGGGUAUGAAAAGAAGGCUAGCGAACAUCUAGUUUACAAGCUGCAUAAAGCGUUGUACGGGUUAAAACAAGCUCCAAGAGCUUGGUUCAGUCGAAUCGAGGGUCAUUUUUUCAAUGAAGGCUUUCUACGGUGUGAAAGUGAGCAAACUUUAUUCACAAAGAGAAGCAGGGAAGGAAAGAUUAUCAUUGUAAGUGUUUACGUUGAUGAUCUAAUAUUUACUGGCGAUGAUACACAUAUGUUGUCUGAAUUCAAAAACUCCAUGAUGAGGGAGUUUGACAUGUCAGAUUUGGGGAAGAUGCGGUAUUUCUUGGGAAUCAAAGUAUUACAGCAUUCAGGUGGCACCUACAUAUGUCAGAAGAAAUAUGCACUAGAGGUGUUGAAGAGGUUUGGUAUGAUGGAAUGCAAUGCGGUGAAAAAUCCAAUAGUUCCCGGAUGCAGAGUCAACAAAGAUGAAGGCGAAGCUAAAGUAGAUGAAACAUAUUAUAAGCAGUUAGUGGGCAGCCUAAUGUAUCUCAUAGCAACAAGACCAGACAUGAUGUUUGUUACUUGUCUCAUCAGCAGAUACAUGGCCAAACCUACGGAACUUCAUCUACAAGUAGCAAAAAGGGCACUUAGAUAUCUAAGAGGGACAAUAAAUUUUGGAAUUUAUUACAAGAAAGGGGGAAGUGAUGAACUACUCUCAUUUACGGAUAGUGAUUAUGCUGGAGAUAUGGAGGAUAGAAAGAGUACAAGUGGAUAUGUUUUUUUGUUAAGCUCAGGAGCAGUCUCAUGGAGUUCGAAGAAGCAACCAAUAGUGACUCUUUCUACAACUGAAGCAGAAUUUGUAGCAGCCGCAAUGUGUGUAUGUCAAGCUCUUUGGAUAAAAAGAGUCUUGAAGGAAUUGGGACACUCAAAUAAUGAGUGCACACAAGUGAAAUGUGAUAACAGCUCAACUAUUAAAUUGUCCAAAAAUCCAGUGAUGCAUGGACGCAGUAAGCAUAUCGAUGUAAGAUAUCACUUUCUGAGAAAUCUUACUAAAGAAGGUACAAUUGCAUUAGUUCAUUACGGAAGUCAGGAUCAGGUGGCAGAUUUAAUGACCAAGCCUUUAAAGCUUGAUGCAUUUCUGAAACUAAGAACACUGUUGGGAGUCCAAGAAAUUACUGAUGUAAACUAACUGCAUACUGCAGUAAGUUUAAGGGAAGGAAUGAAAGGGUUUAUUUUUAGUAUUUGAAUAAGUCCACGAGUCCCUAGUCUUCAGGAAGAUAUACAUGGUCAAGAUUAAAUUAAGGAUUUUAGUUGCUUAUUUUUCGUUAUUUCAUGUGCCACGUUACUGUGAACGUGAGCUAUUUUUCAGUCUUAUUAUUAUUCCUGUAAGGCUAUUUAUUAGCCAUUUCCAUUCAGUAAAAGCAAUUCAUUCAAUUCAAAUACUGUGCACUUUUGUUCUUAUUCUUUACAGUAUCAUCUUUGAGUAUGCUUAUUUGUUAUAAUAAAUAUACCUUGAUGAGAUAUUAUCUUUAAGCAUGUCUUCAAAAACUUGGAAAGGAGUAGAAGCAUCAGGCUCUUCUUCAUCAAGGAACUCUGCCAGGCAAUAAGAUAAAGUAGCGACGUUGCUGAUGGAAAAACUUCACUCUUGAAUGAGUGCUGAAGUUAUAAGCCAGGUCAUUAGUUUGAAGGAGUAAAACUGGUUAGUAAAAUUUUAGGAAAACCAAUUCACACAUACGGAGUGUGUAACUAAAAUAAAUAAACAGGAAGUAGAAAACAGGAAAUCCAAUUAGUCUAAUAUGAUAUUUCUGUGAAAUAGAGGUUUUCUUUAUGAAAUUGUGGAGAUGAGAGGAGAUAAAUGCAGAUGCAAGAUAAAAAAAAACAAUAAAAAAAAACACAAAAGUAGCAUGGCUAGCAAAGGACUCAAAACACAAAAGUAUUUACCAAAUGGACGAUUAAUAUAAUAGUUGAUAGAGCUACACAAUUGUGAAUCAUCUUUAGCUUUUGGCUCCUGCAAACAUGUUACACAAUUUUCCAAAAUCAUGCAACUAACAGCCGAGUCAAUGUUACACAUAAGAGAGUGAAAAACACAGAAAAUGAACCUGACCUGCAUCCAAAUGAAAAACUUUCAAUCAUCUGUAUUGAAUUUCAAGAUGUAAACUCUUCCCAAAGCUUGAUUAACCUGAAUAACCCAAAGAAUUAUGAAUCUAUGAUAUUACAAUCAAUUAUUAGAGUCAAAUAUCUCCCAUCUAAGAAAAAACUAAGAGAGAAAAGUGUACCUUCUCAAAAACAGCCUCUUCAGAAAAAAAAAUCUGAUCCUGUCAAUCAACACGUCAAGAAAAAGCUACCAAGUUCUUACCUCAAAAGAAUAUUAACAAAACAAACAACAGAAAAAGAAAUAAAAACCAAUGUUGGAAGAGAGAAACAAAAUCCCCAGGCUAAAAAACAUAAUAAUAACUAGGACACAUCUUCCACAGCAUUCAAAUUCCUAUCAAGCCACUGGAAAUGAAGCAAACCCUCGUCACCCUGGAACAAUUCAAAAAUUUCGACUUCAAACAGGAAACAAGAUGCUAGAAACACUCUAUCUAGUACUUAAGAUAAACCAAAACAACAGAAGUAACUAAAAAUCUUUACACAGGUACGAACUCUGUAUAACACAAAAAAACCAAAAGACACCAGUUUACCCUUCCAAUGCGAACAAGUCCUUUUCGAGAAUCAGGAACAAACUUUUUUCCAUCAAAAACCAUUUUACCAGCACGAAACUCCAACAUAAUUUCCUACCAACAAAACAACCACAACAUCAUAACAUAACCCCAUCAAGAAAAACAUACUUAUACAUCCAAAAAAGCAAUUACAGGCUCUAAUUAAUAAGAUACAAGAUUUUAAGCAAAACCCACAAUUUUAAAAGUGAUUUUAUUUACCUGCAUUGCUGAAAUAUCUACAGCUGAUGAAGAACCCAUUUUUCGCAUACUUCCUCUAAAGCUUCCUUUUUUCCAACACUGCAAAAAAAAAAAAAGAAGAACAAAUCAAAUACCCAAAUCAGAAACAAUAACAGAAAAAAAAUAAAAGAAAAUCCAAUGCUGGAAGUUGUAAUCAGGAGGAGAACCAUACAAUUUCUGAUGGAAUGACAUUUUAUCAAGAAUUGAACUAGGCAUUCAGUUAAUUAAAUAGGUUGUAAACUUGUAAUCAGGUGAGAGUAGUGUCAACAUGUUUAGUUUUCCUCUCGGAAGUGUCAUUCUGCACAAAUCAGUGUUUUAAAAAUAUUAAAAAAAAAAUUUAAUUUGUUUUUAAAUUUGUUUUUUAGUGGUUUUCAUUUAUUUUCGUGUAUUAAUAUUAAAAAUAAUUUUUAAAAAAUAAAAAAUAUAUUAUUUCAAUUUAUUUUAAAAUAAAAAAAAAACUUAAAAAAAAUACUGUUAACACAGUAUUAAACAAACUCGAAUCCUAUAACCAGAUGAACAACGUUAAGAUAUUUGUUUUUUGUUUUUUGUUUUUUUUGAUAAUGAGGAUGUCCUAAACAAUCUUGCCUAAUGAUUGUUAAGAAAUGAAAGAGGCAAUGCAUGGCUAAACCAAUGGAAGCUAAAAAGCUAAUGAUGCCCCUAGCUAGUAAGCAAUUGUUGCCGCAAUGACAUAUGCCUCAUUAGAGAUAGAUUUGAAUUUACAUAUUAUUAUUAUCAUAUAUUUUGUAUUCUCGUUUAAAAAAAUAAAUAUUUUCCUUAUAUGGAGUAGAGUGUUUUUAAUUUUAUCAUGUAAAAUUUAUAUAUAUUUUAAAAAUUAAUACAAUAUACAGUUAAACAUCUAUAAAUUAAUAUCAUUGAGACCAUGAAAUUUAUUAAUUAAUCAAGAUAUUAUUUAGUAAAUAAAUUUAUACACUUAUCCAUUAAUCACAAAAAAAUUUCUUUUUCAAAAACAUUGAACUCAAUACAUGCAUUGUGUAUUCUGAUUAUAUGAAUAUUAUCUAAUUAUCAAAUUAUGAAUUAUCAUAGUUCUAUAUAUUUAUUUAAAUAAAACAAGUUUAAGAAUUAAUGUAAUCGAUCUUAUUAAUUAAUAAAAGUCAUGUAUGUAUCUAUUUUUGCAAAUUGGAUGCAUACUUAAUUAAUAUUAAGUCAAGAACAAAACCAAAAAAAGGAAUAUACAAGUGAGCCAAACAACAAUAUUAAAAACGAAUAAGAGGUUGAAUUAAUAUUCAUUAACUAAUAAUAAAAUUAAGAAGAUGAUACCAAAGGACACAAAAUCACAAAAAUUCGUGAAACUACAUAAGGCGGUUUGUUCAAUACCAAGAAAUUAAAUAUUUAAAAAAAAACUAAAUGAAUUGUUUAAAAAGUUAAAAGAAAAUAAAUGCACUUUUGUCCACGUCAACAACAACUAUAACAAAAUGCUGGGCUGUAGAAGAUUUUCCACAGCAACCUGAAAAAAUCAUAUAUGCUCAAGUAACUAUUUGGUAGAGCGUAUUUGGAGUGCUAAUAUCUUUUCUUUAUGGAAUCAGUCCUCGUACUCGAUCUCUGAAACCAGUUAAGGUUCUUAGUGACCAAAAUACUAGGUAGCGACUCUCAUUCCAUUUUUCCACUAAUAAAAGACAAGAAUUCCUUGUCUCCCCAUAGAUGCCUGAUAGAUAAUACAUUUUGAGAGUGGAUAUUUUCACCGCAACAUCGUAUACGUGCGACAUUAUGUAUACAGGUAUUUCACGAGAUGAUGCGGAGUGUUAAAUAUAAGCUUUGUGUUUAAAUCUGUUUUUUUAUGUAAUAUCUUUUGUUUUAUAUGUAAUUUGUAUUAUAUGUAGAUUUUAAUAUAUGAAUCCUAAAGAUAUUUGCUUUUGGUAUUUAUACAUUUAGAAUGUAUGAGUAAGGAACUAAUAUUAGUAAACUAUUUGAAAAGAAUACUUAAUAAUUAUAAUUAUGCAUGUUUAAAAGAUGGAUGCAUGUUAACGUAAUAAUUAGUUCAAUAUGAAUCCUUUGAGUUUAUAUUUGUAUGCAGUUAAUGUUUUAUUUUAAGAGAAUAUAAUUGCUAUGUUUUAUUUUUUUAUGAUGUAAGGUUGAGAAAGCACAACAAAGUAUUGCUAUGUGAAAUAUUGUAUGAUGAGAUGGGAUAUGAUCCAGGAUGGUUGAAUUGAAAUAGAAGAUUGAGUAUUGUGAUUGAAUGAAGUCUAGUCGAUAACUUGGUAACAUAAAAAAACAAAAGAAACUCUGCCGAAUUUUCUGUAGAAAAUUAGAUUUAUAUAAUAACUAUUACUUUGAUGAUAUAACUUUGAGAGUGAUACAUCAAAUGUGAGAUAUGUUAGACAAUAACCGCAAGACAAUAACGGUUCAAGACGUAGACAAUAACAAUUCAAAUUUCGGUAGUCCUCAUAUGAAUACCAUAUAUAUAUAUAUAUAACUUUACUCUGUUUUUCAGUUGCAUGAUAUUGUUAUUUUAUCCCGAUUGAGGGGGUGUUAUAAUUAUGGUCUUAUGAUCCGAGUCACUGAUUUAAAAGGUUAACCUAGAUUGACCCGGGUCGAUCCAAUAUGUUGUUAUCUCAAUAUUUUUUAAAAAAAUAUUAUCUUGAAUUUUUUGAAGUAAAACUAUAUGUUUAUCAGUCGUCCAGACUAUCUUUGGACUCAUUGAAUCGAUUGGGUCAUAUCGAUUCAACUCUUUUUUUUUAGUUAUAUUUGAAAUUUAAAUUGUAUAAUUUCAAAUUGGUUUGUUUUUAAAUGUCAAUUAAUAUAUAUAUAUAUAUAUAUAUAUAUAACAAUCCAAAAUGACAGGUUAAAAUACUAAAAAACCAAAACAUAUUGUUACAAUUAAAAAAAUAAAAUACCAAUUAAAACGGAAUUAAUUGACAACUUGCUUGGUAGAAGCAUGAAACUCCUCGCUGACAUUUGCAAGAGAUAGUUACUUAUACCAGUAGCAAUUUAGUAAUGAUUGAUCAGCAUUUAUAGUAAGAUGGGGCUAUUAAUUCAAAUGUUGAUGGCAUUAGUAACAAUGAUUUUCUUGGAAGGAUUGCUUCCUCUUGGUUGCUUGAAAAUAUACGGUUUUUUUUUAGUUCAAAUCUAUUAAUAUAAAUAUAGUUUUAUUGAAUAUUUUUUAUAUAAUCUUAUUAGAGAAAUCAAUGUAAACAAAUUUAUGGACAAACACUAGAUUAUCAAGUAUUUAAAUAGAAAAAUAAAACAUUGAUACAAGCUUUUAAAUAAAAAACAUUUAUAAUAAAUAUAAUUUGUACUUGUCAUUAUCUCUUUUUCAUUGCUAACACUUAACGAAUUGAAUAUAUAAUUCUCAUGUGAAUAACGUCAAAAUAAAUUUAGUUGCAUGACAUAAUAAUACCUAUUUGUUUUUUGUAUUUUAAAAAUAUUUAAAAAAAUUAAAUUUUUUUAAAUAAAUAACUUUUGAAUCAUCAAGUAGUGAAACACAGGAAAAGUGAAGAAAGUGAAGAAUAAUCAAAGUGGUGUGGGUCCACAUCAACUUUUGUCCAUGUUUUUGGUAUUAAUCUCUUCAUCCAUUUACAGCCGGAGAAAAGAGCAUCACUCAGUGCUUUCCUUGUCUCUUCUUGCUUAGAAGAUAAGGUAUGAGAACCUUCGAGUGCCACUCAUUUUAGUACAUAGACUAGAUAUUUGACCAUAACUUAACUGUUAGUUAAUUGUUUUUUCAAUUAAAAAAAUUUAUAUAUAGAUUUCUUCAACGUAUUGUUUAUUUAAAAAAUCUUAAGUGAAAAUUAAGAAAUUUAUACACAAAUAUAGUCAAAUAAAUUGAGAAUUAUAUGUGUUAAUAAGUGAAAAAAAAACCAUAAACGAUGACUCAAAAUAAAAACUGGAAAAAUUGAGAGACAGGUGCUGAUCAAGAUAUUUAAUUUCACAAGACGUGACAUUUAUGCAGUUGUGUUUUUAAAAUUUUCUAAUUAAAAUAAUUUUUUAUUCAAUCAAACGAUAAUAAAAACAGACACACAUUAUAAAUUGAUUGAAUAAAAUAAAAGGAGAAAAAAUAAUAUGCAAGCCUACACAUAUUAAAAAUAUUAUUUGAAAAUACAUUUAUUUUUAUUUUCAAAAAUAAAAUUCAUCUAUACAAAAGAUUUUUAAAAAAUAUAGAUUAAUCACAAAAACCUCCUCAAAAAUUAAAUGCAUAAUUAAAAAAUAAUUAUCAUUUCAAAUAGGCUUUCUAAAUAAUAUAAAAGAGAGAAGGGAUAUAAAUAUAAAUAUAAAUAAGAUUAAGAUUAAGAUUAAUUUAAAAAAAUACAAACAAAAAAAAAGAAAAUAUUUUUUCUUAAACAAAAAAAAGUGAACAAUGUCGUUCACAGUAAAACUUGUGGGGUGAACUCGAACUCAACCGAGUUUAAUAUUUUUCCUCUUAAAUUUAUAACAAACCUAAAAAAAGUAAACAAUGUCGUCCAUUGUAAAACAUGAGGAGGUGAAUAGUGCAACUACACAGUGUUCACCUUAUAUAUUUUUCCUCUUAAAUUUAUACCAAAACCGUAAUAAAAAAAGGUGACCAAUGUUGUCCAUAGUAAAACGUGAGGGGGUGAACAACGCAUCUUCAUAGUGUUCACCCCGCACACCUUAGCUUAUUUAGGGUGAACCUGAAUCAUGAACUCAAUCGGGUUUAAUAUUUUCCCCUCUUAAAUUUAUAGCAAACCUAAAAAAAAGGUAAACAAUAUAGUCUAUAAUAAAAUAUGAGGGGAUGAACAAUACAGAUGCACAAUGUUCACCUCACAUAUUUUUUUCCUUAAAUUUAUAGCAAAACCUAAUAAAACAAAUAGUGAAUAGUAUAUUCAUUGUAAAACGUGAGAGGGUGAACAAUGUGGCUAUAUAAUAUUCACCCCACAUGCUUUAGAUUAAACGUGAGAUGGUUAUUUUUUAAAAUAAAAAAAAAUUAAUAAGCAGGCUAUUACAAUGCGCUUUUUAAUGAUGACGAUAUUUGUAGCAAAAAUUUCAAAGGAUUUAAUACAAAUCCAAGCCAAAAUAUUUCACUAGAUUACUAUUUUACGAUCUUCUUAAAACUUGGGUUCGAGCUUGUCAUGUUGAAUCAUCUCUUCUAGAAUCCUUUUUACCGUCUAAUGACUGCCGCUUAUGUUUGUGCAAUUUCUUGUUUACUAGUAAAAUUGUACAGACGUGGGCUUGAAGCUGUUAACUUUCCCUGGACUGGUUAUGUAAUAUAUUUAUAGGUCUAACUGUAUACUAUCACUUGGUCCAAGAGGCAAUAUUGCAAGAUUCCAACGAAAUCUACUGUAAUCUACUGUCCUGGGACAAGAGUUCCAAAAACAUCUACUCCAAAUUUUGUUCUUUUUGAAUCUUUAGUUAUUUUUAUUUUUUCUCAUCAUUUUUUAAAAUAAAAAAUAUAAAUAAAUUACUACAAAAUGAAUAAAACAAAACCAGAAUAAAAAAGUAACAUUAAACAGCAGCCAUUUCAUCAGCUUUAAUUUUAGUAUAACACAAUAAUAUGAACCAACCUUGAUUCUCGAAGGCACCCAACUAAUUCAUUAGCCUUCAAAUUGCCAUCACCUAAUUUCACGAUCCAUGACCGACAUAUAAACAAGGGUCCUCUCCAAGUUCCCAUACAUAUACGAAUCCAAAUAUACAUAGAAACUUAUCUUUUAAAUAAGUCAAUUAGAGUUCAACACAAUAUUAAUAACAAAAUUAAUUAAAUAAGUCAAUCAGAGUUCAACAUAACAUUAAUAACAAAAUUAACUUCAUAAUAUAAUUUGAUUGUCUUAAUACAAAAAUUAAUACAAAGUUCGUAGUUGUGGAGCACUAUCUAGACAUAAAAAAAAUCAUAACAAAAACAACAAGGGAGGGGGUUUGAUAGUAUGUAAUACAACAACUAGAAAUAUAUAUAUAAUUAUGGCUUUAGGUUUUUAUAAAAACGUUUUUUAAAUAGAUCAUAUAAGAACAACGGAGGAGGGGGUUUAACGGUAUGUAUUUGCCUGCUAGUAAAAAUUGGUUAGCACCUAAACAAGGUCCUGUGCUAAAUCUAAAUUGGUAAGAUGUGAUAUGCUAAUAUCUAGAAAGAUAACUUAAUCUAUCCAUUGAAGUAAAGCAUUUAAAUGCGUAUACAAUGUUUUUGGAACAUUAAAUAUCUAUUUGAUCAGAAUCUGAUGGGGCAAUAGGUGAUGCAGGCAUAAACUAGAAAGACAACAAACAAACACAAAGAAAAAAGAUUUGUUAAGCAAACAGGGUUGCAAACUUAAACACUAAAUUCGCAAUUUAUUAUUCUGAAAAAAGUCUAAUGAUGUUUGCCUCUCAAAGAGGUUUCUAAAACAUUUAAAUAUGCUAAAAAACCUAUCUCUAUUGGAAAAAAAAAAUUCAGAAUCCAAAAGAAUAAACAAAAACUACAUAAAAUCUGAAAUAAAACAAUAAAUAUGAAAAAAAUCAAGGAAAAAUAGCUAAAUUGGCUCAAAACAGGAUCUUAUGAACCUAAUUUCAGGGGAUCCGAACAUCAAAUGAUCAACAAAGUAUGUUUCCAAUUGAGAUGGGCCUUAGAAAUCUCCUAUAAAAAUUGAGAUCUAAGCAAAUUAAGUGAUAUUUGUUUGAGACUUCGCUAACUACAUAUAAAGGAAUUAAAAAUAAAUUAUGAUGAUCAAUUCAAAAUCAACAAAAUAUUAAAGUGAAAUUGGAAGCAAAAACAGGGCAAAAAUCAUUAAAUCAAAAGAAGAAAAAAUUAGAAGAUAGAAUUUAUUUAUUUUUUUUAAAAAAGGGGGGAGGAUAUGAAUAGUGAAGUAGGAGGGAAAAACCUAAUUUUUUUAGUAUAAUAAAUAAUUUUUAAUUAAAUUAAAAUCUUCAUCUCAUACAAUUAGACCCAAAAAGAGUUAAAUAAAAAAGGGAAGAAAAUUUCUAAAGAUAUAAGGACCAAUUUAAAAAAAUAAAAGGAAAAAAAAAUGAAAAAACACCAAAUCAAGAAACGAAAAAAUAUAAGGACCAAUUUAAAAAAACAAUAAAAAAUAUAAAGAGUGAAGGAGGUAGAGAAACAUAAGUUUUUUAGUAUAGUAGUUUAUUUCUAGUUAAAUUAAAAACUUUAUCUCAUAUAAUUAGGCCAAAAACAAUUUUUUAAAAAAAAUAAGGACUAAUUUGUAAAAAAAGAAGAGAAAAAAACAGAAUCAAAUCAAAAGGGAAAAAAAACUAAUUUAAAAAUAAAAAUAAAAUGCUUCAUUAUUCAUGUAAAAACAAAACAUCAUUAUAGUAUCCAACUAGACAAGUGACCUACACUACGGGCUAUCCUAAUUUUUUUAAAGCAAAAUUUUUUUUUAGCAUUAUUAGAUGUGAGAAAAUAUUUUUUAAAAAACAUACAUGUGUACAAGAUAGGAGAGAUUUGGUUUGAGAAUGCAUGCUAAAAAUCUAAACAUGAACUAAAACAAAGUGGAAUUAAAAAAAAAAAAAAAACUUAAAAGAGAUCAGUGAUUCAUUAUAGACUGUGAGGUAAAACACUGUAGAUUAGCAUAAUAUAUUUAUUUUUUGACCUUCUCUACGUAAAAUAAUUGCCUUGCUAACAGGGUAAAGUUGUUAUUUUCAAUGGAUCUAAAGGUUAUUUGUAAAUUGAUUGGGAAUAAUUUAGUAGGUUAGCUAUUUUAUUUGCGUAGUAAAAUGACGUCAAUACCCUUGAGAGUUCAAAAAUAUUGACCUUGACAAAGGCAUUUUUUAGUCUUUUCCAUGUUUUGUAUACUGUAAAAUGACAAAGUUAACCUUAGAAUAAAAAAAUCUAAAGCUGGUCUGGGAUAGCAUUUUCAUCUUUGCAAUAUAGCUUUUUUGUAAUAUUUAGAUGCUCUUAUGAGCUAUUUAGCAAUUUAAAGUAUUGAAAUAUUAAUAAAUCAAUAAACAAAGGCUGACAUGUGUGUAGCACGUGUCAACACGUGAUAGUCCACCACGUCAUUUGGGAGGCGUGUGAUAGUCCAACAUGUAAUAUGGAGGUGUAGUUGAUGACGUGGCGUGUCGUCAUAUUUGUAGUGGUUUAAUGGUGAUAAAAAAAUUUUCCCGUCCCCCUCUUUUCUCUCUCUAAGGCUUUAGUAUUCACGCCGAUGCUUUAAAAUUUCACUUGUAUCCUUUGGAUUGUAUUUAUAUUAAGUUUGAUUCUUAUUAUUUUAAUUUCUAUUUAUUUUGAUUUUAGUGUUUUUUAAAGAAAAAAAUUUCAAUUUCAUUCCUCAACAUUUUAUUUCAUUUAAUUUUUAUAUUAAACUUGGUCCUCAUUCUUUUAAUUACUAUUUUCUAUCCUUUACUUAAUUUUUUUAAUUUUAUUUCUUAUUAUUUUAUUUUAUUUUAUUUUGUUUGCAAUUGCAGUUCUUUUUUUUUUUUAUCCCUAGUAAGCAAUUGUUGCCGCAAUGACAUAUGCCUAGCAAGAGGAAAAAAAAAAAAAAAAAGAGACGCUUGAAGGUUAGAGAAGGCACCUCUGAGUGGAAGGAGGCUGAGGUGCGCUAUUUUUGAAGUAUGUGAAAAUCAUAUGUUUCAAUGCUACUUCUUGCAAGAGUCUCCUUAACCAACCUAGAGUGUUAUAUUAGACUGCUAACGUAUUUUAUAAAAAUAUUGAUAAAAAUAUUUUUGGAUAAUUUUUUUUAUUUUAUUUGAAUUUAUUUCUUAAAUAAUUUAAAUUAAUAAGAUAAUUACAUAAAAGAUAAUGUUAGUCAAGUUAUCUUUUUACCAACCAUAAAAAGAUUUUUACUAAUCCAAGCCAACAAAAUAACAAUUACAUGUAUAAAUUGUCAUAUGUUGGAAAAAGGAGUUAGCUCAUAUUUUAGGGAUUAUAUUAAAGUGUUAGCAUCUUGCCUGGUUAGAAAUAGAAUUGAAUUUACAUAUUAGUAUUAUCAUAUAUUUUGUAUUGUCGUUUAAAAAAAUAAAUAUUUUCCUUAUAUGGAGUUAAGUGUUUUUAUUUUUAUCAUGUAAAAUUUAUAUAUUUUUUAAAAUUAAUUUUUCUAAUCAUCAAAUUAUUUUUAUUUUUUAAAAUUUAUAUAUUUUUUAAAAUUAUUUCUUAAAAAUAAAUUUAUUUUUCUAAAAAAUUGAACUUAAUACAUGCAUAUUAUCUAAUCAUCAAAUUAUGAACUAUCAUAAUUCUAUAUAUUUAUUUAAAUAAAACAAGUUCAAGAAUUAAUGUAGAUCAAUCUUAUUGAUUAAUAAAAUUCAUGUAUGUAUCUAUUUUUGCAAAUUGGAUGCAUACUUAAUUAAUAUUAAAUCAAGCAAAAAAUCUAUAAAAAGAAUAUACAAGUGAGCCAAACAACAAUAUUAAAAACGAACAAGAGGUCGAAUUAAUAUCCAUUAACUAAUAGUAAAAUUAAGAAGAUGAUACCAAAGGACACAAAAUCACAAAAAAGCAUUUAACAUUCAGAGAAAGAAGCCUGCAACACCCAUUAAGGAAAAGAGAGAAGGGAAAGAAAUGUAGAUUAAUUGAUACAGAGGAUCACCUUGUUCCAGACCAGCGCGAGACUGUAGAAGAAUCCAGACGAACCAAGAGCAAAAAAUGCAGGAGAGAUAAUCAUGAGAGAAACAAAUUCAUAUAUCCACGAAUACGUACAACAUUUGAAACCUAUAAUGCAAGAAUAGCUGCAGAUGUACAUUAAUAUUUUUAAUUUAAAGAAUCAAUUAAUUAUUUAAAAAACUUGAGGGAUUAAUUUGUUUGUUUCACAUAAAACAGACACUAAUUAUAUAAAGUUUUACUCAAAAAACAGACACUAAUAAUCAUAUGCGUGAGUGUUUACUUGUAAAUAUUUUGGAAGGAACUGGUUUAUGUUUUGCGCAUCAUGAAAAAAUCAUAUAUGCUUAAGUAACUAUUUGGCAUCAAUCUAGUAAAUUAAUCUUAAAUUCCUUUUAUCCAACUCUUGCCGUUUUAAAAUUAAUCAAUGUAAAAGUUAACCAAACAUGAUAAAAUCAAUAUAAUGGGUUUACGAAUACAUAUUAAAUUAAUCUUGGUUUUAUAGCUUAAUUUUCUAAACUCACUACUCAAAUAAUGAACUACAUCUAGUUUUAAUUUUUUUUAUUUAAUAUUAUAAUAACAAUACCAUUUCAAAAUUAACCAAAUAUAUAUAUAUAUAUAUAUAUAUAUAUAUAUAUAUAUAUAUAUAUAAUAGAGUUUAAAAACAAAUGAACAAUAUGAUAUUGUUCCAUUUUACUAUAAUGAUGAAGUUUUCACAAAAUAUAAAACUUAAAUUAAAUUAAGGCAACAAUCAAUUCUUUAGCUUUAAAACGAUUUAUUAUUUGCUUUCUAGUGGUAGUAGUAGGAUGAUUGGAAUAAUUUUUUUUCCAUUAACAAUAGAAUUGAGAAGGCCCGCCACAGACCAAGAGGACAGCUUCAAUGAAGCCAUCCCAGCCGAUGCAGGUGAUUACCCGUCGGCUGACAUCUCCUCGCGCGCAUAGCACCAGCCAAACCACCUCAAUCUGAAAAUGCACCAGACAAAGUCAAUGGAAAGACGCCAGGGAGCCUCAGCAGCCGAGAAGAAAGCGAGGGAACACCCACCGCGCGAGAAACACGAAAAACAUAGAGGGAGCGCGGUAAAGACUGUGAAGCCACAGAAUUCACACAUUGUGCACCGUGUUUUAAUGAGCACUCUUAGUUUAUUUUAUAUAUAAUUCUUUUAGUUUUAGUUUUAGUUUGUUGUGUUAUGAACAGUAAAGCAGCACAAGAAUACGUCUGCGUCAAGCUCUGUUCACUUUGGUCCGACAUUCCUCACCUCUCCCCACCUUAGCUCUCUCUCUUUCCCUCCUCUGCUUUUAGAAACCGCCGCUGCCACCUCAACCAAUAAGGCUUCAAAUCUCACCCAGGUGCUUCCUUUUCUAUUAUGUUUUUGUUUUUUAAAAAAGAUUUACGUCCGCGUUUUCAUUUAUUUAAUUGAAGUUACUAUCCAAAGAGAGAAAUUCGAUUUUAAUAAGUAAAUUAAAAAGAUAUAUAAUCGGAUCCAAUGAAAUCGCUGCUCGUGAACGCAACUCGAAGAAAGGCGCAAUCAGUCGAUUCUACUGUGGGUGGAGCAUUUAGUAUGGUCAGGGUUAUUGUGUUGUCUAUUCAAAGAAAGAUGUGCCUGUAAAUUUAUUAAGUUGAUUCUUAUCAGUCUGCUCUUUAGAGUUGAUGAUAACAUGAAAUAUUCAUUGUUGAUGCUUGUCGUUUUCUUCUUCAUUUUCCUAGCUUAAAACAUCCUAGACAAUCUCUUUGGGAUGGUUUAGUGUUUCUGGCCUCUUCAUCUUCUAUUUGUGCUGUGGUAUUUAGUUUGCUGAUAUUCAUUGGGGAUUGAAAGGCCUCGUUUUAUGACUUUGUUUUCUUCUUAUUUCUUUAUUCUUUUGGGGAUGUGAUAUUUUCCUCUUUCUAUUUACACUAUUGGCUCCCUACAAUAUUUUUUCCUUCAGAGAAGUAAAUAUAUACAUAAAUAACAAGAACAGGAGGGGAAGGGGAGGGGGGUUUGACAAUAAGUAUUUGCUUAGAAGGGAAUGCUUCUUUGGUUUAGAAGCACCAUGAAGAUUCAGGCCCAUAUUUGGCUGGUUUCUUUAAUAAAGUACAUGAUAUUCCAUUUUUCAUGUCCUUGAUGUGCUUUUACUCUUCUUGCCGUUCCUGACUUUCUUUUUAGGGUAUAUUCUAACAUGCAAUAUGUUUUUUUUUUGUUGGCCCACUGUCCCAGGCGGAGAACCUGUCAUGGACAUGGGUGAUUGCAGAAUUCAAUUGCAGCCUGACUCACGGAAAAGAAUAGUCAAAAAUUUUUUUUAUUUAUAUGAAAGAAAAGGAGAAGGGCAGAAGGUUAAUUAAAAUCAGCAGGAUUGCCAUGAGGCAACCUCAAGUAUCACGCACCUCUUUUUUUUUUCAUCUUUUCAUGUGUUUCUCACAAGAAGCAAACUUGAGGGAACAUAAAGUGCUGGGAAGUAAUUUUUGUUGGAAUUUCUUGUCUAAUCUCUUCUUUUGAUGAUGACCUCUUGGAUGGCUGCAUGAAGCUUGUUCCGCUUUAAAUUUCAAGGUUAAUCUAUUGCUAUGAGCAUACGUGUUUCAAUUUAAAACUCGAGUUGCAACUGAACUUAAAUAAAUGGUGUUGGAUUUGUGCUUUCUAUUUGUUUUAACUUCUACAGGGUUGAAAUGAUAGUGAUCUUAAACUAGAAAAGCAGCAGACAAAAAUCAAUUAGCCACAAUGGUGUAUGGUUUCUCAGCAUAAAGUUGAAAUGAUAGUGAUCUUAAACUAGAAAAGCAGCAGACAAAAAUCAAUUAGCCACAAUGGUGUAUGGUUUCUCAGCAUAAAGUUGAAUGUUUUGUUGACCUCUUUACAUCCAAAAUCAUAUAGACAGCUACUGCUAGCACUUGCAGUGGUCAAUGAAUACUGUAGAGUAUAUAUUGCAGUGUGAGAUAAGGUUAACUCAUUGCAUUUUCAGAUAUUGAAAGGAUUUCUCUUCUUUUCUUUGUCAAUUACAGGACAUGCAUCGAAGUGUUCUUACUGAGAGUAAAUGCUAUUGUAAUGUUUUCACAGAGACUCCCCUGCUUUGCAACUAAGUCACUAAUAUAUCUUGGAACAUAGCCAUAAAUGAAAGGUUCUUCCAGAUCAAGAAAAUUAACCAUGAAGCUCGUAGCUAGAAUUUUUAGACAGAAAGGUGGCCAAGUACGCUGUACCUCUGGAAUAAUACAGGGAAAGGAUGUCUAUGUAUUUUGAUGUCUUAUAUUACUUGACCAACUCUUGCUUAUCUCAUUAUUUGUUUUUACUUUUUGCUAAUGAUUCCACACAUUUCUGAUAUUGGUGUGGUUUAUGAGUUUAGGGUUCUCGUUGCUGCUAACUUCUCUAUACUUUGCCUGGUCAUUAAAAAUCAAACGUAAUGAUUUGCAUAUGCAGAAUGGAGACAUUAAAAAGACAUCUUCUAUUUUCUGGUGAGGAGGGAUUUCAGGAACUCAAGAAAUUUUCCAUACGUUUUGAGGAAAAGAUUUAUACUACCGCUAACAAUCAGGUAUUUGCCUAAUGCGAGGUUCAAUAAUUAUGAUAUUAUCUAGACAUGAAUAUACACACGCAUUUAUGCUUGUACAAAUGUGUGUGUAGUGUGCCUACACUUCCUCACCGUUCAUUCUGUAUGCAAGGUUGAUUGGGAGUUCACAUCAUUUUGUUAAUUCUCUUGACAAGUGUUUUAUUUAGAGUGACCAAGUUCAAGUACAAGGGAAGAAUGCAAAAAGCAAAUAACGAAUCAAUACAUAAAUAAUUAAAUAAAAAGAGAGGUAACAGAAGUAUAUCCUCAUAGAAGAUGAAAUGAUAGAGUAUAUAUCUAUUUUCCUCCUCUGGUAACAUGGAUUGCUCUGAGAUCUACUGUUUUGUUAUUAAUAUCUGAUUUCAAUCUGAUUAUUUGCAUAAAAUAUCUCUGGAGAUGCUUUCGAUGGAGACCAGGUCUCAAAAUGCCAUGCUCACUACACCUAUGGAUCCAGCAGGUAAUAAUGCAGCCGAGCAUUGAAUUUCUAAAUAUCUUACCUUUUGUUUUUCUUCUCGCAUUGCUAUCAAACUCUUUUACAUUUUAUUGCUGCAUAUUGCUAUGUAUAUCGCCUUGCUGGAAAAAUCUCAUGAUCACCUCCACGAUGAUAAUUUUGUAAUGCAUGUGAAGUGUUUCAUCCUUAACUUGUUAAGGAACAAGGACUGUGAUGCAUGGUAUUUUAUAUUUUAUGAUUGAGAUGGUAGAUUUUAAAGAUUUUCAUGUUAAGGAGAUAAGACGUCACUUUCUUGCUUUUCUUCCGAGAGAGUAUUUGAUCCUUUUUUCAUAUAAAAUAAUGCUGGCAUGCAUUGAAUUUCCAAACAUCUUACCUUUUGUUUUGUUUGUCGCAUUGUUAUCAAACUCUUUUACAUUUUGUUGCGGCAUAUUGCUAUGUGUAUGGCAUGCUUUAAUCAAAAAGUUGAGUAAUUGAUGAAUGUUAGGCAAGAAAAUUACAGAUUAUUUUUAUUUUCUACCUCCUCCUUCUCUUUCCCCCACCCCGAAAAUGGUCAUAUUAUUUUUUUUUUCAGCCACCUCUUCUUCCCCCAACCUUGAAAAUUGUUUAUAUUUGCUUUGGAAGCAUGGCAAACUUCACUGCCUCUCAGCUUAAGGAGAUUGCAGCAGGUCUCGAAGCUUCUGGGCAUCAGUUUAUUUGGGUAGUUAGAAGAAACAAAAAGAGUCAAGAAGACAAGGAAGAUUGUUUACCUCAAGGAUUUGAGGAAAGAAUGGAAGGCAAAAGGCUAUUAUCAGAGGAUGGGCACUCCAAGUUUUGAUUCUUGAUCAUGAAGCAAAAGGUGCAUUUGUGACUCAUUGAGGAUGGAACUCAACUCUUAAAGGCGUAAGGCAAAUAUUUGAUGAGCAAUUCUAUAAUGAAAAGUUGGUGACUGAUGUUUUAAAAACUGGAGUUAAGGAAUGGCUUAGAGUGCAUGGAGAUCAUGUUAAAAGUGAAGCUGUAGAGAACGCAAUCACUCAAAUUAUGAUGGGUGAAGAAGCAGAGGAAAUGAGGAGCAGAGCAAAGAAGCUUUCAGUGCUUUGAUUUAAUAACUGCAAAAAAUGAAAGGUUGUUGAAGAUGGUGGAUCUUCUUGCUCCGAUUUCAAUGCUUUGAUUGAAUAACUGAGGUGGGGUAGCCUUUGAAACAGAGGCAUAGAAUAUAUAUAUAUAUAUAUUUUAGCUUUUUUAGUUUAACGUGGGUGUUCGGGCCAGCUUGCGCGCACCUCGACUAAUCCCACGGGCCCUGAAGUUAACGACCAUGUAAGUCUCCAGUGGCCAUCAUAUGAGCAACCACAGGGCUCGAACCUGAGACCACAGAGGGAGCAAACCUUUUAGUCCCAAGCUCUUACCACUGGGCCACCACCUAGAUGGUUAAGGCAUAGAAUAUUUUGUUUCUACUUAGUAGUGGUUUUGGUAAUUUAUUUUCAGACAAGUCUUGAGAGUUGAAAGAGUAAUCACAGCCGAGUCAAUGACCAAUCCAAAUAAGUUCCCUUCCUAAUGGUUCAGGAAUGACAAGUCCAGCAUAUAUAUUUAGCCCAAAUAACUUUUCAAAUAAAAUGGCUGAGCUUAGAGACAGUACACUACAAAUUAAGCACCCAUUAGCUAGACAUACAGGACAAACAAUCAUCACAAACUAGAAACGACUGUCUUCCCAGUAACAAACUCACCUUCUCAAGUUGGAGAACUUGCGAAAACUAGCUACUACAAUAUAGUAGCAAGUAUCUAUGCAGUCUUCGAUGAAGUACGACCACCUGCGUCGCCAAUAUGGAUUGAUGUAAAGAACUGCUACAAUCAUAAUCACCACGACUGUGUAACUUACACCGAAAUUGAUGUAGAAAAACUCCAUGUCUAUGAAACCAUCAUCUCCUUGUUCAUCAUUAGGCACUGGUUGUGAUGGCAUUGGCUGUGAUGGCACUGGCUGUGAUGGCACUGCUUCUUCACUACAAUUGUUUUGCAAUGGAGGUCCACACAAGAAAGGAUUUCCUUCGUAACAGCUUUCAUCGAAGGUCCCAAACUGAUAUUUUCUCUCGGGUGUCUUACAUGACAAGUUAUUGUACGCCACACUAAAAACUUCCAGUGUGGUAAUUUCAGUAAGUUGUGGAGGGAUGACACCAUUCAAGUUGUUGUAAGAAAGAUCCAAACUCUCAAUCUGUUUUAGGUUUGAGAAUGUUGCUGGGAUAGAUCCAGUGAGAUUGUUGUGUGAUAAGUUUAAUGACAAUAUCUUACUUAAGUUUCCAAAUUCCGGUGGGAUUGCUCCUACGAAGUUGUUAUUGGAGAGAUCAAUACCAGACAUGUAGUUGAGAGUCUUCCCCUUGUAACCAUAAUACAUAUUUUUAGUUGUAAAUUCUAUCACUUCUUCUGUAAAGUUAAGCAGAAAACCCUUUCUCAAGUUGUACAUACUCUCCACUAGUGGUGGACCCAUUGUUUCAUAAUAAGCUUUUUCUAUGGACCUUGAUAGAACACCAGCUCCGAGAUCCGUGAAUGCUUUCUGGGAACUUUCCUUGAAAGUAAGAUUGCCCAAACAGGAGGGUAGUGGACUAGAGAGCUGGUUUUGUGAAACAUCCAAAAUGCUUAAAUGUUCUAACAAGCAUAAUUGAACAGGGAGCUCACCAUCAAAGUGAUUAGCCCUCAGAAGAAGAACACUCAAUGAUGAAAGAUUGCCAAUCCAAUUUGGAAUGGAGCCGGUGAAGCUGUUAUCUUGAAGAUCCAUCGUAACUAAGAAAGAGCUGUUAUAAAAUCUAUAUGUUAAUGGACCGCUCAAUCUAUUUUCGGAUAGAUGCAUAUGGAUUAGAGUUGAUGGACUGAAACAAGAUGGUAUAUAUCCAGACAAGUUGUUCUCUGAAAGGUUCAAAUAUUCAAGUUGAUCAAGCUUACAAAAGUCUCUUGGGAUCGGACCCUUAAAAUGGUUUUUGGACAAAUCAAUUGCUGCAAGAAUCGUAGAAUUAAGAAAGCUCCUUGGAAGCAUGCCUGAAAAUUGAUUGUUACUCAAAUCCAAUACAAUCCACAUUUUCCACCUAUAUAAUGAAAAAUCUGAUAUCUGACCCCAAAAGUUGUUACCACCUAGAUAGAGAUAUUCUAAGGUAGAAGAAUUGAACAACGAGGUCGGUAAUUGCCCACCCAAAUUGUUGUUUGACAGCUUGAGAAACCAUAUUGUUGUUAGUUGUUCUAGUUUUACUGUGGACAAUUGAUUGUUGGAUAAAUCUAAAAUUCCCAAAGAGCUAAUAUUUCCUAAACAAGAAGGAAUACAACCUGUGAAUCCAUUCUUAGCCAUCCUUAAGCUCUUCAGAUUUUGAAAGAUCAAACAAAUAUCCUUUGGAAUUUGACCGCUCAUGUUGUUGUUGGAUAUAUCUAAUUCGGUCAUAUUUAGAUAUGGGUGAUUUGGCAACUGCAAAGUACCAACAAAGGAGUUCUCACUCAAAUAUAGUUGCUCCAAUCGUGUAUUGUUCUUAAGCAACCACGAUGGAAACAUUCCGGUGAUGUUGUUGUGGGAGAGAUCAAGGACUCUUAAGUCGUAUUGGUAAUAGAGGAAGUUGGGAAUCUCUACAUUGACUGCUUCUAUUGUUUUUGACAAACUAAAAAAGACUAGUUGGAACUUUGGAAUCAAAUGAUCAAAGGCAGCAGGUUCUGUUACUAGUCUAUUGUUCUCAUUGCAGAAGAACUUGAGGCUUGAGUGGUUCAUAAAAGGCUUCAUUGAAAUGGGAACUUCAAAGAGGUUAUUUGAUAGUGAGAGGAAUUCAAGAGAUGUGAGGUUGGUAAGAGGACCAGAGGCAAUAUUUCCAGUAAACUGGUUUUUAGAAACAUCUAAUAGUUGUAGAGAUGACAAGUUUCCUAAACAAUCUGGGAGUGAACCUUCUAAAUUAUUUCCAAAGAGAUCUAACUGCUUCAGAUUCUUCAAUUCACACCAACCUGUAUAAUUUAUCUCGAAACAGUCAAAAUAGCUAAAUAAUUAAAAGAUUACCAUAGAAGAGGAUGGAGUGUUGUUAAUUUACCUUGAGCGGGUAGGGUGCCAUGGAGGUCACAUCCACCAACAGACAAAACCUUAAGAGCAGGCAAUGCUCCAAUGUUCUGGAGAAAGUUUACUGGGAGAGAAGUACGAUCUAGAUUCAAUUCUUCAAGAGUGCUAGAAUUGAAGAAAGUCCCUGUGAAAAAGAAAGAAGAAGAGAUAUGAAGAAAAUAAUGGUGGUACAGAAUAGCCAUUCCAUUCAAUAUUAUUAAUUAAUAUUUUAAGAAACUAAACUAUGAUUAACCUUGACUUAAAUUAGUAUCCUUGAGAGAAAGGGUCUUCAGGGAUGGCAAUGACUGCAGGAAGUCCAGCUUCCUUAAACCUAUGAUGUGUAGAAUUGAAAACAGGCAAUCAAGUAAGUAGUGAAAUUAAGCGUUAUCUUGAUCGAGUUUUUAAACCUAUGAUAAAAAACUGAUAUUGAAUAUACUUUUAUAAUGAUAUGAUUUUUGGAUAGAAACAACAAAUUGCCUGAAAAAUCCAGAGAUUUCAAAAGGUAUUGUUAAAAAAUGAAGUAAAUAAUAUUCACAACUUUACCAUUGACAGUCGUCGAUCCUAGCAACAUAUUGCCUGAUAAAUUUAAAGACUUGAGAUAAGAAAAUCCACGCAGAUGUGAUAAAAUGCUGUCGUUGAAUAUAUUAUAGCUCAAGUCCAGGUUCUCGAGUUUCCCUAAAUGUGAUGAUAUGAUCUCAAAACCUGCAAGAGUAAGUCAUCAUGAGCUCACGAUAUGCAUAAUAUAUAGAAACUAAAGAUAAUUAGAAUUGAUGAGAUGCUGUUGUUCAAUUGAUAUAUGAUUCUCAAAUUAUACAUAAAAAUAAUGAUACAUGAACGCAUAUGUCAUUAUAUAACAGGUUGUGCACACUUCAAAGAUUAAGAAACAAUUUUUAAUCAUUCUAAUUUUGAUCUUAUUGGAAAAAAAAAAAAAAUUUAUGGAUAUAAAGUCGUUAAAGAUGGAAACUAAGUCAAACAUGAUAAAUGCUAUCAUUAAAUUGAUCAUUACAUAGAUAUAAAGUACUUAUUUUUUAUGAUAAUGCAUGUAACGAGUAUUAUUGAUUAUUGUUCUUGUUUUAAUUACCGAUGAGAAAUUUUGAACAAUCAUUUGAUUUUAUUAGUUUUGAAUAAUAUAAUAUUUUUGAAGAUUAUAAAAUGUUAUGUAUUUUUAAAUAACUUGUUUUUUUGAUAUGUUUGUUAUGAGGCUUAGCGUAGGUGGGGUGUCCUUUCGAUACAGCUCCUGCGUUGCCAGUAAUAAACUUGAGACUCGAGUGGUGACAAAAUUGAUCUUUACAUGGAUAUAAAGUUCUCAUUUUUGUUGAUAAAGAAACAAUAUAAUUAAGAGAAUGUCAUGUGAAGCAUUUAGGUAGAAACUGUGUAUUAUACCUGAUCCUGUCAGCUGAUUGCCUGAUAGAUCCAAAGACUUGAGGGAUGAAAAUCCAGUUAGAGAUGGAAAAAUGCUGCUGUUCAACUUAUUAAACGAUAGAUCCAAAGACUUGAUCAGGGAUGAAAGCCCACUCAGAAUUGAUAAGAUGCUGCUGUUCAAUUGAUUGAAACUCAGGUCAAGGUUCUCUAACUUUCCCAGCCUCAUCGGUUGGAGUUGAAAACCUACAAGAUAUACAUAAAAAAAAAUAUACAGUGCAUAGAUUAAGGAAGAAGAUAGAUUGCAAGUAUCCAUUCUAUACAUGUAAUUUUUAAUCAUCCUAGUUUUGAUCAAGUUGUGUCUUAUUAGAAAAACAAUUUAUGGAUAAGAUCAAAGCCCCAUAGAUAUAAAUCUUCAUUGAUGAAAGCUAGCGCAAUCAAACAUGAUGAAAUGCUAUCGUUGAUUAAUUAUUAAAUAAAUAUAAAGUCCUCAAUUUUCUUGAUAAAGAAACCGUAUAAAAGAAUGUCACGUAAAGCAGUUAGGUAGAAAUUAUAUAUAACUUACUAUUGAUACCAGCAGAUCCUGUCAACUCAUUAUAUGAUAGAUCCAAAGACUUGAGAGAUGAAAAUCCAGUUAGAGAUAGAAAAAUGCUAUCGUUGUAUUGAUUCCCACUCAGAUAUAGUUUCUCCAGCUUUUUCAACCUUGAUGACAAGACUUUGAAACCUGCAUGAUUUUUCUCAAAAAACAUAGAAAUGAUAUGAGAAGGAGAAAAGAAAAGGUUUUGAAGCUAAAUAAUUAUAAGGUUACCAUAGAAGCUACCUCCUGAUCCAGCUGUCAACCCAUUGUCUGAUAGAUCUAAAGACUUGAGAGCGGAAAGCCCAUUGAAACAUGACAAAAUGCUUUUAUCAUUAUUAAAUCGGUUUUCACUUAGGUCAAGUUUCCUCAGUUUUGAUGAUAGGACUCCGAAGCCUGGAAGAGAAACAUCAAAGCAAGAUAAUUGACAUUAAACACCAACCAACCAACCUUCAUUUAUUUUAUUAUUAUAAUUAAGUGCACAAACAUUGAACUAACCUUCAUUCUCCAAGCAACCAACCAAUCCAUUAUAUCCCAAAUCAAGACUUUGCAAUUCUUUGAAAGGCUGAAACAAAGAUGCGUUGAGAACCCAAUCGCCCAAGCUCUCAUCCCUUUCUCCACUAAGAGAGAGUUGGAUCACUCGCCUUGUAGUGUGAUCACACUCGAUCUCAGGCCACUCACAACAAUUACUACUGUCCACCCAAUGUCUCAAGGAAAUGCCAUCUGGGUCGAUCAAAGAUUGGAUCUCCAAGAGACCAAUUCUCUCUUCCUCCAAACACCCAUAACAACGACCAGACCAUUCGCCAACCAAAGUGAAUAAUGCUAGCAACAUCCAAGCCCCCAUUCUUUUCAACAUCAUCGUAGAUAAUUCUAUGAACUACUACGUAGAAUAUUAUUGUUUGUUAUGUGCCUUUGGGCAACCAUAGAGGUCCUAUUUAUACUACACUGGCCAUUUCCAUGACUUUGAGAUGUUUUCUUUAUUUAAUUUCCACGACUUUAUCUGCAUAUCUUGUGCAGGUUCCGUGUUUUGAGAUUUGAAUAUUAUUUUAUUUCUUUUUGGAAUGUUCUUGGAUUUAAAUAUUAUUUUAUUUUAUUAUUUAGCACUUAUUCUAUUUGCAUUUAAUUAUAUUUUGGUUACUAAUUAUUCAAUUUAUAAAAAAAAUAAAAUAAAAAAAUUGUUGCAGUACUUCAACAUCGACAUUCGUGUGUGAUUCCACAUAAGAUCUUUUCAACUUUAUAAUUGUACUUCUCUCGUUAAAUACAUAAAUUAUCAAUAAUAAUAAACUCGAAAUAAUUAUAAAUCUUAUCCCUGUGGAUUGUGUGGGUACAGUAUUAUAUACAAAAACUUCAAAUACAUAAUAUAUAUAAGUCAGAAAUAUUUUUGUUUUUAUGGACUUGUUUUUAUUACAUUUCAAUAUUAAAUAUAUUUUUUUCAAUCGAGUCAAAGAUAUACCAUUUAUAUUAGAAUGAGAAGACUAAUCAAUUUCUCUAAUUUCUCUAGUUUUCUCCCUAAUUAUAAAAUACAUCUGGUUUUUCAAGUCCAGAUUUUAAGAUAAAAGGAAUUUAUUUCUUGAAAGUAAUGCAUUAAACAAUAUAAAAAAAAUUUAAAAAAUUUAAAAUAGUAGUAAAAGUAGUUUUUGAUUGAAGUGUAAACUAGUGGUAAAUGAACAAAAAGAAACUUUAUUGAUUAUCUAAUGAGUUACUUCUCCAGAAAGAAUAUAUACAAUAUUAUUGAUUAUCUAAUGGAAACUCCGCCUAACACACACACACACACACACACACACACACACACAUAUAUAUAUAUAUAUAUAUAUAUAUAUAUAUAUAUAUAAGUUAGAGACACUUUUUGUUUUUAUGUUCGGAAAAGUGUUCUUUACUUGUUUUUAUUACAUUUCAAUAUUAAAUAUAUUUUUUUCAAUCGAGUCAAAGAUAUACCAUUUAUAUUAGAUUGAGAAGACUAAUCAAUUUCUCUAGUUUUCUCCCUAAUGUAUAAAUUUCUCUAGUUUUCUCCCUAAUUAUAAAAUACAUCUGGUUUUUCAAGUCCAGAUUUUAGGAUAAAAAGAAUUUAUUUCUUGAAAUUAAUGCAUAAAACAAUAUAAAAAUAUUUUUAAUAAAUUAAAAUAGUAGUAAAAGUAAAUUUAGUUUUUGAUUGAAGUGUAAACUAGUGGUAAAUGAACAAAAAGAAACUUUAUUGAUUAUCUAAUGAGUUACUUCUCCAAAAAGAAUAUAUAUAUUAUUGAAUAUCUAAUGGAAAGGAUUCAUGAAACUCCGCCAUAUAUAUAUAUAAAAGAGAAAUUGUCGAUAAUAGCAAUCAUUUUCUUAUCUCUUGUAUCAUUCAUAUCUUCCACAAAUCUUAAGUAAUUGAUGAGACAGUGGAUAUUGCCAAGAAAGGUCGUGAACGCGGAUGCUUGACGAUUAUGAUUUUUAAACACAACCAUAUAGUGAUUUCCUUAUGCAUACUGGUGAUCCUCCAGAAUCUUGUAGGAACACCACAAGCCAAUCUAAAAGAAUGCUAAAAGUCAAAACACACAAGCCAUAUAAAAAUCACACGACAGCCAAUUACCUUAUCUUUUGAAAGAAAGAUAAUAAUAAUAAUAAUAAUAAUAAUAAUAAUAAUAAAAGCAUUCUCCUGGGUGUGCAAUGACCGCCAAUCUUUCUCAUUAUGACAUUCAAUGCUCAGUUAGAAGUUGCACGAUGCUCUUCUCAUGGGGAGCAAAAAUCAGUAGCCUCCCAUGGAAUCCUCAUAAACCUUUCUCUAUGCUCUUCUAAGAUAUUAAAAAUGUCAAACAUACAUCAAUAAUAAAAAGACAUUAAAAAUGUCAAACAUACAUCUAAGAUAUUACGCAAAACGAGGUUUUUUUCUGCAAAAAAAUAAAAAUAGAAUGUUAUACAAAUGGAGCUUCCAACAAAAAAGAUAUGGGAAGUUCGAGGAAAAAAAUGAUUAGUUAAUUCAAAACACCAGCAGUAAGUAAUAAUUACAAAACACGAUACCGAAACCAAAUUGAAAAGUGAGCAAGAAUACAAAAAUGGUUACAUGUAUCAAAAGGAACUGGUACCAAUUUCUCCACCACUGUAUGUCCCUUUUGUUCAGUCUAUGUUUGGUGCAAUCACCUAAAGCUAGAAACAAAAACAGCGCCUUACUCUACAAGUAGCUCAUCAAAGUAUAUGUUGUAAAUUGCAAACACGUGCUAACAAUAAAUUGUGGCCAGAGGAUUUGCUUCGAUCCCAGAGGCCAUUGAGGAUAUUCGUCAAGGAAAGGCUCAUGCACCCUCUUGAUUUGAUGAUUCUUUGCAUUUAGUUAUUGUUGUUGAUGAUGAACAAAUUAAGAGAAAAUGAGGGGGGCCUUAUAAUGGCAGCGUCAAAGGCAACACCAGAAGCUAUGGCAUUUAUUGUCAAGCAUGGGACUGGUAUAGUGUGUGUGAGCUUCCAUUAAUGGUAACUCAUAAGGAGAAUGAGGAAAACUGUGCACUGCAUUUACUGUAUCAGUGGUACGUCAUUAACUUCUCCAUUUAUAUUAUCUAAUGGAUAUGAUCUUUUCAAGAAACCUUUAUCUUGGUUUGAUUUUAAAGUGCUAAUUUAAUUGCGGAUUCUGUCCCAGAUGAGGUCCGGUUUCCUGAAAUCAAAGAUGUCUACACUGUCCCGUGGACUUAUAGUUCAGUUGCUCAAUCAGAACUGAUGACAUCUGCACAUUCGGCGACUCCAGCAUUAAUUGUGGCCUUGACAGAUUGUGAGAGGCCAGAUGGGAUGGAUUAGAUGCGUCUGAGUUUGUUGGAGAGGAAGACUUGCAGAAUAAUUUUGAGGGAGUGGGUGGCAGUUCGAUGGAGCGGUUCCUGUUGGUGCAACGCCGAACACAUGCCACGCAGGAUAUAUAGAAAUGCUAGUCAGCUUAUGAAAUCCGAGGUUGAUACGAUACUUAUCUUCAUAGAUUGUGAAUGUUGUUCUUUUUUCUACAAACGAUCCGUUAUGCAAAGCAAAUUCCAAGACCAGAAAAAUAAUGUUUAGAGUUAAAAGACAAUGUCUUAGCAGCAAGGACCUAUUCCAUCAGGAGAUAUGUGAAUUCUCAAGCCUUUGCAAUGCUUUUAAAUUAAUGAAGGAUCAAAAUGAAAAUGUUAUAUUCAUAACUAUACUGCAAUUUUGCCCAUAAUUCUUCUUUAAUUCUGUCCAGAAUCUUGGAUUAUGCUCCAGGGACCAAUCUGGAAUUUUAGUAGAUUUUUAAGGGUCAAAUUGUAAUUUUAUCAAAUUGAAGGACCAAAAUAAAAAUGUCAUAGAUUCAUAACUAUACUGGAAUUUUGCUUGUAAUUCAUCUUUAGUUCUGUCCAGAAUCUAGGAUUAUGCUUCAGGGAUCAAUCUGUAAUUUUUUCAAAGUUUGGGGAUUAACUUAAAUUUUCACAAAUUGAGGGACCAAAUUGAAAUUUUAUUAUCUUCAACCUCAAACCCAGAUUUUUCAUAGAUCACCUACUGAUAUAUCAAGAUUUCGAACUCAAAUUCAUCAUUUAAACAAACUAUAACUCAAAAUCAUCAUUUUUACCUAAAAUUUUCAAAAAUCAACUAAAUAACUCAUUACCCAUAACAGUCAUUCCGCUAAAUUAUUUCUACUUCUGCUUCUUCUUCUUCUUUUUUAUAAUACUCGAGUAUUAUUAUAGAAAGAUGCUUGAGCCAAAAUUAGAGGCUAUCUAGCAUAAAAGAAAAACAGAGGUAUAUACAGGACAGAGAGGAAGUAAUAACAUUAUAUAUAUAUAUAUAUAUAUAUAUAAAACUUGAGUUAACCCGUCAAGUCUAUGACCUGGAUUAUGAGAUCGGGAUAAGCAAACUCAAUAUUAAAAAAUAAAAUUGAAAAAAAAACAAUAAAAACAUAUAUGGUUUAACAAUAUUAAUCAAUUAUUAAAAUAUUUCAUUUUAUAUAUAUUAAAAAUAUAUAUUAAUAACUAUUAUAUCAGUUUGUGAAUGUUUCAAUUUGGAUGCAAAUAGAUGUUUAAUUAUCUAUGACAUUUUUUUUAAGAAACCAAAGUUAUUAAAUAUGGUUAGAUUUAAUACCUAGAUAAGGGUUUAGGUCAUAGAUUGGCUUAAUACUCGGAUCAAGAUUUGAAUUAUAGAUCGAACAAGUUAGCUUAUUGAUUGAUGUUAAUAAAAAAUUGUAUCAUUUUAAGAUUAUUUUUUAGUAAAAACCAAAAUCAAGUAGUUAAAAAAAGUGAAAGUAGUUUUUGAUAGGGUUGACUAGGUUGUAAGUUGAUUUAUCUAGUCGAUUAGGCUUGAUUGAGUCAACUCUCACUUGGUUUUUUUUAAAUCUAAAUCGGGUCAGGUUCCAGAUUAAAAUGUUAGGCUUGAAUUAAAUUUAAUAACGCUGAUUAAAAUCACAUUGUAGAAAAAAAAUGAAUUGCAUAAAAGUAAUUAACCAAAAACUUGUAUUCCUUCUUAUAAAGUUGAACCCAUGUCAGUUUCUUUUUUGGAAAAAUAUAAAUCAAAGGUUAACGCUACUUUCAUGACGAUGACGGAUAAAGAAGACUUGCUCCUUUCUUUAUGGAAAUAACGUGUGGAAAAUCAUGCCUUAAUUUUGAUGGUGAUGGCCAAAUCAAACAGUAUCGUUGAUAAAAUGAACCACAAAUGAUAUUAUUUCUACAAGACUUCUUGUCAUUGUCAUGACAAUAAGUCUUCUCCUUUUUCUUUCUAAAGAGUCUAUUUUUUGUAACACAAUCAACAAGUAAGAUGGAUAGAAAUUUGCAGUGUGAGAUGGGUCUGUGAGACUAUAUAUUGCCAUUUGUAUUUUUUUCAUGAUAAAGGCUAAUUGGAUGGUCCUAUCAAGCGUUUUUUUUACGAGAUGGGUCCAUAAAAACAUUUCCAUCUACACAUUGAUCCCUGAAACCUUUGCCAUAAUGCAUUUUUUCCACGAGAUGGGUUCGUGGAAAUACUUUGGUUUAAUAGGGAAUGCUGUUAUUGAUUGGAAACUUUUUAAUUAAAAUAAAUUUGAUUAUUUGAUUGGAAGAAAUCCUUAAAUGUUAUUAACACAAAGAAAUCAAUUUAUUUUCUUAAGAAAAAAAUAUUGUAACCAUAUAAGUAAUUUAUUUAUUUAUUUUAAUGAAAUAUAAAAUAGUUUUAAAUCUUGUGGUAUAUUUCUUGUCUUUAAGAGCUAUGAACUUAUAUCUCAAAACUUGAAAACUAAUAUAAAGAUAUUAAGUGAUCAUUGAGUGUAUGUGUGUGUGUAUAAUCUUUUUCAAAACAAAAAGGAUUUUGAUGGAGAGGACAUUGCAGCAAAUUAUCCACGAGAUGGGUCGGUGAUACCAUUGUCAUCAUGUAAUUUUUCCCACGAGAUGGGGCCGUACGCUUGGGGCUCUAAAAGCUAUGGUUUUUAAUUUCAUUAUGUUACAUAUCUAGAAUGGGAGGUAUAUUUUAUUUCAAUUCUAAAAAUGAAAUAAAUUAGAAGAUAUUUCAUCUUGUUUAGAAUAUUAUCUCCUUACAUGCAUGAAUUUCACAUAAAUUUUGACCAGAAUAUUUCGGUUCUAUUCCGGCCAUUCUAUUAUGUCCAAAUAAUGUUUUGUUUUGCUUUUAUAUAUAUAAAAAAUAUAAUUUAUUUUUAUGAUAUCAAUUAUACAUUUCAAUUCGACUAUUGGAUUAAACUGAAAUUUUAUAAUCUCCUAAUAUGUAUUAUAUCACAAGUUAAAAUUUUAGAUCAAUCAGAGUUUAGAAAGACUUUGUGAAAUUACUGUUGAUAUAUUUUCAUAAUUUUAUUUAAAUUCAUAAUUUUAUUUUGAAAUGUUUUAUUUUUUGUGGUUUUUUAGAUUGAUUUUUUUUCAUUUUAUAAUUUAACAAUAAAUUUAUUAAAAAUUAAAAUUCAUAAUUUAUUUUUAUUUAUUUUAUUUAAAAUUAUUAUAUUAUCAUUACUCAGAUCACGAAAAAAAAACCUUUGCUUUAAUUGGGAAUGCUGUUACAAGUAAUUGGACUCCGUGGGAUGGGAGACCGUUGCCAUCAUGCAUGUUUUUUCCACGGCAUGGGUCCGUAAAGUCCUCUAUAAAAGCUUAAACCUCCUUACUAUCCUCUAUAUCAAUUGAUCAGCAUUUAUAAGAUGGGGCUGUCUGUUCCUUCUGAUGUUGAUGGUUUUAGUAAUGAUGGUUUCUUGCAAGGAUGGCUGCCUCUUGGAGUAUAUUGACUUGAGAAUUAAUUGUUUUGAUAACAGUAUUUUAUUAUUUGUGGAGUUAUUUCUAUUUUUUAAAUUAUUAUAUUUAGAUUAUAAUAGAGUGAAAGAGUUAAUAGGUUUAAGAGAUUAGGAAAAAGCUACUAUUAAUUAUAGUUAGGGACCAAACUGGAAUUUUUGCACAUUUUUAAGGGUCAAAUUGUAAUUUUAUUAAAUUGAUGAAGGACCAAAAUGAAAAUAUCAUAUUUAUAACUAUACUGUAAUUUUGCCCAUAUUUCUUCUGUAAUUUUGCCUAGAAUCUCGGAUUAUGCUCUAGGGACCAAUCUGUAAUUUUUUUCAAAGUUUGGGGAUUAAACUGAAAUUUUCAUAAAUUGAGGUACCAAACUGAAAUUUUUUCAUCUUCAACAUCAAACCCAGAUUUUUCACAAAUCACCUAUUGAUAUAUCAAGAUUUUUAACUAGAUGAGGGUUUAGGUCAUAGAUUGGCCUAAUACUCGGAUCAAGAUUUGAGUCAAGUUAGCUUAUUGACUAGUGUUAAUAAAAAAUUAUAUUAUUUUAAGAUUUAAUUUAAUUAAAUAGAUCCAACUACCAUGCAAUUCCACAAUUAAUUUAUUUUAUUAUGAUUUAGUGUUAUGUUAACCAGGCAACAUUUAAUUACCAUGAUAUAAAAUACAAAAAUAGUGGGAACAUAAAAAAACAUGCUUUUAUAUAUUUUUUAUUUUAAAAGUAUAAAUUUUACUUUAAGACUAUUGUAAAAAGAUAUUUAUUUUAAAUUUAUUUAUAUUUUUAUAAUUCAAAAAUUAAAAAUAAAACAGAAUUAAUCCAUACUCAUCUAAAAACAAUUAACUCUAACAUCAUUAUUUUAUAACAAAACUAGCAAAGAUAAUUUAUUAAUCACUAAGUUUUCUGGUUAUAAAUACAUUAGUAAGUGUCUUUGUCUCUUUUGUAUUUCUAACUAUUAACGAAUUGAAAGAAUAAAUUUAGAAUCACCAAUUAAGCAGUGAAUCACACGGGAAGAUUGAAAGAAUAAUUAAAGUGAUUAUACUAACCGACAAGUCGACCCCAAGUCAAAGUCUUCUGUGGAAAAACAUGAAUAAAAGGUGGACGCUGGGCAGCUCACUUUCCAUGAAGAUGAUGGAUACAGAGCCCUCCCUUCUAUCUUUAUGGAAAUCACGUCUAGAAAAUCAUGCUUUAAUUUUAAGCUUGAGAGGGGAUGAUAUAUAUAUAUAUAUAUAUAUAUAUAUAUAUAUAUAUAUAUAUAUAUAUAUAUAUAUGCUUUAAUUUCAACUUGUAUAAAAAAUAAAUCUUAAUGACUGGUGAUUUAAACUUGGGUGUUUUUUCGGUAUUAAUAUAUAUAUUCCUCAAUUAUCAUAAAGAAUUAAGAAAAAACUAAUAAUAAGAUUAAAAUAAAUGUUUUAUAUAUCGAAAUAAUUAAAAGUAAGGUUUACUUAAGGUAUAUAUGGGAUUAAUUUAAAAUAACAAUAAAAUCAAUUUAUUAAAAAAAAUCAUAAAUUUAGUUUUCCUAAAUUUUAAAUGUAGUGUGAAUGCAUUCCGCAAGAAAAAAACAGUGCAAAAUUAGCCUUUCAAGAAAUAGAGAAUCUUCCUCUUUGAAGGAAUUAAUUAGUGGGUUGGAAAAAUGUCGUCUUCUGCUCUAAUAUUUUCUUCACUUUCUCUAUAGUUUUACCUUACACCAAUAUUGUCAGAAAAUGAUACAAUAUACUUCUUGUGUUAUCCUUCAAGAUUUCAAUUGAAAAUUAAGGAGGGUCGUAAAAAAUUUAAUUUUUAUAAACAUAUCCUUAACUCUGUAUCUUCUCUAGAUAUGUCUGUGACUGAGCUCCAUAAAGAAUUCCUAUUUAACAUUAAUCUGUCCAUCAAGUUUUUGAUCCCCGAUUAAGGCCAUCUUGAUAAAUGAGAUUUUACUCUGUAAUUUUAAUGUAUAGCUGUCAAUGACCUGAAACAUGCAAAUUAAAAUUCAAAGUGUGAGCAUUGAAUUUCUUGUCAGUUUACACCCUUCUGUGGUGUUUCCUCUUUCCAUUGAUUGAAGAGCGUCCAAGAGGAAAAACUGAAAAGGCAAAAGUUCUAUUGUACAGUGAAAAAGAGCAUGAGAAAUACACAGAAGCAGAGAUGCAUGAAUCCUUCUCCACUAGCAGCUCUCGUCCAUAGGAUCAUUGUGGUUUCAAGAUUGAUGCCCAAUCAUUUCCCUCUUUGUUCGAUUCCUCAGACCUUUUGGAAACUGUACAUUCCGGGGGAAAGUCUGUGCAAGGGCAAAAGGCGACGGUGGACUUGACAAAGGGCUGAGGGGUGGGUGAGAUGUUAUGUCAAGAAAUGAUUUUGGAAAAUUUCUUCAUAUGUGUUGAAUAACUAAGAUAAGAUAGGAGUCUUGAACAAGGCAAAAGCAUAGGCUCUCCAAGACGAUUGACCAGAAGGAGAGAAGGAAGGCUCUAUAUCCUUAGCACGUCAAACACUCCUUUGCACAUUAGAGAAAUUGUCGAGUUAUUCCUGCUUCUUCUUCUUCUUCCUUUUUUUUUUUUUUAUUUAUAAUAGUCCAGUAUUAUUAUAGAAAGGUGCUCGAGCCAAAAUUAGAGACUAGCUAGCAUAAAAGAAAAACAUAGGACAAUAUAUACAAGACAGGGGAGGAAGUAAUAACAUAACAUAAUAUAUAUAUAUAUAUAUAUAUAUAUAUAUAUAUAUAUAUAUAUAUAUAUAUAUAUUAAAAAAAACUUGAGUUAACGCAUCAACUCAACGACCCGAAUCAUGAGAUCAGGAUAAGCAAACUCAAUAUUAAAAGAUGAAAUUUAAAAAAAAAACCUUAAAAACAUAUAUGGUUUAACAAUAUUAAUUAAUUAUUAAAAUCUUUCAUUUUAUAUAUAUUAAAAAUAAAUAUUAAUAACUAUUAUAUCAAUUUGUGAAUGUUUCAAUUUGAAUGCGAACAAAUGUUUUAUAUAUGACAUUUUUCUUAAGAAUGUCUCUUUCAUUAAAACCAAAAUUAUUUAACAUGAUUAGAUUUAAUACCCUGAGAGUUUAGGUCAUAGAUUGGCCUAAUACUCGGAUAAGAUUGAGAUCAUAUAUCAGACAAGUUAGCUUAUGUUGAAUGGUGUUAAUCUAAAAUUGUAUUAUUUUAAGAUUUUUUUUAGAAAAAAUCAAAAUUGCGUAGUUAAAAAAAAUAAAACUAGUUUUUGACUGAAUUAACUAGGUUGUGGGUUGAUUUAUUUAGUCGAUUAGGCUUGGUUGGGUCAGCUCUCACUUAGUUUUUUCUAAACCUGAAUUGGGUUAGGUUCCAGAUUAAAAUGUUAGGCUUGAAUUAAAUUUAAUAAUGCUGAUUAAAACCACAUUGUAGAAAAAAAAUUAAAUUGCAUAAAAGUAAUUAACCGAAAACUUGUAUUCCUUCUUGUAAAGCUGAACCCGUGUCAGUUUUAUUGAAGGAAAACUAUGAACCAAAGGUUAAUGCUACUUUCAUGACGAGAAGACUUGCUACUUUCUUUAUGGAAAUAACGUGUGGAAAAUCAUGCCUUAAUUUUGAUGGCGAUGGUAAAAUCAAAGAGUAUCGUUGAUAAUUAAAUGCUUAUGCAUAAAAAAUAAAUCUCAAGUGUUAGAAUGCAACCACUGAUUAAUUAAUGGACAACGGACCUUGGAUUAAUACAUGACGCAACUUUCAAUGGAAUUAUAUUUGUGGAGGUAUUUACUCGGAUGUGAAUUAUAUUUUUAUUUUUUUAUUUUAAAAAAAAUUCUAUAUACUACAACUAGCUUAAGAAAGUCAAAAAAAUUUAAGUGAAAAAAAAUAUAUAUAUAUUUAUAUACACUCACGCACACACAAAAAUAUAGUCAAAUAAAUCAAGAACUAUGUGUGUUAAUAAGUGGAAAAAAAAACCUUAAACGAUAACUCAAAAUAAAAACUAGAAAAAUCAAGAGACAAGUGUAUAUCAAGAUAUUUAAUUUCACAUGACGUGACAUUUUUUUUUUUGGAUUCGACGAAACCUCACCCCUCCGAAAAGCACACUUUGUGGGCCCAGGUGAGGGAGUAAAACCCCGGCUGUCCCAGGCUCUUACAAAAGGUGCACGCCCUGACUCGAACUCGAGACCUGCUGUGCAGAUCUCAAACCCUUUGCCAUCACGCUACGCCCCUUGGGGACAACGUGACAUUUACGCAGUAUUGUUUUCUAAAUUUUCUAAUUAAAAUAAUUUUUUAUUUGAUCAAACGAUAAUAUAAACAGACACACACAUUCUAAAUUGAUUGAAUAAAAAAAAAAUAUAUGCAAAGCUGUAUAUAUUAAAAAUAUUAUUUGAAAAUAAUUUGUUUUUCAAAAAUAAAGUUCAUCUAUGUAAAAGAUUUUAAAAAAAUAUAGAUUAAUCAAAAAAACCUCUUUAAAAAUUAAAUUCAUGAUUAAAAAAUAAUCAUCAUUUCAAAUAGGCUUUUUAAAUAACUAAAAAGAGAGAAGGGAUAUUAAUAUAAAUAUAAAUAUAACUAAAAUUAAGAUUAUUUUAAAAAAAUAGAUAAAAAAAAUUUUAAGCGAAAAAAAGUGAACAGACACGGUGAACUUAACUCAUAAACUCAACUGAAUUUAAUAUUUUUUUCGUUAAAUUUAUUAUAAAUAUAAAAAAAAACAAAAUUAAUAUCAUUCACGGUAAAACAUAAAUAAAAAACAGUACAACCGCAUAGUAUUCACCUCAGGCAUUUUCUUUUAAAUUUAUAGCCAAACCUUAAAAAUAAACUUUUGUGCUCAGUAUCUUUUUAAGGUGAAUUAACAAGUUUCAACUCAUCUCUGUAUCUUCUCUAGAUACAGAGAAUUCCUAUUUAACAUUAAUCUGUCCAUCAAGUUUUUGAUUCCCAAUUAAGACCAUCUUGAUAAAUGAGAAUUUACUCCGUAAUUUUAUUGUAUAGCUGUCAAUGACCUGAAACAUGCAAAUUAAAAUUCAAAGUGUGAGCAUUCAAUUUCUUGUCAGUUUACACCUUUCUGUGGUGUUCCCUCUUUCCAUUGAUUGAAGAGCGUCUAAGAGGAAAAACUGAAAAGGCAAAAGUUAUGUUGUACAGUGAAAAAGAGCAUGAUCAGAAAUACACAAAAACAGAGAUGAAUGAAUCCUUCUCCACUAGCGCUCUCGUCCAUCGGAUCAUUGUGGUUUCAAGACCGAUGCCCAAUCAUUGCCCUCUUUGUUCGAUUCCUCAGACCUUUUGGAAACUGUACAUUCCGGGGGAAAGUCUGUGCAAGGGCAAAAGGGGACGGUGGACUUGACAAAGGGCUGAGGGGUGGGUGAGAUGUUAUGUCAAGAAAUGAUUUUGGAAAAUUUCUUCAUAUGUGUUGAAUAACUAAGAUAAGAUAGGAGUCUUGAACAAGGCAAGAACAUAGGCUCUCCAAGACAAUUGACCAGAAGGAGAGAAGGAAGGCUCUAUAUCCUUAGCACGUCAAACACUCCUUUGCACAUUAGGGAAAUUGUCGAGUUAUUUCUGCUUCUGCUUCUGCUUCUUCUUCUUUUUAUAAUAGUCGAGUAUUAUUAUAGAAAGGUGCUAGAGCCAAAAUUAGAGGCUAGCUAGCAUAAAAGAAAAACAAUGAUUAAUUGCAAGAGAUGGUUACUUAUACCAGUAGCAAUUUAGUAAUGAUUAAUUAGCAUUUAUAUUAAGAUGUGGCUAUUAAUUCAAAUGUUAACAAUGAUUUUCUUGGAAGGAUGAUUGCCUCUUGGUUACUUUAAAAUAUACGGUUUUUUUAGUUCAAAUCUAUUAAUAAAAAUAUAGUUUUAUUGAAUUUUUUUAUAUACUUUUAUUAGAGAAAUUAAUUUAAACACAUUUAUAUACAGACACUAGUUUAUCAAGUACUUCAAUAGAAAAAUAAAAUCAAUUAGAGUACUUAAAUAAAAAAAAAUAUAAAUUAUAAGCAUUUUACAUAUCUUUAUUGUUUAUAAAUUAAAAAUAAAAUAAUAUCAAUCCAGACUAAUCUAAAAAAAAAUUAACUAUGACAUCAUCAUUCUAAUAAUAAAACUAAUAAAGAUGUUUUAUUGAUUAAAUUUCGUGAUACAGGGUUGAAACAAAAAAGAGAUGAAGAGAGAGGAGGGAAUGGAAAGAAGGGAAAAAAGAACUCAUGCGAUCUGUUGUUUGUAAGUUUUUUACAUAAUAUAUAGGAAGGUAUUUUAAUUAUUUUGUUCAAAUUAAAAAUUUUCAUUGACUAAAAAGCGUAAUUAUCUAAAACAUAAAAGCAAAGUAAAAAACUCAAAUGCUUCAUUAAAAAACUCAAUUGAUUCGGUGCUUUAUUAGUUUCUAUAGUAUGGUGUCUUAUGCAUUUUGUUCUAAUCAUAUAUGGGAAAGUGUUUGGUUGAUUAACGUAUAUCAUGACUUUGUAUGGGUCCUACCACAAACUCUCUCUUUUGAAAUAUUAAUUAAGAAAAAGCUAUAAUUUAUAGUUUUUUUAAAUUUAUUUUUUCAAAUUACAAUCAUAUAAACUACUAUAAUAUCAAAUACAUAUUUGAAUAAGACUCAGUAAAAAUUUUCUUCUUCUAAAUACAAAGUGGAAAUGAGUUACUUUCUCCAAAAAGAAUAUAUACAAUAUUAUCGAUUAUCUAAUGCAAACUCCGUCUAACAUACACAGAGAAAGAGAGAGAACCUUAACUAUGUUUAUUUUAUGCACUUUAAUUAAAAAUAAAUUUUGGAUUGUACGAGAGACUUUAAUUAAAUUUCAAUAUUAAAUUUAUGCACUUUAAUUAACAUACACAGAUCAACUAUUAAUAUAUCAAGACUUUUAACUCAAAUUCAUUAUUUAAACAAACCAUAACUUAAAAUUAUUAUCUUUAUCUAAAAUCUUUAAAAAUCAAUGAAAUAACUCAUUAUUCAUAAUAAUUAACCUGCUAAGUUAUUUCUGCUUCUUCCUUUUUAUAAUAGUCGAGAAUUAUAUAUUAUAGAAAGGUGCUAGAGUUAAAAUUAGAGGCUAGCUAGCAUAAAAGAAAAACAGAGGUAUAUACAAGACAGGGGAGGAAGUGUGCGUGCGUGCGUGUGUGUGUGUGUGUGUGUGAUCCCUUCUCAAGCUUAAAAGUAAAGCAUGAUUUUCUAGACGUGAUUUCCAUAAAGAUAGAAGGGAGGGCUCUGUAUCCAUCAUCUUCAAGGAAAGUGAGCUGGCCAUCGUCAACCAUUUAUUUAUGUUUUCAACCAUUUAUUUAUGUUUUUCCACAAAAGACUUUGACUUGGGGUCAACUUGUCGGUUAAUUACUUUUAUGCAAUUCAAUUUUUUAAAAAUAUAUAUAUAUAUGCUUUAAUUUCAACUUAAGUUAUAUACGGGACGAUAAAAAAAUAACAAUAAAAUCAAUUUAUAAAAAAAAUCAUAGAUUUAGUUUUCCUAAAUUUUAAAUGUAGUGUGAAAGCAUUCCGCAAGAAAAAAACAGUGCAAAAUUAGCCAUGACAAUAAGUCUUUUUCUUUCUAAAGAGUUUAUUUUUUGUAACACAAUCAAUAAGUAAGAUGGAUGGGAAUUUGCAGUGUGAGAUGGGUUUGUGAGACUAUAUAUUGCCAUCAGCAUUUUUUCCAUGAUAUAGGCUUGUAGGAUGGUCCAUGAGACCAUUGCUAUAUAUCAAGCGUUUUUUCUACGAGAUGGGUCCAUGAGACCAUUACCUCGUAAGCUUGGGAAUGGAUAACAUGAUUUAAUGUUUAUUUAGUUUAAAAAAAAAUUAAAUGCUUAUGCAUAAAAAAUAAAUCUCAAGUGUUAGAAUGCAACCACUGAUUAAUUAAUGGAUAAUGAACCUUGGAUUAAUACAUGACGCAACUUUCAAUGGAAUUAUAUUUGUGGAGGUAUUUACUCGGAUGUGAAUUAUAUAUAUAUAUAUAUAUAUAUAUAUAUAUAUAUAUAUAUAUAUAUAUAUAUAUAGGGGCACACACAAAUAUAGUCAAAUAAAUCAAGAAUUAUAUGUGUUAAUAAGUGAAAAAAAAAAUAUUAAACUAUAACUCAAAAUAAAAACUAGAAAAACCAAGAGACAAAUGUAUAUAAAGAUAUUUAAUUUCACAAGACGUGAUAUUUACGCAGUAUUGUUUUCUAAAUUUUCUAAUUAAAAUAAUUUUUUAUUCGAUCAAACGAUAAUAAAAAUAGACACAUACAUUAUAAAUUGAUUGAAUAAAAUAAAAGGAGAAAAAAUAAUAUGCAAGGCUGUACAUAUUAGAAAUAUUAUUUGAAAAUAAAUUUCUUUUUAUUUUCAAAAAUAAAGUUCAUCCAUGUAAAAUAUUUUUAAAAAAUAUAGAUUAAUCAAAAAAAUCUCUUUAAAAAUUAAAUGCAUGAUUAAAAAAUAAUCAUCAUUUUAAAUAGGCUUUUUAAAUAACUAAAAAGAGAGAAGGGAUAUUAAUAUAAACAUAAAUAUAACUAAAAUUAAGAUUAUUUAAAAAAAAUAGAUAAAAAAAUUUUAAGCAAAAAAAAGUGAACAGACAACUUAUAAACUCAACUGGAUUUAAUAUUUUUCCUGUUAAAUUUAUUAUAAAUAUAAAAAAACAAAAUUAAUAUCAUUCAUGGUAAAACAUAAAUAAAUAAAUAAAUAAAACAGUACAACCGCAUGUUAUUCACCUCAGGCAUUUUCUUUUAAAUUUAUAGCCGAACCUUAAAAACAAACUUUUGUGCUCUGUAUGUUUUUAAGGUGAAUUAACAAUUUUCAACUCAACUCGGUACCUUCUCUAGAUAGAUCUGUGACUAUGCCUUGGAUUUUCUCAAAACUACUAAGUGUGUGCUUGAGAGGGUGAUUAUAGUUGUUUUUUAAAGUGUUUUUCACUCAGAAAAACAUGUCAAUAAUAUUUUUUUAUAUUUUAAAAUUUAUUUUCGAAAUCAGCACAUCAAAAUGAUUUAAAAACAUCAAAAAUAUAUUAAUUUAAAGUAAAAAAAAAAUUCAAAUUUUUGCGGAAGUGCUUUUGAAAAGCACUCCCAAACACUCCCAUGGUUGGAUACCAAGUAAAUAGAGAUAAAUUUAUUUCCUGUUAUUCUCCGAUAGUAUCUUCGUCCCUUGAUAGAACUUUCUUGGAGAUGAUGAGCUACCACUCCCUUUUGACUUUGCUGGCCUCCCAAAUAUAAAUAAAGAAUUCCUCUUGAUAGAAUUUUCUUCGAAAUGAUGAGAAUAUUUUAGAAUAUUCUGGUUGACGCCAGCUGUCAACAACUAUCUUACAUUCCCAACGCAUGCCUUUGCAAGAUGUUAAAGGCUCAUCUAAAAACAAUUAACUCUGAUAUCGUUAUUUUAUAACAAAUUAGCAAAGAUAAUUUAUUAAUCACUAAGUUUUCUGGUUAUAAAUACAUUUGUAAUUGUCUUUAUCUCUUUUGUAUUUCUAACAAUUAACGAAUUGAAUAUAUAAUAAAUACCGACUGAAAGAAUAAAUUUAGUUUAAAUGUGCUAAAGUUUAAAUAGGCGACUUUAGAAUCACCAAGAAGGCAGUGAAUCACACGGGAAGAUUGAAAGAAUAAUUAAAGUGAUUUUACUAACAUUGUAAAAGUAAUUAACCGAAAAGUUGACCCCAAGUCAAAGUCUUCUGUGGAAAAACAUGAAUAAAAGGUUGACGCUGGGCAGCUCACUUUCCAUGAAGAUGAUGGAUACAGAGCCCCCCCUUCUAUCUUCAUGGAAAUCACGUCUAGAAAAUCAAACAUUAUUAUUGCCAUCUGCGUUUUUUCUUAGAGAUGGGUCCGUUCCACCAUUUCCCCUCAAGCUUGAGAUAUAUAUACGUGACACGAUUUAAUUUCAAAUCUUAAUGUAGUGUGUUAGAAUGCAACCACCGAUUGAUUAAAUUUAAUGGCUGGUCAUUUAAACUUGGGUGUUUUUUCGGUAUUAAUAUAUAUAUAUAUAUAUAUAUAUUCCUCAAUUAUCAUAAAAAAUUAAGAAAAAACUAAUAAUAAGAUUAAAAAUAAAUGUUUUAUUUAUCGAAAUAAUUAAAAGUAAGGUUUACUUAAGGUAUAUAUGGGAUGGUAAAAAAAUAACAAUAAAAUCAAUUUAUAAAAAAAAAUCAUAGAUUUAGUUUUCCUAAAUUUUAAAUGUAGUGUUUAUAAUUAAUUAAUUAAUUGAGAAUUUGAGCUCUUCUAAAAGUUGUUUAUGGACUUUUGUUUUCCGGAGAAAACUCCCUUAAAACCUUUGAGCACUUCCUUCUCUAAAAUAUAUGUUUUUGCCAUAACUCAGGGGCUCUGUAUCUUUUAAGGUGAAUUAGGCUUUAUAUCUUUUUAAGGUGAAUUAACAAGUUUCAACUCAUCUCUGUAGAUACAUAGAAUUCCUAUUUAACAUUAAUCUGUCCAUCAAGUUUUUGAUCCCCAAUUAAGACCAUCUUGAUAAAUGAGAUUUUACUCUGUAAUUUUAAUGUAUAGCUGUCAAUGACCUGAAACAUGCAAAUCAAAAUUCAAAGUGUGAGCAUUGAAUUUCUUGUCCGUUUACACCUUUCUGUGGCGUUUCCUCUUUCCAUUGAUUGAAGAGCGUCUAAGAGGAAAAACUGAAAAGGCAAUCACUAGCGGCCCUCGUCCAUCGGAUCAUUGUGGUUUCAAGAUUGAUGCCCAAUCAUUGCCCUCUUUGUUCGAUUCCUCAGACCUUUAGGAAACUGUAUAUGAGAUGUUACAGAGUGACGGAGGACUUGACAAAGGGCUGAGGGGUGGGUGAGAUGUUAUGUCAAGAAAUGAUUUUGGAAAAUUUCUUCAUAUUUGUUGAAUAACUAAGAUAGGAGUCUUGAACAAGGCAAGAACAUAGGCUCUCCAAGACGAUUGACAGAAGGAGAGAAGGAAAGCUCUAUAUCCUUAGCACGUCAAACACUCCUUUGCACAUUAGAGAAAUUGUCGAGUUAUUUCUGCUUCUGCUUCUGCUUCUGCUUCUUCUUCUUUUUAUAAUAGUAGAGUAUUAUUAUAGAAAGGUGCUAGAGCCAAAAUUAGAGGCUAGCUAGCAUAAAAGAAAAAGAAAAACAGAGGACAGUAUAUACAACUAUACAAGACAGGGGGAGGAAGUAAUAACAUAAUAUUAAUAACUAUAUAUAUAUUAAAAAAACUCGAGUUAACCCAUCAAGUUUACGACCCGGAUUAUGAGAUCGGGAUAAGCAAACUCAAUGUUAAGAAAUGAAAUUAAAGAAAAAAACCAUAAAAACAUAUAUGGCGUAGUGUCUUAUCGAUUAAGUUUGAUUGGGUCAACUCUCACUUGGUUUUUUCUAAACCUAAAUUGGGUUAGAUUCUAGAUUAAAAUAUUAGGCUUGAAUUAAAUUUAAUAACACUGAUUAAAACCACAUUGUAGAAAAAAAAAAUGAAUCGCGUAAAAGUAAUUAACCGAAAACUUGUAUUUCUUCUUAUAAAGUUGAACUCAUGUCAGUUGUUUUUUAAGGAAAAAUAUGAAUCAAAGGUUAAAGCUAGGCAGCUCACUUUGCACGACAAUGACGGAUAUAGAAGACAUAACGUGUGGAAAAAUCAUGCCUUAAUUUUGAUGGUGAUGGCAAAAUCAAACAGUAUCGUUGAUAAAAUGAACCACAAAUAAUAUUAUUUCUAAAACACUUCUUGUCAUUGUGAUGACAAUAAGUCUUCUUCUUUGCAGUGUGAGAUGGGUUUGCAUUUUUAUUUUCCACGAUAAUUAAUUAAUUAAUUGAGAAGUUGAGCUCCUUAAGAAAAGUUGUUUAUGGACCUUUGUUUUCCGGAGAAAACUCCCUUAAAACCCUUGAGCACCACCUUCUCUAAAACAUCUAUCUUUGCCAUAACUGAGAGGCUCUGUAUCUUUUUAAGGUGAAUUAACAAGUUACAACUCAACUCUGUAUCUUUUUUAGAUAUGUAUGUGACUGUACCUUGAUGUUCUCACAACCAUUAAGAUGGAGACAAAUUUUCUUUUCUGUUAUUCUCCGAAAAUAUCUUCGUUCCUUGAUAGAAUUUUCUUGGAAAUGAUGAGCUUCCACUCCCUUUUGACUUUGCUGGCCUCCGAAAUAAUUAAAGAAUUCCUCUUGAUAGAAUUUCCUUGGAAAUGAUGAGAAUAUCUCACAUUCCCUUGGCAUCGUGUUCCAUGCCUUUGCAAAUUAUUAAAGGCUCCAAUGCAUGUGUCCUUUUAUUCAUGUUUUUCCACAAAAGACUUUUGACUUGGGGUCAACUUGUCGGUUAGUAAAAUCACUUUAAUUAUUCUUUCAAUCUUCCCGUGUGAUUCACUGCUUAAUUGGUGAUUCUAAAUUUAUUCUUUCAAUUCGUUAAUAGUUAGAAAUACAAAAGAGACAAAGACAAUUACUAAUGUAUUUAUAACCAGAAAACUUAGUGAUUAAUAAAUUAUCUUUGCUAGUUUUGUUAUAAAAUAAUGAUGUUAGAGUUAAUUGUUUUUAGAUGAGUUUGGAUUAAUUCUGUUAAUUUUAUUUUUAAUUUUUGAACUAUAAAAAUAUAGAUAAAUUUAAAAUAAAUAUCUUUUUACAAUAGUUUUUUAGUAAAAUUAGAGUAAAAUUUGUACUUUUAAAAUAAAAAUAUAUAAAAACAUGUAUUUUAUGUUCCCAUUAUUUUUGUAUUUUAUAUCAUGGUAAUUAAAUGUUGCCCGGUUAACAUAACACUAAAUCAUAAUAAAAAAAUAAUAAUUAUGGAAUGGCAUGGUAGUUGGAUCUAAUUUUUUUAUGGAAUGGCAUGGUAGUUGGAUCAUAAUAAGAGUAUUCAAAUUAAGAAUAUUUAAAUGAGUGUUAAUUGGGUUUAAAAGACUUACAAGCAAAAUAUAAGUUGUUUGUUAGAAUUCUUAUGGAUCCGAUAGAAAAUUAAUACUUCAUUCAUAUACAUUACAUGAGCAUAUAUAUAUUUCUUUUAUCAACAUAAUGAUAUGUUUAUUUAUGUAACAGGUCCAUCAAAUAUCCAUGGAGAUCAUUAGUUUAGGGCUCUACUUUGUCAAGCUUAUGUAAAUAUUUAACUUAAGCAAAAGGGAAUUAACGCAUUUAUGUAGUAUGCUUUUGUAUAAACCUUGAUGUAUUUAUAAAAGUUCAGCUUAGCAUGUAGUACUUUAGUUAUCUUGUAAUUAACCCUUCUGAAAUAUUUAAAAACACUUAUUAUGUUGUAAAUGCUUUAUUUACAUGUUAGUAUUCCUUUUUCUUUUAAUUUUAUGAUAUGAUAUAUGGGCUAUGUUCAUAUUGAACUUGCUCAUAGGAUAUAUAUAAAUAUAUAUUGUGUGGAUUAUAUGAGGUGUUGAAUUAUGAUGAUUAAUAUAAGGUUCGGAAUUAUGGGACCUUGUGAUGAUGGAUUGAUUGUGUAAAUUAAUAGUAGUCGAUAACUUGGGAUGUUCUAAAUACAAACAAAACUCUGCUGAAUUUUUGGUAGAUUUAAAAAAAAAAAUUACCCUCAAAUUAAAAGCAUAUGUUGAGAUCUUUUAACAUUGAUCAAGUCGUAUAGUUGGUUCUGUUACAUGUUAGGUAUACAAUGUCUCUGUGAUAUGGACAUAAUGAUUUUUGAUGUGUCAAAUUCUUACUAUUUCACUCUUAAGAGUAGAAAGAUCUACUUCGUUGGACAACCACCAAGGCUUAACAACAAUAAUGAGAAAAUAAGCAUGUGAAAGGAAAAAGACUUAAUCUUAUAAGCCCAAAUGAUUUUGAGAAUCAGGUUCAUGAAGAGUUUGUUGCAUUUGCUUUAGUGGCUAAGAAAGUUUUAGAGAAAGCACUCGAAGAAAUAAGUGUAGUUUUGAAAGAAUUUCAAGAUGUUUUUCCUCUCAAAGUUCAUAAUUCCUUACCCCAUUAUACGUGACAUUCAACACGUAAUAUUUUAUCCCUAGUUACCUCUUGGUUUCAAGCAAGAAACACACUUCAAUAUCAUUAUGCGUUACUGUAUUCCUAAUAGAUGCCCUCUUAGCAGACAUACCCAACCCACAACUAUUCCAGAAUAAAAUCUUCAUUGAUAAAUGAUUUUAAACCUUACCAAGUUAUACUGCAAAAUGGAAUUAUUCCCAAAACCCAAAGCAAAUAACAUCCUCUGCGCCUCAUCUUCAACAAUACAUUCUGCUGUUGCAGCAGAACUGUAAGUUAUCAUAUAACGAAGAUUCCCUUUUCUGAUUCUAGAAUCCAGUGAACCUGGUGAUUCCACCUCACGUUCAUCCUCCACCCGCUGAAGACUACCAUUGAAAGAGAAAAGCUCCACCUUUGGGUGUAAACUGGAUUGAUUGCAUCCCAUCUGAAUCACGUGGGCUUAAUGGAAGGAACGAACAAUUGUCGGUUUUAAAAGUUUGGUUUGUAACAAUCAUUGUAAUUCCAAAUUUCCAUACUCCUUCCAUUUAAGCAAUUAAUAAUAACAGAGAAUAUGUAUAAAUCUCAAUGUUGUUUUAAAUUUUAUGUAAGAUAGUACAGUUUCAUUCAAAAAAUGAGAAAGAACAAUAAAAAUCCUCAAAUUCUACCACCUUCAAUUCUCAUUCAUCAACAACAGCAUACAUUCAAACAAGUGAUCAAUAGUGUUGAUGAAAAAUAAAUCAUUAGCGAUCAAGUGACGAGGACUAUAGUAAGAUUGGCGCCAUUGUAAGCUUGACAAGCUUUGCCUACUCUAAUUAACAGCAACGAAAGAUUCAGUGCCUAAUCUCUGGACGGAGAAGGGGACGCCUUUGUUAUGUACAUGGUUGCCCUAAAUGGUUCGAUGAUGCUCAUUUUAAACAUUUUUUGUCAAGGUUGUCAAUUUUGCUCCGUUUAGUGUUUCAUUUUUUUAAUUGAAACGGUAUGUUUUGGUUUCGGAGCAUUUCAGUGUGUUGUUUCAGGAUUAUAUAUAUAUUAACUCAAUUAAACAUAAUUUAAAUUUAAAUUUAAAGAUAAAUUAACUUGAAAUUAUGCAAUUUAAAUUUCAAACACAAGUAAAAAAGUGAGAGACUGAUAUGACUUGAUCGACUAGAUGGGUCCAAAGACAACCUUUACGACUGGUAAGAAUAUAGUUUGACUCAAAAAAAUUUAAGAUGAUAUUUUUUAAAAAAUAUAUUGAGAUGACAACAUAUUAAAUCAACCUGGGUCAACUCGAUCGGAUUAACUUUCUAAAUUCGUAAUCCAGGUUAUGAGACCAUAAUAACCUAAAAUAAAGCAAAUCAAAACAAAUUAUAAAGCUGAAUUCUCAAUAAACAUGUUAUUGAAUGGUUAAAUUGGAAAAAUUUUAAUAUAAAAAAAGACACAAAAAAAUGACCUUCAGAGACUAUUGUCGUCACCAGAAUGUUUUGCCCGCCACACAAGCUUCACAUAUCUUUUGCAACUCAGAUUUGGAAACUUUAGAGUACCUUUUUAUAUACUGUAACUUUUCUAGGAGUGUUUGGAUGAAAGUUUUGGAUUAGUGGGGUAUCUAAUGUUGUUGUCGAGCACUUUAGACUCGCUACUUCUACAACAACAUGGAAUGGUGCAGGGUAAAUUCCAAAGAUUAGCUUGGAGACUAAUCUCUAGUAGUAUUACUCGGGGUAUUUGGUUGUUGAGGAACAAAAUUGUUUGUGAGGAGAGAACUAUAAGUUUGUUUGAUUGUUUCUCUAUCAUCCUUUAUCAGGUUGCUAUUUAGUUGUAUACUCUGUAUUCAAACUUUACUUAUACAGGAAAUGAUCUCUUAAGAUCUUUUGAUGAUAUCAAAUUGUGGUGUAAUAAGAAAUCUUAGGUAGUUUCUUUGUUUUUUUGUUGUAGCAAAUCAGUUUUGUUUUCUUUUUUUCCCCCUUUUUUCUUUUUUUUUUUGUCCUAUGAGACUAUUGUCAUCUGCAUUUUUUCCAUGAUAUAGGCCAGUGGGAUGGUCCAUGAGACCAUUGCUAUCAAGCGUUUUUUGUACGAGAUGGGUCCACGAGACCAUUGCCCUGUAAGCUUGGGAAUGGAUAAUAUGCUUUAAUUUCAAUUUAGUUUACAAAAAAAUUAAAUUAAAUGCUUAAGCAUAAAAAAUAAAUCUCAAGUGUUAGAAUGCAAUUACCGAUUAAUUAAUGGACAACGGACCUUAGAUUAAUUAAUAUAUGAUGCAUCUUUCAAUGGAAAUGUAAAUGCUUUACUAGAAUAUUAUUUUUUUUUGUAUUUGUUUUCUGGUUAUAUUUAAUUUUCAUCAAUAUUCCUAACAUAAAUUGCUACGUAUUUUGAAUCUUGAAGGAUUGAAAGAUAGAAAACAGAAAAGAAAAGGAGACAAGGCAGUUCAAAAGAAGAAGAAAAAAGUACGAUAGUGAAAGAAAGAGAAGAGAAUAAAAGUGGAGCAGUUUUUAUUAACUAUAUAAAUUUUAUAAUUACUAAUAUUAAAUUCAAAAUAUGUACAUAUUACAAAUAUGUAAACAUAUCAUAUGGUUUAAAAGAAAUGGCUUUUAUAAACAUAUAUGGCUUAACAAUAUUAAUCAACUCCUAAUAUUUUCAUUUUAUAUAUAUUAAUUAAAGUAAAUAUUAAAACCUAUUAUAUUAAUCUGUGAAGGUAUUUACUCGGAUGCAAAUUAUAUUUCUAAUUUAUUAUUAAAAAAAAUUCUAUAUACUACAACUAGCUUAAGAAAGUCAUGUUUAUCAGGAUCAUAGAGUAAAAAAAAGAAAAAAUUGAAUUGCAUAAAAGUAUCACUAGCUUAAGAAAGUUAUGUCAUCUGCAUCUUUCCUCGAGGAGAGGCAGUGAGACGUCCUCUUCCAACCAUCAUGCAUUUUUUCCAUGAGAUGGGUUCGUGGAAAAACUUUGGUUUAAUUGGGAAUGCUGUUAUUGAUUGGAAAAUUUUUAAUUAAAAUAAAUUUGAUUUUUUGAUUGGAAAAAAAUCCUUAAAUGACAUUAACACAUGACUCCACUUUAUUUUCUUAAGAAAAAAAAUAUUGUAACCAUAUAAGUUUCAAGUUUAAAGGGUUUUCAUUUGAAGGGGUGUGUUAGAGAAUAAUAUAAAUCAUAUCUUAGAAUCUAACCUAAUAGCUUAAGCUUUUGGGUUGAAUCGGUUCUUUGACAUGGUAGCGGAGCCUUGAUGACCAAGCGAUCACGAGUUCGAAUCUCAUCAUCCCCAUUUAUUAGAUAAAAAUUAAACACAAGGUAAUGUGGAUCUGUACAAGUUUCAAGCCCUUCUAUUGGGUUAAGAUGGUAUCUUGAGGUCUCACCUAACAACUUAAACUAUUGGGUUGAGAUGGUUCUUCGACAGGCUACCAGAUGGUGCGGCGCUACACCUCUGUUCUUGCUUUUCUCUGCUUGUUUUCUCUUCUUUUUUUAUUUCUCUUGUUCCCUUUGUCUCUCUCUGUAUUAUCUAUGUUUGUUCAUUUUUCGUCUAUGUCUUUUUGUAUUAUCUGUCUGUGGUUCUCCCCUUCUAUGUGGCUUUUCUUUGUUUGUCUUGAUUUCUCUGGGUUUGUAUUUGGUUGGUUCAACAACCUACGGUGAGGGGAAGUUGAAUAUUAAAGGCUCCCAUGCCUCUCUAGCAAUAAUAUUAUUUUUUAUUUAUCCCCAAAUACAUGUGUCAUUUAUCAAAAUAAUUAAUUUAAUCACCAAAAAAAAACAAAUAGAUCCAACAACCAUGCCAUUCCACAGUUAAUUUUUUUUAUAUUAUGAUUUAGUGCUAUGUUAACCGGGCAACCUUUAAUUACCAUGAUAUAAAAUAAAAAAAUAAUGGGAACAUAAAAUAAAUGUUUUUAUAUAUUUUUUAUUUUAAAAGGAAAAAUUUUACUCUAAUUUUACUCAAAAACUAUUGCAAAAGGAUAUUUAUUUUAAAUUUAUCUAUAUUUUUAUAGUUCAAAUAUUAAAAAUAAAAUAGAAUUAAUCACUAAGUUUUCUGGUUACAAAUACAUUUGUAAUUGUCUUUAUCUCCCUUGUAUUUCUAACCAUUAACGAAUUGAAUAUAUAAUAAAUACUAAUUAACAAAAGAAUAAAUUUAGCUGUAUAAUGUACUAAAGUUUAAAUAGGUGACUUUAGAAUCACCAAGAAGGCAGUGAAUCACACGGGAAGAUUGAAAGAAUAAUUAAAGUGAUUUUACUAACCGACAAGUUGACCCCAAGUCAAAAGUCUUUUGUGGAAAAACAUGAAUAAAAGGUUGACGUAAGACCAUUGCUAUCAAGCGUUUUUUCUAAGAGAUGGGUCCGUUCCACCAUAUAUAUGCUUUAAUUUCAACCACCAUAAAAAAUAAAUCUUAAUGUAGUGUGUUAGAAUGCAACCACCGAUUGAUUAAUUUUAAUGGCCGGUCAUUUAAACUUGGGUGUUUUUUCAGUAUAUAUAUAUAUAUAUAUUCCUCAAUUAUCAUAAAAAAAUAAGAAAAAACUAAUAAUAAGAUUAAAAAUAAAUGUUUUAUUUAUCGAAAUAAUUAAAAGUAAGGUUUACUGAAGGUAUAUACGGGAUUAAUAAAAAAUAACAAUAAAAUCAAUUUAUAAAAAAAUAAAUCAUAGAUUUAGUUUUCCUAAAUUUUAAAUGUAGUGUGAAUGCAUUCCGCAAGAAAAAAAACAGUGCAAGAUUAGCCUUUCAAGAAAUAGAGAAUCUUCCUCUUUGAAGGAAUUAAUUAGUGGGUUGGAAAAAUGUCGUCUUUUGCUCUAAUAUUUUCUUCACUUGGUCUAUAGUUUUACCUUACACUAAUAUUUUCAAGAUUUCAAUUGAAAAGGAGGGUCGUAAAAAAUUUAAUUUUUAUAAACAUACCCUUAAUUAACUUAAUUUGGAUGUGGAUAAUUGUUUGCAAUAUAUUUACAUCCAAUAUAAACAAUUCAUCAAUGAUCAAGUCGGCCUUGGUUAGCUAAAAUAUUGAAAAUACUUGCUCUCUCCUUUUUUCUUUUUUGGCCAUGCAGUUCCUAUAUAUAUAUAUUAGUUGAAAUUUUAUGAUGUCUAUUAAUCCUUUUAAAUUAAAGUCAAGUUAUUAAUUAUAUCCUAUAGAUUUCUAGAAAAACUAAUUCUCUCAAAUUUCGUACAUUUUACUUACAAACUAUAAAAGGUGAUUGCUACAAACUAAAAUUUCAAACAAGGAAGCUUAAAUCUCUUUUAUCUACAUUUGAAAUUUACAAAAAAUAAAAUUAUAUUGGAUUAAGCCUAAACACUAUAUAAAAUUCUUGAACAACACAUUAAAAACAAAUCAAAGAUACUUUUCAAAAUAUCAAAUCAUUAAAUCUUACAUAUCAAAUAAAUCAAGUUAUCAUAUAUCAAAUUAAAAGGAAGAAUUAAAUGAUUGUUUUAUUUUUUAUAAAAAUAUUUUAAAUAGAAAUUAUAAUGUGGAUCAUAUGGCUCAAUGCAAAUUAAGGUCUCACAUAUAGCCAGCUAUAGCAUGGGAUAGCCAGCGGUCAUUCCAUCAGGAGAUUUGUGAAUUCUGAAGCCUUUGCAAUGUGCAUGGCAUGUGUCCAAGAACCCACCAGGAACUCCAUUUUGACUGGGAAACCUUUGACGAACUGUAUUAUAUGUGAUUUGCUCCUGGUAUUAUAAAUUAGAAAGUGUAAAUUGUAAAUCCCAACCAAUAAGAUAUCUACAUAAGAGUCUGUAAAUGUUACAGAUGAUUUAAGUUUGUUUAGCAAAUUUUUCAAGAACAUGUUUGUCUUUGAUAGCUUAUUGUCAUAGCUGUGAACUCUGAAGAAAAUUGAUGUAAGAAACCAAAGUCCAUUUUGUUCUAGAUUGUAGAUGGAUAUAAGCUUGGUGAUUCCCGAUUCUUUUAUUAAUUUCAUUUUAUACAUUCCCUGUGAUGUGUUCUUAAUUUAUAUACCACACCGAUGUCUGUUAGGUUCUGAUUCAAUCGAAUUGGAGCCGAUCAAAAUUGUAAUGACUCAGUUUCUUUUAUGACCUGGAUUGGGCUUCACAUGCCCUUGAUUAUGCCCAAGAAGAAAACUAAAUAAAUAGUAGAUGAGUAGUGUACUGAAAAUAAAUAUUUUCAGCAUAUUACAUAGAUCUAAAACAAUAGCACACAGGAAUUAAAAAAGAGGAGGGAUCGCUAGGGAUACAAGAUUUGCAGCCAAAACUAUGACCUGACAUGUUCAGGAAACAGAAGGGAACUAUGACCUGACAUGUUCAGGAAACAGAAGGGAGGUGUUUCUUUUAAACACAAGGCAGAUUUUUAUGAUCUUAUUCCUUUUGGUCAUUAAAUUUUCUUAAAAGGAGCUUUGGUUUGAUUCCUACAAGCUGGGGGCAAAUCUUCAGCGUUUCGACAGUCAGCCUCAUGAGCAAAAGAAAGACAAUGUGCGACCACUCCAAGCUUCUCGUUGCUCCCCUGUUCCGAUUAGAAAUGGAGAUUCAAGAAGCUAUGCUACUGUCCUGAGACAAGAGUUCCAACGAAAUCUACUGUAAGUUCCCAAGACACUCUUUUAUAACACUUUGGUCAUUUCCAUGACUUUAUCUGCAUAUCUUGUGCAGGCCAGUUCCAUGUUUUGAGAUUUGAAUAUUAUUUUAUUUUAUUGUUUAGCACUUAGUCUAUUCGCCAGGUUGGGAAAAAUAUUCAAAUUAGUUUUGUUGGCAUGUAACCUCACCAAACAAUUUAAGACUUCACUAAACAAUUUGCGUAGACCGUAUUGACUGGGAGUCAACUAUUGUCGUAGUGCUUUUUUGCACUAUCUGUGUGCGUGAAUGGAAAGAAAAGCAGGGUGGCAACUGGGGUGAGAAAAUGAAUAGAAAACUCCAACAAGGGUGUGAAAAUGAGUUACUUCUCCAAAAAGAAUAUAUAAAUUAUUGAAUAUCUAAUGGAAACUGUCGUGAACGCGGAUGCUUGACUUGCUGUGUACCAUUUUGAUUUUUAAACACAACCAUGCCGUAAUUUCCUGGUGAUUUCCUUAUGCAUACUGGUGGUCUUCCAGAAUCUUUUUCCAAACAAUCCUCGUUAGACCCUGCUCGGGGAUUAACCUGGAGUAAGAUUUGUAUCAUGGUUUUUUAUCAUGUUCCAGGUCAACUUGGAUCAACUAAAUUUUAUGAGUAUGUCAAAACGACAUUGUUUUUUAUAUAUAAACAUAAAUAUGAAUCUUGAGCUCUUUUAUAAUCUUAAGACGAAGUAUAUUAAUAGUUGAACCAUUAUCCACCAAGAUACAAUUCAUCAUCUUUUCAUCGAUAUAUCUUUUAAUAAAAAAAUAUCGUUUAUGGAGUUUUGAUUCAAGCAACAGGUCUUCAUCGUUAAAGAAUAUCUAUGUAGUGUAUACACCUUGAGACAAGUCGAAAGAGUUAGUCAUGACAGGUUUAGUAGGAGUUUUCUUUAUAGUUUUCUCAUUUUUUAUGUUAAAUUAGGAAGAGAUCAAUAAGAAACUGAACUUGAAGAUGGACUAUAUCAUUGUUAACUUCUUGAUCCGAAUACUCCAACAUGAUGGUUAGUGCAAAUUUUUUUUUUUUUAAAAAUAGCAAAAACAAAGUAAUUAAACAAGACAGACUUAGGAUUCCACAGAUAAAUAUAUGGCCAUAUUUGUUUCCCGGAAUUCACUUUCCGGGAAGCCACUUUCCAAACUUUCCUGUGUUUGUCUGCCAUUAGAAAAGUUGGUCAACGGAAAACACUUUCCAGUCAAAGGAAAAUUUAGCUUGGUUUCCAGGAAAGUGUUUUCCUUGAAAAUUUAUGCGGAAAACACUUUCUGAAAGUUGUGAAAAAUUUAAAAAUGUCAUAUUAUUUGCUGAUUAUAUCAAAUUUGGUCCUCAAACUUUUGAUUGCUAUAUAUAUAUAUAUUUUUGUUUUGAAUAUUUAUUUUUCAAUUUCAUCUCUUAAAAUUUAAUUUUUAUAUUAACUUUGGUCCUCAUUUUUAUAAUUGUUAUUUGCUUUUCCCUUAUCAUUUUCUUAUUGAAAUUUUUUAUCUAUCAAAUUUGGUUCUCAUUCUUUUGAUUGUUACUUAUUUUAUUUGAAAUAAUUUAUGAAAUGUUAAUUAUUAUUAUUAUUUUAAUUUCUUCAUCUUUCAUUUUUAUUUUAUUUUUUAGAUUUGAUUUUUAUUAUUUUGAUUAUUAUUAUUUAUUUGAGAUAAUUUAUGAAAUUAUAUUUUUUUUCAAUUUCAUUCUCAUUCAACUUUUUAAUUUGUAAGAUUUGUUCAUCAUUAUUUUAAUAAACUUGAGAAAAUAAAAUAUUAAUAAGUUAUUUUCCAGUUCAUUUUCCAUGACAUAACCAAACACUGAAAAAUAUUUUCCAACUUAUUUUUCAUUACACUACCAAACAUCGAAAAAUAAUUCACUUUCCUGGAAUUCACUUUAAAAAAAAAACUACUUUCCAGCAAGCAAACGGGCCAGUUUCAACACUUCUCUAUUGAAACGUUCAACAAUAAGGCUAAGCUAUGAGGUCAACCCACUAAAAAGCACCCAUUAGCUGGACACAUUCAAGAAAAUUGCCGACAAGUUUCGAACUAACACAAUUUUGGGCCGAGAAUGCAAGAAGCAAACCACUGAUUCCCCCACCAGCAACCACAACAAAUUCAGUGCUCCCAUGCUAAGAUCCUCUGAUGUUGGAGAACUAGCGAAAUUUAAUACAAGGCUUCAACACUCCGAAGCCUGCUAGAGAAAUAUUAAAGCAAAAUAAGUAGUAGCAUUAAACAACAGCCAUUUCAUCAGUUUUAAUUUUAGUAUAACACAAUAAUAUGAACCAACCUUGAUUCUCAAAGGCACCCAACUAAUUCAUAGCCUUCAAAUCAAGACUUUGCAAUUCUUUAAAAGGCAGAAACAAAGAUGCGUUGAGAACCCACUCCCCUAACCCCCAAUCCCCAGCACCCCCAAGAGAGAGUUGGAUCACUCGCCUUUCGGUGGUAUCGCACACGAUCCUAGACCACUCACAACAAUUAUUGCCCAGGUAUUUCAACAGUUAUGGCUUGUGUGGGUUUUGGUUCACGAUGGAGAUGAUGGAUACAAUAAUGUAUUUCGACAACAAAACUUUCAAUGCUUGUGAAUGGCUCUCCAACUAAAGAGUUCUUUAUCGAAAAGGGAUUGCGACAAGGGGACUCUUUAUCAACAUCUCUUUUCAAUAUAGCAACUGAGGGUCUUAGUAGAAUGCUAAGAAGAGAUGUGGUUUGGGACUUAUAAAAGGUAUUUGUUUUGGUCACUUUCAAGUUUGUAGAUGAUACACUCAUCUUCAGUUCAUAUGAUUUUCCAUCUCUUCAAAACAUCAAAAUAACCAUGUGAUGUUUUGAGUUGAUUUCUAGGCUGAAGGUUAAUUUCCACAAGAGCUCAAUCACGAGAACUAUUGUUAUUUCUUCAACUGCUAGCAAUCUAAUAUGUAGUAUGGAGGGGAUGCCAUUUAAGUAUUUGGGCCUGCCUAUUUGUGCAUCUUCAUCUCAUGUGGAAAACUAUUGUUAAUAGAAUCAAUAGCAAGUUGGCACUUACCUAUUGGUGAGAGAGUGUGCUUGCUUAAAUCAAUUAUAAAUAAUCUUCCUAUCUACAACCUUUCUUUAUUUCCUAUCACAUCCAUUGUUGCUACCAAAAUUGAGAAACAUAUCAUAUCUUUCUUUGGUUCUUAGGAGGAAGGAGGGAAAAAACUAUGCAAUGUUAAAUGGGCAUCGGUGGUUCCUCCAAAAAAAAACAAAAAGGGCUGGGUAUAGACUACAUUAUUGAUAAAAAUCAUGGGUUACUAACACUUCCAUAGCAAAGAGAUAUGUAUUUUCCCUAUUAAUUUCUCAAGUUACCAUAAUGAGAGUGUGAUGUGACUCCAAUAAAUGUAGGAUAUGUUAAUUAGGUAUACAAUGUCUAUGUGAUAUGGACAUAAUCAUUUUUGGUAUGUCAAAUUCUUACUAUUUCACUCUUAAGAGUAGAAAGAUCUAGUUAGUUGGACUGCAUUCCGAUCUGCAAUCUUCCUAUAUAUCCCAAUUGUUGUAUUUGCUUUAGUGGCUAAGCAAGUUUUAGAGAAACCACUUGAAGAAGUAAGUGCGGUUUUGAAAGAGUUUCAAGAUGUUUGUAAUAGAUUUGAUCCCUAGUGUUAUAUUGACCUCUUGGUUUCAAGCAAGAAACACACUUCAAUAUCAUUAUGCGUAAUUGUAUUCCUAAUAGAGUUAUGAUGUAAGUUAUGAUGUAACGAAGACUCCCUUUUCUCAUUCUAGAAUCCGGUGAUUCCACCUCACGUUCAUCCUCCACCCGCUGAAGACUUAUACCAUUGAAAGAGAAAAGCUCCAGCUUUGGGUGUAAACUGGAUUGAUUGCAUCCCAUCUGAAUCACGUGGGCUUAAUUAAUGGAAGGAACGAACAAUUGUCGGUUUUAAAAGUUUGGUUUGUAACAAUCAUUGUAAUUUCAAAUCUCCAUACUCCUUCCAUUUAAGCAAGUAAUAAUAACAGAGAAUAUGUAUAAAUCUCAGUGUUGUUUUACAUUUUAUAUAAGAUAUUACAGUUUCAUUCAAAAAAUGAGAAAUAACAUUAAAAAUCCUCAAAUUCUACCACCUUCAAUUCUCAUUCAUCAACAACAGCAUACAUUCAAACAAGUGAUCAAUAGUGAUCAAGUGAUGAGGACUAGAGUAAGAUUCGCACCAUUGUAAGCUUGACAAGCUUCGCCUACUCUAACUGUAACGAAAGAUUCAGUGCCUAAUCUCUGGACGGAGAAGGGGACGCCCUUGUUAUGUACACGGUUGCUCUAAAUGGUUCGAUGAUGCUCAUUUUAAACAUAUCAUGUCAGGUUGUCAAUUUCGUUCUGGUUAGUGUAACGGACCCGACUGUACGACUUGAUCAAUGUUAAAAGAUCCCAAUAUAUUCUCUUAGCCUGAGGAUAAUUUUUUUUUUAAUCUAUCAAAAAUUCAGCAGAGUUUUGUUUGUAUUUAGGACAUCCCAAGUUAUCGACCACUAUCAAUUUACUCAAUCAACCCAUCAUCACAAGGUCCCAUAAAUCCGGACCUUAGAUUAAUCAUCAUAAUUCAACACCUUACCCAAUCCACACAAUAUAUAUCCUACGAGUAAGUUCAAUAUCAACAUAACCCACAUAUCAUAUUAUAAAAUUUAAAAGAAAAGGAAAUACUAACAUGCAAAGAAAGCAUUACAACAUAAUAAGUGUUCUUAACCAUAUCAAAAGGGUUAAUUACAAGAUAACUAAAAUACUACAUGCUAAGCUGAACUUUUAUAAAUACAUCAAGGUUUACACAAAAGUAUACUACAUAAACACGUUAUUUCUCUUUUGUUUAAGUUAAAUAUUUACAUAAGCUUGACAAAGUAGAGUCCUAAAUUAGUGAUCUCUCUGGAUAUUUGAUGGACCUGUUAUAUAAAUAAACAUGUCAUUAUGUUGAUAAAAGAAAUAUAUAUAAGCUCAUGUAAUGUAUCCGAAUGAAGUAUUAAUUUCUAUUGGAUCCAUAAGGAUUCUAACAGACAUCUUAUAUUUUGCUUGUAAAUCUUUUAAACCCAAUUUACACUCAUUUGCAUAUUCUUAAUUUGAAUACUCUUAUUUAUUUGCAUGAACCGGGUGACCUUGCAAAGUCUAUUCUUGUAAUCCAUUUCCCAGCAAUCAUAUCACGAAUACCAUUAGCCGAAGCAAAUCUUGUAAUUCAUCUCCCGGCAAUCAUAUCACGGAUGACAUUAGCCGAAGCUAAUCUUGAGAUUCAUCUCCCUGCACUCCUAUCACGGAUGCCAUUAGCCGAAGCUAAUCUUGCAAUCACGGAUGUCAUUAGCCGAAGCUAAUCUUGUAAUUCAUUUCUCAGCACUCCAAUCACGGAUGCCAUUAGCCGAAGUUAAUCUUGUAAUUCAUUUCCCGGCACUCCUAUCACGGAUGCCAUUAGUUGAAGCUAAUCUUAUAAAUACACUAGACUUUAUUUACAUUGAACACGAUAUUUAUUAUAAUUGCAUUCACUAGAGGAAUUUUAAAUUGUAUAAGUACAAAUAGGAGGGAAAAAUCACGCACCUGCUUCGCCUGUUUCGUGACCUCCUCUAACAGAAGAUCCAAUCCUGGUUGCUCCUCCUGAAUCACAAGGAAGUUUUUGGUUAUGAUUCCUUCAAGCUGAUAUUAUAGAGGCUCCAUAUUCAUUCAUUACUCAUAUGUUACUUUCUAUGCAUGUUCAUUUCCUUAUAAUAACAAACAUACAUAAAUCAAGUAUAUUUUCAAAGUUAGUAUCUCAAUGUGCAAGUGUUCGUAUGACUCAAUUCUUUUAUAUUCUUACAUAUAAUAUUCACGUGAAAGUCUACUAUUACUAUCUAACUUUGAACUGUUACUGUCCAACGGUUGCUGUCCAACAGUUGCUGUUUGAACAGUUGCUGUUUGAACUCUUAUCAGAUUUUUAACUAUAUCUAGAGUUCUAGAACUCCAUUUUAAGUGAGAUUGAUCUUGUUGGAAAGCUAAGACACGAGGCUACAAGUUCUCUAAAGGAAGGAGAACCCAGUUCUGCCUCCAGGAUAGUCAAAAUUGCUCAUCAACCCAUCAAUCCUACUGCUCUACAAAAUCAGUCACGACUCAGUCUUGGUUGGUAACCCAUAACUGGAGUUAUACAUCUCCAAAUUGAGCAAGAUUAAUUUCCUUGGUUAGCUAACAUCCAAAUCUACAAUUUCUAUAAAGGAAUCUGAUCCUAAUUCCCUCAUCCUCCUACCCGAAAUCUCACCAAAAGUUAGGAGACAAGUUUGUCCAGAUUCGUUUGCCCCUCCCCUUCACACAAUACUUUCAUAAACUACACACCACACACAUGAAUUAACUUAAUCUUAAUAAUAAGUACUUUUUCUCCAAUUCAUGUCUAAGAACCCUAACCUAUGAUUCAAUAUCAAGGCAUCAAUUCAUUAUCGAUUUGAAAUGAAUUUUUUUAAUAUCAUGUUUAGAACACCUUACCCAGUACAAAUUAAGAUUUUGAUCUCCAACCAGUUGAAGAUUUUCAACUCCCUCCUUUCUUUUCUUCUUGUUUAAUUUCUUGGUAAUCCCUUGCUCUCAAGUGUUUAUCCCAUCUAUAAACCCUUAAUCUUGGAUGGGUUCUCGAAAUUUUAGUGUUUCUCUCUUGAUUUCGCAAGAAUGGGUAUAAAACUCCUUAUUUUCUCUCAUUAUCGUUCCUGCAGAUUUUUGGUGAGGAGAGAGUAUUUAUACUCUAUAGUUUCCCUUAUUUGUAUUUAGGCCCCAUUUCCUUUAAAUUUCUGAAUUCUUGUCUUUUAUUUAACCAUACGCAUGAAUUUCUUGACUUUUAUUUCUCAUAUAGUUAGUUUUCAAUUUAAGCAACCUUUAUUUUUUUAUUUUUUUUCUGAGGUUUACAGUUAGUGUUUCAUUAUUUAAUUGAAAUGGUAUGUUUUGGUUUCGGAGCAUUUCGGCGUGCUAUUUCAGGAUUAUACUGUUCAUACUAUUCAUAUAUAUAUAUAUAUAUAUACAUACUCAAUAAACAUAAUUUUGAUUCAAAUUUAAAGAUAAACUAACUUGAAAUUAUGCAAUUAAAAUUUCAAACACAAGUAAAAAAAGUGAGAGUUGAACCAAUAUGACCCGAUCGACUAGAUAGGCCCAAAGACUACCUGAAUGACUGGUAAGAAUAGAGUUUGACUCAAAAAAAUUUAAGAUGACAUAGUUUUUUAAAAAAUAUUGAGAUGACAACAUAUUAGAUCGACCGGGUUCAACUCAGGUUAACCUUUUAAAUCCGUAAUCCAGGUCAUGAGACUAUAAUAACUCUAAAUAAAACAAAUCAAAACAAAUUAUAAAGCUCAAUUCUUAAUAAACCUAUUAUUUAAUAGUUAAAUUGAAAAAAAAUAAUCUAAAAAAAGGACACAAAAAAAAUGACAUUUCAAAACAAAAUUAUGAAAAUGUCACUAGCAGUCUCGCAAGGCCUUUCUAAACUCCAAUUGCUCUAUAAUUUUAACCUGAGAUAUAACAAUAUGUUAGGAAAAUCUUCAUAAGAUUUCAGUCUGAUCCACCAAUCGAAUUGAAAGAUAUGAUUGAUAUCGUAAAACUAGCUAAUAUUGUUUUAGAAAAAAAAAACAUUAUUUGGCCGGAAUGGAACCGGAACAUUCGAGCCAGAAUUUUGGCGGAAUUUAUGGAACGGGCUAAGACUCUGAGCAAGAUGAAAUUUGUUUCAGUUUGUUUUAUUUUUUAAAUUGGAAAGAGAUAUACCAGUCAUUUUGAAUGGAACAUAACAAAAUUGACAACCUUGUAUCAUGGUUGAUUAGAGUUUUUUUUUUUUUGUCUUUUUUUUCAAAAAUUUUUCCAACAUUGAGUUGAUUGGUAAUCGAGCUUCAUAAUUUAUAUGUUAACAUGCCAAAUUCAUGACCUGAGUCAUGAGACUAUAAUAACCUCAUAAAAGUAUAUUGAACAAAUUACAAAGCAUAAUUCUCAACCACCAGUGUUUAAAAAUGAAAUUGAAAAAAUAACAUAAAAAAUGACUCAAGUCAACUCAAGAACCUGCCAAAUCCGUGAUCCAGGUCACAAGACCUAGAUAACCUCAUAGAAAGCAAACUGAAAAAAUAAUUCGGGUCAACCUAGGUUACCCUGCCAAACACGCAACUCAGGUCAUAAAACUAGGAUAAUGCUAUAUAAAGCAAAUAGCAACAAAUUUUAAAGCAUAAAUCUCAAUCAACUUAUUUUAAAGCAUAAAUCCCAAUCAACUUAUUACAAUUCACUCGCAUUGUUCACUUUAGUGAACAGUGCUACAGUGGAGCCAUGCUCCACUGUUGAGGUUUCUCCCAGACGAGAAGCAAUAAAACGUUUAAGGAAAUAAAUGUUGCUUCUCCAAAACCUGCGGUGCCAUAUGGGUCCUACGUGCUGAAAGCACUUUUAUUUUCUUAACCAAACGUUUAUUAGCGUGGCUGCGGGUGAACCUCACCCGCAACCACGUUACCAAACGAGCACUUAGUCUCAAAGAAGAAACAAUUACUUGGUUCUAUAUCCUUAGCACGUCAAACAUGAGGGUAUGAACAGUAACCAUUGUGUCCACUAUAAAAUAUAAGGGGGUGAACAGUGCGGCUACAAAGUAUUCACCCCACACACUUUAUAUUAUAAGUAACUAGUUUUUGUAUUGGCACUCCGCGGCGGGGUGGUUAUUUUUUUAAGUAAAAAAAUAAUAAUAAGCAGGCUCUUACAAUGCACUUUUUAAUAUAAUUUUUUUUCAAUCACAAAUCAAAAUGCCUAUACAUAUAUUUAGUAAUUAGAUCGAUAUUUGAUAAAUAGGUAACUAAGAUUAAGAUAUUUGAUAUCACGACAUGAAUCAUGUGCUUAGUUGUGUUUAACAAUUAUGUUUCCUAGAGUUUUUUUUUAUGAACCAACCAUAUAUUCCGAUAAAAGGUAACAAAAAAUUCAUACCAAUAUUGAAUGAAGAAACUAAAAAAAAAAACCAAUAAAAAAAAGACUGUAUAAAUACACUAAUUUAUUGACCAUAUUGACAAAACAAGUCAAAACUGUAUAAAUACACUAAUUUAUUGACCAUAAGUAAAUGAUUGAGAUAAUAAUACGAAAAGAAAAACUUUUUACCGGACAAUGAUCAAUCCUGGUGAUGUCCAAAGUGUAAAUCAAACAUUUUAUAUCUUGCCAUGAGAAACAAAUAUAUCACAACUUGUUUUUAUUGUAUUCUAUUAUGACUUGUUUUGUGCCUUACAUUAUUUAAUAUAUUAAAAUAAAUUUAAUAAAUUAUACUGAAGCAAGAUCUAAUAUUAGAAAGUUAACGGAAAUAAUAAAUAUAUUUUUAAAUAUAUUUACAGUUCGGUCCCUUAAUUAACUUUUUGUUUGUAAAAUGUGGAGCUGUCAGCAAUAUUUCCUUAGUUUGUGUCGCUAACUGUGAUUAAAGGAUCAAUUAAUUAUUUAUUUAAAUCAACCAGAGGGAUUAAUCUGUUUGUUUAACAAAAAUACAGACACUAAUUAAAUAGAAUUUAACUCAAAUUUUAAUAAUCAAUAUUUUUAGAUGGAAUCUUGGUAGAAAAUUUAAUCAUCAUAUCCUGGGUAUUUUGGAAACAAAAUUGGAAACUUUGAAUGAUUUCACUAUUACUGCUAUAUGGGGUCGUCAUCCUAGGGCUUGGUAUGCAGUUCCCUCAUUAGGCCUUUCGGGGGGAUAUUAUGUAUAUGGAAUCCGAAUCUUUUUUGUGUCUCUAGCUGUUCUGUUGCUAUGAAUGGCUGUAUUUUGCAUAUUGAAGGCACCUUCACUCGGUCCAAUCUAGAUUGCCUAGUCUCUUUUGUAUAUGCUCCGAAUGUUGGGAACCUGAAGAAUGAGCUGUGGACUUAUCUUGUUACAUUCAGGGAUAGUGUUAGCAUGUCGUGGUGUCUUGCAGGUGAUUUUAAUGAAACCUUAUUCCCAUCAGAUAGGAAAGGCGGCUCACAAAUAACAUCUUCCAUGACAAGAUUUCAAAAUUGCAUUGAUGGUUGUAAUCUUAUGGAGCUCCCCUUAAAUGGGAGAAAAUUUACAUGGUCUCGAGGUAAUGCGGCGAGCCGUAUUGAUAGAAUAUUUUUAUUGGGGGAUUGGUUGCAGGCUUUCCCGUCCUCUACUUUAUUCGGUCUCUCAAAAUAUUCAUCUGAUCAUAGGCCUCUGCAUCUGUUGCUAGACUCUACAAAUUGGGGCCCGAAACCUUUUCGCUUCAUGAAUUGCUGGUGGCUUGCGUCUGAUUUCAGGAUUAUGAUUCAGAGCUUUUGGAGAUCACUCACGGUUUCAAAAUCUGGCAUAAGGAAAAUGGUCCCAGCUCUAAAGAUGUUGAAAGAGAGAUGUCGGCAGUGGAGUAAAGCUACUGUGGGAAACAUGAAUAACAGAAUUGAAGAACUGGAACUUGAAGCUGACUCAAUGGAUCAUCAAAAUGAGUGCAGGGUUUUGACUGCUGAUGAACUGAUUAGAAGUAAUUCCAUUGCCUCCCGGCUCAAAAUCCUGUAUAGAGCUCAAGAGUCUGCCUAGCAUUAGAAGUCAAGAAUUCAGUGGUGUAAGCUUGGAGAUAAAAAUACCCGAUUCUUUCAUUUAGCUGCAACAACAAGACAGAAAAAGAAUCAGCUUGCAUGCCUAGAGGUUGAUGGACAGAUCCUAUCUAAACCAAGCGAUGUGAAUCUAGCUGUCUUUCACUUUUUCCGCAACCUAUACUCCCAUCAGAACAGACCUAGAGCUUCAUGUUCAAACCUGGAAUUCUCAAGGCUGAAGCAUUCAUCCUCGGCUGCUCUUGAAUUGCCAUUUUCUGCAGAAGAGAUUACAGCAGCUGUGUGGGAUUGUGAUGGAAAUAAAGCUCCAGGUCCUGAUGGUAUUAACUUCCUUUUCAUCAAGAAAGCAUGGAACAUUAUAGGUGAGGACAUUAUCCAGAUGGUUGAUGAAUUCUAUCGGACUAAUCUCCUUCCUGCAGGUAUCAAUAGCACCUUUGUUACUCUUAUUCCGAAGAUUAAAGGUGCUAACAAGCUAUCAGAUUUCAGACCUAUUAGUUUGGUGGGCAGCCUAUACAAGAUCUUCUCAAAGAUUCUAGCAACUAGGUUGAAACAUGUUAUGCCAGAGGUCAUCUCUCAUCAUCAAAAUGCUUUCAUCAAAGGGAGGCAAAUUUUAGACAGCGUCUUGAUUGCAAAUGAGGUUCUUUCUUUCAUCAAGAAGAAAAAGGGUAAAGCUUAUCUUUUCAAAUUAGAUUUUCAUAAAGCCUUUGAUUCGGUGUUAUGGGAAUAUAUUAAUGAAAUCAUGGCUAGUAUGGGCUUUGACCUGGUUUAUGCAAUGCAUAUCAACGGCAAAAAUGUCUGUGCUUGUUAAUGGGUCUCCCACGGAGGAAUUCUGCUUAGCAAAAGGCCUACGCCAAGGAGACCCUCUCUCUCCGUUUCUCUUCAACAUUGCAGUCCAGGGCUUGAGUUGUAUGUUGCAGCGUGGCUGUGAUUUGGGUUUGACUUCGGGUAUAAACAUCGGCAAUACAGGGCUUGUCAUAUCUCACUUACAGUUUGCGGACGACACCCUUAUGUUCAGUUCAGACUCUUUACAUAGCAUGCAGAACAUUAAACGUAUCCUAUUAUGCUUUGAACUUGUCUCGGGGCUGAAGGUCAAUUUUUAUAAAAGCAGCAUUGUGGGUGUGGGUGUAGCAGCUCAUACAUGUAACUUCACGGCUCAGCUUCUCAGAUGCAAGCAGGAUCAGCUGCCUCUCAUGUAUCUUGGGCUCCCCAUUGGUGGAAACUUGGGCAGAGCUACAAUGUGGAAUCCUAUUUUGCGCAAUAUCAGUUGCCGAUUGGCUUCGUGGAAAGGCAGGUUCUUAUAUAUUGGGGGCUGUUUGUGCUUGAUUAAAUCUGUGCUCAGUAAUCUCCCCAUCUACUACCUAUCUAUGUUCCCCAUGCCUGUUACGGUAGCCUCCAAAAUUGAUCAGAAACUUCGAUCCUUCCUCUGGUCAGGAAAUGAGGAAAGGCACAAAAUAUGCAAUGUCAGCUGGGCCACUGUUACUCUUCCAAAACAUGCGGGGGGUCUUGGGAUUGGUUCCUUAAGGGACAAAAACACAGCUCUGCUAUUUAAAUGGUUAUGGAGGUUUGGGUUAGAGGAAUCAAGUAUGUGGAAGGAUGUGAUCAAAAGCAUCCACAACACCAAUUGCUCUAAACUGCUGCUGCAAGCUCCUAUUCCAGGAGCUGCAACUACAUGGUCCCGGAUUGUUAAUCAUUGUGUGAGAAAUAAUAAGCUGCAGGAUAUUGUGAAUGAGCAAUCUCUGGUUCUUAUCGGAAAUGGCAAGAAGACUAUGUUUUGGCUUGAUUGCUGGCUUAAUAACCACUGUUUAGCAGAGCACUUCCCUACUCUUUUCCAAUUAUCCAAUGACAAAGCUGCCAGCAUUGCUAAGAUGGGAAUAUGGGAAGGGUAUAAGUGGAUUUGGGUUUUUUCCUGGAUACGUCCACUACGGGGGCGAAACAUUGGCUUGCUCGAUCAACUAUAUGCAAUCCUAUCGACAGUAUUGGUAAGCCAUGGCCAUCUUCUUGGUAUGUUCUCUGUUCCAGUUGGUAUUUUAGACUCUAAUAUUGCUGAGUUAAGGGCUAUUGUCAAAGCCAUUGAACUAUCAGCAUCUAAUUGUCUCCUCCACCAUCAACACCUCAUCAUAGAAUCUGACUCUGUCAAUGUUAUUAGCUAGAUGAAUAAGCCUCACAGCCGUCCCUGGAAGCAUCAUAAUUUGUUCUCCUUUGUUAAUAGACUGAAACCAUAUUUUGGUUCAAUCACCUUCUCCCAUAUCUUUCAUGAAAGUAAUUGCAUGACAGAUUGCAUGGCUAAACAAGGAGUGCGGAGAUCAAGUGAAUUUGUUGCCUGGCUUUGACUCCACCAUUUUUCUGUGGCCUUGCUCUUGUGUCUUCUGCCAUUAUGUCUUUGAGUUAUUUCUGUUAUGUUUUGUAGAGGAAUGUUUAGCUUUGAGCUCAUUCGGAUGGAUAUUCUAUGGUUUUCUUUGCUUUUGUUUAUCUUAGUCUGCGCUUUAUCCUAUAUAUGGCUUUUUGCCAUAGUAAGAUAAUGUGUAGCUUCUGUACUACUCCCGCCAGACUUUGGCGUUUAAUAAUAUACGCAUCUUUCAAAAAAAAUCCAUGUGAAUCGCACGACUUGUCCAUAUCUUUCUUAUUGAUUACAAAUAGCAUUGAGAAUUAAAGAAUAUUAUCUUAAUAAGUUCCAAUUUAUUCUACAAAAACUAUAUAUAAAGAUGUAUACAAAUUAGUUAUUUAUUGUUUGUAAGUAUUAUUGUAUUGCAAAGACAAAAAUAAGAUGCAACUUAUGGCGUGGUCGUCCAACCUGGUUCAGGUUUUGAUCCUGUUAAAAAUCUAUUUUGUUGAAUUGUUAUCUACUUGUGAGUUAUUGGGUUAACUAGAUCAAUUUUUUAAACAAAACAAUAUCAUUUAAAAAAAAAAAAUUGGUUCUGACUUAGAAAUAUAAUAUUAGAAACUUAAAUCUUAUUAUUAUAAAAGACUCAAUGGUAAAUUUAGUUUUGAAAUAGAUUUUUGUAAAAUCAAAUAUCAACUAAGCACCUGGAAAUUUAUUUGAAAUUACAAUAACCUUGUAGAAAACAAACAUAAAUAGAAUUAUUAAAUUCAAUGGAGUCCAUGACCUGAAUUACGGGUUCAACGGGUUAAGCCACGAAGCUCUGAUCGAUUUAAAAUAUUGUCGUCUUAAUAUAAAAAAAAAAUACAUCUUAAAAAAAAUAAAUUAAGCUAGACUACGUUUUUACCUAUUAUCUGGGUUGUUUUUAGGUUCAUCAUUUCGACUGAGUUAUAUUAGGACAACUACUACAUAAUUUAAUUUAAAAUUAAAGCUAAACAAGAAAUUAGGUAAAGAGAUUUUAAGAUUGAUUUGUUGGAUUGGAUUUAAUAACAAUACAAAAAAUCUAAAUAUUUCUUUUUUAUUAAAAAAAAAUUCAAUCCAACUCUCAUCGUAACGCAGUAUAGUAAGAUAAAUAGAUAUAAAUAUUUUGAUGGAUACUCGGGAUAAAAGAUUGUUUGAGGACAUUUUGCUAAUUUCUUUUGUUAUCUAAUCAAUCAAGCUCAUAGUGAAUAAGUAUAUUAAUAUAUACAAUUAAAUUAAAUAACAUAUAAGAGAAAAAUGGUCGCAAGCUAAAGCUAAAGUGAUGCGACGUUGAGCCACUAGUCGAUAGUUGUAACGUCAGUUUGUUGGUUCGUCGUUCGUUUCUCGGGCGAGUUUGGUUGUGCUAAACACAAUGAACCAAUAGAGUGCUUUGCUUUCUUACUUGGAGAUUCUGGAGCCUUGGAUUUUUUGAUAUUUAGGUUAUCUGUUUCUAGAAAAGAAAGAAAGAAAUAUUUAUAUUAUCAAUGCAAUGCAAUGAAACGACUAAAUAACAUUUAAUUAUUAUCAUAGCUUUGUCCUCGUACCUAAGGAAGUAUACUACGUCUUUUUCUCCAUUGUUUGAGUUUGAAAUUAUAUCUGUGAACCCAUUAAUUUAUCUAGAAAAAACAUUUAUUGGGUAAUUGGAUCAAUCAUUGAGGUCGUCAUAUCAUAUAUAAACCAAUUAUUUUAAUUAAAACAAUAUCAUUUUAUUUAAAAUUAAAUUUAUAAUACUAACUGAAUCCCUAAAAACACAAUUAGACCAAUCAAGUUUUAGCAAGUUAAUUUUUUUUUUUAAUUUUUUCAUAUUUAACUUGAAAUUCAAUCCAAAUUAAAUUAUAAAUUAUGGGUUUCUUAAAUUAACACAUGUUGGGUCAGGUCUACCAAUUAUGAUUGGAAUCCAGGGUUAAUAUCUAGAAGAAUUUAUUAAAUUUCUGUAUAAUUAGUCAAUCGAUGAGGGAAUUUAGUUUUGAUUGAUGGAGAAAUUAAUUUAAAGAUACCAUGCAAGAUAUAUAUAUAUAUAUAAACAUUUAAAGGGAAACGGACCCACCAUCAAUUAUUGUUAUUCGUUUAAUUAUAAAUAGAAUGAAGAGAAUGAUGCUCGCUGCACUUUUAUCAGCGACUGAUAAACCCCAGAAGGAGAACACUCUACAGAAUUAUUCCAUACUUUUUCGUAAAUUAUAAAUUAAAAAGAAAUUGGUUAUAACAUGGUUAACGAACACAGCACAAAAAUAAACAGGUGUAUUUCUUACAUAAAUUCUUAUUGUUUUGUUUUUCCAUUGGUUUCAUGAAAUUCUCUCAACAAUUGAACAAAAAACACUACAUCAUAGCUCACAAACAUACAUUUUAUAAGUCAAUUAAACCUCUUGUUUUUCUUAUGUGUCUUUUUAUUGUAAUCUCUGCAAGGUGACACCUGACAGAGCAAUCUGUUGAUAGGUCCAAUUCUGCUUUAUGUUGUGUUUCUUGCUGAGCAAAUAAAGGUCAUGGGUUUUCUUUCUUUCUUUUUCCCUUAUAAAAAUGGUCAUGCGGCCACAGACAGUUGCGAAAAAAAAGAAGCACUUAAUUAUCACUUAUUUGGUAAGUAGCGUACUUAUCAGAUGACCCUCAACCAUCAGUACCCAUUAUAAAUUAAUGUCGACAAGAGUAAAAUUAGGAGUUACCGUGACUUUCCAACAUCUAUCAUUAUAAAUUAAGUAUCAACAACGAUUAAGACUAAUUGUUUUACCAAGAUUCUCAACCAUUGUAAAAAUAGAUUUGAAAAAAAAAUCAUAGCAAAAAUUCAAAAAAAUAAAAAUUGCAUUGCUUUCCAUAUAUAUUUUAGUUUUUCUUAUAAUAAUAAUAAUAAUUAUAGUCUCUCGUGUCUCACAACUGUAUGUGUUUUUUCUUGAAUAAGCGCUAAUGUUCUUUGAGGGGUCCAAGCACCAUAUACUGAAAGAAAGAACUAGUUCAAAUUGAAGCACCAUGAGUUUCUCUACGGCUUGGUUCACCACCUGCUGGUGCGGCAAGUUAUGAACUAGCUGGCUAGUUUUUUGCUUCCUUGGUUUUAGAAGCACCAUGUGUUCAAAGAAUAGUCAACAAAGAAAAAGAAAAAGAAAAAGAGAAGGGCAAAAGGUUAAUUAAAAUCAGCAGGACUGCCAUGAGGCAACCUCAAGUAGUGAACUUGAAGGAAUAAAAAGUGCUGGGAAGUAAUUUUUGCUGAAACUUCUUGUGUAACAUCUUCUUUUGAUGAUGACCUCUUGGAUGGCUGCAUGAAGCUUGUUCCGUUUUAAAUUUCAAGGUUAAUCUAUUUCUAUGAGCAUUGGUGUUUCAAUUUCAACCUUAAGUUGCAACUGAACUUAAAUGAAUAGUGUUGGAUUUGGGCCUUCUAUUUGCUUUAACUUCUACAGGAUUGAAAUGAUAGUGAUCUUAAAGUACAAAAGCAGCAGACAAAAAUCAAUUAGCCACAAUAUAUAGUGUAUGGUUUCCUAGUUUCUCAGUAUAAAGUUGAAUGUUUUGGUGAUAUCUCUACAUCCAAAAUCAUAUAGACAGCUACUGCUGGCACUUGCAGUGGUCAAUGAAUACUAUAGAGUACAUAUUGCAGUUUGAGAUAAGGUUAACUCGUUGCAUUUUCAUAUAUUGAAAGGAUUUCUCUUCUUUUCUUUGUCAGUUACAGAACAUGCAUAGAAGUGUUCUUAUUCAGAGUAAAUGCUAUUGUAAUGUUUUCACGGACUCCCUUGCUUUGCAACUAAGUCACUAAUUAUCUUGGAACAUAGCCAUAAAUAAAAGGUUCUUCCAGUUCAAGAAAAUUAACCAUGAAGCUAGUAGCUAGAAUUUUUAGACAGAAUGGUGGCCAAGUAAACUCCUAUACUCUGUACCUCUGGAAUAAUGCAGGGAAAGGAUGUCUAUGUAUUUUGAUGUCUUAUAUUACUUGACCAACUCUUGCUUAUCUCAUUAUUUGUUUUUACUUUUUGCUAAUGAUUCCACACAUUUUUGAUAUUGGUGUGGUUUAUGACUUCAGGGUUCUUACUCGCUACUGCAACUUCUCUAUACUUGCUUGGUCAUUAAAUAUGAAACGUGAUGAUUUGCAUAUGCAGAAUGGAGACAUUAAAGAGGCAUCUUCUGUUUUCUAGUUAGGAGGGAUUACCAGAACUCAAGAAAUUUGUCGUACAUUUUGAGGAAAAGAUUUAUACCACCGCUACCAAUCAGGUAUUUGCCUAAUGCGAGGUUCAAUAAUUACGAUAUUAUCUAGACAUGAAUAUACACACGCAUUUAUGCUUGUACAAAUGUGUGUGUAGUGUGCCUACAUUUCCACACCUUUCAUUCUGUAUGCAAGGCUGAUUAAGAGUUCGCAUCUUUUUGUUAAUUCUCUUGACAAGUGUUUUAUUUAGAGUGACCAAGUUCAAGUACAUGGGAAGUGUGCAAAAAGCAAAUAGCGAAUCAAUACAUAAAUAAGUAAAUAAAAAGAGAGGAAACAGAAGUCUAUCCUCACAAAAGAUGAAAUGAUAGAGCAUAUAUCCAUUUUCCUCCUCUUGUAACAUGGAUUGCUCUGAGAUCUAAUGUUUUGUUAUUAAUAUCUUAUUUUAGUCUGAUUAUCUGCAUAAAAUAUCUCUGGUGAUGCUUUUGAUGAAGAUCAGGUCUCAAAAUGCCAUGCCCACUGCCCCCAUGGAUCCAGCAGGUAAUAAUGCAUUCGAGCAUCGAAUUUCUAAACAUCUUACCUUUUGUUUUUCUUCUCGCAUUGUUAUCAAACUUUUUUACAUUUUAUUGUUCCAUAUUGCUAUGUAUAUCGCCUUGCUGGCAAAAUGUCAUGAUCACCUCCACAAUACUAAUUCUGUAAUGCGUGUGAAGUGUUUCAUCCUUAACUUGUUAAUGAACGAGGACUAUGAUGCAUGGCUAUUUUAUAUUUUAUGAUUGAGAUGGUAGAUUUUAAAGAUUUUCCUUUUUAGGAGAUAAGACGUCACUUUCUUGCUUUUCUUCCGAGAGUAUUCGAUCCUUUUUUCGUACAAAAUAAUGAUGCCAUGCAUUGAAUUCCCAAACAUAUUACCUUAUGUUUUGUUUGGUCGCAUUGUUAUCAAACUCUUUUACAUUUUAUUGCGGCAUAUUGCUAUGUGUAUGGCAUGCUUUAAUCAAAAAUUUGAUUAAUUGAUGAAUGUUAGGCAAGAAAAUUACAGAAUAUUUUUGUUUUUUGCCUCCUCCUUUUCUUUCCCCCACUCCGAAAAUUGUCAUAUUAUUUUUGUUUUCAACCGCCUCUUCUUCCCCCAACCCUGAAAAUUGUUUAUAUUUGCUUUGGAAGCAUGGCAAACUUCACUGCCUCUCAGCUUAAGGAGAUUGCAGCAGGUCUCGAAGCUUCUGGGCAUCAAUUUAUCCGGGUAGUUAGAAGAAACAAAAAGAGUCAAGAAGACAAGGAAGAUUGUUUACCCGAAGGAUUUGAGGAAAGAAUGGAAGGCAAAAGGAUGGAUACUCCAAGUUUUGAUUCUUGAUUAUAAAGCAAUAGGUGCAUUUGUGACUCAUUGAGGAUGGAACUCAACUCUUGAAGGCAUAAGGCCAAUAUUUGCUGAGCAAUUCUAUAAUGAAAAGUUGGUGACUGAUGUUUUAAAAGUUGGUGCUGUCGUUGAAUAUAUUAUAGCUGUCAAGGUUCUUGAGUUUUCCCAAAUGUGAUGAUAUGAUCUCAAAACCUGCAAGAGAGUUGUUUGUAAGAGUAAGUCAUGAUGAGCUCACGAUAUGCAAAACAGAUAGAAACAAAAGAUAAUUAGAAUUGAUGAGAUGCUGUUGUUCAAUUGAUGUAUGAUUCUCAAAUUAUACAUACAUAUAUAUAUAUAUAUAUAUAUAUAUAUAUAUAUAUAUAUAUAUAUAUAUAUAUAUAUAUAAUUGAUAUUUAUAAAAGCAUUAACUGUAGCUGAUAUAGUUUUAGAGGAAUAUUUGGUACUUUGUUUCCCAAAAAAAAAAAUAGAUUUUUCUGCGAAGUAGGAAAAAAAAAAAAAAAAACUGUUCAAAACUUAUUCAAGAAAUUAUACAGUUAGCGAGUCACAGAUGAUGAAUCUUAAAAAAAAUUGGCAAUAAUAACAGUACUCUAUUACUAUUAAUUAACUUAAAUAUUCAAAACUUAAAAAUAUUUUUUAAAUUUAUCCAUGCCAAUUUAUCUUAAGAGAGUCGCAAUCUGUGACUAGUUAAAUUAUAUUAUUUCUUUAAAUAAAUUUUGCAUUGUGUUAUUUUUUGUUCUAGGUGCUAUUUUGCAAAAAAAGAAAAGAAAAGAAAGAUUAACGUUUCAGUUAUUCAUUGUUCUUGGAUUUGUAGGUAUAACAACUGAAGAUAGCAAUCAAAAGCGAUGGUGACAUGGUAGAGCUUUGAGUUAUUGCUGUGUUCUAAUGAUGAAGAUGUAGGAAAACGAUCUCCCUUCUGCUGUCUGGAGCUGGGCUUCCUCUCCCUGUAAGAACAAGCAACAUCUUAUCUGCGUUGUUGUUAGUGGCCACUUCAUCGACCCAUUAGUGGGUGGAUUUUAAGCUUAAAAAGGAUUUUUUUUAAAAAAAAAAUAAAGGAAGAAAGAAAGGAGAGGGGGGGCAUCAUCACGUGAAAAGCAAGGAGGUUGCCACCCAUUAUAGAGUGUGGGGCACUCUUGCAUCUAAGAAUAUAUGAUCCUGAGGUUGUUCUGGUGAUGGGUAUUGGCCAUUACAUAAAGCUUCGACAAGCCCUUUUAGCUGCCUGUUAUUAGAAUUUGUAUAAUGAGCAUUCAAACUUAAACUUCUUUAAAUGGGAUGAAAACGAGUGAAAAUCAAGAAGUUGGAGGUGUUCAUCUCUAAUGCAUAGCUGAAGAUCCUUUGUAAGAAAAUACAGCUAAAGACAAAGUGUGUGUGUGUAACAGAGAAAUUGUCGAUAAUAGCAAUCAUGUUCUUUGUCUCUUGUGUCAUAUCUUCCAAAAAUCUUAAAGUAAUUGAUGAAAAAGUGGAUAUACCACUUUGUCUUCUUUAUAGCACUACUGGCCAAUAUGAGUUAAAAGCAUUAAAAGGUCGUGAACGCGGAUGCUUGACGAGCGAGUGUUUACUUGUUAAUUUUUUUAGAAGGAAUCUGGAAAAGAAUAAAGUCAUCUAUUUCACUUUGGGACAACAUUCCUCACCUCUCCCCGCCCGAGCUCUCUCCCUCCCUCCCUCCCUCCCUCGCUCGCUCCCUCUUCCGCCUCUCGGAAACCGCCGCAUCCAUUAAGGCUUCAGAUUUCUGCCAGGUGCUUCCUUUUCUAUCAUGCUUUUGUUUUUAAAAUUUAUGGGUGUUUUCAUUUAUUUUAUUGUAAUUAUUAUUCAGAGACAGAAAUCCAUUUUAAUAAGUAAAUUAAAAAAAAACAAAUAAUCGAUCCGAUGAAAUCUCUGCUAGUGAACGCAAUUCGAUUUUAAUAAGUAAAUUAAAAAAGUAUAUAAUCGGAUCCGAUGAAAUCGCUGCUCGUGAACGCAAUUCAAAGAAACGCACAAUCAGCCGAUUCUAAUAUUUUCUUUUGCAACCCCACCCUAAUUUACAUGAUAUUAUUCGAUUUUUCUCACAGUUAUUGUUGUAAUAAUCAAGCCCUGAAUUCUUGAACCCAAAUUUAUCUUAUUUUAUUUUAUUUUUUAGUUUUAUUUUUAAGUGGAGAAUAGAAAUCAAUUCAAAUCUUUUAGGCUCGAUCGAUAAUUUGUUAAUUAGUUUAUGCAGCAGCUGGAGUGGAAGGGAUAUUACUGCCGGAAUGGCCGAAAAAUGAGCUGUUUGGUUGAUUCUUCUUUUUUGGAAUUUACUGAAUUCUUCAAAAUUAUUGUGUUUUUAACAACAAUACGAUAUCCUUGGGUUUCAUGCUCGCUCACAAAUGGAAAAAAGAAAGAAAGAAAAGAACUUUAAAUUUUAUAAUUUGGUCAUGUUAAUGCUCGUCGUUUUCUUCUUCAUUUUCCUAGCUUAAAACAUCCUAGACAAUCUCUUUGGGAUGGGUUAUUGUUUUUGGCCUCUUCAUCUUCUAUUUGUGCUGUGGUAUUUAGUCUGCUGAUAUUCUUUGGGGAUUAAAAUGCCUCGUUUUAUGACUUUGUUUUGUUUUCUUCUUCUUUCUUUAUUCUUUUGGGGAUGUGGUAUUCUCCUCUUUCUAUUUACACUCUUUGCUCCCUACAACAUUUAUUCUUUCAGAAAAGUAAAUACAUACAUAAAUAACAACAGGAGAGGAGGGGGAGGGGGAGGGGGUUUGACGGUAUGUAUUUGGAUGCAUGAUAUCUAAAUUGGUAAGCACCUGAAAAAGGUCCUGAAUCUAAAUUGGUAAGAUGUGAUAUACUGAUAUCUAGAGAGAUAACUUAAUCUAUCUAUUGAAGUAAAGCAUUUAAAUGCGUAUACAAUGUUUUUGGAUCAUUAAAUAUCUAUUUGAUCAGAAUCUGUGAACCUAAAGCCACAAUGAAUACAAAUGCAAGUUUGUCAUUGUAAACAUUGCAUCGAUGAUGCAUCACAGGUGUUGCUAGAAAACAUCAAGUUAAAAUUGAAGCACCAUGAGUUUCUCUAUGGCUUGGUUUACCAACACUCACCAUCAGUUGGUGCGGCAAGUUAUGAACUAGCUGGCUAGUUUUUCGCUUCCUUGGUUUUAGAAGCACCAUGAAGAUUCAGGCCCAAAUCUUGCUUACAAUACUCAAAUACCCAAGAUCCUAGCACCUUGCCCUGAAUGGUCGUGUAUAUUUGUUAUGGCUGUUCAGAUUUUAUGCAUCCAUGUUUGGUAGAAUUCUUUAAUAAAGUACAUGCUAUUAGAUGGAAGUUCUCUUUAAAUCUAUUCAAGUCUGAAUAAACUGAUAUUCCAAUUUUCAUGACUUUGAUUAGGCGGAGAACUUGUGAUGGACACAGGUGAUUGGAGAACUCAAUUGCAGCCUGGCUCACGGCAAAGAAUAGUCAACAGAAUGUAAGUAUCUGUUUGCUAAUAUGUACAAGUGCUGCAAAAUAGUAAAUCUUGUAUUUAAAUGAAAGAAAAAGAGAAGGGCAAAAGGUUAAUUAAAAUCAGCAGGACUGCCAUGAGGCAACCUCAAGUAUCAUACACUGCUGUUUUUGUCUUUUUCAUUUUUCACGUGUUUCUCACAAGAAGUGAACUUGAGGGAAUAAAAAGUGCUGGGAAGGAAUUUUGGUGGAACUUCUUGUGUAACAUCUUCUUUCAAUGAUGACCUCUUGGAUGGCUGCAUGAAGCUUGUUCCGCUUUAAAUUUCAAGGUUAAUCUAUUGCUAUGAACAUUGGUGUUUCAAUUUCAACCUUGAGUUGCAACUGAACUUAAAUGAAUAGUGUUGGAUUUGGGCCUUCCAUUUGUUUUAACUUCUACAUGGUUGAAAUGAUAGUGAUCUUAAAAUAGAAAAGCAGUUGAAUGUUGAAUGGUGUAUGGUUUCCUAGUUUCUCAGCAUAAAGUUGAAUGUUUUGGUGAUAUCUCUACAUCCAAAAUCAUAUAGACAGCUACUGUUGGCACUUGCAGUAGCCAAUGAGCACUGUAGAGUAUAUAUUCCAGUGUGAGAUAAGGUUAACUCAUUGCAUUUUCAUAAAUUAAAGGGAUUUCUCUUCUUUUCUUUGUCAAUUACGGUGCAUGUAUAAAAGUUUUCUUACUUAGAGUAAAUGCUAUUGUAAUGUUUUCACAGAAUUCCCCUGGUUUGCAACUAAUUCACUUAUAUAUCUUGGAGCAUAGCCAUAGCCAUAGCCGUAAAUGGAAGGUUCUUCUGGUUCAAGAAAAUUAACCAUGAAGCUCGUAAUUAAAAUUUUAGACAGAAGGGUGGCCAAAUGAACUCCUAUACCCUGUACCUCUGGAAUAAUACGGGGAAAGGAAGUAAAAAUAGAUGUCUGUAUUCUGAUGCCAUAUAUUACUUGACCGACACUCGGCUAUAUCAUUAGUUGUUUUUAUUUUUUGCUAAUGAUUCCAUUGAAUACAUUUCUGAUAUUGGUGUGGUGUGUGAGUUCAUGGUUAUUUCUCACUGCUGCUAACUUCUCUAUACCUACCUUGUCAUUAAAAAUUAAACGUAAUGUUUUACAUGUGCAGAAUGGAGAUAUUAAAGAGGCAUCUUCCGUUUUCUGGUCAAGAGGGAUUACAAGAACUCAAGAAAAUUGCUGUACGGUUUGAGGAAAAGGUUUAUACUGCCGCCACCAGUCAGGUAUUCGGCUAAUGCUAGGUUCAAUAAUUUCGAUAUUCUCUAGACAUGAAUAUAAACAUGCAUAAGUUUGUGGAUUUAUGCAUGUACACGUGUGUGUAGUGUGUCCACACUCUCACUGGUCAUUCCGUAGAAGUUCUCAUCUGUUCAUUAAUUCUCUUGACAAGUGUUUUAUUUAGAGUGACCAAGGUUCUUUUCAAGUACAAGGGAAGUGUGCAAAAUGCAAAUAACGAAUCAAUACAUAAAUAAUUAAAUAAAAAGAUAGGAUACAGAAGUAUAUCCUAUAUCCUCACAGAAGACGCAAAUAUAGAAAGCCUAGCAUAUUAGAAAGAGCAUUUAUCCCUUUCCCCCCUUCUCUUGUAACAUGGACUGCUCAGAGAUCUAAUGUUUCCUUAUUGAUAUCUGAUUUCAGUCUGAUUAUCUGCGUAAAAUAUCUCUGAAGAUGCCUCAGAAUACCAUACCCACUGGCAAUGGUAACAAACCCCUGUAUCCAGGGGGGAAGUGUGCAAAAUCCAAGCUUUGAAUUUCUAAACAUCCUUACCUUUUGUUUUAUAUUUCGCAUUGUUAUCAGACCCUUUUACAUUUUAUUGCUGCAUUUUGCUAUGUAUAUACUAAUCCCUGUACUUUUACAUUAUGUUAAUAAACUGGUCCCUUCAUUAGUUUUUUGUUAGUCAAAUGUAGAGUUGUUAGCAAUAUUUCCUCAAUUUGUUCCACUAACUUGACGUUAAAAUGUGACCAAAGAAUCAAUUAAUUAUUUAAAAAACUUGAGGGAUUAAUUUGUUUGUUUCACAAAAAAAUACAGUGGUUAAAUAAAAUUUUACUCAAAUUUUUAUCAUCAUAUUCGUGAGUGUUUACUUGUAAAUAUUUUGGAAUGAACACAGUGGUUAAGUUUAUGUUUUGCGCAGCAUAAAAAAAAUCAUCUAGGCUUAAAUAAUUAUUUGGCAUCAUAAUUAAAACUCUAAUCCAAAUUUCUCUCAUCUGGCUUCUUAUCUAUAUCAAGUUUAAAAUUAACCAAUGUGAAAGUUGCUCUAACAUGAUAUAAUUAAUGUGAUGGGUUCCAAGUCAAUUCAUAUGACCAGUAAAAAAACAUAAUUUAGCUUUAAAAAAAAAAUUCAAGAUGAUACUUGUUUUGAACAUUGAUACGACAUCUUGGAUCGACUCUAGUUUUGUGACGUAACUCUUUAAACCCAUGACUUGAAUAAUGGAUUCUAUCUGGUUUAAUUUUUUAUAAAAAAAAUUAUUUUUUACUUAAUAAUAUGAUAAUAAAAAUAAAAACUCGUAAAAUUGAGCACUAAUCAAAUAUUAAGAUAUUUAUUUGAGACUGCAAUAACAUCAUUGAAAGCAAAUUGAAACAAAAUCAAUUCAAAAUCAAAUAAAUGUUAAACAAAUAUUAAAAGAUGAAACCAGACAAAAGCCAAAAAGGAUUUAAUUGAAAGAAAGAAAAUAUUGGAAUGUAGAGUUUAAAAACUAAGGAAUAAUAUUUAUUAAACUUGAUCCUAAUCUAUCGACUUGACUUCUUACCUAACAUAUAUUUAAAAUUAAUUUGUAAGGGAGUUGUCUGUACAUUACCUAGUUGACUUGACAUGUGCAAAUUAAAGCAACCUGAAUGACCAAUAAAAACAUGGUUUGGAUUUUAAGAAAAAAAAUCAAGAUAUCUUUUUUUUUUAAUAUUGAGACGAAAAUAUAUUAGAUCAACUCAAGCUCCGUGGCUAAACUCGUCAAAUACGCAACCCAGAUCAUGAACUCCACUAGAUUUAAAAACUAUUUUUUUAUAUAAUGAUACAAUAACUAAUAUAAACACUUAUAAAAUUGAGAACUAAACAAAUUUAGUGACGUUUAUUUGAUAUUGUGAUAACUACAUAUAAAGAAAAAAACAAAUUAUGACCAAUUCAAAAUUAACAAAAUAUUAAAGUGAAAUUGAAAGGAAAAAAAGGGCAAAAAUCAUUCAAUCAAAAGAAGAAAAAAUUAGAAGAUAGAAUUUUUUUUUUAAGGGAGGAUAUGAAUAGCAAAAUAGGAGGGAAAACCCUAACUUUUUUUAGUAUAAUAAAUGAUGUUUAAUUUAAUUAAAAUCUUUAUCUCAUACAAUUAGACCUAAAAAGAGAAGAAAAUUUCUAAAGAUUGAUUUGUAAAAAAACAGAAAAAAAAAUCAAAUCAAGAAGCGAAAAAAUACAAGGACCAAUAUACACACACAUAGUGAAAGAGUUAGAAAAGCAUAACUUUUUUAGUAUAGUAGUUUAUUUCUAAUUAAAUUGAAAACUUUAUCUCAUAUAAUUAGGCCAAAAAAGAAUUAAAUAAAAAAAAAAGGAUUAAUUUAUAAAAAGAAAAAGAAAAAUAAAGAAUACAGAACCAAAUCAACAAAGAAAAAAACUAAUUUUUAAAAAAUAAAGUGCUCCACUAUUCAUAUAAAAUAGAACAUCAUUAUAGUAUCCAAUUAGACAGUGACCCAUAUUACUGGCUAUUUUAAUUUUUUUAAAGAAAAAAAAGUUUCAGUAUUUUCAAAUGUGAUAAGUUUUUUUUUUAUAAAAAAAAACAUAUAUGUGUGCAAGGGAAUAGAGAUUUGGUUUGAGAAUACAUGCUAAAAAUCUAAACAUGAACUAAAACAAAGUGGAAUUAAAAAGAGUAAAAAAAAAAAACCUAAAAGAGAUCCAUGAUUCAUUAUAUAUAUAGACUAUGAGGUUACGAGGUAAAAUAUUAUGGAUUAGCAUAAUAUAAUUACUUUUUACCCUUCUCUACACAACAAUUACCUUGCUAAUAGGGGUAAAGUUGUCUUUUUCAAUGAUUUUAAAGGUUAUUUAUAAAUUCACUGGAGAUAAUUUAGUAGGUUUACUCCUUUUUUGCAUAUUAAAACUACAUCAUUGCCUUUGCAAGCCAAAAAAAGAAAAAACAAUUAACCUUUUGUUUAAGAUCUAUUUUGUAUUUUGUAUUUGAUUUAUACAGUAAAAUGACAUUAAUGCCUUAGAGAGUUAAAAAAUCAUCGACUUUAAGUUACUGGGCCUUAAACUUUGUUAUUUAUUUUGGUUUUUUUUUAUAGGGUUAUUUCUAUCUCAUAUCUCAAGUUGCAGAUAAGUUAGGUUGGAUGCAUACUUAAUUAAUUAAUAAAAGUCAUGUAUAUAUUUUUGCAAAUUGGAUGCACACUUAAUUAACAUACUUAUUGAAUAUUAAGUCAGGCAAAAAAUCUAUAAAAAGAAUAUACAAGUGAGCCAAACAACAAUAUUAAGAACGAAUAAGAGGUAGUAAAAGAAGAUGAUACCAAAGGACGCAAAAUCACAAAAAUUCAUGAAACUACAUUAGGCUCUCUACAAGUGAAUUGUUUAAAAAGUUAAAAGAAAAUAAAUGCACUUUUGUCCACAGCAACAACUAAAUGCACUUUUGUUCAAUACCAAGAAAUUAAACAUUUUUUAAAAAAAAAACUAAAUGAAUUGUUUAAAAAGUUAAAAGAAAAUAAAUGCACUUUUGUACACAGCAACAACAACUAUAGCAAAAUGCUGGGCUGUAGAAUCUAGAUGAUUGUCCACAGCAACAUGAAAAAAUCAUAUAUGCUUAAGUAACUAUUUGGCAUCUCAAUCUAGUAAAUUAAUCUUAAAUUUCUUAUAUCCGACUCUUUACCUAUAUUAAAUUUAAAAUUAACCAACAUAAAAAUUGUUUUAAUAUGACUUAAUCGAUAUAGUUGGUUCAAAGUCAAUCCAUAUGACCGAUAAAAAAUGUAAUUUGGCUUAAAAAAUUUCAAAAUAACAUCUUUUUUAUAACAUUGAUACGACAAUAUAUUAGAUUGACCCUGAUUUCAUGACUUAACUCUCUAAACCCACUACCUUAAUAACGGACUCCUUCUAGUUUAAAAACUUUUUUUUAAUUAUUUUUUACUUCAUGAUAUUAUAACAAAAAUAGAUGCUCAUAAAAUUAAGCACCAACCAAAUAUCAAGAUAUUUGUUUGAGAUUACAAUAAUAAAUAUCAUAAAAAGCGAAACCGAAACAAGACCAAAUCAAAAUAAAUCAAAUGUUAAAGGAUUAAACCAGGAAAAAGCCAAAGAGGAUUCAAUUAAAAGAAAGAAAAAAAAAAUAGAAGGUUGAGUUUAAAAACAAAGUAACAAUAUGACAUUGUUAUUAAACUUAAAGGAAAAAAAAACUAAUUUAAAAAAUUAAAGUGUUUCACUAUUCAUGUAAAAAUGAAAUACCAUUAUAGUAUCCAACUAUAUAGGUGACCUGCACUAUGGGUUAUUCUAUUUUUUUAAAAGCAAAAAAAUAAAGUUUCGACAUUGUUAGAUUGUGAGAAAAAAAAAGUUUUAAAAAAUAUCCGUGUACAAAAGAGGAGAGAGAUUUGGUUUGAGAAUGCAUGGUAAAAAUCUAAACAUGAACUAAAAAACAAAGUGGAAUUAUAAAAAUUAAAAAAAAAACUAAAAGAGGUAAAUGAUUCAAGUGAUUCAUUAUAGACUAUAAGGUAAAACACUAUGGAUUACACACAAUAUAUUUACUUUUUUCUCUUCUAUACACAAAAUAAUUGUCUUGCUAAUGGGGAUAAAGUUGUUUUUUUAAAGGGAUCUAAAGGUUAUUUGUAUAUUGAUCGGGGAUAAUUUAGUAGAUUUACUGCUUUUUUUGAACAUUAAAACUACAUCUUUGCCUUUGCAAGCAAAAAAAAAAAAUUGUCCUUUCGUUUAGGUUUAGGGUUUAUUUUAUCUUUCCUAUUUUUUUUCAUAGUAAAAUAACAUCAAUAUCCUUGAUAACAAUACAACAACAAAGGAAAAUACCAAUAUUUAAAAUACAACAACUCUUUUUUUCCCAUCUUCUGUUUUCUUUUUUUCAUAUCAAUACAACAACAAAGAAAAAUACAAAUAUUUAAAAUACAACAUAAAAUUUAUUUUCCUGUAGAAUCAAUGUAACAUUAAAGAGGCAUCUUCCGUUUUCUAGUCAGGAGGGAUUAUAAGAACUCAAGAAAAUUGCCAUAUGACUUGAGGAAAAGAUUUAUACUACCGCCACCAAUCAUGUGUUUGCCUAAUGCGAGGUUCGAUAAUUACGGUAUUCUUUAGACAUGAAUAUACACACGCAUUUAUGCAUGUACAAAUGUGUGUGUAGUGUGCCUACACUUCCUCACCGUUCAUUCUGUAUGCAAGGCUAAUUGGGAGUUCACAUCUUUUUGUUAAUUCUCUUGACAAGUGUUUUAUUGAGAGUGACCAGGUUCAAGUAUUGGGGAAGUGUGCAAAAAGAAAAUAGCAAAUCAAUACAUAAAUAAUUAAAUUAAAAGAGAGGAAACAGAACUAUAUCCUCACAGAAGAUGAAAUGAUAGAGCAUAUAUCCAUUUCCCCCCUUCUCUUGUAACAUGGAUUGCUCUGAGAGCUAAUGUUUUGUUAUUGAUAUCUGAUUUCGGUCUGAUUAUCUGCGUAAAAUAUCUCUGGAGAUUCUUUCGAUGGAAAUCAGGUCUCAAAACGCCAUGCCCACUGCCCCCAUGGACCCAUAAGGUAAUAAUGCAGCCAAGCAUUGAAUUUCUAAACAUCUUACCUUUUGUUUUUCUUUUCGCAUUGUUAUCGAACUCUUUUACAUUUUAUUGCUGCAUAUUGUUAUGUAUUUCGCCUUGCUGGAAAAAUCUCAUGAUCACCUCCACGAUGCUAAUUCUGUAAUGCAUGUGAAGUGUUUCUGAUAAGGUCCCAAUCAAGAGUGAUACACAAUUGCAGAAAUGCUAGGAUUCUCUUAGGGUGAGAAUUUACCACAAUAUUGUUUGGAUAAACAUAAUGCUAUUCUUUUUAUUCUUCUUCAUACAUAUAAAGAACUAAACCAUAACAACUUUCAGCAAAUCCAGCCGAAAUGGAAAUAACAGAUUACAAAACAGAAAUGCAAAUAAUGUGAAAGUGGCUGCUUUAUUUUCUCCCAUUGAAUCGGAAGCAUGAUUCCAAUUGACUUGCUUGUAACUCCCUUUAAUCACGAUAUCUUUUAAUCACGAUAUUUUAAAUUCUUCUUUAUGACACGUGGGGUCCUUCGUGGCAGCAGCUCUCCAAGCUGCGUAUCAUUACCCCCCACAUCAAGUGGAUGCUUGUCCCCAAGGUCCAAGCUUGGGUGGUUCGUUAGCAGUUCAGCCGUUGGUUCCCAGAUGGCAUCAUUUGUAGACAAAUGUUUCCACUUCACCAAACUCUCCUCAAUAAAUCUUGCCCCAUGUGGAAUCCAACGUGUGUCCAGAAUAGCUUCUGGUGUGACCACAAUGGUGCCUUCUUCAUCAAUAGGUGGAAGUUCCAUACUAGUGUCUGCUUUGUCACCCAACUUCCUUUUAAGCAACGACACAUGAAAAACUGAAUGUAAACGUGCCCCCUCCGGAAGCUUGAGUUUGUAGGCCACAUCACCGACUCGCUUUUCAAUUGGGAACGGACCAUAAAACUUGCAAGCAAGUUUUUGAUGAGCUCGUCGAAAAGCAGUCUGUUGGCGAUAAGGUUGUAAUUUGAGAUACACAAGGUCACCUUCUAUGAAUUCGACAUCCCUUCGCCCACGAUCAACCAACUGUUUCAUGCGAUUCCUAGCAUUCGCUAAAUUCUGCUUGAGAUUCCUAAGAAGUGUGUCCCGUACCUGAAGACUGUGAUCAACUUCAUUAACUGGUGAAGAGCCUGUAGCAUAAAGUGGAAAUGUAGGUGGUAAGCGUCCAUAAAGAGCUUGAAAAGGUGUCGUUCCUGUUGAUGAAUGGUAAGCUGUAUUAUACCACAGCUCUGCCCAAGGAAGAAAUUGGCUCAACUGUCGUGGUCUUUGGUGAACAAAACAGCGCAAAUAUUGUUCCACACAAUGAUUAACCACCUCUGAUUGACCAUCCGUUUGAGGAUGAUAUGCUGAGCUCAUCUUAAGCUGAGUACCAGACAUCUUAAAAAAUUCCUGCCAAAACUUACUAAUAAAGACUUUAUCUCUGUCGCUCAUAAUAGAACUAGGCAUGCCAUGUAGCUUCACCACACCAUCUACAAACUUUUCUGCCACCAUCUUUGUUGUGAAAGGAUGUGUUAAGGCCAAGAAGUGAGCAGAUUUGCUUAGAUGGUCCACUACCACUAAAAUGGUAUCGCGACCAUGUGAAGUAGGGAGACCUUCAAUAAAAUCUAUAGUAACGUCAUCCCAUACCUGACACGGAAUAGGAAGAGGUUGCAAGAGCCCAGCUGGUUUGAGAUUAUCAGCUUUAGUUUUCUAGCAUGUCACACAUGUGUGGACAUAUUCUUUGACAGAAUGAUACAUAGAUGGCCAAUAAAACUGCUGAGAUAGACGUUUGAAUGUACCCAAUAUACCAGAAUGGCCGCCCAUCUUUGUAUCAUGAAAUUCCUGUAGUAAUUGUUCUAUCACAGCUGUGUUAGGAGGCACCACAACACGUGUUUUGAAGAAAACUAACCCAUCUCGCCAGGUAUAAGGUUUUCCAGGACUAUUUUGAGCUUGCUGAAUAAUUUGUUCCAUAUAUGGGUGUCCAGUGGAGGCCUUUUUUAUGUCUUCCCAUAAAGUUACUUGUGGCACAGACAACGCAUUAAGAAUAGGGCUUCCAGACACUCUUGAUAAUGCAUCAGCAGCUGAGUUGUCGCGUCUUGGGCGAUAUAUGAUUUCAUAGUCAUAGCCAAGUAAUUUAGCCACCCAACGUUGUUGUUCUGGUGUCCCAAUUCUUUGCUCCAAUAGAUACUUUAGACUGUGCUGGUCCGUUUGAAUGAAGAACUUUUUGCCCAGUAGAUAUGGUCUCCAAGUGCGUAUUGCCUGAAGGAUGGCAAUCAUUUCUUUGGCAUAUGUUGACCAUGAAAGUUUGGCCACUCCGAGUUCUCGGCUGAGGAAAGCAAUGGGUUUACCUUGCUGUGUCAACACUGCACCAAUACCCUCUCCAGAAGCAUCAGUUUCAAUUGUAAAUGAUUCAUUGAAAUUUGGCAUAGCUAAAAUAGGUGUGGUUGUCAUAGCUUGUUUGAGCUGUAGGAAAGUUGCCUCCGCCUCUUGACUCCAUCUGAAUUGCCCUUUCUUCAAGAGAUUGGUUAAUGGCUUUGCCAGCAGACCAUAGUUGCGCACAAAUUUUCGAUAAUAACCUGUAAAGCCUAGAAAACCAGGUAAGUCUGAAAUAGUGCUUGGCCUUGGCCAAUUUACCAUAGCUGUAAUUUUGCUUGAAUUAACCUUGACCCCUUUAUUAGUCACAAUGUGACCGAGGUACUCGAGCUCUGACUGCCCAAAUGUAUAUUUGCCUUUACAAAAUAUGUAUGUUGCCGUAGAAUUUCAAAAACCUUUGUAACAUGUUCAAGAUGCAUGGUCCGGGCUAUAAAUCAAAAUAUCAUUAAAAAAAAAACUAAUAUGAAUUGACGGAGAUGAGGAUGAAAAAUAGAAUUCAUAAUAGCUUGGAAAGUGGAAGGAGCGUUGCAAAGACCAAAGGGCAUGACCAUAUAUUCGUAGUGGCCAUUAUGGGUACGGAACACAGUUUUGUGAGUGUCUUUUGGAUUUACUCGUACUUGAUGGUACCCUGCUCUUAAGUCUAAUUUUGUAAAGAAGGCAGCUCCAUGGAGCUCAUCAAGCAUGUCAUCAAUGGUAGGAAUAGGAAAUCGAUCCUUAAUGGUUACGCUAUUGAGAGCUCUAUAAUCAGUACAAAAACGCCAAGUGCCAUCUUUUUUUUUAACUAACAAAACAGGUGAAGAAAAGGGACUAGUACUUGGUUUUAUAAGUCCCAAUUUAAGCAUGUCUUGAACUUGUUUUUCAAUUUCAGUUUUUUGAAAAUAGGCAUACCUGUAGGGCCUCACAUUAAUAGGCUCAGUAUCUUCUUUAAGAGGAAUGCAAUGAUCAACUUCACGAGCUGGAGGUAACUGUGUGGGCUCAUAAAAAAUGUCCUCAAAGUUGUUGAUGAUUUCCUUCAUAUCUGUUUGCAUAUUGGGUCGUUCCAUCUUUUCUAUGGAUUGACAAUACACUGUAAAAGUGGAACAGCCAUGACGGACAUCUUUAGUAAUUGCUGAUAGUGAAGCAGGUUGUAUAGCUUGGCUAUUAGAACCAUUUAAUGUUUGAGCUUGAUUCUUCCACCAAAAGUCCAUUGUAAAUUUUUUCCAAUUACACACCACUGGUCCGAGUUGUUCAACCCAUUGUACACCAAGAACAAGAUCAAGGCCUGUGAUAGGUAUUGAAUAAAGGGUUAAUGAAAAUGGAAUGUUUUGGAGAAUAACCUGGACUUGUUCAAACCUUCCUUGGCACUUCAUUUGAUUGCCAUCUGCCACCCUUACAGUGAAGGGUCUCAUAGGAAUAACAGGUAAUUGAAGCUCCUCUGCUAUUUUAGAAUUGAUGAAAUUAUGGGUAGACCCACUGUCGAUGAGCACUGUUAGAGUGUGAUUCCCAACUCGUCCUUCAAUCCUCAUGGUUCGUGGUGUGGACCAACCCGUGAGUGCAUGGAGUGAAAUUUCUGGCUCAGUGUUCUCCUCAGCUAUGUCCUCUACUGGAAUGUCAUCAGUAACUUCUUCGCACAUGACUCUGACAGGUUCACUAAGGCUUUCUAGUAAUAACAGUUGCGGUCUUUGGCACUUAUGUCCAGCAGUGAAUUUGUCAUUGCAAUUGAAACAAAGCCCUUGUGCACGCCGUCUCUGCAUUUUAUCCCAUGUUAGUCUUUUUAUCGGAACUGGAAAACUGGAUUUUGGUGGGGGAAAAGUCAAUGGUGUGCGAGUUAAUUGUGUUGGCCGUGUAAAUUUCCCUUGCCGCAUUAUUUGUUCAUCCUUCAUUUUAUCUAAACUGAUAGCCUCUUUCAAAGUCCGUGGUUUGAACAUCCGAAUAGCAUCAGAAAUUUCUACUUUAAGUCCACCCAUGAAUGUUGUAACAACCCCGAUUUUUCUACAUUCUUUUUCGCGAUAUAUUGGAAAUUUUCAGGUAAAUUUUUUUUUUUGUGAUAUACAGGUUCCACCAAAAUUUCUACCAAAAUUUCGGCAGAGUCUCCCCUAUACUGGUAGGUCCCAGGUUAUCGACAUAUACCAUGUUUACACUUCUAAUAUCUCACAUCUCAUAACUCAAAAUCACGACCCAAUCAUCCUGGGUCUCAACCCAACUCAUUAUCAUCAACACAACACAUCUUAUUCAAUAACAUCAUAUAAUAUAGUUCAAAUGAAAGAUUCAAUUUCAACUAUAAAUAUGCAUGGUCAAAUAGGUACUAAGAGUUUAAACCAUUAGAGUAAAGACAUACAUUCAAAUUUACGGAUUAAUAUUACAUCUCAAGUUUUAUAAUUUACAUAGUCAAAAGCAAAAGAUAUCUAAACUAGCAUUACCCUUGACGCGACCCUGAUGGACCUGAAAAUAGAAAUUAACAUGUACACAUAAAUAUAAAAGAUAGUAACAAGCAAUAACAAUGGCAAACAAUAAUCUCUACGGAAUUUCUUUUGAUAUAUAAAAUUAGGCAUAAACCUCUUUUACAACAUAUAUUUUACAUUUAUUACCAAUAUCCAUCUAAUAUCCUAUCUCAUUUACCAAGAAUAAUUCCAUCUUGGAAAUCUCAACACAACUCAACGGUUUGCGAACACCAUCUCUUUAUAAAUCAAUUCUCACUUGAUACCAAGAUAUUCCUCUCUUGGUAUUAUUAGCUUAUCUCAUUCUUUUGGAAUAACUAAUUAAUAUUUUCCCUUUUCUGAAUCUGUUGCUAGAAGGUAAUCACUGAAACUAAUAAAUCUCAUUAGUAUCAUUAGUCUUCAAAUAUUGGGCUAGACUAAUCAAUUUAAGAAAUACUGGCACCGAUGAAACUUCAUCGAUACCAUUAGCAAUCCAAACUUGGAUGGCUAAUCAAUUCCAUUUGAUUCUUCCAUUCGUACCGAACCCCUUUUAUCUUUCUUAUUAACAUCAUAUGCAUUGUAACCACGGUUGCCAAGUAUCAUUUGCACACAAUCUUAGUUAUCGACACUACGGUCACUAAGCAUCCUUCACAAAACCUUGGUCACCUUCAUCACAGUGCCAAGUAUCAAUUUAUGCCCUUAGCCACCAUCAUUAUGGUGUUAAGUAUCAUUGUAAUGUAUCCUUAGCCACCGACACUAUGGUAACCAAUUAUCUAUCAAUUCACCUCCAAUCUCCAAGUCAUUGUGUCUACCCAAUAACCACAUUAAUUAAUUUACUCAAUAUGUUAGUCAUAUAUUAAUUAUUUUACUCAUAACAUUUAGAAUUUACUAUUUCUAACUUCAAUCAAUUAAUUCACAUAAUCUUUUCAAAACUUAACUAUCCGGCUAACUCAUCUCGAUUGCCAAUAAUUCUGGUAAUUUCAUAUAAUUACCCACACUUUUGGUUAACCUCCAUCGGUUACCAAUACAUCUGGUAAUUCCAUACGAAUUACUCAGCCUCCAGCUAACUUCUUUUGUUUGUCAAUUAAUCCUGUAAUUCCAUACGAAUUACCCCAUAUCCAGUUAACCUUCUUGUUAACCAAUAAACCCGGUAAUUCUCUUAAUUGUCCAAGAAAUCUGGCUAACCCAUCUUGGUUGCCAAGGUCAAUCCGGUAAUUCCAUACGAAUUACCCAUCAUCCAGCUAACCUCUCUUGUUAGCCAAUGAAUUCGGUAAUUCCAUACGAAUUACCCAUCAUCCAGCUAACCUCUUUUGUUAGCCAAUCAAUCCGGUAAUUCUAUACGAAUUACCCCAUAUCCAGUUAACCUUCUUGUUAACCAAUAAAGCCGGUAAUUCUCUUAAUUGUCCAAGAAAUCUGGCUAACCCAUCUUGGUUGCCAAGGUCAAUCCGGUAAUUCCAUACGUAUUACCCAGCAUCCGGCUAACCUCUUUUGUUAGCCAAUGAAUCCGGUAAUUCCAUACGAAUUACCCAUCAUCCAGCUAACCUCUUUUGUUAGCCAAUCAAUCCGGUAAUUCCAUACGAAUUACCCAAUAUCCCGGCUAACCUCUUUUGUUAGCCAAAUAAUUUCGGUAAUUUCUCUUAAAUUACCAAUAAUUCUCAUUUGUAAUAAUCACUCAACUUAUUCAUUUGUUUCAUUCUUUUAACAUCAAUUAAACACACAACACAAAUAUUUAAGAAAAACUAAUAAUUACAAAAUAAGGUGAUGAAUCACCUACCUAGAAUAGGUGCACGUGCUGCCACUCCAUGCAAUUGUCCAGUCCCCACAGCUUUCCCCUGUACCACCAGGGAUUCAAUUUUUAUCAACAAUACAACCAACAUCACAUCUUCAUUUAAUUCUCAUUCAACUAGUAUUCUCAAACUAAUCACAAGGAAUUUUCUUUAAGAUCUCAUACUCUUACUCAUUUUAAUGUUUAUAUUUAUUCUUAUAAUUUUGUUAUCAAAACCAUCACUCAACAGCAAUUCCAAGCAACGAUUAAAAAUUGUCUAAUUCCGAUCAAUUAAGCUUAACCAACCCAUAACACUAUCUAGUGUCUUAAUCAUAACUAAAGUUGUAAAACUCAGUUUUGGGCGUGAUUUAUAUCUCUAUGAAAGGCUAAACAUAGAGAUACAAAUUUUAUGAAGAAACCAACUCCAAAUUAUUUUGUUUUAAGGCUUAAAAUCAACAAUCACAAUAGCCCUUCUUUAUGGCUAAAAUUUUGGACAACGAGGAUUUUCAUUCCUUGGAAAUCCUUUUCAACUUCCAACUUAUUUUCAUGCAAAAUCAACAUCAUCCAAGGUCAUUUGGCAUCAUUAAAUCACAAGUUCAAACCAAUUCUAAAGCAAAACAUUCAAACAAUUUCCCUACCUCUACAAUAUAGCAAGAUUAGACCAAAAUAAGGAAACUCAUUCCUUUUGAGAUUUCUCCUAUUAUUAUUAUUAAUACAACAAAAUGAUGAACUAUUCAUUUUCUUUCGCUUUCUCCUCGUGCGAUUAAACAUAUACGGCAAACCUUAACAAUUAAUAUUCUCAGAUCAUUAUCACAACAAUAAUUUCACUCUACUAAUUGGGAUCCAUGACAACCUUCAUUAACUAACCAUUUGCUAAAAACACUUAUGGCUAGCUUUAAAUAUGUUUUAUUUUUUUCAAAUUUUUUUCAUUUCAAUUUCUUCAUGGUUCCACCCCAUUUAUAUCCACACAACCAACAAGUUAGCUUUCUAUUCAAUCAACAUGUUCUAUUCAAUCAACACGUUCAUAUAGCAAUAUUCUUUACUAUUCUUACACAACAAUCAUUCUUCCCCUCAUAUAAAGAAUACACAAUUAAUCUAUAAUAUUACUAAUAACAGGAACAUAUUUUAUCAUUACAUCUUCCAUAAAACCUACACCCACACAAUUCUAAUUUCAUCAAAACAUGUAUUUAAUCAAGCUUACUACAUUUUGCAAAAACUAGCAAUAGAUUCAAAAAGCAAUAAGUCAUCAACCUCUGAUUAUUGUUUCCCACCCAACGGUCAGACUACAUAUCAUAGCGUUGUGCAUAAUAUAUCUCAAAUUCAUAAUGAUCCAACGGUUAAAUCUCCCUAGAUCUGAAGAAAACCGAGCUUACCUGAAAAUGAACGAGCUACUGUUCAACAUGCACGCAACCUUGCCGGAGAAAUAUGUUCCGAUCUCCACUGUCCAGAAUGAAUUUAACAUCUACGCGCACCACAUAUCCAACAAUUAGCAUGAUCCAACGGUGGAAGAGAGAGAAAUCGGCCGGCGACCAAACUGCCCUGCAGGUGCAUUUCCUUUUUGUUUUCCAUGAAAUUCCAGAUGAUGAUUUCUGUCAAAUGGAUUGUGUUCCUUCCAAUCACUCCGGUCAGUUAGUAGAGGAGUGUAAUGAGAACAACACGUCCAAAACGCAGCUUGAUCCAACGGUUGAUUCCCGAGAUAUGACCACCGGAGCAUUAUUGGUUUUCUCCAAAAUUUGCAGCUCUCUCCCCUUAUCCGCUUUUCUCUAUUUUUUUUCUUUUUUUUCUUUCUUUUUUUCUUAACUGGUGGCCUCUUUGCAGAUUUAUAGGCACCUUUUUUUUUCAUAAUUACAAUUUUGUCCCUCUUUCAUGCUUUUAUGUAUUUUAUUUUAUUUUUCAUGUAAACUAUCUCGUUUAUUUCUGUUUAAAUCGCUAGUCUUUACCAAACUCUGAUUGGGAUGAGAUAUUUAACCAAGGUAGGAAAACAUAUUAAUAGGCUUCAUACAAAAUUUCAUCCCGAUCCGACGAUUGGAUUGAGAGCUCUGCUUCCUAAUGUAAAAUUGAUCAGUUCAUAACUUUUCGUAAACAAUCUAGAUUUUUUUUUUGUUCAAUCUUCACAAAAAAAAAAAACAUAUCAAUUAUCAUUCUAAACCUUUAAGGUCAUUUAAUUAUUUUGGAAUGUAUUCAUUUUAGGAUUUCCACCUUUAUUUAUUUAUCGGGCUUAUUAUCGUUUCAAAAUAACAUCACUGAUUUUUAAGCGGUGCUUGCACCUUCAGUCCUACCCUUUUCAUUGUACUAUCAUUUAUUAUAAUGUAUUCUUUAUUACCUCACUUAUUUCCUAAAAAUAUUUUGUCAUUUUUCUCAUUAUUUCAUCCAUCAAAACACGUUACCAGUUUCUCUAUCCUUAUGAAUUCUAAACCAAAAUUCAUUUUAUGAAGGUCAUCUCUUCUAUUAUAUAUCAUUAUUUAUCUAUUAUUUCUAAUCUUGGUUUCCAUCACUCAUUGAAAUAUUACCACUUUCAGUCUUAUGUUUACAUGAGGGUUUAUACAUCUACAUAUUUAAAUUAUAAAUUUCCAGGGUUUCACAAAUGUGCCCACCAGCGCCUUUUGAGUCCAACCAUGAACUCGAUUGCCCAACCUCUCAAAUUCCUUCUGAUAGUCCCUUAAGGAACCCACUUGUCUGACCUUUGAUAAUGCUUCAUCAAAAUCCUCAUAUUCUGUGGGCCCAAACCGUGCCCAAAGCUCUUCUUCAAAUAUCUCCCACGUGACAGUGCGCCCUUCUUCCUUGUGAGCUCGAUGCAACCAUUGCCACCAUUGGUUGGCUUCUCCUUCCAAAUGGAAUGAGGCCAAUGAUACUUUUUGAUUGUCCGCAGUCUCUUGAUAUUCAAAAAAUUGGUCCACCCAAUUGAACCAUUCGGUUGGAUCAUCCCCAGAAUAUCGUGGAAAGUCUAACUUGGCCAUUUUUUAUGAGAAGACGUGGCGUCCACACUCAUUAUCAGUUUUCUUCUUUCCCCCAUCAGUGUCAUCCCGAUAUGUGCGUGAGAAGCCAUCCCGGUCGUUGUUGUGGUAACUUGAAGACGCCUUGGAAGCGAUCAUGACCUCUGAAAGUUUGUUGAUGGUUUCCUCCAGGCUGUGCAAUCUAUUGAUCAUGUAAUCUUCCAGUCGCUGCAUGCCAUCUUGGACUCCACCAAGUCCUGUCUCCAAAAGCUCAAUUCGUUCUUUGUUUGUUGCCAUUGCGUAGGCUCUGAUACCAAUUGAUAAGGUCCCAGUCAAGAGUGAUACACAAUUGCAAAAAUGCUAGGAUUCUCUUAGGGUGAGAAUUUACCACAAUAUUGUUUGGAUAAAAAUAAUGCUAUUCUUUUUAUUCUUCUUCAUACAUAUAAAUAACUAAACCAUAACAACUUUCAGCAAAUCCCGCCGAAAUGGAAAUAACAGAUUACAAAACAGAAAUCCAAAUAAUGUGAAAGUGAUUUCUUUAUUUUCUCCCAUUGAAUCGGAAGCAUGAUUCCAAUUGACUUGCUUGUAACUCCCUUUAAUCACGAUAUCUUUUAAUCACGAUAUUUCAAAUUCUUUUUUAUGACACGUUGGGUCCUUCGUGGCAGCAGCUCUCCAAGCUGCGUAUCAGUUUCAUUCUUAACUUGUUAAGGAACAAGGACUGUGAUGCAUGGCUAUUUUAUAUUUUAUGAUUGAGAUGGUAGAUUUUAAAGAUUUUCCUGUUUAGGAGGUAAGACGUCACUUUCUUGCUUUUCUUCCGAGAGAAAGUAUUUGAUCCUUUCUUCAUAUAUAAUAAUGCUGCCAAGCAUUGAAUUUCUAAACAUCUUACCUUUUUGUUUUGUUUGUCGCAUUGUUAUCAAACUCUUUUGCAUUUAAUUGCAGUAUAUUGCUAUGUGUACGGCAUGCUUUAAUCAAAAAGUUGAGUACUCGAUGAAUGUUAGGCAAGAAAAUUACUGAUUAUUUUUGUUUUCUGCCUCCUCCUUUUCUUUCUCCCAACCUGAAAAUUGUCAUAUUAUUUUUGUUUUCAGCCGCCUCUUCUUCCCCCAACCCUGAAAAUUGUCUGAGGACACUUUUAUGCUUUGAAUCAAAUCCAUCCUAAUUCUUUCGCUCAUAACUUUAUGUGUGAACUGCCGAUGUUUGAUCAUUUGUCUUCCUUGUUCAGUGCCUUCUUUUUUUCUUUGACAUGGUUUCCUUUUUUCCUUUUAUCUUGAACAGCAUCCCAUAGUAUGCCCCCUCAAGUUCAGAAUCAUGGGCUAUUUCUCCCUAUCCUAUUGUCCACUGAUCAAUCUCAAGUACGCUAGCAGUUGUUAUCACAGAACAUGCAGAAUUGCAUGGCAUCUAAUGCAAUUCAAAGUUCUGCUGGUUUACUAGCGGCACUGCCUCUUGUCUCCGGUGUAACCCAGACUAUCCCCAACACUGUUGUCCAGAAUCCUAACAUGCAGAGUAUCCCCGGUGUUUCACAGAACUCAGUGGGGAAUUCAAUGAGACAAGGGAUUCCCUCCACUAUGUUUGCCAAUUCUCAUAAAGAAAUGCCAGGUAAUGCUCUUUUUGGUAGCUUUAUGUCUUCCACUUAUGGCAUUAGAAAUGCCACUGCUAUUGGAACUAUUGCAAUCACACAUGCAUUUGGCAUCACACGAUGCCCUUCAGUGCUCUGCACCAACUUUUCACCUCCCAUAAUGGUUCUAGUCAGUAAUGCUUUUUUAGGUAGCUUUAUGUGCUACUGCUGCCACUUAUGGCAUUAGUAAUGCCACUGCUAUUGAAACCAUUGCAAUCACACACACAUUUGUUACCCACAUCAUACCCUCCAGUGCAUUGCACCAGCUGUUCACCUCUCAUUCUGGAUUUAUAGGGUUUGUCCGUCUGUUUGAAUGAUUACAUAACGUUUAGAUGGAGUUCCUAGUACUCCUAGUUCAAAAAGACUUGUAUUCCUCUGUAGGAAAAUACUAAUAGUCCUAUCUAGAAUAGGAAAACCUAAUGAAGCUCGCUAUACUUUGGGAUAAUAAAAUACUAAAUGGAAAAUAAAAUGAGACUUGCAAUAUUCCAUAAUUUUCAGCAAGCGUGAAAAUUACAGAAAUACCCUUGUAUAUGGAAAACACACAAAAAUACAUGAAUUCUAAUCUUUGUUGCCCGCAUUGAAAUAUUUGUAGCAUCCCUAGAUUCUACAGCACAGACUGGACAUGCAAAAGGCGCUGAUUGACAAGAGUAGAUCUAUCAAAAGGUAAUUUCUGUGAUUUACUGUUCAUUAGAUGGAGUUCAUGUAUGCCAUAGUCUUAAAAAUAAAAGUGCACUAUUUCUGAAUGACUUACAGUUUAUCUUUUGUUAAGUGAAGAGUUAUUUGCACGAUUGCAAUCAACUUGUUGUGAAAAAUUUCCAGUAUUGAAUUUUAUAGAAAAUGAGGUUGAAAUUCUGAAUGUCUCAAGUCAUAACUGCAUAUUUGAUAAGGACAUUUUUCUUGUGCUUAAGUGAGUAUUAAAACGGGAAUAAGAAUGGUUGUUGUUAAGGAUCCAUGGGGUCAUGCAUAGGAUCUAAGGCUAAGAAGCGUCGCUAAAGUUGUGAAAUCCAUUGACUUGAGCUAGAACAGCAGAAAACAAUGAUGUGUAGUUUGCAGGGAGACAGUAACUGAACUUAACCAACCCCUGAAUCUUGUCUAAUGGUGUACUUACACAGUCCUUUGCAUCUUUCCAUUCCAUCAAUAUCGACAUCCUGUUGAGUUUCUAGCAUUAAUUCCACUCUAUUAUUUUUAUCUCAACUAAUUUAUGUUGUCCUCUGCCCUUUUUUUGUUAUUUUAUUUUUAUCAAUUCCCUUAAGUUUGUUUGUUUUACUUUCUUUCUGACUGGCACCUGAAGAGAUCAAGCAUAUGAGCGAUAAUGUUUUGCUGGUUAUUUGUACUUCCUAGAUCAAAGUUAUGAAGGAGACUUAUUUCCCUGAAAUAAAUGAAAUGUAUCAGAGAAUUGCUGCCAAGUUACAGCAGGUAAAUUGUCUCUGAAAUUUCUUCCGGAUUAUCUGUGCAUGCAUGAUUAUCUGCAAUUUCCCCAUGUUGAGUUUUGUAUUAGUUUGUUUUCCUCAUCAGCAUUGCCUGUCACUGUAUCAUCUGCACUAUUCACCUACCCCACCCCCAACCGCCCCCACAACCAUGCAUCGACACAGAAGAAGUGGAAUAGAAACAUUUUGUUUCACUAAUGUUUUGCUACAAAGGAUCAAUGCAAUUUUUAAUUCUCGUGUAUGUUAACUUUGCUUUCUAGCAUGACUCUCAUCCGCAACAACCGAAGUCGGAACAGCUUGAAAAGCUGGAGGUAUUCAAGGCCAUGUUGGAGCGCUUGAUAACAUUCUUACAGGUCUCUAAAAACAAAAUCACACCUAGUUUCAAGGAGAAAUUGGGUUCCAAUGAGAAGCAUAUUGUAAGUUUUCUAAACCCAGGCAGAUCAGGAAGCCAAUUCCUAAUCUACAGCGAGGACAACUUCCCCAGCCUCAUGUGCAACCUAUGCAGCAAUCCCAGUCUCCAGUUCCUCAAUUGCAGUCCCAUGAAAAUCAACUGAAUACCCAGUUGCAAUCAAUAAAUGUGCAAAAUUCUAUACCAACAAUGCAGCAGAACAAUAUGUCAAGCUUGCAGCAUGGUUCUCUUUCAUCUUUAUCUGGGUUUUCUAUGUCACAACCAAUCAUGAUGAUGUGGGACGAGAGAUUUUACGAGAAGAAAAGGGGGUAGAGAGAAUGAUAUUGUAGCAAAAAUAACUAAUCAAAUAGAAAGGCUGAGCUUAGAGACAGCACACUACAAAGGAAGCACCCAAUAGCUAGACAUACAAUCAUAACAAAUUCAUCUUCUAAAGUUGGAGAACUUGCGAAAACUAGCAACCAUAAAAUAGUAACAAGUAUCUAUGCAAUCUUCGAUGAAGUACAACCACCUACGUCGCCAAUAUGGAUUGAUGUAGAGAACUGCUGCAAUCGUCAUCACCACAACUGUGUAACAUACACUGAAACUGAUGUAGAAAAACUCCAUGUCUAUGAAACCAUCAUCUUCUUGUUCAUCAUGAGGCACUGGCUGGGACAACACUACUUCUUCACUACAAUUGUUUCGCAAUGGAGGUCCACACAAGAAAGGAUUUCCUUCGUAACAGCUUUCAUCGAAGGUCCCAAACUGAUAUUUUCUCUCGGGUGUCUUACCUGACAAGUUAUUGUGCUCCACACUAAAAACUUCUAGUGUGGUCAUUUCAGUAAGUUGUGGAGGGAUGUCACCAUUCAAGUUGUUGUAAGAAAGAUCCAAACUCUCAAUCCGCUUCAGGUUUGAGAAUGUUGCAGGGAUAGAUCCAGUGAGAUUGUUGUGUGAUAAGUUUAAUGACAGUAUCUCGCUUAAGUUUCCAAAUUCUGGUGGGAUUGCUCCUACAAAGUUGUUAUUGGAGAGAUCAAUACCAGACAUGUAGAUGAGAAUUUUCCCUUUGUAACCAUAAUACAUAUUUUUAGUUGUAAAUUCUAUCACUUCUUCUGUAAAGUUAGUCCAAUAACCCUUUAAUAAGGUGUAUAUGCUAUCCACUUGUGGUGGACCCAUUAUUUCAUAAUAAGCCUUUUCUAAGAACCCUGGUAGUAAAAGAACAUCGAGAUUCACUAAUGCUUUCUGGGAACUUUCUUUGAAAGUAAGAUUUUCCAAACAGGAGGGUAAUGGACCAGAAAGCUGGUUUUGUGAAACAUCCAAAAUGCUUAAUUGUUUUAAUAAGCAUAACUGAACAGGGAACUCACCAUCAAAGUGAUUAGCUCUCAGAAGAAGAACACUCAAUGAUGAAAGAUUGCCAGCCCAAUUUGGAAUUGAGCCGGUGAAGCUGUUAUCUCUAAGAUCCAUCGUAACCAGGGAAGAGCUAUUAUAAAAUCCAUAUUUUAAUGGACCGCUCAAUCUAUUUUUGGAUAGAUGCACAUGGGUUAUUUGUGGUGAAUUGAAACAAGAUGGAAUAUAUCCAAACAAAUUGUUCUCAGAAAGGUCCAAAUAUUCAAGCUGGUCAAACUUACAAAAAAAGUCUUUUGGGAUAGGACCCUUAAAAUGGUUUUUUGAAAAAUCAAUUGCUCUAAGGUUCGUCGAAUUGACGAACCACCUUGGAAGCAUGCCUGAAAAUUGAUUGUUACUCAAAUCCAAUACAAUCCACGUUUUCCACCCGUUUAAUGGAAAAUCUGAUAUUUGACCCCAAAAGUUGUUAUCACCUAGAUAGAGAUAUUCUGAGGUAGAAGAAUUGAACACGGAGGUUGGUAUUUGCCCACCCAAAUUGUUGUUUGACAGCUUGAGAAACAUUAAUGUUGUUAGUAGUUCUAGUUUUACCGUGGACAAUUGAUUGUUGGAUAAAUCUAAAACUCUCAAAGAGCUAAUAUUUCCUAAACAAGAAGGAAUACAACCCGUGAAUCCAUUCUUAGCCAUCCUUAAUCCCUUCAGAUUUGGAAAGAUCAAACAAAUAUCCUUUGGAAUUUGACCGCUCAUGUUGUUGUUGGAUAUAUCCAAUUCGGUCAUUUUCGGAUAUGGGUGAUCUUGCAACUGCAAAGUACCAACAAAGGAGUUCCCGCUCAGAUAUAGUUGCUCCAAUCGUGUAUUGUUCUUAAGCAACCACGAUGGAAACAUUCCGGUGAUGUUGUUGUGGGAGAGAUCAAGGAAUCUUAAGUGGUAUUGGUAAUAGAGGAAGUUGGGAAUUUCUAUAUUGAGUGCUUCCGUUGUUUUUGUCGAGCUAAAAAAGACUAGUUGGAACUUUGGAAUCAACUGAUCAAAUGCAGCAGGUUCUAUUACUAAUCUGUUGUUCUCAUUGCAGAAGAACUUGAGGCUUGAGUGGUUCAUAAAAGGUUUCAUUGAAGUGGGAACUUCAAAGAGGUUAUUUGAUAGUGAGAGGAAUUCAAGGGAUAUGAGGUUGGUAAGGGGACCGAAGGCAAUAUUUCCAGUAAAUUGGUUUUCAGAAACAUCUAAUAGUUGUAGAGAAGACAAGUUCCCCAAACAAUAUGGGAGUGAACCUCCUAAAUCAUUUUCAGAGAGAUCUAAUUGCUUCAGAUUCUUCAUUUCACACCAACCUGUACAAUUUAUGGAUAUAAAGUCGUUAAAGAUGAAGGCUAAGUCAAACAUGAUAAAAUACUAUCAUUAAAUUGAUCAUUGCAUAGAUAUAAAGUCCUUUUUUAUAUAUAUAUAUAUAUAAUGUAAUGAAUAUUAUUGAUUAUUCAACAUAGUUUUAAAUAAUAUAAUAUUUUUUAAAUUUAUAAUAUUAUAAAUUAUAAAAUUAUUGAUACUUGCAAUGAAGACCAAGUCUCAAAAUACCAUAUCCACUGGCAGUGGUAAUGCAGCGAAGCAUUGAAUUUCUAAACAUCCUUACCUUUUGUUUUAUAUUGCUAUGUAUAUACAAUGCUUUAAUCAAAACCUAUAAUGCAGGAAUAUCUGCAGAUGGCCAUUCCCAAAGGGAAAACUAAUCUUCCCUAGAAUAUUACAAAGUGCCAUUUCUACAGUGAGACACUGAAUAGUGAAAUUAGUGUUUCGUUUUUGUUGUUUUGUUGCUGAUAACUAGAUCUGUUAAAUCUUUUCCCUGUACUUUUACAUUAUGCAGUAAACUGGUCCCUUCAUUAGUUUUUCGUUAGUCAAAUAUUGUAGAGCUGUCAGCAAUAUUUCCUCUGUUUGUUCCACUAACUUGACGGUAAAAUGUGAUUAAAGAAUCAAUUAAUUAUUUAAAAAACGUCGAGGGAUUAAUUUGUUUGUUUCACAAAAAACAGACACUGGUUAUAUAAAAUUAUACUCAAAUUUUUUUCAUCAUAUGCGUGUGUUUACUUGUAAAUAUUUUGGAAGGAACUAGUUUAUGUUUUGCGCAACAUAAAAAAAAUCAUCUAGGCUUAAGAAACUAGCUCGAUCUAGUGGAUUAAUUUUUAAUUUUUUUUAUUUGACUUUUUAUCUAUAUCAAGUUUAACAUGAAAGUUAAUGUCUUUGUUUAAUUCGCAUGAUAACAAUUCUAUGUCUAAGAUCAUUUGGUUGGCAUACAUAUGUAAACCUAGGUGUUGUUAGUUCGAGGGAAGGAAGACACAAUAAAAAAUAAACAAACAUGGAUGAUAUGUCAUUUAUGUUUUACUUUUUUUAAUUAAAAAAACAGGCUUAAUAAAAAAUAUCAAGCGAGGUCAGAUGCGCGAGCCUUGUUUUAUAAUUUUUUAUUCAAAUUUUAAUAAUUGUUUUCAAUUAUUAUGCAUAUGACAUAAAAAUCUGUUCAUGAAAAUUAAAUUCAAAUCACUUUUUUAAUCUUAGAAUUUUUAGAUAUAUUUUUAGCAUAAUUUUAUCAUAUUUAUGAUUUUUUUUAACUUUCAAUCACAUGAAUAUAUUAUUUUGAUACAUUUUUAAUUUGUUGUGACAAUUAUAGAAUAUUCUUUUAAUAGAAACAAUGAUUCUAGUUAAGAAAAAAAUCUUGCAUUCAUCGAGAUAAACAAGAAAUAUGUUAAUAAGAAAAUUUAUCUUGAUGGAGAAAAAUUCAAAACGACUAAAUUUUCAAGUUUAAUAACAAUGCCAAGGAGUUUCCUUAGACUUGGAUAUUUUGUUCUACGUUUAAAGUUUUUUUUAUCUCCAUAACAUAGCAUUAGCAUACAAACUUGUAUAUUUUUAAGACAGCGUUUGGUUACUAUCCGGGACAAUAAAGACAAAGACAGAGGAGACAAGACAUAAAAGAAGAUGGAGAUAGAAUUGUGUUCAGUAGUGAUGUACAAGAUAAAAUAAUUGUCUUUGUAUCAUAUUUAGUUAUGUUGAAUAAGAAAGAAUAAAAUACAUAAAAAACUAUUUUACCUUUAAUAUGUAUUGUUGUCAAACUUCCAUAUUUAAAAAAUAAUUAUUUUUAUUUUUUUACUUUAGUUUAUAUUGAAUGUUGAAAUUAUUAAUAUUAUAAUAACCCUAAUUAUAAAACCAGGACUGAUUUGACAGGUUGGUUUAAGGCGUAGACUUGCCCGAGUUUUAGAAAAAUAGAUUAAUGAUUAACUAGACCUGACCUGGUAAAAAAUAUGAGUCAGGUUAAGAUAAAACACAAGUAAAAAACCCAUUGACUUUUUUGAAAAAGAAAAUUGGUCAAAACAAGGUUUCUUUGACUAUUUUUUUUAAAAAAAAAUUGGGUCAAUCAGGUUGACCUUCCCAACCCAUGACCUACACCUUUCCUUUGGUCAACUCCUAAGUUGAGUUUUAAAACUAUGAUAUUAAUAAUUUUUAUCCAUACUCAGGUCAACCUGUGUUGACCCUCUCGAUCCAUGACCUAGGCCUUACUUCUGUCGACUCCCGAGUCGGGUUUUAAAAUAUGAUAAUAACUAUUUUUAUCCUUACAUUAAUCCGGGUCGACUCUCUUGAUUCGUGACCCGAGUCUUACCCCAAAUUGACUAUCGAAUCAAAUUUUAAAACUAUGAUUAUAACCACCUUUAUUUUAUGUUGACCCGGGUCAAUCCGGGUUGACCCAUAUAACACGUGACUCAAGCCUUAUCCCGAGUCGAUCCCCGAUUUGGGUUUUAAAACUAUAAUAAUAACUAUUUUUAUCAUUACAUUUACCUAGGUCAAUAAUCAACCUCACUUGUGACCCCAAAAUUGCCCGGGUCGACCCUUAAAUCGAGUUUCAAAAUAUGAUAAUAACUAUUUUUAUUUUUAUACUAAUACAGGUCAACUCAACUCGUGACUCGGGCCUCAACCAGUGACCCAGAAUUUACCCCGGAUCGACCUCAAAGUUGGAUUUUAAAACUAUGAAAAUAAUUAUUUUUACCUUUAUAUGUCUUAAUUAGACAAUUUAGAAUUGAGAGUUUUUUAUAAGGAUAUUUUAGAAAUAAAAAAUAAUAAAUAUUGUCUCUAUAAACAUGUCCCUUCUAUACCUCAUAUUUUGAAAAUAUAAAAAUUCACUCUAAAAUUAUUCUAGAGACAAAUUUAUUUUUAUGUAUUUGUCUUUAUCUCUUUAACCAUAUAUAUUUAUAUCUUUAUUGUCUUCAUCCUUUUUAUCACACGACAAUGACCAAACAUUACCUAAAGGAUCUACAACUACUGAUGACAAACUUGGCUUUAUUUCAUCUUUGAUUUCUUCUCAAUGAUAUCUCACCUAUAUGUGUGGAGGCACUAGAUCGUUGAUUGAAAGGUUGACUUUGAAAAAAUAUAUUCAUAAAGUAAUGUUUGAAUCUUGGUGUUUUUUAUUGGCUCAAAAAAAUUACCAACCCACCAAAACCAACAUGUAUGAAACAUUUAGAUUUAAUAUUAUAUGUAUAAUUUAUUAUCAUAAUUGAUAUGCUAUUCAACUCACUAACUUAGUAGGAUGACCUAUAAUACCUGUUGAUCUAGGAUUUUAGCCGAAUCAAGCUUUAAGCCAGAUAUAAUAACUAUGAUUUUAUAAAAUUACUAUGAACUUCCCUUUUAUGUCUUCUUAUUUACUCAUUUGAUUUUAUGAAGUUAAGAUGUUUGCAUUUAUAUCAUGAUUAAACUCUAGGAUAACAUUUAGUUAUUACUUCAGGAUAACAAAAAUAAAGAUAGUAAAGACAAAAUUAUGUUUGGUUGAAAAGACAUAGAUAUAAAAAUAAUUUUUUUCAUGGGAUAAUUUUAGAGUGAAUUUAUGUACUUUCAAAAUAGAAAGUACAAAUAAGAUAUAUCUUCAUAAACAAUAUUUUUUAUUUUUAUUCCUAAAAUAUCAUUGAAAAAACUUUCAAUUCCAAAAUUGUCUAAUUAAAACAUGUAAGAACAAAAAUAGUUAUUAUCACAGUUGUAAAAUCUAACUCGAGGGUCGACCUGGGACAAGGCUUGGGUCAUUGUUUGGGUUGACCAUUGACCCGAGUCAACAAAAAAAUAAAAAUAGUUAUUAUUAUAAUUUUAAAACCUAACUUGGAGGUCGACUCAGGGCAAGACCCGGGUCAUAGGUCAGGAGGGUCAACUCUGGUUGAACUGAGUUAAUGUAAGGAUAAAAGUGGUUAUUGCAAUAGUUUUAAAACUUGACUCAGAGAUCGACCUGAUGUAAGCUCAGGUCUUGGGCUAGGAGGGUUAAUGCAUGGAUAAAAAUAAUUAUUAUCAUGAGUCGAUUUGAGACAAAGCCUAGGUUAUGGGUUGGGAGGGUCAACCCGAGUUGACCCAAUUUUUUUUUUUAAAAGAAUCAACACAACUUUGUUUUGACCAUUUUUUUUUAAAAAAAAAUAGCUGGUUUUGCCCUAUGUUUUAUCCCGAGUCGACCUGUGUUUUAUCCCGAAUCAACUCGGUUUUUUAAUUCACCUAUCUAUUCUUAAACUUAGAUUAAUACAGGCUUAGAGACGACUAGGUCCCGAAUAGAUUCACUAGGUCAGUCUAGGUUUUAUAACUAGGAUUAUUAUAAUAUUAUUAAAAUUAAACUAAAGUAAAAAAAAAUCUAAUUAUUUGUAUAAAUAUGUAAGUUUAACAAUAAUGCAUAUUAAAGGUAAAAUAAUUUUUUUAUUUUUUAUUUUUUUUAUUUAUCAUUAUCAAAUAAGAUAUAGAGACAGUUACUACCAAACACAAUUUUAUUUUCAUCUCCUUUUAUAUCUUGUUUUCAUGGUCUUCUUCCUUUUUAUUCAGGACAGUAACCAAAUAUUACCUAGUUAUAACAUAUAGAAACAUAUAAGUUGUCAAGUUCAAGCCUUUCUCUUAUCGAUUUAAAUAAAUUGAAACACAAUUGCAAGAAGAUUCGAGUGUGUUUGGUAUUGUGAUAGCUUUUGUGGUUGUGAUUUGAAAAAAAAUUGUUUUAUAAAAAAUACUUUUGGUUGAGGUUGGUUUGGUAUUUAUAUAUAUUUGGUUCAAACUGUGGUUGAAAUUGAGGUUGAACAAAAAGUAGUUUAAUGUGUUUGGUUAAGAAUGCUUUUCAAAUUGAGGUUAUAAAAUAAUUAAAAAAAGAUAUUAAUAUUAAUGGUUUUUAAUUUAAAUAUUGUAGAUUUAACUACUGUUAUUACAUCAUGAAAUAAAUAAUACUUUAUAUAAAAUAUUUUUAUUGUUCCAUUAAACUAUCUACAAUUCCAUCACGUACGAAAUCCAUCCGACAAGGACUACAGUUUCCUUGGUUUUUUAAGUGCGCAACAACAUCAUGUAAAAUAUCAUCAAGAACAAAAUUAGGAUUGCGAUCAAAUUCUGUAAAUGUUACGUCAUUAAGCGAUCUCCUUCUAAUUUAUGUAGUGUCAUUGAAUAAUGUUAAACAUUAGUUUUUUUGAAUAAAAUACAAUUAAAAAUAAAAAAAUUGAAUUUUAUUUUAUUUUACUGGGUCGGACCCGGUUCAAUGCAUUUAGCUUUGAACCGGACCCAAUUCGGCCGGAAUAAUAAAACAUUCUCCACUGUUCACGUGAACAGUGGAGAGUGAAGUAAUUCACUCUCACUAGGUGGAGACAACAGAAGAAAAGAAAAGGCAGCUUUGAGCUGCUUUCAAUGACACUGCAUUUUAAACAUAAAUUAUAAUGGAUCCUGUAAACAGUAAAUAAUAUUUUAUUAAUUAUCACAUGAUUGAUUUCUGUGGUUUGUUACAAAAACAGAAGCAACCACAGAAAUAAUCAGGUUCAAAGAAGAAAAGACAUAUGAUUAAAGUGCCACGCAACCUUUUGACAUUAUCAGUAUUUUGAUGUAUUUCCAUUAAUUUAUAAUAUACAAGUAUAUUUCCACGUUUCUUUUAUUUGGAUAGAACAUCUUUCCAAUAGAAUUUGUUUUUAUUAGAAUUCCAUAUUCAUGAUAUUUUUUUAAUAAUAAAAAUAGCAUUGGAUGAGUUUGUAUGUCAAUUGAAACUAAAAAUGUGUUAGAUACGAUCGAUGGAUUGAACAUGAUAAUAUAAAUAUCAAAUAAUGUUUAAUUAGAUUAAAUUGAACUAGAGAAUAUAUGUUUUUAUUCUAUGUUUGGUGCACACAAAAUAAGAUCAAAUAAUUUUAUUUUUAUCAUUGAGAUUUUUUCAAUCAUUUAUUUUAGUCUUUGCAUUUUAUUUUUAUGAUAUUUUAGUCCUUACUAGAAUUUCUUUAUCAUCUAGAACAAUCUAGUUCUUAAAUCAAAAAGGUUUUUGCAAUUAAACUCUUACAUGUAAAUAUUUAUUUUAAUAAAAUUGGUCAAAUUUUGGUUUUCCAAAUUAAAAAAUAAAUAAGUGAUAAAUAAAUAAUAGAUAAUAUAAAAAUUAAGAAAAAAUAAUUUUGUACAAAUUUUUUGUCCUGAGGAAAACUUUGGACAAGACAAUGACAAUGAUCAAUCCUUGUCAUGUCCAAAGUGUAUAUCAAACAUUUCAUAGCUUGCCAUGUGCAACAAAUAUAUCACAACUUGUUUUUAUUGUAUUCUAUUAUGAUCUCUUUUGUGUUUUAUAUUAUUUAAUAUAUUAAAAUAAAUUUAAUAAAUUAUACUGAAGCAAGAUCUAAUAUUAGAAAGUUAACGGAAAUAAUAAAUGUACCUUUGCCCGUCCCUUCAACAAAAUGCUGAGCUGUAUACUAAUUCUCAGAGGCAGUGAUAACUAGUUGUUCUAACUAAUCCCUAUACUUUUAAAUAUGUUUACAAUUCAGUCCCUUCAUUAAUUUUUCGUUAGUAAAAUGUUGAGCUGUCAGCAAUAUUUCCUUAGUUUGUGCCGCUAACUUGACGGUAAAAUGUGAUUAAAGGAUCAAUUAAUUAUUUAAAUCAACUUGAGGGAUUAAUCUGCAUUUGCUUAACAAAACGACAAACACUAGUUAACUCAAAUUUAAGGUAUGUUUGUUUUUAUAUUUCAAAAACGUUUUGAAAAAAUUUGAAAAUUUUUUAUUUUUUUCUUUGCUUCAAAUUAAUAUUUUUUGGUAUUUUUAGAUCAUUUUGAUAUGCUAAUAUUAAAAAUGAUUUUUUUCAAAAAACAUAUUUUAAUAUAUUUCUGAGUGAAAAACAUUUUAAAAAAUAUCUGUAACCACACUCUCAAACAAUCACAUUCCCAUACAGGUUAAUCAUCAUAUGCGUGCAUGCGUGCGUGCAAGUGGGGUUCAAUCCGGGUGCCCUAGCAUUAUAUUAUAAUACUUAUAUAUAUAAGAAACCCUGUAUGGAUUCGUACAACACUGGAAUGCAAUGAUUGAAUGAAAUAUUACAUGGACAUUGGACCUGCUGUGUAAACAUGUUUAGGAUGGAUGCGACGACAUUUCAGAGUUUUUGCUUUCAACUUGGAAACCAAUGUCAUAACCCAAUUCUGGGUUAUUCCCCAAAAAUCAUUUUUUUUUCAAAAUAAAAAUCAAAAUAAUAAUAAUAAAAGCUGGAAACGUGGAGAAGGCAAACCGGGGAAUCAAGUUGUAAUUUUGGAGGAAAUUCAAGGCCUAAUUGUACCCCAUUAUGCCAAAAAAUGGAGGAAAAAAAUGCAAAUUCAAGGUCAAAUUAAAUGACUAUUGGAUGAAUUUGCAUAAAAAUUAAGUCCAAGAACAUAAUUAAAUUUUUAAUAGGCCAAUUUGAUUUAAUCAUGGGCCAAAUUGAAUUUUAAUUAUGUUUAAGAAUUAAUUUGGGUCCAAUUGAAGGAUUUAGUUAAGUGCAAGGACUUAAUUAUACUUUAAAUGGGUAAAAUUAAUUUUAUUUGGGGCUUAAUUGGUGAAAAAUUAAGUUUGGGAGCCUAAUUUGGGCUUAAUUGAGAAGAUUGGAAUUUUAAGAGAUCAAAUUUAAUUUUUUCCAAGUUAAUUGCUUGAAAUCAGGGGCCAAAUUGCAAGAAAAUUGAAGUUUUGGGGUCAAUUAGGGGUUAAAUUGACAAAAUUUGCAGCCAAGGACCAAUAUGCAAAAAGUGCCAAACUAUAGGGCCUAUUGGCAAAAUCCAGGGUGAAAUUGAAGAAAUUGAAAGUUUAAUGGUUGAUUAGGGGUUAAAUUGCAUAAAUCCAAGACUAAAGACUUAUAUGCAAAAGGCGCGUAAAUUUGGGGUUCCAAUUGAAGUUCAGCAAGGGCGUAAUUGCAUUAAAUCAAAAGUUUAUGGUCAAUUAGGAGUUCAAUUAAAACAAAUUGAAAUCUGGAGGACUAAAUUAAAACUUAGUUAAAAUCCCUAAUUCAAACCUAAAACAACAUUGUUUUGAAUAAUAAUAAUAAAAAAAGAAUCAGACAACACGUCGUCUGGUCAUUAUUUAUUGUCUUCUUCUUUUACCCGGUUAAUCAUCAUAUGCGUGCGUGCAAGUCAGGGUUAUUGUGUUGUCUAUUCCGUGUGUAAUGUGGGGUUCAAUCCAUGUGAAUCGCACGACUUGUCCAUAUCUUUCUUAUUGAUUACAAAUAGCAUUGAGAAUUAAAGAAUAUUAUCUUAAUAAGUUCCAAUUUAUUCUACAAAAACUAUAUAUAAAGAUGUGACAAAAUCUUAAGUUCCAUUUUAUUCUACAAAAACUAUAAAGAUGUGACAAAAAGAUGCAGCUUACGGAUCAAGCCUGGUUCAGGUUUUGAUCCUGUUAAAAAUCUAUUUUGUUGAAUUGUUCAUCAACUCGUGAAUUAUUGGGUUAAAUAGAUUAAUUUUUUAAACAAAACAAUGCCAUUUUUUUUAUAUAUAAAAAAUUUGGUUCUGGCGUAUAAAUAUAAUAUUAGAAACUUAAACCUUAUUGAUUAGCAAAAACUCAAAGGGAAAUUUUGAAAUAGAUUUUUGUAAAAUCAAAUAUGAACCAAGUACUAGAAAGUUUGUUUGAAAUAACAAUUACUUUAUAGAAAGCAAAUAUAAAUAUAUUUAUUAAAUUUAAUAAAGUUUAAAAUCAGCAAGUUAAGCUACGAAACCCUGAUCAAUUUAAUAUAAUGCCGUUCAAUACAAAAAAAAAAUACAUCUUAAAAAAAAUUUAAGUUAAAUCAUGUUUCUACCUAUUAUUUAGGUUGUCUUCAGACUUAUAAAGUCGACUAGGUUAUAUUAGAAAAACUUUUAUAUAAUUAAAUUUAAAACUCGAGUUAGGAAAUUUUAAUAUUGAUUUGUUGAAUCGGAUUUAAUAACAAUACCAAAAAUCUAAAAUUUACUUUUUUAAUCAAUUUUUUUUAAUUCAACUCGUAUCAUAACACAGUAUAGUAAAAUAAAUAGAUAUAAAAUAUUUUGAUGGAUCCUCGGGAUAAGAGAUUGUUUUAGGACAUUUUGCUAAUUUCUUUUGUUAUCUAAUCAACAAGCUCAUAGUGAAUAAGUAUAUAAAUAUAUACAAUUAAAUUAAAUAACAUAUAAGAGAAAAAUGGUCGAAAGGUAAAGCUAAAGUGAUGCGACGUUGAGCCACUAGUCGAUAGUUGUAACGUCAGUUUGUUGGUUCGUCGUUCGUUUCUCGGAUUUAUUGAUCUUUAGAUUGUCUGUUUCUAGAAAAGAAAGAAAGAAAUAUUUAUAUUAUCAAUGCAAUGCAAUGCAAUGACUAAUAAGAGCUUGAAAUUAAGAGGUUUGCUUUCUCUAUAGUUUCAGGUUCGAACCCUGUGGUUGCUCAUAUGAUGGCCACUGAAGAUUUACAUGGUCGUUAACUUUAGGGCCCGUGGAAUUAGUCGAGGUGCGCAAAUUAUUAUCAUUUUAUCAAUGUAUACUACAUCUUUUUCUCAAUUGUUUGAGUUUGAAAUUAUAUCUGUGAACCCAUUAAUUUAUCUAGAAAAAAAAAAUUUAGGUAAUUGGAUCAAUCCUUGAUAUCAUAUAGAGAUAAAUUAAUUGUUUUGAUUAAAACAAUAUCAUUUUAUUUAAAAAUAAAUUUAUAAUAUUAAUUGAAUCACUAAAAACACAACUAGACCAAUCAUGUUUUAAAUAUUUUUAAAUAUUUUUAUAUUUAAUUUGAAAUUGAUUUAAAUUAAACUUUAAAUUAUGGGUUUUUCAAACUAACAUGUGUUGGGUUACGUCGAUUGAGUUAGGUAUAACAUAUCUAGAAGAAUUUAUUAAAUUUCUCUAUAAUUAGUCAAUCGAUGAGGGAAUUUAGUUUUAAUUGAUGGAGAAAUUAAUUUAAAGAUACCAUGCAAGAUAUAAAAAAAAACAUUUAAAGAUAUCAAUUAUUGUUUUCCGUUUAAUUAUAAAUAGAAUGAAGAGAGCGAUGCUCGCUGCACUUUUAUAAGCGACUAAAGUAGUUUCCAUCUUAGAUACAGUUAGAAUCUCCCAUAUCUGUCAAAAUGCCAAAAAAGCUAUUCGCAAAGAAACUCUCAAAAACUGACAUUAAUUAAAUAUAGAAUGGCAGUUCCAAUGGAAAGCCUCUACGCUUUCCAAAUCCCAGAAGGAGAACACUCUAAAGAAUUUGGUGUCACUGGCAUCCAUGGCAAGAGGUGGAGGUUCCGAUGUUGUACAAGAAAAACUGAGUUGAUCACCUUAAACCAGUCAUGUUUUCAGUUUGGAUUGAGUUCGCCAAAAAAAAGGGUUCUCAAAAAAGGUGAUGAAGUCACCUUCUCUGUGCUGGACAUGAAGGGAGCUGAGGAUCUGGAAUUGGGAAUUCAAGCUCGGAAAAGAAUCAAGCUAUUCGGCCAAGAUUUUUGGAGUAAUCCUUUGUGAAGAAGAAGAAGAAGAAGAAGAAGAAGCUACUCCUCGCAUAAGUAUAGAUUUUGUGCACCGAAGAUUGUGUCUGUGAGUAAUAGAGCUGGUUGCCUAUGUACAAUUAGUAUGCUUUGGCAGGAACUUCGUGACUGGUCCUUGGAUAGCUGAGAAAGCCAAGUCUAUGGCAACUUCAGGGGAAUCCAGGAGCAGGAAAAAAAUCAAGGUGAAAGGAUAUGAAUUUGCUAGUGCAACUGCUGCAAAGGAUCUAGGAGACAUAAAUUUGCGAACUAGAGAAGAGUUAAUUUUGAGCUCUGCAUUCUUCUUGCAUGUUCAUCUGUUUCCCGUUGUGGUUGAUCUUAGCAGUUCUCAGUAUAGUAAUUUGCAUUUCCUUCUAGAUCAGAUGAUUAAUGGAUUAUCAGGCAUGGACUGCGAUGUAGUCGGUGCUAGGGAAUCAACAAAGUUAACUCAUUGUAUUUUCAUAAAUUAAAGGGAUUUCUCUUCUUUUCUUUGUCAAUUACAGUGCAUGAUGUAUAAAAGUUUUCUUACUCAGAGUAAAUGCUAUUGUAAUGUUUUCACAGAGACUCCUCUAUUUUGCAACUAAUUCACUUAUAUAUCUUGGAAACAGAAAGGCAAUCAACGAAGAGUAAGGCAUCUUCUGAAGAAACAAAGAAAUUUAAUGCCCUAAACUAAGCAGCAGGUAGAAGGCAAAAACUGAGCUCAAAUUUUCAGUAAGGGACAAACGAAAAAAACCAAAAAGAAAGCAGAGAAAAAUACAGACUCAAAUUCACAACACCCAUUUUCUUUCCAUUGGAACACUUUAAAUAGUUUAUUAAAUUUAUAAUGAUCUGAUUUCUACGCAUAUUACAAAAUCAACUUCAUGAUCAAUUCUCUAUAAUUUCGGCAUUACUAAAAACAUCCAAACUAAUAAACUAUUAGUUAUUUUAGCCAUUUUAAUAAACAUUUUAGUUAUGAAUUCACCAAACAUUUUGAACAAUUCAUAUGGAUGAAUUAACAUGUUAAUUUUAGAUUUUUUAACUUAUUAAUUCCUUCAUGAAUUACUUCUAAAGCAUGUUAUAUAUAUCUAAGCACUUUUAUAUAAUAUAAUUCUAUCAAAUUCACUUUUACCCAAUGUAUAAUAUAAACAUCCAUAAAAAAUAACUUAUAUUGUCAAUGCAAUGAAAUGACUAAAUAACAUUUAAUUAUUAUAAUAGCUUUGUCCUCAUACCUAAGGAAGUAUACUACGUCUUUUUCUCGAUUCUUUGAGUUUGAAAUUAUAUCUUUGAACCCAUUAAUUUAUCUAAAAAAAAAUUUAGGUAAUUGGAUCAAUCCUUGAGGUCAUCAUAUCAUAGGGAUAUAAAUCAAUUAUUUUUAUUAAAAAUAAUUUUUUUUUUAAUAUUUUCAUAUUUAACUUGAAAUCGAUUCAAAUUAAAUUUUAAAUUACAGGUUUUUCAAAUUAACAUGUGUUGGGUUAGGUCUAAUAUAUCUAGAAGAAUUUAUUAAAUUUCUCUAUAAUUAGUCAAUCGAUGAGGGAAUUUAGUUUUAACUAGUUACAUGACCCGCGCGAUGCCACGGGUCAAUUUUGUUUUGCAUAAAAAAUAUCAAAAAAAGCUAAGAUCUAAAAGUGUUAGGUCUUUCUAUAAAGUUAUACCCAAAAGUCUUGGGUUUGGCUACAACGCCUGAUCCAAAAAUAAUAUUUAUAAUAUUAAUAAUAACAUUAAACUUGCAUAUAUCCACGAAUAUGUACAAUAUUUGAAACCUAUAAUGCAAGAAUAGCUGCAGAUGUACAAUAUUUUUAAUUUAAAGAAUCAAUUAAUUAUUUAAAAAACUUGAGGGAUUAAUUUGUUUGUUUUACUCAAAUUUUUAUUGUUUACUUGUAAAUAUUUUGAAAGGCACAACAUGAAAAAAUCAUAUAUGCUUAAGCAACUAUUUGGCAUCUUAAACUUAAUCUCGUAAAUUAAUCUUAAAUCCUUUUUAUUUAACUCUUUCCCAGUAUCAAGUUUAAAAUUAAUCAACAUAAAAGUUGUUUUAAUAUAACUUAGUUAAUUUAAUGGGUUCAAAAUUAAUACAUAUGACAUGAGAUCUACCAGCCAUCAUCUGGCCGGAAACGGGCCGCGAUCGUCGACUGCCACCGAAGCUUCAAGUCGUCGAUUCUCGCUCAUCAGCCAUCAACGGCCGUCAAGACCACCACCAUAAGAAUCCUCGACAUCAGAUCUACCAGGAUCGACCAUCGGUUGGCCAGAAAUCGCGCCGGAAAAUCUCCCCGCCGCCAACAGUAGCCGCGCGUGUGCCACACGCGCCGCCAGUGGCAUUUUUGUAAAUUUUGGAGAAACCCGAGGGUAUUUCAGUCUUUUACCUAUACAGUGGCACUCAGGUAAUUUUUCGGGGUUUCUACUGGUAUUUUUGAUAUUUUUUAUAUAUAAAUGCUUGUAAAUUUUCUUGCAUGUUGUAAAAAAUACAAAAACCAAAGUCGACACGUCUCUUUUUUUAAAAGGACCGAUGUCAAAAAUGUAAAUACCAAAUAUGGCAUAUGUCCAUUAUUUUUUUUUGGUGACCCAGACGUAAUUCUCCUUUUUAGGGUUGAAACGUCAUAUUUUAGACAAGUCUCCUAAUUUUUAGGGACUGAUGUCAUUUUUAACGUGUCUCCUAUUUUUAGGGACCGACGUUAACCAUUUAAAAAAACAAAUUACCAAUAAACCCAAAAUAUAAUGGAUUAUAUCCAUUAUUUCUUUUGGUAACUCAGACGAGUCUCCAAUUUUUAGGGACUGAUGUCAUUUUUAACGUGUCUCCUAUUUUUAGGGACCGACGUUAAUCAUUUACAAAAAUUUACAAAUAAGCCCAAAAUAUAAUAGCAUUUGAAUCAAAUAAAAACACACAAGUAAGGGUAACCUUUCUUUUGAAAGGAUGUUUUAAGGGUGGUGUCUACCUUCCCUUAAUCAUAACUAACCCCGUACCCGAAUCUCUGGGACCAGUGUCUAAUUUGGGAUUUCUAGUUCCCUCAAAUUACUAGAUGGCGACUCCAAUAAAAUCUUUGUUUCCCCCAAUCGAGAAAAAAACCCUUUUUGUUAAACAAACAAAAAAAGCGGGAGCCGUCGCCCGACGUCGUGUAUCGACAAAUGUCUGCAAAUCUUGUGGUCAUAUACAGGGUGCCGGUUUUCUUUCCACGAGCCAAAACCAUUGCUCCCUUUGAUACCUUCCACAUACCUCCAGAAAAAAGGAUUGAAUGACCACUAUCAUCAAGUUGUCCGACCGAGAUCAGCUUCUUCUUUAGAUCAGGAACAUGCCUUACAUUUUGCAAGGUCUAUAUAGAUCCAUUCAUUGUCUUGAUUUGUACAUCUCCUAAACCCACAAUAUCCAAUGGUUGUCCAUCGGCCAGAUAGACUACACCGUGAUCUCCAGCAAUAUAGUUUUGCAUCAUUUCAUGGUGUGGUGUACAGUGAAAUGAAGCACCAGAAUCAAGAACCCAAUCAUCAACAGGACUAUGCACAGCAAGAAUCAAAGCAUCUUGCACCUCAUUUGUGGUAGCGUUUGCAGAGUCAGCUUCAGGUUUUUUCGGUUUUGUGCAAUUCCUCAUGAAAUGACCGGGUUUGCCACAAUUCCAACAUUCAACCUGUUUUCUGGGUCCAAACUUGCUUUUACUUCUAUAUCUUGAUUUUGAUCUGCCUCUGGAUAAGCCUCUAUCAUGUCUCCUCCCUCGAGUGUUGAUGUUGAGAGCUGAUCCUGAGCUUGAACUUUCACCCGAGUCUUUCCUUCGCACUUCUUCAGCCAAAAUCAAGUCUCGAAUGUCAUCAUACUUCAGUUUGGAUUUUCCAGCUGAAUUGCUCACGGCUGUCCUCAUGCCUUCCCAACUGCUUGGAAGUGAAGCUAGCAAGAUGAGUGCACGAAUCUCAUCAUCAAACUCAAUCUCAACAGAUGAUAAUUGAUUUGUGAUGGUAUUAAAGUUAUUGAGGUGUUGUGUCACAGAAGUGUUUUCGACCAUCUUCAAGUUGAACAACUUUUUCAUCAGGUGCACUUUAUUAUUUGCUGAUGGCUUCUCAUACAUCCCAGACAAGGCUUCCAUCAAUCUUGCAGUGGAUCUUUCUUUCGUAACAUUGUGAGCAACUCUUCUUGAUAAGGAUAACCGGACAAUGCCCAGAACUUGUCUAUCAAGAAGUAGCCAAUCUUCUUCUUGCAUAUUUUCUGGUUUGCUCCCCAACAAGGGAAGAUGAAGUUUCUUCCCAUAUAGAUAAUCCUCAAUUUGCAUUUUCCAGUAUCCAAAAUCUGUCCCGUCAAAUUUUUCAAUUCCAGCUGCUUUUAUUUCAUCUGCCAUUUUUACUGCUUCUCCGAUUCGAAUUUCCCAAAUCUGACCUUACAGAUGUGUCCGGAACAGCCGAAAACCUUGGAAAUGACACUGAGAUAACCCCAAUCGGACUUCGGAUGGCUCAGAUUUUAGCAAUCAAAGUUUUGGAUUAACGGACGGUGCAGAUGCAGCCGCGUGUCAACCAGAGUACCGCCUGCGUCGCACCGGAUCAAAACCUCAGUAGCGGUUCUGAUGAAGCCACGUGUCAGCAGAUUAGGUCCUGCGUCACACCGUAUCAAAACUCAGUAACGGUUAUGAUGAAGCCACGUGUCAGCAGAUGAUGGCCUGAGUCACACUGGAUCAAUACUCAAUAGUGGUCCUGAUUUAACCACGUGUCAACUGAUUGGAUCUUGCGUCGUACUGGAUCAAAACCCCUCAACGGUUGUGAUGUAGCCACGUGUCAGAAUAUCAGCUUCUGCGACACAUCGGAACAAAACUCAGAGAUGACGUGGCAGGUGACGUGGCAGGUGACGCGGACGGUGACCGUACGGCUGUGCUGACGUGGCGGGUCAGCCCGACCCGUUUUGCAGAAGUCGGGCGAAGAUGGAGCGUGGCGCGCGUACGGCGCGUUGGUGCGCGUGGGCAGUCUGGGCGUCGGCGCGUGUUGGCGCGUGCGGGCAUGCAGGACGUCGGUUCUUCGCCGGGUUUUCAACAGUGGAUUCGUCCGGUUGUCCUCUACACGAUGGUAUGUUCAAAAACACGUUUUGAGAACUUUGAUUUUUGAGUUUGGAUCAAACACCCUCUUUGUCAAGAACAAGCUCUGAUACCAGUUGUUGGGUAAUUCCAGAACUCAAACACACAUCAAUUUACGUGGUUCGGCAACUUGCCUACUCCACGGAGCUACUGGUUUGUAUUAAUCAAGCUUAGAAACAAUACAAACAACAAAACAAGGAGGAGGAGAAAAUCUUCUCUACUCAACUCAAGCUCUCUCUCUCUCACGUUUUUCUCUCUGUGUUUUCACUCUUCUCUGUGUUCUUCACGCUUCAACCCUCCAGCUCUUCACUGAGCAUACAUAUAUAUUAAGCUAGGAGUGAAGGGCAUAAAUCAUGCCAUGAUUUAUGCCCACCGUUUGCCUCCACUUGUGCUAAGUGGAGAUUAGGUAUUCCCACUAAGCACAUAGUGGAGGUGGGACAUUGCUUGUCUCCAAAUAGCUAACAUAACUGAGGUGGGGUCGCCCUUGAAACAUUGGUAGAUGUAAGUGUUGCUCACAUGCAUAGAAUAUUUUUUUUCUACUUAGUAGUGGUUUUGGCAAUUUUUUUCAGACAAGUCUUGAGAGUUGAAAGAGUAAUCACACCCGAGUCAACCAACAAUCCAAAUCAGCUCCCUUCCUAAUGGUUCAGGAAUGAGAAGUCCAGCUUAUAUAUUUGAUAUAGAGACGGUACACUACAAAUUAAGCACCCAAUAACUAGACAAACAAUCAUGAUAAACUAGGAACAAUUGUCUUCCCAGUAACAAAUUCACCUUCUCACGUUGGAGAACUUGCGAAAACUAGCCACCACAAAAUAGUAGCAAGUAUUUAUGCAGUCUUCGAUGAAGUACGACCACCUGCGUCGCCAAUAUGGAUUGAUGUAAAGAACUGCUGCAAUCGUCAUUACCACAACUGUGUAACAUACACCGAAGCUGAUGUAGAAAAACUCCAUGUCUAUGAAACCAUCAUCUCCUUGUUCAUCAUUAGGCACUGGCUGUAACGGCACUGCUUCCUCACUACAAUUGUUUCGCAAUGGAGGUCCACACAAGAAAGGAUUUCCUUCGUAACAGUUUUCAUCAUCAAAGGUCCCAAAUUGAUAUUUUCUCUCGGGUGUCCUACCUGACAAGUUAUUGUACGCCACACUAAAAACUUCCAGUGUGGUAAUUUCAGUAAGUUGUGGAGGGAUGGCACCAUUCAAGUUGUUGUAAGAAAGAUCCAAACUCUCAAUCUGCUUUAGGUUUGAGAAUGUUGCAGGGAUAGAUCCAGUGAGAUUGUUGUGUGAUAAGUUUAAUGACAGUAUCUUACUCAAGUUUCCAAAUUCUGGUGGGAUUGCUCCUACAAAGUUGUUAUUGGAGAGAUCAAUACCAUACAUGUAGCUCAGAACUUUCCCCUUGUAACCAUAAUACAUAUUUUUAGUUGUAAAUUCUAUCACUUCUUCUGUAAAGUUAACCCAAAAAUCCUUUCCCAAGUUGUACAUACUAUCCCCUAGUGGUGGACCCAUUGUUUCAUAAUAAGCUUUUUCUAUGGACCAUGACGGAAAACCAUAUCCGAGAUCCGCGAGCGUUUUCUGGGAACUUUCCUUGAGAGUUAGAUUGCCCAAACAUGAGGGUAGUGGACCAGAGAGCUGGUUUUGUGAAACAUCCAAAAUACUUAAUUGUUCUAACAAGCAUAACUGAACAGCGAGCUCACCAUCAAAGUUAUUAGCCCUCAGAAGAAGAACACUCAAUGAUGAAAGAUUGCCAAUCCAAUUUGGAAUAGAGCCAAUGAAGCUGUUGUCUCGAAGAUCCAUCGUAACUAGGGAAGAGCUGUUAUAAAAACCAUAUGUUAAUGGACCGCUCAAUCUAUUUUUGGAUAGAUGAAUAUGGGUUAUUUGUGGUGGAUUGAAACAAGAUGGCAUAUAUCCAGACAAGUAGUUAUCAGAAAGGUCCAAAAAUUCAAGCCGGUCAAGCUUACAAAAGUCUCUUGGGAUUGGACCCUUAAAAAGGUUUUUGGACAAAUCAAGUACUUCAUCGUACGUAAAAUUAAAAAAGCUUCUUGGAAGCAUGCCUGAAAAUUGAUUGUUACUCAAAUCCAAUACACUCCAUACUUUCCACCCAUAUAAUGGAAAAUCUGAUAUCUGACCCCAAAAGUAGUUACCACCUAGGUAGAGAUAUUGUGAGAUAGAAGAAUUGAACACCGAGGUCGGUAUUUGCCCACCCAAACUAUUGUUUGACAGCUUGAGAACCUGUAUUGUUGUUAAUUGUUCUAGUUUUACUGUAGACAAUUGAUUGUUGGAUAAAUCUAAAAAUGAAAGAGAGCUAAAAUUUCCUAAACAAGAAGGAAUAUAACCUGUGAAUCCAUUGUCAGCCAUCCUUAAGAUCCACAGAUUUGGAAAGAUCAAACAAAUAUCUUUUGGAAUUUGACCAUUUAUGUUGUUGUUGGAUAUAUCUAAUUCGGUCAUAUUCGGAUAUGGGUGAUCUAGCAAUUGCAAAGUACCAACAAAGGAGUUCUCGCUCAGAUAUAGUUGCUCCAUUCGUGUAUUGUUCUUAAGCAACCAUGAUGGAAACAUUCCGAAGAUGUUGUUGUGGGAGAGAUCAAGGGUUCUUAAGUCGUAUUGGUAAUAGAGGAAGUCGAGAAUUUCUACAUUGAGUGCUUCCGAUGUUGGACUACUUGACAAGCGGAAAAAGACUAGUUGGAACUUUGGAAUCAAAUUAUCAAAGGCAGCAGAUUCCGUUACUAGUCUGUUGUUCUCACUGGAGAAGAACUUGAGGCUUGAGUGGUUCAUAAAAGGCUUCAUUGAAAUGGGAACUUCAAAGAGGUUAUUUGAUAGUGAGAGGAAUUCAAGGGAUAUGAGCUUGGUAAGAGGACCAAAUGCAAUAUUUCCAGUAAACUGGUUAUCAGAAACAUCUAAUAGUUGUAGAGAUGACAAGUUCCCCAAACAAUCUGGGAGUGCACCUCCAAAAUUAUUUCUAGCGAGAUCUAACUGCUUCAGAUUCUUCAAUUCACACCAACCUAUACAAUUUAUCUUGAAACAAUCAAAACAAUGUUGAAAGAAUCUUUUAUUGAUGAUGUAAUUAUAGGCGGAUGGAGAGUUGUUAAUUUACCUUGAGCGGGUAGGGUGCCAUGGAGGUCACAUUCAGCAACAGACAAAACUUUAAGAGCAGGCAAUGCUCCAGUGUUCUGGAGAAAGUUUAUUGGGAGAGAAGUAUUAUCUAGAUGCAAUUCUUCAAGGGUGCUAGAAUUGAAGAAAGUCCCUGUGAAAAAGAAAGAAGAAGAGAUAUGAUGAAAAUAGUGGUGGUACAGAAUAGCCAUUCCAUUCAAUAUUAUUAAUUAAGAUUUUAAGAAACUAAACUAUGAUUAACCUUGACUUAAAUUAGUAUCCUUGAGAGAAAGGGUCUUCAGCGAUGGCCAUGAACGCAAUGACUGCAGGAUGUCCAGAUUCCUUAAACCUAUGAUAUUUGGAUAGAAACAACAAAUUGCUUGAAGAAUCUAGAGAUUUCAAAAGGUAUUGUUAAGAAAUGAAGUAAAUAAUAGAAGAUGCCAAGAGAUAUUCAUAACUUUACCAUUGAUAGUCGUCGAUCCUAGCAACAUAUUGCCUGAUAAAUUUAAAGACUUGAGAUGAGAAAGUCCACGCAGAUGUGAUAAAAUGCUGUCAUUGAAUAUAUUAUUAUGGCUCAGGUCCAGGUUCUCGAGUUUCCCCAAAUGUGAUGAUAUGAUCUCAAAACCUGCAAGAGUAAGUCGUUAAAGUCGUUAUAUAAAAUAUAAUUCUAAUUUUGAUCUUAUUGGAAAUAUUACGAAACAAUUUUUAAAUAUCAUUCUAGUUUCGAUCUUAUUGGAGAAAAAAAAACAAUUUAUGGAUAUAAAGUCGAUAAAGAUGGAAGCUAAGUUAUGGAUAGACUUACAAAACAAGAUAAAGAAACUUAUAAUUAAGAUCUCAUCGGUAAUUAAAACAAGAAUAAUAAUCGAUCCUAGAUAGCAACAUAUUGUCCAAAUAUUUCACCAUAAAAUCACCCAUCACCAUUCACCACGACCAUAAGGCAAAAUCCUCCACCACAUAAUAAUAUUUUGAUUAAAAAAAGGUCCAAAAUAAUAUAAAACCAUGAUUAAAAAGGAGAGGAAAUAAUAAAUGGCUACAAACAAGAAUUAAAUAUCAUAUAUGUGGGUUUUAUGUUGUUCUCUUUAUUGAUAAAACAGUCGAGAGUUUUUCUAAUAGAGAAAUUGGCUGUCGAGAGUGAUUUGUAUUGGAUAGUUUUUUUGAUAGUUUUUAUUAAAUAGAUAUAAAGUCCUCAUUUUUGUUGAUAAAGAAACAAUAUAAUUAAGAGAAUGUCAUGUGAAGCAUUUAGGUAGGUAGAAACUGUGUAUUAUACCUGAUCCUGUCAGCUGAUUGCCUGACAGAUACAAAGAUUUUAGGGAUGAAAACCCAGUUAGAGAUGGAAAAAUGCUAUCGUUGCAUUGAAUCUCACUUAGAUGAAGGUUCUCCAGCUUUUUCAACCUUGAUGACAAGUCUUUGAGACCUGCAUGAUGUUCCUCAAUAGCAUAUUGGAAGGAAAUAAACGCAUAGAAAAAAAAUGAUAUGAGAAGGAGAAAAGAAAAGGUUUCAAAGCUAAAUAAUUAAAAGGUUACCAUAGAAGCUACCUCCUAAUCCAGCUGUCAACCCAUCGGUAAUUAAAACAAGAAUAAUAAUCGUUAAAUAUCAUUCUAAUAAUAAUCCAUGGCAAGUUCAAAUCCGUUGGUAACUGAAUUCCUCUAUCUAUUUAGUUAGUAAGAUGCUUAGUUGUCACUAAUUUAGUAAUUAUAAUUUGUUCCUCUGUUUUCUAGCAACUACUUUCCCAAUUUUAUCCAUUCACCACGACCGUAAGGCAAUAUCCUCCACCACAGAAUAAUAUUUUGAUUAAAAAAAGGUACAAAACCCAUUAUUAAAAAGAGAGGAAAUAAUAAAUGGCUACAAACCGAAAACCGGUCCAAUAUGUGGGUUUUAUUUAAAAAGAUAAAUAUAAAAUAUAUAUUUAUAGGAGAGUUUUGAAGUGAACUUCUGAUUACUAAUUUAAUCUAAAUAUUACAACACUUUUGGCAUAAAAGGGCUAAAAUAAGAAUAAAAUAUAUGCCUCUUGGACCUAAUUCCAAGUGCCUCUUUUCUUGAUAUAAAGUCCUCAUUUUUGUUGAUAAAGAAACAAUAUAAUUAAGAGAAUGUCAUGUUAAGCAUUUAGGUAGAAACUGUGUAUUAUACCUGAUCCUGUCAGCUGAUUGCCUGACAGAUACAAAGACUUGAGGGAUGAAAAUCCAGUUAGAGAUGGAAAAAUGCUAUCGUUGUAUUGAUUCUCUCUUAGAAGAAGGUUCUCCAGCUUUUUCAACCUUGAUGACAAGACUUUGAGACCUGCAUGAUGUUCCUCAAUAGCAUAGAAAUGAUAUGAGAAGGAGAAAAGAAAAGGUUUCGAAGCUAAAUAAUUAAAAGGUUACCACAGAAGCUACCUCCUGAUCCAGCUGUCAACCCAUUGAAUGAUAGAUCCAAAGACUUGAGAGUGGAAAGGUUACCAUUGAAACAUGACAAAAUGCUUUUAUCAUUAGUAAAUUUGUUAACACGUAGGUCAAGAUUGCUCAGUUUUGAUGAUAGGACUUCGAAGCCUGGGAAGAGAAUCAUCAAAGCAAGAUAAUUGACAUUAAACACCAACCAACCAACCUUCAUUUAUUUUAUGAUUAUAAUUAAGUGCAGAAACAUUGAACUAACCUUCAUUCUCCAUGCAACCAACCAAUCCAGUACCUCCCAAAUCAAGACCUCGCAAUUCUUUGAAAGGCUGAAACAAAGAUGCGUUGAGAACCCAAUCGCCCAAGUGGAAAUCCCUUGCCCCCCAAAGAGAGAGUUGGAUCACUCGCCUUGUAGUGUUAUCACACUCGAUCCCACGCCACUCACAACAAUUACUAUUGGUGUCCACCCAAUGAUCUCUCCAGGAAACGCCAUGUGGGUUGAUCAAAGAUUGGAUCUCCAAGAGACCAAUCCUCUCCUCCUCCAAACACCCAUAACAACGACCAUGCCAUUCGCCAACCAAAGUGAAUAAUGCUAGCAACAUCCAAGCCCCAAUUCUUUUCAUCAUCAUCUUAGAUAAUUCUAUGAACUGCUACGUAGAAUAUUGUUGUUUGUUAUGUGCCUUUGGGCAACCAUAGAGGUCCUAUUUAUACUACACUCUGGCCAUUUCCAUGACUUUGAGAUGUUUUCUUUAUUUCAUUUCUUUUUGGAAUAUUUUUGGAUUUGAAUAUUAUUCUAUUUUAUUGUCUAGCACUUAGUCUAUUUGCCAGGUUGGGAAAAAUAUUCAAAUUAGUUUUGUUGGCAUGUAAACCUCACCAAAUAAUUUGCGUAGACCGUAUUGACUGGGAGUCAAUUAUUGUCGUAGUGCUUUUAUGCACGAUCUGUGUGCGUGAACGGAAAGAAAAGCAGGGUGUGAAAAGCAUUAAAGGUUGUGAACGCGGAUGCUUGACUUGCUGUGUACCAUUUUGAUUUUUAAACACGGCCAUGCAGUCAUUUCCUGGCGAUUUCCUUAUGCAUACUGGUGGUCUUUCAUAAUCUUUUUCCAAACAAUCCUCGUUAGGCCGGCUCGGGGGUUAACUUAGAGUAAGGCAUCGUUUGACAUUGCGUUUGUAACUGCGUUUUAUUAAAUUUUGAAUUUUUUAUUUUUGCUAAAAUUAAGUGUAGCUUGUACUUUUUGGAUCUUUUUGAUGUGCUGAUGUUAAAAAUAAUUUUUAAAAAAUAAAAAAAUAUCAUUAGCAUGUAUUUCGGCACGAAAAGCUAUUUGAAAAGUACCCGCAACCACACUGCCAAACACGCUCUAAGAUUUGUAUCAUCGUUUUUUAUCAGAUUCAAGAUCAACUUGGAUCAAUCUUAAUUUUAUGCUAUUGUUUUUUAUAUAUAAACAUAAAUAAAAAUCCAGAUCUCUUUUAUAAUCUUAAAGGUAGUAUAUUAAUAGUAGAACCAUUAUCUAUCCAGAUACAAUUCAUCAUCUUUUCAUCGACAUAUCUUUUAAUUAAGAAAAGCUGUUUAUAGAGUUUUAAUCUAAGCAAUAGGUUUUCAUCGUUAAAGGAUACCUAUGUGGUGCUAAGUUCUUCUAAAGUUGGAGAACUUAUGAAAAUUAAUGCAAGGCUUCAACACUCCGAAGCCUGCAAGAGAAAUAUCAAAGCAAAAUAAGUAGCGUUAAACAGCAGCCAUUUCUUCAUUUUUAAUUUUAGUAUAACACAAUAAUAUGAACCAACCUUGAUUCUCAAAGGCACCCAACUAAUUCAUUAGCCUUCAAAUCAAGACUUUGCAAUUCCUUAAAAGGCAGAAACAAAGAUGCGUUGAGAACCCAAUCGCCCAAGCGGAAAUCCCCAGUACCCCUAAGAGAGAGCCGGAUCACUCGUCUUUCGGUGGUAUCACACACGAUCCUAGACCACACACAACAAUUACUGCCCAGGUAUUUCGACAGUUAUGGCUUGUGUGGGUUUUGGUUCACGAUGGAGAUGAUGGAUACAAUGAUGUAUUUCGACAACAAAAUUUUCAGUUCUUGUGAAUGGCUCUCCAACUAAAGAGUUCUUUAUGGAAAAGCGAUUGCGACAAGGGGACUCUUUAUCAACAUCUCUAUUCAACAUAGCAACUGAGGGUCUUGGUAGAAUGCUAAAAUUAAAAGGAGAUGUGAUUUGGGACUUAUAAAAGGUAUUUGUUUUGAUCACUUUCAAGUUUGUAGAUGAUACACUCAUCUUCAGUUCAUAUGAUUAUCCAUCUCUUCAAAAGAUCAAAAGAACUAUGUGAUGUUUUGAGUUGAUUCCUAGGCUGAAGGUUAAUUUCCACAAGAGCUCAAUCACUAGAACUAGAACUAGAAUUGAUGAUGUUGUUAUUUCUUCAACUGCUAGCAAUCUAAUAUGUAGGAUGGAGGGGAUGCCAUUUAAGUAUUUGGGUCUGCCUAUUUAUGCAUCUUCAUCUCAUACAUCCGUUUGGAAAACUAUUGCUUGAUUAACUCAAUUAUAAAUAACCUUUCUUUAUUUCCUAUCCCAUCCACUGUUGCUACCAAAAUUGAGAAACAUAUCAUAUCUUUCUUUGGUUCUCAGGAGGAAGGAGGGAAAAAACUAUGCAAUGUUAAAUGGGCAUCAGUGGUUCCUCCAAAAAAACAAAAAAGGUGGGUAUAGACUGCAUUAUUGAUAAAAAUAAAGCCUUGUUUUUCAAAUGGCUAUGGAGGUUUGGGAGGUCUAAUACAAGACUAUGAAAAGAUGUUAUCUACAACAUCCACAACCAAAAAGCGUAUUUGAACAUGCCUUUAGUUUGUGUUAAUUUAAAGGGUAGUACAUGGUCCAGGAAUGUCGUUACUUUUUAUAAGAACGAGGGACUUCAAAAUAUUGCCAAGAAAGAAGUUUGUGGUUUGGUUGGCAAUGGUAGAGAUAUUAACUUAUGGAAUGAUGUCUGGCUGAUAGAUUCUUGUCUUGCAGUUCAAUUUCCUAGACUUUAUAGUCCACCUGAAGAUCAUGUCUCCCCUGUAGCUACUGCAGCAGUAAAAGCUUCUAUCCAACCAGCCAGUGUGAGGCCUUCCCCUGUUGCUAGCAAUGUAGCUUCUUCAAGUAGCUAAAGUUCUGCUUCAAUAAAUGCCACGACAUCAGCAAUAACUGGUGCUACAACAAUGAGCUUCAACUACCCAAACUUCCCUGGCAAAAUUGCAGAAUGGUGCGUACGAGAUUCUAAUCCCUGAACAUGUUGGGGGCCACGAUAGCCUACAGAGGAACCCAUCCUCAGGCUAUGCCUUUCUUCAAUGGAUCAAUUCUAUUCUUCUUGAAUGUUUCAUCCUUCAUAGCUUCAGCGACAGCAACAACCAUUCAUACAGACACAACAAAGCCAACAGGGUCAUCAAAAUCCAAGUAUUUCUAGUGGCUCCUCGUCAUCCCAGAAGCAUUUGCUGAAUUAGGUGGAAUCAGCAGCGGUCAUCAAGAUCCAACCAUUUACAGAAUCAUCAGCAGAAUCAUUCCCUGCCGAACUAGCAGCGGCAGCUGAUGCAAAAUCAGAAUGUUACUCACAAACACCUCCUCCUUUUGCAAUGUCAUUUGCUCCAUCAACGGAACCACAACUUCCCCAGGUCUUGAUGUUUCAUUGCUGGUACAGAAUCAUGCUCUUCUCCAAAGCCCUCCAGAGGCAGCAAGUCAUGGCUAUCACUUCAUCACUGCGGCCCAAGCAACACAGCAGACGAAUUACCGUGUGCCUGAAGAAGGGAAAAAUGGAGGAAAUGACACUUCAAAUAUGGAAGGAGAGAGAAAGGCCGAUAUGGUUGGAGGACAGACCCCAUUAACUGGUGGGCAGUCAAUUGUGUUCUCUCGGCUAGAUUUUGUGUUCUCUCGGCUAGAUUUAACAGACUCCUCUGUUUCAACAAUGCCUGUGAACAAUGUUGUUGAUAGCUCAGCCCGAACUCUUAACCUUGGGUCCACUCUUGCUCGGACCUCAAGCCCUGUUAUGUCAGCUACUAUUGGCAGUGUAAAUGCACCAAGUAUACAACAACAGAUGCAGUGGAAUCAGCAGCAGCAGCAACGAAGUCAGCAAAUCCUUCAACUUCAGAAGCGUCAACAAUUUGCAGCUGCAGCUUCCACUCGAAGUGAAACACCAACAACUAGUAAUGGAAGUGUUUAUUCGGACCACAUCUCAUCAUCAUCAUCUAUGGGCACCAAGUUACCUAAUGCACUUUUGCAUUUCCUCAAAAUCUUGUUCAAAGCGGCAGUAGCAGCAGCAGUUAACAAAGCAUGCACUGCAACAGGCUCAACUAAUCUACGCUAAUGCUUUUAUGCAAGCUCAAGCUCAAGCUCAAGCUCAACAUGUGGCAAAUUCAACAAGCUUUGCAUCAACAGCUAGUGGGUUUCAUCUGCAAAGACAUCGCAAUGAGCAGCAACCGCAAUGCAUCGGCAACCUCUUCUACAAGGAUGUUGUUGUUAUGUCAUCCGAUCAUGUAAAUUUUUGUGACUCCCAACCUCCUAGCAACCACGAGAGGAUGUUUCCAGUUUUUUUUUUCAACAGCUAAUGCUUAGAUAACAAAAAUAGAGGAAUAACUGAUAGAGCUCCAGCAUUCGAGCAGAGUUUAAUAAAAAAAUAUAAAGUAAGGUUAGAUGCGUGAGCCUUGUUUUGUAAAUUUUUAUUUGAAUUUUAAUAAUUGUUUUUAAUUGUUAUGUAUAUGAAUAAAAAUUUGUUCAUGAAAUUUCAAUUUAAAUCACUUUUUUAAUCUUAGAAUUUUAAAAUAUAUUUUGAGCAUGAUUUUAUUAUAUUUAUGAUUUAUUUUAACUUUCAAUCACACAUAAAAAUAUAAACAUACUAUUUUGAUUUUUUUUUAAUUUGUUCUGACAAUUAUAGAAUAUUCUUUUAAUAUAAAAAAUGAUUCUAGUUAAGAAAAAAACUUGUAUAUUCACCAAGAUAAAACAAGAAAUAUGCUAAUAAAAUUUUUUAUCUUGAUAGAGAAAAAUUCAAAACGACUGUAUUUUCAAGUUUAAUAACAAUGUCAAGGAGUCCCUUAGACUGGGAUAUUUUGUUUUACAUUUAAAGUUUUUUUGAUCUCCAUAGCAUAGCACUAGCAUACAAACUUGUAUAUUUUUAAGGCAGCGUUUAGUUACUAUCCGAGACAGUAGAGACAGAGACAAUGGAGACAGAGGAGACAAUACAUAAAAGAAGAUGGAGAUAGAAUUGUGUUCACUAAUAAUAUAUAAGACAAAGUGAUUGUUUUUGUAUCAUAUUUGAUUAUGAUAGACAAGAAAGAAUAAAAUAUAAAAAAAAUAUUUUACCUUUAAUAUGUAUUGUUGUCAAACUUACAUGUUUUAAAAAAUAAUUAGUUUUAUUUUUUUACUUUAGUUUUAUAUUGAGUAUUGAAAUUAUUAAUAUUAUAAUAACCCUAGUAUUAAAACCAGGAUUAACUUGACAGGUUGACCCGAGGCCUAUACUGGUCUAAGUUUCAGAAAAAUAGAAGAAUGAUUAACUCGACCUAACCUAGUAAAAAACAUGAGUCAACUUAAGAUAAAACACGGGUCAAAACCCAUUAAAUAUUUUGAAAAAGAAAAUUGUUCAAAACAAGGUUUCUUUGACUAUUUGUUUUUAAAAAAAAUUAGGUCGAUCGGGUUAACCUUCUCUUGGAUUAACUCCUGAGUUGAGUUUUAAAACUAUGAUAAUAAUCAUUUUUAUCCAUACAUUAACUCAGGUCAAUCUGUGUUGACCCUCUCGACCCAUGACCUAGGCCUUGCUUCUGUCGACUCCCGAGUCGGAUUUUAAAAUUAUAAUAAUAAUAAUUUUUAUCCUUACAUUAAUUUGGGUCAACUCUCUUAAUUCGUAACCCAAGCAUUGCCCCAAGUUGACUAUCGAAUUAAAUUUUAAAACUAUGAUAAUAACCAUCUUUAUUUUAUGUUGACUCGGGUCAAUCUAGAUUAACUCAUCUAACACAUGACCCAAGUUUUAUCCCGAGUCGAUCCCUGAUUUGGGUUUUAAAACUAUGAUACUAAUUAUUUUUAUCAUUACAUUAACCUAAGUCAAUGAUCAACCCCACUCGUUACCCAAGAAUUGCCCAGGUCGACCCCCAAAUCGAGUUUUAAAAUAUGAUAAUAACUAUUUUUAUUCUUCUACUGACACAGGUCAACUCGACUCAUGACUCAAGCCUCAACCAGUGACCCAGAAUUUGCCCCGGAUCGACCCCCAAGUUGAAUUUUAAAACCAUGAAAAUAAUCAUUUUUACAUUUAUAUGUCUUAGUUGGACAAUUUGAAAUUGAGAGUUUUUUUAUAAAAAUAUUUUAGGAAUAAAAAAUAAUAAAUAUUAUCUCUAGAGACAUGUCUCCUCUAUACCUUACGUUUUGGAAGCACAAAAAUUCACUCCAAAAUUAUUCUAGAAACAAAUUUAUUUUUAUGUAUUUGUCUUUGUCUCUUCAACCAAAUAUAUUUAUAUCUUUAUUGUUUUUAUCCUUUCUAUUAUAGGACAAUGACCAAACAUUACCUAAAGGAUAUACAACUGACAAGGAUGAACUUGGCUUUAUUUCAUCUUUGAUAAUUUCUUCUCGAUGAUAUCUCACCGAUUUGUGGAGGCAAUUGAUCAAAACCUAGUUGAUUCAAAGGUUGACUUUGAAAAAAUAUAUUCAUAGAGUAAUGUUUGAAUCUUGGUGUUUUUUAUUGGCUCAAAAAAAUUACCAACUCACCAAAACCUGUAUGAAACAUUUAGAUUUAAUAUUAUAUGUAUAAUUUAUUAUAAUAAUUGAUAUACUAUUCAACUCAGUAACUUAGUAGGAUGACCUAUAACCUGCUGAUCUAAGAUUUUAGCCGAAUCAAGCUUUAAGCUAGAUAUAAUGACUAUGAUUUUAUAAAAUUACUAUGAACUUCCCUUUUAUGUCUUCUUAUUUACUCAUUUGAUAUUUUUUUUUAUGAAGUUAAGAUGUUCACAUUUAUAUCAUGAUUAAACUCUAGGGUAACAUUUAGUUAUUAUCUUGGGAUAAAAAGAAUAAAGAUAGUAAAGACAAAAAUAUGUUUGGUUGAAAAGAUAUAGAUAUAAAAAUAAUUUUUUUCAUGGGAUAAUUUUAGAGUGAAUUUAUAUAUUUUCAUAACAGAAAAUACAAAUAAGACAUAUCUUCAUAAACAAUAUUAUUUUUUAUUCCUAAAAUAUCAUUGUAAAAAACUUUCAAUUCCAAAAUUGUCCAAUUAAGAUAUGUAAAAAUAAAAAUAGUUAUUAUCGUAGUCUUAAAACCCAACUUGGGGGUUGACUUGUAGAAAGAUAUGUGAUCUUUGUUGACCCAAGUCAAGGUAAAAAUAAAAAUAGCUAUUAUCAUAGUUGUAAAAUCUAACUUGAGGGUCGACCUGGGACAAGGCACGGGUCAUUGUUUGGGUUGACCAUUGACCCAAGUCAACAAAAAAAUAAAAGUGGUUAUUAUUGUAAUUUUAAAACUUAACUUGGAGGUCGACUCAAGGCAAGGCCCGGGUCAUGGGUCAGGAGGGUUAACUCUGGUGGAACCGGGUUAAUGUAAGGAUAAAAGUGGUUAUUACAAUAGUUUUAAAACUCGACUUAGAGAUCGACCUGAGGUAAGCUCAGGUCUUGGGCUAGGAGGGUUAAUGCAUGGAUAAAAAUAAUUAUUAUCAUAAUUUGAAAACUUGAUUCAAGAGUCGACCCGAGACAAAGCCUAGGUUAUGGGUUGGGAGGGUCAACCCGAGUUGACCCAAUUUUUUUUUAAAAAAAAAGAAUCAACACAACCUUGUUUUGACCAAUUUUUUUUAAAAAUAACAGGUUUUGCCCCGUGUUUUAUCCCGAGUCGACCCGUGUUUUAUCCCGAAUCAACUCGGUUUUUUAACUCACCUAUCUUUUCUUAAACUUAAAAUUAAUCCGGGCUUAGAGACAACUAGAUCCCGAAUAGAUUCACUAGGUCAGUCUAGGUUAUAUAACUAGGAUUAUUAUAAUAUUAUUAAUUUCAACACUUAAUAUAAACUAAAGUAAAAAAAAGUUCUAAUUAUUUGUAUAAAUAUGUAAGUUUACCAAUAAUACAUAUUAAAGGUAAAAUAAUUUUUUUAUAUAUUUUUUUUAUCAUUAUCAAAUAAGAUAUAGAGACAGUUACCGCCAAACAUAAUUUUAUUUUCAUCUCCUUUUCUAUCUUUUUUUUCUUUAUUUUCAUGGUCUUCUUUUUUAUUCAUAACAGUAACCAAAUAUUGGCUAGUUAUAACAUAUAGAAACAUACAAGUUGUCAUGUUCAAGCCGUUCUCUUAUCAUUUUAAAUAAAUUGAAACACAAUUGCGAGGAGAAGAGUGUGUUUUGUAUUGUGUUAGCUUUUGUGGUUGUGGUUUGAAAAUUGUUGUUUUAUAAAAAAUACUUUUAGUUGAGGUUGGUUUGAUAUUUAUAUAUGUUUAGUUAAAAUUGUGGUUGAAAUUGAGGUUGAACAAAAAGUAAUUUAAUGUGUUUGGUUAAGAAUGCUUUUCAAAUCGAGGUUAUAAAAUAAUUAAAAAAGAUAUAUAUUAAUAUUGAUAGUUUUUAAUUUAAAUAUUGUAGAUUUAACUACUGCUAUUACAUCAUGAAAUAAAUAAUACUUUAUAUAAAAUAUUUUUUUAUUGUUCCAUUAAACUAUCUACAAUUCCAUCACAUACGAAAUUCAUUCGACAAGGACUACAGUUUUCUUGGUUUCUUAAGCGCACAACAAUAUCAAGUAAAAUAUAAUCAGGAACAAAAUUAGGAUUGCGAUCAAAUUCUGCAAAUGCUAUGUCAUCAAGCAAUCUCCUUAUAAUUUAUGUAGUGUUAUUGAAUAAUGCUAAACACUAGUUUUUCAAAUAAAACAUAAUUAAAAAUAAAAAAAAAUUGAUUUUUUUUUAUUUUACUGGGUCAGACCCGGUUCAAUGCAUUUAGCUUUGAAUCGGACCCAGUCCGGCCAGAAUAGUAGAGACAUUCUAAGCAACUUCAAGUGAGUCUCGUAAACAGUAAAUAACGUACCAAACAAUUAUUUUUAGUAAAGCAGAAGCAACCGAAGAAGAAGAAGAAGACAUGUGAUUACGGUGCCAUGCAGCAUUUUGACAUUAUGAGUAUUUUGAUGUAUAUCCAUUAAUUUAUAAUAUACAAGUAUAUUUCCAUGUUUCUUUUAUUUUGAUAGAACAUUUUUCCAAUAGAAUUUGUUUUUAUUGGAAUUCCAUAUUGAAUGGAUGUCAAUUGAAACUAAAAAUGUGUUAGAUAAGAGCAUACUAAUAUAAAUACCAAAUAAUGUUUAAUUAGAUUGAAUUGAACUAGACACCAUAUGUUUUUAUUCUAUGUUUGGUGCACUAAAGAUAAGAUCAAAUAAUUUUGUUUUUAUCAUUGAGAUAUUUUCAAUCAUUUAUUUUAGUCUUUGCAUUUUAUUUUUAUGAUAUUUUAGUCCUUACUAGAAUUUCUUUGUCAUCUAGAACAAUCUAGUUCUUAAAUCAAAAAGUUUUUGCAAUUAAACUCUUACAUGUACAUAUUUAUUUUAAUAAAAUUGGUCAAAUUUUGGUUUUCCAAAUUAAAAAAUAAAUAAGUGAUAAAUAAAUAAUAGAUAAUAUAAAAAUUAAGAAAAAAUAAUUUUUGUACAAAUUUUUUGUCCAAUCCUUGUCAUGUCCAAAGUGUAUAUCAAACAUUUUAUAGCUUGCCAUGUGCAACAAAUAUAUCACAACUUGUUUUUAUUGUAUUCUAUUAUGAUCUGUUUUGUGCCUUAUAUUAUUUAAUAUAUUAAAAUAAAUUUAAUAAAUUAUACUGAAGCAAGAUCUAAUAUUAGAAAGUUAACGGAAAUAAAUGUACCUUUGCCCGUCCCUUCAACAAAAUGCUGAGCUGUAUACUAAUUCUCAGAGGCAGUGAUAACUAGUUGUUCUAACUAAUCCCUAUACUUUUAAAUAUGUUUACAAUUCAGUCCCUUCAUUAAUUUUUCGUUAGUAAAAUGUUGAGCUGUCAGCAAUAUUUCCUUAGUUUGUGCCGCUAACUUAACGGUAAAAUGUGAUUCAAGGAUCAAUUAAUUAUUUAAAUGAACUUGAGGGAUUAAUCUGUUUGUUUAACAAAAAUACAGACACUAGUUAAAUAGAAUUUAACUCCAAUUUUAAUCAUCAUAUGCGUGCGUGCGAGCGAGCGAGCGAGUGUUUACUCGUUAAUGUUUUUUUAGAAGGAAUCUGGAAAAGAAUAAAGUCAUCCAUUUCACUUUGGUCCAGCAUUCCUCACCUCUCCCCGCCAGAGCUCUCCCUCCCUCCCUCCCUCCCUCCCUCCUCCGCCUCUCGGAAACCGCCGCCGCCAAGAAGGCUUCAGAUUUCUGCCAGGUGCUUCUAUUUCUAUCAUGUUUUUGUUUUUAAAAUUUAUGGGUGUUUUCAUUUAUUCUAUUGGAAUUAUUAUUCAGAGACAGAAAUUCUAUUUUAAUGAGAAAAUUAAAAAAAAUAAUCGAUCCGAUGAAAUCUCUGCUAGUGAACGCAAUUCGAUUUUAAUAAGUAAAUUAAAAAAAUAUAUAAUCGGAUCCGUUGAAAUCGCUGCUCGUGAACGCAAUUCAAAGAAACGCACAAUCAGCCGAUUCUAAUAUUUUCUUUUUCAAUUUUUCCCCUUAAUUUACAUGAUAUUAUCCGAUUUUUCUCACAGUUAUUGUUGUAAUAAUCAAGCCCUGAAUUCUUGAACCCAAAUUUAUUUUAUUUUAUUUUAUUUUAUUUUUUAGUGGAGAAUAGAAAUCAAUUCAAAUCUUUUAGGCUCGAUCGAUAAUUUGUUAAUUAGUUUAUGCAGCAGCUGGAGUGGAAGAGAUUUUUCUGCCGGAAUGGCCGAAAAAUGAGCUGUUUGGUUGAUUCUUCUUUUUUGGAAUUUACUGAAUUCUUCAAAAUUAUUGUGUUCUUAACAACAAUACGAUAUCCUUGGGUUUUAUGCUCGCUCACACAUGGAAAAAAGAAAGAAAGAAAAGGACUUUACAUUUUAUAAUUUGGUCAUGUUAACGCAAAAAAAAUAAAAAUAAUAGUUUAUGAUGACUCAUUGUUUGGUUGAUAACCCUACAUGAUAUAUCUUUCUUUUUAGGACUUCCUAGCUGGUCUUGAGUAUGAGGUGAAAGCUUGAGGAGGGCAGUUGGUCCUAACCAAGGACUGUAUUGUGAUUGAUUGAGUUGAAAGUUAAGAGCAUGUGGAAGUGUAAAACAAAUGACUUUGUUCACUUCACCCCAAAGGCGCACCUGUGCAUCUAGUUAGGAAGAACAUUUUAUAACUUACCUCAAGGUCGAGCAUGGUCAGGGUUAUUGUGUUGUCUAUUCCGAGAAAGAUGUGCCUGCAAAUUUAAUCUUAUUUCAACAAGAGUUGUUAAGUUAAUUCUUAUCAGUCCUCUUUAGAGUUGAUGAUGACAUGAAAUAUUCAUGGUUAAUGCUUGUCGUUUUCUUCUUCAUUUUCCUAGCUUAAAACAUCCUAGAAAUCUAUCUAUUGAAGUAAAGCAUUUAAAUGCGUAUACAAUGUUUUUGGAACUUUAAAUAUCUAUUUGAUCAGAAUCUGUGAACCUAAAACCACAAUGAAUACAAAUGCAAGUUUGUCAUUGUAAACAUUGCAUCAAUGAUGUAUCACGAGUGUUGCUAGAAAACAUCAAGUUAAAAUUGAAGCACCAUGAGUUUCUCCAUGGCUUGGUUUACCAACACUCACCAUCUGAUGGUGUGGCAAGUUAUGAACUAGCUGGCUAGUUUUUUGCUUCCUUGGUUUUAGAAGGACCAUGAAGAUUCAGGCCCAAAUCUUGCUUAUAAUACCUAAAUACCCAAGAUCCUAGCACCUUGCCCUGAAUGGUCGUGUAUAUUUGUUAUGGCUGUUCAGAUUUUAUGCAUCCAUAUUUGGUAGAAUUCUUUAAUAAAGUACAUGCUAUUGGAUGGAAGUUCUUUUUAAAUCUAUUCAAGUCUGAAUAAACUGACAUUCCAAUUUUCAUGACUUUGAUAUGCUCUUACUCUUCUGUUGUUCCUGACUUUCUUUUUAGGGUCUAUUCUAACAUGCAAUAUAAUUAUUAUUUUUUUUUUUGGUGAUUGAAGUGAUUUUUUUGGUUGGCCAAAACCCCAUGGAUGCCAAUAAUUGGAGGCCCACUGCCCCAGGCGGAGAACCUGUUAUGGACACAGGUGAUUGGAGAACUCAAUUGCAGCCUGACUCACGGCAAAGAAUAGUCAACAAAAUGUAAGUCUCUGUUUCCUAAUAUGUGCAAGUGCUGCAAAAUAGUAAAUCUUGUAUUUAAAUGAAAGAAAAAGAGAAGGGAAAAAGGUUAAUUAAAAUCAGCAGGACUGCCAUGAGGCAACCUCAAGUAUCAUACACCUCUGUUUUUGUCUUUUUCAUUUUUCACGUGUUUCUCACAAGAAGUGAACUUGAGGGAAUAAAAAGUGCUGGGAAGUAAUUUUUGUUGGAACUUCUUGUGUAACAUCUUUCGAUGAUGACCUCUAGGAUGGCUGCAUGAAGCUUCUUCCGCUUUAAAUUUCAAGGUUAAUCUAUUGCUAUGAGCAUUGGUGUUUCAAUUUCAACCUUGAGUUGCAACUGAACUUAAAUGAACAGUGUUGGAUUUGAGCCUUCCAUUUGCUUUAACUUCUACAGGGUUGAAAUGAUAGUUAUCUUAAAGUACAAAAGCAGCAGACAAAAAUCAAUUAGUCACAAUAGUGCAUGGUUUCCUAGUUUCUCAGUAUAAAGUGGAAUGUUUUGGUGAUAUCUCUACAUCCAAAUUCAUAUAGACAGCUACUGUUGGCAUUUGCAGUAGCCAAUGAGCACUGUAGAGUAUAUAUUGCAGCGUGAGAUAAGGUUAACUCAUUGCAUUUUCAUAAAUUAAAAGGAUUUCUCUUCUUUUCUUUGUUAAUUGCAGUGCAUGUAUAAAGGUUUUCUUAUUUAGAGUAAAUGCUGUUGUAAUGUUUUCACAGAGUUCCCUUGGUUUGCAGCUAAUUCAUUUAUAUAUCUUGGAGCAUAGCCAUAGCCAUAAAUGGAAGGUUCUUCCAGUUCAAGAAAAUUAACCAUGAAGCUCAUAGCUAGAAUUUUAAACAUAAGGGUGGCCAAGUGAACUCCUAUACCCUGUACCUGUGGAAUAAUACGGGGAAAGGAAGUAAAAAUAGAUGUGUAUUUUGAUGCCAUAUAUUACUUGACCGACACUUGGCUAUAUCAUUAUUUGUUUUUACUUUUUCCUAAUGAUUCCGUUGUAUACAUUUCUGAUAUUGGUGUGGUGUAUGAGUUCACGGUUCUUUCUCACUGCUGCUAACUUCUCUAUACCUGCCUUGUCAUUAAAAAUUAAAUGUAAUGUUUUACAUGUGCAGAAUGGAGACAUUAAAGAGGCAUCUUCCGUUUUCUGGUCAAGAGGGAUUACAAGAACUCAAGAAAAUUGCCGUACGGUUUGAGGAAAAGAUUUAUACUGCCGCCACCAAUCAGGUAUUCGGCUAAUGCUAGGUUCAAUGAUUUCGAUAUUCUCUAGACAUGAAUAUACACAUGCAUAAGUUUGUGGAUUAAUGCAUGUACACGUGUGUGUAGUGUGUCCACACUUCCUUACUGGUCAUUCUGUAGAAGUUCUCAUCUUUUCGUUAUUUCUCUUGACAAGUGUUUUAUUUAGAGUGACCAAGGUCCUUUUCAAGUACAAGGGAAGUGUGCAAAAUGCAAAUAACGAAUCAAUACAUAAAUAAUUAAAUAAAAAGAAAGGACACAGAAGUAUAUCCUCACAGAAGAUGCAAAUACAGAAAGCCUAGCAUAUUAGAAAGAGCAUAUAUCCCUUUUCCCCCUUCUCUUGUAACAUGGACUGCGCAGAGAUCUAAUGUUUUGUUAUUGAUAUCUGAUUUCAGUCUGAUUAUCUGCGUAAAAUAUCUCUGAAGAUGCUUACAAUGGAGACCAAGUCUCAAAAUACCAUACCCACUGGCAAUGGUAACAAAACCCUGGAUCCAGGAGGUAAUAAUGCAGCCAAGCAUUGGAUUUCUAAACAUCCUUACCUUUUGUUUUGUAUUUUGCGUUGUUAUCAAACUCUUUUACAUUUUAUUGCUGCAUUUUGCUAUGUAUAUACCAUGCUUUAAUAAAAGAGUCGAGUAAUUGAUGAAUGUUCAAAAAAAAAUUACAGAUUAUUUUUGUUUUCUGCUCCCCACCCCCCCACAACAAAAAAAAAAAAAAAAGUCAAAUGACACUUAUGCUUUGAGGUAAAACCAUCUUAAUUAUUUCCCUCAUAACUUUACGUGUGAACUGUCAUUGUUUCAUUUGUUUUUCUUGUUCAAUGCCUUCUUUUUUUUUCCUUUGACAUGGUUUUCCUUUUUGCCUUUUAUCUUGAACAGCAUCUCAUAGUAUGCCGCCUCAAGUUCACAACCAAGGGCAGUCGCUCCCUAACUCAUUGUCCUCUAAUCAGUCUCAAGCACGUCAGCAGUUAUCACAGAACAUGCAGAAUAGUAUGUCAUCUAAUGGAGUUCAAAGUUCUGCUGGUUUACAAUCAGCAAUGCCUUCUGUCUCCGGUUUAACCCAGACUAUCCCAAACACUGUUGGACAGAAUGCUAACAUGCAGAGUAUCUCUGGUGUUUCACAGAACCCAGUGGGGAAUUCAAUGGGACAAGGGAUUCCCCCCAAUAUGUUUGUCAAUUCUCAGAGACAAAUGCCAGGCAGGCAACAGGUUGUUCCUCCACAGCAACAGCAGCAGUCCCAAAAUCCUCAGCAGUAUCUUUAUCAGCAGCAGAUGCAACAUCAGCUUUUAAAGCAGAAGCUUCAACAGGGAAAUCAUCCACACUCACUUGUGCAAUCUCACAUCCACCAGCAGCAGCAGCAAAAUUUGUUACAGCCAAAUCAGUUGCAAUCUUCUCAGCAAUCUGGUUUGCAAACAUCAACUGUUAUGCAGCCUUCAAUGAUGCAAACUGUCUCUGGCCUUCAACAGAACCAACCAUCUUCUGUUCAACAGUCAACACAACCAAUGCACCAGCAACAUCCACAAUCAGUCCUUAGGCAGCAGCAGCAACAACCUCAACAGUCUGCUGGUAUUCAUCAGCAGCAAACACCAAUGAUGCAGCAGCCACUAUUGCCUCCACAACAGCAGCUAAUGGGGCAACAAUCAUNNNNNNNNNNNNNNNNNNNNNNNNNNNNNNNNNNNNNNNNNNNNNNNNNNNNNNNNNNNNNNNNNNNNNNNNNNNNNNNNNNNNNNNNNNNNNNNNNNNNACAGCAGCUAAUGGAGCACAUCAAGUACACUAACAUGUCGCAAAAUCAGUUAAUUGGACAACAAAACAUUGUUGGGGACUUGCAGCAGCAGCAGCAGCAGAGAUUGCUAGGGCAGCAGAAUAACCUUCAAAAUCUGCAGCAGCAGCAGCAGUUAAUGGCUCAACAAAAUAACCUCUCAAGCAUGCAUCAGCAACAGUUGGCCCCUCAAAGUAAUGUCACUGGUUUACAGCAACAGCAGUUGCAUGGAGCUCAGCCUGGUAACUCAAGCAUGCAAUCUAAUCAGCACUCUCUACACAUGCUGCAACAGCCCAAGGUUACGCUGCAGCAGCAAGCACAACAAAGUGGAAGUGGUUUGUUGCCGAAUCAAGGGCAGCAGUCACACUCACAGCUGCCACAGCAGCAAUUGAUGGCACAGAUUCAAUCACAGCCUGGACAGCUGCAACAGCAAUCAAAUCCAUUACAACGUGAUCUGCAGCAAAGGCUUCAAGCAUCAGGCUCCUUGCUUCAACAGCCGAAUGUGAUUGAUCAGCAAAAGCAGUUAUAUCAACCUCAAAGAGCCCUUCCAGAAACGUCCUCAAGUAAGUUUUUCUCAUCCUUGCAGCUUUCUAGCCUUGCUCCAACUUUAAUUUUGCAGCUUUGUGCUUUCAUGUUAGAUUAUAACAUAUUUAUUUAAAUUUUUUGAAAAUACAAUAAUGGUUCAAGUCAGUAAUGCUCUUUUAGGUAGCUUUAUGAGCUAUGGCUGCCACUUAUUGCAUCAGAAAUGCCACUGCUAUUGGAACCAUUGCAAUCACACAUACAUUUAUUUGAAUGAUUACAUAUCGUUGAGAUGGAGUUCCUAGUACUCCAAGUCCAAAAAGGACUUGUAUUCCUAUGUAAGAAAAUACUAAUGGUGCUAUCUAGGAUAGGGAAAACCUAUUAAAGCUCCUUAUUCUUUAGGAACAAUAAAAUACUAAAUAGAAAUAAAACCAAGACCUACAAUAUUCCAUAAUUUUCAGCAAGUGUGAAAAUUACAGAAAUACCCUUGUGUGCGGAAAACAUUCAAAAAAUACAUGAAUUCUAAUCUUUUGUUGGCUGCAUCAAAAUUUUUGUAGCAUCCCUAGAUUCUACAGCAGAGACUGGACAUGCAAAUGGUGCUGAUUGGCAAGAGGAGAUCUACCAAAAGGUAAUUUCUAUGGUUUACUGUUCAUUAGAUGAAAUUCAUGUAUGUCAUAGUCUUGCAAGAUUUCAAUGGAAAAGGUCUCCUGGAAUAUGGUACAAGGGAGUUUUAUUCAGCUAUGGUUGUGAUUAGUUAGGAAGCAUUGUAAGUUCCAUGAUUGCAGCAACUAAGAAACGAUAAAUUACUGAUAAGAUGAUUAAAGGUAAAAUAUUCAGAUUUCUAGGUCAAGAGGGUUAUUUUCUUGGUAUUGACACGACAAUUUUUUCUAUUGCAAAUCUCUCCCUUUCAAUUUUUUCCCUGUAUUUCCAUACAUUUAGUGUGGUGAAUUAUUAUUUUAUUAUUUCCAACAAGUCCAAUUGACAAUACUUCUUACUGUAAUAGACCGACUUGAAAACAAGAGUGAACUGUUUCUGAAUAGUCAUCGUUAUAUUUGGUUAAGUGAACAGUUAUUUUCAGGAUUACAAUCAAAUUUGUUCUGAAACAUGUGACAAUGGAAGAAAGGAAAAUAAGUGGACCUAAUCCAUUGAAUCAUGACCAUGUCCAGUAUUGUUGAAUUUUAUAGAAAACGAGGUUGAAAUUCUGAAUCAUUUAAUGGCUGUAGUUGCAAUUCAUAACUGCAUAUUUGAUGAGGUCAAUUUUUUUGUGCCUGGGAGGGUACUAAAACGGGAAUAGGAGUGGUUGUUGAUAAUUAGGAUAUAAGGGUUGUAAAUCCAAAGUUAUAAAGCUAGGAAGUGUUUACCAAAGUCGUGACAUCCAUUGACUUGAGUUAGAACAAUAGAAAACAAUGGUGAGUAGUUUGCUGUGAGACAAAGUAACUGAACUUGACCAACCCCUGAAUCUUGUCUGAAGAGGUAACUACACAAUCCUUUGCAUCUUUGCAUGCAAUCAAUAACGAUAUUCUCUUUUGAGUUUUCGGCAUUGAUUCCACUGCUAUUUUUAUCUCAAACAAUAUAUGCUGUCGUCUGCCAUUUUAUUUAUUUAUUUAUCAGUUCUCUCAAGUUUGCUUAUGUUUCUUUCUGACUCUGGCACCUGAAAGAAUCAAGCAUAUGAUUGAUAAUGUGCUUGCUGGUUAUAUGUACUUCCUAGAUCAAAGUUAUGAAGGAAACGUAUUUGCCUGAAAUAAAUGAAAUGGACCAGAGAAUUGCUACCAAGUUACAGCAGGGAAAUUGUCUGUAAUUUUUUCCGAUUUAUUUUCCCACACAUGAUUCAUAAACCCCCACAGUUGAGCUUUUGUAUUAAUUUGUUUUCCCCAUCGGCAUUGCUUGUCACUGUAUCAUCUGCACUAAUUACCUCCCCCACCCCCAACCACCCCACAACCAUGCAUUGACACAGAAGAAUUGGAAUAGAAACAUUUUUUUCACUAAUGUUUUACUAGUUUUGCUACAAAGGGUCAAUGCAAUUUUUAAUUCUCGUGUAUGUUAACUUUGCUUUCCAGCAUGACCCUCUUCCGCAACAACCGAAGUCAGAACAGCUUGAAAAGCUGAAGUUAUUCAAGGUCAUGUUGGAGCGCUUGAUAGGAUUCUUACAGGUCCCUAAAAACAACAUCACACCUAAUUUCAAGGAGAAAUUGGGUUCCUAUGAGAAGCAGAUUCUAGGUUUUCUAAACCCAAGCAGAUACAGGAAGCCUAUUCCUAAUCUUCAGCAAGGACAACUUCCCCAACCUCAUAUUCAACCUAUGCAGCAACCCCAAUCUCAAGUUCCUCAAUUGCAGUCCCAUGAAAAUCAACUGAAUUCCCAGUUGCAAUCAAUAAAUAUGCAAGGUUCUGUACCAAAGAUGCAGCAGAACAAUAUGUCAAGCUUGCUGCAUAAUUCUCUUUCAACUUUAUCUGGGGAUUCGACGUCACAAUCAAACAUGAUGAAUCCAAUACAACCAGGCUCCAAUUUAGAUUCUGGACAAGGAAAUGCACUGAGCUCAUUGCAGCAGACACCUGUAGGAUCUGUACAACAGAAUCUCGUGAGCAUUUCCCAACCAACCAAUGUUAACACAAUGUCAACACAAAGUGGGGUGAGUAUGAUGCAGCCAAAUAUGCCCCUUCAGUCGAAUUCCAAUAUGAUUCAACACCAGCAUCUAAAACAGCAGCAGCAGCAUGAACAACAUAUGCUACAAACACAACAGCUUAAACGAAUGCAGCAACGCCAGAAUUUAAUGCAGAAUCAACAGAUGCUGCAGCAGCAGCAGCAAUUACACCAGCAAGCCAAGCAGCAGUUGCCUGCACAGAUGCAGACACACCAAAUUCCACAGCCGCAACAGAUGAAUGAUGUAAAUGAGAUGAGACAGGGGAUUGGAAUUAAGCCAGCAGUCUUCCAACAACAUCUCCCAACAGCUCAACGCACAGCUUUCCCACGUCAACACAUGAAACCUGCACCUUCAUUUCCUAUUUCUUCACCUCAACUACCUCAGCAUGCUUCCCCUCAAUUACAACAUUCAUCUCCUCAGAUUGACCAGCAAAAUCUACCGUCUUCUGUAACCAAAACUGGAACACCUCUGCAAUCUGCGAACUCGCCUUUUGUUGUCCCAUCUCCUUCAACUCCUUUAGCUCCAUCUCCUAUGCCAGGAGAUUCUGACAAACCAGUUUCUGGUAUUUCCUCACUCUUAAAUACUGGAAAUAUUGUACACCAACCAUCUGUUGCACAAGCACCGGCUCCAUCCCUUGCAAUUGGCACUCCUGGGAUAUCUGCAUCACCUUUGCUUGCAGAGUUUACCAGUCCUGAUGGUGCUCAUGGCGGUGCUUUGACAACUGUUUCUGGCAAGUCAAAUGUUACAGAGCAACCACUUGAGCGCUUGAUUAAAGCGGUUAGUGAUGCUGUCCUUUUGGUUUUACUCCACCCC